rnacentral:lncRNA from 1 species
AUUCCCGCAGAUAGUCUUAGCCUAGGUUACAUAAAUUAAUGCAUGAAUGCAUGAGCAGCAGCUGCAUGCAAUAUUAUUGAACCCAAAUCACAACAAAAGGAAAACUUAAGACAAUGCCACUUUCGCAGGGAACGCGAUUGCAUUUAGCGUAUGCAACAAGCCUUUUAAACCUAUAGGUGACCCUGAUAGGACGAGUGAAGUCUCGUGAGGGUUUCCAGUGACGCUACCCACAAACAUCGUAUUAACUUAACAGGAUGAUCAUCCUGGAAGUUUUUCGACAAUGAAGAAAUGUUCAUGGGUGGGGCCUCCAGGUUCUGCAAUGAGGGCAUUUUCGAACUCGUUUCCAGAUUUUGGCUUUAAAAGGUUUCCCAUUUUCUCAUGGUGGAACUUGUAUAUGCCUUCGGUGUACGGUCCUGGUGGUUUCACAACCUCAGGCUUGAAGAGUGUACAUGACCACAGCGUUUUAUUUGGCUGUUUCUCGUCAGCCCCGGCCACAAUCCACGAACUGUCUUGGCUUGCCGUUAUCCAGUAUUUGUCGUUGUAGGUGGAUUUUAUAUGCACCAGACUGGGGAGGUUUACGUCCUUCUCCACUUUGAACCUUGCGUAUUUGCUCUGAACAUCCUCUCCGGAGCAUUGGAGAAUAUCUUGCAUCUUUUCGGUGGCUUGGUCUUUGUAGACCAAGUAUUUACCGCUCGUGAAUGAUUUAAGAGCAAUGAACUUUGGUAAUUCUGCCAUUUCUGAUGAUCUCUCGCUCGCGCUUCAAUUUUUUUUUAUGUAAACUCACUUCUCUCUCUCUCUCUCGUUGCUUAUUGCUUUUCCUAACUCCAACCUGCUGUGCUAUUUAUAAUCAAGCAAACCCAAACCCUGCAUGCAGCUCUGGCUUCUUUUUCUUGCUGUACUGGCCCGCGAUAAGAAAAUUGAAGCCACAAAAAAAAAAAGUCGAGCCAGGUGGCAGUUUUGAAAGGUCAAGUAAUAUUGUUCUUGAUAUAAAACAAACUAAAGCGUGCUCCACGUCUUCAAAUAAAACAAAGUUAAGGCUAGUAAUUAUCGACAUCGAUAUUUUGCGAUAUUAUCGUCGAUAUUGUCAAUAUUUAUACGAUAUGUACAUGGAUAUGUUUCGAAAUAUCCGUGAUUCAAAAAAACCGAAAUAUCCUCGAUAUUUCCUCGAUAUUAUCGAUAUUUCAGACUAUGAUGUGAACUUGAUUAUGUAAUUUCUACUACAUGCACUUAUGGGACAUAACCAUUUAUCAAUUAUAAUAAUGUCACAUAAAAAUUGAAGCCACAAAAAAAAAAAAGUCAAGCCAGGUGGCAGUUUUGAAAGGUCAAGUAAUAAUGUUCUUGAUAUAAAACAAACUAAAGCGUGCUUCACGUCUUCAAAUAAAACAAAGUUAAGCCUAGUAAUCUAUUCUCUGUUGUAAUGUGAACUUGAUUAUGUAAUUUCUACUACAUGCACUUAUGGACAUAACCAUUUAUCAAUUAUAAUAAUGUCAUCGACUAGGACUGAACAGCGACGGCUGAAGGCCCAGCUCAUUCUUAAUCUUAGGCAACACAUGUGCUGGGUUUCAUUUCAUAAAUUCAUAACCAAACCAAGCUAGGUCAUAGAAGGAAGCAAAUUAAGCAAUUGAAAUCCACAUCGGCUGAAAAAAUCUCUCUUGAAAAACCAUAUAAUUGGAGGGUCUGCAAAACUAGACUGUGUGUACGUAGCCAACUUUAUUAAAAUGCCAAUUCAAGUCCUAUGAACACACAUUUCCUUGAAAGUUGCUGGCCAAAUUUUCUUUGUUUUGGUUUUCAAUGAGUUCGAUUUCCUUGAGCAUCACUGAAAAGAUAUUAUAUAUGUGAAAUCUUUUUGUCAGUCUUUGAAUUUACCCAAUGUGGGUGAUCAAUUUUUAUGAUUGCAUUCUAGACUUCUCCUUAGUACAAAACAAAACUACGUGAUUGAUUGAAACGUCAUUAAUUAAUUUAGACAUAUAGGCAUUUGCAUUAAUUCAUUCUAGAUAGUAGAUACACAUCUCCAUAACGCAGAAAGAAUUAGCAUGUCCUUAAUGUGAACUUCGUUAAUAAAUUGAAGAGGAGUUGGAGAACAGUUAGAUGAAUGAAUUAAAGAGGAGUUGGAGAGACGCGGAUGCAAGGGCACACUAAGAAAACUACAGGGUUUAUUUAUAGUUUUAGUGCUAAUAAUGGGUAUAUGACUAAAUAUCUCUAUAAAAAAAAUUAGUGAAUUUAAUCAGAAUGUAAUGACUUAUAGAAUUUUACCUUGGGGCACUUUAAGUCCGUUCCUCCUUAAUAAAGCAUCACUUAAUAGAUUUGAAUUAUGAGCUGAACCCUCCCACCCGCUAAAAACGUAAAUGAAUUCUAAAUCAAAGUUACAAGCUACUGAAACCAUUUAUCAAUUAUAAUUAUGUCAUUAAUUAGGAUUGAACAAUAUGAUUGUAAUGCCAUUUCUAAAGCGUGCUUCACGUCUUCAAAUAAAACAAAGUUAGGCCUAGUAUUUUCUUCUUUAUUGUUUCGGUGCUUAAUGUGAACUUCAUUAUGUAACUUCUAUUACUUGUACUUAAGGGCCAUAGCCAUUUAUCAAAUUAUAAUGAUGUCAUUAAUUAGGAUUGAACAACAAGGUCGUUGAGAUGUUUACAUACUUUAAUUACAGACAUAUGAUAAGUUUAGGAGAGUGAUAUGUAGUUUCAAUUAUUCCUUUCACACAUACCCUAAACUUUAAACCCUAAACCCCUUUCUCUUAAGCAAAAUCUAUCGGUUUUGGGUAAGUUUGAGACACUUGUGGACGAUUGUUUUUAAUUUGGACCCUAUGAAAAUACCUGUAGGAUGUCUAUAUAAAUACCUAGAGAAGGUUAAAUAGGCUAAUUCGAUUUUUGCAAUGAAUAAUAAUCAACUUUUGAAGUAGGAUUGAUAUGAGUUAUCAAUCCUGAAAUGUGCAGAGCUUAAAAUAAAAGAACACACAGAUAUUUAUUUUACGUGGUAAAACCCCACAUCUGGGGAAAAUCCACGGGACUCCUUAGUCCAGAACGAAUCCACUAUAGAAUUGAGAUUACAAGAAGUUCUCACACACACUUAUCCUAGACUCAAUGUUUACCGACUUAUUCAUAAUGUUUACCGACUUAUUCAUAACUCAACUUUUGUCAUGGGAUGAUCUUCGACACUCCUUAUGUUGAACGCAAUAUUGGUCACGAUUGCUUCAAGCUCACCGGAGGAUAAACGCCACAAACGUCUUGAUGCCCUUGACCGUAUGAGCCACUGACAUGCAUAUGUAUGCAAUAUGAAUGAUGAAUGAGUUUGAUAAAUCACCAAGCAACCAGGAGCCCUUGAUGACUUACCGAGAAAAAUAAGUACAGUAGCUUUUCCAAAAAACAGAUUCAAUAUGCUCUCAAAAUCAAUGCGUUGAAAUGCUACACUAUGAAAAGAAGACACCUUGGUUUUAUUCAAAACAGGUUCUCUCAGUCAAGAGAAACCUACUUGACCACCAAUCCAAUUCACGAAAGACUUUCAACCUUAUUCAACUACCACACAACAAAACCUGAUGCAAUAUGGACACUAGUUAAACAUGUCAAACAGGAGACCACUCAUACUGUUCAAGCAUGAAUGUUUCUUUUGAUUCAAUUUACAUGCUAUGUGAUGAUGCCAGCUAAUGCACGAUGUGAGGAAACCUCAUGACUUUCUACUACAGCCAAUCCUUUAAAACAAUAUCUACCUAACAAAUUAAUUAGACCGAUCAAGUAGGAAAUAAUAUCAAGAGAUAAAAUAUAAUCUUAUUGAAAAUAGGAUUAACAUAAAAAUACUUGAGUGAAAAUAAUUUCAAUUAGGAGUCCUAUAAUGAAUGCAUGAUUAUGUUAUGAUUUACCUGUUGUCAAGUUUCUCAUAUGGUCAGGUCAUGCCUCGGAAGUAUAGGGUUGAGAGAGUUGUGCCAAAGCGUCCAGUAACAAUUCCUCACAAACUAAUUUUCAACUUAUGCUAAAGUCUAGGAAAUGCCAAUACGAUUUUCGUACUAACACCCUACAAACAAAUAAAUUAAAGAAAAAAAAGUAAAAGAAGAAAAGAAUAUAAAUUCAUAUAUCUCAAUUUCUUGUGUGAAGCUUUUAAAUUCAUUUCAAAACUAAAAUUAAAAUUUAUUUGUUUUGGUUUUCAAUAAGAUUAAGUUGGAUUUCCUAAAGCAUCAUCACUGAUCUGAUGGCAUCAGAUAAGUCUUUGAAUUACCUAAUGUGAUUGAUUGAUUGGAAUGUAUCCUUAAUACUAAAAAAAAACCAUGUGAUCGACACGUCAUUGAGCACUUCCACUCUAUCGGCAAGGGCAAGGCAAGAGCAAGAGUUUAGGAUAAGAUUUUUAGUUGCCACUUGUCCAUAUUUAUUAUAACAUUCACAUCUCAAAUUUCAUAUAAAAUUUUCGAAUAAGAUUUUCGAUUGCCACGUAUCCAUAUUUAUUAUAAAAUUCACAUUUCACUCAUCAUACAAUUGAAAUACUUGUUCACUCAUCAUACAAUUGAAGAUAUCAAGAAAUUUCGAAAAUUGGGCAUCCACUUUGUUUUUUCGAAGACGUUGAGGGAACGGAAUUGGCGGUACAUAUGGCUUUACAAGGGCAGCAGGUUGAGAUAAUUUCUCUACAGUAGCAGGUUCAAUUUCUGGAGAAAUUUCAUCAAGUUGUGCAGUAGUUCCAGCAGUAAUAGACGACGACGACGGCACGUUAGUAAUUUCUGAUGUCUCUGCAGUUUGUUGAUGGAUAUUCUUUUCUUCAUCCAAGUCUACUGCUGUUUUUAUUGGCCUCCCAUUCCAAAGAGUUAUCGCCCUCGCAUGUUCUUGGUUUUUCGGAUUAUUCUCUGUUUGGCUUGGCAAAGCUCCAUUUACUCUUCCUGUCAAUACAUUAGCUAGCUGGCCCAUCUGAACCUCCAAGUUUCGAAUAGAGGCAGCUUGGUUCUGAAGGGUCGUCUCGGUUUUGCUCAUAAAUUGAUUUGUAUUGACAGAGAGAGUGUUGACAUUUCCAGCAAGUUGAGUAAUUAUAUCCUCCAAUCCAUGCUUCUUUUCUUGAGGUGUGAAAUCAGGUGGAGGUCCCUGUACAUUUUGGUUAUUACUCCAUGGAAAAUUCGGAUGGUUCUUCCAUCCUGGGUUAUAAGUGUUGGAGUAAGGAUUAUUCCGUUGUCGAUUAAAAUUAGAGACUUGGUUCACUUGUUCAGAUGGUGAUGUGAAUGGACUAGCUCCACACUCAUUGCCAUGAUGAGGUCCUGCACAAAAUUCACAACUUAAAUUAGUAUACUGAAUAGCAUUAACAUUUAUAGUACCAAGUUGUUUAGACAUAGUAGAAAUUUGCGCAGUUAACGCAGAUAUGGCGUCAAUCUCAUGAAUUCCAGCUUUCUUUGGUGUUGAUCUCUCACUAGGCCAUUGAUAGUUAUUUGACGCCAUCUCUUCCAGCAAGUUAUACGCUUUAGUUUCUGUUUUUCCCAUCAAAGCUCCUCCGGCUGCAGCAUCAAUUGUUGUUUUGCUUGUAUUGUUCAAACCAUUGUAGAACGCUUGAACUUGCAUCCAAGUAGGUAGGGCAUGAUGUGGGCACUUCCUUAGCAUAUCCUUGUAUCUGUCCCAUGCUUCAUAAAAAGGUUCCAUGUCAUUCUGAGCAAAUGACAUGAUGUCAUUUCUGAGUUUCGCAGUCUUUGCAGGAGGAAAGAAUUUAGCUAAAAAUUUCUUGGCCAAGUCGUCCCAUGUAGUAAUCGAAUUAGGUGGUUGAGAAUUCAACCAUGACUUUGCCUUUUCCUUUAAUGAGAAAGGAAAAAGCCUUAAGCGAACAGCAUCAUUGGUAGCUCCAUUGCGCUUAAAUGUGUCACAUAUCUCCAAGAAAUUAGAGAUAUGCCUAUUAGGGUCUUCUUGAGGUAAACCACAAAAGAUGGAGGAUUGUUGAAUCAUUGAAAUUAUGGCUGGUCUGAUUUUAAAAUUAUUGGCAUCAAUGGUUGGACGACGAAUGCUCGAUGGUGAUGCCACCACAGAUGGGACAUCAUAGUCCCUUACUGGUUUUGCUUCCACAGCCAUAGGUGAUGGCUUUUCCAAUAUUGCGUCCUUGCCCCUUUUGAGUUUGUUAAGCUUGUGAAGUGUUCGCUCGAUCUCUAGAUCUAAUGGUACAAGCACAAGACUCUGCGAACGUCUCCCAAAACUCAUGCACUAGGUGAAGUACCUAAAAAAACAAAAAACAAAAUUCAAAUUAAAAUUCAAAUCAAUCUAUAUCGAUAUUAAUAAAAUUUAAAACACUCUCCGACGGCGGCGCCAAAAACUUGUUGUGAUAUUUAUUGCAAGCGCACAAUUCGCACAAGUAAUAUAGUGAUGAGUGAAGUGUCGUUCCCACGAAGAGUGAUUUAAUUUAACAAGUACCGAUUGUGAUUAACCCAAGACUUUAUUUGAACAAUUGAUGAUGAGAUUUGAUUGAUUAAUUAACUAAAACAAUGAAUAAAAACAAGCGUAGAAAAAUAAAGUAGUGAGAUUCAAGUUAUGAGAGCACUAGAGCUUCCGAUUUCACCAUAGCCAAUUCUACCCAAUUCCUUUAGCAUGUUAAUCCUAAUUAUUCUCUAUGUUGACAGUUGAUUUUCCCUACUUUAUUCGAUACUCCAUCCCUGGUUAUACCAAAAGUAUUCUUAUUACCAACCCACUCUAUCCCUAGUAAUGGAAUUAAGAUAAUAAGAACCCAUUAAAUUCCUUGGAAAACCUACAAAACAACCACAUAAGUCAUGACAAACAUCUCUGUCUAAUCAUGUAACUCAUGACAUCUAUUACAAGAAGCAACCCCAAAUUGGAUAUUCCUAUUUUCAAUUUAGCAUCAAAACAAUUAAAUGUUGGCCAAACAUUCAAAGCAUUAAGCAUGGUAAUAAAUACUCAACAUGGAAAAAAUACUUGGAAUUAACAUCGACUAAAGUAAUUGAGCAUUCAUGGCUAGGCUACAUCGUAGCCCUAGCAAGAAGAAAUUAGUUCAUGACAACUUUAAUAAAAACCAUGAUAAAUAGUAUCAUAGGAAAGAAGUAACCAAUUGAAGAUUUGAUCUCUGCACGACAGCAACUCUAGCUCCAGGUUGUCUUCUUUGUCUCUCUAAAACUCUCUCAACAAUAGAUGAUGGGUAGAUGAUGGAGGAUGGAUGAUGGGUAAUGGAUCCUUUCAACAAUGACCUAAACUCCCUAUUUAUAAAACUCCUAGAAAUCCUACCUAAAGAAUAAUUACAAUUGUUAUAAAAAUAGGAUUCCUUCUAAAAUAAGGUCUUCUUUAUUUCUCCUUGUUUAACUUGAUAAGACUUGCACCAUCUUGAACUAGGAAAUUUGACAACAUUCCUUGCAACAAAAGGAAUGACUUGGCUUCUUUUUUUAUUGAUUUUCAUCUCCUUGCCUUUUUUAGCACACUUUCUCCUAUUUCACAAUUCCUUCACAAAUCUCACAAAACUAAUUAAAAACAACCAAUUUAAUCCAAGAAAUUAAUAAAUAAAUAAGCAAAGGAGGCAUAAAAUAUAUAUAAAAUAUAGACUUAUCAAAUACCCCCAAACCUGUCUUUUGCUAGUCCUCGAGCAAAACUGAAAAUCAAAAAUAAAUUAAAACAAACAAACUAAAUUAAACCACUUUUGCAGGUAAUCUCGAUGGCACUUAGCAUGUGCCACAAGCCUUUAAACCUCUAGGUGCCCCUAGUAGGAGGAGUUGUGUCUCUUGAGGGUUUACCAGUCAUGACACCCACAGACACUUCUUGCAAAACAAAUUCGUUAAAGCAAUACUUCCAACAAACUAAUAAUAACCAAUGAAUGCUAAUCACAAUUCAAAAACUAAAGUUAUGCCACUACAAAUAAAAUGCACCAUAGUGUAAAGUGUAAAGUGUAAAGCCAAAAAUCCAACAUUGAAACAUAAAGAUAACCACAUUAGGCGUGUGUACAAAUUCGUCUCGACUCUAGGCCUUACUGGAUAACUCUCAAUUUUCUCACAGAACCUAGGGUUGCACUCUUACCCCGCAUAUGUGAAUAAAGUUAGGUGAAGAAUUCAAAAUAUAAGACACAUAUGCAUCCAAGAAUCAAUAAAAGGAAAUUUCUAACAAUAGAUCUCAUGGAAAGGAAAUCAAAUACUAAAAACCAUAGAUGAAGUACAUACCUCUACUUCCGAGUAAGAAGUCCCCAAAAAUCCGUUAGGUCUUUACUAUGGUUGUAAUGAAGGGCUAGGUUAUGGGUUAUGAAAGAAAAGGAAGGAAAUACUAGAACUUGAGACAUGCCAAGGCAUUUAUCACGUUAUAAGGCUCGGCUCUUCAAAUUUACUUCACAGAGGCGUCCAGGAUUUUUGAUAUGCUUCACAUUUUUUUUUCUUUAAUAGAUUUCUCUUUUUUUUUUUCCUUUCUUUUUAUUUAUUUAUUUAUUUUUAAGCACAUAUUUCCUCGGUACACGCCACCUCUUUUGUUAAUUUAGAGAUUAACCUUCAUCCUUGUCUUCAUGCCAUGGCAUAUCCCAAGUUAUAGGGUAUGGCUAAAAAUAGGGUGAAAAGGGUAAGAAAAUAUUGUGGGUGAUGAAAGAAAAGGCUAAGUGUUUGGCUUCAAAGGGUUGAUGGCACACACAAUGGGUAGGACAUGAGUUUUUAUUUAGUGGCUAGAACAUGCAUAGCCUAACAUCAUUUCUCAAGGUCCAUCCAACUCAAAAGUAAAAGCAUGAGAUGAUUCCAAAAUAGAGAGUAGUUCUUAGUAUUCAACUCAAAAGCCUAAUUGAGAUCAAUUUAAAUAAGAAAGAAAGAAAAUAGUGAAUAAGACUAAUCCCAAAUACUCUCUCAAUGAAUGGCAAUUUGGCUCAAGUAUCUCACAAUGGUAGUCUCCACUAUUUCUCCACAAUCAUCCAAGUAUAGCUAGCUUGUCUAUUAAAAUACUUGAAGCAUGGCCAUGUGAAGUGCUAUACUUAUGAUGCAUAAACUUUCAUGGCAACACUUUAGUUAAAGAAAUAUGAUCAAACAUCACAUAUACAUCACUAUUAGUAAGAGAAAGUAAAAGCUUUAACAAAUUUUUUUUUUUUUUUUAAAAAGUUAAAGGCAUUUUGUGAUUUUUUUCAAACAAAUGUGAGUGAAUUUAUGGGCCAUAAUUGCUUAGGGAUAAAGAAAUUUCAUCAAAAGGAAGAGGACACACCUGGAAUAGCUCCUAGAAACCUCUGAUCACAAAUGGAAUGGAUCAUAAUUGAUUUGGAAUGAAAUUAGAAAAUUCUGGAAAAUUGACCUUUAGCGACGAAAAAUCUGAUGAAACACCGUCGCUAAAAACCCUUUUGUGACGAAAAAUCUUCAUAUUCUGGGUAGGUAGCAGCUAGUCUUUUUUGGGUUUUAGGCCACUUUUUUAGCUUCAAAUCUCCCUAAAACGUCAUGUAAAGCACUUGAGACCCCCAAAACAGUUUCAAAUCAUCAUAAUAACCAUUCUAAACAUGUUGGUGGCUUCAAAUUUGCCUGAAAAACAUCAAAAAGGAAAAUAUGUAAAAUUUUUAAUUUUGACCAAAAUAAGAACAUAAUAACCUAUUUUGCUAUUUUCUGGGUUUUAAAGUCAUCUAAUGGCCAAAACAACAUCUGGAACAUGUUUGCAAUCAUCACGGGGCUAGAAAAAAUCGAGAAAUGUUCUUUGAAACACAAAAUCCUUUCUUUGGAACACAAAAUCUUUUUUUCUUUUUUUUUUCUUUAUGACUCAAAACUCAAACAAAAAACAACUAAACUCCACACCCCCAAAUCUAAAUUAAGCAUUGUCCUCAAUGUUUAAAGUAAAUGCAUGUAAAAAUUAGUAAAGGCAUAGAAGGAUGGAAAAUAAAGGGAAAACAAAACAAAAUAAAAUAAAAAGGAACGAAGGUACCUAGUUGGGUUGCCUCCCAACAAGCGCUUGAUUUAUAGUCCCCAGCCCGACUUGCGAGGUCAUCACUUUGGAUCAUGUAGAGGAAUGAAAGUUCGCUGUUGAUCAAAAUUGACUUCCAAGUAUGGCUUCACUCAUUGGCCAUUUACUUUGAAAAUAGUACCUUGUUCGUCAUGCCUAACCUCAAUAACUCCAGAAGGAAAUACUUGCACUAUUGUAAAUGGUCCAGACCAACGUGAUUUCAACUUCCCGGGAAAGAGUCGGAGGCGGGAAUUAAAUAGGAGAACUUUCUAACCAGCGAAGAAAUCCUUCCUUAGAAUAUGCUUAUCAUGCCAUUUCUUUGUACGCUCCUUGUAUAUCUUGGAAGUCUCAUAAGCUUCAUUACAAAACUCAUCCAUAUCAUUCAAUUGAAUUGCCCGUUUUUCUCCUGCUGCAAUCAUGUCAAAAUUGAGUGUUUGGAGUGCCCAAUGUGCCUUAUGUUCGAGCUCAACCGGUAAGUGACAAGCUUUCCCAAAAACUAGACGAUAAGGAGACAUGCCAAUUGGUGUUUUGAACUCCGUUCGAUAGGCACAUAAGGCAUCAUCCAAUUUCAGUGACCAAUCCUUUCUUGAAGCACUCACCGUCUUUUCCAAAAUUCGUUUUAAUUCUCUAUUGGAAACUUCAACUUGUCCACUAGUUUGUGGAUGAUAGGGAGUAGUAACCUUGUGGGUAAUACCAUAUUUAGCUAAAAGAUAAUUAAAUUGACGAUUGCAAAAGUGUGUACCUCUGUCACUGAUGAUGCCACGCGGAGUCCCGAAUCUGGUGAAAAUAUUUUUUUGGACAAAUUUGACAACCACCUUGGCGUCAUUGGUAGGGAGAGCGACGGCUUCAACCCAUUUCGACACAUAAUCAACAGCCACCAAUAUGUACUUGUUCUUCCAAGAUUCAGGGAAAGGUCCCAUGAAAUCUAUUCCCCAGACAUCGAACAAUUCAACCUCUAGAAUAUUAUUCAAUGGCAUCUGAUUUCUGCUAGAAAUAUUUUCAGUGCGUUGGCAUCGAUCACAGGCAGCUACAAAUGCAUAGGCAUCCUUGAACAAAGUUGGCCAAAAAAAUCCAGAUUGUAAUACCUUGGCUGCUGUUUUGGAGGCACCAAAAUGCCCCCCACAUGCCAAUGUGUGGCAAUGUCGCAAUAUGUCUUCCAUCUCCUCCUCAGGCACACAUCUCCGUAUAACUUGGUCAGGGCAAUGUUUCCACAAAUAUGGGUCGUCCCAAUAAUAAUGUUUAACCAAGGAGAAAAACUUCUUCUUCUGAUGAAACGAUAAAUCAGCUGGAAUGAUAGUACUAGCUAAAUAAUUCACAAAGUCAGCGUACCAAGGAGCUUCGGAUGAUCGAAUGGCAUACAAGUGUUCAUCAGGGAACAUCUCCAUAAUGGGUGCAGCAUCAUCACUCAUCUUUACCUCACUGACCAGCCGCGAAAGAUGGUCAGCUACCACGUUUUCGGACCCCUUUUUGUCUCGAAUUUCAAGAUCAAAUUCUUGGAGCAGUAGUACCCAGCGAAUUAAUCGUGGUUUUGCAUCUUUCUUCGAAAGUAAAUACUUUUAUCCAAGGAGAAGAUUACUACUAACAAUUCUUUCUCCGUGGUGGUAUAAUUCCGCUGGGCGUCAUUCAAAGUACGACUGGCAUAAUAAAUUACAUGAAGUAAUUUAUUUCUUCUUUGACCCAAAACUGCCCCUACCGCAUAGUCACUAGCAUCACACAUAAUCUCAAAAGGCAAGUCCUAAUCCGGUGCGACAAUGACAGGUGCAGAAGUAAGCUUCUCUUUCAAGACAUUAAAAUUAAAUUCUACAUCUUUAAGAAGGAGAUUGCAUAAGGGCUUCGUGAUUUUGGAAAAAUCUUGGAUAAACCGCCGAUAAAAUCCAGCAUGACCCAGAAAGCUUUGAAUCCCCUUUAUUGUAGUGGGCGGUGGCAAUUUCUCUACGGUAUCAAUUUUUGCCUUAUCAACCUCUAUGCCUUUAGCUGAAAUUUUAUGCCCUAGGACUAUCCCUUCUUGCACCAUAAAAUGGCAUUUCUCCCAAUUCAAAACCAAAUUGGUUUCUUCACAUCUUUUCAAAACUAAUGCCAAAUUAUGUAAACAAGAAUCAAAUGAUGAGCCAAAAACAGAAAAGUCAUCCAUAAAAACCUCAAUGAAGCGCUCCACCAUGUCCGAAAAGAUGCUCAUCAUGCAACGUUGAAAGGUGGCAGGGGCGUUACACAACCUGAAAGGCAUGCGCCUGUAUGCAAAAGUGCCGAAUGGGCAUGUGAACGUCGUCUUUUCUUGAUCUUCAGGUGCAAUUGGAAUUUGAUUAUACCCAGAAUAUCCAUCUAAAAAACAAUAAUAUGAAUGCUCAGCAAGUCUUUCCAACAUCUGAUCAAUGAAAGACAAGGGAAAGUGAUCUUUCCUUGUCGCAGUGUUCAAUUUCCUGUAGUCUAUGCAGACAUGCCAUCCUGUAGUUGUUCUUGUCGGGAUCAACUCAUUCUUAUCAUUUUUCACCACUGUAAUACCCCCUUUUUUCGGUAGGACUUGAACUGGACUCACCCAACUACUAUCUGAAAUCGGGUAAAUUAUUCCAGCAUCUAAUAACUUUAAUAUUUCAGCUCGCACAACUUCUUUCAUAUUCGGAUUUAAUCGACGCUGAUGCUCAACUGAAGGUUUAAAAUCAUCUUCCAUCAGAAUACGGUGCAUACACAUGGAACGGCUAAGUCCCUUAAUAUCUGCAAUAGUCCACCCUAUUGUCGUUUUAUGCUCCCUCAAAACUCAUAGUAAUUUAUCUUCUUCUAGUUUACUCAAAUUUGCAGCAAUAAUCACAGGAAGAGUUUCAAAAUUACCCAAGUAUGCAUAUCUUAAGUGGGAAGGUAGGGGCUUCAAUGUGAGGGUUGGUGCAGUAAUGACACUGGGUUGUGGCUUGGAGGUUGUGACGCUAAGCUCCUCAAAUUCGCGCCACCUUCCAGGGGGGCGCGGUUUCAUUGCUUCCAAAAAGUACACCAUCUCAGAAAUUUUAGGAUCCUCAUGCUCAGUAGUAACGGAAUGCACAAGGCAAGCCUUCAAUGGAUCAUAUGGAUGUUCUUCUUUAAAUUUUUCAGAGACAACUUUUUCCACUAUAUCCACUCGGAAGCAAGAGUCUGAUUCCACUGGGUACUUUGUUGCUUCAAAGACAUUGAAGGUCACCUGCUCAUCAGCCACUCGCAAAAUUAAUAAACCUUUGUCCACAUCAAUUAAUGUCUUCCCGGUUUUUAGAAAGGGGCGGCCUAAGAUAAUAGGGGUUUCGGCAUCUUCUUCCAUGUCUAAAAUCAAAAAAUCUGCUGGAAAAAUGAGCUUAUCAACUUUGACUAACACAUCCUCAAUUAUGCCUUUGGGAUAUGUUAUGGACCUGUCCCCCAUCUGCAAAGAAACAGUGGUUGGGUGAAUUACCCCCAACCCAAUAUGUUUAGCAAUAGAAGAAGGCAUUAGAUUAAUACUGGAUCCUAAAUCACAUAAAGCUUUUUCAAAGUAAGUGGUUCCAAUAGUGCAAGGUAUAGUAAAACUCCCUGGAUCCUUUAGCUUAGGUGGUAGCUUCCUCUGCAAAAUAGCACUGCAUUCUUCGGAUAAUUUCACUAUCUCAUGUUCGCCCAAUUUCCUCUUCUUUGAUAUAAUAUCCUUCAUGAAUUUGGCAUAACUCGGCAUUUGCUCCAAAGCAUCGGCAAAAGGAAUAUUUAUUUGUAAUUUCUUGAAGAUAUCAAGAAAUUUCAAAAAUUGGGCAUCCACUUUGUUUUUUCGAAGACGUUGAGGGAACGGGAUUGGCGGUACAUAUGGCUUUACAAGGGCAGCAGGUUGAGAUAAUUUCUCUACAGUAGCAAGUUCAAUUUCUGGAGACAUUUCAUCAAGUUGUGCAGUAGUUCCAGUAGUGAUAGACGACGACGACGGCACGUUAGUAAUUUCUGAUGUCUCUGCAGUUUGUUGAUGGAUAUUAUUUUCUUCAUCCAAGUCUACUGCUGUUUUUAUUGGCCUCCCAUUCCGAAGAGUUAUCGCCUCCGCAUGUUCUUAGUUUUUUGGAUUAAUCUCUGUUUGGCUUGGCAAAGCUCCAUUUACUCUUCCUGUCAAUACAUUAGCUAGCUGGCCCAUCUAAACCUCCAAGUUUCGAAUAGAGGCAGCUUGGUUCUGAAGGGUCGUCUCGGUUUUGCUCAUAAAUUGAUUUGUAUUGACAGAGAGAGUGUUGACAUUUCCAGCAAGUUGAGUUAUUAUAUCCUCCAAUCCAUGCUUCUUUUCUUGAGGUGUGAAACCAGGUGGAGGUCCCUGUACAUUUUGGUUAUUACUCCAUGAAAAAUUCGGAUGGUUCUUCCAUCCUGGGUUAUAAGUGUUGGAGUAAGGAUUAUUCCGUUGUCGAUUAAAAUCAGAGACUUGAUUCACUUGUUCAGAUGUUGAUGUGAAUGGACUAGCUCCACACUCGUUGCCAUGAUGAGGUCCUGCACAAAAUUCACAACUUAAAUUAGUAGACUGAAUAGCAUUAACAUUUAAAAUACCAAGUUGUUUAGACAUAGUAGAAAUUUGUGCAGUUAACGCAGAUAUGGCGUCAAUCUCAUGAAUUCCAGCUUUCUUUGGUGUUGAUCUCUCACUAGGCCAUUGAUAGUUAUCUGACGCCAUCUCUUCCAGCAAGUUAUACGCUUUAGUUUCUGUUCUUCCCAUCAAAGCUCCUCCGGCUGCAGCAUCAAUUGUUGUUUUGCUUGUAUUGUUCAAACCAUUGUAGAACGCUUGAACUUGCAUCCAAGUAGGUAGGGCAUGAUGUGGGCACUUCCUUAGCAUAUCCUUGUAUCUGUCCCAUGCUUCAUAAAAAGGUUCCAUGUCAUUCUGAGCAAAUGACAUGAUGUCAUUCCUGAGUUUCGCAGUCUUUGCAAGAGGAAAGAAUUUAGCUAAAAAUUUAUUGGCCAAGUCGUCCUAUGUAGUAAUCGAAUUAGGUGGUUGAGAAUUCAACCACGACUUUGCCUUUUCCUUUAAUGAGAAAGGAAAAAGCCUUAAGCGAACAACAUCAUUGGUAGCUCCAUUGCACUUAAAUAUGUCACAUAUCUCCAAGAAAUUAGAGAUAUGGCUAUUAGGGUCUUCUUGAGGUAAACCACAAAAGAUGGAGGAUUGCUGAAUCAUUGAAAUUAUGGCUGGUUUGAUUUCAAAAUUAUUGGCAUCAAUGGUUGGACGACGAAUGCUCGAUGGUGAUGCCACCACAGAUGAGACAUCAUAGUCCCUUACUGGUUUUGCUUCCUCAGCCAUAGGUGAUGGCUUUUCCAAUAUUGCGUCCUUGCCCCUUUUGAGUUUGUUAAGCUUGUGAAGCGUUCGCUCGAUCUCUAGAUCUAAUGGUACAAGCACAAGACUCUGCGAACGUCUCCCAAAACUCAUGCACUAGGUGAAGUACCUAAAAAAACAAAAAACAAAAUUCAAAUUAAAAAAAUUCAAAUUAAAAUCCAAAUCAAUCUAUAUCGAUAUUAAUAAAAUUUAAAACACUCCCCGACGGGGGUGCCAAAAACUUGUUGUGAUAUUUAUUGCAAGCGCACAAUUCGCACAAGUAAUAUAGUGAUGACUGAAGUGUCGUUCCCACGAAGAGUGAUUUAAUUUACCAAGUACCGAUUGUGAUUAACCCAAGACUUUAUUUGAACAAUUGAUGAUGAGAUUUGAUUGAUUAAUUAACUAAAACAAUGAAUAAAAACAAGCGUAGAAAAAUAAAGUAGUGAGAUUCAAGUUAUGAGAGCACUAGAGCUUCCGAUUUCACCAUAGCCAAUUCUACCCAAUUCCCUUAGCAUGUUAAUCCUAAUUAUUCUCUAUGUUGACAGUUGAUUUUCCCUACUUUAUUCGAUACUCCAUCCCUGGUUAUAUCAAAAGUAUUCUCAUUACCAACCCACUCUAUCCAUAGUAAUGGAAUUAAGAUAAUAAGAACCCAUUAAAUUCCUUGGAAAACCUACAAAACAACCACAUAAGUCAUGACAAACAUCCCUGUCUAAUCAUGUAACUCAUGGCAUCUAUUACAAGAAGCAACCCCAAAUUGGAUAUUCCUAUCGUCAAUUUAGCAUCAAAACAAUUAAAUGUUGGCCAAACAUUCAAAGCAUUAAGCAUGGUAAUAAAUACUCAAGAUGGAAAAAAUACUUGGAAUUAACAUCGACUAAAGUAAUUGAGUAUUCAUGGCUAGGCUACAUCGUAGCCCUAGCAAGAAGAAAUUAGUUCAUGACAACUUUAAUAAAAACCAUGAUAAAUAGUAUCAUAGGAAAGAAGUAACCAAUUGAAGAUUUGAUCUCUGCACGACAGCAACUCUAGCUCCAGGUUGUCUUCUUUGUCUCUCUAAAACUCUCUCAACAAUAGAUGAUGGGUAGAUGAUGGAGGAUGGAUGAUGGGUAAUGGAUCCUUUCAACAAUGACCUAAACUCCCUAUUUAUAAAACUCCUAGAAAUCCUACCUAAGGAAUAAUUACAAUUGUUAUAAAAAUAGGAUUCCUUCUAAAAUAAGGUCUUCUUUAUUUCUUCUUGUUUGACUUGAUAAGACUUGCACCAUCUUGAACUAGGAAAUUUGACAACAUUCCUUGCAACAAAAGGAAUGACUUGGCUUCUUUUUAAUUGAUCUUCAUCUCCUUGCCUUUUUUAGCACAUUUUCUCCUAUUUCACAAUUCCUUCACAAAUCUCACAAAACCAAUUAAAAACAACCAAUUUAAUCUAAAAAAUUAAUAAAUAAAUAAACAAAGGAGGCAUAAAAUAUAUAUAUAUAAAAUAUAGACUUAUCACUAUAUAUAUAUUCUUUACAAAAAUUUAAAGCUCCUUAAAGCCCAUAGAAACCGGUAAAGUCACAGUUUUUUUGACUUUUGAAUAUGGGCAAUACACGAGAAGAUGGACAGUAUUUUGAUAACUCUGUUUAGACUAAAAGCUAAGGACUGUCUAUUAACAAAUAAUUCCAACAUGCAACCUUUUUAAUUAGUCUACUUCCUGAUUGCAGAUGGGGAAGAACUCCACUUAAUGAAGCCCGCAUAGGUGGAAAUAAGAAACUAAUCAAACUGUUUGAAGUUGCUAGAACUUUGUAGUUGUCAGAGUUAUCUAAUCAAUAUCAUCAAGAAAUUAGCUAGCUAAGCAUUUCUCUGAUCAAAAUGAUAAAUUGUCGAUCGGCAAUACAUUUAUCCUUUGAUUAAAUGAUAAAUGUUUAUAAGACUUGGAACAAAAGUUCUGAGAUGUUAUAUGUGUGAAUUUUGUUAGAAUCUUUAAUUCUCUUUUCGAUUUUCUAAUAUGCGUACCUUGGAAAAUAUGAAUUGAACUAUUAUUAUUGUUGAUCUGACUUGGCAAUUCUCAGCGUCAAUUAUUCUUACUAGGCUUGUAAUAAUCAAGGAUCGAGUAAUUAAUUAAUUAAAGCUCUUGAAUCAUGGAAGUAAUGCAUGAAUGCAUCAAGUAAUCCGGAUCAGAAUAGUAAAACCAAAGAAGCACAACUUUUAUUCCCGCAGAUAGUCUUAGCCUAGGUUACAUAAAUUAAUGCAUGAAUGCAUGAGCAGCAGCUGCAUGCAAUAUUAUUGAACCCAAAUCACAACAAAAGGAAAACUUAAGACAAUGCCACUUUCGCAGGGAACGCGAUUGCAUUUAGCGUAUGCAACAAGCCUUUUAAACCUAUAGGUGACCCUGAUAGGACGAGUGAAGUCUCGUGAGGGUUUCCAGUGACGCUACCCACAAACAUCGUAUUAACUUAACAGGAUGAUCAUCCUGGAAGUUUUUCGACAAUGAAGAAAUGUUCAUGGGUGGGGCCUCCAGGUUCUGCAAUGAGGGCAUUUUCGAACUCGUUUCCAGAUUUUGGCUUUAAAAGGUUUCCCAUUUUCUCAUGGUGGAACUUGUAUAUGCCUUCGGUGUACGGUCCUGGUGGUUUCACAACCUCAGGCUUGAAGAGUGUACAUGACCACAGCGUUUUAUUUGGCUGUUUCUCGUCAGCCCCGGCCACAAUCCACGAACUGUCUUGGCUUGCCGUUAUCCAGUAUUUGUCGUUGUAGGUGGAUUUUAUAUGCACCAGACUGGGGAGGUUUACGUCCUUCUCCACUUUGAACCUUGCGUAUUUGCUCUGAACAUCCUCUCCGGAGCAUUGGAGAAUAUCUUGCAUCUUUUCGGUGGCUUGGUCUUUGUAGACCAAGUAUUUACCGCUCGUGAAUGAUUUAAGAGCAAUGAACUUUGGUAAUUCUGCCAUUUCUGAUGAUCUCUCGCUCGCGCUUCAAUUUUUUUUUAUGUAAACUCACUUCUCUCUCUCUCUCUCGUUGCUUAUUGCUUUUCCUAACUCCAACCUGCUGUGCUAUUUAUAAUCAAGCAAACCCAAACCCUGCAUGCAGCUCUGGCUUCUUUUUCUUGCUGUACUGGCCCGCGAUAAGAAAAUUGAAGCCACAAAAAAAAAAAGUCGAGCCAGGUGGCAGUUUUGAAAGGUCAAGUAAUAUUGUUCUUGAUAUAAAACAAACUAAAGCGUGCUCCACGUCUUCAAAUAAAACAAAGUUAAGGCUAGUAAUUAUCGACAUCGAUAUUUUGCGAUAUUAUCGUCGAUAUUGUCAAUAUUUAUACGAUAUGUACAUGGAUAUGUUUCGAAAUAUCCGUGAUUCAAAAAAACCGAAAUAUCCUCGAUAUUUCCUCGAUAUUAUCGAUAUUUCAGACUAUGAUGUGAACUUGAUUAUGUAAUUUCUACUACAUGCACUUAUGGGACAUAACCAUUUAUCAAUUAUAAUAAUGUCACAUAAAAAUUGAAGCCACAAAAAAAAAAAAGUCAAGCCAGGUGGCAGUUUUGAAAGGUCAAGUAAUAAUGUUCUUGAUAUAAAACAAACUAAAGCGUGCUUCACGUCUUCAAAUAAAACAAAGUUAAGCCUAGUAAUCUAUUCUCUGUUGUAAUGUGAACUUGAUUAUGUAAUUUCUACUACAUGCACUUAUGGACAUAACCAUUUAUCAAUUAUAAUAAUGUCAUCGACUAGGACUGAACAGCGACGGCUGAAGGCCCAGCUCAUUCUUAAUCUUAGGCAACACAUGUGCUGGGUUUCAUUUCAUAAAUUCAUAACCAAACCAAGCUAGGUCAUAGAAGGAAGCAAAUUAAGCAAUUGAAAUCCACAUCGGCUGAAAAAAUCUCUCUUGAAAAACCAUAUAAUUGGAGGGUCUGCAAAACUAGACUGUGUGUACGUAGCCAACUUUAUUAAAAUGCCAAUUCAAGUCCUAUGAACACACAUUUCCUUGAAAGUUGCUGGCCAAAUUUUCUUUGUUUUGGUUUUCAAUGAGUUCGAUUUCCUUGAGCAUCACUGAAAAGAUAUUAUAUAUGUGAAAUCUUUUUGUCAGUCUUUGAAUUUACCCAAUGUGGGUGAUCAAUUUUUAUGAUUGCAUUCUAGACUUCUCCUUAGUACAAAACAAAACUACGUGAUUGAUUGAAACGUCAUUAAUUAAUUUAGACAUAUAGGCAUUUGCAUUAAUUCAUUCUAGAUAGUAGAUACACAUCUCCAUAACGCAGAAAGAAUUAGCAUGUCCUUAAUGUGAACUUCGUUAAUAAAUUGAAGAGGAGUUGGAGAACAGUUAGAUGAAUGAAUUAAAGAGGAGUUGGAGAGACGCGGAUGCAAGGGCACACUAAGAAAACUACAGGGUUUAUUUAUAGUUUUAGUGCUAAUAAUGGGUAUAUGACUAAAUAUCUCUAUAAAAAAAAUUAGUGAAUUUAAUCAGAAUGUAAUGACUUAUAGAAUUUUACCUUGGGGCACUUUAAGUCCGUUCCUCCUUAAUAAAGCAUCACUUAAUAGAUUUGAAUUAUGAGCUGAACCCUCCCACCCGCUAAAAACGUAAAUGAAUUCUAAAUCAAAGUUACAAGCUACUGAAACCAUUUAUCAAUUAUAAUUAUGUCAUUAAUUAGGAUUGAACAAUAUGAUUGUAAUGCCAUUUCUAAAGCGUGCUUCACGUCUUCAAAUAAAACAAAGUUAGGCCUAGUAUUUUCUUCUUUAUUGUUUCGGUGCUUAAUGUGAACUUCAUUAUGUAACUUCUAUUACUUGUACUUAAGGGCCAUAGCCAUUUAUCAAAUUAUAAUGAUGUCAUUAAUUAGGAUUGAACAACAAGGUCGUUGAGAUGUUUACAUACUUUAAUUACAGACAUAUGAUAAGUUUAGGAGAGUGAUAUGUAGUUUCAAUUAUUCCUUUCACACAUACCCUAAACUUUAAACCCUAAACCCCUUUCUCUUAAGCAAAAUCUAUCGGUUUUGGGUAAGUUUGAGACACUUGUGGACGAUUGUUUUUAAUUUGGACCCUAUGAAAAUACCUGUAGGAUGUCUAUAUAAAUACCUAGAGAAGGUUAAAUAGGCUAAUUCGAUUUUUGCAAUGAAUAAUAAUCAACUUUUGAAGUAGGAUUGAUAUGAGUUAUCAAUCCUGAAAUGUGCAGAGCUUAAAAUAAAAGAACACACAGAUAUUUAUUUUACGUGGUAAAACCCCACAUCUGGGGAAAAUCCACGGGACUCCUUAGUCCAGAACGAAUCCACUAUAGAAUUGAGAUUACAAGAAGUUCUCACACACACUUAUCCUAGACUCAAUCUAGAUAAUGUUUACCGACUUAUUCAUAACUCAACUUUUGUCAUGGGAUGAUCUUCGACACUCCUUAUGUUGAGCGCAAUAUUGGUCACGAUUGCUUCAAGCUCACCGGAGGAUAAACGCCACAAACGUCUUGAUGCCCUUGACCGUAUGAGUCACUGACAUGCAUAUGUAUGCAAUAUAAAUGAUGAAUGAGUUCGAUAAAUCACCAAGCAACCAGGAGCCCUUGAUGACUUACCGAGAAAAAUAAGUACAGUAGCUUUUCCAAAAAACAGAUUCAAUAUGCUCUCAAAAUCAAUGCGUUGAAAAGCUACACUAUGAAAAGAAGACACCUUGGUUUUAUUCAAAACAGGUUCUCUCACUCAAGAGAAACCUACGUGACCACCAAUCCAAUUCACGAAAGACUUUCAACCUUAUUCAACUACCACACAACAAAACCUGAUGCAAUAUGGACACUAGUUAAACAUGUCAAACAGGAGACCACUCAUACUGUUGAAGCAUGAAUGUUUCUUUUGAUUCAAUUUACAUGCUAUGUGAUGAUGCCAGCUAAUGCACGAUGUGAGGAAACCUCAUGACUUUCUACUACAGCCAAUCCUUUAAAACAAUAUCUACCUAACAAAUUAAUUAGACCGAUCAAGUAGGAAAUAAUAUCAAGAGAUAAAAUAUAAUCCUAUUGAAAAUAGGAUUAACAUAAAAAUACUUGAGUGAAAAUAAUUCCAACUAGGAGUCCUAUAAUGAAUGCAUAAUUAUGUUAUGAUUUACCUGUUGUCAAGUUUCUCAUAUGGUCAGGUCAUGCCUCGGAAGUAUAGGGUUGAGAGAGUUGUGCCAAAGCGUCCAGUAACAUUUCCUCACAAACUAAUUUUCAACUUAUGCUAAAGUCUAGGAAAUGCCAAUACGAUUUUCGUACUAACACCCUACAAACAAAUAAAUUAAAGAAAAAAAAAGUAAAAGAAGAAAAGAAUAUAAAUUCAUAUAUCUCAAUUUCUUGUGUGAAGCUUUUAAAUUCAUUUCAAAAUUAAUAUUAAAAUUUAUUUGUUUUGGUUUUCAAUAAGAUUAAGUUGGAUUUCCUAGAGCAUCAUCACUGAUCUGAUGGCAUCAGAUAAGUCUUUGAAUUACCUAAUGUGAUUGAUUGAUUGGAAUGUAUCCUUAAUACUAAAAAAAAACCAUGUGAUUGAUCGACACGUCAUUGAGCACUUCCACUCUAUCGGCAAGGGCAAGGCAAGAGCAAGAGUUUAGGAUAAGAUUUUUGGUUGCCACUUGUCCAUAUUUAUUAUAACAUUCACAUCUCAAAUUUCAUAUAAAAUUUUCGAAUAAGAUUUUCGAUUGCCACGUAUCCAUAUUUAUUAUAAAAUUCACAUUUCACUCAUCAUACAAUUGAAAUACUUGUUCACUCAUCAUACAAUUGAAAUACUCCUGGUCUUCAUAGUUCGACACAAUCGAGUACAAGGAUGACUCAAUCAUUGGAGGAGGAGAUUCCACCGGAUCACGACGUGGGGGAGUAUUUUCCUUCGAAGGAAGUAAUUGUGCCAUUAUUUUCGACACGGAAAGCACCACUAGAACCGACUACUGACAUUGUUCACUUAAGGAGCCAUGUGUAAUGGUUUUCCUCUUUUUUGUUUUGUCUUGAAUAAUGUAUUAAAAUACAAGAAAAUAUAUUUUUAAAAAUGAUAUUAAAUUGAAUAAAACGAUAAAUUUAUUUUUUUUACAUCGUCACCAAGAUUUUGACCGCUUUGAACGUUUGUCCACGACCAUCCGGUUUCGAUGGAAGAGGCCAUUUGUAUUUUUACACAAAUAAAAUUUUGUAGUAGAAAAUUUGGUGUGGAAAGUGAAAAAUAUUGGAAGGAGAUGAAUUUAUAUGAAGAUUUAGUGUGGAAAGUGAAUAAUAUUGGUAGGUAUUUAUGGAAAAAAAUUCUAGAAUUUUUUGAUAUUUUUUUUACAGCUUUUUUUAGCCAUAAAAUGGGCAACCGUUGAAUUGGAAGACAUUUUUGGAUCGGAGCCUUCAGGAGAAGCUAUGUGCUUGUAGCUGUUGGUUUCUGGCAGUGCUAAUUUUUUUAAAUUAUUGCGCUGACGUUAGCUGCAUGAAAGCAAUACAACGGGCCAGAUCUCCCCAUAGGUCCCACUCCUUACCCGAGCUGGGUCUUGCACGCUGGAACUGCCUUUCAAACCUAGAGCACCCUCCUACCUGGGCUAGCCCCUUGCCCUGGACUUGCUCUAAGACAGAAGAAUUAGCAUGUCCUUAUUAUGUAAACUUCAUUAAUAAAUUUCUACUUUGUACUUGUGGAGGCCCAUAGGAAUUUAUGAAUUAGGAUUGAGAAACAAAGGUUCAAGGGAUUGUUCCAGCUAAUCUUUACCAUAAUAAUAAUAAUAAUAAUUGUUCAGGCCGGCAGCUAAUAAUUAAGUUGGCAUUUUUUUAAGUUUUUUUUUGUCCGGCCAAUAAUAUUAUUUUGGGCCCAAAAUGAAGUAAAGGACUAAAUGUAAAUACAGAAUUGGAAUGUGCUUUUGGGCCUUUUAAGUGGCAUAGGUGGAUCAUAAUAUUGAAGUAGCCCAAACUGUUGAUUUUGGGCGAGUGAACCGGUUCCGAAACCAUGGCCGAUCCUCUCAGUCUUCUUUGCUUUAGCAACUUAUGCUUUGCUUGCUUGGUGAUUAAGCCUAACUAAGGCAAAGCGGCAGCCAGAGCAGCAUCAUUCAGAUUCAGAAGAAGUAGCAAGUAAUUAAGUAAGCUUCAGCCUCACAAACAAAUAUCAAAGCGAAGCAAUCGAAUUUGACAAAGAGAGAGAGAGAAACAGUGAGAGAUCGCGAAAUGGCGUUGCAGUGGAUGAUACUGACGUACGUGGUGGCAGCAGAGGCAGCCUUGGCCUUCCUCUUAACCCUUCCCGCGCCCAAGCUCUUGAAGAAUCAAUUCGUGUCGUUGGUCUCUCUCAUCCUCCAACCUGCCCUCUUUAUCGUUCCAUUCGCCGGCUUUCAGCUCCUUGGUUUGUUUCUUCUUCUUAUUUGAUUUUAUUUUAUUUUAUUCCUAGGGCAUACCAUACCAUAGCAACAAUCUAGCAUCGGAUUUUCCAUUUGAUCUUUUUUACCUGUUUGGGUAAUGGAUUACCAAUUGAUCUUUGACUUGCCUCUUUCUUACUUUCUCUUUUCUUUUAAAUUCUGUGUAGAUAUAUAUUGGAAGAAUGAGCACCGCCUGUCCUGCACCUCUGAGAUCUGCACCGCUGCUGAGCGUGACCGCUAUGAGAAAUCCGUCAGUUUCUAACUACUACUCUCUCUCUCUCUCUCUCGUUUUAAUUUCUUAUGUGAUUCUAAUCUUUAAUCAAGUUGAUGAUGCCUGCAACUCUUCAGCAUGCUAAAAUGAAUUUAUCAAAAAUGAAAUCAUAUAACAAAAGGAAAAUUACAUUUUGAGCAACAACUGAUGUCUCCAAUUUCCAUUCACUAUACUGUUUAACAAAUUUAUUAUAGAAUAACAGCAUUACAAAUUCAUAUUUAUUUUUCUCAAAAUCAUAAUGCCCAAUGACACGCAUACCUGUUUCUUAAUUUUGUCGUCUAAAAUUCUUGCAUAUUCGGCAUUGGAUUGUCUCGUUUCUUCGACUUUUCUUUAGGAUGGUAUCUUGAAUCUUGAAGUUUCUCAUAAUUAUUUCUGUCUUUAUGUAUUGAAAAUUUUCUGCUCUUUAUUAUCUUUAAGAUUUUCUUUGUUUUUGGGUAUUUGCGGAUGAGGGUGAAACAAGGAUUUGUGCUUGUGGAAAUAUUCUGGUAGGAUAUCAAUUGAGUGUAUUUGGAAUAUACUCUCUACUUUUGCGCUGUACAUUUCAUGAAAAACAUGAUAUGUGGUUCAGUUCUUAUAUGUUGCAAGUUGCAGCAUAUGUAGCUGUGGGAUGUCUAAUGAUUGCACAAUGAGCCCUCUGCCAAUCAAGAGAAAUGGAAGAUUCAAGUUCUAUCUACAUAUAUAUACCUUUAAAUUCUAUUAUUCUUGACACCUUUGUUGCGGAAAAUAUGUCAUGCAGAUCUACAAGGCUCAAAGGAAUGUAAUUCUUUGCGCUUCAGCAUGUCUGCUUUACUGGUAUGUUGGCUAGAGAUCAUCAAAUGACCUCAUCUUUUUGUUUUAUUUCUUUACAAGUUUAAGCAAAUAAAAAACUUGAAGGUCUUUACUAUAUUUCUGGUCAUUUGAUAGUAAUCUACAAAUGUUGGGCGCAGGUGUCUUGUUCGCAUAUGCAAAUAUUACAAGGACAUUCAGAAUUUGGAAGAAGUUGAGAAGAGGUGCAAGGAGGAGUAGCUUUUCCCAGAUAGGCUUUUGUUUGGGAGUAGAAACAACCGAGUUCAUAAAUUUUUUUUUCAUCAUAAAUGGGAAACCGAUGUGACUUCUAGUAAUAUUGUAGUGUCUUCACUUUGUGUGGUUAAUUUGUUAGUCAUCAUCUAGUAUGUGUUUCUUUCACCUUUUUCUCGUAGCAAGCUCAAAUAUACUUUUUGUUGUCAACUAUAUAUGAAAAGUAAGACAAUUAUUAUUACUGCUUAGAGAUUUGGCCAUGGCCGGUCUAUUUAUCCUUGAUUGAAUAUAUGAAUUCCAAUCUCCCUUGAUUUGUUGAGAAUCAAGGAUGGUUGCGUGCCAUGAAUUCCAAGCGUGAGUUGAGAUACUUAACCCAGCCUAGAAUGUGCGAGCCUUUACAUGGUCUUCAUUUCAUUGGCGUAUGUUUUGCUUCAAGUUUUGUUUAUACUUGAUCUUAGAUUCAUAGUCGUACAUACCAAAGAAUUCAAUAGUUGAAAUGAGGUCUUCCAUUGCGAUAGUCUUGAGUGACCGAGUCUAUAUCCAAAUUGGGAAUUUAGUCAUCUGUUUACGUACGUAUGGCUCAGCUUUUCAAAUUCUCCAGUAUUGGGAAUGAUUUGGUAUGAAUUGCAGCGUAAACUUGGUUUCACAUACGCCUGCAUUGAUCACCCAGCCCGUCUCCAUCUGAACACCCCGAUGGAGGGGGGUUUAGUAUUUGCAGUAAGAUUUGAUCCACAUUGACCCAUCAUUCACACGCUUUCAGUUCACGACAAUUGCCCUUCAAAUUUCUAAAGAAUAAUAAUGCAUUAAUUCAGGCAUGAUAAUCAACGCACACAUCUGAUUCUCGAACAAAAGCAUCAUCAAGUCAAGGAUAAGGCAAAUUUCUCAAGAGGGUAUUUGUAUGGGCUUAAGAAUAAAUUAAAUAAUGAAUCGAGUCAAGAACUAAGCACACAUUUUCUUUCUUUCUCGAAUUAUAGGGUUUUCUUUAACAUUUUUGGGAAGACUUAAGGGAUUAAAUAAAUAAAUAAAAUAGUCUUAAUAAUCGGAUUUUGCCAAGUGAGAUCAUGCCUCCAAACAAUGGAACUAACCCAAGUUUUGGGCUUGUAUUAUAUAAGCAGAAUAAGACUGCUCUCCUACUGUUUUCCCACUUCCCACAUGGAGGAGGGGCUAACUAGUUGAAAAGAUUGAAAACGAAAACACAUUCUAAAUGUGCAAUACUUUUGACAGCUUGUCGUUUGUUUUUGGGUUUUGGUAGGUAGCAUACUAGCAUCCAUGAAGUAGCCAUGUCCUUAUUAGACGAAUAAGUUUGGGACGUUUUGGUUAGUUUUUGAAGAGGUGCAUAAAAUGAGCUUGAGUCGGUACCAACAAGUUGACAAUCCCUCCUGAGUCCUAACCAAAAGGAUGUAUGUUGAAUGUUGAUUAUUAUUGCAUGAUGCAUGUGGAAUUUUAUUUUCUAAAGCAUGUUUGGAAUGGAACACACAUCAAUCCCAUCCAUCACUGCUUGAUGACUUAGAUUGAUAUAAGCUAUAAAAAUGUCAAGGGCCAAGCCAACUUGUUUGACAUCUCACGCGAACAAGCGUUCAUAUCAAAAUACCAUUUAAGCUUUAUCUAUAUACACAUUGAAAUCUCUUUAUUCAAACAGACAGACUGAAACAUGUGACAUCAUGUGAAAAGAAUGGAAUGGAAUGGAACCUCUGUUUUCACUUCCCUCUAUUCAUCUUGCAGUAUUGUAUUGUAUUACAAGUUACAACUUCAACUUUGGAGAACAAAUUAACUGAUGAAAUGAAAAUUUAAGAAUUAUCAGAAAGAAAAGAAUUCAUAAAUGUUUUCUCUGGACGAAGAUCAAAAUGACCUUCUAAUGUUCUUGAAAUCUACAGACUCAAUGCAUUCCAACCCAGCUCUGUAAGGAUUCAGGAGUUUCAAAAGCUCAGUUGUCUUCUCCUUUGUGUUGUCAUCACCGCAACGAACCUGUAAAACUAACAGGAGCUUCUGAAAUGUACCAACUUGAAGGGCCUCAACAAGAACUCUUUCUUCUUGACUGCUUGCACACUUGCACAGCUUCCAAAUAGCAGAAAUUGAAUACUCAGUCGCCAUUUCUGAUACCCUCAAAAUCUUCUUGACCAAGACAGGUAUAGUGAGAGCAUUAGCAUAGGCCUUUUCCCUCCCAUCUUGGAAAUCGCAAAGACUAUCCAAAACACCCAAAGCCCUCUCACAUAUGCCUCUUUCAGAGUCGACAAGAAUUUCCAACAAUAUGGAAACUAAACCCAUCUCCAGAAAUGCUGAUUUGAUCUUCUCACUAGAUUUAGAAGAAGAAGAAGAUGAUGAUGAUGAAACCAAGUAGAAGACCACCAUCAGUGAAGCCUUGGUAAUCGUCGGAGAAAUUUUCUCUCUGAUGAAGUCGAAAAGUACCUCAUUCACUCCACCAAUCUCCGCCAACGCAUCAACAUGUUUAUUCCGGUCAUGGCAAGCAAGAAGCUCUUUCAAUGCUAAAAUAGCAUUUUGCUUUACUGAAAGAUCAUCACUCAUCUUGAGAAACCAAACCAUGCCGUGCAACGAAGCCUGAGACCCCAAGUAUUUGUGGGCUUCCUCAUCGAAAGCUGGAAGCAUCCAACUCAGCGCAGACAAUAUCUCUUCACAAACGGUGGCAUUUCUCUUUAUGCAAUCACUUGCAAAAGAAUCAAAGGCACCAGCUAGAACAGAGGCCGUCCCAUUCUCCGAGAUGCACCGCUUGUUGCGUUCGCUCUCAGCUCCCCACUUCUUGAUUUUGUGCACACAUUCUAAGCAGCCAUGUUGAUCCAAACGUCUAGCAGAGGCUCCGAUGCUGAAAAGAAUCUCAGAGACCUCCAUUGGCAAGACAGGAAUUCUGGGUGUUGGGACACGUUCGAUGCCGUAGUGCUUGUUUUGAGUGCACCACUCUUGAAUCAUUCUUCUGAGACUAUGGUUGGGAAUCUGAUCAAAGUUUCUCAGCACCUGAUUUGUUACCGGGCAAGUGAAAUUCCCGGCUUCGAGCCACGUGUCAAUACUCUGUCUAUCGUAGGUUAUUCCGGAUGACAAUGUAACCGGAUCCUUCAUCAGGUCCAGCGAUAUUGGGCACAGGAAGUGGUUUGGGAUGAGGGCUUCCAUGUCUAGGUCCCGGGGCUGCUUUUUCUUGGUGCCGUGGCCUGUUCUCCUUCUUGUCCAGCCUAAAACCAUUGCUUGCUGAUUAGCUAGCACAGAUUAAGUUUUGAUCAGAAAAGCAGUGAGAGAAGUUGAUUCUUCUGUUUUUGUUGGUGGUGUUUUUUGUUUGUGAAAAAAUAGGAGGGGAGGUGAUGGGGUUUAUAUACUAAUAAUACUAUAUGUUGUUCCGGCCACAACUUUUCAGGUUUUCAUACACGCGGUGUUCAAAGAUGAGACCAUUUUGCAUAUGGAGAGAAAUGGGAAAGAAUUGAAUAAGUAAACAAAUUCAAGCAGAGGGUUUUAGGAAUAGUACAAUUUGAAUGUUGACCGUUGAAGCUUUGAAAGUUUUAAAAUUAACCGUCAAAAGCGGGGAAGUGGUAAAAGUAAGCUCUUCCUUCAUGGGCCUCAAAUGUACCAAAUAAACGAAUUAUGUUUUUAAAUUAUGAUGAGCUACUUUAAGUAUGGGGUUAUGUAUGAGGAUGAGGUUUUGACGCGUUGACCGAGAUUCUUUUCUUCUUCUUCUUCCGUUUUUUUUUUCUUAAUCUGAAAUUCUGAAUCAGAUAUGACGAACAAGACCGAUAUCUCAGCUGUUACAUUUUUUUCAUUUUUUCUUGUAAGUCUUUUUUUAAAAAUUUAUUUAUUUGAAAACGGAAAAUUACAAGCAAAGCAAAAACCACCAGAACACGCAGGCCCAAACAAAUCGAAGUAAAAAGAAGAGAACAUCAAUUUUUUCUUGUAAGUCUUCAUUGGUGUUUUUUUUAAUUUAUUUUUUUUCUUCGUAGUAUGUAGUAGGAGAAAAGGAAAAACAAAAAAGUCAGUCACCUCAACUUUGUAAGAACGAGUCCUAGGCUCCUCCUUAUCAGACUCUCUCAGCUGCAAAAGGUUUGACUUUGAAGGAGUCAUUGCCCAAAAUACCAUCCACCACAUGCAAAUUGCAAUACAAACUCCAAUGACAUUCAUUUGGCAAGCAAGUUUAAGUACACGCCCCAUUAAAACCCAGGAGGAUAAUUUGAAUAAAUCAAACAUUCUAACCUAAUAACCUUACAGGAGUUGCUUUUUAUUCAUGUUUGAAUGCUGUACAGACAAAAACUCCUGUCGAAAUGAGCUUAUUUUACAAAUCAAUUUUUAAUCAUGUACCUAAUCAGAAAAGAUUGUCAACCAAGCUCGAAAACAAAUCCAGCCUAAGUCGAAAACAAAUCCAUCCUAAGAAUAAAAGAAAGGAAAAGAAAGAAAGAAAAGAAAGAAUUGCAGCCUAACUGACUUCACUACCCAUCCUUCCAUCAGUUAAUCAAAUGGAAGCACAAGGCCUUCAAUCUUUCACUUCACAGUGCUGACUUGCCAGAGCAAGGUAGAAUAUUGGGUUUAUUCUUGCCUGACAUAAGGAGAAGAACUCAUCUCCGUGCUGUAAAAUGAGUCAUCCCCAUUCAUAGCAAAGAAAUUAUCAUUCUUUUCAUCAUCCCACUUAAGGAUCUCCCUUAUGUACUUGAAUGCCUCAUCAACUGAGGUACCCGCUCGAGCUCGGGUCUGCGCCACAAACAACUUCUCACCAGUUAUGGAUGAAUACAGCUCUUUGAAUUUCACCGCCACAUAAUAAUAUGCUUGCUGUGCCAGAGACUGAAUAUUACCGUGGGGCUUAACGGGGCUGAAGUCCUUCAACCACUCACAGACAGACAAAGGAACCUGGUUUAUCUUGGCUUCGAAGGCAUCAUACUUGUUCAGCAAGAGCACAAACGGAGUGUUCCUGAAACACGGAUGCCUCACCAAACUCUCAAACAAAUCUCUGCUUGCCAGCAUUUUAUUACAAAGAAGACCAUUACCCUGGGCCCACAUUUGAUCAUAGUCACUCAAUGCAACACAAAAUAUCACCGCCCUCACAUCUUCAAACAUUUCCAGCCAUUUGCAACCAUCAUUCAAUCCUUUGGAAUUAAUGCGAAUGAGUUGAUACCUGAGACAAGACUCAACCUAGUGAGCAACAGAUUUAUGGUUUUCAUCGGAAGCAACAAAAAAGAAGAAGCAAGAGCACAAGAUAGAAAGCAUUCGAUUGAAGGUGAAAGGAUGAAGAUUUUACUUGGUCAAGGGAGGGGGGCAUUCAUAGUUUUCAUUGUAUAGCUCAGACAUAGCGCUUCUAUCAUCAAAAGAAAAUUCCAUAAAGGCAAGCCCAUUGCUUUGAGUAACUCCCUCAGCAUAUAAAAUGUCAUUCUCGGAAGGCUCAUACUCGUUACUUGAUAUUUCUAUAGCCUGUUGAAAAUGAAACACCAAACAUCCGUGAGGAUAACAACUGAAGUUUGGAAAUUUAGUUGUACUAACGGAAAAAAAAAAAUGCAAUCCAAGCUGCUUUGAAAUUUCUCCAUUUAUUUACCAACCAAUGGAACCACAUUUAUGCCAACUUACCUAAUAUUAAUUUAAGUAAAUGUGGAAGACCAUUAACUAAAUUUGAAAAUACCAUUAGAGGAAUAAUACCAAUUCAACAAAUCUGAUCUUUCAAACAGAAAUAUGAAAUUUGAUAAUCCAGUCUAGUCUUACUAAAUUAAUAUUUAUUUAAUACCCUGCAUUCUGAAUAGAGGAUUCCUUUCAGAACAAAACAAGAAAGACCAUAAAACUAAAGCUGUCUGUCAGUGUUGCACGAAGUAUUCCUGGCAAUUUUGAUCAGCAAUCCUACUGAUGGAUGGAUGAUCAAACCAUAACCUUACCCAGACUUGGGUUAGACUUGUAAAGAACUAAAUAAAAAUAAUGCAGUGGAGGUAAGUUGAUGAGUACUAACACAAGAAAUGAGAGAUAAUAAGAAAGUGGGAAGUCAAAGCAAUCAAGAAUUUAGUAAGGAAAUGUAAUCUAAAAUGAUCACAAGAAUGAGUUAAAAGAUCUAAAAUGGAGCAAAAUAAAAGAUUAAUCUGAAUAAAGUUGGAACCAAAAGAUGCAAGGCCAAAACGAGGAAUGACUAACCCGAUCUAAGAAAUAUUUGGCAACUUCAGGAAGGCAAUGUAAUUCCUCCCUCCUCUUGUAUGUUUCCUGGAUAGCAGAAUCUUUCCAUACUUCAUCUACAAUAGGAGCAUACUCACGUGUAGCAGCAGGGAAGAAUGCAUCCAAGUCUCCCGUUGCCAUGAUAUCCAGUAACCAGUCAGAAAAGUGCUUGAACCUUUGGUUGAUUGCAUAGAUGCAUUGCUCACUUUCAUCAACUACUGUUUCACACAAAGUCAUUUCACAGUCAACCACUGCUUAAGGUUCAUUCAUGCCUACAAGCAGAAAACCAAAUAAGCAAAAUGUUCUAUAUCUCUAAUAACAUGUUGAAUUCCUCUUCAAUCAGUAGGAAAUUCAUAUUAAUGACAAUGGGACGUUAUUUAUUUGAUGUUUACAAUUAGGUUAGACAGUCCCGAUCUCUUGGACUACAGGGGUCUACAAGAUUUGUGGUCAUUUACCGUUGGAUGUAAAUUCAACGGUUCACUCACUCUUGCACUCCUUUUAAGAAACUUUUUUGAACCAUUGGAUUAAUAUCCAACGGUGGGUGGCCACAACAUCUUGGACUCCUGUGGUCCAAGAGAUCGGAACUGUUAGGUUAGAUAUAACAUGAAAUUUCAUCAACACUGACCCCAGUUGCUUGUGUCGAGAUUGACAAAAGUGUUGGAACAGACAGAAAAACAGCUACCUACCUACCAAGUCCACUUCGAUACAACCAACUAAAAGACUCUUAGAUAUAUGCUGUUUCAAAGAUGGAGAUAACAAACAGCUACCUGCCUAAGCGUCCAGUUAGUCGAAGGAACAAUUUUCAUCAGAAAAAGGAGAAAAUGAAAGUCAUUUCAUUAUCUGACCCCCAAAAAAAAAGUCAUUUUCAUUAACUUAUUACAUAAAUAGAGACCUGAAGGAGAUUCUUCAGCAGCCGACGAAGUAGCCCUAUUCUCUGUCAAUGCUUCCUCUUCAAAACGUUCUCGGCCCUCAAGUAGUAUACUUAGAUACUUGUACAUAUUGCUCUGAAUCAUGAGCUUGAUGUUCUGCAGCUCUUCAGGAGUGAACUUGUUUCCAUAUAAGAACUUUGCCUGUUCCACAGAAAAAAGAAGAAUAACAUAAGCAUUUUUAAACUGUAAUUCUAUUCAAAAAGCAUGACAUAGUAUGCUCAUACAAAGAAAUAAAGCUUCUGAUUCAAAAAUAAAUUAAUUAAUUAAGCCCUGGGGGUUUUCGCUAACCGACUCCAACGUAUCAUGCAAUUUGAUUAUCCGCAAAAGGAAAGUUAGUAGAUUAAAUAGACUUGAAUCCUCUUGCUUUGUAAUAUCCUUAUUUUGAAUCUGAACUCUUCACACAAAAUCUAAUCGCUCAUACUAUGCUAAAUGCAUAAAUUAACCUUCCUAAGGUUAACGCCAUCUCUUCUAUACUCUCUUUCUUCUUUUUCUUUUCCCUAUCCUCCCAUUCCGGAAUUCUGCAUCUGGUUCUCCCUUUGUUUUUCACAUUAAUUCCUUAACUCUCAUGCAGUAAAAUCAAGCUUGUGGCUCUGGAAAACACAUAUUGAGUUUUCAUCAUUAGUAAAAGCUUCUAUUUUAUCACUUUCAACAGUGGAGGACUGAAAUAACUUAUCUACAAUGAAUCAGUGAUCGAGAUGAUUGAAUUUCCUCUGCUUCUAGUAUUAAUCUAGAUCCACAAAAAUAUGCAGCAUACUCUUAGCUACUUUUGAGGUUUUACCAUACAUUCUAAGUUCCAAGUUGAGGCUUUUCAGUAAAAACAGCCACCGGUUUCAAGAAAUGACUGCAAACCACAUAAUGACAUAAAGGAAGAUAAGGUAGGUCCACUAUCACAAGAAAGGCAACACCUUUUUAAUUGUCAAUUUACGAAUAUGUCACGAAUCACGAAGACAAGGUAAAUGGAACUAUUAACUUCCCUUUUGUAUUAAGUGAAACAACUUAAAUUCUGAAUAUUCGAUUGUUGAACACUAAACCAACAAGCAUUUGCUCUAGGAACAAAACACAUGAUAGGGUAAAUCUAUACAAAAGUCUUGGUUGACUGGAGCAGAAAUUAGAAAACACGUGAAAUAAAAAAAGGACAAAGCCAUGCUGGCACCCUAAAAGAGGAGGGGCUGGAAGAAAAUCAAAAAGACGCAUACCUGCUUGAAGAUGGUGCUAGUUCCAGAUCCCUCCAAGCCAAAUAACAGAAGUUUCUGAACUCUUCCCUGUUCCAAAUAUUCAGGGACUGACCUACUUGAAGGUGUUGUAGGAUCUUCAUUUGUCCCGUGUUGAUUACCAGGUGGUACAGGCAAUGAGAAUAAUGAACAAAUGAAACGAGUGGAUGCCUGCCUACCAAAAACCAAAUUGCAACUGUAUAAAAUUUCGACUCAGAAUCAUCUGCCAAAGUUUCAAACUCAGACCAAUCAACAAAUAUCCAAAAUUCAUGGUAACGAAAGAACCUUUCCCCAUAUAUUCCCUUUAAUGUUAUUUUGACCUUCCUCCUCAUAAGAUCCAUCAUCAUACACCCAGAAAUGAGUAUCUGGAGGGCACUGCACUUUGGCCAGCUGAAAUAUAAAAGGCAAGUAAUAAGGUUCAUCUUAUCGCAAUUAAAUAAAUCACGUAGCAAACAUAAAAUUUCAUGCAGGUCCAUGUUAUUGUUACCUUCAGUUAGAAAACUGCCACUAAUCACACUAUUACCUAAUAAACUUACUUAUGAUGGGAGAUUCUAUAGUAAUUAGUAAGGCAUUCAUGUUCAAUACAAACACUUCUUUAACCUUUUGAUUGACAGGUUCACUUUUUCACAGUAUGGUUUAGGGUUUAGAUUUCCAAAUUGGCGCUGGUUUAUUCGUAUUGAAUAUGAACCCUACUGCAGACCGGACUCAUUCAUUAGGGACUUUUGGGGAUUCAUUGCGAGCAUACCUUCAACACCCUACGCUCAGUCUUGGUGAUCUCUCGGCCAUUCAUGAACACUUUGGUGUUCCCAUUGCUUGCAUCGAACCGGAGCUUACCUCCAACAUUCAGUUUUGAACUAAUGAUCCUGUCGGGCUUCUCUCCCUCCUGAAAUCAAAUAAAAUUAACUGUAGACAUAUAAAAACAUGCAACACGAUGCUGUAAAAUGCUCAUCCAAUAUAUAUAUAUAAAAACUCACCUUGCCCCAAAGGCCAGAAUCUUUAUCGUACCAAUACCUCCCAGGCUUCAACUUCUGCGGAGGCAAUUCACAGCCCAAAAUCUCAGCCAGUUCUUCUUCCCUCAACAGCCUCCCAUUCACAACUAACUGCUCGGGUCGAAGCUGAUUGGCAGGGCACUCCUUCUCGGCCUUCAUUAUCUGCCGAAUCUCCAAAGGGCUGCAAACCCUUGACAAGAUCCUUGAACACUUGCCCAAACUCGACCUCUUGGACUCGUCUAUUGGCUGCCCAAUGCAGCUCACACAUUUACGCCCCUCUGGCAUCGACCCCAUGGCUUUAAGCAAGCAAUUGCUACAGAACUUGGCGUCGCACACCAAACACCACUCUCUCUCCUUCAAUCUGUUCCCUUUUCCGCACCUGCUGCAAAUCCCUCUCUUAUUCGUCCGCCUCCCAGGCGAAGAAGCCAAUGCAAUCGGCGAUCCCAAUGGUUCGGUGGCGCUGGAUUGCGGCGACGAAGACCUAUCAGCCUCGUUAUCGUUUUCGUGGUCGUCUUCGUUCUCCGAAUCUCUUGGCGUAUUGAAAGUCACGACGGCCGCUCUCUUUCCUCCGGUGGUUCCGAUCGGUUUCUGCUGGGGAUUCGAGUCUUGAACUGGUAAUUCAGAGCUAAAACCUUGGUCUGCUCCUUCGAAUUCCGAUCCUUCCCUGCCGUUUUGCAAAUCGAGUUGCGACUUCGGAGCCGAAGAAGAGGUCGUGCUACUGCUGCCCGGCUCUUUUACACCAGCACCGUUCCUGACCCGAUUGAAGCGCGAGAGCUUCUGAGCGACCGGCACAGCUACCGGAAUGGAAGAGAGGUCUGAAACCGAAAGGGAAGUUACAGAAGAAGUUUGAAGGGAGUCGAUUUGAACUGGAUCAACCCUGGGGAGAUCGUCGUAGGGCAAGGGAGGGCCUUGGUAUUCGACUGCGAUUGAGUAGUCGAGGUGCUCUUCGUCGGGCAAUGGUGCGCCAGCAGGCAGCAUCUUUCUCAGGAGGUCCUUCCAGCUUUUCUCGUCCUCUGCUUCCGAAGCCAUAGCGAGGGAGGGCUGUUUGGUUCCCGAGAAAAAGCUCGGGAAAGCGAGAGAGAGAGAGAGAGAAAGAAAAUCAAAUGAAUGAAAGGUGGGUGGGUGGGUGUGUGUGUAAGGAAGAGCUGCGUGGGGGCGAGAGUUGACACGAAGAGGAGCAGAGAGCAGUUGGGGGAAGUUGGCAGAGAGAAAAGAGAGUGUGGAGGGAUUUCGUUUCCGUUAAAGAGUUGAUGUCAACGAUGAUGCUGACAAUUUUUAAGAUUUGAAAUUGAUUUCGUUUCCUAUAAAUAUUAUUCGAAGAGGAAGAAGAAAGGAAAUGGAGGAGGAGGAGAAAGUUUGAUCUUUCCUUUGACAGUUGACACACUACUUACUUGUAACUUGUUACAAGACGACUGUGUCGUCUUCACACACAAGCACAACAUAUAAAAAAAAAAAAAAAAUUGCUGCUGCUCUCUCUCUCUCGCAUUUUUUUUAAUGCCUUGUGUAUUCAUCUUGUUCAAGACGUGAUUUAAUUUCGUAACGUGCUUUUUGUGUUUUAAUUUCGUAAUCUGAUUUUGUAAAGAGAAAGACACACACAUAACUACUGUACCAUCAGUCUCAUUGAAAUUGAAAUUUUGCUACAAUUUUUAUUAAUACAAUUCCUUUAAUUCAAAAGAUAAAUUUUUUUGGGAGAAUGAUUGUCAGCAACAUUUUAACUGCUACAAUUUUUCUCUUAUUUUGCGUUGUUUUCACCCAGUUAAUGAAAUUUUAUUCGCAAAACCUAACCCAACUGUUGACAACAUACAAUGGCAUCAGAAUAGUUUUGUUAAUCAAUCCAAAAACACAGCCUUGUUAUCCCUCAGUGGGGCUGAAACAUAAACACUUAUGCUGCCACUGAUAAUUUUCAAGCGCAUGUAGUCUCGUAUUGAAAUUGGAAAACAAUUAGUGGCUAAUCACAUAAAUUAUCAGCAACAAUGGAAUUGGUUGCUGGAAAUUUUCCUAAAAGUACAAUUUCAAUAAAAUGAGAUGCUAUACAGUAACUUCCGCCGCUGCUGUUUCUCAAAACCAUUCACGAUAUCAUCUAUUGAAUCCUCCCAUGAUUCAGCUGCUUCAAUCUAGGCAAAACAACAGCCAAAACAUACCACCCAUCAGUAUUUUGCAUUACAAAUUAUUGACAAUCAGUGCAACCAUAAAUACAGACCUCUUGACAAAGAUCUAAAGCAAGACGAGCUCCCACAGCUGCCUCCUCGUGGUUAUCUUUUACCUCCAGGUUGAUUAUCAGUGCACACUUCUUAAGAACAUGGUCCCGGUUGUUAAGAUCUAUACAUUGUUGCACAGGGGUCAGACAAGCAAACAAGGAUGGCUUCUCCAACUUACAGAUUAACCACAUAGUCAUUCAUAAAAUUAAAACGAAACAAACAAAAGCAAAUGGUGCCACAAUCUUUGAAGCUUCUUUUCCAGUGUGAACCAAAGGUUCAAAACUGAAACAUAAGCGCAUAUGGUUCAUGUUCUAAAUAGAUAACAACACUACAGGCAGAAGUAUAAAAGUAAAAAUUCCUUAAUUCACCUAAAGAUAACUCUAAACACUAAAAUUUUGAUCAAUUUUAACAAAUUAACCAUUAGAUUAUGUACCAAAAGUAGAGCACUUAAAAGGGAAAGAUUCGAUUUUGUGAGAUACUUCAAGUGGCAGACUAUGAAAUCAAACCCAUAGAGAAAUCUGAUGAAAACCCUGUCUCAUUAACAAAUUGCCAUAUUUUAAAACCAUAAGAAGAGGCCCUCACUCCGAUGGGCAACGGCCUUCUCCAGGAAAAAUAUCUCCAAGUUUAAAGCAAGCAGUCUCAAGCUAACACAUUCCAAUUUUCUACUCUAGUAGUCUCCAGCUCUGGCUUUAACACUACUCUAAAAAUUUCAAAAUCUUCCCGUUUAGAAUAAAUUCUUCCACAAGCUCAACUAAAGAAACGGAAACCCUCAAUGAUCCAAAAAGAUCUGUAUCCAAAAACCCUCACAAGAUAUAAACUUUACCUUUUCCUUGAGAUUUCAGCAUCUCUUAGACUCUAAAACCAGCAACUCUGUUGUAUGUAUAAAGUUCUAAUUUGCAUGGGAACCUUGACACUCCAAGUUUCUUAUUUUCUUAAUAUUCCCCCGCAGCAAAAAAUCAAGUUUAAAAUUUCCCUUGUUGUGCUGUUUCCAUUACCAUCUCCAUUGGUUAAGCUGACAGGAAUCAUAUGUCUAUAACUUAAGAGCUCAAGUUAACUUGCCAAUUGUAUCAGGUCAUCAUCAUUGCUAGAAUAAAAAUUCUAAUACUGAUAUUCUCAAGAGAACCAAGAAACACUACCUCGAAUUCAUAUUCCAACAGCUCAAUAGAUAGAGAUUGCCAAGAAACAAAAAACAGCAAAGGAAAGAACAGCAUUCAAUUAUUUCAUUUUCAGAGUGCUGUACUGUUGAAAUCCAUAAUAUGCAAGCCAUAAAUAGCAGAAGGGAGUAUUACCAACCUUCAAGAACCAUGUCAAAAACCUUUUCUUCAAAUGUAAAUACCACAUCGAAGGAACCGUCAGCAGCAUUAUCUUGCCACCGCUGAGGUGCCAGUUUGACCGUUGAGUUUCUUUUAAGCAUAGGCAAAAUGCCAUUACGCUUGUACCUGCACUCUUGCUGUCAAGGUUUCACUCUGCUUUUAAAUGAAAAAAGCACAGCUCACAAUCCAGAGUACGCACAUACAUUUCAAUUCAUACGUCCUAAAAAACUGAACUAUUGUUAUUGAGAGCAACCAAUCGAAUUAUACAUAAGAUUCAACAGGAUAAUUUCAUUGCCCAGAAAUUAUCAGACUGCCCAUUCAAUUGCCAAAUCUUGAAGCUUUAAGCCUACAAUCUUAGUUACAUACUAGUCCAGCUCGAAUAUAAGAAACCCAAACAUUAUGAAUUCAAGGUGCAAAGAUGAUCUUUUUAUUUUUAAUGUUUUCUUGGUAAUUUAAGGAAUUUAUUUAUUACUCAAAUAUCAAUGACCCAUAACCCCUUACAGGCAGAACUGAAAGCAAGAUAAGAAACUAAAAGAUCCAAAAUUACAAGAAGAACUAAAAGAAAAAGGGGGAAUCAGAACCGCUUAGAUUAUGACCAUUGACAUGACCCACAGGCUCUAAAACCCAAAGCAUCGAAAAACCUAAUUGAAUGAAAUUAAAAGAAGAAAAAGUUUAGAGGAGGAUACAGUUCGGGGUCUUUUCGCCUAAGAUCGUCGAACAUCUGCUUAUAAGGAGUUCCAAAGUCGUAAACGUUGGGUUCUCUGAGGGAAGGACCAGGGAGCUUAACGUGGGCACCAGUGCCGUAAGACGAGACGUCGAAGCCUUGCCUCUUGAGGAGCGAGUGAGCCUCCAUGCUUCGGUUCUGGUUCGACGAACACACCAUGGCGUACCGGAACUUCAUGGCAGACACUGAACACACCACUGUGAACUCUCUCUCUAUCCGAUUCACAAUACGACGACGUCGGGGGCUGGGGCUGCGUGGGUUUUUUUUCACUUCUUCAGUAUUGUCAAUUUCUUUUCUCUUCAAGUAAAUAGUAUUGUCAAACGUAUAGCAGUGCUGCUAUACAGUAUACUCCAUUAACUAGUAUAUUUAAUAGUAUAGCCGCGCGGCUAUACUCCAUACAUAGAAUAUUCUAAUCGUAUCGCCGAGCGGCUAUACUUCAUAAAUUAUAAAUUCAAUAGUAUCGCCGCGCGGCUAUACUCAUACAUAGAAUAUUGUAAUAGUACAGCCGAACGGCUAUAUUCCAUAAAUAGUAUAUUUAAUAGUCUAGCCGCGCGGCUAUACCCCAUAAAUAGUAUAUGUAAUAGUAUAGCCGGCCGGCUAUACGCUAAAAAAAGAAUAUUUCACCAGCAGGCCGAACGGCUAUAAACCAUAAAAUAGUAUAAUAGUAUAGCCGCACGGCUAUACCUUAUAUAUAGAAUAAUUUAAAAGUAAAGGCGUGCUGCAUAUUCCGUACAACGAAUAUUUUAAACGUAUCGCCGCGCGGCUAUACUCCAUAAAUUGAAUAUUUUGACAAUGUAGCCGCGCGGCUAGACGCCAUACAUAGUAUAUUUAAACAUAUAGCGGCUAUACUACAUAAAAUAGCAGAAUCUUGAUUUCGCUUUUUUAAUUAGUUUAAUUAGUAGUUGAGUUUUAAUUAUUAUUUACUUAGUGAAUCAUUAGUAUUUAAAUAUUUUAUCAAAGAGAAAAUUUAAAUACUAUUUAUUAAGUAAUAUAUAAUUUAUGAAGUUAAUUAAAAUAUUAAUUAUUAAUUAUUUACUAAAGAAAUAAUAAUUAAAAUAUAAUUACUAAUGAAAGUAAUUAAAUAAAGCUAAUAUUUUAUUUGAUUACUAAAUUGAUAUUUAUUUUCAAAAAUAUCUCUCCCGACGAACUUUCAUCGGUAUAGGUCUAUCAUGGCGCAAAUUUGCCAAUUAGACCUCUCCCGACGAACAUUCAUCAAAAGAGGUUAGUUUCGUCGAGGGAGGUCUAAUCCGGCAAAUAUUUGCCGACAUAGAUCUAUGCAGACAAGGUUUUGUCUGGGGAGGUUUUUUUUUUUAAUAAAAAUAUAAAUUAUAAAUUUAGUUUCUUUAUUUUAGUUUUUUUGUCAACUUCUUUAGUUUAAUAUGUGUAAUUAAGUAACAUCUUAGCUUUUUUAAAUUAUUUUAAUUAGUAAUUAUGUUUUAAUUAUUAUUUCUUUAGUUAAUAUUUAAAUAUUUUGUUUAAUAAAUAGUAAUUAAUUAUUUUCCGAACAUUGUUUUUGUUUUUUAUUUUUAUAUUAAAUAAUAAUUAAAAUAUAAUAUAUUUAAAUAGUAUAGCCUCUAGGCUAUGCAGUUCAAAUAUUCAAAUUUAUUUAAGGAAAUAUGACAAAGAACACCUAAAAAGAUAAGCAACCUCUUUAUAUCAUUGCUCAUGCACAUGCAACACACAAAAAAUGCAUAAAUUUUCCCUCAACCACAAGCGCACACUAGGGAACAAACCUAUAAUGUAAAUACGUACCAUGUCUAAUUGAUUCAUUAUAAAGAAUCUUGAUUUUCCCUCAACCACAAGUGCACACUAAGGAACAAAGCUUUGUUACAGUGAAAUCAAGAUUUUUAUUGUUGGAAAUAUAUUUAAAGAGUAUAGCAGCGCGGCUAUACUCCAUGAAAUAGUAUAUUUAAUAGUAUAGCCACGCGGCUAUAAGCCAUACAUAGAAGAUUUUAAUAGUAUAGCCAUGCGGCUAUACGCCAUAAAUAGUAUAUUUAAUAGUAUAGCCGCGCAACUAUACCCCAUAUAAAUAUUAUAUUUAAUAGUAUAACCUCUCGACUAUACUCCAUACAUAGAAUAUUUUAAAAGUAUAGUAGCGCGGCUCUUAGUAUUGAUUGGUUGUGUUUGAUUAACCAAGUAUCGUCAUCCUUUUCUAAUAUAAAAUUUGUUUGGAAUGGGUUCCAUCACACUACUUGCUAAGCUAGAUGAUAACUGAAUAUUAUGUAUAAUGUCAUAUUUUUUAUUGUUUUGUAGCCUCAUAUAUAAAUAUAUAUUUUUUUUUUCAUAUACGUAACCAAGUAUGUAUGAAGGUAAUGACAUAGAAAACGUAGAAAUUGAUGACGAAGAAAUAGAGGAAGACGAAAUAAAUGAAGAAUUUGAUGAAGUCAUUAAUAUUUUAGUGAUGGCAAUUUAUGCAAUAACACAUAUACUAAAUUAGUUUCUGAUUAUGAUGCAUGGUGAACAAAUUGAACGUCCACUAACUCGACGAUGAAUUACUAGCAUUGGAUAUGACUAUAUACAUCAAGCAUUGAAUGAUGAUCUUGCAAUCUUCCGGCAAGUAUAUAGAAUGUAUCCAUAUGUAUUCCAUAAGUUAUGCACUAUUCUUAGAGAAAAAAAUACUUUUGGAGGAUACAAGAUUUAUUUGUGUUGAAGAAAUGCUUGCAGUGUUCCUACAAAUCAUUGGCCAAAAUACUAGAUAUUGUGUAACUCGUAAUACAUUUAGCCGAUCACAAUUCGCUGCAAGUGAAAAAUUUUACAAUAUUUUAAAGGCCUUGAAUUCAAUAGCAUAUGAUUUGAUGGCUAAACCAGAACCGGCUGUGCCCGCUAAAAUACGGGAAAGCACAAGGUUUUACCCUCAUUUCAAUGCAUGUGAUGAUUAUCUAAUUAUAUUAAUAUUGUAAUUAUAAUUGUCAUUAUUAUAAUAUGUAAUUUUCAUAAUAUGGUUAUAUUUACAUAUGAAUAAUUUUAGGAUUGCAUCAGAGCUAUUGAUGGUACAUAAGGGACGAGAAGCAAGCAGCUAUGGUAAUCGUCAUGGAAAGAUAUAACAAAAUAUAUUAGCAGCUUGUAACUUUGAUUUGGAAUUCAUUUACGUUCUUAGUGGGUGGGACGGUUCAGCUCAUGAUUCAAAGCUACUAAGUGAUGCUUUAUCAAGGAGGAACGGACUUAAAGUGCCUCAAGGUAAAAUCCUAUAAGUCAUUACAUUAUGAUUAAAUCCACUUAAUUUUUUUAUUUUAAAGUAAUCUUUUAAAAUCUCAUUUGAAUACACCCACUAAACCUCCCUUAUAUUUUCAAAAAAGUCACUAUCAUCAAAAUGCAUUUUUCCCUAUCUAAAAUAUAUAUACACGAAAAAAUAAGGCUCCACUAUAAGUGGGACGCGUGGCCCGUUAAGCUAUCACUCGUAAGUUCGUAACAUAUAACCAAAAUAAGAAAUUUCAGAAAAGCAAAUUGGGCCAAAUUAGAAAUCAAUGGCUGUAAACAAGUCCAGUCGAUGCAAUUCAAUGGAGGCCGAGGCCCCAACAAAAAAAAGGCGGAGAUGAUUUUUUGUUUUUGAGUUACAAAGAAAAUGUGAUUCUCAAUUUUUCACAAGAGGACGCAAUCCAACAUAAUCACUUGGAACUCCUAAGUGGGCCCCCAAUGCUCUAUCCUUAUUUGGGUUUCUGGAUAUAUCGCGAAGAUUGGCCUUGGGGUACUUCCAAUGAAAUCAUCUCAGAGCAACAACAAAAGUGUACUAUGUGGAUUGAUGUGGCAUGUUCACUUAUUACAAAACAACAACAAAAUUGUAUUUUUAUAAUAAUAAAAUAUGUGGGAUCUAAGACACCUAUUUAUUUUGGAGUAGUCAAUAUUGUCUUAGUAGGGAGAGUAAGUAUAUUUUACCUACUCAUUUGACUUUUUUUUUGAAACAUGAAAAUGGUAUGUGGCAAGGCAAACGAAGUUUACUUACUCUUUUAUCUCUUUCAAUGAAGAUGCUUUUAGACUGGGCUCGUUUGAGAGUGAUUCUGGAGAGGCAAAUAAUCACUUUUAUAAAUAAUCACUUUAAGUUAUUAUAUGGAAAAGCACGUGAAAUGUGCUUCUCUCCAGAAUUACUUAAAAUCACUUAUGGAGAAGGAAAUGGAAAGUAUUUCUUCCCAAAAGUAAUUCAAAUCUAUUAUGAAUUACUCCCAAAUGAGCCCAUAGUGUUAUUCUACAAGGUUUGGUGAAGCCAUGAAACUGGAAAGUCCUAAGACAGCCAUGUUUUUAUAUUUUUGCACUUAAAAUAUAAACUUAUUUGGAGCUUCUCUACCAGAAUAAAAACUAAAUCCCACCAAAUAGUCAUAAACUUAGGAUCUUCUCCUGCUUUACAAAUUAUAAAUAAAAUAAAAAAAACUUAGGAUAUUCUCUACAAAUAUAUAUAUAUAUAUAUGUCUCGUUGAAAAUGUUGUUUGGGCUUUGGCCCCUAUUAUACCCACACAAAAGAAAUAAUAAUGCACAUAAUUUUUUAUUUAUUUUCCCAUUAUUUUGUCUCUAUUUCCAGAUGGAGGAUAAAGGAGGAUCACAAAAUGUAAAAAUUGGCAAUUUUGCACUACGCCCACAGAAACCUUUGAAUUGUAAACGCCGACGUCUCCCUACACGUAACACACAGAUAGACACGCACACGCUCUCUCUCUGUCUAUAAAUUUUGCUCACUGGUAUGAAUUCCACAAGUCCUGUUGAAUUCCCAUUUUGCUAACUAGGUUUUCAUUGUUAAGCGAAAAAGAAUCAGAUUUUCAUCUUCCUGUCAGUUUUAAUCAUAAAUUAUAGGGUUGGGUUAGCAGAGCUGAAGAUGGAAGCAGCAGCCACGGCGAGCGUUGUCCAAUCAUCAAUCGCGGCCUUUAGGCCUUCCAAUUCAAUUGGCAGAUCGGGUAAUUUGGCGGCCAAUGGUCCCGCCGGUUUUCUGCGUUUGAGUCCUGGAUUUCACUUCUCAAUCAAGGUACUUUUUUGUUGUUGUUGGGGAUUUGGUUUCCUAAUGCGGUUUCUAAUAUGCUUGGUAGGUUUGGGGUCUUGGGUCUAUACAAUAUGCAUGAUCCCGAGUGUGUCGCGAGAAAUAAGUUGAUCUGGUAAUUGAUGAGAAUUCUAGGGUUUCUGUUAAAUAGUGAAAGAUUAAAUCUUGAUUAGGAGUGUAGGACUUUUAGUUGGUAUGGUUAGAUUGUGUUGUUUGUAGCAUAAGCUUUAAUGUCUUUCCACAAAUAAAAGAGAAAAGAGCACAUAUCUUUUUUAGAUUGAUACACAAAGAACGGGUUUUGGAGGUAGGAGAUGACCCCUUUCCGGAACACUUGAGGGUUUUGGAUUGAUUUUUCUUUCAACCCUUUCAGAAUAUUUCUAGCUGUGACAGAUGGACCCUCAUUUUGUUUAUUGGAUUGGUGAGCUUGGAGUUGUAGUUGAGUAAUAUUUAAUCUUAUUUCAUGUUUAGCAGCACCAGUUUUCAAUCUCUCAACCAAAGGUGGGUCAUUGGAGAAUGGGCUUUGGAAGUAGGAGAUGCUUGGUCGUUAGGGCAGCAGCUGCAUCUCCAUCUCCGGACUCAACAGGUUCUACUUCUCCAAUUGCCCCACUUCAGCUGGAGUCACCAAUUGGACAGUUCCUCUCUCAGAUAAUGAUAAGCCACCCGCAUCUUGUGCCUAGUGCAGUUGAGCAGCAGCUUGAACAGCUUCAAACAGAUCGCGACACUGAGCAAAAGCAGGAAGAGCCUUCUGCUUCUGGCACUGACCUCGUUUUGUACAGGUUUGUUGCAAUCUUGCGAUUGAGGAAUAGCCAAUUGUGUUUUCAAUUAAGUCAAGCUAAGCUACAAAAUUGAACCAUAAGUUAAAUGUUUUGUUUUCAUACGAAUAUCAGAAUAAAGGAAAGGAAAAGUUUGACCUUUUUGUGUAAUUUUAGCAAGAAAGUUUCUGUUGUUCUUAACAAUCUAGAAAAUGACAUGAUGAAAAGAUUUUUUUUAUUUAAGAAAAAUAAAGAAACAGAACUUGCAGUCUUUUUUUAUUAUUUUGAUUUAACCUUGCCUCGCCUCCUCCAUCAUUUGCUAUAUGGGACUAAAUAGAUAAAUGUAGUUUUGAAGAGAUAUAUUGAUCCUUUAUUAACUUAUUCUGCAAUAUCAGGAGAAUUGCCGAGGUUAAGGCUACUGAAAGGAGAAAGGCUCUUGAAGAGAUUUUGUACACUUUGGUGGUGCAAAAAUUCAUGGAUGCUAAUGUUUCUUUGAUACCUGCCCUUACCCCAUCUGCUUCAGACCUUUCUGGUCGAGUUGAUACAUGGCCAAGUGAAGAGGACAAGCUUGAGCAACUUCAUUCACCUGAAGCCUAUGAGAUGAUCCAGAACCACCUAGCUCUCAUCCUAGGAAGUCGGUUGGGUGACUCAGCCUCUUUAGCACAGAUAAGCAAACUCAGAGUUGGGCAGGUUUAUGCAGCAUCUGUAAUGUAUGGGUACUUCCUCAAGCGGGUUGACCAGAGGUUUCAGCUGGAGAAGACAGUAAAGAUCCUUCCAAAUGCACUGGGUGCCGAAGACAGUAAUGUUCAGAAAUCUGUGGGGGAGGACAUGAGGCCUGGUGGUGAAGAGGAGUCUUUGCAAGCAGGGGCUUCCCAUCCUGAAGUCACUUCCUGGGGUGGAGGCAUCAGUCCUGGGGGUUUUGGUAAUGGAAUUAAGCCAUCCCGCUUGCGGACCUAUGUGAUGUCUUUUGAUGGAGAGACCCUUCAUAGGUAUGCAACAAUUAGAUCGAGAGAGGCUGUUAGCAUCAUUGAAAAGCACACCGAGGCAUUGUUUGGAAGACCUGAUAUUGUCAUAACACCUCAGGGGACUGUUGAUUCUUCCAAGGAUGAUCACGUCAAAAUUAGCUUUGGUGGUUUGAGGAGACUUGUUCUGGAAGCCGUGACUUUUGGUUCUUUUCUUUGGGAUGUUGAGAGUUAUGUGGAUUCCAGGUAUCAUUUUGUUACAAACUGAGUUAUGUUGAGUGAAGAUCCUGCCCUUGCAAACUUGGUGGUGCGUGUGGAGGCACAACAUUACAUACCAUAAUGGGAUAUUGACUGUAGGCCUAGUGAAAAUACCAAAUAUUUGUAUUUGGUGCUAAUUGCUGUGUAUAUAUAAACUGUUCAAGAUUUGCCUUUGUCCGUGCUGUGUGGAGAAAUAGGUAGGAUUUUAUUACUUUGAUCUCAAGUGUGGAGCCGGACCAUUUUGCAGGGUUUUGAAACUGUGUAAUUUUUCUGUUCGCGUGUCGAGGAUUUUUCAUUGAUACAAGAAGUUACAAGAAGAUAAAACGUGGGUAAUUUUAUUUCAUAGAGAACGCUUAGGGGAGAGUCUGUCUUGACAUCUCUACAUGGAAUCGUAAAGAAGCUUGGAUAGAUUCAGACGAUGCAGAAGUGUGCCAGAUACAUCGUAGAAUGCAAAUUCAGCAUCAGUCUCUGUAAAUUGUGCAGAUAAGAAACCCUGCCCGUCAUAGUAAAACUUGGACCCAUCCCUUUUCAUUUUAAUGUCACCCUUCCAUGCUUUCGACCCACCACCACUGGUCAAGAAUUGGAUUUGGCUGCGUAAACAACUUCAACUAGUGAGAUUUUUAAGAAACAAUUCAAUUUAUUGAUAAAUAGAACUAGUAACGGUUAAAGCUAUGUUUACCUGUUGGUGCUGCUUAUGUGUUCCAAGCAGUGGUCGUGUCCAUUUAUGUACGCAUCAACGUUGUUUGCCUGAAUCAUAAUGAAUCAUAAUAAAAAUACGAAUAGAUUAGAUUAUCGCUUGUACAAAAACUAAACAAAAAAAUAUAUGAAAUAUAUGAAGAUGAAGUUACCUCUAGAAUGGGAAGAAUCUGGUCUACUACUUCUUUGGUGUCUCCAUGAUGCCCUAUGCUUCGGAUUGUAUGAUGUCCGACGACAACUUUCCAGUUUGCAGAAGAAUUUCUCAAUGCAAAAUCUAGAUCCUGUUCCCAAAACAAAAGCAAUGUAUUAGAUUUGGACAAUGAAAAGCACUGUUUGAAUAUGAUGGUAGAAAGGAUCCAAUGUUGUAAUGAGAAAGAUGAUGAGAAGAACCUUCAAGAGGUUGGAGGUGUACUGUUUCCUAGGAAGCACACCUCUCCAGUCAUGCUGGUAGUGCUUUUGCCUCAGAAAGUACUUGUCCACAAAAGGAUUGGUGUCGAUGAAGAAGAAGUCUGCAAUUUUUGUGUUAACAAGAAAGGACCUGAGGCAAAGCCAGCGGCUGUCGAUCUUCCUAAGGACUGGGCUCAAUUGGGCCAAAGCAUUUCCCCUGUAGUCAUGGUUGCCAAGAACUGAGAGUUCCCCAGAAUCAAAGUGAAGGAGAUAAGAUGGAAAACAAAGUCAGCGCCAUGCCUAUGCCAAUUUCCAUGAGAAGAGUCAGUCAGUUUUGUGUGCAAUUGAACUCACCAAUAUACCAUUGCUUUUGGAGGCUCUUAGCAGUGUAGAUUUCAGUAAACGACUCCACAAAUGCAGGGUCAUUUACGCUGGUCAAUCCCCUGCUGUAAAAAUUAUCCCCAGUAGAGAUCACGAAGUCUAUGUUUAAUUUGGCUCCAAUCUCUCCCAUCUACAAUUCAUUACAAAACACCGCAACAUUAUUGUCUACUGUCCUCCAGAAAUCCCUUGCCCCCCUUGGAAACAGAGGAAACAGAGCACCACGAAACCAAGAAAGAAGAAAAUCCCAGGCCACAUACUGAUACUCCACGGAGGAUUUCCAAUAAAUUCCAAGUUUAUAGAUGCAAUUAACAUUCUAAUUGUAUUUAGUUUACUUUAGGAUGGUACCUAUCAAACCAACAAAAAAAAAACUCUCACAUGAAAAUAGUUUUUCUUUCUUUGUUUCUUUCUUAUCGUUUUUUCUGGAAAGAAAGAGCUGAAUGUUAUCCCUGUGCUGCAACAUAUCAUAUGGCUUGUAUUUAUUCGUUGGGAAAAUCUGAACCUGAAAUCCCAUCUCAAAAUAUAUGUCCUUCUCCUGGUGUUGACACCUAAUUACCGAAACAAGUAGAGAGAGCGGUAAAAGGAGGGUGACGCAUGGAGCAGCAAGUGAUGAGUUGUUGGAACAUAAUGGCUUCUGGACAUGCAACACAAUUCACAUUUGUCCUUUACUUUUGCGGAAUAUGCCAAGUAAAAAAGAAUGAUCCCGUUCAAAAAGAAAAAGCUAAUCCGUCCUGCUAAAUGACGAAACUUUUCAUGCAUAUCAUGCAGCUAGCACAGGAACAAAGCUGUUCGUUAGGUGGUACCUUUUCUCUGCAGCUUCUUAAUUAGCUUGCACACAGAGAGAGAGAGAGAGAGAGAGAGCGAGAGAGCGAGCUUCUCAUCAAGACUAUUUCAGUAUGUAAAAGAAACACAUAACACAUAAAAGGAACAGGAAAUAUAUACUACUAUUCCUUGAGGAGGUUGUGUGGAAAAUAGGAAUCAACUGGAGAUUAAAGAAAACAUGAUUAAACCGUGCAAAUUUAAGGCGGGGAAGGAAAUUAAGUUACCAAGUUAAGCAUACAGUUCCCCUAUAAAUUAUAAUUAAUUUUAUUAUGUAAGUAGCAAAUACAAUCUUCUCUCUGUUGUUAAUUAAGAACCAAACGAGGCUUAAUUAUAAGGAAACUAAGAAACUUCGUAGAUAGAAGAGAUCAAGAGUCUGUCUAUGAUAAACAUAUUGAUAAACAGAUUAAAGAGAAGAAAAGUCUGUGGAGUCUAGUUUGUUUUGUAGUAAAGAUGGAUAAAAAUGGAUGAAGUGAAGAGAGAUUAUAAAACCUGAUAAGCUACUUGAGAUUGAUUGUAAGCACCCCUUCUGCCCCAAUCACCAAUCGCCAAGAAGCUAAGUGACCCAUCGGCUUUGACAGGGUGCUCAAAUCGCUGAAGCUCGGCUGUCGACACAGAAACAAAGCUCAACCAAAUAAUAUUGUACAUGCAAAUAACCACCCACAGCCACAGGAAACCCAUGGACAUGGCCGGAUAUUGUUAAUGAUCGAAAUCAACCAAUGUUCUGAUUUGGAACUAUGAUGCAAGAGAGAGAGAGAGAGCAGAGAGUAGAGAGAGAGAGAGAGAGAGCAGAGAGUAGAGAGAGAGAGAGAAAGCAGAGAUGGUUGAAACUAUGAUGAAACUUCUAAAUUUGAGUGUAUAUAUAUAGGCUAAUUCUUCUCAGUGGCUGUACAAACACACAGUAGGUGAUAAUUAAUGAUCUAAAGACCAUAUAUAGUGCAAUAUUUACACUCUAAUUUUAAGAUGUCCCAUACACAAAUGUAAAAAUAACAUGCAAUGCAAAGGAAAGUGAAUGCUACGUCGACCCACCGAUCUACUUUAAGAUAUAGCAGCAGCGGGCCGCAUAUCUGCAAGGUAGUGCAGUAAAUUUGCGGUAACGCUGGGUCCCAUCCUGGCUAGGGUUUCUUUCUUAUCAGUUUCCUAGCAAUUUCCUAAAUCUUGUUUUUGUCUUCCAGGUUUAUGUCCUUUGGCAAUUAGGUGACAAUAAGUGGACCCAGCGGAGAAUCCUCUCUCUGUGUCCUGAGCCUGAAGACACAAACUUGGCUGAUGGAGCCAAAGUUUCAAAUUAAAUGACCACAUUCGUAUCAUGUUACCCUCUUGAUUUAUUGGCGUGUCUCAGUCUUAGAAAAUGUACCAUAUAUUUCUUGGCUUAAUUUUGUCUUUCUAGUUGUUUGCCACGCAAGAAUGGAUCAGUUGGCAGGAAGUUCUGCUAAACACAUCCUUAAUUAUGUUUGUUUGUUUCCAGAUAACAUAUUUGAGAAGCAGCUUGAAUCUGGGUUUCCUUGUUUUGUUUAAAAUGUUGUACUUGUAUGGAGCAAGAUAAUCUUGGCAUAUAUAACUGUAGCGGUCGAAAAAAUCAACCAAUUUGGUAAUUAAGGAUGCAGCCAAAUGAGGGACAUUAAUUAAAAAAUAAGAACAUUUGGUAAUUGAAUCUAUUGAAGAAUACACAAGUCCCACAUCAGAAACUUAACAAAAUAAAAAGUCCCCGUAUAAUAAAUGGUUCCACUCCUAAUAACAUCGAGGCCUUUUGUAUAAAACUCCACACCUGCUAAACAGGUGGGUAAAUUGGCAACAAUAUCAAUGUUGCUAGUGGUGGGCCAAGGGUGUCACACCCCGGGAUCGGCUCCGCCGUAGCACGAUAUUGUCCGCUUUGGGCCCCCCUCUCUGCCCGCACGGUUUUGUUUCUGAGAGCUCACGAACAACUUCUCAGUGAGUCACCCAUCCUGGGAUUGCUCUGGCCCCCAACUCGCUGAACUUCGGAGUUCCUACGACUCCGAAGCCAAUGAGCUCCCAAAAGGCCUCGUGCUAGAUGGAUGCGGUGUGCACAUAUAAGGCACAUCACCCACUCUCCGUUGGUUGAUAUGAGAUCUUACAAUCCACCCCCCUUAAGGGCCCGACGUCCUCGUCGGCACACUCGCACCACACGACAGAAUGGCUCUGAUACCAAAUUAUCACAUCCCGGGAUCAACUCCGUCGUAGCACGAUAUUGUCCGCUUUGGGCCCCCCUCUCUGCCCGCACGGUUUUGUUUCUAGGAGCUUACGAGCAACUUCCCAGUGAGUCACCCAUCCUGGGAUUGCUCUGGCCCCCAACUCGCUUAACUUCGGAGUUCCUACGACUCUGAAGCCCGUGAGCUCCCAAAAGGCCUUGUGCUAGAUGGAUGCGGGUGUGCACAUAUAAGGCACAUCACCCACUCUCCGUUGGUUGAUGUGGGAUCUUACAAUAAAAGAAGAGGCGAACCUGUCAAACAACCGAUACAACCACCCCAGCCAGUCACCCAGCUGAGAAUGAUCCUCUACGGCUAUUUGGUUCCUAAGGAACUAGAAGCUGUUAAUCACGCUCUGAUCGUACGGUCUUGAUUCAUCAACCAAGUUGGGAUUCCUGUCUCCUUAGAAAUCAAGGAUACAGAGGUACGAUCCUAUAGAACAGAUAUUGUCCGCUUUGGGCCCCCCUCACUGCCCGUACAGUUUUGUUUCUAGGAGCUCACGAGCAACUUCCCAGUGGGUCACCCAUCCUGGGAUUGCUCUAGCCCCCAACUCGCUUAACUUCGGAGUUCCCACGACUCCGAAGCCAGUGAGCUCCCAAAAGGCCUCGUGCUAGAUGGAUGCGGGUGUGCAUAUAUAAGACACAUCACCCCCUCUCCGUUGGUUGAUGUGGGAUCUUACAAUCCACCCCCCUUAAGAGCCCGACGUCCUCGUCGGCACACUCGCACCACACGGCAGAGUGGCUCUGAUUGUCACACCCCGGGAUCGGCUCCGCCGUAGCACGAUAUUAUCCCCUUUGGGCCCCCCCUCUGCCCGCAUGGUUUUGUUUCUGGGAGCUCACGAGCAACUUCCCAGUGGGUCACCCAUCCUGGGAUUGCUCUAGCCCCCAACUCGCUUAACUUCGGAGUUCCUACGACUCCGAAGCCAAUGAGCUCCCAAAAAGCUUCGUGCUAGAUGGAUGCGGGUGUGCACAUAUAAGGCACAUCACUCCCUCUCCGUUGGUUGAUGUGGGAUCUUAUAAUAAUUGUCACACCCCGGGAUCGGCUCCACUGUAGCACGAUAUUGUCCGCUUUGAGCCCCACUCUCUGCCCGCACGGUUUUGUUUCUGGGAGCUCAUGAGCAACUUCCCAGUGAGUCACCCAUCCUGGGAUUGCUCUGGCCCCCAACUCGCUUAACUUCGGAGUUCCUACGACUCCGAAGCCAGUGAGCUCCCAAAAAGCCUCGUGCUAAAUGGAUGCGGGUGUGCACAUAUAAGGCACAUCACCCACUCUCCGUUGGUUGAUGUGGGAUCUUACAAUCCACCUCCCUUAAGAGCCCGACGUCCUCGUCGGCACACUCGCACCACACGACAGAGUGGCUCUGAUACCAAAUUGUCACAUCCCGGGAUCAACUCCGCCGUAGCACGAUAUUGUCCGCUUUGGGCCCCCCUCUCUGCCCGCACGGUUUUGUUUCUGGGAGCUCACGAGCAACUUCCCAGUGAGUCACCCAUCCUGGGAUUGCUCUGGCCCCCAACUCGCUUAACUUCAGAGUUCCUACGACUCCGAAGCCAGUGAGCUCCCAAAAGGCCUCGUGCUAGAUGGAUGCGGGUGUGCACAUAUAAGGCACAUCACUCACUCUUCGUUGGUUGAUGUGGGAUCUUACAAAGGGUCCGUCCCUUUGAAAUCUUAACAUGGUAUCAGAGUCAAGUUGGUUGACUGGACCCGAUUAAACCAAAUCAAACAAACUCAAAUCAAACAAAAAAAACCCCAAAUUGAAUCAAAAUCAAACAAACCCCAAAUUAUAAAAAUAAAACAAAUAAAAAAUAAAAAGUGAACGAUGUGGAAUUGGUUGCACGUGUGGCCCAGUAAAAAGUGGUCCCACGUGAGGAGGAGUGUUGAAGAAUACACGAGUCCCACAUCGAAAACUUAACAAAAUAGAAAGUCCCAUAUAAUAAAUAGUUCCACUCCUAAUAACAUCGAGGCCUUUUGUAUAAAACCCCACACCUGCUAAACAGGUGGUUAAGUUGGGGACAAUAUCGAUGUUGCUAUUGGUGGGCCAAGGAUCCGUCCCUCUGAAAUCUUAACAGAAUCUUCGUCCUGGCAACAAUCUAUAAUAUGAACUAUAUGCGGCUGCAUUGAAUCUGAAUCUGAAGCUAUAAUAUCUUCCCUCUAGGCUUCUAGGCUGGAGGUACAAAACUUAAUUUAUGUAGAUGGGUGAAGCUGCUUGGAAGAAUGCGAUCUAUGUAAAACCUUGCCAAAAACAUCAUAAAAAGCGAUCUCUGCAUCCGUGGGAUUCAACUGCACAGACAUAAAGCCUUGACCAUCAUAAAAGAAGUUGAGCCCUUCUUUGUUCAACCCCUUAAUGUCUCCCCUCCAUGCUUUGGACCCUGCUCCACUUGUUAGAAAUUGUAUUGGGCUGCAACAAAUCCAGUUUCAAUCAGCUUUAGUUGCACAUACAGACUCUUCCAUUCUUAAGAAACACCUGAAUUGAACUUACCUUUCUGUGUCACUAAUGUGUUCUAGGCAAUGAUCGUGCCCGUUCAUGUAAAAAUCGACAUCAUUGGCCUAAGAUUUAUGAAGGAUUUAGCAGAGUUAGCAUCUAUUUUACAUCCAUUCAUCUCAACAAGAAAGCAGCAUAAAAUUAACCCUUUGCUUUAGAAUUGGAAGCUUUGACAGAUAUACCUGAAGGAUUGGGAGAAGCUGCUUUAUAAGUUCCUCUGUAUCACCAUGAUGCCCAACACUUCUAAUUGCAUGGUGACCAACUACUAUCUUCCACUUUGCAGACGACUUCUUCAGUGCAAACUCGACAUCCUAUUACAACAUCAUUAUUUAUAUUAAUAAGCAUCAUCAAUGAUUAAGCACAUUUUAGGUAAGAAAGAUACUCAAAAUUCAAAAUGGUAGCAGAAAAUUAAUUAUAUAUAUAUUAUAUACCUUCAAUAAGGUUGCAAUAUAAUCCUUGCGAGAGGUAAUGCCUCGCCAAUCAUAAGUAUGGUCCUCUGUGUUUGUGAAGUACUUAUUGACAAGAGGAGUGGUGUCCACAAAGAAAAUCUCUGCUAAUUCUGGGGAAAAAGAGAUAGGACGAAAUUGCUUAUGUUAUGAUUGAGUCUUACAGAUAUCAAUUUCUUGUGUAGAAAAACUGAUACUAAGAGUAUGUAUAAUAUAUGCUCACCUGCAUUGACAAUGAAAGACCUCAAACAAAUCCAUCUGCUAUCAAUUUUCCUAAGAAGAGGGCUCAGUUGAGCCUCUGCAUCACCCCUGUAGUCAUGGUUGCCCAACACUGCAUUCAAAGUUAUCAAAGUCAAAAACAAAUUUAUUGAAAUUUUUAUAACUAAAAGCUUUCUUUCGAGUAUUGGAAAUUUGGAACUUACCGCUGUACCACUGCUUUUGCAGGCUUUUUGCUGUGUAGAUUUUGGUAAAUGACUCCUCAAAUGCUGUGUCAUGUUCGCUUGCCAAUCCAUUAUCAUAAAAGUUAUCGCCCGUCGAAACCACAAAAUCUAUGUCAAGCUUCUCUCCAACCUUUCCCAUCUACAAAAGUAGUCGUACCACAAAUUUGUUUAGCAAACACAGAUUAGAUUGACUAAUUCUUGCACUUGAAGCAAUCAAGAAAAUGCAGGCAGGGGACUCAGAGAGAAGAAAAACAACAAAGGGAAACAAGGUAUACUGUUAUAUGUUUUUUCUUACUAUGUAAAACUUUUUUUUUUAUGAAAGUAUGUUCUUGAGUGGCUGUGGCUUCACAUGAUGCACCUUGCCAGAAAUCAUGAGUAGAAUAUAUGAAUGACAAGAAGCAUUAGAAGUUGUGGAACCUGAAAGGCAACUUGAGAUUGGUUAAAAGCUCCUCUUCUCCCCCAGUCACCAAGUACCAAGAAACUAAGUGAUCCAUCUUCUUUGGUGGGAUGUUCGAAUCUCUCAAGCUCUGCAGAUGUAAUUACCAGACACAGGCCAAAACUCAGGAUCAAGAAAAAGCACAAGGUCCUGGAAUUUUUGUAAGGUAUAGCCAUAAUUUGAUAUGGCUCUGCCGGAGUUUAUAAGGAAAUUAAUAACUGUAUGUAUGGAUGAAUGAAACUGAGGCAAGAGUAAAGAGUUAAAGAGUCCUGCGGCCUCUUAUAUAAUAGCAAGGUUGGUAAUUAAGUAAGAAACAAGGCCAUUUAAUUAUAAUUAUGAUUCAUGAUGAAGAUGAUGACAGCAUAUUUUCUCAUCCAGCAACUGAUGUUGGUGUAAAAUUUGUAAUUUAGUGCUGCUGAGUGAUUCUUUCUUUCUUUUUCUUUGGUUUUUUUUUAUUAUAUAUAAGUAUUGGUUUAAAUUUGAUUGCGUUUGAUUUGACAGAGAGAACAUGAACAUGACUCAUGACCAUAAUGUUGUUUCAUGGAUUAUAAAUCUAUAGUUAGAACAGACAGUUUCAACUUUGAAGACAGUGCAGUACACAAGAGGUUUGCAAUUAAAAAACCCAAUUAUUUAUAACCACACAACAGAAUUUGUUAUAAUCAUGCAGGUGCAUGCAUCAGAAUUUCAGAAAGAUGCAGUGAUGAGAUGCGAAUAUGCCUCUGGCAUAACUGCUAGAGCCGUUUAGAAUAUUCGGAGGAUCCGAGUCCAAGAUCGGGAAUUCUGUUUUCCCCCACUCAGAAUAUGACACGGCAGACGUCAUCAUCACCUAAAAGCGAGCCAAAUUGGUUUCUUUGAAACUACCUUCUUUUUUUUUUUUUUUAAGAAACUACUAUUGAGUAUGACUACUACGGCUCCUUAACCUAAUAAAGGCUAAUAAAGGCAGAGGGUAAGCGAGAAGAAAUACUUUCCUUUCUCCGUUUCAUUGUAUUCCUAUUUUUAUCUCUCUCUCUUAUGCUUUAAUAGGUGGAGUCAUGCUAUAGUGAGGGACUUAUCUAAAGCCCUUAAAUAAGAUAAUGUCUUCUCUCUUAACUAUUUGAUUAAACUAAUUCAUUUAAUCUAACUCCUAAUUAAUUUGAUCCAACGAUUAAGAGAUAAUGUUUCAUCUAAGAGCCUUACUUACUAUAAAAUUCUUGUUGAUAGGUGAUAGAAAGAUGAGGACAAUGAAACUAGAAUAGAAAAGUUUUUAAUAGUUUAUACAAUAUUUUAAAGGUAUGCCAAGGGGGUAUACUCCAUAAAUAGUAUAUUUAAUAGUCUAGUCGCACGGCUAUACUACAUAGAAUAUUGUAAAGGUAUCGCCGCGUGGCUAUACUCCAUAAAAGUAUAGCCGGACAGCCAUACUCCAUAAAAAUAUUUACGCUAAAUAUUUAACAGUAUAACCGGGCGGCUAUACCCCAUAAAAUAGUAUGUUUAACGGUAUAUUUUAAAAGUAUAGCCGCACGGCUAUACUCCAUAAAUUAUCAUAUUUAAUAGUAUCGCCGUCGGGUAUACUCCAUGUACAGAAUAUUCUAAAAGUAUAGCCGCUCGGCUAUACCCCGUAAACAGUAUAUUUAAUAGUAUAGCCGGUCAGCUAUACCCCAUAAAUAGAAUAUUUUAACAGUAUAGCCGCUCGGCUAUACUUUAUAAAAAUAGUAGAAUCUUGAUUUCUCUUUUUUAAUUAGUUUAAUUAGUAGUUAUGUUUUAAUUAUUAUUUACUUAGUGAAUAAUUAGUAUUUAAAUAUUUUAUCAAAGAAAUUUUAAAAAAAAUUUAUAUACUAUUUAUUAAGUAAUAUAAUUUAUUAAGUUAAUUAAAAUAUUUAAUACUGAUUAUUCACUAAAGAAAUAAUAAUUAAAAUAUAAUUACUAAUGAAAGUAAUUAAAUAAAGCUAAGAUUUUAUUACUAAUAGAAAAGUUUUUCUCUUAAGAGAGGGAGAAUGAGUACCUGCACAAAUUGGAUCAGGUUGGAUUGAUUUGAAAAAAAAAAUAGAGUAAAAAAAGGGUUGGAUCGCAUCUAAAAUGAUAGCCCAAAACCUAUAUGAAAGCCCAUAAUCAAAAGAUGUUUGAGUUGGGUUCAGAAGUUGGACUGGACCACAGCUAGAAUGUUGGCCCAAACUUGAGGUCGGUUCCAGAGUUCACAGCUUAUAUUAAACGAAUAGGUGAUUAGGGAUUGUGGUUGAUUACAUUCGUUCUUGAAGAAAUCAGAAUUAUAUUCAUCGUCAAGAAAGAAACAUCCUUUCCUUAGCUCUCUCUCUCUCAAACAUGCUAAGAUCAGACGAGGAAGACGCUUCAGAGCUCAAGAUUGGAGACGGUAUCUAAAUAUUAUUUUCCCAAAGAUGUUUUCAAAUCCCUAAUGCACAAUUUUGGACAUUGUUAUCGAUGUGAUCCUAGGCAGAGUUUUACCUGCUGUUCGGCUGUUUUGUCAAUUUUCAAUAUCAUGAUACCUAAAGUUUUGUUUGUGUAUCAAUGAAAGAGGGUAGAAAACCAUCAAUUUUGUAUGUAUAAAGAAAAAGAAGUAUAGAAGAUGUGACAUUGUACCAGAAAGAAAGAAAGAAUGACUGUUGGCGUAUAUAUGAAUGAUAUAAACAUGAGUUUGUAUGGGACCUUGAUUGAAUUGUAAACGUAGUGAGGUUAAAGUUUGAAUAUAUUAAGUUAAUGACAUUGAGUUUGUGGUUGUGAAGAUUUCUUGAAGGCGAAAUGUUUAAUGAAUAGUGAGGUUGCCAUUCUGCUUGAGCAUAGAUGUGAUCAGAUGAAGCAUAUGUCUGGCGAUUCAACGACCCAACUUCCUCAGUAAGAUUUACAUUACACUCUCGUAAUCUCGUAAUCUCGUAAUCUCGUAAUCUCGUAUCGUAUAUUUAUUAUUGUAACCAUUACCAUACAUACAUUAUAUAUACAUAUAUGUUGUGGCUGUGUACUAGAACCAAAUAAGAACCAAGAACCAAGAACCAAAUGAUGAUGAUGAUGAUGAUGAUGAUAAUAUUUGAUCAAAAUGGAUGAUGAUGUUAUUUUCCUUUCCUGGCUGUGUAGAGUGUUGGAGAAAUCACUGCAGUAUGUUAAGCGCUUCAGUCGCUUCACGAAUCAGGGCUCUGUAAAGCAAGUUCGAGAGUAUCCUACAUUGCUUGCUUUCUUGUUGUUGAUUUAUAUACACUAUUACAUGUGGUAGUCUUCGUUGUUAUUCUUAAUAAAUAGCAUUCAGAGUCCUGAGUAGAUACCAAUUGGCUGAAUUCGAGGUAAUAAUUAGGGAGAUUCACUAUUAUACCCAAUAUAUAUUCGAGGUACCAAACCAAAACAUUCAUUCAAAACAACAAAUUAAUUUGUUAAUGUGUUCUGCCCUGCAGCUGGCUGUCAUUGGGAAUCUCUGUCCUGAAAAUGUGGAAGAAGCCAUGUCACUUGUGCCUUCCCUCAAGGUAUUUUUUUAUUUCCGUUUCAUCAUUGAUGUUUUUGUCUGCAAAACCUAUAAUUGAUGAACCUCCCUCCUCAUCAAAUUGCAGACCAAAGGACGUGGGCAUGAUGAAGAAGCCAUUGAGAGACUGUUAAAUGACCUCUUGAUGAUUAAAAAGUUUGAGUGAAAUAUGUGCUUCCUUCCAGCCUUCCAUGUUUCUGUGGUCAGCUGCUAGUUUAUAGCAUGUUUUGAUUUAUGGCCCAACGUACGGUCUUGUCUUGAGGCAGGCUUGGUUGUGUAUGGAGUUUAAGCAUAUGGGCCACGUUAGGCCAGACAACAAGACUAUCGAAGCACAGUCGAGUUUAAUUCAAGAAACAUAUUUCAUUUUCAGUUUUCAAAAUCGCCAUUAAUUUUGAAAACAACUUUAUAGUGUCUUUAGUCUUUUUCUGGAGCUACUUUCUCAUUCACCAAUUGUCAUCACUACACCGAUUUAAAAUUUGGCUCAAUUUAUGUCUACUAUAGAAGAAAGAUAAGAAACUCUUUCUGUGUGUUGCCGAUUUAACUCCAGAAAUGAAGAACAUGCAUCGUCUUCGUCCAACCAUACGUAUACAUAUACGUUUAUUCUCUUUUGAUAAUAAAAGAUGGUGUAAUUGAUUUGAAGUAGCAAUAAUGAAGUUGAGGCUGAGGUAGCAUGUAAUGUAACGUAACCCAACUCUACCCUAUCAAUGUCAUCCCUAUUUAUAACUUUAACAACUAGUUAUGCGCAGCAGAGUACAGGGCCUCAUAAAAUAAUUAACGAAAAAGCUAUUCAUUCAAUUCAAUUCCAUAUUGGAGGUGUGAAAUUGAAAUUGGUCAGUCUGAUAAAUUAUUAUAUAUGUGGAUGGUGUGGUGGAAGCAAGGAAGGAAGGGAGGCCCCUGGUGGUUCCAUUCCAUCCACCUUCACGAAUGUUACUCCCCCAAUUCAAACCUGACCUCACAGACUGACACUAUUAAUUAAUAAUGAUAUACAUAUAAUAUAUAUAUAUAUAUACGUCUUGUUAUAAGAAAAUUUUCAUUUAAUUGUCCAAGAAAAUUACAGAAGUAAUUUAAUUAUGUUUUUUGUUUGUUGGAAAUAAUAUUAAAUUUGUUGAGGGUACAAGAAUACAAGGAGUUAAUUUCAUGGUGUCAGCUGCACAAACUGAUGAAGGAGGAUGAGAAAGAAGAAAGCAGGAAAAAAACAAGUGUAGUAGGUUUGGUUUCCAGUUUCCAGUUGCAUCUGUUGGCUCUGUUGGCUCUGUUAGCUCUGUUAGCUCUGGCUUUCGCAGGAUCACAGGCUCUCUCUGAGUACUGGCAGUCAGCCCUGGCUUGUUAAUUGUGGGAUAUUAUAUACAUAUAUAUAACAUGCAGGGGAACGUCUACAUCUUUCCUUCUCGGUAUUCUAUGCGAUGUGAAAGCUCAGUGACAUCCAGUUUUAUGCUUGACACACACACACUCUCUCUCUCUCUGAUAUACUCGCUCUUGUUCAAUUCAAUUCUAUUCAAUUCAAUUCUAUUCUCAAUUAUGACCAACCUAUGGAUGGGAGAUGGGGGGGCGGUGGUUGAUUUCAAUGUUGCCUCGGGCUUUAUGAACAAUAGGAAAAAAGAAACAAAAAAAAGUCAAAAGAAGUCAAAUUCCAAACAAAAGUUUCAAAGGCCCCAAAGCAAAACCCCAUUUUUUUCACCAUAAAGAAAGAAAGAUUAGACAUCAUCCAUAGUAGGCUGCUGCUGCUACUAGCAAAGCCUAGCUAGUAGGCCUUCCCUUUUUGUUGUCAAAAAGACGUUGGAAUUGCUGAAUAAAGUAGAGGCCUUUUCUCUCUCUCUCUCUCCUGACCCUCCUUCAAUCAUAAAGCAAUCGAUUGCAAAAUCAUUUCUUUUCUUUUGUUUCCUGUGCCCACUCAACUCACUUAAUACUACGACCACUGUUGCCUAGGAAUUGACGUCGCCUGCACCUCCCUCCCUCCCUCCCUCACUUAUUUUCUUUUGAGUUUUGGCUUUUGCAAUUUCACUUUCCCACUCCAAUUCCCAGUAAGAAAACUAAGUCAGACCAAACCCAAAAUAAAAAAUAUUAUUAUAAUUAUUGGACAGUUGGUGCAUUUACCCAGUUGAGUCAAAGUCUGUAUAGUAGAAGAAGUAGACCAUUAUUGUUUUGUUUACAAUCUCUGAUUUCAAAUGGUAACACAAAACUUAAACAGUCUUCAUUAUUGUUUUAAUUGUGGAUGUUCAGUCCUCACUCAUUCUUCAUCUUUAAUUUCUUGUACAUUCAAAUGCAGAACAGAAGCGAGGAGGCAGUAUCAUAAUUAUUAUUAUUAAUGUUUGAAUAUCUACCUUGCCUAUGUGCACGUGCAUCCUUUACUGUAUUGGGAAUUUCAGUGGAGUGUUGCAAUCACAACAAUAACUUUACUGGAAUCGUACGUACGUAUUAUUGCAUAAUGAAACAAGCAAAAGUAGCUACAAGCAAUAAAAUUAAAUGUAUUUGCAUCUACUUGCAACUUUUACCAAGUCAUCAAUGAAUGCAUACUGUAUGGUACUGUAUACCUACACUAGCUAGCUAACGCAGCGAAGCCUCAAUUCUAUUAUAUUUGUAUAUUGGAUCCGAUGGAUGGAUUGCUUGAACGAUUGGGACGACACAGAUAUAUAUUCUAUGUAUGUACGUAUGUAUGUGUAUUGAGACAUCUUCAAAAACCAAGAUUAAAACAAACACAAACAGCACAGAAUUUAUGCCAUCCAAUCAAACCCUAUCUACAUUAAAAUUAAUGGAUGAGAGAGAGAGAGAGAGAGAGAAGAGAGAGUAGAAGACAUGAUGAUCAAAAUCCAACAUGACUACAAAUUUACAGGAAAUUCACCUUGAAAAUUGAAACUCAUAACCCUGCACAGUGCCCUGUUGUUUUGCUCGAAAAGGGGCCCCUAGAUAGAACUAAUUAACCAGAUGGUGGACCGGUAGUUGUCUAAAAGGGUGGCCGAGGGUGCUUCUAAUAAGAAAGGUAAGAUUGUAAGAAGAAGCAGAGAGAGAGAGAGAGAGAGAGAGAGAGAGGGGGCAAUAUUAAUAUAUAUACAUACAUUCAUCUGCGUAAGCAGUUAUCAACAACACCAUGUUUUUCUGGUGCUGCCAUGGUCAUCAUUAAUUUUAAGGCAGUUACACCGUAAAGAAGAUGGAUUGAUGUAUGAUCAGUGCAUGAUUAAAUCCUGGAGUGGAGGGCAUGCAUGAUGCAUAUACAACAUUUCAUUCAUAUUUGAGUGUUGCGGCAUUGCUGUCUAUUCUUCUAGCUUCCUUCGUUUUCAGUCCAGUUUUUGUUUGCAUUGUCAUUUAAUUUCCACAAGACCAACAGCAACAAACAUCUUUACCCCCGCAUGUACCCAACUCCAUAUAUAUGCAAUGCAUACAACAUCUUUAAUUCUCCUUUCCUUUUAUUGGUCAGAUGCAAAAUAUUCCAUGUUAUCACCCAAAAAACAAAUUAUUCGAUGCAUAUAUAUAGCAAUUAAUCCUAUUACCAUAGUCCCAUGGCUUAAUUGCAUAUAUUUGAUAGACAUUAUGGCUUGGCUCCUUAAGUUUCAACAAAGAAAAAAAUAUUUUAAAAAAUUUGAAACGUGUCAAAAUCACAUUGACUGUAAGGAGGAGCUCCAACUCAAUUUUAAGGAGCCAAGCUUUUCCCUUUGACAAAAGACUUAUCUAUACAGUUGUUUUUUUUUUUUCUCUUUGAAAAUGUGUGACAGACAGAAGAAGGGUAUUGAAGACGGAAGAAGGAGACAUGCAUGCUAUCUUGACUUGACCUACAUUGCUCAAUUUAUUUCCUUAGAAGCAAUUAAUAAAUGAAAAGAUGCCGGAAAAGAAGGAGAAAAGUAGAAAUAGCUAUUAUUUACCCCUUCCUCUUUUCAUACCCCAACAAAAUUUGUAAGCAAGAAGAAGUACUUUAUAAUUUUGUAUUGCUAGUUAGAAUCACCCCAAUAUAUAUAAACCCAUCAUCCUCAGCCACCCUUUUAGAGAUGCCCUUUUUUUCGUAUUAAUUAACAAGUAGACAGUGACACUCUUUACAACUCUGCUUUCUUUUUCUUUUCUUUUAUAUACCAUUUCCAUGGUCGGAAGGACUCGGAGGUCCAUUGUGUUUGUACGUAUUUAGGCUUCUCUUUUUCUUAACGACGAUUUGAUCGUAUUUGCUUUCUUUCCCUAUACUAUCAAAAUCUCAAUUCUAUGAAGGGAGAAUUUAAGAUCACUGGAUUAGUGCACUAAAGAACAAAUUAUCUUUAAUUCAGUUUUAAACAUUAUCCCUCGGUUUUGGGAAAACAAGCUUAUCAUUCCAUUUGCAAAAUUUGGAUGUCGUUCGUUUCGUUAAUUAUGGGUAUAUCUCCUUGCUUACUUAAUUAUUAUGUGAAAAGCAAAGUCAUCAUCCAUCAACAGUACUAGCUGAAACUUAUGUUUUUACUGGAACAUUUUGACAAUUGUAAAGCAGCUAGAAAGAAAGUCCGAGAAUAGGUUUUCUGAUUAAUUACUGCCUUAUCAUUGCUAUGAAAUUUUCACUGUUAAUUAUUCCAGCCAACAGUUAAUCUAGUCUUAGAUCCACUGCUUGCCGACAUGGUUAGUUAAGACAUACUUUUUUUGUUUUUAUAGAGAGAUAUAUACUGUACACAUGAUAGGAUGCAACAACCAAAAUUAUAAAUGCGUGGUCAAAAAAUAAACUUGUUUGUUUGUAACAAUGUUCUAUAUCUAGUACUUUUAUUCGGAGAAAUUCUAAAAUUGUAUUUAUAUUUGAUUAAAAAAAUCACUAACCACAAAAGACCAUUACAAUAACGAAACGAUCUACCUUUCUAAUUUAUGCUGUCAUACGGUCCACACCCCCAAGAUACCACCUAGCUAAGUAAGAGCAAUAGCAGUUGUUGAGAGAGAGAGAGAGAGAGAGAGAGAGAGAGAGAGAGAGAGUAAUUCUUUUUGCAUAUGGAAUUUUUGUUGGUUUUCUGAGUGAGUGGAAGGCAUGCAUUAACUGUUACUAUUACUUGUGACAGGAAUAAAGCAGUUUCCCAUGUGAAGAUUAACAUGGGCCAAAUAUAUAUCAGCUAUUAAUAAUUGCGGAUCAAGUCAUGGCGAAAUAUUACUACUUCAUGAUGAUGAUGAUUAUUAUUAUUUUAUAAUUUACGAUGGAAUUAAAGAAAUUUUGUUGAUAAAACGAAGUACCUAAUUAUGACUCAAAGAAUUACGUAGUAGGGUGUCCUGAAUAAAAUUAAAGGCGCCUCAAAUCAAAUAAAGAUGUCCACAUUAUUACUCAAGAAGAUGAAGAAAAAUCACAUACGCGCACUCGGAAAGGAUAAGUAUUUUGAGGUAUUUUUAAAUUGAUGAAAUGAAAAGACUCAUAACGCCAUUUCGGCUAAAUCGUUAAUACCACACCGAUUAAACUAAUUUGAAGCAUUGAAUGCCUUAAAAUUUUCACCUUUUCAAUGUAGUAGACUUGCCUCAUCUCACUUAAUUAAUUAGUUAAAAUUAAGACAUGGGCAUAUAUAGGGCCUUGUAACUCUCGUUGUGUAGCAGUCGAGGACAGGUUUAAAUAUCGACAUAUGGUGAAUGCAUUAAAGAGGAGAGGAUUAGAAAAAUGAAAUAAUCCUCUCAGGUAAACGAUAUCCGGGCCAGAGCAAUGAUUUGUUUAAUUAUUAAUUAUAUAUGUUAAGGAGAAACGGAAGCUUAAUUAGUUGAUUUGGCCUAGGUUUGUGAGAUUGUUAGUAUAAUAAUAUUGUACUAGGCACUACUAGCUAGUGAAUGAGACCGUAGAGUGUGAAGAAGAAGAAGAAGAAGAAGAAGAAGAAUAAUAAGGAGGAGGAGGUGAUGUGGGGAUAACAUCUCUAAUAUUAAUAAUACAGGCAAAAUGGUAGACAAAGUUGUUGGAGGAUUAGAAGGGAAUAUUUGGGAGGAUGAAAAGGAAUAUAAGAAAGAAAGUAUAACAAAGGUAUGUGGAAAUAGGGUUUACGAUGACAACCAUAUGAAAGCAAACAAACAACACUUUAGAGGGUCCUCAUAUAAUUUUCUUUAGGUCAAUGGGUCCACCUAAUUAAUCAAUAUUUCUUGACUAUUACACCCACCCCGAGUGCGAGUACUUCAUUCAAUUUAUUUUUUAUUUUUUAUUUUAUUUUUUUGCCAUGCUACAGUACGAAUAUGGAUCACCCUGCUGCAUUAUUGCUAUUUUAACUCUUCUACGAUGCACCGACACGUGCCAACCAUCACAAACACGUUUUUGCGAAGCGAUUAAAUGAAAAGGAAUUAUUGAGAAAGCAGGUUGGGCGUACAUGAUGAUAGGAUAUAUACCAUGCAUAUACCACAGAAUUUUGUGUAUUGUUACUGUCUGUUUGUAUCUCUCCUUUUGCUUGUUUUAUGCUGUUUGCUUGUAGCUUUCUUUUGCUUGGAUACAAUCCAUAAACAAUUGACAAGAGCUCGUGUGGUGCCUUGAGUAAUUCUUAAUUUGAAUCCUCAUUAAACAUUAAAGUUAAUAAUUAAUUAAUGAUCUAAUCAUUUAGAGCUUUCUACAUAUAUAAUGUAGUCAGAAACAGAAACAGAAGCAGAAACCAACUAAGUACAUGGUUUUGGUAUUCUAAUUAAUAUAAGCAUCUUUUUCAUACAUGCUAACUAACAUGCCUAUCCACUUUCGUACCUUUACAAUUAAGGUUUUAUAUAUGGCCUUUUUCUGUGCAUAUAUUAUAUUUUACAUCAAAUAUGUAUUAAUAAUGUAUGUUAGUGUUAAGAAUGAUUGUGUACUUUUACCAUGGCAGCAGAGAAUGGUAAAAGGAAAUUAACUCACCUAGAUGGCAUUGACAAUGGAAUAAAACAACAUAUACUGGUAAUUUAACUCAUGCGACAUGCAUGCAGUGGGUCAAUGUAAUUGUAUUGUCAAUUUCAAUUGUGUAGCAGCAGGAGAGAGAGAGAGAGUUAGAAGGAGGGUAUAUAUAUAGCGAAGAGGGUGGGGGAAAAGGAAUUAUAGAUUUGUCGCUAUAUCUCUCUCCUCUUUAUUUUUUUUUUAAACCCGUCGUCUCCGGGGAAGGAGAUGGAAAAAAUAACACAAAAUAUAUGUAAAAAGAAAGAAAAUUUGCACAAAAAGCCCUUUGUUGCUGUUGCUGCUGUUUUGCGUGUAUUGAGUGAGUGGAUUGACUAGAAGAGAGAGAGAGAGAGAGAGAGAGACAGGCUUUGUUGGAGUGUCAUUUUCCUAUAUAUACUCUCGAGGCAUUAGAAACUCAGACCCACAUCAUCUCUCCUUAUUAUUCCCAAUAUCCUCUCCUCUCCUCUCCCUCUCCACCAUUUUCUUUUUCUAUUAUUAAUUAUUUGUUUUUAUUUAGCAAAAUACCACACACCUCUCUCUCUCUCUCCUUCUCUCCUUCUCUCCUUCUCUCCUGGUGAGGAUGUCUGUUUCUUGAGGAAGAGAAAAGUCUUCCCUUUUUUUUUUUUCCAUUUAGCCUUUGUUUCUUUGUUUCUUUGUUUCUUUACAGCACACUCUCUCACUUUCUUUCUCUCCCUUUCUUUUUUGUUCUCAGUUUUCAUUUGAAGCAUACUAAACCCUUGUUUUCUUUGUCAUCCAUGUUAGGGAGCAAAAUCACCAUCAUGAGUAGUCUCUCAUAAUAUUCUCUUUCUUUCUUGUUGUUAUACAUAUAUGUGUGUCUGUGUCUGUGUUUUUAUUUUUGAAGCAAACUGAUGGAUGAAAUCAAAGAAUACAAUCACAUACUGUAUGUCGGUGAGUGUGUUGUUUAGGUUCUGAAAUUUGUCAGUAGGAGAAGAAGUGGGUUAUUGAGAGAGAUAGCUGGAGCACUUUGUAGCUGUAGAGGCAGCUGCUGGGAAUAAAUAAAGACCUUCUUCUCUUUUUUUGUUUUAGUUUUUUUACAAAAAUGCCUCAUGAAAAAGGGAUUUCAGAGGCUGCAGGCAGCUGCCGCUUAUCUUUGAAUCCGAUUCCUGAUCUUUCACUGCACAUAAGCCCUCCAAACGCAAACACAAACAAAAACGCAAACAGUGCUCCCUCCUCCAUUUGCACUGACCAAAGCACAAACGAAGCACCUAAUCAUCACGAAUCCGGCAGCUGCUUCGACAUAUGGUGCAGAGACAUGGACGGCGAUGGCCUGAUUAACAAAUCGCACAGUGACAGUUGUGUUAGAAGAGGCAGCUGCAGUCUAGUCGCAGCAGCUGAUCAUGACACUGAGCUCUCUCUUGCAAAUCCCACAGCUUCGGAGGCUGAGAGCCGCUGGAGAAAAAACUAUUUCAACACCCGGGGAGGCGGCGGAGAGGGUCGUCGUCAUCAUCUUCAUCACCAUGAAGAAGAAGAAGAAGCAAAGACCAGUAUAAGUCAUGGGUUUUCGAUGCUGGAUGUAGCGGAGAGGCUCAAACCCAUCAAAGGAAUUCCAGUUUACAACUGUCCUCCUACUAAUUGCUCCUUUCCUCCAAACUUGGAGGACCAAUCUCACUACUCAAGAGUGGACCGAGAUCAGAGGGAUGAUUUUGAUUCUAACAAGUUGCGCUUGUAUCUGUCUAAUUCCUUGAGGCCUGCUGCACCGGCUGCAAAUUCAUGUAGUGGUAUGGGAAUGGGAAUGGGAAUGGGCUUUGAAUCCGCCAUGUCCCGGACGUUUAACGGGAUGACCAUGGACAGUCUAAGUCAACGACAACACUACUUUCCGUCGUAUAACUUGAAUCAUUUGCAGCAGCAGCAGCAGCAGCAAUGCAGUGUUGGUGGUGUUAGUGGAGGUGCAAAUUACAGUUAUAAUUAUAAUUCGGAUUUGCCCUCUAAUGGAUUCAUCAUGAGAUCGAGAUUUACGCCGACUAAGCUAUCUCAGAAUAUCAACAAGAGGAACAUGAGGGCGCCAAGAAUGCGCUGGACUACUUCCCUCCAUGCCCGUUUUGUUCACGCUGUCGAGCUCCUUGGCGGCCAUGAAAGUCAGCCCCUCCCCUCCCCUCUCCUCUAUCUAAUUCAUUUCAUUCUCAUUAUAUCAUUAUUUCAUUUAGUUGGAAUUAAAUUAUAUGCAAUAAUAUAUAUAUAUAUAUAUAUAUAUAUAGGUGUUGAAAACUUCUGUGGGAAUUCUUCAACAUUUUGUAAGUAGUCUUGUAAUUAAUUAAUUGGUCAUUUCGGUGUAGGGGCUACUCCAAAGUCAGUGUUGGAGCUCAUGGAUGUCAAGGAUCUCACACUUGCUCAUGUUAAGAGCCAUUUGCAGGUACAACGCUAGCUAGCUACAGCUGAGGCUGGAGCUGAUUGAAUUUUUUUGUAUAUAUUUUAAAAUAAAACAGCACUUUAAAAAUCAAUAUCUUUGAAUAUGUAUCGACCACAUUGAUCAGAUUUCAGAUUCAAAUACCUAAUUUCUCUCUUAAUUUUUGUCUCUCUCUUUCUCUCUGUAUGUCAAUUUGUGUUUGACAACGUACUAUACUGUGUGAGGGGGUGGGUGUGGUGAAGAAGGCAGCAGACUUGAGGCUUGAGACUUUGGGUAGGAAAGGGGCACAGUAGCCAAGGAAGGGAAGGGAAGGGAAGGGAUAGAGAGGAGAGUACACUAGACUACUAGUACUAGUGAUGAAUUAAUAAUAAAUAAUAAUAUUAUGCUUACUGAUGAGAUGAAUGAAUGAAUGAAUGAAAGGAAAUGGAUGAAUGAGAUGAACAGUGGAGUCUGUUUCUGUUCCUUUUUUCUUUCUUGUGUUCUUGUGUUCUUGUGUUGUGUGUGUGAUAUUACUACCGAUACAUAGAGAUACAGGACAACUUCUGCUUUUAGACUGAGAGAGAGAAAGAGAGACAAACAGAGAAAGAGAGAGAAAGUAGCCAUCAUUUCUCAAUAAUACAAAGCAUUUACUGACCUUACCAAACAUCAACCUCGUGGUUAUUAAACUACUGAACAAAAAUCCACAAAGCCAACCAGCAGCAUCUGCAUCUGAUUUCUUUAUUUUUUUUAAUUUUUUUAAUUUCUUGCUUUUGACUGACCCUUUCUUUCUUUCUAUAAUUAUUUUAAUUAGUUAUUUUUCUCAUAUGAUAUAUCCUUGUUUUUAUAUAUAUAAUGAUAUAUAUAUAUAUAUAUAUAUAUCUCUUUCUCUUUUGCUUUUGCAGAUGUACAGAACUGUAAAGAACACUGACAAACCUCUAGGUUCCUCAGGUAAUAAUUCCUAUUGCUUAAUCCCCAGCUGCUCUUGUUAAUAUCAGAUUAAUUAUUACUUUGAAUUUUCAAAUUAAAUUCCUUCCGUUUUGUGCGUCGGAACAUACUGUUUGUACGAGAAUAAAGAAUUCAAAUUGAGCACACACAAAAGACAAUGUGUUUUCAAUAUCUUCUUUUCAUUUACUUUUAUUUUAGUUUUUGGGUGACCAGAAAGAAAAAGAAAAGCAAAAAAAUCAUGAAUAAUUUUGGUGGCUUAAUUUAAUUAUAUAUGUAUAUAGAUGGAUCUGGUGAUGAAGAUCUUUUGUCCACAACAACAACACAUCAUCAUAAUUCAAGUGCCUUACUUAACCAAAGAGGAGCCUCAAAUUUAGAGCACGAUAUGGAACACCACCACCACCCUUCUUCUAACAAUCUGUGGGGCAAUUCUUCCAGGUAUAAUUAUUUAUUUAUUUAACUCUCUCUCUCUCUCCCUCUCUCUAACUGGGUUCAUCGAUUUGUGUUAUUAUUGGUUGGUCGUACUUUUUCGAGUUUCCGUUGUCUUUCUUCUCCUAUCAUAUAUGUAUAUAUAUGCAUGGGUAGCUUUUCCUUGAGAAAUCAGAAUCCACGUCCUCCCUUUCUCUGAUACUAAAAAGUGCUUCCUUUUACAGCUUUUGCUUUCCGUUUGUUUCCUUUUUUCUUUCUCUUCCUCCUGAUUAUCGAUGUGGUGGCCUCGUUCUUGCAUCACUUAACUUGCACAUGUUAAAGAAAAAAUAAAGUAAAAAUCUGGAAACUAAUUCAGCAUGGAAAGUUGAAUGCAAAAGCACUAUACGUACACAUUUCCACUUUUCUUUUAUUUUUUAUUUGAAGAGAUUGCUUGCUUCUCUCUAAUUAGUAAGGAAAUUAGGCACUUGGUGACCAUAUAACUUAAUCCAAUUAAUUGCUUCUUCUUCUCUGACCUUGAUAUAUUUUUAUACUAAGACAGACAGUCAUUACUUAAUCUAAUUCAGUCAUCCAUUAUCCCUGUUAGCUAGUUACCAUGCAUGCAACCACUCUUGAAAUAAACCAACAGAGGAAAAAAAAACUGUUAAUGCAUUUUACCAAAAAGAUCUUAACUAUAUCAUAACUUCCGUUGAAUGAAAUCCCCUAAUUGCUCUAUCCUUUGUUUGUUCCAAUAUUGAUGCAGGUAUGAUCUUCAUUUGUGAUGUGCAUCAAGUCUGAAUUCGUACGUAGAAGUUGAUUAGGAAUUUAGAACCUACACGCAGAUCACUUUUGGAAGGAAAAUUACUACUUAUAGUUUAUGAAAAAUGAACAUUGCAGUAGAGGAGCAUGGCUGCAAGCCGGUUCAAUGGAUCGAAAUGGGCUUAGACCAGAAAUGGUCUCUCACCAUUCAAUUAUUUCCAGAAUCCAAUUUAAGGUAGUGAGCUGAAAUUAGAUCCGAUACUUGUUGCUUGCGUGAAACCUUUCAUAUAAGUUUUUCCUUAAAUUUUCAUGGAAUUGUCUUAUGGAUUUUAAGAAAGACAUAGUCAAGGCUAGUGAUACCUGAUCAAGUGUGCAACUUUAUGCAAUAUGUAUGAUCCUUUUGUAUGUCUAUACAUACACAUGUAUUGGUAAAUUGAGUAGAUCAUCAUGAUCAAGUGUACAACUUUAUGCACUAUUAUGAUCCUCUCUAUCAAUUGUACGUGUCACGUCCAUGUCAAGACGCAAGGGUUUAGGCUCAACUUUUGCAGGGAAGCGAUUUUGCACAAUCAAAAAGUUUUAUAGACCUGAAAAAUCCAAGCUUGGAGUUCACCGGUUUGGCACAGCAAGGAACAUGAGUAAAUUAUCAAGUUAGGCCGAAAUGCCUCAUCGCUAGUGAGUCCUAUAUAAAGAAAAAAGAACACAUGGCCGCAAAAAUAUUAAUUAGUUCCAUGCAUGUCUGUGUGUAUUCUCUUUAAUUUGGGACAAAGUUGCUGUUGAUGGUGAUGUGUGAUGUUUUGCCAUUGCGUACAAGUCAUGGAUGAAUCAAAAGUUAAAAGUAGAGAGAAAAAGAAGAAAGAAAGAUGGAAUCAGUAGUUUUAGUGGAGCAUUAUCUGCUGGUUUAUAUUCUCUCUUUUCCUCUCUCCCUCUUUCCCUCAAUUACAUUUUCCCAAACAACCUUUUUUUUCUUUCCAUAAUCUAUUUUUAAUGUGGGAUCGUCUUUAAGUGACUAGCGUGUGAAAGCUUGACUUUGUAAUCUAGCUUUCUUUGUGUCUUUAUGUAGUACGUUCAUUUGUUUUGUUAGAUUUGGAGCCUGAUUUGCCUCCCAAAAAAAGCUAAAAAGCACUGCCUGUUGAUUCUUGAUUAGGUGGGGAAUAUUUACAUAACAUAUAUGAGCUUACUUUAACAAGCAAACCCACAUGCAUAUCUACUUAUCAAGGACCAUUAAUUUGUUCAUGCAUGCAUUAUUAUACAACUUGUGCUCCUUAACCAAAUCUUAUUUAUAUUUCAGCUGUAAUUGGUUAAUUACUUAUAUAAUCUACUUUUAAUUAGCUCUUGAUUGAUUCUACUUCGCCCGAUACCGUACGUGACUGAGACGAUUUUAAUUAUUUGGUGGAUUAAAAUAUGAUUAGUUCUUACAACUAGCUAGGUGAAUAUUACCGUAUAUACUUUAAACCCCAAAACUUAUAUUUCAAUCAUACACUUCAAGAGGGAGGAAAUUCCAAAACAUAUUAGACCCAAGGAGCCACUAGCAGCCAUGUCUUUAACCUAAUUAACUUGACAGAACAAGAAUUAAGACAUAUAUAUUCAAAUGGACCUAUACAAGUGAUGUUGGAAGAGGAAGAGGGAUACAACCUUGGGCCUGGGGGCAGCGUUGGGUUUGGGCAUUCAACUAGAAUGAAUUAGGUUCGGUAGUCUUCAAGUCUUGCAGGAAGCCGGCAGUGGGCGGCCCGAUCUCAAGAGGCCGACCCAACUCUACCUGACCAAAUAGUAGACAGUUUACAGGUGUCAACAGCUGACUGACUCAGCCCAGACCCUUUCUCCUCAAAGGUCGCCACGUAGCACCGGAAAACGUAAGCAAUUGCGCACCAGUCCGUCUCCACGUGAUUGUAUGACCAUUUCAAACCAGACAAAACCCCCACGUUGCCGCAUAUCCAACACGUGUCCGUCUCCUAUCGAGACAGGUGUCACAUACACAUUGUAUACAACUAUACAUUAUUCUGGAGUGACACGUGUCGCAAUGAGAAAACCCCGGUAGAAGAUUGGGUAGGAACGCCAAUUGCUGACGGUCUUAUCCUAUGCUUCUCUGCUCCAGUCAAAUAAAGGAAAAUUCUGUGGUGCAUCAGCUGUACCGGUACAGCCGGCUAUCCAACGGUUGAGGUUUCAUGUUAAAAAAGGAUGGCUGAGAUUGAAUGACUUAAUGACCUGCUCAGCCUUUGUGAUUCAGCAUGUGAGUGGCAUGUGAGGAAAGAGAAAGGCAGGUUUGGAGGAGAAGAAGAUGCGCCCAGUCCGCUCCAUUCUGGUUUCCCAAAUCGAACACAACAUAGGGAACUAGAGGACUCUGUGAGACCCGAUUUCAUGUCUGAGUUCGUCUAUGGAUACUGAGUUUUCGGAGCAGUAGAGACUCGGGCUCACUUGGCCUUUAAUCUGAAGUGAAGGGGGGCUUACAGAAGUCACAGCAGCAGAGGAAACUGUACAUGAAGCCCAUCCAAUCCGUAGCGCCUCCAGGAGCUGUUGUCUGUGCUUGCCCAAAUCCAAUCCUUAGCAACUCCAGUCUGGGCUUGGGCAAAACGCAUCUGCAAGAAGGUAAUGGUAAUAGAAUUGAGGUCCUCAACUCUUCUCUGUAGUUGCCCAAAACUGAUAUGCAGAUACCAAAUUGAUGGUGGGUCCAACCUCCAUGAUGAAAUGGUCACCAAAGUGGAGGGAUUUAAGUAAUUUAGUAUGGGCAGUUGGCAUUGUCUGAUAUAUAAUUAAAAUUUUGCAGGGGAAUGGAUUUGUAAUAAUAACGUGGUUGUAAAGAUUUUGAAGAUCCUUGGCUGUUAAGGACGAAAUUUGAGGUGGUGGCAAAAGGAAGUGAAAGGAGGAGGCUUUGAAAGUAUGGAAACAUCAAGUAAGAUUUGAAAGAACCCUAUUUUCUGGUUUAGGACUUGAAUGUAUUUUGGGUACUGAGUUGAUGCAAUUGCAUGUUUUGGUUGCGAAACAGUUAUACGUGGUGCAAUUAUUGACCUUAGGAUGUGCAAUAGCAUGACAUUAUUCAUUUGAGUUUUUUUUAAAGAGAAAGUAUGUUACCACAUAGAGUAUAAUGUAAUUUAAGUUUGAAAUUAUGUUUCUCAGGCAUGGAGAGGUCUGGUAAGAUGGACAGGGGUGGAGAGACAUCAAAGGGUGGUUGUAGUGAUUCAGGGUAUUUGGGUGGUUGUGAAAGGUCAAGUCACAGGGCACCGGCAACAGAGAGUGGGCAUAUGUCGGUCGAACAUAUGGUUAGUGAAAGUAGUGAUGAUAAUGUUGUUGACAUUAUUGCACCGAGGAAAGAAGAUGUUAUGGGGAAAGAGUUUAAAACGAUAGAAUUAGCGGAAGAAUAUUAUAUGAGUUAUGCAAAGGGCAUUGGAUUUAGUGUGAGAAAAGACAAAUUGGUUAGAAAUUCGGAAGGGAAAGUAUGCAGGAGACGGUGGUGUUGUUCUAAAGAAGGUUUGAGAAAUGAGAAGUUUAAUGAGCGAUCAGAUAGGAUUCGACCACCGAAGCCAAUUACAAGAGAGAAUUGUUCUGCCCAUUUUUGGGUGGGUUAUGAGAAGAAAAGUGAUGUUUACGUUGUUACGAAUUUUGAACCACAUCACAAUCACCAACUAGUUACUCCACUUGAAUCGCCAUAUCUCCGAUGUAAUCGGGUCGUUCGAAGUUCUGAUUUAGCACAAGCAGUGGGAAUGCGAAGAGCAUUGUUUAGAACAUGUCAAACAUAUGAGUAUAUGGUCGACCAAUGUGGUGGGUAUUUAAAUGUUGGUUUUCAAAUAAAGGAUCUGUACAAUAAGUUGGAUGCAUCACGCAGGGAAAUUUUGCUCGACGGUGACACAGAAGCUGCACUCUCUUACUUGAAAGCGAAAGGAGCAAUGGAUCCAGAAUUCUUUUGUAAGUUCAGUGUUGACGAGGAAAAUAGGCUUCGUAAUUUGUUUUGGAGGGACUCCACUUCACUGUUGGAUUACAUUGCCUAUGGCGAUGUCCUCAUAUUUGACAGCACGUACAAAACAAAUGUUUAUGACAAGCCCCUAGUGUUGUUUGUCGGUUCGAACAACUACCGUUCGACUGUAAUGUUUGGUUGCGCAUUAUUGCAGGACGAGACAUUUGAAACUUACAAGUGGUUAUUGGAAACAUUCAUGGCAUCCAUGAAAGAUAAGAAGCCAAUAUCAAUAUUGACGGAUGGCGAUGAGGCGAUGCGUAAAGCUAUUGAUGAUGUGUUUCCCAUGUCUAACCAUCGGUUGUGCUCAUGGCAUGUGUCAAGGAAUGCGCAAAGUAACUUGAAGGAUGAUGAAUUGCUUAGAAAUUUUCAGGCAUGUCUUUGGGAACCAUUUGCAUUGGACGAGUUUGAGAAGAAAUGGGAGGUUCUGAGGGAAAGAGUGAGUACUCCGAAACAAAAAGAAUGGUUGGAAAUGAUGUAUGCAAAAAGAGACGCAUGGGCUGAAUCAUGUCUGAGAGGACAGUUUUUCGGUGGUAUGUGCACCACUCAACGCGUGGAGUCCAUGAACAAGUAUGUUAAAGAUUACUUGAGGAAAGGCGUGAAGUUGUUUGAAUGUAUUCCAGCAAUUGAUAGGGCUAUAUUACGUCUUAGGAAUACCACGGCGAAGGAAGGUUUCAAUGCAAAGUACUCAACACCAGUCCUUAAAACCGGAUUGACAAAACUCGAGCAACAAGCUUCUCUGAUUUACACGCAUAGGUGUUUUGUAUUGGUACGUCAUGAGAUCGAAGCUUGUUCAGCACUCACCCAUGAUAAUGUGAUGCAUAAUUUUGGAGGUCGUGUAUACGUAUUGUCAAAAUAUGAUGAACCGCAUAAUAAUUGGACUUGUAUUUACCACGGUGGGGAAAAUAUGCGGAUAGAGUGUGGAUGCCGGAAAUAUGAAAGUGAAGGAAUCCCGUGUUGCCACCUUUUUUAUGUAAUGAAGUGCGAGCACCUUACGGAAAUUCCUCCCGCACUCAUAAUGAAGAGAUGGACAAAGAAUGGCCAAACUGAUACAUGUAGGGAAUUUAUCGGCAAAGGCGAAGACACUACCAACGAAGUUGUACAAAUGGCGAGGUAUGGACAUUUAAGUGCUAUGUCAAACAAAGUUUGUUUUUUUGCAUCGAAGAGUGCAGAUGGUUAUGCCAUGUUGACGAAUGAGUUUAGUAGAUGGGAGGGAAUUUGUGAAGGCUUACGGCAAAAGGAAGAACAGACAAGUCUGAAAUUGGGUAGUGGUGAGCAAUGUCCUCCAAAUAUUGUGAAAGAUCCAAAUAUCGUUAGGACAAAAGGCACUCAAGCAAGGCAGGGUGGAAUGCGCAAGCGUCGACAAUGUCAUUUGUGUCGCGGAUAUGGACAUACAAAGCGUAAUUGCUCUCAAAGAAAUUUGCAUCCAAGUAGACAUGCAGGUGUGAAUAUCCCAUCAGGUAGUGAAGGAUAUCAGUAUACUUCUGAUAUCCGGCCGUUCCCGGACAUUAGCUACAGUUAUCCUAGUCAAAUGGUUUCUCAAUGCCAUGGGAACUAUGUGGUUGAUUUGCCUGGUUCUGAUAGUUUUUCUACUGCAGACCCAACCGGUUCUACCCCCAACAGUGAUGCUGCAAUUUAAGGCUGUCUGUGCGCAAACCCCUAAUUGUUCUGAAAAAUGAAUGAGACUAUUUUGUACAGGCCUAAUUACACCUGUUUGUUUAACUCUAAAUCGACGGUCGAAGUCAACCGAAAUACGGAGCAUGAGAAACGGUAAUGGCCAAUAAGGCGCUGUUCAUAUUUGUUCAGUUUGCACACAGGGGGUACGUAUUUGCAUGUAACACAUGCAAUUGCAUGAUGAUGCUGCAAUUUAAGGGUUUCUGUGCGCAAACCCCUAAUUGUUCGGAAAAAUGAAUGAGACUAUUUUGUACAGGCCUAAUUACACCUGUUUGUUUAACUCUAAAUCGAAGGUCGAAAUGAACCGAAAUACGGAGCAUCAGAAACGGUAAUGGGCAAUAAGCCUAACAUAUUAUAUUACAAAGAACCAAUUAUCUCAAUUACGUUGUACUACACAUUGUCAUGUAGCACAAAUGACUUGAGGGUAGAUCCCGAAUUUUGUUAACGUCCAAUUGGUCAUUAACCCUAAUAUUGGUUGCGCAUUAUUCAUACAGUAUGAGAAACAGUGAGGGGCAAUAAAGUAUACAUAUUAUAUUACAAAAUUUCCCAUUCAUUCGAACAAUUUAGUCAUAUCCUUAAUUUACUUCGUUGUCUUUCUCUUUGGGUUACGUGAACAAAGACUUUUCUCACCCUUGCGAUUUUCUUCUGUGGAGUGUUGUUUUGCAUCCGGCUUACCCUUAGAUGUGGCCCCCUCCUCAUGGCCAUCCUCUUCCUCAUCCUCAGACUCAUCCUCUUUCUCGUCCAACCAACCUUCGUCUUCAUCGUCCUCUUCAUCUUCCUCAUCUUGUUCCUGAUCUUCUUCCUCUUCCUCCUCAUCUUGUUCCUGAUCUUCUUCCUCUUCUUCCUCUCCUUCCUCUUGUUCUUCCUCUUCCUCAUCUUCUUCAUGCUCCUGUGGUAGCACAACUUUGGUCUUUCCUUUUCUACGUGUGUCGUGUUGCAUUUUUUUGCGAAACUCCUACAUACACAUGGUAACAUUGACAUAUAUAAAAUAUCAAUGUUGUUAAAUUUAGUUGUGCACACGAGUGAUGAUGGCUUACAGUGCAGAAUAUAACAUAAUAUUUAAACUAGCAAAAUGUAACAUCUUAUAAAUCAAAGUUUAGAAUGGAGGUAACAAGCUUACAUGUUCUGCAUCAUCAUCCACCACGUCUUCAGCAAGACCCGAACUUGCAAUGCCUGUUCCCGAUGUGUGCUUCAAUCUCUCCUAUUACAAUAUAAUACCGUUCAUGUUCAAUACCAUGGGCUGUUAUUUGAAUAUAACAUCCGUGAUGGUUGUUAAUUUUAAGAAAUCAGUACGAAAUUCAGCUGAAGUGACUCACAAUCUCUUCCCGUAGGCGCCUGAUCUCUGUGCUUGCUUCCAAUGCAGUUGAAAAUAGUACGGCAUUCAACCCAGCAUUCAGCUCCAAAAGCUCUGUUGCAGCUUCAGCAGUGACCUACAGGCAGACACAUGCAAUUACAACAAUCACCACAGCAAGCCAUCUUUUCAUAAUAAAUGACAUCUUCAAUGGAAGCUACUUACAUGCGUUACACCAUCAGGUAAUGGUAUAUCAGGGCAAUCUUGGCCACGGGGUAUCCGCACAACUUUACUUCCAUUUUGGUUGGCCCAACACGGUAUUCGCACUAACCAUGGCUGAGGAGAGAUGUGGGGAAGUACAUUGGCCCCUGCGGGAGUACUAUGUUGUGGUUCCUGUGCAAUUCAGGUAUCAUUUUAGAGUUAGGCAAAAUUAUAUGAAUUUCAUGCUGCAUGUGUCAGUAAAGAACACGUGUUUAGUGUAGAACGUACCGCAUCACGCAAGUCGUCGUAGUGGCGGUAACGUAUGUACUCAUCUCUGUAGUCAGCAUAGUCGGAUGAACGAGGAGCAACCCAUUCGGAAGCUGGAUACCCAUUUACUGCUUCCUCCACUUCUGACUCAUUACUGAGCUUAUAAUCGGCAAGCAUUGUCCUCGGUGGAAUUUUGGGUACUUGAGGUGAUGGGGUGCCUAAACUUUGCAUUGUUACGCGCUCGCCCAAAAACCAUGCUGAACCAGCUGGUCCCUCAAGGAGGAUUCGUUUCCGAGUUGCCGGCACGGUUUUUUUUACUUCUUCCGGCAGCUCGGAGUCAUUGGUCCCCCAAGGGUUCCAAUUUACCUGCAAUACAAAUUUGUUAUAUUUGUGUCAUAACUACAUGUUUAUGGUAAUAAAGCAAACGGUUCAAGAGUGAAGACUUUAUACCUGAUCAGUGGUUAGAUGUCGCAUCAUCACUCUAAAAGGUUCCAAGUGAUGCUGCAAGUCGCGUUUUGAUUUUGCACCAACCCACCUCAAAGUUCGGGGCCACGUGUUCACACUCCCACUUGGGCUUGAUAAAGCAAAUGGCUUUAGAUACUCACAAGCCCAUACCUACACAAAACAAGUAUACAAAUAAGUAAUUUAAGCACAGAACCCUGUUGCAGUUUGGGGACAUUAAGUUCGAUUAUACUAACCUCCCAUGCCCUCCAAUACCCGCCCAUGCUUGCUGACCUGCCCCUCGAACAAGAAUCCAUCGAUCUGUACAAGCACGCCAAAGCCGCCCCGCCCCAGUCAUAAUUACCAAUGUCGGACACUUUUUCCAAACUGGGGGCGUAGUGCAUACUCACGUAGUGGCUCUUAUCAUUUAGGAAAGAUGAGCCAAUCAAGCACAAUAUAAAAGCCCGUGCAAUUUGAUCAGCUUCUUUAUCAUCCUUCGGAUGCUUGUUCCAGUACGGGGUGCAAAGGCUGUCAUACGGCACUCUCCUCUCGCCUGCGAGUAGGUCAGCAAUGGGUUUCCCAAACAAUUUGACCACCUUGUUCUUAUUUUUGUACAUCUCGAAGUCGUACUGUAAACGCUUCCCACCAACACGCAAUCCUGUGAUUGCCGAGAAGUCCGUCGGGGUCAUUGUCAUCUCUCCAACUUCAUCGAAGUGGAAUGUGUGGGUAGUGUCCCACCACCUCUCAGCUAAGGCCACAAGUAAGGGCCUAUCCCCCUUCUUUCCAUGGCCCAAUAUCGACAAAAAGGGCAAAAAGCCGGCCUCUUGGACCUUUGCUUUCACCAUCUCGUGCAUUGCUGUGUUAUACCACAGAGCACACUUCUCGUUGUUUCCACACCCUCUAAUUUUUGUUAAAGUGAGCUACAUCAAACACAAAUUACUAAGUAUUCAGAAUAUGCUUGUCACCGGACUUAAUUAGACACUUUUCCAAACUCAGAAAUGCCAAUUGUAAAAUGAAAAACAAUACCUUGAAGGAGAUAUGUUCCUCCAAAUCCACGUGAAGCACGGGUGAACAAGGAUUGCGGCCCCUGGGUACGAACACACGUACACCGAAGACGCCACUACCCAUAGGACCCGAUAUUCGGGAUGCUGCCUUCCGUUUUUUGGAUGUUGAGGAAGCCACGGAAGAGGUACCUUUCGUACCCUUCGCAAGGGUGGUCUUUUGGGGCCGGGAACCUUGCUGAGAUGGUCCAACGUGAAUGGACUUUUUCGUCGUCCUCAUUGUUGCUUGGAAUCCUUCAUUAUUGAUUUGAUACAGAACAAUGAAACAGAUUAUAUAUCCCUCAACAUCAACCAAUACAGUACCUAUUCUGACGAAAAAUAGAACCCGAAGGUCAAUAUCACAUGCCAUCCAAGAAAAUACCAACCAGGGACUACAUUGCACUAGAAGGAUGCACAACAAAUAAUACCAACACACAUUGCUCCCUCAAAACCCACAAGCAUCAAUACCAUAUGAAACACUAUCAACAACAUAAAAGACACUGCAUGAAAAUCCACAAAUUAUUUCCAUAUGUAGUCUCCACAUUUAACUUUUGAUGUCAGUCUCCCUUCAUAAUUUAUAACAUAUGAGAAAUCAUCAUCAAAUAUCAAUAUGCAAGGGAUCACAUUUGAAAUAAGAGACUAACCGGAAUCGACUAAAGCCCCAACCUUCAAUCAACAGCUUCUCAGCGCCACCUUAGUCUUCACACCAAUAUCAACAGCUACGAAUUCACGUAAUAGGAAAUCCUCAACUUUCGCAGACCCUACGCUUCUCUGAAAAAAUGAAGGCCAACGCACAUGGAAUCAAAACGUACCCAUAAGAUGUUUUACGAAAACAUAACAACCCGGAAAUGUAAACGCUGCCAAUUUCAGUUUAAAUCGUUUGUGUACGUGAAAACACUCAAAGCAGACCGAACCCACUCUAGGAAAGAGUUCAAUGGCUUGGAUUCGGUCCCAUAUAACCAGACCCACAAUGGGAUUUGAAGGUAAAGCCGAAUUCUGGUUUGGAUACCCGAGAUUGGGAAAGUUCGGAGCUUUGUUAGGAUAUCCCUGGCCUUGUGGUUCCCACUGGUUAGUGUUUGCCUGUUCAUCGAAAGGCCUAGGAUCGGACGGCGGGGGCUGCUGCUGCGGAGGGGGCCUCUGGUACUCGUUUUGGACCGUAGAGGUGCUUAGGGUUUUGGCUAUGGUUAGGGUUUCUAAGUUGGUGAUGUUGAUGGCGAUGGUGUUGCUGCCGUGAGAGAAGGCAAAUUGAGAAAGAUGCAGAGGCCGUACCUUACAGAAUUAUAACAGUGCUGGGCUUGGUGCGCGUCGAAUCGCCAUGAGAGACGCCAUUUCCUUUGCCUCCCAGAGAGAUUGUAGGUGAAACCCGAAAAUGGUCUUGCGCUGCAUCCGUAUGAUGUUUCAGAAUUUUCCUUGGGUUUGAUCCACUGAGGUUCUAACUUGAAGAAUGCAAGGCCCGGGUCCUGUUCCCUUGGGCCAUUUUAAGCCCCUUCGAAGAGUCGGGUCACUUAUACAUUUGUAAGGAGAAAAUUGUCAAUUUGUCACAAGUGGGUUUCGGGUUUUCAGCCCCACAAUGGAUUGGGCUUUACUGUGAAAAUAUAAUUGGGUUUGGGCUUUCAUCAUCAACUUAGAACUCUCUACCUCUUUAGUAAUCUGUUUUGCCAUAAAACUAGAAACAAAAUUUAAGUAAAUGUCUUUGUCCUUUUACUUUCAUAUAUUUUGAUAUUACUCCAUUUACUGAAGUUUACAAUGUAAAUAAGGAAGUACCCCCAAUUUGGAUUCAAAUAAAAAUAUUAGAAAAUCAAAUCCCACCAAAUCAAAAUAUGAAAAAUCGGUUUUAGUGCAAAAUACGAUAUAGGCUAAAAAUGAUGCCUCAUUAAGUCAAUAUAUACUUCAUAUGAAAAUCCCAUAAAAUCAAGUUUUCUUAUAUGAUGUGUAAGGAAUAAAAGCCGCCAAAAAUUAUCUUGAGAAAAUGAUUAUUCCGAAAAACCAUUUUUCAUACUUAGCCAAUAUUGCACCUCCGCUAAAAAAAUUAUGGGUCCGCCCGUGUCUAUAAAUACCAACCAAUACUCUUCACUUUUAACACCAAAUCCUCAUAUUUUUUUUUUCUAUAAAUACCAACCAAUACAACUAAUAAAAUAAAAUCUGAUCCGAUAUGAAUAGUAUUAACACAUAGUAACCCAAAAAUCUUAUCCGAAAAUCUUAUCCAAAUUAAUUGUUUAAGUAAAAAAAAAGUUGUGAAAAAACAACAAAAUGAAUAGUACUUGCCCUUUGCCAUGGCAAUGGGUGGAAACACAAAAAACUAUUUGCAAGGGCAACCACUAUUCACCUGAAUAGUGGCUGCCCUAGCUCCCCCCUUGCCAUAGCUAAGGGCAAAUGGGUGGAGUUGCUCUUACAUUUAAAAAUUACUUGGGUUGCGCUGUAGGGAUAGUAAUAAUUGAGUUUGGGCUUUCUGGUUACAAUUGAAGGGGUUAGGAUUUAGGGUUUAUGCACUUGUAGUUACGGUUAUAAUUGAAGGGUUUGGGCUUUAUGGAGCGUACGAAUUGGUUUUGGGGUACAUGAUUAAAAUUCAAGUGUUUAGGGUUUGUGGUUUAUGCUUCAAAGUUAAAAUUGAAAUGGGUUGAGCUCACAGUUAAAAUUGAGUUGGGUGCAAAGGCUGUUAUGGAUCGUAUUAAUUGGGGUUGGCUUGUAGGGUUAAAAUUCAAGGGUUACUAUUUUAUUUUUGGAUUAACAGUUUUGAAUUUUGGUUGAGCUUUAUGGUUAACAUUGAAUUGGGUUUGGGCUUUUGGGGGCAAAGUAUGGUUUAUGUUAAUUUUGAAAUGGUGUUAAAAAAAAUGUAUGGCGGAGUGUAUUCCGAAUGGACAAUUGUACCCCUACAUGUUUCUAUAAAACAGCCUCUCAUGUCCAACCAAAUUUCGAGCAUAUUAUCAUACACACUCUAACGUAUCUAUCUUCACCAAAAGCAAGGAAAAAACGGGGUUAUUGUUCAACAAAACGGAAGGUUCGCUUUCGUUUGGAAAAAUUCAACGUCCCGCCGAAAAAGGGGGCCAACAAACCUACUCUGUCCAACCAACGGGCUAUUUAUUCAAACGAACGUCGUCCUUUCGUUCCUAAAGAAAAGUUAAACGUUCACCCAAACAAGCUCCCCAACCACUUUACUUUUUCAAACAAAUGAGCUACUAGUUUACAAGAACGCAACCAAUGCGUUUGUUGAGGAAAGGUAUCUGUUCGCCGAAACAAUAUACCAACGAACUUACUUUUUCAAACAAACGGGUUGUUUGUUCAUCUGAGCGCAAGUAAUUGGUUUGGUUCAUAAAAAGUUGACGUUCCACCGAAAACGGUUCCCACCAAAAGUACUUUUCAGAACCAACAGGGUAUUUAUUCAUAUGAACGCAUUACCUGUGUUCCUAGAGAAAAGCUCUCUGUUCGCGAAAAAAUCUCCCCAACGACCUUACUUUUUCAAAAAAAUGAGAAACUUUUUAAGACAAACGGUCGUAGUGGCGUUUGUUCAGGAAAGUUAUCUGUUGGCCGAAAAAAUAUACCAACGAACUAACUUUUUCAAACAAACGGGGUGUUUGUUCAUUCUAACGCAAGAGUUUGAUUUAGUUCAGAAAAAUUCGACGUUCCGGCGAAAAUGAAGGCCAACAAACUUACUUUUUCAAACCAACAGAGUAUUUCUUCAUACGAAUGCAGUACCUGCGUUCGUGGAGAAAAGUAACCCGUUUGACCAAAAAAUGCCCCAACUACCGCUCUUUUUCAAACAAAUGGGAAACUUUUUCAGUACUACGUAAAAUGUACGUUAGUUGAGGAAAGUUUUCUGUUCGCUGAAAAAAUAUACCCAACAACCCUACUCUUUCACACAAACGGGGUGUUUGUUAAGUGAACAUAAGGGUUGUGUUUGUUUAGUAAAGUUACCCAUUCCCACACAAAUGGGCCCCACUAGCGUACUUUUUCAAACAAACUAGGUGAGUCUUGAACCAAACAGAAGGGGGUGCGUUGGUUCAGAAAAAUCCCACGUUCCCCCGAAAAAGAACCCCAACAGAAAAAAAAAUUUAAACAAACGUUAUUUGUUUUCAUACUAACGCAAGGAGUUCGUUCAAUGACGAAAGUUACCUGUUCGACGGAAAAAUGGGUCCAACGAACUCACUUUUUCUAAUAAACGUGGUAUUUGUUCAAGUUAACGCAAAUGUUGCGUUCGUUGAGUAAAGUUGACCGUUCCCCGGAAAGAUGACCCCAACGAACUUACUUUUUCAAACAAACGAGGUAUGUGUUCAACAGAACUUAAUGGAGUGUCUUCGUUUAGGAAAAUUCGACGUUCCGCCGAAAAAGAAACCCCAGUCCAAACUACAAAACGACCAAGUACAAAGAACCAGGGUAAAAUGAAUGAUUAUUUAAGGACUUACUUCCUCUACAUUUCAACUCAAAGACUUCCACCUAUUUUGUACUUAAUCCAUUAUUGAAACACAAUCUGAGAGACAAAAACAGAAAACCCAUACAAUGUCCCAUUCAAUGGUUGGUAGCUCAAGAGGCUCCACCACACCUAAGAACAAGAGGGUGGGUGAUGAUGGUGUUAAUUCAUCGAAUUAUGUCCGCCAACAAGUCAAACGAGCCCAUGAUGUCACGAAGCCUCCCACCGAGGCUAGUAACAACAUCUUUGAUGAAGGAGAUUCAACGACCAAGUACGAGAUUUACAAUGGCGGGAUUGAGGUAGGCUUUGAGAUGUUUAGGAAAUACGCUAAGCUUGUUGAUGGUGGUUCAACUAAGUGGGACAAGAUCCAGGUAUACGAAGCAAUUGCUAUUUUGGAGAAGCGAGCUCCGUGAAACACCGGUAUUGUAUGAUGUAGCUGGUGUUGGUUGUCAUCAUUUCUGAUGUCAUUUCUGAUGUUAUAAUUUCAGCCAUAAUAUCGCAUGUUAAAUGUUAGAAUCGGUAUGGUUGAAUAGUUUUAGGGUAUAAAUUGUACAAAAAAAUAACCCCAACAUAUGGUUACGAGACCUUUAUUAUCAAUCUAGUAGGAACUCCUGUUUGGUAAAUGAAGUCGGGGCUUCAAUACCCUGCUAUCAUGUUCCCAUUGGGGCAACAAAAAAACAAGACACAUACCGUGGAUGAAUCUUCAAACAAGACACAUACCGUAGCAAACAAGUGAAACUAGGCGGUUCGAUCUAGUCAUGAAAUGUUUCUAUGUCGUCAAGAAAACCAAAAUACCAUUUCUAAGCGAAUAAUGGAAUUACAUCGUGUCAUGCAAUUGCACUUGCUAUACUACAAAAGCACCCUGACUGUGCGCAAAUAGGGAUAUAUACAUGCCAUUACACCUAAUUUGUACACUGUAAACCCUUAUCACCUACUGUCAAAAUGAAUCUACUUUGCCUGGGAGCGUGUUAUUGGCUUCCUUGCGAUGGGAUGAUGAGGGAUGAAGGGAUCCUUCUGUUCGACCAACUUGUCAAGUUGUUCGUCGACAACUCUUCGAGCGGACUCCCUUACUUCCUUUAGACGCCGGUUUCUUGGGUUCUUCAGCAACGAUAGUGCAAUGCGAACGCGCUCACUUGCAUGUUGAAACUGCAAAUAAAAAACAGCCCGUCAAAGAUAUGAUUAACAAAAAUAUCAGACAUUUGACAAAAGCAUGAAACGAUAUAUAUGCCGACUCACUUUAUUUGAACCGUGUGAUCUGCAUUCAAUGUCUUGUAGCCAAUUCAUAACGAACACACCACAAUCGCAUCCAUUUACUUGUCUACGGGCCUUGUCAGUUAGCACAAUGUUGAAUUUUGCAAACUGCCAUCCCUUUUCAAAAUAGUUGACAAUCUCCUCAUUGUAAAUGUGGUCCAACACUUUCAUCUACAACACAAUCAAUGCAAAUGAAUUCUUAGUCGGGUUGUUAGGACAAUAAAAAUACAAACGGACCAUUAGGUCAAUUAAACUUACAAUUCGUUCUGCUUGUUGAUAACGACCUGCGUUGUACUUAGGACCGGGGAGGCUAUCCCAUAUUUCAACUUUUUUAUCGCUAGGAAGCACCACAAUCAAAUACCAAUGACUCCCGAUUCGAUCAAAAACGGGAAUGAACAUCUAGCAGCACAAUGACUUACUUAGAAAAACAUGCGUAUACAAAAGCACACUAAAGAUGUUCUAAAUAACAACUUAAAUUCUUACCUUCUCGCACUUCUUAAGCCUUACGGUGAACCGAUUUGUGUUUUCCCUUCUCAGUUUGACAGCCAAUUCGAAAAGUUGACCAUCACUUGUAUUAUGAACUUGCUCCUACAUUCACAUAUACUGUAAGCGUAAAUUCAUUUACCAAAUGACAAACUAUAACAGGGUUCCAAUAUGAAUGCUUACCGCCAUAUAUGUGGGGAAGUACCAAUUCCUUGACCCCUUUUCUUCUAGAUAAUACACGUGUGCGUUGAGUACUCCAUCAUUAAUCCACUCUUCGGGCCUUAAGCACAUGAACUCACCUCUCGUGACAUGAUGUUUGUUUUCAAUUUGAAUUAUAAUUUCGCCACUACAACAGAAGAAGAAAGCAAUUCUUAUAAUUAAAUUCACGUGCGCAAGAACAUAUCAGGAAUUUGGUCAAUGGCAUAAUUCAACAUUUGUAAGUAGUUACCUUGAAAGGUUGUUAGACCUAAAAAUAUAACUAAAUAACUCUAAAUCGGAGUCUUCUAAGUCCCCGGGUUUUAAUUUGAAAGGCCCAAUUUUCAUCUUAGACGUCGUUGAAUGCACAACCUUUCCUUUUGCGGUUGACGGGUCAACCCAUGGCUCUCUACAAAGAACUCCUGGACGCCUUUCGGCCGUUCGACGUGUUUUAAUUCGAGUUUCAUCACCACGGGCCGGUUUUGUGAACUUCCUCUUUUCCACGCCAAUUUUCAACUGCGGAAAAGGGAAUUCGAAUAUUACAUUUACGAAAAACAAAAGUUAAGUAUUUUACAACUAUGUAAAUAAAUGCAUGCUUAAAAAAUCUAAAAGAUAACAACAAACUCGAUCUUCAAACUCCUAAUCGGUCAUAAUACCUCGGGUUCACUGAAACUCUGUCCAUCCGGUAAUAGCAUCCAAGUAUUGUUUACAUCAACUACACCUUUCUCCUUUAAUUUGCUAGCUUCUUCACCCUUCUUCUUCACAACACUCUCACCACCUUGAUCUCGUUCUUUCAGUGGACUGUCCUUAGUUUGAUUUACAUCUUCAUGUCCCGGAUGAAGAUGUUGUCUUGCGUCUUUAUUGAAGGAGCUCACUUGACUCAUUACCUUGUCAGUGAGUUCCAACAUUGACCGCUGGACCUCCGCCUGUAUUAUCGGCCCCAAAGUUAUAGCAAGUCCUUCAACUGAUCGCUUCACCUCGGCCUGUAUUAUUGGCGCCAAACUGACUGCAACUUCUUGAACAAUUCUUUCAAGGUUUACUCUCGACACUUCAUUCGUUGGACUGUGCUUUGAAACUACCCGAACGGUUGGACUAUCAAACCCACCUUGCUUUCUGACCCAUUUAAUCAUUUUCCACACCGACUUAUUGUCCCAUGACACAAUGGGAUCCAAAGACUUAUCAACAUAUACUCCACCAUGGAGAAUUGAAUCGAAAUACAGUAGUUGGAGAAAUAGUAGUGACCCAUUUACAUACGAAACUUUCUUUGCUUUGAACGACCUAAUACCUUCACAUAAGAAGUUGAAUCCAUGGUCGGCCCAGUUCUUAGUCUCUAUCUUCCCUGGGAUCGUCAAGAAAGUUAAAUAGUUCCCCGUCACUGAUGGUGAGGAGGUCGGGCAAAGUACAGUGCCAAGUGCGAACAUCACAAAUCGAACUUUAAAGUCCUCAUCGGCAUUUUCGCACUUUUCCAAUUGUUCAGCUAAAUCCCUUACUAAUACUCUCUUGCCAUUUCCACCGAAACUAUUCACUAACUCUUUCACCUUUUCAUCUUCUACCAGCCACUCAAGUUCAACAACCUCGCCGGUGUUCUUAAGACCCAUAACACGCCCAAACUCAACGGCACUUAUUCCAAUCACAUUGCCGUGCAGUUGUAUAGAAGACGUAUCAGGAUUGAACCUUUCAAUUAGAAAUUGGCAUAGUUCGCGGCGUAAACGAGUGCAACACAAAGAUGCCACUUUACCAAACCCAAUUUCAUUAAUUGCUAAGCGCUUCUGAUUCGACAAUUUUUCCACCGUCUGAUGGAAUCGAUCCGGGCUGCAUCUACUGGUAAAACCCUUCUCAUUCACUGACACGUUUACUUGCCCACUUGAUCCUUCUACUUGCCCACCCGAUAAAUCCAAGGCAGAGCCAUAUGUUGCCUUCUCUUGAGGGUUCAAAUUCCUCCAUUUAUUAGCAAUCUCUUCUUGUACCUGAAACAAAAAAAUUUCCUCAUUAAAAGACCCUAUUUAAUAAAAUAAUUACUAAACUGCCCAAUCCAUUGCCAUCUCUCACCUUUCUGUCCAACUUUGCAUUUGCCUCUUUCCCCAUUUCAUGUCGUUGUUUUUUCCUGUAAAUCAUUUAUUUUUAAUCAAUUAACCAUCACAAUAUUAAGCAACCACAUUUCCAAUUUUAAGAUGUACGCGUAACUUACAUGAAAUUAAAAAAUGCAUCUCGCCCAACUCUUGAUUGUUGCACAUUACUGUCGCCCUUGCGUUUUCCUUUUGCUGAUCCCCUUUUUUUAGCUUCCAUAACUUGCGCAAAUCAUGCACAACUUACUAUCAUGCAAUUGUCUGUAGCGUUGAGAAUUUGAAUACUAAUCCAAAGCCUAAUGCCCCCUAAACCCCGUAAGCACCACAACAUCACAUUGCUUAAUUAAAAACAUACGGGGACCUGGAUUUGCAUACAGUAGCUUAGUAAUUGCAUAUACUGAUAUGCAAUUGCUCGAUACUACUUGCAAGUGCAUCAGCCCUCGAUUAUUACAUUGCACAGAUAAUGCACACAACCCACCCAUGCAUUUCUCUAUUGGGUCGGGAUUCUUACUCAUUUCAAAUCCCAAUACAAAUCUUAACCAAUCCUCACAUUACACUUUCGGAACACUUUAAUCCCCAUAACAAAUUAUUCUAAACCACAGUCAAACCUACCUACCUACCACGAAAUCACCUGAGUUGCAUAAUUUGAAACAAAAACUAUAUACUGUCAUUGCAUUCAAUGACUUGGAUUUGCAUACAGGCUAUUAGUAAUUGCAUACAGAGAUAUGCAAUUGCAUGAACAUUACAGCCAUCAAUGUCAGAUACCCACUUCACCUCACGCCACUUUCAGAAUCACAAACCCACCACAAUUAAAUCAUACACAAUCAGAGGCCUCAUGGGUAUUUAUAUAUACAAUCAGAUCAAGAGGCACUAUAACAACCCAGCAGAAAUGCAGAGUGGGAAAAGAAAUACAAAAUUUGAAUCAUUAAUUUCUGGAAUUGUUCAAUGAAAAAACUGAAACAACAAUUCAAAAUCACUAGAAGAAUAAAUUAAAUAGAACCAUCAAUUACACAUAACGAAAAUCAACACACGAACUUACUGAGAUGGAGGAAGCAGCUGGAGAAGACGAAGUGGGUUUCUGGGUUUUGGCUGAAAUCUGCUCCUCAGAUGGAGAAGACGAAGUGGGGGGAGCUUCUUCAGGCUGUAGGAAGCUGUGCAGCUAUGAAUUCACCGAAAUAGAGCUGUGGCUGUGCAAAGCUAUGGAGGAGGAGAUAGACGAAAUCGAUCUGUGUGCAGCCUAGGUUUUGAACGAGCGGGAGUUUUUAUUUUCCUUAGUUUAACUGGUUAACCAAAAGAACCGGUUUUCAUUGUUUUUUAAAAAAGGGCACGUGAUGGGCUGUACAGGUACACCCGGCGCACCACAGACAAACUCUCAAAUAAAAGCCAUCCAAGGAAGGAAAAGAGAAAGGAAGAUGGACCGAAUCACGAAAUUUAAUUUCCCCUAAAUUCAGAAUCAAAAUAUUAAAUCCUAAUUUGACCCGGAGUCUUUGCUAUUUGCUGGUCCUUUUCCUUUUGCGAUUUGCUGUCCAUCUGAAUUAAUUCUAACACAACUUUCCAAGAUUGAAGAUUGGAGAAGAGCUUUAUUUAUUUAUAGCUCUAAAUUUGGCAAAAGAGCAACCGAGAAUUGAGUUAACACACACAAUUUUUUUAUGAUCUGUUUGGGAACAACAGCGAUUAUAGAAACUAGAAUUCUGGUGUUUCAUGUGAAGAAGAGAAACAGCCAUAGAAAACCAAAGCAGCUAUUCAUAGAAGAAGCGGAGGUCCAAUCCCAAUCCCAAACCCAAUUCAAGUCAUCGUCUUCGUCGUCAGCAUCAUCAGCAUUACUGCUGCUUCACACCAGAAGAUCAAGCCUCAAACCGAAACACCAAAUGGCGGCGGAGCGAGGCAACGAUGCGUCGUCGUCUUUGAUCUUAACUUCUGGGGCAAGCGGCCGCAUAAACGCCUUGUUCUCGCUGCGGGCGUUGCGGAGUCUGAUGAUGCUGAUUAAUGCCUUCUUCCUGCUCCUCCUGCUUCCCUUCCGCGGCCGCAAGCGAACGGCGUCGUCCUCCUCGUCUUCUUCUCCGUCGAUCAUUGCCUUGGCGGAGAAGUCGCCCAAGGACGAGAGGCAGCAGAGGGGGCCGGUAGUGCGGGUGCCGACGGCGAUUGUGCCCUGGAAGAGCAGCUCGUCGUCGCCGGUGGACCAGGAGGUGGCGGCAAGGAGAGCUUUAGCCAAGCUUAGAGUUGUCCAAGAUGAUGAUGAGAAUUCGGUCAGGCAAUUUUCCAUUUUUGGAACUCCCAGAGGUGAAACCCUUUUCACGCAGAGUUGGACUCCCGUUUCGGUUAACGUCAGGUAAUUUUGAUUCUUUUCUUCUUCUUUAACGAAACUUUUUAGUUCCUGGAGCUCAAAUUUAUGCUCCCAAAAAAAUAAACAAGAGUAAUCUUAAGAAUGAACAUGCCCUGGAGCUGGCCAAUGCAGAAAUGUACUUUCUGGAAUUGAAAGUUUAAUUUCAUUUUUUCUUCCCCUUUCACUCUUAAAAUUUACUGCAUAUCGUUUCCUACGGAGGAAUCUUUUUGGCAAUUGUUUAAUUAGGAGCUGCCAAUCUUAUUAAUGUAGUUAAUGAAUGAACAGAUAGAUCAAACUUAACAUCUUUUUAGCUUCAUUUCUUGAUUGCAUCGCCAUUGUACUUUUAAAUUUGAAUCUUUCAAACUUGCAAUUAACUUGAAUGCUUUGUCAGUUUGUACUCGCUAUAAUGUGUGCUCGUUGUCAUGGAGCUGUUCUUAAUGGCUGUAAUUCCAACUUCACACUUUCCUUUUAGUAUAUACAAGGCAUAUUCUAACAUAUCCAAUAUAUUAUCGGCCUGGACAUUCCAUUGGACCCCAACUAAGUAUUAUGCAUACCAUAUCCACAAGGAAUAAAGUAACCUCUAACCUGCAGCGAUUGUUUUUGUAAUUCCCUAUACCAGGACCAUGCCUCGAGGAUUGCAAUAUCCUAGUAAAGCCAGCAAUCCAUUUGUGGCUCUUUAAAAACAAAAUAUCCCUUUUCAUGAGGACCCUUCUCUUUCUUAAGGUCCCGUCUCUAAUCUCUUGUCCUUAUGCCUGCACGAUAAAUGCAAUGUUUACGCAAUGCAUCUGGAUUUUCAGAAAAUACACUUCUUGGUCAUUUCCACUCUGGCUCUGCCCAGUGUUCUUGCCUUCCUUUAUUUGGUAUGUAAUAUGUCAAAUCAACUACCAAAUUUAGAGCCUACUGUAUGACCUGACAAAUGAUGGGUGGAAUCUAUGGCAUAAUGAGCUGGAUUAUAUUGCAGGGACCAUUUUGGGGCAUUGUCUAUUUUCAAGAAAACUAUCAAGAUAAGUUAGUUAUAAUGCAACCAAUUUUAUAAAAAUAUAGGAUGUGGGGAGGUCGAGAAAAGGAGCUAGUACUUUAAUAUUUCCUGGACAGGGUGGUGCGUUUGCUUCAGUGGUAGGACUAGUAAAAGUCAGUUAAAUUCAUAAUGAAUUGGUUGGACUUUGCACAACUUUCUGAUGAAUCAUUUCAUCUAAGGUUCAUGACCACUUAGGAACUCUUGCUUGUUGACUAUUCUUCUAUUAGAUAUGUUCAAGUAGAAUGAUAAUGUCAGGAAACACCUGGGCAAGUGAGCUGUUCUUGAUGACAGAUCCCCUAAGGAACACCUGGGUUUUAUCAGAAGUUACUGUUGACUUCAUAAACUUGUGUAAAAUAACAACAGCAUCAGUUAUUAUAAAGAAAUCAUAAUUCCUAACUUUACUUUGAACCCCUAGUGGAUAUAGUAAAUUGCAGAAAAAGAUUCUGGAUGGACAAUUAUCAUUCAUAUCCAUACCUUUUAGGUUCCAAAUCAAAUAUUGAUAUGGUUCAUUGUUCACUGCCCUUGCUCUGCUAAAGUUUGGCUGCCCUUGCUUAAAGAUUAAAUGACAAUCCAGCAUGGAUGAUUGGAGAACACUUUUCCGUAUCUGUAUUCAUCUUCCAUUCUAUGCAGCCUUCCAUGGGAUUAGUUAUUAAAAAAAGAUCUGAAAGAGAAUCUUAUCUGUUCAGAAGUUUGAGAAGCUUGAUUGACUGGGACAGCUGCCUUUAGUUUUUUGUUUUCUUUUGCCUGAGGGAUGACCUUCAGUUAAGUCAGGUGUAUUAAAUAUUUAGGUGAUAGUCAUGUGGGCAUGUUUACAAAGUAAAGCAGUCCAAAUUUAUAUCAAAAUAUGUUCGUGAUUGCAUCUUUUGUUCUUAGGUCUUAUGGAUCCUACCGUUAAGUGCAUAUUCACUUCUCUUUUCAUCUUUUUACAGAACUAAGUUGCUAAGCUAAUAUUUACACUUGCAGGGGCGUUGUCAUUCUUAUGCAUGGCUUGAACGAACAUAGGUUUGUCAUUUGUACAUAAUUCCCACUUAAUUCUACUUUUAGUUGAUUUUAAAAAUAAAUAUAUUAAGAGAUUUAUAUAAUUUGAACAGUGGCAGAUACAGUGACUUUGCAAAGCAGCUGAAUUCUAAUGGCUUCAAGGUUUAUGGAAUGGAUUGGAUUGGUAAGUUCAAGACCAUUCUGACUUUCUGAUCAUUGCAUUUAACCGUCUUGACAAGUCUAAUUGAUCUGUAUGUUCUUUCUCGAAGAUGAUACCUCAAGUCUAAGACAAUUAAUGCCAGUUUCCUGUGUAUGUCAUUUUUAACUUGUAUGCUCACAACCUUAUCAUACUUUCUGUUCCAGAAUUUUAUUGGGGUUUUGCAAGUUACAAGCGAAUGUGCAUAGAGAUAACAUGAUUGUUAAUUUGUAUGAACUGUUGGUUUUCCUUUCAUUUAAAUUAAGCAUUAUUAGUUUCAUCUUUAAGGCUGUGAAAAGUUUGGUCAUAGAAAUAUUAAAGGCUGAUUUCUCUAAGGACAACAUUUUACAAGUCUUUCUGAUCAAGAGGGAGUUGGUGCAGUACAAUUCUUGAACCUUACCAUGGAUGGCUUAUUACUAAAAUACUACAGCAAAUAAAGUUAAACUUUGAAACUACAGCAAUCCUACCGUAUUUACAAUCUGUUAAACAUCAUUCAAAACAUGUAAUUUAUAUCCACGUUUGGUCAACUGGAUAACUAGUUAAAGCGCUCAUUACUCCUGUCAACAAUUUUUUUUUUCCUUCUUUGUAGUUGUGUAUAAGCUGGAAUGAGCACCGUUUUGUAUUGUUUUUAUCACAUUCUUGUCAUGUUCUGUGUCAUCAAGAUCAAUCUACUAGGCAAGCAUUGUGAGUGCUAUACAAGAGAUAGAAAAAGAAAUAGAUCCACAAUUAGAGCAAUGCCUCAGCAGUUCCAUUUUCCACUGUUAAUUUACUGGGAAGGUCAAUAAUGAACCCGACCACAUCAAAGUAUCUUAAAAUGGAGCUUCUCAAUUGAUCUAAUUUGACCAAUUAUUUAACUCCAUAGUCUCAAUAUUUCAUCUAGUGUGCCAUGACUCUACCUUCCUUAUCCAAUCAAAGUAUCUAUGUACCCGAUAUCUGUCCCCCCCAGUUUACUUCUAUCUUUUCUGUGGUACAAGAAGAACCUUAACUUUUUAGAUGAGGGGUAAAUUUUAUCUCAAAAAAUCUAAAAUCUCAUCCUUUUCUUAAUUACUGUUUUCAUAGCCUAGAGAUCACUCUCUUCAACAAUGCAUAUAUAUUUGGAUGUUGCAGGGAUUGAGUAAAUUGGAUGCCCAUUGGUGCGAAAAGGUAACUUGUGAAGCUCCUGUUUAUAAGUAAGCUUAUUAUUUGUGUGUUUGUGUCUAACCUUGUAUGUUUCAAAUUCGAAGAAAGAGAGAUGUACGCUUUGGAAAAUAAGCGAAAGUCUUAGAAACAUCAGUUACACAUCUGUUGUCUCUAUCAGAGUGAGAAAUUUCAAACAUUAUAGAAAGAUUUAAGCUGAAUUUGUACUUAGGUACAUCCCAUACAGCCAUCCAGUCGAAAGCGUGCAAUCAUGUAUGACGUAUUUUUCUGUUCACUUAAAAUGCACUUGGAAACUUUCUUGUUUCAGGUGUGUAAUGGGUUAUAUUUUGUCUUUGGUUUUAGUCAUGUCUGCUUCUUCUUUUCUUUUCUUUUUUUCUUUUUCUUUAGCGUUUGAAAAAAUAAAACUAUUGUCUUUGUGUAUUAUUGUUAAUUUGAACGGAGCCUUCUUCUGCCUUUUUGUCUUCUUGUUGAUUUCAUUGCAAAUUUGUGGUGCAAAUUGAUGGUCAUAUAGAUAAUAAAUUAAGAGUUUGAAGGGUAAAUCAUAAACCUGUGAACUUACUACUUUCCCUGAUAUAUUGCGCUAUAUCUUCCAAAGUAUUAGUUCAUUGUUUUCUUUCUUGUAUAACUGUUCUCAGUGACUUUUCCAUAUAGGUCAUGGUGGGAGUGAGGGGCUUCAUGCAUAUGUUCCUUCUCUUGAUUAUGCUGUUACGGAUAUGGUAUGUUUCAAGGCUCAUUAACAAUAUCCUGAUGAGAAAGUAGUUUUUAAAUCCAGUUCUUAAUGAUGAGAAGGAACUUUGUUUUGAUUAAAUAUUUACGUGUGUUCUCGCACUUUAAUUUUAUGCAGAAAUCAUUUCUUGAAAAGGUUUUAGCUGAAAAUCCUGGCCUACCAUGUUUCUGUUUUGGACAUUCCACAGGUGCAGCUAUUAUACUUAAGGUAUGGACUGCAGGAAGUGAUUUCUUUCUUGCAAUUGCAUGAAUGACUUUCUGGUAGUCACUAUUUUAUCGACUUCUGUUUAUUCACAUUAAAUCCAUUGACCGGAAUUUAAUCCGAACUUACACUAUAUUGGAAAACUGAUUUUAGGCAAUGCUUGACCCAAAAGUUGAGUCCAGCAUAGAAGGUGUGGUGCUGACAUCACCUGCAGUUGGGGUUCAGCCUUCGCACCCAAUAUUUGUGGUCAGAAAAACCUCUUCUAUUUUAUCUAAUAUUUAUGUACUUUUGAGCAUAAAAACAAUUACAAGUUUGCAAAUGCAUAUCAAAUUACAAAGAUUCAGUAAGUCAGGUCAUCCCCUCACCAGGCUCACCUCCAUCUAUCAUGCCAGGUAAUUGCUCCAAUUGCCUCAUUUUUGCUUCCAAGAUACCAGAUAAGUGCAGCAAAUAAAAAGGGCAUGCCCGUUUCUCGUGACCCAGCAGCUCUAGUUGCCAAGUAUUCAGACCCUCUAGUGUACACUGGAUCAAUCCGUGUGAGGACUGGUUAUGAGAUUCUCCGAAUCACAUCCUACUUGCAGCAGAAUCUAAGCAAAUUGAGAGUCCCCUUCUUGGUUCUCCAUGGCACCGCUGAUACUGUUACUGACCCUGAAGCCUCCCAGAAACUGUACAAUGAAGCCUCCUCAACUGACAAAAGCAUAAAAUUGUUUGACGGGUUAUUACAUGACCUCCUCUUUGAGCCAGAACGAGAAGCUAUUGCCAAGGACAUUAUCGACUGGUUGAAUCAGAGAAUAUGAAGCUAGGUAGUGCAGUGGGAGAUCAAGAUUGAUAUAAGUUGUGGGACAGAAGGAAAUUGGGUACGAGUGACCAUUUUAUGGAUGCUAGAUGCUUUGCAUUGAAGCAGAAGAUAGAAAAUUUUAUGUGGCGGAAUAAAUUCAGCUUAUUGUGUUGAAACUUGAAACCUAACAAUGUGUUCUUCUUCAAUAUUUAAGACAUUAUCUGCAGUUGUAAAGGAGUGCCUCCUUAACAGUUUAUCUCUUCAUUUUCCUUGGAAAGAUGGGGUUGCUUGCUGGUCUGGAGCAUUUUCCUAUCAUAAUUGUUGGCUGGCAGACCAAUGGCCGUGAUCAGGUAAUUGUUAAAUGCUUGAGCUCCUUUAUAUCUUGUUUGAAAUUGAAAGCUUUCCUAUAAUUGAAAGUGAAAAGUAGUUACUUUUUUGUCAAUAUCUUGAGAUUGUGCACGAUACAAGUUUAGUUUCCCCAUUCCCUUUGGCGUGGAAUAAAUUUUGAAAGACAUGAACUCGUGCUAAAGCAGGUACAUGAUCCCACCAUAGCUGCUUCGCGUCGCUGAUGAUAAAGCAUGAUUGGGUUUCCUCAACCCACAGUUAGAAUUUUGUGUUGUUUUCUCUACCUAGUUUUAACGGGUGAAGCAAAUUCGUAUAUUUAAACUUUCAAGGGAGGUCACCAAACAUUUUAGCUGUGGGUUAUAAUUAACAUGUAUUUGUUAAGGGGGUGAAUGAUUUAUGCCCCUCACAAACCCAAUAAUUUUUUAUUUUAUUUUCUUCUCCGCUUCCAAUUGUUUAAGGGAGGUUUUCAACUUUAUCAAACUGGGCCAUAUGAAGUUAUCAACUUACACUGCCGCCCUAAAAACAAAAGAAAAGAUUGGUUCUUAUCUUGGUAUCCAACCACUAAAUGCGCACUGAUUUUUCAGAAUCUUAAAAGAUUGGUUGUUCUCAUCGACGUUUACCAAGAAUAAGAAGAAAAUAAAAAACAUAAGGCUAGGUGACUAGUCAUCAUUUACUCUACACCUAGAAUGAGCCAAAGUGUCAAAUGGAGGAAACACCAAUGAUUGUGUAAAUCAUGCAUAACAGGCAGAUUGAUUGAGAUGGAUGAACCUUCACACAGCCUGUUAGACUUUUGAAUUAGUUGGUGAGGUGAAAGAAAUGGAGGAACUAAUAUUAGUCUGAAGCUCAACUGAAGCAUUGGUUGUGUUAUGUAUGAUGCUAAAUAUUGAAAGCGAGCACCACAUCAAAUCAAUAAUUAAGUUAACAUAUAUCUCAUCUCAUGUUGCAAAGCAUGCAGUAAGAGCAAUACCAAGUGGGGGACCAUGAAAAUAUUCGUAGCAUAAAUCACAAGUGCCAAAAGAGUUGUUAAAUGGCUUGACGUUAGUUAUGCCUGUGGUCAAUAAUUCAAAGUACACGUUCAUUAGUGCCGGUUUUAAAAUAAUAUUUGUCAAUAGGUCUAGCCCAGUGAAAGGGGGUCUUGACCUGCAGAUAAAGAUUUCAGGUUCGAACUCCAUGGCAUUUUGAUUGUGUAUGUGUGAGAAACUCCCUCUCCUAUUAGACAAGGGUCUGUUUUAGUUAAAUCAUUGCAUAUUAAUUCAAUACGUUUUGUUCUUCCUUUUUUAGAUGAACCUGUCAAGAAAUCAAGACUAGUUGCCUUGCUCAAUUAGGGAAACAGACAAGAAGCUAACUGACAUUGAGGUUGAAAGCCAUUACAAAUAAAUAGUAGUAUACACGUAUUUAAUUAAUUUUUGUUCAUGAAUAAUUGAUCAAUUCAUGGGUUGUUUCCUCUAUGAUCUAUCACUAAUCCAUCUUUCCAGCAUUUGAUUGUAUAUAAUUAAUCAGAUUGUCACCGUGAUAAAAACCAACCAAUCCUUUUCUGACAGAUGCGAUAUAUAUAAGAACAAAUAGUGGCGGGUGGGUUGUGUACUAAAUUAUACAACUCCAAUUCAACUCGAAAAGGCAAGGAAUUGGGUAGUAGCCAGUAGGAGGACCAUUCUCAGAUUACAAAGGGUAUAUAUAUGGACUUGUUAAUUAAUUAAUUAAUUAAUACUAUACUGAAACUGAUUAGCUUGAUCAAUGACUAGUAAUUAGCAUUAAUUAUUUGGACUCUUACGACAAACCAGUUUCCUUGGUUCUUUUUGUUUUAAGUGACAGCUCCCAUCACUAUUUAUUCAUUACAUUAGUAGCUUUUUCAAUGGGAUUCGUUCAGUCAGUGUAUUAAGAAGAAGAAACCUUCACAGAUAUCUCUUCUUUUUCCAGAUGAUUUAUUUUGGUAAUAAACUAGUCAGAUUGUGUAACUUAUGUUGGCUCUUUUUCCGCCCAUCCAAUCAUUCCUUUUCAUAUAUUCAAAGUCAUAGAUUAAAAUACUCAAGGCCAUGAAAUUAUUAUAAUUAGCAUUGUGUUUUUAUUAUGUAGUUGGAGCUAGCUUGACCUAGAAUUAAUCAUGUAAAUUUGCAGCAAUCAGACAGUCUAAUUUCGUCAUCAACCACAUAGACAUAGCUAGCACAGGCCACCAAGAUGGUCCUGACUCUUUGAAACAGAGUCUGAAUUUAAAUUCUCAGCCAAGUUAUGCAUAAAUCCUAUUAAUUACACGAUGCAACAACUUUUUUGAGUGGGUUAAGCAUUAUAAGAUCACCUUUUUUCAGUCGUUAAUUAUGCAUGAUUCUGAUGGUACGUUUUGAUGGGAUACCUAAUUUUAAAUAUAAAUUCACCCACAACACACACACACACAUAUAUAUAUAUUACUGCAAUUCCAUUUAUAUUCAAAGUAAAUAACCAACAAUUAGACAAUGCAUAUAUACAAUAUAGGGAGAUUUUCCAAUAAGUAUUUUAUGUUAAGAAUUGGUUACAUACUUCUAAUUUUAAUCGUUGGAUUGUAUUCAUUAAAUGCGAUAGUAGUUUCUUAGAUGCAAUCCAAUGACCGAGAUUAGAAAUACUUCUAAUUGUCUUUGGAUUUUAUUUAUUAAAUGCGUUAGUAGUUUCUUAGAUGCAAUUCAAUGACCGAGAUUAGAAAUAUGUAACUAAUUCUUAACUUAAAUACUUAUUGAAUUAUAUAUAUAUAUAUAUAUGUAUUAAUAAUAAAUUGCUCAAGUAUUAGGGCCAACCAUCAACAAACAAACAGAAACACCCAGAAAAAAUGAAUUAAAAAUUGAGCACCCAUGCCAUGUGAACAUAAAUAUGAGACAGAGAGUAAAACACAUGUUUAAGGAAUUUUUGGGUAUUUUUUUCCCUUGUUAUUUUGGCUCAUUGAGAGAGUAAACUCAAUUAAUUAGUUAAUCCUGUACCUCCCAUAAAUGAAUUAAUCCCCAUUAAACUAUUGUGUCUGACUUGCAUCAUCACCUUCGUCACUCAGCCCUUAUUAUUAUGUUUCCGUCCUGCCAAAAUUGCCAAAUGGGAUCUUUUUACACUUUUGUUUUUCUUUUCACGGGAGGGUUUGCGGGGGUUACAUUCCCUUUCCACUACUCAGAAUCAGUCGUGUAAUGCAAUUCUUCAUCCUAGCUAAGCUUUGCUAUGCUAUUUAAUUCAUACAGAACCAUUCCCAUGCAAGCCAAGCAAGUAAGAAAAACUCUCUCUUUCUCUCUCUCUCUCUCUCUCUCUCUCUCUCUCUCUCUCUCUCUCAAGUUAAUAAUGGCUAUCUAUCUAAUCAACUGAUUAUAUUAAGAUAUAGUAAUAUGAAUACAUGUGUGUUCAUUACGAUUCAAGGUCAUUUGGUGUAGAUUAAUGGGGAGCAACAAUUUCAUCGCGGAUAUUAAUCCAGAUUCCAUGGAGAUGGAGACCAUGAUGGAAAGUCGACCAAGUGAUAAUAUCAAUAUCUCCAAGAAAAAUUCCACUGCUCCUCAAAAUAUAUAUCAUCAGUAUGCCCCAAUCCAUUGAAGACAAGCUCACUUAAGCUACCUAGCUAGUUUCUCACUUAUUAUAUAUAUUUUGAAUUGAAUGAUAUGUUUGUACGUAGUGUAAUAUGAGGAUGAUGUUAUAUAAUUGUUUAUCAAUGGAUGGAUGGAUGGAUGCAGGAUCUUCGCCGGUUCCUGGAAUGUUGGAGGUGUUUCACCUCCCGAGGUUUUGGACAUACAAGAGUGGCUCAGACCGAAUCAUAUUAACCCUCCUGCUAAUAUCUACGUUCUUGGGUAAUUCAAUCAUUCCCUCUAUAUAUAUAUAUGAUAUAUCUCUAGUUAAAUAUUGUUAGUUUUAAUCGUGCAUGUCUGCAACAACAUGCAAGUGUUCAAGUUUGAUUCAUAUAGAUAGAUAGAUAGAUAGAUAGAUAGAUAUAGCUGUAUGAAUCUGAUCAUUCUGAACGAAUUACUCAAUCUCAGGUUUCAAGAGAUUGUGCCACUGAAUGCAGCAAAUAUUGUUGUAAGAUCUGAAAACCGCAAGAUUUGCGAGAAAUGGAAUUCAUUGAUUAGGGCAGCUCUUAAUGACCCUGACCCUAAGAAUAAUAUUACACAAGACUUCCGAUGCAUAAUUAGUAAGCAAAUGGUCGGAAUAUUGUUAUCUGUUUGGGUUAGGAGUGAUCUCUGCCAAUACAUUAGACAGCUCAGUGUCUCAUGUGUUGGCUGUGGUCUCAUGGGUUGCCUAGGGAACAAGGUAUAUAAUAUCCAUUGAAUAUUGGAAUAUGGAAUUUAGAAUGAAUUAGCUCACUUCAUUUAUUUUUAUUUUCAUAAUUUAAGUUAGUUUAUGCUAUAGGCUUUACUUGAUGAUGACUUUUUGAUACACACGUACAUACAUGCAGGGUUCGGUGUCAGUUAGAUUUUGGCUGCAUGAAACAAGCUUUUGCUUUGUGUGUAGUCAUCUUGCUUCCGGAGGAAAAGAAGGUGAUCAACGACGCAGAAACGCAAACGCAGCUGAGAUUUUAUCUCGCACAACCUUUCCUCCCGGGCCCUUCCCUAAUUUCACCACUAAAAUUCUUGAUCACGAGUAUGUAUAUACAAUUUUUCCUUCUCGAUUGAUGUUUUCAGCUCAUCCUCAAUUUAUUUUUUCAAACCUUGGUCUGUUCGAAAGAAAAGAGUCGAUAAAAUAAAUGAGAAAAACAAAAAGUUCCAAUUUUUUUCUAAGUUUUAAGAGAUGUUGAUACCCUUGUUCGUGAACUUCUUGUUUGAGAACGCUUUUUGAUUGUGGAAUCUAUACAUAUAUAUAUUUGGAGUAAUAUCAUAUCUAAUUAAGUCACUAAAUAAUAUAUGCCUAUGCAGUAGGGUGAUCUGGCUUGGAGACUUGAACUAUAGAAUCUACUUGCCUGACGCCACAACGCAGUAUCUUGUGGAGAAGCAAAAGUGGAACCUUUUGUUGGAAUAUGAUCAGGUACUUUACAAUAUCCGAACGUGUAAAGAGAUUCUGUCACUGUGAAACUAGCUGCUAUUAUCAACGUGUAAAAAGAAAAAAAUUACCUUUAAAAAAAAAAAUGUUUCAUCUCUAUCACUAUCUUUUAAAGCUAAAGGUGGAACUCAUGGAAGGACAUGUAUUCGAAGGUUGGCAUGAAGGAGUAAUAAACUUCGCCCCUAGCUACAAAUAUUACAAGAAUUCGGAACUUUACUUUGGCUGCGAUGAGAAGAGAAAACACAAUAAAAGGCGUGCUCCAGCAUGGUAAGCAUCCUGAACUGCUUGAAAUUGAUAAGGACUGCUACAAAUCUUAUCCCAGAAACAAGCAGCACAGGAUGCACUGACUGAUGGUUUUGUAGGUGUGAUCGAAUCAUAUGGUUCGGGAAGGGACUAAAGCAAAACCAGUAUGACAGAGGCGAAUUGAAGUUGUCGGACCAUAGACCUGUCCGGGCGAUUUUUAUGGCAGAAAUUAAGGUCUUAAGAGAUCCUACAGGAUUUCAAAGCUUUCUGUCAGACAGAAUUAUUUGCUUGCCAAACCAUUUUGAAGAAUGUUUCAAUGACAAAUAUUCAUGUAAAUGGAGAUCAAACUUCCAUUAUUGAGCAUAAACUGCAAUUACUAUGCUUUGAUCACAAGAAGAUCCAAAAUAAUAUCUACCAAAGGAAGUAGUUUCUUUUUACAUAGUACUAUUUGCUGCUGAUUUUGUACAGCUGAGCGAAAAAAAAAUGUAUGCUAGUGAUUCUGUGAGUUCAAGAGUAAUAAUACUGAACGUAGUGCUGCAGCUAAAUCAUUGUAAGUAAUGCAUUCUCCUGUAACUACAUCAUCCAGUACCUCAAUAGCUCUGCCUUUUUGUGACAGCACAUAUCUACUGAAGAGCGCCCAGUUUACUAUCUUGUUAAACCGAAUGAACCAGCUCAAGUGGUUCCUGAUAUUCAGAAGCAUAAAAGAAAAGGAAAAUAAGACAAAUGAAUGUAUGCAUAUGCGCAACAAAGUACAAAACCUUUAGAUACUCUUAAAACAGGACGCUAAACAUCUUUGAAAAUGCUUGUGACACAUAAGUAGGCAAUUAAGCCACUUUGUUAUCAAUUGCAAAUUUCUAUGAAUGAUUGAACUCUUGUGUUUUUGAUAGCCCACUUUCACAUGCCAACUUCCUUAAAUGACAGUCAAGUAAUUUGUCCAGCAAUAAACCAGCUUACUAAAGAUAUUUAAAACAGUAAUAUUUUUAUCUUUGAUUUCAGUUAUAUAUUACUGCAUUUCUAACAAAAGCAGGAUUAUACCUCCAAGAUAGCUUUAGCCUCAUUACUAAAUGUUUUGCAAAGAAUUUCAUAACUCUUCUCAACUCCUAUCUGCAUAAAUAAUAAACCUGUUAAAACAUUGAAGAAAAGGUGUAGGUCUUCUGUGUAAUUUACACAUUGUAGGUGCUUUGUUAACAAUCCCUCACCAAUGGAUCAACUCUUGAUGGUGAUAUAGUCGAUGUAACAUAUCUGGUGAAAGAAAAAGAAAUCCGAUCAUUGGAUGCACGGGCAAUAUAACGUAUAAAAGAAAAAAAAUCAAGAAAUCUAAUAAAACAAUUAAGCACUGGUGAUACUUUAGUAUAAAUCUGUUGAAUAAAGCACCAUGAUAUGCAACUUAAAGAACAUUCCUCCUAGGUUGCUCCACAAAUGAUUGGUAACAGACUUCACCAAGCUCUUAAUAUUAAACAACUGAUAUGAUUUAAGACUGCAUGGCAGAAGAAUACAUAAGCAGUACUGGACUUUCAAAAUGCAAAACCAGGUAACUAUAAAGGCGAAGAACGAAUUUCGUCCUUUGAUCCCUUCUUGAGUGGGUUAAUGUUAAAUUCCAGUGAUGUGUGAGAGAGCAGAUUGGGGAUAAUCAUUGUUUUCCAUAGUAACCAAGUAAAUAUUUUCCAUUGAACCAGCAAGCUGUAUCACUCUAGAAAACUGAAAAUCUGACACAUCAUGGAUGAAAAACUGUAUAAUUUUCAUUAAUAAUUAGGUGCGGUAUAUACAAGCAUUUUUUUUUUUACCUCAUCUUGCAUAAAUAGAAAUUCAAAGCUGCGGAGUUUGCUUUUUGAACAGUUAGAACGACAGCGCCCAUGUGGUUCUACAAAAAAAAUGGAAAAUGCUGGAUUAAUUGCCUCGAUGCCAGGAAGAACAAUUAACAUAGAAUGUUGAUAAGUUGGUUAACAAAAAUAUUCAGACAAUCAAACUGAGGUCGGAAAAAGAUAAGAUUCCAGUUUUAAAAAUGCAAAACCUGAGGAAGUCCUCAGACAUUUCUCUUUCAUCUAGCAUUUCAUUUCAUUGAGAAAUCUAUAAAAUAUAAGCGUAAAAUGGGAGAGGGAACAGCAGAGUCAGCACCUUGCAAGCAAUUAGCUCAAUUAGUUGCAUUAGGAACUUCCCCAGACCUUUCCCUUGUACGCGAGGCUCGAGUUGCAAUUCAUAAACAUAAAGAACAGGCAAUUCUUCCUCUAUGACAAAGCGAAAAUGUACAAACCCAACUAUGGGGCCCCUCUCUUCUACACAACUAGCUGAGGUCUUUUCACGUUCAGACGUUGUUAAGAAUUCAACCGAACUUGCAUUUGAAGCGUUACGCACAAAUACAUAACGUGCUUCUGGUGCAACCAUCUCCCUGCGCUUCACCUUCUCUUCCGCAGGCCACUCAGAUCCAUACAGCCCCUCCAUAUUGGCCUGAUGAUUUCUCAAAACUUGAAUGAGUUUUCCCAAAAGAGCAAAGAAAGCAAAUGAGAACAUCAGCAUAAUUUGGUGGUGUUAAGCAAAAACGUCAGACAGCUUCAAAUACCUUGAGGAGAUUUUGAAUGAAUUGCUUAACAUGAGAGUAGAGCUUGUCCCCCCUUCCUGAUUCCAAGAAUGCAGAUAGGCCUAACAUCCAAUGAGAUCACAUGAAAUUUCAUCUUCCACAAAAAACUUUGAGGGAUUCUAACUUGCAAAACCAAGCAAGACAACUGCAAUAUCCCCAAGAAUAAUUUCUAGCCAUCUAAACUUAUAAAGUAGCACAAGCUCAUCACUUGCAUACAAAAAUGGACGAACCCGUAAUGGGGCUGCUACCAAAAAAUGGAAGAGAAAAAAAAAAAAUGGCAGCAGGGUUCCGUUUUAAAUUCCCACAAUUUGCCUGUUUUCCUGCUCGAAUGAGCUCACUGUCCAGAAUGGGUUUCCAAGAGAAAUUGAAAUAGUACUGCAAAUAAACAAAAUCUUCAAACGAAUUGUGAAAAGGUAGCAUAGAUAAUAUAAAAGCGAGGUACCGCUUAUUUGGUAAUGGCGAAAGGCAGGGAAAGCAGAAAGAUAGUCCUUUUCGGCAGAAGCUACUUUUAUCAGUGCAUCCAUAGCCUUCCUCUUCUCAAUUAUCUAAAAAUCCAAAAUUAAAUUGCACCAAUAAGAGUUGGAAUUGUUACAGAUUACAGGAAAGACAUGUGAUUUACCUCUUUGCGCUUCGGCUUAGCCUUGUUUUCUCUGUUAUUGCGUGAAAGCCCCUUGGACUCCAUUGUUGCUCAAAGGAUCACUAUUCACACACACACACACACACACACACACACACACACACACUCUCUCUCUCUCUCUCUCUCUCUCUCUCUUUCUCUCUCUCUCUCUCUCUCCCACCGGUAUAAUCGCAUUCCUUUUCUUCUAUAAUAAUCGGAAGGACCAUCUUUAUGAGUUAUAUUUUUAUAAUUUAAAAAUAAUAUACUUUGUUAUUUUGGUGAUAAUUAAAGUUGAAUACUUUCACAAGCAGCCAGAGAGUUGGGGACAUUUUCCAAACCAAAUGUGCUGCUGCUGGGAAGGGAAUGGAAACCCUAGGAAAAGUUCAUUUGUAUAGGAUGCGUGGAGAAGGAUUUUUCAGUUCCCUGUGUAUGAUAAUGUAAAAGCUUUUAUGUUUCUUCAAAAGUUCACUUCUUUUUGCAGAGCAGCUUCAUAUAGUCCAUCUCCAUGGCGUGAAUUUGCAAUCAUGUAGGCUAUAUUUAAUUAAUAAAUAAAUUGUUUUUUUAAAUGUAGGCAAAGCUAAGUUUUUUUAUUUUUUUGCAACCGUGAUCUGCCAAUUACCGUCCUUGAUCAGAUAAUUAGGGAAGGGGCAAAACAAAACAAAAAAAAAAAAAAACAAACAAACAAAAGCUGAGUGGUAGAAAGGGAAUUUGUGAGAAAAAGGAAGGAUAAAAUGAUAAAAACAGAGCAAGGAAAUUUCUCGCUCAGACAAGCAACCAUCAACUCGCACACCCACUCUUUUCUCAAGCAAAAGCUCCCUCUACCGCAGGUGAGAGAGACUUUUCACACACAUAUAUAUACAGACAUACAGACGCAGAGCCCGACUCCACCAAUACCAUCUACUCUCUUUACCCCUCUCUCUCUCUCUCUCUCUCUCUCUCUCUCUCUCAUGCAAACCACUGUUGGCUAGGGUUUAAUUGCUUAUCAUCGCCAUGGCUUUUCACGCCAAGAAGCUCAUCAACGACCCCAAUGGUACGCAAUUCGCCUUCCUCACUCUUGCAUUUUCUACUCCGAUUAUUUUUUUGCCCUUCCUUGUGAUUAUCCCUCAACUUCGUGUUUGAUUUUUCGAGUAUGUUGCCGAGUAAAAUGAGAGGAAAUGUGAAGAUAAUGAAAUUUAGGGGUCACGAUACUUCUGUGCACUUUAGGUGGGGGUCACUUGUAGUAACAAGAGAAAUGAAGCAUAACGUUUGCUUAAUUUUCACUAAGAGACUUCUGAAUUUUUUGUAUCCAUGGUUGCAGAUGUGGUGACUGAGUUCAUCGAGGGUCUUGUUGAAACUUAUCCUGGGCUGCAGUACUUAGAUGGUUUCCCUCAGGUAUUUUUUCCUGUUGCUUUGUUCCUUUCUUUAUUUUACCUCCGCCUUGUGUUUAUCCCUCAAUGCCAUAGCCUUAAGUAUGCAAAUAACUAAUAUAAUUGUGUCAUUUCCUAAAUGGGGAUUACAGGUGAAGGUUGUGUUGCGAGCUGAUGUCUCCGGUGGUACAUAUGACAAAGUUGCUGUUAUAUCAGGUUUGUUUGAGUCUCUGCAAUUAAAAUAUUUUCAAUGUAAGAAUGAAAAUGAAAUUUUAAAGCGUGUAUGACACAGAGGAUUUUCUUAAUAAUUUGAUCAUACAGGUGGUGGAAGUGGGCAUGAGCCUGCACACGCUGGAUUUGUGGGGGAAGGGAUGCUGACAGCAGCUAUAUGUGGGGAUGUUUUUGCCUCACCACCAGUUGAUUCAGUUCUAGCAGUAUGGUCUCCUGCAAUUUAUUUCUUUUAAUUGGAAGGAAACUACACCUUGUCGAUUUAUGUACGAUUGUUACCUUAGGUGACUUUGAUCUAAUAUGAUUGAACUUUAGGGCAUCCGAGCUGUAACUGGUCCUAUGGGUUGCCUUCUGAUUGUCAAGGUAUAAUUUCUACUUUGUGUUAAAAUUUGCUUUGUGAGGGUAUUCUAUGUGUGGUUGGGAUGUUAAAUGACAGCAAUGGCAUGUGGUUGGAGCAUUCUGAAAACCCAUUAUUGAUAGAAAUUGAAAACAUUAAAUAGUAAUAGAAAUUGGUGGAAAAUUGCAUCUUCAUCUGUAUAAAAUUCUGGAAUUUCUUCUCGGAUUCAUAAAUAUUUAUGGUGACAAGCAGGGCCAAAUUUGGAAAUGCGGCUUUUGGUUUUCUUGAUAUAUGUUGUUGCUUUUUGGUUGUUGACAGAAUUAUACUGGGGACUGUUUAAAUUUUGGUUUAGCUGCAGAGCAAGCAAAAUCAGAAGGUUAUAAAGUAGAGGUAUGCUUUAUUUUGUGAAUUCUUUCCUUUAGCAAGCACCAGAGGGUAUAAACAAAGGGACUGCCCUUUAAUGUUGCAGACUGUAAUUGUUGGAGAUGAUUGUGCAUUACCCCCGCCUCGAGGCAUAGCUGGUCGAAGGGGUUUGGCCGGGACCAUUCUUAUUCAUAAGGUUCUCUCUCUCUCAACUGUUUCCAUUUGUAAUGUGGUUUCUUUAAACUAUUGUAUUCAACCAUUUCUUUGUGUUAUCUGUCAUUUCAUGUAUGCGUGAAAGCUCAUUGUGAAGGAUGUUAGAAAUAGGGUGUUAUGUUCCUGAAGGGUUGGAAACCUUUUCACCCAUGUCUUCACAUCCUAAUUAAAACACUGGUUCGUAGUAUCAAUUGUUAAUCUUCAAAUUUGUGACCCCUUUGUGAACAGAUUGCUGGAGCUGCUGCUGCUGCUGGCCUUUCGCUUGCCGAUGUUGCCGCAGAAGCAAGUCGUGCAUCUGAAAUGGUUGGAACAAUGGGUGUUGCAUUAUCUGUUUGCACAUUGCCUGGUCGGGUUACACCGGACCGUGUGGGUCCAGGAAAGAUGGAACUUGGUCUUGGAAUCGUAAGUUAUUCUCAUCAAGUAACCUGGUCCAUAAAUCCAAAAGUUAUGCGCUUGUUUUCUAAUCAUGUUAAAACAUCAGUCUGUUUCUGGUUUGCAUACCAUAAACAUUAGUCUGUUUCUGGUUUGCAUACCAUACAUUGGAAUUCAUUAUAUUUGCUCAAAUUCGUCAAGCCAUAUCCUGAAUUGAUUGUUUUUAACCCUAUGGGAUUUGUAUCUGGCUAUGAUUUACCAGCAUACUGUUCAUACGGACUGGCACUUUUAUUUACUUCUUAAAUACUUUGUCAAGCUGACUAAAACUGGAUUACUUUUACAGCAUGGAGAACCUGGUGCUGCUGUAGCUGACCUUCAACCCGUGGAUGUGAUAGUUUCUCAUGUUCUUAAGCAGAUUUUGUCGCCAGUAUACCCCCAUACUUUUUAAUCAAUGCUUAUGUCAAAUAUGUUUUCUUUACGUAAUAAGAAUGGACAUUUAAUAUAUAGUUCAUGCCUCAAGUAAGUUAGAGUCCAGUUAAAUGUGUGGUAAGAAUAUUGUCUUGUGAAGAUAGUCAAUCGAUUCUUAGGUAGUUGAGUAGGAUAUACAUAAGAAAAAGGGGAAUGUAUAGAAUUGAUUCAACACUUCAUUCCAAUUCUAGAGUGCGGUGAACAAAGCGCUUUCACAAUGCAUAGGAUGAACUAUUUUGUAUCUACAUUUUUUUUCCUACAACCCGCUGAAUCGAGCUCUAAAUUUCUAAAAGAUCCAAUUUAUAUUUUUUGCAGGAAACUAACUACGUUCCAAUUACUCGAGGUAGUAGAGUUGUGCUUAUGGUCAACGGGUACGUUGGGUUUUUUACUUUAUGGAUUAUAUGAGAAUUUAAUUAUAUGGGACUUAAAACAUUACUGAUGCAAGGUGCAUCAUAAUUGAUAGAACAAGAAUCUGAUGAUCUGAGAGAAAAUAUGCUUACUCAGUUGAGUGGAUUUAACUUUCCAUUUUCUUCUUCCAGAGGUUUGCAUGUCAAUGGAAAUGGAAAAAAAAAAAAAAAAAAAAAAAAAAACAAUUUGGCAUCUUGAGAGGAACUAUCCCGAAUUCAGAUCAAUAUGUUCCUCUCUCUCUCUCUCUCUCAGUUACGAUUUGUGUUUUAUGGGAAACUAUUCCCUUAUAGAUACAAGUAAAGAUGACCGUUUUGUCUUUUUAACUCUAGAUUCAGUGACAUGAUCCCUUACCAUUAUUCAUAUUGAAAGUUGAAAGAGGAAAAAUGUUGUGUACAAACUGUCUUUCAUGCUAUAUAUUUGCUUAAGAGUUGUAUAUUUUUUUUUACCAAGUCAAUUAAAGCUAGCAUUGUAAAUUUAUGAGGAAAGGCAAAUGUUGAAAUUUCUUAACUUUCUUUCUUCCUUAUCAACUUUCUUACUCUGUGUGUUAUUUUCCAAUUAAAUUCCAAUGUCAGUCCAGGCAGAACUCUUAUUAUGUUACUUUCGUUUUUCUUUUCUUUUAUGGCAGGUUAGGUGCAACUCCUGUAAUGGAACUGAUGAUUGCAUCCGGUAAAGCAGUACCUAAGUUGCAGCUGGAACAUGGAUUGGCUGUUGAUAGAGUAUAUACUGGGUCAUUUAUGACUUCUCUUGAUAUGGCAGGUUUGUUCUCUGACACAUGCUGAGAGUGUUAGUUAUAUUAAUAAUAUACACAUUCUUGACACUGUUUCUUCAGGUUUUUCGAUUUCUAUCAUGAAGGCUGAUCAAGCUAUUUUGCAACGUCUGGAUGCUGCAACAAAGGCUCCACAUUGGCCUGUUGGUGUUGAUGGUAUCUGAUUAUGGUGUUUGAAUGUUUCUUAUAUUCAUGUUUUACUUUGUAAAUAGUAUUUGCUUUCAUGAAUGUCUAGUGGCAUUGGUGUCAUGAAUAAGUUAUUUUUCUGUUGUAUAAAAAUACAUACUACACUUCAUUAUUACCAUAUAUACUUAUUAAACAUUAAAAAUAAGUCAAAAUUAGGUAUGUUGAACUCAGUGGUUGUCCUUGCUUGCAGGCAAUCACCCACCUGCAAAGAUUCCUGUUCCAUUGCCUCCAUCUCGCUCAACAAAGAGUGAUGAGGUAUGUUCGUACCUUUGUUUGAACAAAUAGGUAUGUACAACCGUGUUCUUAGAACAUGUCCUUGUCAGUCUACACUUCGACUUUUCUGUAAGUUGUCUGGUGGGUGAAUAACUUUGUUUUCUGUUUUUACAAGUAUGUAUUGGUCGUUGACAUUAGUGUUGGUGUCCAAAAUUGUUGAACAGGUUAUGGUAGGAUAGUAGUUUCAUAGCAUAAUUGGGUGUCUUUUUCAACAACAAAAAAAGGGCAUAAUUGGGUGCACUUGUUUGUGUUUUGCACUAAACUAUUUCUAGUUUGAGUUGAGCUUCAAAACUAUCCAGAAUGUCCUCUUUGGAGAAUCAUGGAUGCCCAAUAGUUAAUCAUUGGAUGUGUUUUUUGCCUCUACUAACUCUUUGCUUUCAAUUAGUCAUUAGGUCGGCCAGCACAACUGAAUGCACAAGGCCAGAUUCUUGAGGUGGCUAUUGAAGCAGCUGCACAUGCUGUGAAAAAACUUAGGGACAAUUUGAAUGAAUGGGAUAGCAAAGUAGGUGAUGGUGACUGUGGGUCAACCGUAAGUCCCCACCUUGAUCCUUUCUUUCAUUUACUUCUUGAUUCAUGAUAUGUUGCAUGCUAAAUCUUGUGCCUGUCCUUGAUCUUUUUUGUCUUCCAAAUCAAAGAAUUGUCACAUGCUAAAUCUUAUGCUCUCUCUGACCAAAAAAAAAAUUGCUUUUUGUUGCAGAUGUAUAGAGGUGCGGCAGCAGUUUUGGAAGACAUGCAAAAGUAGGUUUGAUUUUCAGUUUCCUUUUCUUUUUCUUUUUUUAUUUUAAUUUUUGGUUCCAGAGGGGGAGUGGUGGACAAAUCUUGUCAUGUUUUACUAGAAGAAGAAUAUGCACAUGACUGACUUUUGAUGUUGUCUUCAUAAUGCAUUGUUGGAAUAGCGUGCCUGUUAUUAGAGAAAACAUGAUAGGGCAGUGUGGAAAGUAGCAUGCCUGGGUUCAAUCCUGUGUCAUUUCCCUUAUUUUCCUAGCCAAAAAAAAAAAUAAUGAAAAUAUAGUAUUACAAAUGCUGGUUUGUUGCUUUCAGGUUUCUGAACAGUUUUAUUAGCAAUAUAGAGAAUUAAUUGUUCAUACCCGGUGAUUAUCAUUCCAAACUAAUCUUUUAUUCAUGGUCGUGUCUGUAUUGCCGUAUUGCAGUUAUCCCCUGAAUGAUGCAACCGAAACAGUGAAUGAAAUUGCAUCAUCUGUCAGAAGAGUUAUGGGCGGCACAAGCGGGAUCCUGUAUUCAGCUUCCCCUGUUUCAAUAAAUUUUGACAGAAAUUUUUUCAGUAAUGUUUUUUAGCUGCAUUUACCCAGACAUGCUUCUUUACAUCUAUAUUCUUGAUACAGAUAUACCAUAUUUUGCAAGGCAGCCUAUGCACAGUUGAAAGCAAGCACCCAAGGAGUUGUCACAUCAAAAAAUUGUGAGACAAUUCCCCUCCUAAUGGGAUAAUUUUUAGACUCUUUUCACCUUGACUUAACAUUCUCUUGAUUCAGGGGCUGAAGCGCUUGAAGCUUCCAUUGCUGCUGUCAGUAAAUAUGGUGGGGCUAGUGCUGGUUACCGGACAUUGUUAGAUGCCCUUAUUCCAGCAUCAGCAGUUCUUCAGGAGGUCGUCGAUAAUUAUCAUUUUCUUCUUCUUCUUUUUUGCCGUGGCCUCAUAAUUUGGUACUUAUAUCUGUUUUGAAAAACAGAGGUUAAAGGCUGGUGAUGAUCCUGCGACUGCUUUUCUUCUCUCAUCUGAAGCAGCACUGGCUGGAGCUGAGUCAACGAAGCACAUGCAGGCACAGGUGGAAUAUAAGCUGAUUCUCUUUUUUGUAAAUUUUUCUUUAGAAUCCCAAUUACAGUUUGCUCGAGUGAAGCCAUCCUCCUUGUAAAUGGGAAUCUGACGUCCUGUUCUAUGUAGGCUGGCCGAUCAAGUUAUAUAUCUGGGGAGAAACUUGCCUCAGUCCCAGACCCAGGUGCAAUGGCGGCCGCAUCGUGGUACAGAGCAGCAGCCUUAGCUGUCAAGUACAAAUACCAGACAUCUUCAUAGAGCAAUGCGUUAGAGCUGUUGUUGCAUUUCUGCCAUUUUUAACUGCAGAUACAUACAUGCAUACAUACAGGCAGCCAACUAAUUUUUGUUCAAAUUUUUGCACCACUAACAAUUUGGGCUUUCCGCGUAUGCUUUUUGUGCGUAAUGCUGAGAGAGCGAGUUCCAUCCGUAUGAUAAUGAUACCAUGUCUGUCUUGAUAUCUGUUUAGAAAUAUGUAAAUUUCAAAUAUUGAUAUUUGAUAGCAUUCAGAAUCAGAAUAAUGUGCAUCAAUAUCGAUCUAAGCGCGCAUGUGGUUGUAAGUUCAGUUGUAAGCAACCAUCUGUUUCAAACGCUCAACUUUUUUUUAUUUAUAAUGAUUUCUCUUUAACUAUGCUUACGCAAAUUUAUAAAGCAACCCGCUAUUUGGCUUGGUUUGAAGUUGUAUCCAACUUUAUUUAUUUUAGAGAUAAAAUUGUUAUUGUCAGUCAUAUUAUAUAUUUUCUUUUUGCAUUAAUUUUUCAUCUCAACCCUUAUGCUCGGUCAGACUUGAUGUGUGUAGCUGCCUCAAGUACCAGUAAGGAAAUAUAACGUUUAUAAAUGAUAGAGAAUAAGGCACGUGUAUCUAUUUUAUUUAAUUAGCAUUUGUAAAAAGAAAAGAAAAGAGAAAAAUGGAUGACAAAACAAAGGAAUUAGCGUUAGUUAAAUUUAAAUUAAUUAAGGCAAUCGAUAGCGUGUCAAAGAACGAAAGACGCGUCGCUUGAAAUGACCUCAUGAUAGUAUUUUACGUUUCGGUGAACUUUCACUGUAAGAGAAAAGGAGAAGCAGGCCCGACAUGGACACCGAAUUAGUGGGCCCCUGGAUAUCCGUGCAGGUACGUAAUACAAGCGAAGCGACUCACACGGCAGGCUGGCUGGCUGCAGAGAACACAAUGGUUGAAUCUCAACCGUUAGAUUAGAUUCUAACAAUUAGUAUUGACCCCAAAUUUUUUAAAUAAAUAAAUAAUAAUAAAAAACCUAGUAGUAGUAACAAGGAUCCAGUUAUAAUUGAUUUAUUCUAAAGAGACUUGAAUCUAAAUGGUUGUACUUAUUGUUAUUAGUAUAGACAAAGGGCCAAAAGUUUGAUUGAUUUCAUCGGUCAACUAAAUCCAAACUCCACAUUUCGCCAAAAUCAGAACAGAGACCAAAUGGCUGAGCAGCUAACCGAGGAGCAGAUCGCCGAGUUCAAGGAAGCUUUUUGCCUCUUUGACAAAGAUGGCGAUGGUAUUUCUACCCAUUCUUAUAUUUCAUGUCUAGAUUUCUUGGGUUUAUUUACUUCUGUUGGUUAUGAAUUAUGAUUUUGAUACUGUCUUCUUCCUCUAGCAAAAUCAAGUAAAGGAUUGCUCUUUGUGACCAUUAUUUAGUUCUUCUUGCUUCUUUGUUUCCUUUAACGUUGAUUUUUUAGGUUCAUUAGGUCCCUAAAACAUUUGAAGAAUAUUUACUGAACUGAAGAAUAGGAUAUAUAUUAUUUUUUUUAAUCGGGAGAAUAGGAGAGAAAAUUUUAAAUCAAUAUCCACUUGACUUGGUAUUGGAUUUCAUUGCAUAUGCGAUAUCCAUAUGCAUAAGAAAUGCUCUAUACAACUAAAUUCCAAAGGAUACGAAAAUAAAAUAAAAAGUAGUUAGAUUAGAAGUUUUUGAAUUACACAAUCUCUGGACCUAAAAUUCUUUUGUGGUUUUCUGUUUUUCAUUGUAGAAUAUUCUUUAUGGACUUUGCCCUCUUGUCUUGUAAAACCCACGAAUGAUUUCUAACCUCUUCUACUACUAGGCUACCAGUUCUACAUUCAUAGCAUAAAACUGGGGUUGGUAAUGCAUAGGUUUAAGUUGUCAGCGUACAACAUAGCCUUUUCAUCCAUUGGGCCACAUUUCCUUGAGAUGAGUUCUGGAAAUGUUGAUGUCUCUGUGUGAUCAACUUAUUAUGGGUUCUGUCUUGUUCACUCUGCUGCUACUUCUGAUUUUUCAGGCAGAAGACCACAUAAGUUUUGCACAAAGAGACUUACUUAUAAUUCAUGUUUGUUUGCACAUAGGUUGCAUCACUACCAAAGAGUUGGGGACUGUGAUGAGAUCUCUGGGACAAAAUCCCACUGAGGCUGAAUUGCAGGACAUGAUCAACGAAGUUGAUGCUGACCAGAAUGGCACAAUUGAUUUCUCUGAGUUUCUGAAUUUGAUGGCAAGGAAGAUGAAGGUAUCUACAUUAUGUAUCCAUUAUAGUGUCAUAUUGCUUUUUACCCCCCAGAAUUCUCAGGCUGGUAAUCUAUUGUGCUUCGUGCUUGGUUCAACUCAAAUCUUUCAUUUAAAUGUAAUUGCUCUGUUUUGGUUUGAUCUUUACAGAAAACUAACUACAAUGUUUGUUAGUGUCACUUAUAAUUAUAACUAAUGCAUUAUGGUAGCAACACUAAGAUUUUUCAAUCUUUGGGCAAUCAUCGGGGUAGUAUCUCUCGAGUCUUGACUGUGCAGUUUGUAAUAAUAGGUAUUGAUAAUUAUAGAAUUGAAGACACAGUAUCGAUAUGUUUCCGUUGAACCUUUCCUUCCUUUGUUUAUUGGGGCCUCUGCAAAUUUUGUUGUACUUUUCUGCCCGUGGUCUGGAUAUGUGAUUGGAAUAGUUUAGAUAUGUAUUUACACGCAAAGUUUGUUGAACUAAAACUUCCACAGGAUACUGAUUCUGAGGAGGAACUCAGAGAAGCUUUCAAGGUCUUUGAUAAGGACCAGAAUGGCUUUAUUUCUGCUGCUGAGGUAAAGAUUUUAAUUAGCUAUUUUUUGGAUGAUCUAUUUAAGAUUGGGCGUAGUGGAAACUUAUACCGAAAACCAUCCUUUUUGCAUAUUUGAAACCAUGCAGCUUCGACAUGUAAUGGCAAAUCUUGGGGAGAAACUGACUGAUGAAGAAGUGGAUGAAAUGAUUCGUGAAGCAGAUGAAGAUGGCGAUGGGCAGGUGAACUAUGAGGAGUUUGUGAGAAUGAUGCUUAACAAGUGAAUGUAGCUUUUGGAUUCUAAACAGGGUAGGGGUAUUGAUUAAACAUGCGCGGUUUAUUAUAGAAUUAGUAAUUUGGACCAUUGUUGACAAGGUAGAAUUCUCUUUUAUGUUGUUGGGUAGAAUUUAGCUUUGCUGCUGAAUUAUAAAAUGUUGUGCUUAUCUAUGUGGAUUUCUCUUUUCUUUCGGGAAUUUCUUAAUAUUUCUUUCUUAUUCCCUCUCUGAAUUCCUAGUAUAAUAAGCAGAAGUUUGCUGCUGUGCUGACACAUUGCGUCAAAAGUUUGCUGUUCUGGGCUGAAACAAUUAUAUGAAUAAGAGAUCAAAGAAGGCCCAAUAGAAAGGCCGAAUCAGAAAAGGUUACUCGGCCAAAAUCUGCAAAGCUUCAGACAAAUGGCGUGUAAAAUGCCCACGCAUAACAGAGCAUAAGGCCUAAAACAUAUAAAGCUUGGGCCGUCUUCUUCCUAGUGUUAGUAUAGGCCUAAAAAUAAUAUGCAAACGCAGCAAACACCACCUCAUAUUUUACUCACUUUUCUAUGGCUCUUAAGUGAGGCCCUAUCUCUUAAUUGUUGGAUCAAAUUGGUUAAUCUGAUUCAACGAUUAAGAAAUAGGACCUCACUUAAGGGUUAUGUAUAAGACCCUCUCUAUAGAAUGACUCCUUUCUUUUGAGUGUAACGAAACUUGUCUCCUGAGCCAGAGGCCCAUUCUAGAAUUGAACCGAGGGAGAAAGGGAUGUCAUCGAGGGCGAACCAUCCGUGCCUCUGUUUCGAGGGAGAAAGAGAUGUCAUGUGGCCAAUUGCCUUGUUGAUAUGCAUUCCAAAUCUGGAGAAAGAGAUGUCAUGUGGCCAAUUGCCUUGUUGAUAUGCAUUCCAAAUCUGGAGACAUCGAUGCUGCUACUAGAGUUGUGUUCGACUACAUGCAACAAAGGAAUGCUGUUUCUUGGACUUCACUAAUGACAGGUUACGGAAUGCACGGUUAUCAGAGACGAAGUCAGAGAAUUAUAGUUCAUAUACAUUGCUUUCAAGCCUAUAUGCCAAUGCCAGGCGCGCGUUGGAAAAUGUGGCUAGAAUCAGAUCGCUAAUGAAACAUAUAUACGGGCAUCAAGAAGAGGCUCGGUUGCAGUUGGGUGCAAGGAAAGAAAGGAAAUGCAGCCUUCUUUGUGGGUGAUAGGACUCAUCCAGAGUCUCAAGAAAUUUAUGAGACCCUUGCUGACUUGUUUAAACGGAUCAAAGACAUUUCGCACUUCACGAUGUCGAUUAUGAAGAGAAAGGAGACCUUCUUUUCGAGCAUAGUGAGAAGUUGGCUCUGGCCUAUGCAAUCCUAACUACUCCACCAGGUGCACCUAUAUCCGGAUCACCAACAACUUACGUGUCUGUGGAGAUUGCCACGGUGCGAUUACCUACAUAUAUACAUCCAAGAUUGUUGAGCACGAAAUCAUAUUGAGAGACUUAAGUCGCUUUCAUCAUUUGAAGAACGGAUCCUGCUCCUGGGGAGGCUAUUGGUGACAAACAAGUUAAUUAUGCGCUAGUUGUGAGAUAUAUAUAUAAAAGGUUUUAUGGGAUGGUGAAGAACACAAGUGCUACAUUUAUAAAAGCAAUGGAAAACUGAUGUCUUGAUCAUCUCAAAGCUGCUUUUUUUGUGACUAUAUGGAUAGGAUAUAGGUAGAUGAAGAAAGUAAAUCAUAGAAAAUUGCGUAUGAUCCAAUGCUUCUCCUCAAGCAAUAGCAAUAGAUUGAAGGAAUUAAUUAAGCAUAAUGACUCCUUUUUAUGGACUAUGAAAAAUGCAAUUCGUCACUAGCGGACAGAUAAUAUUGCAAGGGUGGACAGACAAGCCAUGCCAGCAAGGAUGAAUUUGAUUUGGACUAGACAUGAGGUUGGAUAAUGCAUGUCUUCACGAUUGGUAACAACUAUAGCGAGGGAGAGGUGAGAGAGGUAAGGUAUGUUUGUCGGCAAACAUUUUCUUGUGUCUCCACUCUCCGCGUACAUACAAAACAAAAAAAUGGAAAUGAUUACACUAAAAUGGAUUCUCUCUCAUGUCAUGCAUCAAAGUUAAUUAACAAAAAAAUUGAACCGAUAUUCUGAUUUGAGAUGUCGCGUGGUUAUUUGUAUUUUCUUUAUGAUUCUGAUAACUGAUUUUUGAAAAGGGGUAUGAAUCAUGAAAGAGUUGAAGAGAUGUUUAAUUUGAUAGGACAAGAUAUUCAUGUAACUUUUUCUAAAGCCUUGAAGCUAGCUAAAGGGGGAGAGGCGGGCCACGCAGAACCAGAAUAUAUAUAUAUAUAUAUAUCUCUCUCUCUCUCUCAGGAAGGAGGUCUUGUCAGUUUUCAUUAAAAUUAAAAAUAAAAAUAACUCAUCAUCAGUAUUUCCACCGGAUAAUUAGGAAAUGAUUAACAAAAUGGAAACUAUCUCAUCAGUAAUUACUAUAGACCUGUGAGAUGAUUAAUUUCAAGUUGAUAUAGAAGAACCAAUUAACAUGCAGCAUAUAUACAGAACUACAAAGAAAAAAAGGAAGGCAAUGAUUAAUUAUAUAUAGCUUAAUUAGUUUAUGAGGAAAAGCAAAAAAUGAAGACCAUAGAAAACAGUUAAUUAAUUAGUCUAUCUGAUAUAAUGAGUAGUAGUAGACCCAUAGAAAAGGCCUAGGCAUAGCCAAGAGAAACAGAGACAGAGACAGAGAGACAGAGAGAAAGCUUGUAGUACUACUGGGUAGUGAGAGAAGAGGCAUUGCCAGUAGAUGCAGAAGUAGAAGAUGAGGAAAGGUUCUUGUGGUUAUGCAUCCACACCUUGAAUACCUGUCUGCUUACCCCUAUACUCCUGCAGAACCUCUCAAUCUCAUCUUCUAGAUCCUUCCUCUGCAGCUUCCACCCCAGCUUCUCUGCAAACGCCAGCAUCUUCUCCUUCUGUUCCGCCGUGAACUUUGUCCUGAACCGCUUCUUCCCGCUCAUCCUGUCUCCACUGUCCGGGGACCCACCACCGCCAGCAUUGUAAUCCAUGAGUUGAUCUUGUGUUGCUAUAGUGUUGUCGCUCGGAUCUCGGCCUCGGCUGCUGCUGCUCAUGAUCACACGAUUAUGAUGAUGAUGAUGAUGACCUGAUGAUCUGCCGCUGCCUCCUGCAGCUUGUGAUGACGUGGCUGCAUAGGUGACUCUGCGGUGGAAGUUUCGGUGGCAUCCGCAGGCGGCGCAUUGUAGGCCACCUGGGGAUGCGUCGUCGAGUGUGAACUCUCCGCAGCCGUCUGUGGCGUAGCUGCCAAGGCUCGCUGCAUGGUUCCUCAAGCACUCUCUGUAUACUUCAUUUGUGUUCUGAUCAUGAUGAUCUUCUUCCAUCUCCCUCUUUUCUUCUUUUUCUCUCUCUUUUUCUCUCUCUAAUUUCUCUCUCUGUCUUUGAGAUUACAAUUGCAGUGUAUAAAAAUGCGCAGAGAGGUUUUCAAAGUGGUACUGUUUGGUUCGAUUAUUUACACUAGUGCCCAUGUUAGCUAGCCGUAAUUGUGAACAACUAUACUUUUGUACCUUCCUAUAUAUGGAUAUCUAUCUAAAUGAAAAAAUGAAAAAAAUGAACCAGGUGAGGUGACCCAUGAUCUUUAUGUAUGGGGGACUUUGCGGUGGCAUUUGGACACAACUCAACCACGUGUAUACAUAUAUUACUGAAAGAGUAGCCGUAUUAAGGAUGAGAAAAUGAGACGUGCCAUGGCAUAUUCGUAAAUCUAGGAAAAGCAAGGGUGAUAAAAAGGAUAUUGGGUUCAUGAACGCUAGAAGCUUAAUAAAAUAAAAGGGAAGUCAAGGUCGUCCAAUAAAACUUACUUAUAACAGAAGUUUUAUUAUUCUUGGUGAAUAACAUAAUAAGACGUGAAAAAAUUAUUCGUUGUGUCAUUACGUUAUUGAUUAACAAAAAAUAUUACACCUGUUGUACGAGAGUUUUUCUCCAAAAUCGUAGGGAGGAGGGGGUAUGGGCGAGGGAUGGAUAUUCACUCAUGGUUGUAUCUUGUAGUUUGGAGGAAGAUGAAUGGGCAAAAGUGUCCUAGUAGCAAGCAAUAUUACAAAAUAAUUACAAUAGCGAUGGAGUGAAUGCUUCAGUUUCAGAGGGGAGAGGAGACUUUAGGCCGUAGCGGGCCCUGUCGCGAAGCUGGAGUGGUAUGGGUUUAAUCCAAUAAUUCACGUUGGGAAAGUAAAGUAGGCUUAUAACAAAAGACUAGUAUUUUGUAGUUUAGCAUUAAUUGGUAAAGGCAAUCUAUGUCACUUCGCACGUACGACAACAUUGCAAUCAGUAUCUGUAUAAACUUCUAUCUAAUUAUUAUGUUAUAUUAACCACAUCAAAAUUACAUGCACAAAUAAAUAUUCUAUUCACUCACUGCAGGGCAUCCUGUCCUCCAGUACACCCACAAGCAAAUGAUCACGCAGAAGCUAGGCCAUGCCCAUCCGUUAAUUCUCUAGUCCAUAUGCAGCCAAGCAAACCAUGCCUAAACCCAUCAAUUCUUGCUGUCACACAAGGAAUAAUCUGUCAGGCACUAGUACAUAAUAUAUGUGCUAGGCUAAUAACUCCAUCUCGAUAGCUAUACACGCGUUAAAAUUUAAGCAUCCAAUUCAAAACUAAUAGACAAUAAAUAAAGAUGCGCAAAAUCUUUUAAAUUUUUCGGCCCAUGCUUUAAGAUAUGGUAGGGGAUUUAAUGACCCUUGUGAUCAUAUAGAGCAUUGACUUUGAGGGGUAAGAUAUAUAUAAAAAUGAUAAUGGUGUGAGCAGGAUAAUAGCAAAUAGGAAAGUGGAAUGGUGUGAGUGAGUUGAGCUUAUAUAAUGUAACAUAAAGAUUAUUCAUGAUGUGUGAUGUGAAGUUGGGUGGCAACGGUUUCCUGUUCACGGUUCACUCUUGUUGAUCAGUAUUAGACAGAGUCUUCAUUUGUAUUGUGUGGUGUAGGGAAAUAACCAUUAUAAUAAUUGUCUUUCGCUUAUGGCUCUUGGCUUUUUUGGCUUUUUGGCUUUUUGGCUUUUGCUGGUAGCACCGCCUUGUUUCCUUUUAUCCACACCACUCACUCAGUGUGAAGUCACUGUUGCAGCACUGUACAAGCUGGCAUAUAUGGCUACACCACUGCCUGGGGCUAGCUUAAGGCUGCAAUUCCUGCCAUGCAUGAUGCUUAAUGGCCAUCGUUUGACUCCAUAUUUACUUAAAAAACCUAUAUACAUACUAUGGUAUUUAUUAUAUCCGACGAAAUGAGAAUGACUGCCAUCAGAAUCAGAAAGAGAACAUUUCUGACUUUCAUCCUCGUCGGUCCUCCUCAGCUCGCACAUAAUGUGGUAAUAAAAUAAACGUUACAAGUUCAUGAACCCGACAAACAUUUAAUUAAUUAAUUGACCUGAGAUUAAAAAUGAAUAAUCAUUGAAGUAGUUGUGUGAUCAUUGAUCAGUGGAGCUCUAAGGUAUUUAAACAUGUGCUUUAGACAUUUUAACUAGAUUAAUAUAUACAUCUAAACUGUUUUGGUUUGGUGAAAACAUUAUUUUAAAAUGCUAGCUACAUCUCUUCCUUCUUCUUUUCUGGGCAUGACGUGACGUUGAAGUAUUACUUAAAGCAACCAACUUAUGCAGGAAGCAGCAAAGCUUGUAAAUUGUAAUAAUAUUAAUUAAAGAGAAUAAUCUGCAAUUGGUGAAUGUUACAUUGCACUUGAUCUAUAUAUGAGAUAUGCAUGUAAUCUGUCGACAAAGAUUAAACUGGUUUUAUCUUCACCCAUUCCUAGCUAAUAUCUGCUUAAUUAAUUAUGAUGCAAGCAAGGCAUACACGCACGAUAUGGAGAGUAGAUACAGAUAACUUGAGCAAGAAUCACGGAUGCAUACUUACAAGUUUCAUUCACCAUUAAUUACCCCUUGAACUUGGGACAUCAAGACUUUUCAACUUGGAUGCUGGAUGCUUGCUUGAGGUUCAGCGAUGGGCUUCAUUUCCCCAUAAGGCAGUGCAGUGGGCACUAUUGUAGCUAUUCGCGGCUUAUUUUGAAAUUGGGCUUUCAUAAAUCACCAACUAUUUAGGGGCUUUUAGUAAAGAAAACAAGCCCCAAAAAAAUAACAACUGCUGCUUACUUUCUACUAUCCAAAUAAUGGUAUUAAGAAAAGGAUUUUUAAUAUUUAAAGAAGAAAAAUAAUUGAUAAUGCUUCAACAUUAAUGAAUGAUGUGAAUCAGAAAAGAAAACAAAAAAAAGUGGGAAUAAUGGCACUGCGUGAGCAACACAAAAUGGGAGCAAAGAGCAACUGCGCCUUUUAGUUUUGGGUUUUUAGUUUUAAUGGUUCUUAAAUUUAGACUCGAUUCGUAUUUUGGUCUCUUAAUUUUCAAAAUCCUUUUUUUGGUCCUUUUAACUUCACUUUCAUUAGGACAAAAUGGUCAUGACGUCAAUAUUUUUUAUCUUUUCUAUUAAAUGCAAGGGUAAAAUGAUAUUUUUGUAUUAUUUUUAAUUUGUGCACCCAUUUUUUAACCUUCUCUCUCCGCAUCCAUCCCUCUCCUUCAUUCAUGUUUCUCAGUUCGUAAAAAUUAUGCAACUCCGUUAUUCUCUCUCUUCAGUCACUCCUUCAUCAUCUAUUGAUUUCUCCCACUUUUUUCCCUAAUAUAUUUAAAUUAAAGAUGAAAAAGUAAUAAUGGAAUGGCUCAAUAUGGAGAGAAAGUGACGCAGGAAAGUUUUGUCCCCCAAACCGCACUCUUCAACAGAACUCGAACCCAACACAGUCUCUCUCAGACACACUAUUUCUAAAUUUUCCAAAAUUCCCCAAUACAUAAUAAAUUUUGAAGAAAAAAAACGAAACAGAUUCCUCAUAUCUGGAUAUGAGAGAGAGUGAUGCCGGAGAAAAUUUCUCCCCCAAACUGUACACUGUUCCUCCAUAGAAUCCAAGCCAACCCAAAUCUUUCUCGAACUCCACCAUUUCCAAAAGCAUAGAGAUAGUGUGUGGGUGAUGAUGAGUGAUUGAAGAGGAAAAGAGGAAUAUGGGGUGUGUGGGUGAUGAUGGAGGGAAGUUUUUUCCCAUGAGUGAAGUAAUUUCCGAUUUUGAUCCUCAAUAGUACAUCAUGCACCAUGCAUAUGCUCAAAUUUAACAGGAAAUGUUAACAAAACUUACGGCAUGAUAAUUUAUCUUAACGAAACUAAAAUUGAAGGACCACAUGAACGAUUUUGGAAAUUGAGGGACCAAAAUGCGAAUCUUUGACCAUUAGACAUAAAACCCCUUUAGUUUUAGUAGAGUUUUGGUUUGAGAAUGAGUGAUGAUGAGUUUGGGCUUUGCAGUGCAUAUGAUACAUGGUUAGGUUGCCCUUUGUGUUUCGGUUUCGGCCAUAUAACCACCCCCCCAACCCUAUAAUAAAACAGAUCACAACACACAAGGCAAAGGAAUGCAGAAGCUGCAGUUUGUUUAUUUUCCUAGCCAAAGUAAAGUUUAUUUCAACUCCAAAAGGUUUGAAUGGUCUCUGCAUAUUUGGAAAGAUGCUGAGAGCAUCCUCUGUACGCACUGCUAUUAUAUGGCUCUGAUUCUUAUGCAUGCGAUGCGAGCCAGAGAGAGAGUGAGAAUAGUACUGAUCGAUGAAGGGUGCGAGUGUGGCAGUGUUUAUAAUUAUGAAUGGAGUUUGUUUGUGUCUGUGUGUUUGGAGACGUUGAGAGCGACUUCUGAAUCUGUCAUUAACCCCCCGGCCUUACAACAGUUGGAACUGAAAACCAUGGUGCUCCCUUUUUCAUUCGCAUUUAUAUCUCACCAUACACCAGAAUACCAGUCAUCAGAAACAAAUUUAAGGACUAUCUGAUCUGAACUCAUCUCUCUCUCUCUCUCUCUCUCCUUUGCAUAUAUAUAUAUAUAUAUAUAUAUAUAUAUGAAAAGAAAAGAUUUUAGGUUUUAAAUUUGGGUCAGUACGUAUUAUAUAUUCUUUAAUGCUGGCCCCGGCAACAACUGGAGAGUCACCUCCAUUAUGAUCUUCUUCAAAUAGUCCAAACAGAAAACGCUAAGCUACUUCUAAAGUUACUCAGGGAUCCAAGACAAAACCACAGGCCACCAUCUCUUUCAAUUAAUGAUCAAUAUACGUACAUAUAUAUAGUUACAAACCAUGGAGUGAUGAUAUUGUUGAGAAAGUUAACCUGAUCCAUUAACACUUAUUAACCUAAUCAAGGUAAAUGAAUGAUCAGUAUAUUCAGUAACAAAACCAUGCAUUAUAUAAAUAUAUAUAUAUAUAUAUAUAUGAUCGAUAGUGAUCUACAUUUACCACAUUAAUAAAUGAACAAAUAACAUCACACGAAUUGCACGAUCCAUACAACACUCGUCUACUCAUGAUGGGCCUGAUUCUAUUACCCCAAUAACCAGCUUGUUAUAUGCUAGAUAAUAUGAUCGAUCAAAAGAAAAGAAGAAAAAGGUUUACAUAAAGAUCUGAGGAUGGGAAAUAGCUAGCACUGGCAGGAAACCUACUAGGGGUUAAUUAUCAGGUUUUGCAUGAUGAGGUCGAAUAUUAUUAUUGUCUAAUGGAUCACCUUCUGAUGUUAUAGCCGAUGACAUGUAACUGAGUACCAGAGAAUGAUUGAUUGCCUCGUGCGUAGGGGUUGGGGUUGCCCUUGAUCUUGUUGUUGGAUGAUCAGCUUGAAUGAAUUGUUGCUUGCAAGCAUGGCAAGUGAUUUGGAGAAUGGUGGAGUUCACUUUCUUGAUGGCUUGCUCCUUCAAAGCCUGAGCUUUGUCUAAUUCAGCUUGUGCUUGUUGCCUUAUUCUCUUGGCAUUUGCAAACUCCUUCUCGGCCAGUUCAAUCUGAUGCUCCGCUUGCCGCCUGGCCUCUUCAGCAUAAGCCUUUUCUGCCAUGGCAAGCCUUAACUGCUCUCGUGCUUCUUCUUUCAGCCUUGACGAUGCUGCCGAUAUGGAUAUCCCAGCUGAAGGUUUUGGUUUCUGAUCGUCAUCAUGCUCAUGAUGAUUGGUAGUGGUGCUGCUGCUUUCCCUUUCCCUCAUCUCCUUGUCCCUCGGAGAGUAAUUUCUAUUUGUGAUCAUAAAGUUCGAGUGUUCAACGUUUUUAUUCUGAUGAAGUUCACCGCCACCAAAAUCACAUGACCCAAUUGAGAGCUGCAGCUGGGUGGAAUGGUUUUCUUCUCUCUUAGAGGAAACCGAUGAGACUUCGUUGAUGGGAAUAUUAUUGGAUGUUGUUGCCAGCUGAAGAUCCAAAUUGUAGAGUGCCUUGUUGGAUACUAAUGUAGGUUGAAGAUGAUCAGGAUGAGCAGGAGGACUAGUACUACUAGUUAAGAUUAAUUUGGUGUACUCGGUUGGGUUCGGAUGUGGUAGCACCAAAUUAGAUGGAGGAGGCCAAUUGGGAGGAGCCCUGCUGAAAUUGUUGUCACUGCAGGAUGGGCUGGGACUUGAAGCUGUUCUUGACAAGCAUGCGGCCGGCUGCAGUGCUUGUGAUUCUGACCGCACACGAUCCAUAUUGCAGGCAUCUUGGUGUUCUAUGAAACUCUCAACCCUAUGAAAGUAAAAAUAAAUUUAAACGAAGUAUUCAUUAAUUAAAUUUGUAAUUCUAAUAAAGAUAUUGUAGUUAAUAUUUAAUUAGCAGCUUUUAACAUAUAUAUACAGUUAUAUGGGGAUGAUAGAGAGCUAAGGAAGAGAUAUGAGGAUAUUUAUAUGUUCAUUAAAAUUUAAGAAUGAAAACAUGUUAAUUAAUCACACCUUAAAAGCUACUCGAUAUUAUCAUGCACCCACGGAAAUAUUUGACAAUGGCAUUUACAUAUAAUAAUACUUGGGGGUCAGCAGUAGUAGCCGUUUUACGUCUUGGGAUGCAAAAAAAAAACAAGAAAAAAACAAAAAAGAAGAAGCAAAACAUCUCUCCACAUAGCAUAGAAUAGAUGAUGUUCAUCUUCGGGAAAUGUGUUGAAACGAAAGCAGUAGUUAACAACUUGAUCAAGGUUCCGUCAAGUUCCUUCAGUCAAAGAGGACCAAAAACCUUUUUUGUGUUUCUUUACUUUUUCAAAGUCAAACCCAAUUAACAAAAAGAGCUUUGGAAGGCAAGGUGAUCAAUUCAAUUUGAAUAGAUAUGAUGAUGCGUUUUUGAAUUUGCCAUAUGAAAUUAAUCAUGAUAUAUCUCAUCUCAUAUAUAUAUAUAUAUAUAUAUGUAUAAAUAAAAAAUAAAAAACCUUGAUAUGUGUACAAUUAUAUAUUAAUUGAAAGACGAUCGAAGAAAUGAAUAAAAACCUUGAGAAAACACGGCCGCAGUCGCAAGAAUGGCCUCUGGUGCCGCAAGUUUUGAGAUGGGCUUUGUAAUCGGAUUGAACUGCGUAACCUUUGGAGCACUUGUCGCAAACCCAUUGCUUGUGAUUGCUGUGCUUUCUUCUGAAGUGCUUCUUGAUGCCAACAAGAUCACCGAGGGCGUGGCAGGGGUCAUGGUGCAGGCAGCUUGGCUCUGGGCACACGAACACCCUCUUCUUUACGACCGGAGUCUCUCGCUUCAACAGCUUCCAAGGCACCUUGUGCCGUCUCCUGUGCAUCUGCAGGUUCUGGUCUCUCUGAAAUCCUUGGUUGCAGAUCUCACAAACGUAACGAUCCGAUUCCAGUAAGGUUUUCGGUGAAAGAGACACCACCUCCGCAUCUGGAUCUAUUUUAUUAUAUAAUAUAUUAAUACAGUUAUAUAUCACACCGCCAAAUUAAGCAUAAAAUUACACCAGGGAGAACAAAAGAACUCAAACAUGAAUAUAUAAGUACCUGGAGUUCCUGCAGGUCUUCUUUUCCUUUUAUUGGUAUUGCCAUUUUCUAAGCAAGAAAAGGGCUCAGAAGAAGGAACUGAGGAAGAAGAGUUAUUGGGUAACAUAGCGCUUGGUGAAUUAUCAACUCUGAUCUCCUCUGUAGUAAAUCACUCGCUUCUCUAUAAUAUAAGAUGCAAAGCGAUCUCUCUCUCUCUAAUUGAAGUUUAAUAUAAUUGAAAGUAAUAGGGUGAUAUUGGGGAAGAGGUGGGGGAGAGAGAAGAUGGAGCUACAAAGGCUACAAGGGACAUGGGGAGGGAGGAGGGGGAAAAAAAGCUAAUCUUUCUUUCUUUCGGUUACCUCAUGCUAUCUAUCAGCUUUCUUUUAUUUAUCUUUUCAACUCUCUCAGCUUUUGGAAACAACCAGCUUUCUCUUCUUUCUUUCUUCCAACGCUCAUCUUCAUCAGCUAUUCUUGUGUAGCGUCUGUCCUUAAUAAACACCUUCUAAAGGAAGGAGAGAGAAAAAGAGAGAGAGGGAGAGAGAGGAAGAAAUUAGAGAUCCAAUCACAAAGCUCGAAACUCGAUCCCACAAGCAGCAAUGGGCUCCAUAAGGAAAAACAUCCCCACAAAGAAACAAAACACACUCAUAAUUCAUUCACAGUAAAAAUUUCAUUUGCUAUUUGCAAUUUGCAAUUUGCAAUUUGCAUGCAUUAAUACAGACCAAGCUCCAAAUAUACACGUAAGCCUUGCCUCUCCUCUCCUCCACUCCAUUUUUCAUUUUUCAUUUUUCAUUUUUCAUUUUUCUAUCUCCAUCCAUAUAUUAUAAAUACAUACACAUACUCUGAUUUAUUGACCGGAGUACCCCUUUCUCCUCAAUGUGCAGAAAUGUGCAGAUAGUCUGAUUUAUUAAUUUUGGAAGCAGCUUUUAUAAAGGUGCUGCUCAGGAUGUGAUGUCACGCUCAGGGGCAUACUAGUCAAUGAAAUCAUAAUUCUCUGUGCAAGAUGCUAUUACUUUUUGGUGAACUGAGUGCAUCACCAAAUAGUGAGUUCAAAUUGGCAGCAUUGGCUUUUCUUUUCUGGAUCAAUCUGGGUUUUUUUUUUUCACCGAGAAACAUGCUACAAGUAUAUACUAACUGAUAAAAAACAAUGAGUUAACGCCUCACCGAAUUAUAAUUUAUAUCUACGGUUGAUGAGUGGAAGGUUAAAGAGUUUGAAAAAAUAGAUCGUAACUGAUAAAAACAGUAAUCAUUUAGAUUUGACUGGUUUUGAUCAUAUGAUUCCCAAAAGCGGUAAUUAUAGUUAAAAGUAUUUUCAUUUUCAGAUGAUGUUUACACAAUUAAUUAUGAAAACGAUUGAUUUAUGGACAGUGUUGAUGUAAAGACACACAAUGAUCUAUUGCCCUCUCAAUGCCUUGAAAGAUUGCAACUUGUCCUUUAAUACAAUUUUUUUUUUUUGGUUUGUCCUUUAAUACAAUCAAUUUAUUUUUAUAAAAAUCAAUCACAAAUGAGUAGUAGUAAGCUUGUUCCUCAUCAUAUCUUAGGUUUACAAAUGCGACCAAAAUUAAUUAUGUAAUAUUAUACGGAUAAAUGGCGUAUUGAAACCACUGUACGUAUGUACUUAUGCAAUAUUAUAUUAUACUAUGAGAAACCUUGUUCGUCUUGCAAUUGGAAAGACACAUGAGCAUAUCAUACCACAUCAUUAUGGACGUUAGAUACAAAAAAAGAAGAAGAUGGAUUAAGGAAUAUUAAUGAAUAAAUUUGUACGGAUAGAAAGAGGGGGAGGAGUUGAUUAUAUAUAUAAUUUAUUGACAAAAGAUCUAAUUAAGAAAGUGAAACUUAGACAGCAGAAAUAAGGCUCUCCUGUUUGGUGGUUGCCUGCCGGGCCCAAAAAAAAAAAAUUUGGGACCCAUCUCAAUACUCAACUCAACCAUAAUAUUCAUCACCUCAACUCCUGAUCAACCUCACCUCCCUUACCUUCUAUAUAUGGAUUAAUUAUAUCGGAAGCUAACAAGUCCUAAUUAUAGAAAAGUAGAAAAUAACCAGACACAUGACCCAUGUAACCAUGUUUAUAAAUUAUAUAUAUAUGUAUGUGUGUGUUCGAUAAAGCAGAAAAGACGAGACAGACGAGUCUUGUUUGAUAGGCUUCAUACAAUAAUUAUAUAGUUAGAUUUGUUAUAAAUUGAUUAGUAUAUACAGUGACGAAUAAUUUAAUGCAUAAGGAAAGUAUGAUUAGAUUCGGGAUCGAGAACACAAUGGGCAAGAUGAUUGCCAAGGACAUUCUCUUGUGAGGCUGCAUGUGUUAAGAAUCUAAAUCCCAUCAUCCCCCCAUUCCUUCUACACUAUAAACAAUUAACAAAGUUAAUUUUCCAUUUUAUAUAUAUGUAUAUAUAGGACAGGAGCAGCUUUGUUUUUCUGGUUCAUUAUUAUCUCUCUCUCUCUCUCUCUCUCUCUCUCUCUCUCUCUCUCUCUCUCUCUCAGAGGGAUGAAUUGAGAAUGGGUUGAGGUGGGGUCGAAACCAAGUGGCUGCAGACUCAUAUUCUUUCAGGUUGGCCCAGUUCCAUGAAAAAAAUGCUUCACAAGCCUACCAGUAAUUAAUUUAUACAAUUAUAUAAGACAAAAAAGAAAUGAAACAUGAAAACGAAUAAACCCUCUAUCAAAUAAAGUAAUAAACCAUGCAUGUAUUAAACUUAUAUGCAGUGAUGGAUUUAUAAUUUUCUCUUGUUUUUUUUUUUUUUUAUAGGACUGGAAAAACCAUACCUGCCGAAGUCUCUUUUUUAGACAUUUCAUCCAACACAUUCGUAUAUGCAAUAGGUUGGUCACUUAUGAAAGCUAGUGAUUGAUUUGGGUCGAAGAUCAUUUAAAUAAAAAUGUUUAAUGAAGGCUUAGGCAACCUUAAGUUAAAUAUGGGCAUGCAUGCAUGUUUAAAACGGGGCAAAGUUUGAGGAUUUAAAUAUUUAUAUGAUGUAGAAUAUGUGGUGGAAGCAAUUAAAGAGGAGUUGGAAAGACGUGUGAGCAAGGGUAAAUCGGGCAAACUGCAUAUUUGGAUUCUGAGCUCAAAAUUGAGCCCAGACCUGUCAAUUCGAAGAGAACAGCGUCACGAAUAAAACUCAUAGCUUUGCCAAGAUAUAUGGACUUUUUCAAGCAUCUAAGAUCAUUUAGCAGCCCAAAGUCCAAUUUUUAUGUUUUUACAUUUUUGGGAAACUUUGUUAUUUUUUCUAUUUUAAUUCCUUGUUUAUUCAUAGGGUUCCUAUCGGUAUUUGAACAGAUUUAUUCGUGACUAGGGUUAUAUUUUGUUAUUCCAAUUUAUCAAUAAAUCUUGAGGUUUCCUCAUAUCUUCCUGGUGGAUUCUAGAAUGACAUGUUCUAGGCUAAAACUUUAGUCAUUCUUUGUCGCGCUGCAUCAUUAUGAGUCGUCUAUAUAUAUGAAUAUUGUAUGUAUAAUUCAAAUCAAAUGUAAGAUAGAUCAGAUCAUCAUCAGAUAUAUAAGGAUGUGGUGGUGAGGGUAUGAAUGAAUGAAUGAAUGAAUGUUUGGGUGAAUAAUGGUAUCUCUGUCGUCUAAUAAUUUCAUGAUGGGUGGGCAGAGGCAAUGGGGUCCCCUAUUACACUGUUUCCCGAUGCCCUUGUCCCUUUUGUAUUUGUUUGUAUUAUAAGCUCCCCUCCUCUGCUGCUGACCAAGCUGACAAUAUACCCGACCAAUAUUAUAACAUGGAUCUUUCAUUUCAUUCACUUGUUUCGCAGAAUUUUGGUAUAUAUGAUAAAAAUAUUUUAAAUUGAUAUAUAAAAUCUAUUAUAUCUGACUACUUGUUUUCUUCUGUGUUCUCUCUGUUUAUAAUUUUAUUAUUAUUUCCUCUUAGUUAUGAGUUAAACAUGUAUUUUUUAUUUUUUAAGUCGAAAACAGGUAAUUAAGCUAAUUAAGUUUGGUUAAGCAACAUUCAGGUACAUGGCACAAGGUUAUGUAGAUAUGCUGAUUCCACAAGCAUUACUGAAAUGCUGGUAUUUGCAAUUCCCUUUCCAGCUAGCUACUCCCUCUCUCACUCUCUCUCUCUCUCUCUCUCUCUCUCUCUCUCUCCCCCUCUCUCCCCGCAUCAGAUGUUUUGUGUACAGGCAGGGCAUCUUUAAUUUAAGGCAUUCUCUCUCUCUCUCUCUCUCUCUCUCUCUCUCUCUCUCUCUCUGUGCGACUAAAACACUAUGAGAAAUAUUCUUUGCAUAUAUACAUAUAUAUUUGUAGUUCUGGAAAGGGGUGAAUAGAUAAGCAUGCAUCAAAACUACUAUAUUGCUUAAUUGUCCCAGAUGCAAUUUUCCGAAUAGCUAAUGAAGUGUGAAAAGUAAAAGUAACACACACUUGCACCUGCUGCAUAUACCCAACAUAAAAAUGUGUGAGUGGAGUGUGCGUCUGCGUGUUACAGAGAGAGAGAGAGAGAGAGAGAGAGAGAGAGAGAGAGAGAGAGAGAGAUACAUUAUUUUACUUUAAGGUUUCAGAACAGAUCAUGUUCAUCCUUUGAUACUUAAACUAAACAAGCAGAUCAAACAUGGAUUUCAUCUGCACGUGCAAGUGCACCGUGAAAUACCGACACCAAUUAAAAAGCUCUGUAUAUAUUAUAAGAUGUAGAAAUAAACCAGCAGAGCGAGCAACCCCCUGCAGCUUUUUCGCACCUUCUUUGAAGAAACUUAUUGAUUGUAGAAAGCUGAAAGCAAAAAGAUAUGGUUGAUCCUUCGUAUAUGUAUAUUCAUCAUUGCAUCACGUUACUCAGAAUACAUAUAUAUCUAAUGCAUACGGUUUCUUUUUCUUUUCUUUUCUUUUUUUGGGUUCGGAAGAAGCAUAUGCAUAUAUGUAAUGUAAUAUGUUACAACGUAAAUAAAGGGGAGGCUCUCCUCCCCUGCCUCUGGUCUCAGGUCUCAGGGGAGCUUGUUUAAUUAUAAGUGUAUGUAUAAAUUCUCGACGUAAUCUUACAUAAUUUGUAAGAAUUCACUGUCAAUUGCCAUACAGAUGGGACUGUAAUAUUGCAGAGUUUUGUUAUUUACUGCAUGUAUAUACAUGUCAUAUAUUAUAUACGUGACUGAUGAUGACAGACUAGCAAGCAAGCAGAAGGGAUGAGAAUCAAUAUUCGUGCACUACGAGCAGGAGGAGCGCAUAAGCAUGAUGUUACUGGUGGACUGGGAUUGUCCCAUCUCUAAACAUAAGGACAAAACCCUUAGAUGCCUUACACGUGUACCAGCAGCCGUCAAACUCAAAUAUAUAUAUACAUAUGAUCAAUUGAUGAGGGGCGCAGGGGGCCAUAGAUCCCUCAAUUUCAAUAUGUAGCUAGCUAGCUUAGAUGUAUAUAUCCUGUAUUUUCACACCACAAGAGAGAGACAGAGAGAGAGAGACAGAGAAUCAAGAGACUGAUUGGAGUCUAGCUGUCAGCAUCAUAUACAUAUAUAUAUACAGUGAAGAGAGAGAGAGAGAGAGAGAGAGAGAGAGAGAGAGAGAGAGGAUAGACAUGGACAUUUGGAGUUGGGCCGAGGAUUCUGUUGGUCGGCUGAUAAUGAAGCAGGCAGUGACUCGGUGACGCAGAGCCCUCCAAGACUCGCAACUGCUGAUCAAGUAAGUUUGCCUUGGAGUGGAGCUAGCUAAAGCUAAGCCACCUUGCACUUUGCACUUUGAAGGAAGGAAGGGUCCCCUCCCCCUUUAACUUCAAGGGCCAAUUUUAAAUAAUUUCCUGUUACUUUCCUUUCCCUUGUCAUCUCUUAUUAGCAACACUCAUACUCAAACCCUACUUCCUUGGCUUCUUCUUAUUCCUUUCAGAAGUUUCCCUUGUCAUUUUCGUCCUUCUUUAUAUUCUUCAAGAUAUCAUAAUAUUGUACACACCCGCCUCAAUACAGUAGCUGCAUAUUUUUCUAAUUUAUUCAAGUUAACAGUGUUAUGUUGAAGAUAUUAACAGUGUUAUGUUGAAGAUAAGUGUUUGAACACGUGUCGAAAAAUUAUACGAGAAACACAAAGAGAAACGUAUGGAAAAUAAAGACAACGCAAAGAGAAACGUAUGGAAAAUGAGGACAACGAUCCCGUCCCUUGUUAUGUUGGAAUUAGCGACUGUAAAAAAUGAUCAUAAGAAACAUGGUCUAAUAAUUUAUACAGUGAGCAAAUUAAUAAUAAUAAAAAAUAUAAAUAUAACGAAAGAAAUGAAAAGAAUGGGCAUACUUAAAUAAAUAAUUGUACUAGCUAGUGUCUUAAUUAUUUAAAGGGCCACGUAGCAAUAAUUAAUUUUGAUAUAUGUGUGUAGUAAAAAAGGCAUUGGAAGCAUGCAUGUCCCGAUUGAAGGCAUAUCUCUCGAUCAUGUUGUCAUAUUGAUGGUAUCCUCUCCUGCCUUCCUCUUUCUUUUGUUCCCUUGUUACUCGUAAUAAUUUAUUAAUACAUAUGUAUAUGGACAAACAUAUAAAGAGAUUUCAAGAAUUAAUUCAAGGCUACAAACAAAGCAAGAUAUAUACAUGUCAAUUUCGUUGGUCAAUACAUACAGCUUUAAUUUGCUCGAGACAAACACAUGUUGUUGAAUCAUCAUUGUAUCAAGAGAUCAACAAGGGAGGUGUGGGAUGUUGGUUCAUUGCCAUUUACUUGUUGUCUAUAUUUUCAAGGUAAAUCCCCUUCUCAAAGAUAUCAAAAGUCUUUACAAUUUCUUUUAAAGAAUUUAAAUAAUAAUUUUGUUUUUGUUUUUUGGUUUUUGGUUUUUGGUUUUUGUCUAGAUAAUUAAUUAAAUUGUCACAAGAUGGAUGUUGAUCAUAAUGCUCUCCGUCGCUAGUAGACACAAAAGAAUGGUGGGUUGGGGUAAAGGGGGCUUUGCAGUUUGCAAUAUUAAAAAAGCUAAAGACUAGUUUCAGGACCCAUAAUGGACAUGAACCAAACAAGAAAGAGACAGAUAUCAAUAGAUUUCCAGUGAAUUCUUUCCAAAGGUUUGUCACUUGCUCACAAAAAAGCGAUCGAGUCUUUUUUCUUUUUCCCAACAUAUAAGUUAGUUUUGGUAAGCUAGGUUGAAGCUUCCUUCCCAACUCAACUUCAACCCCCUUUCCUUAGAACAUGAUUCCUUCUUUCUUUUAUUCUUGCCAACGAGGAAAAAUAAAAAUUAAUUAACGUGGGUUGAAGAAGUAAACGGACGUACAAUAAUGAAUAAUAAUCUAGCAGCUAGUAGGACAUGGGAGCGUGGGUUGUUGUUUCUCUCUUUUUCUUUCUUCUAGUUUCUUUUUUCUCUUCUUUUCAUCCCCCUUUUCUCUUUGUUAUAUCUUUUUGGUUGUGAUGAUGUGUACCCUUUUAUAGGAAGAUGACCUUUUAGUCUCCAUGUGCCUCUCCUCUCUCCUCUCCUCUCUCCCCUCUCUCCUCUCCCCUCUCCAUCCCCUUCAACCAGGCUUCAGGGCUUUCAAACCGUGCUAGUGCUAGUGCUAGUGCUAGUGCUAUUGGAUCCUCUCACACGAAAGACAAAUAUCCAAAAAGUAGGAGGAUCUACUUACCCGGAAGUGAACCAAAGUAUCACAAAAUCGAGGCAAAACCAUGUGACACGUGUUCCCGCACCCUGUCACUUGUUGUAUGUGUCAUCAUCUGGCAGGAAAAAUAAUAGAAUUUGGAUGCUCCCGUGGGUUGUGUAGGAAAGUAAAGAAAAGCAAACAUAAAGUGAUCUCACCCCCCCCCCCCCCCCCCCCCCCCCCGAACCCAAUAGAAGUUGUAAUGUAAGUGGUAACCUAACCUCUCACAUACACACGCCAGAAAAAAAGGAAAGAGAGAGAGAGAGAAUAAAGAUAACAAUUAACAAAGGUGGUAUGGUAUUUACAACCAAAAAGCUUCCAUACAUGAGUGUGAUAUAUGCUUUGCAGGGAAAGAUCUAAAGGCCAUGGAUUUUGUUAACCCAUAUAUGAUAUAUGUUUCUCUCUCAUUUCCAUUUGAAGUUAUCAGAGAUAUAUAAAAUAAUCAUCAAAAGUUGGCCCAACAAACCCUAAUCAUCAAUUUUUUUUCUUCUUUUUUUUGCAAGUAGGGUGUAGGGAGGGACCCGUUCAUUUGGCAUCUUUUUAAUCCAUACAUUACAUACAUACCCCCUUAUAAUUUCUCUUACAAACAAAGUUGAUAAUAAUAUAUAUCGAUUGGCCACCAAAAAAUAAAAAAUAAAAAAUAAAAAAAGUUGAUAAUAAUAUAUCGAUAACUGAAGAAACAAGGCAUGUGAGUGGGGAAGACUUGAUCUUUAAAAUCCAAAAAGAGAAGUCUGCCUGUGCAAGUCCAAAAGUCAAAGCGUCAAAUCCAAAAGAUAAAAGCCCACUUCUUUAUUAAAAAGGAACCAACGACAAGAUCCAUUAUGAUUAUAUAUGCAUACAUUACAAUUUACAUUGUAGGUGUAGCCUUCAUUUCACGUAAUCAGUAAAAUUGAGUUCAUGGUCCUUUCCUAUAUCUAUCUCCCAUCCUAUGUCACAAUCACACCUUCAAUUUCGUUUUCUCAUUUCACAAUCACGGCUUCAGGGUUUGCCACAGAAAUACUGUGGGCUACAUAAGCCCAAACCACUGGCUUGCUUGCAAAUGGCCCACGGACUUGAUCUUUUUUUAUUUAUUAUUUAUUUCUCCCAAAUGCUAUAAAUUAGUUGUGUGUAUGUGCGUGAGAAAUCUUCCUCCCCUUUAGUUUAGACUAUUGCUUUUGCUUGGAAGAAACACCACAUGCUUGAAUUUGAAUUCCGAAAAUAACAACAUAGGGCUAUAGUAGCAGAGUGAAUUACAAAGAAAGAAGACUAAAUAGAUGUUGGUUUUCCCCCUUUGUUACAUAAGUGAAGUGGAAAUUAAACAAAUAACAUAGAUAAUGAACCCCAAAAAUGAAUGGAUGAGCUGUUACAUGAUCUUUUUAUUCAACUUCCGGCUUCCUGUAGGUAGGUAGGAAGUAUAUAUAUUUGAUUAAAGAAAGAUUAAUCUUAAUUAACCGAAGAAACCUCUAUUUGAAGUUCGAUUGAUGGAGGAAAGCACUGAAAUCACAGCCAUGCAAAUGGCUCCCACCAACAAAACUCCGGUAGCAAUAUUUGCCCUGUUAAAGAAAGCAUUAUCCUUGGAUUGUUCUUCAUCCAAACUUACAGGAUCCUCGCCUAGUGCUAAAAGCAGUAGAAAUAAAUCAUUGAGGACUCUUUUGAACUCAAAACCCACACCAAAACCAGCACCCACGCCCGAAGCUAGAACCAAGCUAACCAACUGGAUGCACACAACACACAUUUCCAUGUCAUCAUGUCAUCAUGUCAUCAAGCAAAAAUUAAUCUUAUAAUGAUUACUCAAUAACACUUGUGAUUAGCUAGCUUUCUAAUUAUUAGAGUGAUUUUCCGAACCUUGUCUGCAUAGAAAUCAAACUCAGGCAUGCAUCCGUGGCGUAUCAACCUCUUUUGGGCGCAGGCAUAGUAUAUAUCAAAAGGUAACUGUAUUAACGUGUAAGCUGCUCCAAUUGCUGCUGUAGCAAGCACGAACCUGCACCCAUUUUUAAUCAUGCAAACACAUACAUUAAUUAUAUAUUAUUUAACAAAAUCCGUCGUCCGGAAAAAUUAAUUAAGAAGAAUAAAAAACAAAAGAUGGAUGAACAAAUGAUACGUGCCUGUAUGCAUGAAUAUCCUGAAAAUGCUGUUGGGUGCCAUCUUGAAGUGUGAAGUGGUCGGUAACCAGCACGACAACUGAAGCAACUAAGGCUAAAAGAGUGACGAUCCUCAACACAAGAAUUGAGGAAGGAAUAGCUUUAGAAGCCAUUGAUGAUACUAAUUAUCAAUAUUAACUAGUGUCUAUUGCAUCACACUUGUAAGUUGUACGCACGUAGCGUGUAAUUAAUUGUGAUACUUGCUUAAACGCGGCUAGACCUAGUCUUUCAAUUUAUAAAGAAACAAACAGCGUCUCUGUCUCUCUCUGUGUCUCUUUCUCGUGAAUGUCGUAGUUUGUCUGGUUUGUAUUUGUUAUGGUGCAAAGUGACGGCCUUUGACCAACCAAUGGCCGGAUGUUCAAACAAAGGGCAUAUAAUUUGGUUGCAUAAAAAAAUAUGCAAGAAAUGCGACGAACGGCCGGGCUGAUAUAGUUAGGCUAGCUCUUCCUUGUUUUUAACUUAACUGCAUAUCAAGACAAUAAUGUUGUCUUUUGAUGAUACAAACUACAACGUUUAUACAACAUCUCUAAAUGUAUCCCCAGAACUUUGUCUCAAUAUACAAAAUAAUAAAAAAGAUGUUGCAAAUAACAGCUAGGAGAUGGGAUUUAUAUAGAGAGGUACCCAGUUUAAUGCGCCUAUUUGUUUUUGGGAGCUAGCUGUUAUGUUUAUAGUAUACAAAACAGAACUUUGAUAUUAUGUUUGGUGAGACGGAGUAGAGAGGAGCUUUAGAUCCAGUUGAAUUUUGUUUGAGGUUUGGGCAAUAGGAAUAGGAUAAUUUGUGUUCUUGUUAUUGUUGGAACUCUGUAGAGAGAGACUACUAUAAUGCUUAAGCAACUCAUGGCCUACGCACAAUAAAAGUCAAAUAAACAAUAAUUAUAUGUACGAAAUAGAGCCUUAUUUCGAGAAAUUUUUGUAUGUUCGAAGUGGCUAUACUCGAUUUUAAAAGAAAAAAAGGAUCACACUAUAUAUAAAAAGCGUGGCUAUACUAUUUACUAUUUAUUAAAAUAAAAUAAAACCCUAAUAAAAUAAAAUAAAACAAAAAACCCAGUACAGCCGUGCGGCUAUACUAUUUCUCAAAAAUAAACAUUAAAAAAUCUAGUCUCGCCGCCCGGCUAUGCUAUUGUUUAAGAAACAUUAAUCAAAACCGCGUAUAGCCGGACGGCUAUACGGCUAUACUACUUCUUAAAACAAAUUUAAAAACCGGGUAUAGCCGAGAGGCUAUACUAUAUAUAUAUAUAUAUAUAUAUAUAAAGACCCGCCCAGCACGUAGCGCCACGUGCCAAACCAGUAAAGCCGGUCGGCUAUACUGUUUUUAAAAACUUAAAAAAGGAAUAUAGCCGAACGGCUAGACCAUUUUUAACAAAAAUUAGGAUCAAACCGGGUCUAGCCGUUCGGUUGUACUUUUCUUUUUCAAAUAAAACCGAGUAUAGCAUGACGGCUAUACUAUUUUAAAAAAAAUAAAAAAAGGAACGUGUAUAGCCGUGCGGCUAUAUUCGUUUUUAAAAAACCAGUAUUGCCCGGCGGCUCUACUCGCUUUUUUUUUUUUUAAUAUUCUGGCGAAUCGGAAUCGGACUCGAACUCAUCACUACGAACGUCUAGGGCACAGAGCAAGCCCGUUCCAAGUUUUGAGCAGUGUUCGAGAUAUCGGCCUAGGCACUAGGCGGGAGGACACCGACACCAGGGAGUUAGGGGGGCCUAGGCUGCCCGGGAGGAUCUAGGCGGCGCCUAGGCUGCCUGGGCGGAUCUAGGCGGCCUGGGCCGGUCGUGUCCUUUUUUUUUUCCAAAUGAAGACAGACGAAGCUUGCUGGUGCGAAGGAGCAAAGGUGACAUGUAUAUAGUGUGUGAGAAGGAGGAAAGGUAACAUAAAAUAAGGAAAGGCAACAUAAAAUAAGGAAAGGCAUAAGAAAUGAGGGGUUUGUUUCAUGUGGAGUGAAAAAGGAAUUGAUAGAAAACUGUGUUUCUGUUGUUGAGAGAGUGAGAAUUGGGAGGCAAAUGAAGAGGGAAUGAGAGAUUUAUAAUUCCUGGCGGUCUUGGUUGGGGUAAAGAAAAGGAAAGGAUAAAUUAGUCGUCAACACGCAUGCAGGGAGAUGUCGGUUAGUGGAGGGAGGCGCAUUGGCAUUGCUCACCAAUGCCUUUCUGCUUUAUUGAUUUCUUUCUAGUACUAGAAGCCUAAUGUUACUGUCUAAGAAAGAAAGGUCUCUUGGAGCUUUAUAACUGGCUUCAAGGGCAUCUUCCAGCUACUAUGACAGUGGACCUUGAAAUGUAUUUUGUAGAAUGUGUUGACUUAGCCAAAUCCUUCAUCCAACUGUAUAUCAAAGAGGUAUGUCUUCUUUAUCUUUGAAACUAGGAGUUUUUUUGUCUAUGUUUAUAUGCAGCGUGAUAUAAGCAAAAUAGGCAAUCUAUUCACCCAGACCCAAAAAAAGAAAAAUUGUAUCCUUAUUUUGUUUUGUCUAUCUGAAUGCAUCAUCUUAUUCAACAUUUUCACGUACUAAAAUUGCAGUUCUGUAUUCUUCAUUUGUCGUAUUUUUCUUGCAGUUUUUUAGACUCAUGUCCUCAUUUCUUGGCUUGUUUUUGAACUGUAGGAUGAUGUAUUAUUCAAAGUGCUCUUGCAUCUGCUUUGUGUACCUUGUUGUGCAGAACAGUAAGGAAUUAAUUUCCUAGUUUUCCAUUGUUUUAAAAGUUAUCGUCAUGGAUUCCUUUUAACAAGAUUUUUGGGUUUAUAUAGGGAUGAAAAGGAAAAGAUUGCAUUGGAGGAUUGGAAUGGCAAUUUACUUUUCCGUGUCUCAGAUCUUUUCAAUCCUGUACUCUUGUUCCAUCUUUUCCUAUCAGAGGCAAGAUGCUCCCUCUUGGACAUUUACAUAUCUGCAUUUCCACUUCGGCAUGCCUCCUAGUUGUUAAUUUGAAGCAUAUGGUAUUGCAGAAUAAAAAAGAAUCACUGACAUUGUGCACUUUCUUUUUUCUUCCUAUUUUGCAGUUGAGCUAUGACCAUCAGGUGCUUCUUGAUUACCUUAUUUCAAAAAACCAUGUUGUUUGACUUUCUCAAGCUCUCUCACAUGCAGGAUCCUAACUACUUUGAGAUUGAUAUGGACAUUCAUCUCUUCAGCUACAUAUCAAGGAAGGGUCUCAAAUUGUUGUGAGAACGUCCUUAAAAACGGAAUAGCCGAGCGGCUAUACUUGUAAAAUAUUAUAUUUAUGGUGUGUAGUCACUCUAAAAUAUUCUUUUUAUGGAGUAUAGUCGCGCGGCCAUAAUUUUAAAAUAUUCUUUUUACGGAAUAUAGCCGUGCGGCAAUACUCUUUUUCAAAAUAGAGAAUUUAUGGAGUAUAGCCGGCUAUACUCUCUUUUAAAAUAUUCUGUUUAUGGCUUAUAGAGUAUAGCCACGCGGCUAAACUCGAUGAAGAAUAGUUGUUGGACUUGGUUGGUAAUCAUGUGCAUCAUCCAUUAUUAAUUAAUCAAGGGACCAUGCUGACUGAUGUUUGAUUUUUGCUAGUACUUUCAUGGAAGUAUUUUUGCUGAUGUUUGAUCAUGUGUACUAUAUUAUUAUUAAUCCACAAUUUCCCAAGCGAGAACCUCAAAGUCAUAGCUGCAACUGGAGGGAGACUCCUUAAUUACUUAAUUAGUAGCUAGCUAAGCUAGGUAUAGCUUAAUUAGCUAGUUAACUAGUACUACUGGGUGAUAAAAACAAAACUGAAUCUCUUCAAGAUCAGGAGAAUCAGCCAGUAAUGGAGGAGAAAAUUAAGAAAGUCCCAGAAGUGGUACUAAAUUCAGGGCAUAAGAUGCCCGUGCUUGCUGGGUUUAGGGACUGGUAAGUUGCCUCCAACACCAACGGAUGUCCUGCUCCCCAUUCUCAUGGACGCCAUUGAGGUAGGCUACCACCAUUUUGAUACUGCCGCUUUCUAUCAAUCCGAACAAGCCAUUGGUCGAGUUGUCGUCCAGGCGCUUGAUCUCAUCAAGAGUCGUGAUGAAAUCUUCAUUACUUCCAAGCUAUGGUGCACAGAUGCCUCCCAAUCUUAUUCUCGCUGCCCUCAACACCACACUCAAGUAAGUACUAAGUACCACUCUCUCUCUACUACUAUUACUUACUACAUAUUUAGAGCCUAUCAACAUCUGUGUAUUUGUUUGUGUUUUGUGUAUUCAACUUUUGAGUCUCUUUUCCGUAGAUUAAAUUAAUUUAGAAUAGUUUAGACUAUUGCUUGUAUUCAAAAUUAUGCAAAAAUAAAUGCAAACAAUCUUGGUAUGUAUAUCAUGAGAAGGAAGCUGGGUCUGAAGUAUGUGAGUGCGUUUUCUCCCUUGGGAGUUUAUGGAGCUUCCUCCUCGGCUACCAAUACCGGGAUAGAUUAUUAUACCAUUAUUGAGGACCCCGCUGCUGCCAAAGGGAAGACUCUGCCACAGGUAUUCCCUAUCAUUUUUAUAUAUUAAUUUAGUUGAUAAAUUUCCUGCUAUAUAUUAAUUUAGUAAUUAUAUAUUGUAUAUACAGAUCAUACUGAGAUCCAUCAUCCAGCAAGGAGCUUCAACAAGGAGAAGAUGAAGCAGAACCUUGAAAUAUUCUAUUGGGAAUUAGGUGAAGAUGAAAUGAACAAGAUCAACCAAAUUCCCCAGCGCAGGUUGUAUGCAGGAGGCUUCUUUGUUUACGAGGUUGGACCUUACAAGUCCCUCCACCAACUUUGGGAUGGCGACCCCUAGGCCCUAUCCUACCCUAGCUACCCAAAACUUCAUGAUUUUCUCUUCCAGGUUCCAUGCAUCAUCAACUAGUCUAUAUGCAUCUUAUUCUUCUGCUCUUAAAAUAAAAAUUCAAAUUAUCUUGCUUGCCAAAGAUAUGCAGACGCAAAUGGAAGCAGCAGAUCCACACAUCUCAAUCAAUUUAGCACCACAGAGUACAUAAUCUUUUCAGCUUUUACUGUUACUUCUUACACAUGCAAAAAUUAUCAACACAAGCAGACUGGUAGUUUAAUUGCAAAACUAUAUCUACAUACAUACAGAGUAAUUAAUCUCGACCACAAAUCUCUUCUUAAAAUGAUGACCAUCCACAUUUACCUCCCAAAAUUCCAAGGCUUUUCAGUAAUCAGGCGGUAACCUGUAUGUGCGAGUGAUACGGAUCUGAAGUAAAACCAAUAAAAACUCAAUUAACUUCAUAUAGAUUGGACGGUAACCUGGUUUGUUUACUGUUUGUGUUUGGGUGUAAAGUGCACAUCUAAAUUUUCUUCUCAAAGAGGAAGCUGGUUGUCUAACAUCCGCAACAUUUCAUUUGUAUUAGUUUUAAUGUGACUGUCAAGUUUGGGUCCACUACAUAAAAGACAUUUCAGCCAUGCCAAAACUAGAAAAGAUUUGUACCUGUGCAAAAGCAUAAAUUGCUCGCAAGAUUCUUGCAUAAUCAGUUCCUAGCAUUUGAAUGACCACAUCUGCCAGAAAUGUUCCCCAAAGCCUGCAUAAAAUGCCAAAAUAAAUGAAUUAAUAACAAUUGCUGGAAAAAUUCAGUAAAAUACUAAAGACCAAAAAUCUUGAAGAUCAUCAAAAGUAGCCACAAGCUGUUAUAGUUGGUGCUUGAGCACGUUUGGCUUAAUCAUCAAAAUUUGAAAAACGGGCCACUUGUGUUAUCAAAAUCUAUGUUCACGUGGGGUCUUUACAACCACAAAAUGAUGAAUCCAUUGAAACUUUAGAAGGUACGUGUUCAGUUACAGGCUUACAGCCUCAAAGCUGUUCUGUGUGAAAAAUAGAUCCAAUCCAAACCAAUUAAAGAAAGCCAGUGAUUAAUCUCAUUCUCUGUCAGCAAGGUGGAGAAAUCUGAAACUCAUUUCAAUAGGUGCAGUUUAACCAACACUGAAACAAAGAGGGGAGGGAGGAAACGAAACAACUCAACUAGGAAUUAAUCUCAAUUAAUUGGGUCAGCUACACUAGUCCUUUUUCACCCAAAAUGACUCUUGGUUACCAAGAAGUGACUAAGUUUUAUGCUGGCACCAACCUUAACUACCCAAGCGUUCCUCCUUAUUCUACUUUCUUAGAAAUUAGAAAACACAAUACAUAGACAGUUUGAUAAAGGAACAAUCAAAAUAAUACUCUCUGUGUGUUUGAUAAAGGAAAAAUCAAAUUAUUACUCUGUGUGUGUGUGUGUGUGUGUGUGUGUGAUAAAGGAACAAUCAAAAUAAUACUGUGGGCGUGUGCGCGUGUGUGCGCGUAAAAGAACCUUGCAAACGAACAAGAAAAGCAAGUUAUGGAAAUUUUAAAUAAUAACAUUUUAGAAAUUAGGUGUAGGAAGAAUCAAUACACUGGGCCGAGCAAAGCCAUCAUGCUUCUUAAGCCAAGAUAUCUUGAUGUAGCCCCUGCAAAACCCUGUCCAAAAUGACAAAUAUUAGGAAUCCUGAAAUGUGAGGAGGGGGGAAGGGGGGUGGGAGAGGAACAUAGAACACUAUUUAAACCACAAGAAUGAAAGAGGUUUCCUUGAUAUCAGCAUUUGCUACAAAUUACAACUGAUUCAGGUUUUUGUUGAAACAAUACUUAGACCGGACCAAAUAAAAAUGCCACUAGCUCAUACAAUAGUUUCUAUAUAUAUAUAUAUAAAAGAAUGCCACUAUUGCAUAAAGAAAUCAUUAGAUGCCAGUGGCAGCAAAUUGAAUCAUCAUCAGGAUAUAAUUACUUGUUUUGCUGCAAGAAAGGCCGCUCUGGACUCUAGAUUAAUAGCAGCUAAUUGUCCACCCUGAAAAUCCAGAAAGUAUGGGAAUGUCAGGGAUAAAGGUUAAUUAGAGAAAAAAAGUCAUUAAUGCUCCAUAUAGACAUGGACAUGGGAGAUGACAUGACAUGAAGACAAGGGGAAUUAAAAACUUCAAAAAAUAUCAGACACAGGAAGGACCAGAGUAAUGUAUAUCCAUGAAUGUAAAUGAAGAGGCAAAUCUUCAAAAUCUAGAGCAUGCACACUGGGAAUGGCAGGACACAAAAAUAAAAUCUAUGCACAAAGUAUGUAUGCAAAGCUUGCGUAUGUCCUAAGUGGAGUCAACAAAAUUGAGGAGUUUCCCAGUUUUUAUCCCUUCUCUCUCUCUCUCUCUCUCUCUCUCUCUCAUAUAUCUUUGAACAAUAGCCAGAUACUGAGUAGUAACUUUCAUAAAGAGAAAAUAUUGAAAAAUGCCUAGGUGGUGUCACCCAAGUUCACAAGCUGUAUAUCUAAGUUCGAAAAUAGAAAGAAAAAUUUGAAUGUAAUAGCAGGAAGACAUGUCACUUUGCCCAUGUAAAGAUUAAUAUCAAUAAAUAGCAGGAGUUCAAAGCAUUAAAGCUGUAAUAAAUUUGAAAAGAAUUGAACUCCGCAUAUUAAUAUUAGACAACUAAUUUCCUUUUACAACGAGAUAGUAAUGAAAUCAAAUAUGUACCUUUCUGACAAAAUCCCUUUUUAGCUGAUAGUUGGCAGCUUCUAGGAACACCUUCCCAGAUAACUUUCUAGCUAACUACCACAACGGAAAAAUAGUUAAAAGGUAUAAAAAGAAGAGCAAAAUAAAAUUAAUCAGGCUGACUAAAUUCUUACCAACUGAUAAAUCUUUGCCAAAGUAAAGAUACCACCACCCUUCAGAGAAAAUCAGAACCAACAGAAUUUAAAAAUAUGAACUUAAGUUGGAGAGAUUUGAUAGUGCAUAAAGUCAUUACGGUAAAGCUACAUUACCUUCAAAAACAUUGAUCGGAGCUCUGUUGCGCUGACUUUUAAAGCAGUAAGGGCCUGCACCUUCCAUUGACUGAGUCCAAGUUGAAGACUAUGUUGAGCAUCAGAGGGCUCAGAGAAUUCCAACAAGCCCUGGAAACUUCCUGAUUCUUCGCUACAUGAAGGAAGUGACUCAUUAUAAGUCAUUACAGCACAUUUAAAAUAAAAGAAAGUAAACUUUUCCUAAGAUACAAUGAUCCACUCAAACAGUAAGUUGUUGAAAUCAAAUAGCAUUUACUAAAUAUCAACUCAUCAAUGUAUGUACCAACUCGUCCAAGACAUGAACUCUUUUCUACCAAAACGCCACAUCUUAAAGCAUCACUGGGAAUCAAUGUUUUGCUCAAAGUACUGACUUGCUUUCCCCUUCAACUCUCCCCCUGCCCUUGUACCAGCUUGAACACUAAUAUUCUUUUUUGGUGAAAAGAUUGGUCUAUACUUCUGAUUAGCAGACAAUCUCAAGGGAACUCUUUGAUUUAGAUGCAAGUAUUCAGUCUUGGUUUCCCUUUUUUAUUGUAAUAUGGUUUAAGAUGGAGGAACUCUUCGAUUUAUACCACUUACCUGGAUCAAAUAAUUAUAUCCAACUCUAAUUACGGAAAAGAUUCUUUCGCUGUCUACCCUUCCUUCCCAAACAACAACCAUUUACAGAGAUCUUUUGAAAUCUUUAUCAAUAUGGAAAAUACACAAUCAUCACACAACAUUUGGCAAGCACAUCCCAUAGUUCACUUCUCAUACCUAAGGGAGAGUUCUCUUUGAACUCUCCUUCCUUAUGGAUGGUUAUAUAUAUAUAUAUAUAUAAGAAAAGUUACUUCUACUUCAAAAACUAAUAAAAACCAAGGUCUAAAUACUAGAUAAAUAUAUACAGAACACAUGCCUUGAAUAAUCUCGCAAUAGAUGAAGGAAAAUCUCUGCUUCAAGGUCUUCAGUUGACAAUUUGCUUGAGCAAGGAAUGUUUAACUCCUUUCUCACUGCAAGCAAGACAUUCCUAUAUGAUGGCCUCCAACCCCUACCAAGUAUCCAACACAAACCAAUAGCAUAGUCAACAUGAGCGAAACAUAGCUGACAAUUAGAUGACACUAGCAGUUAGUUUAGUAAAAAAAAAAAAAGUAUUACACAGAGUUGAAACACAACAUAGCUAGGAAUCCCUCAUACGUUCAAUUCAAUCGCAAGUCACCCCAUAAGCUUCGAGUAAUAUUGACUCCAAACAAGUUAAAUUAGGAGGUGAAUUUUGCAGAUAAGAUUGCGGAAGAACUCAUUGACCCAAGCCUACAUAAGUUGAGGAAAAACCUUAACGUUGACCUGGCGUCAGCUGCGAGGAAUAAGAAUCGCGAUUCUAAUGUGGAUAGAAAUUCCUCUCGCUCUUCAAGAUCCUCUUCAAUCAUUGCAUAGUCGACAUUGGUUCUGCUCAUUAUAGAUUUCAGCAAGGGGCUGAAGUAGCUGGACAUUGACAGCAACCAAAGAUAAACACGUCAGCAUCACAAGGAAACUUCAAGUUGUUAAUCUUGAGUUUGAUUAACAGUUGACACUACUUUUUUACUGAAAAUAAAAAGUGUGAGAAGCAAACACGAUUUUCUAGUCUUGUCCGAAGUUUCAUAUUAACGAAACAGAAAGAAUUAUACAGUUCGAAGUACCUAGGGCCAAAAAGGAUUCUUUCAAGCUCAUAUAACUCAGAGUCCGUCGCAAGUUCAAGCACGGAACGCAAUUCUGGAUCAAAGGUGCCUGAAAAGUGAACAAAACCCAUAUCGAAUAAAAAAUCCAAAACGUGAAACAAUCUAAAAGGCUAAAAGGCAGGCCAUAAAGAGAGCAAAAUGUACCUUGCCCUUUUCCUGAAAUGGCAGCAUGAGCACAACCCACAAGCCUCGCACUAGUUGUAGACCAACGUGAGCUACGUAUCUGUUAAUUACGAUUAGUAACACGGGUUAUGAUUAUAGAUUGUUGUUUCUGUCUAUUUGGUGGUCAGAAAAAGAAAAUAGAGGCAACGAAACAAAAUACGAGGGAGUAAAGCUUGUGAAAUGGUGAGGAGGAAAAGAAGAAGAGAGCUUACUGGGUAAGUGAGUUUGGUGGUGGUGGUGGUGGUGGUGGUGAUUGGGGAAGCAAAGGGGAGGCGGAGCGCCAGAGCAGAUGAGGUAGUGGACAUAUCUCACCAGUCUCCGUCCAGUUGCUGCAAAUCGCCGUGGAUACUGUGAUAGACUACAACCAGAGAUAAAGAAAUUCGCGGCUCAUUAAUUUCGAGUCUUGAAUUCCAGAUGUUGUGGGAUGCCCGACUGUCCUACCUUUCUAAGUUCUAAUCACCAUUGACUCAUUUUCGAGGCCCUUUCCUUUUAUCUUUUCUUCUCAGUUAAACGUAUUUUUUCUUGUUUUUUUUUCUCUUUUUUUUUACUAGCUUUUUUUUAUAUAGAAAUUUUACUAGAUGUUUUAAGUAAAUUUUGUAUAGGCCAAACAUGUAACUUCACAUUACAUAGCAACGGGUAAUGGAAACUAAAAACGCUUCUGACAAAACUUCUUAUAAAGACACUCCCAAAGAUACCUUAAUUCAGAUAAUUAGUGAAUGAGAUUCUUAGUAAUGCAUCAAAAAACACGACCGGCCUUCUACUGUCUACAAGGGGAAGGGGGUAAGAUAAUCUGUGUUUUUGAGUCAUGUUUUAAGAUUCCUGGAGAGAAAUGUAAUUUGAAUAUUUUGAAGGCUAAAAAAUCAUUGGCUAAAGAAAGAAAACUCAAGAUGAAAACCAGGAAGGUUUAAUUUCAUUCUUGUUGGUGAAAGGAAUGGGCCUAAUACCACUGGGAAACUUGGGAGGCACCCCCACAUUUCUUCAGUUUUUUUUAUUUUUUAUUUUAUUUUUCAGGAAACAUUUCUUCAGUUUUUUGAUUGCUUGUUCUUACCACGAAGUUGAUAAAUCUUUUUUUAUUUUUAAAUUUCCUUGCUCUUUGGCUCAACGUUCUUAGUUGGCCCUUUUUUAUGAUCUUAAUUUGCAUGUGGCAGCUGCUUCCACAAGUAUUAAGCAGCCGCCAAUAAUAAUAUGCAAUGUAUUUACAAAAUAGAGAGAGAGAGAGAGAGAGAGAGAGAGAGAGAGAGAGAGAGAGAAUGAGAGCAUAUUGGGUAACUCUAUAACGAUACGAAGGAACGAGGAAGAUAUUUAAAGAAUGUAUUGCAAAGCUUGAAAGGUAAUGAUACAAACUGUCUCUAUGAAUAGUCGACCAUAUUGUGAUCUAACACAUUGCUCUGGAAAGCAAGAUAUCUCAUGACACUGCUUUAGGACACGAGGAGGCACUACAAAAUUAAUUUUGAGGAAACUUCUCUACAAGGAGGUAGGUGCCUAUGAGAUUAAAAACACCAGAAAGUACAUCUCCCAUGAUGAUUGAUUCUUGGAGAACAACUAGCUACUCACACUUGAUGGAUCGGUAUAUGUGACGAACAAAAAGCAAAGCUGCACGGAAGCCUACAGUUCCAAGCAUGAGGAAGAAACCAUAGCAGAUGCAUGCCAUGUAACCAAAGAAGAAUGACGUUUGCAUAAAUCCUGACAUAUCUGAGCGUGCGUAGUAGUAAUACAAACAAUAGGCAUAGAUAAAUAUGCCAGUAGAUCCACCGCAGAGGAAAGAUCUGUAAUCAAACCAACAUUUAUACAUCAAUCAAGGAAUAUUAUACUUACAUCUUCUGAAGAUAAAAAUGGUUUACAAAGUGAUGUCCAAAUUUUCAUGCUGAAGUAUAAUCAAGUAUUAUAUAACACGUAAUACUAAUACCGCACUAACGAGCAACCAAGGCAAUCCGCAAAAUUAAUUAAUAAAAAGUCCACAAAUCCUAAAUAUCAAUUGCCUAGAACAUGGCAGCUCUUCUUUCUUUAAUUCAGUGCACCCGUUACUUUAGUCUAGCUUUCUUAAUCCUAAACCUACAAAAUCCAUAUAUCCCACUACUCGGAAUUUUCAAUACCAUUUCUCCAUCAGUCACGAAUACUUGAUGUCAAUAUAAUUGCAGAUCAUAUCAACAAAAGCAGUUAAUCAAGAGAUGGUAACGGCAAGCAUGGGAAUAAAAAACAUAAUAACUUGCAUAAAACCCCUAACAAAAAAUUAAUAUGCACGGAACCUGCUUACCUCCACCACCACUCAUGGUCCUCAGCAGCAAGUUGGAAAUAUGUCAACGCCACAGUAAUGAAAGCAGUGACUAUCAGAAGAAUGAUAAACACAAUAAACAAGAUGCUGUAAAUGGUGUAAAUCCUGUGACCCCACACACUGGCAAAAAUGUAGUACAGUUCAAUGUAUAUAGCACUGAAAGGCAGAAAACCAGCCAUUGCCAUUUGAGGGAUUGUUGCCCGGUACCAAGGUAAAGGUGGAAUUUCUCUGGGAUAUUUAGUCGUGCGAACAGGAGCUUGGAACUCAGCUUUGCUGUUCUUCCCGGCAAUCCCUCCUAACACUAGCAAAGGUGAUGUUACAAGCGUCCAAAUUAGAACUAUAACCACAAUUGUGCCAAAGGGAAGCGCAGCAGUGGCCGUAUAAGCAAUUGCAACAGUAUUCAAAAAGCAGAAUGUAAGGAACAGAGGUCCACAGAAGAGGCAUCCCGUCAACAAUAGAUUCCUAACCUGCCAUACCAGGAAGUUCAAUCUUCAAUUCAUAUAAUAUCAACUUUAGUCAAUGAUUCCAAAAAACCCUAGCAGGGGAAUUUAUCAUCACAUACCCAGUUUGUUCCCUCUAGCUGGCAAUAAAAUGAAGUAGCAGUAUACCCUGCAAUUCCUGAUGUGAGUGCAUAAAUGACAACCAGAGCAGUAAAUAGAGCCCCUCGGUUGUAUGGAUAAAACACGCCAACAAGAGCAAGUAUAAAAAUGAAUAUCGUACUGCAUGGCAUGGAAAAAAAACAAGAAAUAAUGAGAAACUUCGAAAAAUGAGAGUUAGUGCUAAACCUAUAGCUGGAUGAAUGAGCACUUACAGGGUAAAUAGUUGGGUGCCUGAACCCAGAGCUGCUGCAAACAGAGACUUGUAUUUGGGAAAUCUAAAUACAUCUCCAUGAAUGUAUUUCCAUCCAGUCUCUUCCUGGUCUUCAGCUGCUUCUUCAUCAUGGGCAUAUCUUUUAUAGAUAAACAAACAGUAAAUUAAAAAAUGAGUGAACUGGCAGACAGAAAACAGUGAUAAAUGACUCUUAAAAAUGCUUACUUGACAAAAUCAUUCUUAAGCACUCGCAUGAGAAUUGUGGCAAGAAACCCGGUCAACAGGAGAACUGUCACACAUGAAUUUAUAAUCGAGAACCAAUGGAUCUCCAAAUGAUGCGGCAGCGAUGAGGACUGAGAAUACUUAUCCAUCCUCUUAUCAAAAGGAGUGGUUGUUUCCUUCCAUUUUACAGUAUACAUGAAUUCGACAUCAAUUUCUUUAUCCUCUGUAAGGUCAACCAAUGCAUUUGGAUCUGUUCGAACAUUGAUUUCAAUCACACGGUCCUUGUUGUAAGAGAUAUCAAAAUGAAUAUGCUUAUACAGGUAGGUCUUGUAUUCGCUCGGGUCUUUGCCUUCCUUGUCAACCUUCCCUAUGAAACCCCAAAUGGGCAAGUCAUCAUAAUACAUCUGAAAGUAAUAGUCCUUGUUGACAGCAGAUCUGAACCGGGCCACUUCUUCCUUUUUUAUUGUUCUUUUGCAAGCUACUUCUGAAUCUUUAUGCUUUUGGAACUCUAGUUUGUAAGGGGCACUGACUAAACGAUCCCCAUUUAAUACUUCACCCAGAGCUUCCUUCUUCUCUUUCACCUUAUCUGCAAUUAAGAUCCAAAUAUUAAGGUAAAUGAAAGUCCUCGCAGAAGAUGAGGACAUAUUAUGUCAUUAGUAAGAAAGAAAAAAACGAAUCCGAUUGAUGCAAACCUGGUGAGCAGAAUGGGAGAUCAAAAUAUCGGUACGUUUCGCUGUAAUCACCCAAAAAAUACAAAAUUAACCAAAUUGUAAUUGUGAAUACCAAAUUUCCACCAUAGUCAAACUUGCAUCUAAAAUAUUAACUAGUUCAGCAGAAACAGAGUUAAGCUUCCAAGAACAGUGCACAUGCUAUUUCAAUGAAAACACUGUUCAAUCUCAAAAUGCUAGCAAAGCCGCCUAAUGGUCUAUCCCAAAUCAAAUCUUUAAAAAUAGAUCCAGCUCAGAAUUCAACACAAUUGAUGUAAGUUCAAUUUUCCAAUCACAGUGUCUAACUUAUCCCAGCUGAAACAAAUCUUGUCGUCUUAGCCGAAAAACUUGUAACUCAUGCAAAUUUCUGAGUAACCAGACAAAUGGGUCUACAAAUAAACUCAGAUCCAGAACAAAUAACAGCGAAAUGAACAAACCCAGAAGCUGAAUUGAGCUAAGAAAACGUGAAACUUUCAGAUCGAGGAGCGAGCAGCGUGAGUCUGGGUUUUACCUGGGGUUGUGGAAGGGGCCCACCUUGUUGGCAUACAAAGGGACUAAAUCUCCUUCCUUGUACCGAUGAUCCGACGCGUCUGACCUGACCAGAUCCACACCGCAGAGAAUUAGCAAGGCGAUGAUGACUGGCACUCCCACCGCCAUGGUCUUCCCCAUUGUCACUCUCUCUCUAAUCUCUGCAGAGACAGACAAACACGUUCAAUAUUUAUCUGAUUUUGGGUUUGGGCCUCCCUUGGUUUGGUUUAUAUAUUUACUUGGGGCUUAAUAAAAUAUAGAAGUUAAGCUUAAAACGCUCAUAAUUUUUAUUAAUUAUUAGGGGUUAAUGUGAAAAUUAUAAUAUUAAGCCAAAACGGGGAGCAGCGGGUGACGGAGACGGAGUGCCUCACCGCAUCCUAAGAUGUUUGAUGCCUCACCGACGCUUUGGUGCCUACCUUAUGCUGUAGGGUGCGUCUAACGCUUCUCUUUUUUUAUUAUUUUCUUAUUUUUCCUUUCUUUCUUUCUUUCUUUAUGUCUACGUGUUAGAGGGGUGAGAGAUCUGGUGGUUUGAUAGUCAACGCCUUGGGACGAUUCCCGGCCUCCUUCCUAUUCGGAUCUGAAUUUCCCACUUGGGUCGACGACACGUAGCACUGUGGGUCCUGGUCUACUCCUAGUGGGUCCAUGUCCUUGCUGUUUGAUUAUUCUCAGAUUUUCCAUCCUUGGAAUUGAAUGUUGUGAUUCAUAUAAUGAUGUUCCAUUGUGAAUUUCUUUUUUUGUUUCAAGGUAGAUGAAAAUCAAUGUAGUCAAAAUUCACUAACGUUGGCUUACUUGAUAGUUGGUGGUAAGUUGGUAUCAAUGUAGUAAAUUGCAAUUACUAAGCAACAAUAACGUGCUACAAACUCACAAACACAUAUGAACAUAUGUUGUGUUUUAUGAAUCUCAUUCAACGUACACUUGUCAUUUUUGGUCUAAAAAAAUUGUAAACUUUAUCAUGUGACAUGUCUUUUAAUUUUUUUUUGGUUGGGAAAGAUGCUUUAUUUUAGAAACAUCAUAAGAGUGUACAAAUGAUAGGAUGAAAACAUUCGCAAACCCAACGUGAGAGUCAAGAACAAGAGCGUGAUCUUAAAAAAGACUCACGACCUGAAUCAAUCACGAUGAAACAAAGAAACAAAGAAACAAAUCGGAGCUCCGCAAUGUCAGAAUACAAUUCAACAUCAAUUGGAACUCGAUGAUACAAUAAGUGUGGCCUCAUUAAAACCUUGUCUUAAAAAACACUAAACCACAGAAAAAAGAGUCAAGAAAAAAGAGUACCACUACAUCACAACCAAGGUCUAAAAUAUCAAUGGUAUUGGAAAUAUCGGUAGUCCAAAAACAUGGAAAUUUUAAUGAAAAUAUCGGGAUAUUAUCGACAUCGAUAAAAAUUAAAUAAAAACCACGGAAAUUGUAGAGAAAACUUGAAUUUUUUUAUAUAAUAUAUAUAUAUAUAUAUAUAUUAUGUAAUGUUACAGGCAUAUCAGGAGCUACGACGUAAGCUUAGUGGACGGCUAUACAACUUGCCCAUGACGGUGGAGCCGAGCGGCGGGUUGGGUACUUGUUUGUCGACUGAUAGGAUCAAGUUCCUAUCAACUAGUGAAUUUGGACAUAAAAGAAAAUUAGGGAAAGUGAUCUCUUCGAGGGGAUCAAACCUCCAAAGCAUAAAACUCUAUUUCUUUUGCUUAGCAUAAUCACCAUACUUGCAAGCCACAGAGGCUGAUGAGGAAGUCCACAAGUUGCUUGUAAAGUAUACGUUCACUAUUUCAAACACAGCCAUCCACGAUCGACGAUACAGAACAAAUUAGAUUAUAUUAGAUAUAUUUAGCAUGGAGUGUACAAUACGGUUUUUGUCAAUUUAUUUUCCCUUUACUAGUCUCCCAAGCUAGUUUUUGAACGAUUGCAAUUGAAGUUAGUGUACGAAUCAAGUAUCAAAGAAAGAGCUUUUUGUGAUUGAAGCAGUCCAUUCUUCAACUUGAUUGUAAUUUCAGUAAAAUUGCUUGCUUUAUCUUUGAAUCCAUCUAUCUACGUAAUUUCAGUAAAAAAGAAAGUGUUUGCAGUUUCUGUCUCAACCUCUUCAACAUAUUCUUCCUCCUCAACUACGAGAUCAGGGUUGAUGUUUAAGAUAGACUUCACUGAACUGUAGAAGCGGAAGGCACAAACCUUACCUUGGGGUCUGGAAAAUUGGAAACACCCUUCAUGAGUGCAAAAUUGUAAAUAAGUCGUGAUGUCAGCUUUACACUCUCAUCCUAAAGAGCAAGCGAAUAAUUGAAUGAGAUAAACCAGAUUCACCAACACUUCAACAAAUGGAUUCUAAGACAUGCUUUUAGACUCAACCAUAAGAGUAGGCAUAGGCCUUGGCUUCUUUCAAUUGCUUAGCAGACAUGUGAUAGCAAUGUGCCUAUUUAUUCAUCUAAACCAACUAAAUGAAGAACCAUUUUGAUUUCAUAACUAGGACAAAGAUCAGAUCCCCAAAUGAGAAACAAUCAGAAAUGAACAAUUUUAACCAACGACACAGAAAUCCAACUUACAAAGGUCAAGAUUUCUUAAAAAUAUUUUGCAAGCAGGACCCACCAGUCAUUUAUAAAUGUUGGAGACCAUUUAAAAAGUGAACAAGAUCAUGAAUGCACAAAGACCUUAAUUCUGCGAAAACCUUCAUAUAUGUCACAUUUCUGUAAGUGUAGGGGAAGAAGUCUAGAACAUACCUCAGCGUUCUUUACUACUCUCUCCUGGAGCUCCUUGAUGAUUGGAUACCUUGGGUUAAUCACAAGUAUCCUAUUGCCACGCAUGCAUGCUUGCUUGCUAGCAUCUGAUAAAGUCUGAGACUGCAUGAUCUUCUCCAUGUUUGCACUCCAACCAAAAUUUGAUGUCACAGCCACAUCAUAAAUGGCUGAGCAGUCUUCCACCAUUUAGUGAGUUCCUUGUAUGAUUCCUUGAGUUCUUUGUCUUUAUAGUCCACCAAGUAUUUCAUCAGAUGUACAUCAACUGGAUUUGUGAAGAAAAUAACAUGCAUCAAUAGAUAUAAAAAGGUAAAUAGAGAGACAAAAAAAGGCCUUACUCAUGACUCAAAUAGAACAAGUAGGAAAGUAACAAACAACCCUAUUUAAACAAGUGCAAGCAUUGAAUAUCUUUUAUAUGUACCUCAUAACUUUCCUUCUUAAGCCACUCAAUGAAGGGACAUUUUUCCAAUUGUUCCUUGCUGGCUCCAGUAAUGUAAUAUAUGUCCUUCUGCCCAGAUUUCAUCCUACUGAUCUCGUGAAGUCAAUUUUCCAUCUGACUUGGUGCUGCUAGAGAGUUCAAAGUUCGUCAUUCAACCCCAUAAAGGCAGUAUAAGGACGUCUAAACAUAGAUAGUACAAUAAAAUAUGUUUACCUUUCAAAUCUUUAGGAGUUUUGCCAAACGAUUCAUGUUAGCCGCAUCUUCAAUGACACCAAGUUUAAUGGACUAGUCGGAUUCAUUCCAGAAUCUAGUAUAUCGGCCUCUCUUCCAAUCAUCAUCACUGGAUUUUUCAACCUCUGUUUUCACAUCAAAAUUCAACACAAGGCAAAAGUGAACAAUUAAUGCAAACUUAGUAACUCUCCCUCCAAGUUAGCUUUACUAACUUUUACAAAAACAGCAAAACAUGAAGCUUAAGUUGUUGGUUUUCAAGGGAUGGUAUUAAUGCAUGCAGUAAACAUGACAUCAACGUACUAUAUAACAACUCGUACGCUUCGAUUGAAUAUUGUUGUCGAGUCUUUACUUACUUAGGAUUUUGGUUCCUUAUUUAAUUAGAAUUUUGGUUACUUACCAAUUAUUAUUUAGUCCUAUUGUAAUAGAGAUUUAUUUCCUAUUAUAAUUUAGAUAUAUUUCCUAUUUUAUUUAGGGUUAACACAUCUUUGUACUUGUAUAAAUACCUCUAUGUUGGAGAAGAAUAAUAAUAUGAGUGAAUCUGAGCAUAACUAAAUAUUUUUACCCUACUUUAUUUGACAUGGUAUCAGAGCCAGGUUGCUAACCUGUGAUAUCCUCUGACAAAUUGAGAAUCGUUGGCGUUCCUUAUUCCUAACCCAUCAUGGGUUUUCACCUUACUGUAAAUCUCCGUUUCUCCUUUCCUUAAUAAUCAACAUAUAUUUAUUCUGUCUUAGCCAUAACAGCACCUUUCUGCAAUUUUACCCUUAUCUCUAUCCUUGUCGUGUUUAUGUUAAGUGAUUACCUUUAUUUUUCUCUACCUAUGCCAGCUGUUGCCUUUUUCUCUUACUUUUCAUCUCUUUAUGAGCUUACUUUCAGUUAAAAUCAGAUUGAGCCCAUGUUAGUUUCAGUCUCUUGCGCUCACCGCCGAGCCUCUCUUUUAAAUGUAUACCAUAUGGGCAACAUGCCCCUUGGCCAUUGAUGGCCUGAUCUCUUUCCUCCGCAAGCCUCGUCACCGCUCACCGAGCCAUCUCAAAUCUCCAAGCCUCGUCACCGCUCGCCGAGCCUUCUCCUAGCUGGCCUUUGUCUCUCUGUUUAUUUAGGUGUUACUUUCUCCAAAUCUCGACUCUCAUACAUCGUCGGAUUUGAGGGGGAGUGACACUAUUGCUCAUCUAUUCCAUUGCAAUUCACUUACUUAUCUAUCAUGGCUGAUUGUCCAUGCAUGUUUCUCAAGUACCACUGAUCAUAUGGCUCUAUCGACCCAUUCUCUUCAGAGGGAGAGGGAGAGUGAAGAGAAGUUGUCUCUAUUGUUGCUGCUACCAUAGUUGUUUGCCUUGCCUUGUCUUGCUGGUGCUAGUGCCUUAUAUUGCUCUUGUUGGUGCCAGUGCCUUGUGUUGCUCUUGCUGCUGUCAUUUUUGUUGUCUCUUGUUGUGGACAUUAUUGUUGUUGCUUCUAUCGUGCUCAUGUCCUUGCUGGUGUGUUUCCAUUGUGGUCACGCCCGUUGACCUUGCCUUUGCUCUUGACUUUUUUUGCCUUACCUUACUUUAUUUUUUCGAGGUUUGGCUUUACCUUGCCUUACCCUAUUUUUUAGGGUUUGGUUUCUACAAUAUCUGCUGUUGUACUCACAUGGUUUAUGUGUUCUGCCUUACCUAUUGCCGUGCUCACAGAAUUUCUGUGUUCUGCCUUUUAUGCUGCCGUGCUCACCGGGGUUCUUUGUUUUGCCUUAUUUACUGCCGUGUUCACAGGGUUUCUGUAUUCUGCCUUAUCUAUUUCUGUGCUCACAGGGCUUCUGUGUUCUGCCUUACUUAUUGUCGUGCUCACAGGAUUUCUAUGUUCUGCCUUACCUACUGCCGUGUUCACAUAAUUUCUGUGUUAUACUUUUAUGUGUUCUUCUAUGUGCCCUAUUUUUUAGAGUUUGCUCUUGUGUUUCCGCUGCGAACUUUGCUUUAGUUUGUCACUUGUUUCACUCGUGGUUGACAAAAAAACCUUCUCUACAAUUGGUGCUUCUCAAGUACGGUGUUCUGUGGCUCGCUUGUCAAGUUGGGCGUGCGAAAUAUCUUUGCCCAACUUGAUGGGAGUGUUGGCGAGUCCUUACUUACUUAGGAUUUUGGUUCUUUAUUUAAUUAAAAUUUUGAUUACUUAUCAAUUAUUAUUUAGUCCUAUUGUAAUAGAGAUUUAUUUCCUAUUGUAAUUUAGAUAUAUUUUUUAUUUUAUUUAGGGUUAAUGUAAUGACCCAAACCUAAAAAUUCAUAUUUAAUUAGUAAUUUAUUAUGGGGAAAGACAAUUUUGCCCUUGGAAUAAUUUAUUAAUGAAAAGUUGACUUUUUGACCGAAAAGGAAUUUGACAAUUCCACAUACACCGUUGCGUAGAGCACGACGAAAUGAGUUUAUAGACACGAAGUGGGCUCGAAUCGGAGUUUUAACGAAGAAAUUACGGUUAAAAUAUCAUGAGAGGCAAAAUGGUCAUUUGAAAAAUCAGAUUUUAAACCCUCACUCUCUCUCUCUUCUCCCUCAGUUUUCCUCUCUCGCUCUCUCUCUCUCUCUCUCUCUCUCUCUCUCUCUCUCUCUCUCUCUCUCUCUCUCUCUCUCCCGUCGAGCGACUUUCUCCUCCUCCGAUUCGUUGUUGUGACGUCGUUGCCGCCACAGAGCACCACCGGCCACGAGACCGGUCUUGUUCGAACCCCCACCGCCUCCUCUUCCCUCUCCGAUCACUUUCAGCCCGUGGAACUGCCGGCGCUGGCCGAAAACUGCAGAAAACCAAUCGGUUUAGACAAAAACUUCAACCCGCUCAUUCUCCUUCAAUUCUUCUAUAAAUUUAUCGAGUAAGGCACCCGGGCACCAGUUGACCCGCAGGAGGGACCUUCAAGAGGUCCAGCGAGCUCGAACUACCAGUGAGUGGACUCUUUGUUUUUAUAAAUGAAUUUAAGCAGUUCAAUUUUAGUUAUAAGCUGUUUUAUUCUGUUAAAUAUUUUAUGUUGCAUGCUGCCGAGUGAAAUCUCCUUUAAAGAAUAUAGAAAAAGAUAUUCUCGUUAAUUAUCAGAUAAAUGGCAGCAGAAUUUUAAAGGUUACAGGAAUUCAGUUAUCCAGUAGAUUUUCUUCAGAAAUUUUAUAUUUUCCUAAAUCACCUUGUACCCAGAGAUUAAAUGUUGCAUUCGGAUUAUAUUGGUUGCCUUCGGUUUAGUCAGCAUGCUUGACAGUUGCCCCACGAGUUCCUUGGUACUCAAACUCGUGUGGAGCGAGUAAUGCGGAUAAAGGUGGACUACGAUCCCCUGAAUCCUGCGAGUUGCGGCUCGGACUGACCUCGUGUCACUGAGACCUGCGAGUAUGUGUCACCCAUGGUGAUACAAGGAAUUGACGGAAAUAAAGGGUACACCUAGGUGAUAGUUUUAAACUGUUUUCAAAAGUAAUGUUGACCAUGAAUAUGAUUGGUUUGUAUACAUGUAUAAGUAUAUACGUGCAUGGAUUUCAGAAAUAAAGAGAAUCAGUUAGUUUGUAUAACUGUUUUUACAGUGGGGUUAGUAUGUUCAUAUGCUAUUUUCUAAACUUUGUUUUGGGUCCACUCACCCUUUUGUUGUUUUGCGCCCCCAGGCAGUAGACGUGCACAUGAAUUCACCACCGGGCCGUUUUCCAUCUUCCGCACCUUUUCUUUGAUGUAGGAUUUUUGUUUUGUAAAAGGAUUAACUCAUUUGUAAAUUCUUAGUAGUUGCUCUGAUGUUUUGCCCUAGACUGAGACUGGAACUGUUGGAAUGUAUAUAUAUGUAUGCUGGCAGUUGGUUGUAUAUAUAUACUUAUUUUGGCAUGUGUAAAUGAUUUGGUAUUGAGCCAAUUACAAGGGAAACUCUGCCGGUUUUUCGGUAGACGUCAACCUUGUUAUUUUAUCAUGUUUUGUAUAGAAGGGUAAAUAGGUCAUUUGUGCCCGACAUUCGCCAGGUGUUGGACACGUACAGGGUUCGGCUCGGAUUCCAAAGUGGAAUUUGGAUUGGGUUUUGUCAGUUAACACAUCUUUGUACUUGUAUAAAUACCUCUAUAUUGAAGAAGAAUAAUAAUAUAAGUGAAUCUGAGCAUAACUAAAUAUUUUUAUCCUACUUUAUUUGACAAAUACUUCCAGAAUAGCAGAAGGAAACUGCUUGCAAAUAUUAACAAGAAGCAAUAAUAUGCGCACCAUACUGUUCUUGUCUUUGUCACUCAUCAGGAUUUUCCUCAGCAAGUUUACAGAUCAUAUCAAGGGCUUUCCGAAUGAGCUUCUUCUUAAUUGCCUUCAAAAUGCUGUGUUGUUGAAGCAUUUCUUAUGAUACAUUGAGUGGCAAGGUGUCAGAAUCGACAAGACCCUGAUCAUAAGAUCAUCAAUGUAAAAACCAGUUUUGGCUCAAAAGAUCAUCAAUCUAUCAAAAGAAAUCACCAAAAUAGGCUUUUUAUUCAAAAUGCCCCAGUGAACUUAUUCACUAACUUAAAAAGAAAAGACGAGAAGAGAGGAGGGGGAGAAUGGGCAGUGAUACUUUUUUCUCCUCCCUUCUCCGUAGAGUUUUCCUUUAGGAUUCACAAAUGGAGAGAACGAUUAGAGUUUCAUAUAAUAGCUGUGGCAUAUAUUUAAAAGACUAUUUGGUUAAAUAUAGUUACAAUUUGGCUUUCAAAUAACUAUAUUCAAUUAAAAGACAAUUACCAAUUUGGGUUAAGAAAGCAAUUUUUCCUAUUCAAAUAAAUUGUAAUAAAUGAUCCCUACUCACUUGUUAGGAUGUUAGCUAAAAAAAGAAAUAUAGUUACUUGUUAAGCUAUUGGACCAAAAAAAGAACAUUAAUUAUUUACUAGGUUGUAAAAAACGAAAGGUGUAAGUUAGAUUAGGACUCAAAAUUAUUAAACAAUAUGCUAAAAUAUUAAAACUAUGAGAGAAUAUUUGUUUGUGGGAAUUUUCUGUGUAUUCUUUUCCUUGUAGGAGGUCAUAUUUAUAAUACAAUGAAACCUGAAUGGGCAAGUAAAUAAUAAAUUCCUAAAUCUAUUUAGAGUAGGAAAUCAGGAAUUAAAGUAAAUCAAUUACAAUUAUAAUAGGAAUUCUUGGUGUGUAAGGAAAGUAAGUCAAUAUUCACAAGUCACGCCAACACUCCCCCUCACGUUGGUGCAUAGAUGUCGUCAAUGCCCAACUGAUCCAGUGAAUUGUGGAAUGCUUUACUGGAAAUCGCCUUUGUCAAAAUAUCCGCCAAUUGAUCCUCGGAUUUCACUAUUUUAAUAUCAACACAAUAUUUUUCGAUGUUUGUUUUCAAAUUCACUUUGUGCCAUUACAAGUUUAUUAUUAUUUGUAUUUAUGGUGUAUAUUGGGAAAUUAGGCUACAAAUAAUACUACCUAAAUUCCACCGGAUCAAAUGGUAGACGCAAAAGCAGGAGAAAGGCCGAGAGGGGUAAAAAAGUAAGAAAAUUGAAUUAUUAUUAUUAUUAUUAUUAUAUUUUGGUCGUGAAAAUGAGAAUAGACUGAAUAGUGAAUAUAUUCAAGUUAUUCCAAGAGCAUCAAAAAGAACUAAAACUAAAACGAAGCUUUGGACCACCACCACCUCAAUUCAGGAGACCACGCCCCCAAAAGCCUCCACAGAGAAGAAACAAAAGGAAAAGAAGAAAAUAAGCAGCGCCAGCAGCAACCGGCCCACUCCCAUUACCACCAGGUGCCUCUCUUCUGUUCCUCCGUCGCUUUAUUAUAUCUAACCCUUCUUUGUAUUUUUCAGUUUUAAGCUAUUUUGUCCCCUUCUUCGAUACCCAGAAAAUCAUUUUGCCCAAAAUAACACGAAAAAUUAAAAAUCAGAUCUUGAGUUUCUCUGGCCUAGAAAUAGAGUUGUGUUGGGCUCCAACGGCUAUGAAACUUUCGUGAAAAUCAAAUCCCACUCCCCAAACUAAUAAAUCCGUUGGGAUUUUGAGGGUUUCUAAAUUUUCAAUCUAUGGAUUUGGGAGCCGCAACCUGCUUGUAAGUCACGGAUCCACGUUGAAAAUGCGUCGUUUUGAGACGGAGAGUCGGGCCGGCACGCUCUUGUGGUGGAUUUCACAACUUGGUUUUACAUUUCUUUGAGAGAAAAACAAUGGUUUUGCUUUGCUUAGUUGCUCAUAAAAUGUGGGAAAAAGGAAAUUAAAUAUUUGAUGUUUUGAAUGUUGGAUUUUCCCAUUCUUCAGGACACUAGAAGACAAAAUGCCGCCAGUCUUUGAGCCUAAUACGAGGUAACUUCGUCAUUAUAUUUGGACGAAAUAAUACCUACUUCAUUUUCUUUGUAUAUACAUACUUGAAAACCUGGUUUUUCAUUUUCUUAGCAAAAAUGGGGCAAACUGGAAGAUGGGUUUUUGACUCUUUGUUGUUGUUGGAUGAGCUUUUUGUUAAUGGAUGUUCUCAGGUUUGGUGGGUGAUUUUUUGAUGCAUGUUUGUAGGUUUUAGGAGGCUGAAAAUGGGGGACUCAAACUCCGUUGACGUGAUUCUGGACUUUCUGCGGAAGAAUAGGUUUUCAAGAGCUGAGGCAGCUCUUCGCAGUGAGCUCAGUAAUCGUCCUGAUUUGAAUGGUUUCCUUCAGAAGCUUACUCUUGAAGAGAAGGACUUGGGUAAUUCGUUGGAAGCUGAAAAUGGGGACAAAUUGGUGGUGGAAAAUCAAGGGUUGGGGUCUAGGAAUGGUGGUGAAGUUUCUAAGGAACUUAUAGUGAAAGAGAUAGAGUAUGGAACUGGUAGAAAUGGGUCUGAAAUCAAAUGGAAAAAUACUGCUUCUAUUGGGGAGCGGAAUAAAACUAUUGAUGUGGCUGGGACAAAUCACAAGAGCUUCGCAUUCUCUAAAGGUUUAGAGGACACAGUGCUUGAUUUAUAUUCAUGGAAGGUCAAUCCUAGCAAUGGACCUGCAGAACCUUGUCAAAAUGAUGGAGAUGGUAGUAUCAAUAACUACCCACAGCCUCAGAUAUCCCACCAAUCAAGGAAUCAUACAGCUGAGGUUCCUGAUUCGGGUAAAGCCAUUGUGAAAUAUGGAGAAGAGAUUCUCUUCUCUGGUGAAAAGAAAACUUCUUGGGCUGGAAGUACUAGCAAAGCUAAUGUGGAAUUGAAGUACGACAGAACCCAAACAAGUGAACCUAAGGAACUUGACCAACAACUUAAGACAAGUACCUCAUUCUUCAAAGAAAACGUAGCAGAUAAUCCAUGGUCAAGAAUUGAAGAACCUUCAAAUUCACCUUCAGAGAUGUGGAAAGAUUGUUCUGUCAAGACGGUAUUUCCAUUCUCCAAGGGGGACGUGCCAACAAGUUAUGAUAGUGCUUCCGCUUCUGACAAAAAAGAAGGAAAGAGAAAAGCUGAGUUGGCUGAUAUUAGGGCAACAAUAAAGGAUCAGGUUGAUGAGGUGGGAAGAGCUUUAUACUUAAGCAAGUCACAAGGCAGUUCCGAGCAAAAUACCAUCAGUAGCUUAGUUUUUCCUAUUCUUUCUGAGAAUCAAAAGGAAGAGUUCCCUAGGCUACCGCCUGUCAAACUCAAGUCAGAGGACAAACCAUUGAAUAUUAAUUGGGAGGAAAAGUUUGAGCGAGAUGUACCUGGCUCAAAACUCAGCGCUGCUGACAAUGCUCUUCUUAUUGGGUCAUAUUUGGAUGUCCCUAUUGGACAAGAAAUCAAUUCUUCAGGUUAGUUUUGAUAAAUUUGAUAGAGCAUUUUAUGCUCACCUAAUAUUUUUAAUUUUAAGUAGCAAUUGCAGUAGUCAGUUUAUUGUCUGGGCUUUCAGGACUUCUACUCAUUGCAGACACUUUUAUCCUAAUAGGCUUCUCAGCUAUUUCAUGUUUCUGUUGCAAUCAUGCUUGAUUUUGUCUGCUCAAUUUCAGUAGAGAUUCUCUUCAAUAGGCCUCAAGUUUUUGAAUUUCUGAAGUUCUUCAGGGUCAAACUCUGUUGCCACUUGAUAUUGGUUAUUUUGGUACGUCAAGUCUCUGAUUUCUUGUUUUAAAAUUAUUGUUCAGGUGGAAAAAGGAAUGUAGGAGGAGGCAGUUGGCUGUCUGUAAGUCAGGGGAUUGCAGAGGAUACAUCUGAUCUAGUUUCUGGUUUUGCUACUGUUGGUGAUGGAUUGAGUGAAUCUGUUGACUAUCCAAACGAGUAUUGGGACUCUGAUGAAUAUGAUGAUGAUGAUGAUGUGGGAUACAUGAGACAGCCUAUUGAAGAUGAGGCCUGGUUUCUGGCCCAUGAAAUCGAUUACCCAAGUGACAAUGAAAAGGGAACAGGGCAUGGGAGUGUUCCGGAUCCACAGGAAAGAGGUCCCACCAAAGAUGAGGAUGAUGACCAAUCUUUUGCUGAGGAGGAUUCUUACUUUUCUGGUGAGCGGUACUUUCAAGCGAAAAAUGUUGAACCAAUUGUAACUUCAGAUGAUCCUAUAGGACUAACAGUGACUGAAUUGUAUGGGAGGAGUGAUGAGAAUGAUUUAAUAGCUCAAUAUGAUGGACAGUUGAUGGAUGAAGAGGAACUUAAUUUGAUGCGUGCAGAACCUGUCUGGCAGGGCUUCGUCACUCAGACUAAUGAACUCAUCAUGUUAGGGGAUGGGAAAGUUCUGAAUGAGUGUGGAAGGCCACGUCUAGAUGAUGUUUGUGUGGAUGAUGAUCAGCUUGGUUCAGUAAGAUCAAUAGGUGUGGGAAUCAAUAGUGAUGCUGCUGAUAUUGGCAGUGAAGUACGGGAAAGUUUGGUUGGAGGCAGUAGUGAAGGGGAUCUAGAAUACUUUCGAGACCAUGAUGUAGGAAUUGGUGGGCCCCGGAAGCAUCAUCAUGAAUCAGAUAAGAAAAACAUUGAUAGAUCUAACAAGGACAAAAAGAAAACUAGUAAACAUGAGGCAAAUAAAUAUAUAGUUGAGACUGAUACGGGUGUAGUAAGACAGAAGAAAAAUCAUACAGAAGGGGUAUUUUCAUUCCCUCCACCACUUAGAGAUGGACAGUUGGUGCAGGCAAGCUCUAGUAAAUCUUUAUGGUCAAACAACUGCAAUGCUGUUGUCGCUGAUGAAACUGAUGACUGUAUGGUGGGUUCUGACAACAUGCUCACUUCAUGGAGGCAGAAAAGUAAUGAUUCCUCACCUAGAAUGAGUUCUAGGGACGAAAAUAAUGCUAAUGCUGUUAGAUCCACAAACUCUACUCCCUCAACACUCUCUAAUUAUGCUUAUGCCGAGAGAGAGCAUGCCAAGCAAGAAGAAGAAGAUAAAAUUGCUGCUGUUAGGGAAGAAGAUACAGGAGCAUCACUUGAGGAUGAAGAGGCAGCUGCUGUGCAAGAGCAAGUAAGGCAAAUAAAGGCUCAAGAGGAAGAGUUUGAGACCUUCAACCUCAAGAUUGUGCAUAGAAAAAACAGGUAUGUCUUCACCUAUGCACUAAUCUCAAAUAUAAAUUAAUCGAUCAUGGUUCUUUAUGGGAGAAUUGUGCUUGGGCAUAGGAUGGUUCUGUUUACACCAAUGGUAAAUUUAAAAAGUUCUGAAAACUAUUGAAGCUGCUGUACUGUUAUUUUAGGUUGUUUUCUUGAAGAAAAUAAUUGUAUAGUAAUGCAUCUAUCCGUAAUAAUGAAGAUUUUGCAGCUAUCUAUCUAUGCCACGGUUUCCCUAAAUCUUAAACCCGUGUUCUUUCCUCUCCUCUUUGUUUAUCUUUUUAUCAUUUUAACCUAAUAAAAAGAAAUCAUCCCAUCUGCUUGAGCUUCUUGAUCUGCUAAUUGUACAACCAGUUACUUGACUGCAACUACCCCCUUUUUUAUUGGGGAUAAGAAACGUGAAUAUUUAUAAAAAAUAAAACAAUCCUUUUUUCUUUUGUUGUGUCAUGUGGAUUAUUAAUCGAUUAGUGAGACCUCUUUUAGAUGGACUAUAAUCUCUCAGCUUUUUCUUAUAUGUGCUGCUGCUUUGAAGCUCUUCUUUGCCAUUUAUACUGUCGUGGGUUACUUAACUUGCUUCUGGUAGACUAUUUGAACUCAUGUUUUUAUUGCACAGAACUGGCUUUGAAGAGGACAAAAAUUUUCAUGUUGUGUUGAAUUCUGUGAUAGCCGGGCGCUAUCAUGUCACCGAAUAUCUUGGAUCAGCUGCUUUCAGCAAAGCAAUACAAGCUCAUGAUCUGCAUACAGGCAUGGAUGUUUGUGUGAAAAUUAUAAAGAACAACAAAGAUUUCUUUGAUCAGAGUCUUGAUGAGAUAAAGCUUCUCAAAUACGUCAAUAAGCAUGAUCCUGGUGACAAGUACCACAUUCUACGUUUGUACGAUUACUUCUAUUAUCGAGUAAGGGAAUGUACAAUUUUGAUACUUAUCUUGUUUGGUUUUGAGCUUUUAUAAUAUUUUGGCAUAGAUUUUUGUUUAAUACGUGCACCUUUGCUAGAUUUGAAUAACUUGUCUUUCAUUGUCUUGUGUACCUGUGACCCCUAUGCUUUGGGGCAGUGCCUUUCUGCUAGCAUGGAGAGGGCAACACUUGAAAGUUUUGUAUAUGGCUUAUUGAUCUUGUUUAUGAAAUGAUGCAUUGCAUAUUAAUCUGAAAUGAAUGAUAACUUGAUUUGCAUUCAACUUUAUUUUGUAGGAACAUCUGUUGAUAGUAUGUGAACUUCUCAAAGCAAACUUGUAUGAAUUUCAUAAGUUUAAUCGGGAGUCAGGAGGGGAGGUCUACUUCACAAUGCCAAGACUGCAGGUUUGUUGGGUUCCAUUUUCUACUUGACGACCAUUAGCUUUAUGCCUUGCUGGCGUUUAAACUUUGCUGAUUUUUUUUUUUGGCAGUCGAUUACGAUUCAGUGUCUAGAGGCGCUUAAGUUUUUGCAUGGCCUUGGCCUGAUACAUUGUGACUUGAAGCCUGAGAAUAUACUGGUGAAAAGCUACAGUAGGUGUGAGGUGAAAGUCAUUGAUCUUGGGAGUAGUUGCUUUGAGACAGAUCAUCUCUGCUCCUAUGUUCAGUCUAGAUCAUAUCGUGCUCCUGAGGUUAUCUUGGGACUUCCAUAUGAUAAGAAGAUAGAUAUAUGGUCACUUGGCUGCAUCUUGGCCGAACUUUGUACUGGCAAUGUAAGCUAUGCAUCUAGAUAUACUUGUGAUCAGAUUUCUGUUUUUAUUGUCAUUUUAAUUCUGUUUUCUUGUCUUCUACUCUUCUUAUUCUCUUUUGGUGAGUAGUUACAAACAAGAUAAAACUAAAAAGAAUAUUUUUGACUUUGUUUGCUUAUUAGCAAACAACACAAUUAUCUGUUAUUUGUGAUCUGUUAAUAUUAAGCUCUAACCUGACUGCUAGUUGAAGUAAAUCCCAGCUUCUGUACAAACUGGUUUACAUGUUUGCGUCCGUGUGCCUGUACGUAAAGUAGCGACUAUCAUUGAUUGACUAAUUGUUAUCAUUCUGUAUUAAUGCCCUUGUUAAGUUUCCAUUCAUCCACAAAUUCAUUUUAGUGGAGGUAGACAUGAAAAUUGUAACAUGGAUUCGUGAGAUUGUGUUUUGAUAUAUUACAAAACAAAAACAAAAAAGUGUGCUUUUAAUAUAUUGUUUUACAGACUUGUCUAGUCAAUGAUUUAGCACCAAAUUCAAUGUCAUCUACAACUGAGUGCCUGAAUAGAAAAUCUGGAAUUUACCUGGUUAGAUGACAUUAGCUCUGUUGUGGUAGUCUUCUAGUAUGCUGUUUGGAAUAUAUUACUACCUGAUGUUUAUAUAUGCAAUUUUUAAAUUUUUUAAAAUUUCCAUUGGAUCAACUACUCAACUUUUCUGAAAACCAAAAAUUUAUGAUACUGGUGCUAAAUGUAGAAGUGAACUUGCUUUUUCUAGGUGCUCUUCCAGAAUGAUUCACCUGCAACUUUACUUGCACGGGUGAUGGGAAUCAUUUGCCCCAUUGAUCAAAGUAUGCUAGCCAAAGGACGUGAUACAUAUAAAUACUUCACAAAAAAUCACAUGCUUUAUGAACGGAAUCAGGUAACCUAUAUGGUUUUGAGUUAAUUACUUAAUUUUUCUCUUAAAUCUUUGGAAACUUAACACGUCACCAUUCUCUGAUUUUUGUGUGUAGUAUUUUGUAUAAACACUGUUAAUGCUGGAUUUAUUUAUUUUUCUGAUAAGCGGUGCUAUUCUCCUCUGUUCUUCAGGAAACUAACAGACUGGAAUAUCUGAUACCGAAAAAGACAUCCUUGAGGCACCGGCUGCCAAUGGGAGACCAAGGCUUCAUUGACUUUGUUGCUCAUCUGCUUGAGAUAAACCCGAAGAAGCGGCCUUCUGCAUCUGAAGCUCUGAAGCACCCGUGGCUAUCAUAUCCUUAUGAACCCAUAUCAUCUUGAAGACUUGAACCAUCUGAGAAGUUUCUUGGUAAAGAGAACAUAGUGCAGUUGCACUUGCAUUUUGGAGUUUUGGGCGUCUAAUUGUGAAGAGGCUUCAUUUGAUUCGUAAUCGGAAUGAGUUAUCCAUUUGAAGGAGAUUAUGGCCCUUAACACUGCUGCACAAUGAAUGCGUUGAAAGGUGUGUUUGGGACGGUUUGAUUAUGGCCCUUUCGUUCCUUCCCCUUUACCAAGUUGUAUUCCAAUUAGCUGUAAUCAAGAAUGUAAUUUUGCACGCACUGUAUUCUUAGGUUCUUCUUUCUUCGCUUUGUUUGUUCUGAUGGAAGGGGAAUCUUGAAAUCUUGUUGUACAUGAUUGUGUGAUAUUCUUUUAGGUAAUUUAGUAAUAUCUUGUGAAAUAGUUGCUUGUCCAAUUUUGGUUUAGCCCGUGAGCGUGACGAGACUGCUGCAUUGUACCGUUUGGUUUUUGGUUUUCUUUUCAAUUCCAAGGAAAGACAUGGUAGGAUAUCCAAAUUUCCUGGUGAUGUUGAGAUAAUGAAGGUUUCAAUUCUUUCAUUUUGUCUUUAGGGCGUAAAGAAUGAGGACUUAAGGGGCAUGCACGAGUUUUUGCAACUGCUUGCAUGGCGUUCACUGGUCCUUUCGUCUUCCGUUUACCUUCUUAAAACAUUUUUAGAUAGCUCAAACGAGUUGCAGUGCAGCAAUUGUUUAAUGGCAAUGUCAUCAUGUCCUCACAAACUAUGCAGAAUGUUUUGCAGUUAAACCUUACUUACGUGUUAAUCAAGAGAGAAGAAAGAGAAUGACAUGAAUGGCUUGUUUGAGAGAAGGGAACGACCGAUAGAACUGCUUAAUAAUCAAGAGUACUUCUAAAAACGCUUAUAAACAAAAGUGCUUUUUACGUGAGGAAUUCUAAACGAACCCAAACCCAAUUAAAUUUCUUAUCGUAAAUUAAUUGGAUUUUGGGCGGAAGAAAUUGAGUUGGCCCAAAUUGUACUUGUCGGAAUACACUAGAUAACGCCAUGGCCCAAAUUGGGCGGCUGGCUGCUUUUAAUUUUUAAAAGCCCUCCACUUACAGGCUCCAGCUCCAAUUCAAUUGAACUGCCAAUUUGCAUAUUUCGUUCGGUCGGAAAAACAAUGGAGGAGAAGGACGAACAACCAUCAGAAUCAGAAGCUGCAGCAGCAGCAAAAACGUCACUCUUCCCUGUACUACCCGUCUCUCAACAAAUCACAAGCGUCCCUCACUGGCUUUCCAAUACCAGCUUCACCACCCAACUCUCCGUCAUAAACGACGCCGUUAUCUCACACUUCAAACCUGACCCGCUUCCGUCACCACCACCACCGCAAGAACAUGAAGAGGAGGAGGUGCCGUCCCAAGCAAAGCCAUACGAGAUGCUGGAAUCUUCUUCUGGAUCCGAUAGAAGCGAUGAGAGAGACAGGACGACAAAGAAGAAAAAGCAUAAGAAGAGGAAGAACAAGAGGAGGAGAGAGAGGUCCGUUGAGAGAGGCCGUGGAGCAUUCGCCGAUUACGGUUCGAGAAAGUCCAGCGUUCGGGCUUGGGCCGACUCCGAGACUAAACCUUCCAAAGAUUAUUUCCUUGAUUCUCAUGGCGACCGCGACAAUUUGGUGUUUGGAUGUCUCUACAGGUAUUUUGCUAUUUUAGUUAGAUAAUAUCUUUUUGUCUCACUUUCCUUCAGUCUUUCUUUGGUCACUGACAAAGCUGAUAAAUGAAUUCCUAAUUGCUAUCAAAUUUUUAUAUCCAAAUUGAUUCGUUUUGAUGCUAUCGCUAUGAAGAUGAAGCUUUUGAAUUGACUGUACCUAAUUUGUAAUGCAGAAUGGACGUUGCUCGCUACAAGCCUUUUGCGGAGGUAUCUGGGAGUGAUUUUCAAGGUUUGUAUCGGUGGAACCAGACAGGUUCAACACUGGAUAGAGAUGCCGAUGUUGAUGCAUUGGAUGGUAAACUAAAAUCUGCUGGUCGCUAUUGGUCUGCAAAGUACAUGGCUUUGGAACGCCAUAAGAACUUAAAGCGUGCUCGCAUACUUGUCCCCAGAGACCUUCCGGUUACAGUUUCCGGUGAUUUUAUUCCUUUAACGGAUAGUCAAUCAUCCAAUGAAGGUGUUGAUGGCGAUGAUUCACUCUCAAGAACUUCAGUGGUUGAAGAAUCUUGGGAAGAUGAAGUACUACGCAAAACACGGGAGUUUAACAAAUUGACGAGGGAGCAGCCCCAUGAUGAAAAGGUUUGGUUAGCUUUUGCGGAAUUUCAAGACAGGGUUGCUGAUAUGCAACCCCAGAAAGGCGCUCGGUUGCAGACACUGGAAAAAAAGAUUAGCAUACUGGAGAAGGCGGCUGAGCUUAACCCAGAUAAUGAAGACCUGUUGCUUUCUCUUCUAAAGGCUUACCAAAGCAGAGACAGUUCUGAUGUGUUAAUUAGUAGAUGGGAAAGGAUACUCAUUCAACAUUCAGGAAGUUACAAGUUGUGGAGAGAGUUUUUGCGUGUAUUUCAAGGGGAGUUCUCAAGGUUCAAGGUUUCAGACAUGAGAAAAAUGUACGCACAUGCAAUCCAGGCUUUAUCUGCUGCAUGCAGAAAGCACUUUAGGCAGGUUCUCAAAUUUACUUAAUGUUUAUGUUCUAUUGGAGAUUGUAUUUAUCUAUUCUCUAUUACUUUAUCAAGAGAUCAAGGGAAUGUGGGAAAUUAAGAUAAAACUAGGUGUAAACCAAAAAGAAGAAGAUAAAUAUCAGCAUUAAAUUUGGAAUGAAAAUAGCUAUUUCAGCCUUUUGCUGGUCCAUGAUGUUUUCCUGGUAACACUGGACGUACAUCCCUAACAAUGAACUGCAAAAUGGGUUGGUAAUAAUUACAUCGCAUUGUGGGGUUUAUUUAUACAUUAGACACCAAUUCUGGACAAGCAGCACCACUACUAAAAUGUUAUGUGUUCAACACUUUAAGACUUUUUUUUCCGCUUUGUGCCUCAUUUCAUUUCCCAAUUUUCUAUGGCAUCUAUGGUUGUGGCUGCUCUAGGAGUUGGAGGUUUUGAAUUAGGCAUCUUGAGACUUUAACUGCAUUUAUUGUUUCUUCUAGCUAUUUUGUCUACUUAUUUUUGUCUUCUAUUGCAGCAUGAGAUAUAAGAUUUAAUAAUUUCCCAAGCGUCUGAGGUUAACUUAUUUUGGUUUACAUGUGGUUCCCAUUUGAUGCAGGUUUGCCAAACAGAAGACCGUCCUCCAGAUCUUGCUACUGUUCAACUAGAACUUGGUCUGGUUGAUAUAUUUAUCAGUUUCUGUAGGUUUGAAUGGCAGGCUGGCUAUCAAGAGUUGGCCACUGCUCUAUUUCAGGCUGAAAUUGAAUUCAGUUUGUUUUGUCCUUCAUUACUCCUCACUGAGCAGAGUAAACAGAUACUGUUUGAGCACUUUUGGAAUAGUGAUGGUGCAAGAGUUGGAGAAGAAGGUGCCCUUGGUUGGUCCACAUGGUUGGAGAAAGAGGAAGAAAAUAGGCAGAGGGUUAUCCGAGAGGAGACUGCACAUGAUAAUGAAGGUGGCUGGACAGGUUGGUCGGAACCACUAACCAAAAAUAAGGAAAAUAGUUUAAAGACAGAAAAGGAAUCCGAGAGUAAUGUUGUAGUUGAGGAGUGUCAAGAAGAAUUUGAGGAAGAAGAUGUCAAGAAAGAAGAAGAUACUGAAGCUUUGCUAAAGAUGCUAGGAAUUGAUGUUGAUGUUGGUACUAGUGGUGAGAUUAAAGACACUUCAACCUGGAUCAAAUGGUCGGAAGAAGAGUUAUCAAGAGAUUGUGUUCAAUGGAUGCCUGUUCAUGCAAGAGGUUCACUCCUUCUCUGUGUGAAUAUGAAUGUUCUUUCAUGGGUGCAUGCAUCUUUCUCUUGGUCUUUGCCUAUUUUUUGUUUCCCUUUGUUCUUUUCCCAUUCAUUGUCUUGCAGUGAAACUCUUUUCCCAUUUAAGAUGUAAAUGUGCUUGAAGUUAAUAUGCAUUCAUCAUUCCUGAUAGCGAUGCUCACAAAGUACUUACAUUGGGUUUGAAUAUGAAACAGCUGCUAUCUCUCAUAAUGUUGGUACACCCGAUGGAGAAGCAGAUGAGCACCUUUCGAGAGUAAUAAUGUUUGAAGAUGUCAACGAGUACUUAUUUUCCUUGAGCUCAUCUGAGGCCCGUCUAUCUCUAGUAUUGCAAUUCAUUGAUUUCUUUGGUGGGAAAACCUCUCCGUGGUGAGGUCCUAUUAUCACUUUAUCUGUAUAAUCUUAUCCACUGUUGCAUUGGAUCUAGGUUCAUAUUUUCUUUUGUCCUUUUUUGACAAAAUAAGGGAACCUGACUUCCACAAUGAAAGUAGACACUAAUUGAUGAUAUGCUUUUACCCCUCCCCCAAACAGGAUAUCUACAAACAGUUCAACUUGGGCUGAGAAAGUCCUUAGCUUUGAGGCAUUGCCAGAUUAUAUAUUACAAACUUUGAGAAGGGUUCAUAAUUUUUUAAGCAAAACACAAGGCAGUUCAAGUAAUUUCAGCUUGGAAUCUCUCUUGGGUACCUCCAAUGACAUCUACAGAAGAACAGACCUGAUGAAAUUUCUUCGUAAUGCUACCUUGCUCUGUUUAUCUGUUUUUCCACGUAAUUUUGUCCUAGAAGAUGCUGCUUUAGUUGCCGAAGAGCUAUCUGUUAUGAAUUCGAAUCCUUCCAGCUGUUCUGUUACCCCAUGUCGAGAUCUUGCAAAAUUUCUCUUAAAGAGUGACCGUCAGGUAGUAGUUAUGUUUGAGUCUCUAAUGGCGGAUACACACACAUCAUAUCUUUCAUAUAUAGGUCCUUGUUUUUAGAUAAGGUUCUUUUAAUAUCUUAAAUUCUAAAGCUAUGAAUUGUUUGGCCCUCAUUUAGUAAUUUUUUCCAGGUUUUGAGUAACCCAUAUUGUUUAUAAAAAGGUUUUGAGUGUUUUCAAUGGGGGACAUGAAAUAAUUUGAGAAAGUUCCUAUAAACAUUUGUAUACAUUAUUUAUGAAUAAUGCACAGAUGCAUGGUGGUAGCAAGGAAAAUUUUAAGUUGUUAAUUAUUAUUUAUAUAUAUAUUUAUAAAUAAUCUGUGGUGAAUUUUUUUUUUUUUUAUCCCUCAACGUUGGAUUUGAGUUGGGAUAGCCUACAGUUAUUAACUUCUGUAUCUUCUUAAAAGGCAGCAGUUGUGAGUAAGUUGGUCAUUUUGCGAAAUUAAAUGAUUGCACCUUCUCACAUGCUCUAAAGAGGCAACCUUUUCUUUAUUGAGUAACGGAUUUGUAUGAUAGAAUUCCUGAUCUUGUCUAUUUUGGCACUUUUUACAAAUAGGAUGUAUUGCUAUGUGGAGUUUAUGCAAGAAGAGAAGCUUUUCAUGGAAAUAUUGAUCAUGCAAGAAGAGUAUUUGACAUGGCAUUGUCAUCUAUUGAAGGGCUUCCUUUGGUAAGAUCUAUAUGUUUAUUUAAAAUAACUUUUGUAGUGGCAUAUCAAUUUAGCAACUGAUGUUUGUUUAUGCUGAAAACUCAUAAUGUUAUUUUUCAAAGUACAUGUUAGUCAUGUCAAUGCUGAUAGCAGCAUAUAGUUGAGAGAUCGUGAGCCCGUUGGCGUAAUGUUAUUUUUCAAAUUACAUGUUAACAAGCGAUCAUAUUGAACCUUACUACUACAAUUUUAUAUUUCACGUCUUCUUUUUGGUCUGAAAUAUUUCACUUCUAUGUUGAGUGUUUAUGCUGACUUUGGCUGUUAACCUUCUGUAAACUUUUUUUUUUUUUUAGCGAUCCAUCUCUUAUAUCUGAAGUCUAAUAUCAGUUUGAUAAACCUCUUAAUUUUUUCUCAGUUAGAUAUGAAUUCUCAUGAGGCUGUUAAUGUGUAUUGUAGAUGACUAGAACUUAGAUUACCUCCAAUUUGGCAUCAUAUAUUUUGAGGAGUUACCUCUUUCUUUCCUGGUUUUGGAUUCCUUUUAAUAAUUUUUCAAUUUUUUAUCUGAAGGUUUUCUGUGGACUUUGUUUGUUGGUAUUUACUCUAUGUAUCUACUUUAAUUUAUUGAGCAGGAAUUACGGUCUAAUGCUUCCCUUCUAUAUUUCUGGUAUGCUGAGACGGAACUUGGUAACAAUAAUGGCAGUGGGUGUGAAUCAUCCUUUCGGGCGAUGCAUAUUUUAUUUUGCUUAGGAAGUGGUGUAACAUAUAGUCCAUAUAAAAGUCAACCAUCAAAUUUGCAAUUGCUGAGAGCACGCCAAGGUUUCAAAGAAAGAAUAAGGACAGUACAAAUGGCAUGGGUGCGAGGUGUUAUAGAUGAUCAAUCUGUUGCUCUCAUAUGUUCUGCAGCUUUAUUUGAAGAGUUAACCUCUGGAUGGGCUGCUGGUAUUGAAGUUCUAGAUCAGGCUUUUUCAAUGGUGCUCCCAGGUAUUUUCUUGAGCAUCUCAUUAUGCCCUCUUUUUUUUGGUCGGACUCGUUAUGUCCUCUUUAAUUACUGACAUGUGAUGGUUCAAGUAUUUUACGUCAUUUCUGUCAGUCAUAUUGUGGUUCCUCGACCCUUUAUGUCCUAUGAAAGUCAAAGGUUUGGUAAAAGUAUGAAAUCUAAUUCUGCGCAGGUGUUAGUGAUGAUAUUGAACAUCACUUAAUUGUGUUGAUACUUGUGAUGAAAAUUUUGAGGUAUUUAAGUAGUGGAAGAAAGAGGGAGAAUGUUCUACAAAGCAAUCUGGACAUCGGAGAUACCAGAUAUGCACGAAUAAAGGAAAUAUAUACUUAUCAGAAGACAAGUCUAAUUAAUGAAAGGAUAGUUCACCUAUUUGCAGAUGAGGCUAGCAUCAAUACCCCGGAGAACAAAAAGGAGAAAAUUCUAAUUUAUUCAACCUCUAUUUGCCAUUACAAGAUUCAAAUUGUAAGGAACCAAUUAACAGGGCUUGGAACUUUGAGGAAUCAAUUGACUGCUGAGGCUUGAGUCUUAAUUCAGCAAAUGCUUAACGAGAAUGGAAAUCAAAAUCACAGCUUCUAUAAUAUUAUAUUAAGUUAUUGCACUUUCCUUCUGAUGCUCGUUAUUUGACUGUAACAUAAUUAGAAUAUACUUAAAACUUUGUGCUUAUCUUGACUGCAUAUGAACUGCAGAGAGAAAGAGCCGUAGUUAUCAACUUGAAUUUAUGUUCAACUUUUACAUGAAGAUGCUUUGGAGACAUCGUGGUGAAUCAAGUCUAUCAAAUUGCUGGGAGUCCAUAUUGCAGGGGCUUCAAAUAUUUCCGUUCAGCCCAGAACUUUUAAAUGAUUUAAUUGAGGUUGGCCAUCUUUAUACAACACCUAAUAAACUGCGAUGGGUGUUUGAUGACUGCUGUCAGAAGUAAGAUGUUUUUCCUUCUGGCCCUCUUUAUUGUAAUAUGAUUAUUUAAAUUGUGGUAACAUAUGCAUCAUGUGUGAUAUAUUUUCUUUUUUACCUCAAAUAUCCAUAGGAAACCGUCUGUGGUCGUCUGGCUUUUUGCGUUGUCAUUUGAGAUGAGUAAAGGGGGAUCACAGCAUAGGAUCCGUGGAUUGUUUGAAAGGGCAUUGGCAAGUGAUAGAUUUCAUAACUCAGUUGUUCUUUGGCGCUGCUACAUUGCAUAUGAGAUGAAGGUAGCAUGCAAUCCUUCAGCAGCUAGGCGGAAUUUCUUUCGAGCUAUUCAUGCCUGCCCAUGGUAAGAUCUUGUUCCCUUAUACAAUUUCUGCCCAAACAAGGCUAUGAAUAUGGUCCUAUUGCGACUUGAACAAUUUCAUGAUCUGUUUAUUGGCUGCUGCUUGUUAACUUUGUUUAAUAUCUAUCAUAGGUCAAAAAAGCUAUGGCUUGAUGGGUUUCUCAAGUUAAAUUCUACAUUAUCUGCAAAAGAGCUGUCAGAUCUCCAAGAAGUUAUGCGGGAUAAGGAGCUGAAUCUGAGGACAGACAUAUAUGAAAUUCUUUUGCAAGAUGAGCUUGUACUUUAACAAUUGCUGUACGAAUCCCCUAAUGGUACCAGGUUAGUGGUGCACUGUCAUACUACUGUAAUACUUGAUCAAAACGGGUUGGAAGAGAUUGUACGAUGGUUGUAAGGAGGCCCUUGAAGAUAGGUACAAGUUAAACAGAUGUAUAACUGAGAUUUUGUUGCUUAGAUGUUAUGAAAUUCAUUAUCUUAUUGACAGACACAAGAAAUUGAACCUAAUUAAAAACAUUUAUUCUCACAAUAUUUUGAAAUACUAUGCAACGGUGAACAAUGAAUGAAGCUGCGGAAAACAUUCAUACAGUGCAUAUACAGCAAUUAUUUGGUUUCAUGGUGAACAUAGUGGUCGAUGAUCAAACAGGGCAAUCUUUCAGAAGUUACUGAACAUAAAAGAAAUAAGAGAAACGUGAAUUAUGAUGCCUAGUAUCAUCUGUGGCUUGUCACUGCAUUCCUUGCCUCCUGAUGGAUCUGGUGGUGGUGGACCUGCUGGUGGUGGUGGUGAUGCGUCGUUGGGUGGACAAGACAUUCCAGAGAGACAAUUUCCGGUUAAACUGACAAAACAAUUUGAAAGAAAAACAGAACCCUCUAGGUUAUAUUCAAACAUUAAAAUGGUUUCAAGAUAAUGAACAUAACAGAUUUGUGGAGCAUGCAUUAGACCAAAUCUAGAACCAAAACACAUAAGAUGAGACGAGGAAGAUUUUACUUACACUAAUUUCAGGUGUUUAUUUUGUGUAAGAGAGGUGGGUAUGGAUCCAUUCAGUCUAUUCUCUGACAAAUCACUGGGAAGAAUAUAAAUUAGUUCCCGUGUAUGCAGUGCUCAGUUAGCUAAAUAGUUGUUCUGUUGAUGGAUGAAACUCACAGUAGAUUUAGAUUAGGCAAGGAGCCAAGGAAAUCAGGAAUAGGUCCAUCCAAGCUGUUAUUGUGAAAAUCACUGCAAAUCAAAAGAAAAUUGGAAGCUUAGAAAUUAAUUAAUGACAUAUAUGCAAGGCUAACUUAUUACACAUUUGUAUUAUUAACAUUAAAUACGCGACUCACAUCUUUUGCAGCCCAUCCAUGGAACUAAAGUCUGGAAGCGGGCCAAACAGGCCGAAGCCACUGAGUUUCCUGGUUUUUUCAUUUUUUACAAGAUCACUUCAAUUGAACUCUGGCAUUUAACUAUUAAUAAUAUACUUGGGAAUUAAAGGGGAGAGAGAGAGAGAGAGAGAGAGAGAGAGAGCGAGCAGUACACACUUACAGUGAGGUUACACGAGGAGUGGCAUGAAUAGUAGUAUUAGUGCAUUCAACCCAUUCCCAUGCAAAGGAUGAUGGAAGACAGGGAUCGCCACUCCAUUUCUGCAGUAUCUCAAACUCUCUCUGCAGUGCUGCUAGCCCUUCCACUACAUUAUAUAUAAAUUUAUAUCAGAGAAAGUUAAUGUACGAAAUGUAUAUAUAUCUACGUAUUAAUUGACUAUAUAUAUAUAUUAGAUUUUAAUACAAAUACAGGAAUGGAAUUGUAGCAAACCAUCUUUAGUGCUGGUUGUUGCUUGGGUUAGAGGGCCAGUGAUAGUAUAGAGUUCAUAGGCAUUGAUGAGAGGAGGAAGCGUGGAUUGUAAAGUUGACUCAAUAGUGAAACUAGUGUUGGAAUAAGCUGUGAUGUUGGUAAUGUAGACAGUGGAUACGCUUCCGAAAGGAGGGACGAUGGUGCCCGAAUACGGGUUGCCGUCUACCAAUACUUGUAAGGAUCUUUUGUCGGUGGAUGAAUUGAGCGGCCGAAUGACUUCAGAGAAGUAGGUGGUCAUGUAGAUGCGCACUUUUUGAUCUUGUGAUUGUGGAAGUCCGCUGGUGUCCAGAACUAAGAACCAACGAGUGCCUAUGGUUUCCACUGCAUUUUGCAACACAGCUUCUGGAGGAUUAUCUUGUGCACUACUAGUAUUAAUGCUCCUUGCUUCCCCUUUCACAUUCUUAGUAAAUAUAAAACCACUUUCCGGAACCCAAAUUCGAUCAUAUGCAUCAUCUGGAUACCUAAUUCAUUAAGGCAUAUUCAUAUGAUAUCCAUUAAUGCAUAGUAUACAGCAAUACAUGUAAUUAAUAAGAGGAAACAUAUAUAUAUAUAGCAGCGUACCUAACAGUUUGGUUUGUACCGUCAGUAUGCCUAUUUGCCAAUAGCAGAGCGUAAUUGGAAUCAACAUGGCUGUACAUUUUGAAAUCCAAGCUCCGCAAUUCAAGUGCGGAUAUGAAGGGCAGCUGAUUAUCUUUAGUUUGAGCAACGCAUAUGCUCGUUGUAUUUGCCUUGGCAACAUAGAUGGCCUCGUAGGAAACGAUAUCAUAGGGUUUGGUGACAACCGUGGUCCAAUAGUUGCCGUCGAACUGGAGCUCAAAGGUCGGGCCGGGAGAAGUAGCAGAAUAAUUAGGGUUAUUGUGAAAAUCCCAGUAACGGAAACUUGCUCGAACAAGAAGUCUCUCCCCAGCUUUGCCAAUUGGUAUGGUGUAACAGUUUUUAUUCAAAGUUGGGAACACUCUUACAGUGCUGGUCCAAUCAACUGGCGUGUUGCUGCUGUAGUACUCAUUGAACACUUGAGACUCGUGCUUAUUAUGAAUGUAAGCUUCGUCCCCUGUCCAUACUAUUGAGUUUUCAUCUUUGUAAGUAGAGGAACCUGUAAAGCCACAGUCGAUGCUUACGAACACUGCAUCGGCAUGGGAGGAGGGAUUUAUUAUGACGACAAACACUAGUAAUGCUGGCAGAGCUAUCAGAUUCACAAGUACUAGAACAAGGUUAGCCAUUAAAGUUGCCAACUAUAUAUUUAUUGUUACUUAAGAUGAUCAAUAUAUAGAGAGAGGCCUUGCCUUUGCAAUUGAAUUGAUCGUAUAGCCGGGGGCUGGGGGGAGGGAUGGGAUUAUCAACUUUGACUUCCUUAAUGUUUAUGUCUUAUGUCUUGAGUUGACCAUUUAUUAAAAUAUUAGCAUUCGGAAUUUGGGAGAGUGUCUGUCCUCAAAGCGCGGAACACACCAAAUUAAUAAUUAAAAUGAAUGGAAUAAAACUAAGAUAAAAUAAAGCAAAACCUAGGCCGGAAGAACUUAUGAAUGUACUAAGUCAAUUAAACUUGCUGUCACGUCUGAAUUUUUUUAUUUUAACUUGCUGUCAUCUUUUCUUAUCCGGUAGUGUCCGGCAGCCCGAUAAUCAUUUUUCUUAUGCUAAUUAAUCCAAUAAUCAUGAUCAACAACAGGCAGGCAGGCAACAUAUAUGUUCUUAAAAAUUGAAAAUAUAAUUGAAUAUUGGGUAGGUACAAGCCGUACAAUGUUUGUCAAACCCAGCCGCUAUUAAUAUAUGCUACGUGCUUGCUGCAUUUCCAUGAAUAUCAUUCAUGUUGCACAGCCUAGGCCCCAAGGCAAACACGGUCAUGACAGUCAGAAUUUUUUUUGUUCUUUGGUCAGAUAUUUGUACUUUUACAUAUAUUUUAUAUGAUUAGAUAGUCCUCACCAACCCAAGCAUUGAGAUAUGAGAUCUAGCAUCUAGGAAACGAAUUGAAGAGAUGAUUUCCGCAGGCAGGCGUCCACAGAGUAUGUAUACUAGAAGAACCAGAAGAGAAAAAGAAAAGAGACAUAUGAUAUAUCCUUCAUUUGUCACGCACAGCCACUAUAUAACUCCACACACACACACAUAUCACACAGUCAAAACUAGGGUAUACAAAAUGUCAGGAGAUGCAUAUACACAAGCUCUAACGUACACGUGCGUACGCACAGUCCUUCAUAUAUUACAUUAACAAUAUUUGCGUUACAGCUUCUUCCUUUCUAUAUGCUAAAGAUCAUCCCUCUUUAAACAUGAUUUUCUGUGCAUAUCGAUGCCGUACUUGACAUGCAUGCAUCUAAUUGGUAAGAACUAGUUCUAGUUAGGGUUUUUAUAUGUGAUUAAUGAUAGUUUUACACGUUCGCUAAGAUGUCAUUGAUCAUCUUCAUAUCAAGACACCAAAUAUUACUACCAGUAAUAUAAAUAUAAUUAAGAACUUCCAUUAACAGACAAGAACUCUAUAAAAGGAGCACCAGCUGCCUUGCUUAUCUGUUGUCCCACAGCUUCCUGAUCAACCUCCUCCUCAUCCUUUCUUGCAUUAUCUAUCACUUCACUUCCAUUCGACUCAGUAUUUACUUGGAGAAAAUCAUAAAACUCAAUUGGCUGAUCUUUAUGAUCUGCAGCAUAUAAAGAUGUAUAUAAUUAGGAACCAUGCACGAGAAUAUCAUUAAUAUAUGUAUGGCUUAUAAUACGGAUAUGCAUGGCACAAUUGGAGUGGUAAUAUUCACCUUGGUGCAUUGUGACACAGGUAUUUGGAUAAUAGAACUCUCUUGGAAAUGGAGGAGGAGGAGGAUUAUGAGUGAAAGGUGGAUAGAAUUUCCCAAAAUAAUUAUAUGCAUCAAGGUUCCUCGUGAUAUCACAGUUGAUUUGCAGGUGAUCUUGUUUUGAAAAGGAUUUUGGAAUAUCGAUGUUAAUAUUGGACGCCGUUAAUGACGAUUGAGGCACAGCAGUACUAGUAGUAGAAGAAGUCCUUAUUAAUUUGGCGUGAAGCCUAGAUCUUUCUCUGCAUCUGCGUGCCAUGAUGACAUGCCAAUGGUUCUUCACUGCGUUAUCAGUGCGUCCCGGGAAAAGCCUUGCAAUAAUAGCCCAUCUAUUGCCAUGGAUACGGUGAGAGGCUAGGAGACGCUCUUCUUCCUCUUCUGUGAAAGGGUUCCUGUUGAUUCUUGGGUCCAAUUGAUUGAACCAUCUCAACCUACAGCUCUUUCCUGCGCGCAAAUAUCAUUCAAUUCAUUAUAAUUAAUCCAUUACAAUUAACCACUCUCUCUCUCUCUCUCUCUCUCUCUCUCUCUCUCUUAAUUAGUUGAAUAAGUUGUUAAUUAAUCAAUUACAUACAUAGUUUUUGCCCUAGCUAACUGCAGAAUUAAUGAUUUGGGGGUUCUUAAGUACUAUAUGUAGAUUAAUUAAUUAAUUAGCUUGUUCAUUAUAUAUACCAAACCCAAACUAGAUGGCUAGCAGUUGCCAACAAUUAUAAAAAUGCAAACACAUCAAUCAGAAAAAGAAAAAAGAAAAAAGAAAAUAGAAGUACCUGAUCUUCCUUGGAGCUUUUCUGCAAUUGCGUUCCAGUUAUGAGGUCCAUAACGUUCCACCAACUCCCUAAGCUUCUCGUCUUCAGCUGGCCUCCAGUGGCCUCUAGUGCACAUCUUAUGUAUGUAUGUAUGUAUGUGUGUGUGUAUAUUCGAUCCUCGAUCAAUUGUGUGUAUUGAUUAAAAUAACACAAGAAGAUCACAAUCAAAUAAAUAGGAGUUAAAAUUAAGCCUCUCUGCCUAGCUAGCUACCUAUCUAAUUCACUACGCACUACUGUUGGAUCGUCGAUGGCCGGCCCCUCUGUUUCCUUAAUAACAAGUACAGUGCUCUUCUUCUUCCUGAUCAUCAAUGAAUCGAUGGCGAUUAAUAUAUAGGAGCUAGCUAGCUUCGUAGUAGCUAGUCUAUUAUAUAUUGUAUAAAGCGCCAACUGCAACGAUGAAGACGAGCGUGGGGGCAAGGCAGUAAAGCAAUCAAGACAAUUAGAAUUAAGCUACUGCAGGAGAGAUGGAUAGAUAUACAGAUAUCCCCAUGAGCUUGAUCGAUUAAUUAUAUAAGGGAGAGGAGAGGGAGAGAGAGAAAGAGAGAGAUAUGGAAAGUAUUUUCCGUUAGAGAGUGGGAGGGUUUGGACAGACCUUACACCUGCGAUUGAUGCAACGUCUUGGCUAACAAAAAACCACAAUUAUAUCAUCAUCAUCCCAUCAAUUUAUAUUUUAUUCUAUAUUAUGUAUAUAUUACAUGAGAGAGAGAGAGAGAGAGAGAGAGAGAGAGAGAGAGAGAGAGAGAUGGGUUGCUUGGUGGGGUGAAAUAUGGUUCCUCUUUCAACGUCUUUCCAAGUUUCUAACCUACAACGUCUACUUAUAACCCACCUAGCCAUCUUACUCUUUUUCUUUUUAUUAAUUAAUUCCUCUACGUAUAUAUAUAAACUCAAAGUAAUUAAUUAAGCAAUGAAAACGUUAACAUAAAUAUGCUUCAUCAUUACAUAUAACUGAUUACGUACCCAUACAACUAACCCUAAUUCAAAUAAUUGAACCUUAUCUUAAUUAAGAGAAAGAUUAAAUAACUUUAUAUAUAGAGUUCAACAUAUAUAUCUAAACGUGAUGUUCAUGGCUCUUCCCAUUUGGAUGAUUAAUAAAGUUUCCCUCGUAUCACCGAUGUUCUUCAAAAAAAUGUAAAUUAUCAUUUACUAUAUAAAUGCAGUUAAUGUAAUUGAUGAAUUGAGGACAUUUGAUGCAAUAAUACUAAUAACACAAAUUUUCUUAACAAUUAAUAACUAGAGAAGAAAAAGUGGUGGGUUUGGUAUUUGUGGUGGUGUACGAAUGGGAUGGUAGUUUAAUUAGGUUUUGAUCACCUUUCAGACCUAACUAACAAAUUUAGUGUACAACCUCACAACUACAAUUGCACGUGGAGACUCGGACAGACAUCCUUCAUAUUAUUGGAUAAUAAUAACUAUUUAUUUUUUAGUCAAACUAACUCAAACUUCAUCUCUGGCCCUGUAGCUGUAGCCUGUAUCUGUAGCUGUGUGCGUACGUAGGAAGCUGUGAAGUAUAUAUAAAUAAUUAUAUGCCAAAACUACAAGCUAUAGUCCUUAAUUAAUUUUUGCCUCACCUCUUUCUCUUUGUUCAUCUCCCAAGCAAACAUGCAUUAUGCAUAUAUACAUGUUCUCCAGUUUAUUUUCUUUCUAGUUUAAAGAUGAUUCACUUUGUUCCGGAUAAAUAAAAUAUGAUUCAGAUUUUAAUCUUUGAAUGUUAUAAAGUUAACCCUAGAUCUGUGUCAUACUCGACCUGUUUGAAUCCUUGCAUGUUAUGAUUGAUUGUUACUAUUAGAAAACAGAAAAUUUUAAUAGAAAAGUUGAUAUAGAUUCAAAUUCUUAUUGAAGAGUUGGGUUUAAUCUUUGGAUUUGAUGACUUUGAUACAAGUCCUUAACUUUUGUGCCACAUAGAAUUACAUUUCUUUUAAAAAAAAAUUUAUGUAAUAUUUUUAUUAUUUUAUUUUAAAAAUCAUUUUUUGUUCCAAUGUUGUCCCUAAUGACUUGAAUCGGGUAAUAAUCAUUUAUGUCACAUUGCCUAUUGCCUAUUGUGUGUGUGUGUGUGUAUAUAUAUAUAUGUUUUUUUUAUAUUUUCGACAAUGUGUAAUAGUAUUUUAUGUACCUUUUUUUUAUUUUAUAGGUAACAUAUAAUUUUAUUUUUUCUAUUUUUGUAUCUGACUUAUAGGUAGUCUUCUAAUUUACGUUCCUAACUUAUAGGUAACAUGAUUUAUCACCAAGUAUUUUUCAUUGCUAAUAAUAACACUAUUUACCUGUAUGUCAGGUACAUAAUUUAAUGUGGGUGCUUGUCUGAUCGAUUGGUAUAAUAUGUGGAUAUUUACUUUUUAUUGAUUAAAUUGUAUUUUAUCCAUAUAUGUCAAAGGACCUACAUCUAAAUGUCAAAAACUCAAGAACUAAAUCCAAUAACAGCUAAUCGUUUUGGACCUUGAUCUAAGAAGCCCAAAUUUUAAUGAAAUUAAUAGGUCAUGAACAGUAUGACUGAGCAUGAGCUAUAUGGAGGAAGACACCUCUCUCCUAUUUUAGCCAUUAAUAUUAAAGUAUGAGCAUACUCCCCAACCUACAACCCCCCAAAAAAAAAAAAAAAAAAAUUUAUUUAUUUAUUUAGAUGCAAGUUGGUAUGGCCUAAUUAACAUCCGAAGAGCACAGAAUUAAGGAAACUAAUUUUUGUGAUAUUAAUUAAUAAGGACAGCAGCCUUUCUUUUGACCGUUGGCCUACCAUUCUCUCAAGUAGGAGAUCUAAAUUGCUUGAAAAAAACGUGAGAGCAGGAAACACAUCUCCCAUCUUCACCCACCCUAUGUCUUACACUGCGCAUGACAUUGGUAACUGUCACAAAGUAAUACGUCAACUGUUUUCUUCAUCAGCCACCUAUCUCUCUCUCUCUCUCUCUCUCUCUCUCUCUCUCUCUCUCAUUGAAAUAUUCAUAAAGAUAUAUUGACCGGUGGUAUAUAUAUCUGCUGCAAAGAAUUCUUGCCUGCUCACUCACAACAUUACAUUAGCUUAAUUAAUUUAUGGUUCAUGAUCAGGAACACUGAGGAUCCUAGCUAGGUAGAGCCUUCCUCCCCAACCCCAAAUCUGUGAAAUUAUAAUACAAGUCAUUUGCAUACAAGCCUAUAAUAUAUAUUAUAACUGAACAAUCCAAACUGGUUCAAUCAAAUUCAUCAAUGGUGGAGUUCUUCACGACUGUUCACCAGUUUCACCUACUUUUCUUAUGGCAGUCAGCAAUCAUACUAAACCUGAUUCUAAGAGUUGUUUCAUUUGCUGCUACCGGAACUUCUACCUCUUUUCCACUUUGCACGUUAGCAAGAGUUUUAACAUAAAAAUCAUGAGCCACAUCGGUUUCUUGCUCGUAACCACAAAUUUUAUCAUUUGAUUCAAUAUAUAUAUAUAUAUAUAUAUAUAUAUAUAUAUAUAUACGUACAAGACCAAAUUAUCUGAUGAAUAUUAAUGUUAAUCCCUUCCUAAUUAUUAUCUUGAUCACCAAGAAGAAAACGUCUCCCUCCGUAUCUUGAUCAUCCAUAUGGAACCGUUAAUUACUAGCUAGCUGGCUGGUCAGAAUGAUAAAAUUUUCAGUCUUCUCAUUGUAAUUAUGAGGACUCAUAAAUUCCAUUUGGAUGGAAUAUUAAUGUUGUGAUGAACAUUUAACGGACACAUAUCUUAAAUGGGUCUUGUCCACCUUGCCAUAUAUAUAAAUAUAUAAAUAUAUGAUAUAUUGAUAUAUGGUUGGUAGCUGGUAGAUUUUAUAUAUAUAUAUAUAUAAUAGCUAGCAUUGUCUUGUCUUCUGUCUUGUCAAAGCCCGUUUCUGCUUUAAGUUUAGCCAAAUUCUGAAUUAGGCCGUUAAUUAGUCCCCUUAAUUCCUCCUGUACAUGAAGUACGGAUUUGAGACCCACCUAACCAAAUGAUAUGAGACAAAAGGGUUUCUGGGUCCAGAAGUAACAUAAACUUCCCAACUGUAAAACUGCCGAAAGCCAACUUAUGAACCAUUAAUAUUAAUUCCAAGGGAUUACUUUUGUGUCUUGAUCGAGCUCAACUGAUGAUAUCGAUGAAGAGUACACCUACCUACCAAACUCUAUAUCUCUUAACUCUGGUUUAGCUAAUUAUAGCUCUCUUUUCGUACCUGUUUUAAUAUUUUCAGUUAUUUUUCAUUAUUGCUUUGUUCUACAAAUGUCAAGGUCAGCGGCGAUCAUCUUUCUUUCAACUCUACUUCUUGACUCUUUAAUAAAUUAAUAAGAAAUACAAUUAAGUAGGGUCUUAUGUUCAUAUCAGGCUGAUCACAACCCAAAUCAAGAUAUAUAUGUAUAUAUAGAGAGAGAGAGAUAGAGAUAUAUUUGCGGAAAUAAAAGGAAGAUAUAUGCUUCCUUUCCUUGAGUGCAACUCACUUUUAUAAGUUAGAGAGAGAGAGAGAGAGAGAGAGAGUAUUAGGUAGAGGACAGGGAUAUAUGUAAACGCAUGUCGUUGUUUAGCUAGCUAGGAUAUGUACAUUCCUUUAAAAUGGAUACUUGUACUACUAACCUUGAUGUUAUAUAACACCUUUACAUUUUCUAAUCAAAACCCUGGCCGCAUUCAUUUCAUCAAUGUUUGGAUCAAACUAACAAACUUCACUUUUUUGGGUUAACUGUCUAAUAAACUAUACGAUUAACAAACUUCACUUUAUUUGUGGGUUGUCCAACUCUCUCUCACUGCAUGUGUACAUAUAUAGCAAGCACCAGGAGUAUCGAUUAACCGGCCGUCUUCAAAGGAAAAAAAGAAAAAAGAAAAAAAGAAGAAGAAGAAAGGGGAUAUUCGACGGUGAUGUAUCUAUCUAAAUUCUAAAGACUCGUGUGAUUGAGUGAUUGCAACCAGUUGAUAUAUGGAGUUGAAGAAAACUUUAGCUAUACCCUCCUCCUUUUAUUGUAUAAGUAAAGGAAAUCAAAUAUCAAUUAUAGCACAACGAACAAAUGCACUGAGACUCCCCCAUUUCUUUCGGCUAAAGUGUUGAUUGAUGCAAUAAGCUCACAAGAGUCCAAGAAGAUGAUUCUGACCUUUUUUCAUGUUCAAAUUUUACUUACUAAUGAAUGGACCCAAAAAGUAAAAAAUGUUCAAAUUUUACUUACUAAUGAAUGGACCCAAAAAGUAAAAAAGUAAACAAUUAACUAAUAACGGGGGGAGAGAGAGAGAGAGAGAGAGAGAGAGAGAGAGAGAGAGAGAGAGAGAGAGAGAGAGAGAGAGAGAGAGCUCCUCGUGUCAUAAUAUGAAAUCUUUUAAUUGAGAAAUAUUACCACUAGGAAUCUUCAGCGCUACUCAAGGUUUCAUUACAGGCUACAGCAGCAUCUAAAUUUUCAAGUUAGGUUAGGUGUUUGGAAUAUUGAUUUCUUUGCCACGCUGUAUUUCCACAAAGAUUGUAAAUUUAACUAUUAUAUAAUAUAGUCUGCGUAUAGACUAAGGAAUAUCACAAUCCUCCUUGCUUGUUAUCUCUGAUUUUGAUGUUCCAGUCAAAACAUCAUGAUGCUAAUGCUAAUGCUAAUGCUAAUGCUAAUGCUAAAUUGGAAGGUUCUUGCAAUUACUCAAUACUGCUCAUUCCAUUAUCAUUAUAUAUCAAAUUCGAACAAAUUGACAACAUCCAUUCACUACAAACAAAACAAAUUAAUUUUGUCCAUCAAUUGAUGAUUCUGACUAUAAGGAUGAUAAUUCAACUUCCUCAUUGUCAGGACGGUAUACCACAAAGGCGCCAUCGCUUGAGAAGGAACCAGGAUUAAAACAAGUGAUUCCUGUGUAUUUGAAAGCCUUUUGCUCGCUUCUGUCACCUAAAACUAUCUGCACAUGAAAAUCAAAGGUCUGUCAAGAAUUAUUAAUGACUUAAUGAUUUAUGACGGUCCAAGUGUCUUCUAAAGUUUCAGUUUUAGUAAAUAGGAAUCGCUUUGCAAAACACCAGUCCUUAUUAUAGAGGAACUCCAAGGGAGAAGGAGGGUGAAAUGGACAAGAAAUGGAUAUCAGUAUUACCGUAUGUGGAGUUGGAUAGAGGUACAGGGACUGAUCAUAAUUCCAGAUAAUCGGUUGUACAAUAAGAGGGAGAGGUCAGAGAUGACAUUGAUGGGUUAUGGUAGCAACCAGCUGUGACAACAAAAUGAGAACCUGUUACUUUUCUUAGUAAUUAUGCACAUCAGUUAACAAGAUAUUAAGAAUAUAUGUACACAUAUAUAUUAGAGAGAGAGAGAGAGAGAGAGAGAGAGAGAGAGAGAUCACAUGCUCAAAGUCAUCAGUAGUUUCUUCUGUAGAAGGGGGCAUCAGACAUGAACAACGCAUUCUGCACAGCAGAUCCUGACGGAAAAAUACCAGCCCCUGGCUACAGAACUUCAUUCUGCAUUCAAGUAUGGCAAGUCAUUGAUCAGCAAGCCAACUGAAACUACAAGCACAGAAGACACACUUCGUACUCAUGAAUCCCAAUGUGCCAGGUGAGAAGUAAGCUCUUUUGUCUUAGAAUUCACAAAAUGUGAAUCUAAAUACCAAAGAGUGUGCAGUUAUCUGCAAUAAAAUACUUAUCUCAUCAUUUAUACGUCAACUCAUCAGUGAUCAGAAAAACAUACCUACAAGGAUUACUUGAAAAUAUGGCAUUUGGAAUGUGAUUUUGAAGCUCCUCUUAAAUAUUUUGGUAAAGAAGGCCUCGGUAGAACAGUUGAAGGGCCUGAAAUUGUCAAAAAGCAGAGAGUACUAAAGCAAGUGUGAUAUACCCGGACUAUAGGCCCAUUUUUGAAGAAACAUAUUCUUUCUUUGGAGAAGCAUGUUAAAGCAAGUGUGAUAUACCUGCAUCAUCGGGACCUGGGAUAAACAGAAAACAACUACCCUCUUUUAGCCGUGGAUGGGCAGCAAUCAUUUGCCCUAGCUUGCCAAACUGUGACAUGCACAUCUAGUUUGUUCACUAUUACUGUUACUUAUGUAAGAAAGAAAAGACUGUUUUCAGCCAACAAAAUAAAUCUUAUCAAAAUAUUCCUCACAUGAGAUUGGAGAAGGAGUGGAAACCAAGAUUACAUGGAUGAGAACAAAAAUUCCCCAUGAGUACAAAUAAGCACGGUACAAAGUCCUCAUUCUCAAAAGCAUCUAGGACUCUCUCCAGCUUUCCCAUAGGCUUCUCAAAUAAGAAAAGAACUAUCAAUUAAUGUCAAGUACAGUACUCUGAGAAACAAAAGAAGUUAUAACCAUCUUUUACAAGAGAAAGAAGAAUAACCUCUUCAUUGUCUAGCCAAAUGUCAGACAGUAUGACAACAUUCCCAUUAACUGCUUCUCUUUCCAACUUUGCAAGUCUGAGCUGUUUGAAGUGUAUAGGAAACUAUACAUUCAUAAUAAUUGGCUAGUCUAUAAAGUUGAACAAUUAGAAAAUUUUGAAUAUCACCAAAAAGCAAGUUUUGGAUACCGUCUCCUGUUCUGUUAGUGUACCACUACCAAAAGAGUCAUGUCCUGCAAGAAAUUGGAGUGACUUAUCUCUGUCCUCAAGCGAAGGAAAUCCGCAAUUAAACACCUUCACAAAAAGUAAGUGUUAGCAUCUCUUUAAAGAUUAACUUCAUAAGUUAAAUGUUUACAUCUCAUACAUACACAUUGAUCCAAAGUUAGGAACCUGGUGCCUGAUACAAUCUCAUGGCAAGUAACUUCGCUUGAUUUACUUUUUAUAUAUACUGAUCUGCUCUGGAUUAGCUAAAGGGAUUAACAUAUUAUGAAUUUAUGAUAUAUUGAUCCAACCUCAUAUUAAGAGAAGAAAAAGUAGUUCUUAAAAAAAAAAAAAGGAAAUUUUCUUCCAUGGGAAUUAUAAGAUAUAAAAUAUUGGCAUUUCUAAACAAAAUUCUAGUAAAAGGAUGUGCAAUUUCUUUUUAAUAGUAAAGAGAAUAAAAGAACGUUAGCUAACCUGAAAGACACCCUCUAAGAGCAUCUCGCCUUCUGCAACAACUAUUGUGUUCUCUACAAAAAAUCCUGCAGUUAUCUUGUAUAUAUUGUCAAGGAAAAUGAUGAUUUCAUGCUUUUGAUUUGACUGAACCUCAACUCUAGCUUUUAUGAGUUCAGGCAUAGCCAUAUCCUACCACACCCAUGAGCCAUUAUCAUAAAGACAAGGAAUCAAUGCAUUUCAUCAAAUGACAAGACACCAGUUAGUCGCUCUGUAUUAGAUGCAAACAGAACAGCCCAAAGGUCAAGCGUCAAGUGUGAGGUUAUAAAUGAUGAGAGUGUGUAAAGGAUAUUGCAUUGGAUAAGUUGAUUUCGACAGAAGCAGAAAGGUCUUCCAAGUAAAAAUGGCCAUCCUCCAACUGAGAUAUCAGACCCAUCACCCAUCUCCUUCCAGUUUGCCCAAUCAGAGACUGAAUUGGAGAUAUCUGACCACCAUACCAUACAGGAAUUUAUUUAAUUGAACUUUGGCAUUUAGGAAAGAAACCCAACUAGAUUUCGUGGAAUAAAGACAAUGUGAGUACCAACCUCACAGCGUCCGAAAUCUGACAAUUCAGAAUCAAAGGCCGGGUUGGAAAAAUUCUUAUGGCGAGAAAGCAUCUGGGAGAUCAAGAGAAACCCUUAUACAGAGCUGCUUUCGAAAAUGCGUCACCAUGAAUGGGUAGGCUCCCAGUAUGCCUAAAAAUUUCCCCCCCCAAAAAAAGCAUUUUCAAUAAAUUUUUACUACUCACUAUAAAGAAUUAAGAAUUGGUUGGCAAAAAUUGAAACAUACUUGUAAAAAACCUUCUUGAUGGGAUCAUAUCGGAACUUUGGGACCUUGAAGGCAUCAAUUAUGAGCAAAUCAGAGGCUCUUAUAACAUCAUCACCAUCGCCGUCGGUGGUUUCGUUGAUGGCCGCAUCAGCACCCAAUAUACGGGUAGCAAUGCGGUGCACCGUCUCCUUGUCUUUUACUGCCAUCCCAAGAAAAAGAAGAAAAAGAAACAAGCUUUACUUUAAGGAAAAAAGAAGAACAAGAUGAAAAUGAUUGACUUGUGAACAAAUAAUAAGACACGAAAGAAAUGGGGGGAAUUACUGGGCUGGGUCGCGAGGAGGAUAUCGACGGGAUCGUCCAAAGCAGAGUCGUUGUUGAAUUCGGAUUCAAAGGAGAGGAUCUCGUCGACGGCGUCCAAUUCAAGCGUGUAGCCUCUGAUCUUGCACUUCUUCUGCACCUUCUUCCUCGUGGAGCUGCUCAUCUCUCUCUCUGUGUUCCGUUUGCUAAAACCUAGACUUUUGGCCUUUGGGAUUUUGUUAAUUUUGGCGGGAAAAUGUUCCUACUUCCCUCUUUUUUCCACAUGAGCCGCCUUGUCCGGGCUCUGGAGCGGAGUUACUUUCUAUAUGGUAAUAGUAGUAGUAGUACAGUUUUCUUUUAAUUUUUAAUAUUUUUUACAAUUAGAAUUUAAAAUAUACAAAUUUUUGCUUUUGUUUUGUCUUUUACUAUAUCUUUCGUUAAAAUCUGGACAACUAACUUGUGAGAUUUGUCUUUUACUAUAUCUUUUGAAUCGUUUGAAGAUUUUAAAUAUGGGAAAAUGAUUAUAAUAUCGCCUCAAGUUUCAUUUGUUUUUUCUUUACAUUAAAAUGAGAUAAUCAAUACAAAACAGCUCCCUCAACAUUUCUAAAAGAGGUACAACGCAAAAUACACACUGCUGCGGUGCUGUACUGAGUACUAUUCAAAUCCUCCACAAACAUUUCUCAACCAGUUCCACAGUUCAAACAAAGAAAGGAAAGAACAAAAAAAAAGUUCCCCCAUCGCUCAAAAUUAUCACAAUCUAGCUCCUCUACUUAACUAGAACAUGAUGUGCACCAAUUCUACUCUGCCAUAUGUAUGUAAUCACCCCGAUGAUCCAUCUGCCGUAUGGUCCAUGGAUUCAAUUCAACACCUCCGCAUCACUCUCAAGUUCAACUAGCAGCUCUCCAAACCCUGCUUCCACACUCCUUCGCAAGAACAGUCUCAAAUCCGACAGCUCUGCAGUCAACAUAACAUUUAGGAUUUGCAGUCAUAAAGUCGGAAGCAAAUUCUUCAUGUUGGUUUCCAUCUGCAUUCACUCCAGUCUGAGGCAUAAUUGACCACCUGGUAUAGCAUCAAAAUUUUAUCUUGACGAUCCCUUCUCAAUUUGCUAAUGUGAUCAAGCUUCUUCUUCCUUUUCCUUUCUUGAUUCCAUAGGGGCACUUUGAAAGAAAUCAUCAUAACAGUAUGAACGAACUUUAUUAGCUCCCUCUCAAACUCAUGCUCCUCCGCUUCUGGUUCAACGCAACACGUCUUGCCAUAGAAGGAUUGUAGAACUGUCUCAUAUGACCUGAAAGCCUGUGGAUGGAUUGGAGAUCACCAAUCACUGAAAGCUGCAUCAGAAACGAGUCAAACUUGCUAUAUGGCAACUUCAUUCCCUUGUUUACAACGUCUUCCAAUAGGCAGCACACAUCUUCCACUUUAUUGCAACCAAAAAGCCCUUCAAUCAUCAUGCAGUAAGUAUCAGUAUCCUGUGCACAGCCCCUCUUAUCCAUCUCAUGCCAAGUCUCAAAUGCCCCAUCAGGAUCACCCAUCUCAAAAUACAUUGAAAUCAGCAUAUUAUAAGUCUGCACACUAGGCAUACAACCUAUGUCUAUCAUUUUUCCAUAAAGCUUAAGUGCUUCCUCACUAUUUUUGUUGUCACAAAGAACCUUGAGAAAACAGUUAAAAGUAACAAUGUCAGGAGGGUAACCUUUGUUUCCCAUCUCUUGCAAAAAUUUGUAAGCCUCCUCAACCUUUCCAGCCAAACACAUUCCUUCAAGUAAUUCCUUGUAUGUAGAAACAUCAGGAAGGCAACCACUGUUUAUCAUAUGUCCGAGAAGUUUGAAGCACUCCUCCAUUCUAUCAUUCUGCACAAGAGCCACAAUCAUAAUUGCAUAAGUUUUUGCAGUGGGAGAAGAAAUCGUAGAACCUUGGGUUCGCAUGAAUUCAAAAAGUUCAGCUGCCUCGGACACCAUCCCUGCUUUGCAAAAGGCAUCAAUGGCAGUAGUGUAUGUGAAAUUAUCAGGUGCAUGACCCACUUGGAUCAUCUCUUCCAGUAGCUUCAUUCCUCUAGUCGGGUUCCUAACUCUACACCAACCAAAAAACAAAAUGUUGUACGUAUUAGCAUCAGGCUUAACCUUUUUCUUCACCCUCUGUAACAUGUCUUGAGCAUCUUGAACCAGACUGCACUUACACAGGGCAUCCAAUAGCAGGUUCAACGCAUUGAUUUCCGGCUGCGUCUUCACCCGUAUCCUCUUCUUCUUGGCGAAUUUCUGUAGAUAGGUGAGAUGCUUUUCCGUGUAUUGCUUCAAAAUUGUUAAGAGAACCUCAACAGGAACCUUACUCUUGUUGUGCCUCUUCAUAUAAUCCAGUAAGUCACAAACAAUUCGAAACUGCUUCACCUUAUACCUCGUGCAAGAUAAUAUGUCAAUCAUAUCAUUGUACGCCAGAGAUUCAUGAACAUAAUUUUCUCGGCGGCCAGCCCACAUAAAGAACCUAAAUGCUAGUUUCUCCUCAAAACGAAGCCUCUGAAGCACCCCAACAACCAACGGAGUGGUCAAUGGUAGACCAACUUGAUCAAGAGCCUUCUCCAUAUUACAAUAUGCGUUAGAGUUAUCCAUAAUGGCCUCGCAAAACUUAUCCACAUCACUUUCUAAUGACUCGUCCUCAAUACCACUCCUCCCAUCACAGUCAAAACUUUGAUCCACUGUAACAAUCUCCGAACAAAAAUGACGCACAGAGACCCUAAACGCAGCGAGCGCAUUCAGGGGCUGCGAUAAUUUGACCAAAUUCAAACAAGGGGUCCCCAGAAAUGGCACCAGGUGAUAAGACGAAGAUGCAGAGAGCAAAUAAGUUCGAACAUGAGAUAUGGAUUCAAUCGGGGAUCUCACAUAUCCAAGGAUAUUAGCAUUAGAGCAGCAGAGGGAUAAGGAAUGAUUCUUGAAAGAGAAUAAAUUGAUGAAAUAUAGGCCUCGCAUCGAAGCAAUUGAAGUUUUGAGAUACUGGUUCAGCAUAAUGUUCAAUGGUAGAAAUGGUUUUCUAAUCUAAAAGAACUAUUUGAGAAAAUGAAAGGGAGAGGACAAGGAUUACCAGGCACGAUGACAACUCUGCGACUUGUUCCCCUUACACGCUGGAUGAGGCUCCGGGUACUGAGUAAGUUGGAAAAUGAUAAACACAAAGACCCAAUACCAAUUUUUGAGAGAGAGGGAGAGGAGAGGGAAAGAUUUGCAGAGAAACAGAGAGUCACUCUCAGUCGAGAAAAGGGGAAACCAAAAUGAAGGAGAGAGAGAGAGAGAGAGAGAGUGAACGCUCGAAGUGGGGCCUGGGCAUUUUGGGCUGGGAGCCCAACAUUAACAAAUGUAUUUUUAAGCCCACAAGGACCAAGUGAAGGCAUUUCAUCAACAGGUCGGAGCAGGCCCGGCUUUCUUCCAUGGAAGUUGGAACAACAUCCAGAUCAACGAUCGACAGUUUAGUUAGAGUAUGUUUAAGAAGGAUUAGAGGUAGAGCACUUGAGAUAAAAACCUUAAAAUUUGGGCUGAACAAGUGCAUGGGUGCUGAAAGACUUGGUUAUAAUCACUUAAUUUGGAACUUAUUAUGUUGAGCAGAGAAACAUGCACUGAAAAUAUUUAUCUUUACUUAAAAAGUAAUUAAAAUCCGUUGAUCAUAAGCUGAGAGAAACAUCUCAAUGAUACUACAUAUGCAUAAGAAAUAUAUGGCUAUUCAGUCCUUAUUACAGACAUUAAGCAGACGUAAUUAAUUAAUAUCAUGAAUUAAAACCAUGCUUGCUUAAGUCAUAACAACUGGAAGCCAAGCUCAAUUAGCAUACGCCUCUUUUCUUGCCAUCCACAAGCCCCUUCCAACGCCUUGUAAUCUCUUGUUCGAUCUCUUCUACACUCUUCUUAGCAGGCUUCACCGCCCCCUCACUGCUACGGGCCAUUUCAUCAACAGUAGCUGUGACAUGGGCGGUUUUCGUAGAGAUUCGGCUUGGGAGUGUGUCUGUUUCCUUCACAACUUUGAUAAUGUCCGAGAUAAGCCUCUCAGCCAAACCCCGGCUAAAAUCCUCCCUAACAACCACUCGCAGAACAGCAAUAUGUUCUGCAUUGGCUGGCAUCGUAUAGGCUGGAACUAUCCACCCAAACUUUCUCAAACUAUCCGAUAUCUCGAACACGGUGUGCUUGCUGCUGUCUUUUAGAGAAAAUGCCACAAGGGGCACUCCUAUGUCUUUGGAGACAAUUUCAAACCGCCCUGUUUUCUCUAAUCCUUCUCUCAGAAAUCUUGUGUUCUCCAUGCAGUUUUCCAUGACAUUUUUGUAACCCUUUAGGCAAAAAACACGGAAAAAGAAGACAAUGAAACAUCAUUAACCGCCUCAAAUCAAACCGAUAACUAGGUUUCUAUACAUGAAAUGAAAUGGUAGCAAAAGUUACCUCAAAACCCAGUCGAAUAAACUGAUAAUACUGAGCAAUUAUUUGGCUAGAACCUGCCAUACAAGUUACGACAUAUAUAUAUGAUGGAAGAAUUAUGAUUUGAAGCCAAUUAGGAAUAAUUAAACCAAGCUUUUUUCACCAUGUAUACAUAGAACAUAUAUAUUGAUAGAUCAUGGCUCCAUAAGUAAUGUAAAAUAAAAUUCAAAACCUUUAGAAAAGUUAAGGGUGAAAGUGGGCUGGUCAGAUCCAAGGUAAUUGAUGUGAAAGACAAGCUCGUCCGGCAAGUCCUCUUUGCUCCUCCAUACAACCCAGCCAACACCAGCAUAUACAAGGCCAUACUUGUGGCCACUUACAUUGAUACUCUUGACUAAGGGCAAACGGAAAUCCCACACAAGAUCAGGAUAAAGAAAUGGAGCUAUAAAGCCUCCGCUCGCAGCAUCCACAUGAAUGGGAGUAUCCCAGCCCUUCUCUUUGUUCUUUUGAGUAAGGAGAUCAUUGAGGAGCUUCACAUCUUCAAAUUCUCCCGUCAGAGUUGAUCCUAAAAUAGCUGCAACACAGAUAGUGUUCUCAUCCACCAUCUCAACUGCUUUCACAGGGUCCAUUACAUAGUAUCCCUCUGACAGCUUCACCUCCUUGAGAUCAACCUCAAAAUACCUCGCAAACUUUUCCCAGCAUACCUACACAGCAUAUUAUGCAUGAUCAAGAAAUAUGUAUCAUGCAUGCAUCAAUAUAGAAUAAGUCUAGACAUUGGUCAUGACGUACACUUAUGAAUUGUGCGUGUCAUCAAUCAACAUUUAUAUAUAUAUAUAGAAAGAAUUCUGACCUGCACAUUGGAUCCGGUGACCAUGUUGGGCUUAUCGUAAGGCUUGCCCUCUGCUUUUCUCUUUUGCUGCCACUUUCGUUUAAAAGCUAGGCCUGCCAACAUCAUUGCCUCUGAAGAACCAACAGUUCCCACUCCAACAGCAGUUUCGCCGUCUCCAAGGGGAGCAUUAAAAAGGUUUGCUAUUAUAUUCACACAACGAUUCUACAUGAAGGGAAAAAAAAAAAGGUAACAAACAGUAAUAAUCAACAGGAAAUUAGAAAAAUUAAACUUCAUCACAAGAUUAACAAGAAAUUUCAAACAGAGCUGGGACUAUAGUUUCUUUCAAGCAUCAAAUCUUUUCCCAACUUGCAACUAGUAACCAAAAAUUAGCUAUGUGUAAACAAAAUAAUUAAAGUCAAAUUACGCAAACAUAACCUACAAUUCUCCCAAACUUGGGAACUGAAUAACCUUGUAGAGUAAAACCUUAUUUGUAUCAUACACAUUAUAUACAUGUAUUCAAGUCCUUGUAUAUUUGUGUUUAUCGUAUGUGUAUGUAGUGUAGUUGUGUGACCGUAAUUUUUGGCCCACGCUGCACCCAGUGUAAAGGAAGUUGAGGUUCCACUCAAAAGCAAUUGACAAUGGGAGAAUAGUCCAAACCCUUAUAAACUCAAGUUAGGUCCCUUGACAUUUGACAAAUACUCUCAACAAAAUGCUCCGCUCCUCUCCUCUGCUAUGAUCCAUAUCUAGAACGCAAUAAAUAGCAUGUGGCGUUGGAAACCAAAAAGAGGAAAUGCUGGCUUGUAACUUUGUGCUUAACCGCAUUUAUCCUUGCACUUGAGGGCAAGAGUUGUAAUUUCAUGGUUAACUGUAUUUAUUCUUGCAGUUGAGGUUUUAGGUCUGAUGUCAUAAUUUGAGGCGACGAAGCCAGUCGAGUCCGUUCCAUGCAUUGAAUCCUCGGAUAAGGCAAUCGAUUUCACACUUAAUAUUAUUCUAUAGUGUUAAUCCUUUAAAAAUUAGACAUUUGCGCACCGUAUGGAUGCCCAGCUAGCCAAGUUCCUGACAAUAUAUAUAUAUAUAUAUAAAUAAAUUCUGGACCCACAUGAGUAAAUGGCACGGACUCUUGAAUGAAUGAAUAUACGAUACACAACGCAACGCUGUUGACUUCCUAGAUCUUGAUGGAGUGUGUGUAGCUAGUAGAGUAACUUAACAGUAUUGUAAAGUAGAUUUUAAUUAAUUAAAAUAAUAAAAUAAUGAAAUAAUAAAAAUGAUAUGGAUGGAGGAAGAGAAGAGAGAUGAUGAAAGCAGAGCAGACCUGGAGUUCAGUGGUAACAGGGUACUCAUCCAUGUCGACGUAGUUUUUGUUGAGGGAGGCCAUGAUGAGCUGAUCGCACUCUGGCUCCAUCCACGUCGUGACAAAUGAUGCCAAGUUGAGCCUGGGGUUCCCAUCCAGCAUUAGCUCAUCCUUUAUUAUCUGAUACGCUGCGUCCUUGGGUAUCGACGUCUCCGGCAUCUCGAACUUAGGGAGGGCGUUACGCACAUAUCUCGAUGCAAACGUAGAGUUCACCUGCCCUCCACGCUCGCUGCUCGUCGUUGAGAUCACCAUCUUCCUUUCUCUUUCUCAAAGCCUCGACUGAGCAACUGAGAGAAUUUGAUGCUCCUUAUAUGAAUAUUUGCUCUCUUUGCUUUAUUUGCUUUGCUUUACUUUCUGGUUGGUCUUAUCCCAAACUUUAUACAUAGCCUAGGCAAGGAAAAGAAUAAUAUUAUAAAUGAGGCAGGGUAGUUUUGGAAAAUUUAAGUGCCAAGCAACUCACACCUAGUCGUAGAGCAGAGCAAGGACACGUACUGAAAUUGGGUAGCCAAGUCGCCCAAUUUACCCAUACAUAAUAAUUUUCACUUGUUUUGUUUUUGUCCGCCUUUGUGUCGGCAGAACGUCUUUUGGAACACGUGCACUUCAUUCAUUGGCUAUUUCUUUUUUACUUAGGCACCACCACCAGUCAGUCACACUCUCUCCCCACGAUGACGAGAGUGAAGCCCAUGUGGCUUCAGGCCUUUGCUUAGGGGGACCAUUGAUGAGAGUUUCCUCUCACGUUUCAGUUCAAUUUUGCAGCAAGACUAAACCUUGUUAUAUAAUUUGUGUUUAUUAGGUUUGAUGUUAUAUGCAACCCUCGAUAGAUGUAGAAUAACCAGUCUAACGAUCAGUAGAUAACAUGACUGGAAUGGAAGCUGCCUGCUGGUGAAUUACAAAGUUGAAUACUUGAAAUCUGAUUCAUCUUUGAGUUUUGCAAAAUGUUUAAAAACGGAAAAGUUUAUCGUUUAAUACAACAGAAAGGAAGCAAUGAAUGGAUUAUGGACCCCAUCCCCCUCCCCCAGAGAAAGAUGGGAUUGGAUGGGAUCGGAUGGCCUGUUGUUAGCCAGCCAAUCGUCUUGUACCAAAAUGGUGUUGGCUCGCUUGAAGGCAACUAUAAUUUAUAAAUCAAGCAAGCAACGCAAGCAAGCAACGCAAGCAAGCAAGCAAGAAACAAAAGGAAUUAUUGAAGUUGACUGACUGGUGGACGCGAAGAUCCGGUUGCCUCCUCCUCCUCCUGAGCACGCUGCACACGCAAUUCUCUACGUCUAUGUUUUCAAGAUGAAUUGUUUGUGGCUGUGGACCUUACAAGGACCCACAGUUGUGCUUUGUAUGAGCAGGCAGUUCUAGUGGUGUCAAGUCCAACCACUCACGCACUCACUCACAUCAUCAAACUUACAAAUAUCACACACAAAAUUAUGACCCAGCCCACAACCCCCAAUGAAAUAAUUGAAAAGAGAAUCAAGACGAUGAAGCCACUGUCCCCCUUCGUAAUGGUUAAAAGGGCCCUACCGUACCAACUAGCUAGCCAGCCACAAAACUCAGAUGCAAAAGGUUUUCACUUGUGAUCCCAAAAUUACUUACUUGCCAGUUGGUAGUUUGCAACAAAACCAAGGGUGUCAAUAUUCCUUUCUGCUUAAGUUAUCGGUCUGACUGAUCGAUAUAAGAUCAGAGAGCGUGUCAGAACUGGACAAACAAGGGAAAAUUUGCACACAUGAGAAACAAUCUGAAUGAAAGAAUUCGCAGGAAUGAAAUAUUUAUGCAUACAUGACUCACUUGAAAUUAUUUUAGGGGUUUGCCACCAUUCAUGAUGAGAACUCUUGUUUUCUCUUUCUACAGGCAAUGCCAGUGCCGGAUGAUCUCAUCUGCACAUGCACAUCAAUGGAAACAAGGCAAGCCAAGUACAAAAUAAAUAAGCAACAGUACGAGCCACAAUUGCCUGAGCUUUGUAUCCACAGAAACAAAGUAAAACGUAUGCAUUUGAUUUGAUGUGAUUAAAACCAGGUAAAAUGCCAAGUCACUACUUGAAGAUGCAAGAUCAUCUAGAGUAUAUAUCUGUCUUGUUCAAACCAAACAAGGCAACCAAGCUAUUGCUUUAUGAUUUCCUGAUUGCUAAUAAACCAUCUUCGUUUGCUUCAACUCCCAUUUAGAAAAAAAUGAAACUAUACAACGAUUUUGAAUGUUCUGGUUUGACCCAUAUUAUCCUGGCAUCUUAUUCCACUGACAUGAAAGAUGUACUUAUCAAGUGCAAUUACUGGAGUAACAAAGUAACGGUUUAGUAUGCAAGCAUGCAAGAUUAUAUUACCGGAGGAUCAGCACAAGCGGAAUGAGAAGAACAAUCCGGGUCUUCAGUUUGGACAUCAGACAAUGGAGCCCUGUAACAUUAGAACUAGUUACAAGCUACAACAACAGAUGAACUAUCCCAGUCAUGAGUUAGGACUUCAGAUGGUGGAUCUAUCAUUUAAAAUUAAGAGUGUCACAAUGUCUGGAUAAACUUACUUAGUGCCUUCUUCAAAAUCAGAAGUUUGUAUAUAAAAAAACCAAAUUGAAUAAAGACAUACGCAUUAAUUUGAUCACACCAUUCAGGAACUUGAGCUUGAAAUGCUUCACCGAGCCGAACCUUAGACGUAUAUGGCUCUGGGUACUUUAGCAUGACUGCAAUUGGACCCAAUUCAAAUUUACACGAGCCAAUCCCCGAACCGAUGCUAGGUGAUUUAAUGAAAGAAUUAUUCUGUGACAUUUUCAAACAAGAAGGACAAAACCACUCAUCAAUUGGCAAAACCACCCUGGGUUUGCAGCAAGAUACAUGAAAAGCCUCUUCGCAACGAUCGCAAAGUAGCAUAUUUGCUAUAUUUUCUGAAUGACCACACAGCUUACACGACUGGAUAUCUCCACCAAGACUAUCAGUUCCCAAAACUUGAGCUGAACAAGGUUUGUGAAGGGAAACAAUUUUGAUCCCAUAACUUUGAAGUACAGAAAUGCAAAGGUGGUUUUUACCCAUUUUAACUGAAUCCGGGAAUGGGAUAGUGCUCUGAAGCACCAUUGGCAUGGCAAGUUGUAAUCACUCUCAGCAACUCCCAGGUCUCAGCCACACCCAAACCACAAUGCUUCUGCAACCCUUCUCGCCAAACAAUUCCACCUUUUCUGCAAAAGAAAAUAAAAAUGAAAAACACCACCACAAGCACAACAUUGACAUUAGUACAUGAGAAGCUAACCAGCUACUGCAAUAUAUAGGAAAUUCCUUUAUCCAAUUUCCAUCUAACAAAUGAAUUCGCAUCCAUAGAUAACAAAAUUAGAUUAAAUUUGAAAAGGGUUCUUACGGGUCCCCAGUAAGGUUUCAUGAACUUUAUAUAUGACCAUGCUCGACCGUACGGAUAAAGUCAAUAAACCAGAUGAAUUCAAGUUUCAGAACGGAAGAAAAUCUGUUCAAUUCAAGUUUCAGGACAUUGUAUUGAUAAAAAAAAGGAGGAGGAAUUAAUUUACCACUUACCAGAUGUAUCAGUCGAGAGUCACUACCUCUGUCUCUUGGUUUCUUUCUUCUUCAGUAAAGACUAAAAUGAAAAGGAAAUCGCUUCGACUUUCAAAUCAGGCGGGCGGCGACUUACACAUUAAAUACUCAUUUUUAAAAGAAGGCCCGGCCCGGUAAACUUAAAUUUCAAAUUUGCCAAGGGCGGCUUCAAUUUGGCUCCAAAAACUCCCUCAAAUUUUAUUACGAUUCGGAAUUUCCAAAUUAUCAAAAAUUCGUAUCAGAAGAAAGAAAUUGUCAGAAUGCUAAAGAAAAAAUCCAGACUUUAUUAAGUAAUUUAUGAAAUUAAUUAAAAUACUUAAAUACUAAUUAUUCAUUAAAUAAAAAAUAAUUAAUGUGUAUUAACAUUUAAAGAGUUAACAGCAUUGUAAAGUAGAUUUCAAUUCAUUUUAAUAAAUAUAAUUGAAAAAAUUUAUUAAAAAAUAAUAGAUAAUUCACUAUCACAAUUUUACGAUCAUACCUAUUUAUGAAAGAUUGUGAUAGAAUUUUAAUUUGUCUUAAUAUAAAUCAAAUUACAAUAGGCAAGAGAAGUAAAAGUUAUCUUUGUUGACUAGGUUUAAAAAAAGAAAAAACAAAGUCCACAAAAUAAUUUAAAAUAAUUAAUUACUAUUUAUUAAGUAUUUUAUGAAAUUAGUAAAAUAUUUAAAUACCAAGUAUUUACUAAAGAAAGAAUAACUAAAACAUAAUUACUAAUUAAAGUAAUUAAAAAAAGCUAUAAGUAAAAACCAUUUUGGCCGCGGACUUUUAAAAUAUUCUUAUAUAUUUAAAGAGCAUAGCCGCGUGGCUACUUAUUUUUCUUACACGAGACAUGACUCAGAACAGAAACAACAAUUACACAUCCAUCUUCACAAACCAUACACCAUUAAAGCACAACGAAAUACAAACCUCCUGUAAUUAUCUUAUUUGAUAUGAGAUCGUUUCUUAUGCAUCAUUCAGUACAGUAUACCCUGAUUGAGGAUUUUGAUCUCAUCUCUAUUAAUAGAGCACUGGACUCUUUUCUUUGCUUUAUUUCAACACUAGAACAUUUUCCCGAUACCAUCGCUCGGGGGAACAGAUUCUUGGACAUCCAUCCGACGCCAAUUUCCCAACGAUGGAGCCAUCUGCUCUACCUUGUCAAACAACCCAAGUAACCCACCUGUGUGUAUGAAGAGGAUCUUUCUUCCUUCCCACUUCUUUGUAUUCUCAGCCAUGUCUUUCAACAUUCCAUAAGCAGCUUUGCCACUAAAAAAGGAAUGACAUCAUAAAUCAGUGAUCCCAUUAUUCAGCAGAAGAGUAAAGCCACAGAGAGAGAGUUGCAGAUCAUACUUCAGGAUUAACUAUGAAUACUUUAACCAUUUAUCCUCCUAAAGGGAAGUGAUGGCACAAAGAUGGAAACAUAAACAAAGAGUUGUGGAAAUAAAACAGAACCUGUAAACUGGAUCCAGGACAACCCCAGUGCUCGCAGCAAUCUCCGCGACAAACUUAAGCUCCUCAGACGUGUUUAUUGCAUAGCCCAGACCUCUGGCCUGUCAAACCACAAUACAUUUACUUCCUUUUUUGGUGUUUACAAUAUAUAAUUACUUACAAUUGGUCAGCAUAUACAUUGUGUGAAACUAUAUGCACAUCAUCUCAUAAUGGUAACAUAUGAAUAGUUACAAUUUACAACCCAUGAUUUUCCAAUCUAGGAUUUCAUUUUUCUGUAGAGCAUGCACAUGUACAACUUGUAUAGUGUAGGCAAACUACUGUAAGAUCAACCUUAAAAGAACAUGUAGUACGAAGCAACAUAAAUCAUGUGUUCAAUGCUAACAAUAUCUAAUCUGCUUUGACCCUCACAUUUUGAACGUUAACAAUAUCACGUGAAUCAACGCCUGCCUCAAGUCCAUCAAGUAGGCCUUGAACAUAGUCGUAGAAGUAAUCAGGGUCAUCACAGACAGAAAAGGCACGGACCUGCAGAGCAAAAGGAACAAAUAAUUACAUGACAUGUCAAGAGCUGCGAAUUAAUUAUCUACAGAAAGGAAUCCAAUGACAUACUUUUGCCUUCAACGAACUCAGCCAAGAGCCCAAUCCCAAACCAGCAAUUGUACCCCCACUGGAAAUCGAUUACAUGAAAACAUUACAGAUGGAAGUAAUAAUAAUAAUCACGAUCACCAUAAACUUAUUCUAUUAAGUUACAGUAUUAUACUCGUUGUAAACAUGUAAGAUAUAUUUCAUUUUUCAUUUGUAGAUUAUAGAAAAGUUUGGUUUCGUGAAGGAAAAAAAAAUUUGCUAAUACGAGAGAGAGAGAGAGAGAGAGAGAGAGAGAGAGAGAGAGAGAGAGAGAGAGAGAGAGAGAGUGUGUGUGUAACUUUAGCUCUGAAUUCUUAAUCAAUAUUCAGACAAAGAAAUUCAAAAAAUAAAAUAAUAGUGAAGUCCAAAACUUCUCACAACAAAAGGAAAGUGAGAGCUGUCAAAUACGAAAACAAGGCUGAGUGGACAAAAAAACAAAUGGUUUCGAUUCAAGGAUCCUACUGUCUCGUAUCAAAACUGACUAGAAAUUGACAAUUCCAUAUCUCCAGAUCCAUACAUAAAGGAUAUGAAAAAAUCUGUAACAGAUGGCAGGCAUGCAGGACUUGUUAUAUCAACUCAAAAUAAGAUGGCAUAGAAAAGCACCUGCCACAAGCAACAACAAUAUCAUCAAACUUUACUUUGUCGGUCCCACUCUGAAGCUGCUCCUCAAUCUCUCGAAUUGCUUCAAUAUACCCCCUGAAUAUUAAAUUUUUUUUUACGCAAAUGUGAUAAUAUCAACAAAAAAGAAAUGGAAGCCGUCAUAAUCAACUUUGAACAGGAAACUGAAACCUCAAAACCCUCACCCCUCCCUUCUCCCUUCUCAUUUUGAAGACCCCAACCAUUAGGUUUAUACCAUAUGACACGAGUUAUGAUGGAUUAAACUGAAGAACAGGUACCAGAUACCACAUUUCCAAUACAGAUUAGAGCUUUAAAAAGUCAAGAAAACUAGAAAACUUUGGGUUGGAAAACUGGAAAUGCUUCUCAUUUCCACUGUGAAGCAAAGAAAUUGCAUCAAAUUCUAGGAACCCAAAAUGAAUACUUAAAAAAUAUAUGGCAGAUAGAAAGGAGAUAGUGGGAAAAAUACAGCAGUUAAAGUGUACAGAAACAAAUUAUUAUUAAACGGACAGUUUAUGCACAUUUCAAUAGAAGGCAAACCCAAUCUCACCAGGUUCCUAGGGAGUUUGAUCCACCAACAGGAAUAACAUAUGGCCUUCUUCCUUCUUUUAGCAGUCUUUCCUUUAAAAGAUUAGUAAGAUCCUGAGACCAAAUUGAAUAUAAGAACCCAAAUCACUAGAGAUUUAGCAAAGGUAAUCUAUAAAUUCAUUAGUAUCAGAAAUGCAUGUUCUCGACCCAAAAAAAAAAAAUGCAUGUUGGUAGAACAGUAAGAUAGUUGGCUGUAUGGUUUUUUUCCCCUAUCUGUUGAGACACUGUCCAUUUAAACCAAAAAUAUCACUUGAUAUGCAGUUUAUAAAAAAUGCAUCUUACAAGAAUUACUUAGCCAGAGAUCGGUGUUUCAACUUCAGACUUCAACCAGAGACAGUAACAUUGCUAAAAAGACUAAAGGAGGAACAUUCAAUAAGCUAUAAGAAAAUGUGUGUUUAAUUAUAUAUUACUUGAUAAACAUUAAAAAAUACAUGGUUAAUUCAAAGGAAAAGCAAAACUAACACACCCCACUGCCGAAUUUUGCAUACUCUUCUUUUGAAAUUAGUUCAACAUGAGCUCCAACUAGACGUUCAACAAGGAGAUUGCCUGUCAGUCCAGGAUCUUGGUCCACGAGAACCUGCAGUGCAUCAUGAGGCAUUAAGCAAAGAGAUGGGGAAAAAAGUGCUAAAACUGAGAGAUGGAAAUUCACCUUAGAGGUACGUAGAAUGAGAUAACAGUCAAGAUUGAGAUACUUGGCAGCCACUGCAGUUGCACGACAGUGGUUACUUUGGAUGCCCCCUAUCGUUAUGAUACAGUCAGCACCCUUUGCUACGGCAUCCGCCAUCAAGAAUUCCAAUUUUCUUACUUUGUUGCCACUCAGUUGCAUUCCCGAAAGAUCAUCACGCUAGAUAUUUGCAAAUAUUUCUGUCAGUGUAAACCAGGAAAGUGAAAACACAAAACCAAAGCAACAAUUCAACGACUUAAAGCUUAUUGAAGGUUUAAAAAAGAGAAACUGCAUACGAAAUUUUACUACUUUACAUUUAAAGGUCUCAACUUUUGAUUAAGUGGAAGUUUCAGAAUUGAUCAGUCUAUAAGGGGACUCAACAAGGAACAGACAGUCCACAAUACCAAACAUUUGACAAAACCCAAAUGGGAUUUUUGGGAUUUUUCUAUAUGAAAGCAAAUAUAAGUGAGGAGAAAGAGAAAACAUAAGAGAAAAAUGAGAGGAGAAAUACCUUCAACCAGACUUCAGUAUUGGUGGGCAAAUUAGGAAGAUUCCAUUUGUGAAUUGGAGUUGGAAGCUGACAAGUGAUUAGCUGAUCAAUACAAACAGAAACCAUAAUCAUGUAGAAAAAUUGAAGAAGAGGAAGGUUAGAAUUUGAUCGUACGUGUCCGAGAGAGAAGAUAUGAGAAGGGAUGGGGUUGAUAUGGGAUGCCCAGGAAGGAGGAGUGUAGGCCUUCUUUGUCAGGAAGUCCAACCCCACCGCCCUCAUAUGGGAACUGUUGGUGUUGGCCUCCACUUCCAUUGUGCGAGUCUGAUGAGACUGAAACAGUCUGAGAAUGUCGAGGCGUUUGUGAUGGUGUACGUUGUGUUGGGUGAUGACGGCGGUGACUUUGUUAAUCGGAGGAAUGGGGAAGCUGCGAUUGCACAACAUCUUUCAUUUCAUUCGUGCUAUCUGCUCUCUUUUUCUGACGGAAUUUUUGUCGUCUUUUGAGUUUUUUUUCUUUUCCUCCUGCGUUCGACCAAAAACAUGAGUAAAAGAUUCUGUUUUUGUUUUUUUGUCGAUCACAUGAGUAAAACAGAAGGUAAAUUUUCUUGCCGCCACGUGGUCUGUUAACCACUGAAACAUAGCAUCAGGUCUUUUCAAAGAGGCCCAUUGAUACAAAGAUAAAGAGCUCACCAUGGUAUGUGAAUUUUCAAGACUCUUCAUCAACUCAAAUUUCAAUCACCAGUGUUAAAGCAUCAGGUCUUUAUAUAUAUUUAUGACCCAAAAAGGAAGAAGUUUUAUAUAUGUUUUUUGAUAAAAUACACAAAUGUAUGUUUUAAAUAUAUCAGAAAAAAAAGAUAAAGUUUGCUGUUUAAGUAGUCAUAAUUAUAGACUCCAAAUAUGGAGGCUGGUGGCUGGCCUCCAUCUCCAAUUUUGUUUGCCAGGCUAUGGGCACUAAAAGUCCGGUUUUUUAAGCAUAUCAUUUGGAAAAGUGUGUACUUUCAACGUGUUAGGCUAUGGUGCCCCUAGUAUUUUUUAUGUUUUAUCAUUUGGGAAAAUAAGUUAUUUUAGCUGUUGCUAUACACUCUUGUUUUUCUAAACCUCACAGCUAAAUUUGGGGAGCUUUUUCUGCGAUCUUUUAAAAAAAUUAGAUAAUUUUUCGGUGAUUUUGAUUUUUGGGUUCUUGUCAAAUUUAGUACUAGAUUCCUAAUCAACGAUUCAAGUUAGUCAAUUCCAUUUUUUGAAUUAUCUUUGUAGGGAAAUUUUCAGGGUGCUCAAGGAGCAAAAAAUAACCAUGCAGGCUAUUUCCCUUCUUUCUUUUGGUUCCCGGAAUUUUGUUGGAUAAAUUUAGCUGGGUUUUGUUAGUUGGUAAUUUAGGUUUCUGUCUAAAUUUGAUAAGUGGGUUUCUUUUGACUGGUAGAUAGAAUUUUAGUCUGAGGAUUGUGAGCAAGCCAUUGUAGUUUCUAUUUUCUCUGGUUUCUUUCUUUUAUGUAUCUUUGUAUUUGUGCUUUAAAUUGCGAUCCUUUUGUUUAAACGGGCACUUGUAGCAGUGGUGAAUGUGACCUAUGUUUGGUUGUCAGCUUGUAUGUUAUGAACCAAUGCCUUCUACUUGUUUGAUGAUCAAAGGGAAUCAACGUCUGUUCUUGUUUGGACCUUCAUCUUCAACAGCUUGAGGUACUUUGCCUUCUUCGUUAAUGUUCUUAUAGAGUAUGAAUAUUUGGAAGAGUAUGAAUUAUACUUUCAUUUCCGGAUUUCCUGAUUUGAAAUUAUUUGUCAAUGUUCAAAUAAGGUUUGCCCUUUACGUGAUUAUCAACCUUCCUUAUAUUUGAUUCGACUGGAUUGAUACACUUACUAAUGCAUUGUUUUUCCUAUGGUAGUGUUGUGUUAGUUUUGUGUUAAGAGUAUUAUUGUAGACAAAUGGAACUCGUAACCAGAACCAAACCCAACCAAAAGAGAACCAGGAUGAUCGGCAAAAUUUAUCCUGUAUUUCUGUUGAUAGUGUGAAGUGUUUAAAUCUUGAAUACAUUAAAACCUUUUUGUAUCAGACCAUCAUUAACUGUUUUAUAUUGUGUGCCAAUGAUAUGGACAGGCACUGUAAAAGAUGCAUUGUGCCCUUCAAAGAACUAACAGUGAUAUCCAGAAAAAUUCAGACACUCGAAGAUAUUCCUUAUCAAAGAAAGAGCAAAAGAGUUUCAGAACAUCUUUAGAUGUAAUAUAUAUGUCUAUUUUGCAAAAUAAUUUGAUAUACUUCACUUUUCUGCUAUGAAUUGAAUUUGAUUAUCUGACUAGUUUUCUCUGGAUUACUACCAUUUUCAGGAUUGUGAAGUGCCUUAUGUCACAGGGAGGAACUCUGAUCGUAGGUAAUAAUGUUGUUUCAAUUGUCAUUGCCUAAUUGAUUGCUUCUCACAGCUCUAUGGUGAAACUAAUCCAAUAGAUUUAGUUCACGUGUUUUCUGUCUUCUGAUUAAUUGUUAAGUACGUAUGUUUAUGCCACUGUUUCUUCGAUGGUUUUGCAUAUUUCUCAAUCAUCAUAUCUCGAUUACACUAUAUAGGCUUGUUGGCUAUGAGUAAUGCAUGUGUACAUCUAAUAAAUAAUACAUGGGCAUAUGCAUAUAUGCCCAUGUAUACAUGGUCCCUAUCUUUUGCUGUAAUUACUGAGAUUUUGCAUUAGCACUUCCUUCCAGAUAGGAUUUUGUUUAAUCUGCAUAAUGAGAUUUUGCAUGCAUGAUGAGAGUGCUACUGUACUAGUUACCAUUAAAGUAGAGUAUGGGCCAGUGUUUUGGUAUGGCAGGUAGAAUCAUCUGAUCUAUUAUUGUUCAUUGACAAGCUGAGUUGAUUGAUGGGAGCGUCAAGGAAAUGACUGUCUAUUCAUCACUUAUUUUAACUUCUCAGGUGUCCUAUCCUUUCAGUGCUUUUCCGCGAACCUGACGGACAUUGGAGAACUGUGGCACUGCCGCCGCUAUGUCCUGACAAUAUAAAUCACUUGGUAUCUGGUACUCUGGUCAAUAUGGAUGCUCUGCAUCUGGUUUACCCACCACCAAUUAAUCCAUUCAAGGUUAAUCGACAAAAGGUGCAGAAAUGGCCUCCUCUUGAUUUUACUUAUUCUGUCAAGUCAUUUACAGGUAGAAGGUUCACUGGUUCAGCUGUGCACCACCAAUCUCGAAAUAAGACUUUGGCAAAUAAAGCUACUAAAUGGAAUGAACUUUCCAGGAAAUCUUUCCAUAAUGGCUGCAGUGAUUCCUCAAGUACCAUCCCAAAUGGUUCUAACUCUAUUAAUUCCUCAACUAUGAGUAAUAAAAAAAUAAACAGCAUUGCAAAAAGAAGUUCCAGAAAGAAGAGUAGAAAGAAGGGAAAACAGAGCACGAAGGUGUCUAAUGAACCGGAAGUGUUGUCUGAGGAAUAUGCCAAUGGAAGUUCAGCUUCUGAACCCUGUGGUAACAAUGAUGGGGACGGACAAGUGUCGUCUUCAACUGCAACAGAAAUUUCAUUGCCAGAUAGCGGCCCCAAGAAUUCUGAAACACCAAACACGUGCACCUCUUCCAGUGAUGAGGUUGGUAUUCCUUCUAUUGGCAAUUUUGAAAAUCAGCUUCUACUUAAAGACUCUGGAUUUCCCAUCUUUGAUGAGGUGGACGGUAUUCAUACACAGGUGAGCUGUUACAGUGAUAUGUAUACCAGAGGUUACUCUGAUAUGCAUGACUCCUUUGUUUUGGAUUCAAUGUCAAUUGGUUCAAACAGUGGUGAUAGUAUUAAUGCUGGUCAUGAUGAAAAACACGCUGAGAAGGAAAUUUUCAAGAUAGAUAUUUCUAAACCUCCAGGUUUGAGUUCCGGGAAGGGACGUUUUUCUUGUCAAAGAUUUUUAAAUGAUGUUGUAGACAAUUAUGAUCACACUGAGGAAGCAAGGCAUGGUAUUCAGGGUUGUCGCAGUAAUGACAUGCAAUUGGUUGUGCCUAACAAGAGAAGUAAACAAAACAAAGUAGCACCGCGAACUGCAAAUGUCUCUAAAUUUGGAAGUAAUGGAAAUCUGCAUAUUCGUAUAGGAAAGGAAAACAAUCAUUCUGUCUGGCAAAAGGUCCAGAGGAAUGAUUCCAGUGACUGCACUGGUGAGUUGAAAAAAGCAAGUUCUGUUUACUCACGACUUGAUCUCCCUUUGAGAGAGGCUCCCUUGCUUAAAAGAACCUCUAACGUUGCUGAUGUAAAUGCCUUUUCGAAGAGUGAGGAUAAAAAGCAGCAAAAAGAUAAGGUCUCUAAGAAAUUAAAAAGAAAAACCGGGCCACCUUUGAAACAAGAAUACAAUUUUUAUUCCAGAAAGGGUUCGCAUGCCAGCAUUGCUGGCUUAGAUGGUUGUGCGAAGGCCAGGAUGGAUCAGAAUGAUAUAUUGGAUAUCUCUUCUCAGUUGAAGGAUAAGAAAUCCUUAAGUCUUGUUUCGAGAUCUUGUUCUCCGCCUAGCUGUCCAAGGGGUGGAUAUCAGAGCAGCAAAGUAGAAUGCAUGACGUCUGAAUCAGUUCACAACAUGAAACUUUGUCAAAAUGAAAUGGAUCAUUUUGAAAGUGUCUGUGUAGGAAACAAGAAUAGCUCAGUGCAAAGAAAAUGGGAUUCCUUGAGUGAAUCAAAUUUGCUUCAGGUGCAGUCUCCAGUCUACCUUCCUCAUUUACUUUGUAACGCAACAAGUCAAGAAGUACAGAAAGAAGUUUCUCUUGCAGAAAGCAGCAGGCAAAACUCUAGUAGUUCUGGAUCUCUUAAACACAAGUGGAUGCCGAUUGGGUCGAAGAAUCCUGGGUUGACAAGCUCUACUAGAUCUGGCAGUUCAUCUCUUGAACAUUCUGAUGAGGCUGCUUCUAAGAGAUGGGCUCUUAAAGACCCUGCUAAAGGGAAUGUGGUGUCCAAUACUCAAAAUCUAGUUUCUAAAGUUGCAGUAGGGUGCACAGGUCAGAAUUCUGAAGACGUAACCUGUUCUUCUGAUGCAAUUGAUGGAAGGCUUUCAAAAUCAAGCACAAUUGAAGAUCUGGCCAAUAACAAGCAUGAUGUAGCGAACUGCAUCAAUGAUUCUGCAGUAUCCAAAGAUCUCAAUGUAUUUGAAGCAGAGUCAAACAGAAUACUAGAAGCAGUGAAUAACGCUUGUAGGGCACAAUUGGCAUCCGAAGCUGUUCAAAUGGCCACUGGCCGUCCAAUUGCUGAAUUUGAACGACUUCUUUAUUAUUCCUCCCCUGUUAUCCAUCAAUCGCCCAAUUCUAUAAGUUGUCAUACUUGCUGCUCAAGGAACCAGGUGGAUCAGGUUGGUGGUGUGUCGUUGUGCAGACAUGAGACACCUCACACCACUUUAGGAUGCCUAUGGCAGUGGUAUGAGAAAUAUGGUAGUUAUGGGCUGGAAAUAAGGGCAGAGGAAUUUGGAAAUUCAAAGAGGUUGGGUGCUGAUCAUUUUGCAUUUCGUGCUUAUUUUGUCCCCUAUUUGUCAGGAAUUCAGCUUUUCAGGAAUGGUAGAAGUACUGAUUCUGUAGAUAUUAACAAUAGGCUUCAUAGUUCUCAGGAGUUAAGCACAUGCAGGAUCAGUAAGACACCCAAAAAAUCCUCUAGCAUUGGUAGUCUUCCAAUAUUUUCGGUACUUUUUCCUCACCCUGAUCACAAGGAACAUGCAGUAACCCCACCACUUGUAAAUCAAUUGUGUAUUUCAGAACAAUCUUCAGCUUCUGCCAAAGAUGUAUCUGCUCAAUUAGCUGACACAACAGGGUCCAGUGAUUUAGAGCUACUAUUUGAAUAUUUUGAAUCAGAACAACCUCAGGAGAGACGACCUUUAUAUGACAAGUAAGUAUCCUUUUAUGCUUUUUACUUUAUGUAUUUUCAGAUGAUCUUAUCCUGUUUCCCUCCCUUUCAGGAUAAAGGAGCUUGUUAGAGGUGAUGGACUGUCACAUUCCAAAGUAUAUGGAGAUCCAACUAAACUGGACUCUAUAAAUCUAAAUGAUCUGCAUCCCAGAUCCUGGUUAGUAAUCAAACUGGCUUCAGACUCUUUAAAAAAGUGAAUUAAUGUGUUUUGCAGACAUUAAUACAAUUGACACUGAGUGGAUUCUAAAUAGUAGGUAACUUUCAAGUGUCAUCUGGUUUUCAGGUACUCAGUGGCAUGGUAUCCUAUUUACAGGAUACCUGAUGGCAACUUCCGUGCGGCAUUUCUAACUUACCAUUCACUUGGUCAUUUGGUCCAUAGACAUGCCAAAUUCGAGUCUCGUAAUGUGGACUCUUGUAUAGUAUCUCCAGUUGUAGGUCUUCGAAGUUACAAUGCUCAGGUAGUCAUGACUAACAGUGCAUAGCAUAGCUUUGGCAUGCAGUUAAUGCAUGGUGUAAGAUCUGUGUAGCUUAUUAAUCAAUAUAUACUGUGUCACUUGAACAGGAUGAAUGCUGGUUCCAGUUAAGGCCCUCUACACUAAGGCAGACAACAGUAACACCGGGCUUAAACCCUUGUGGAGUACUAGAAGAGCGUUUGAGGACACUUGAGGAGACAGCAUCUCUUAUGGCAAGAGCUGUUGUGAACAAAGGAAGUAUGACAUCUGUAAACAGGCAUCCGGACUAUGAAUUCUUCCUCUCCAGGCGACGCUGGUGACUGCUCAGAAUCUUAAUUAAAUCAUUUUAACAACUCAUCGAGUAGUUUUUAAUUCCACAUUAAGCUUUGCUACACUCAGAUAGCAUCCAACCUCGGAUGAGAGAGAGGAGUGACCAACUUCCCCGCUUCCACCCCCUUUUUCUUUGCAUCUUUACCUAUGCAUGGAAGUGGUUCCAUAUGUAUAGAGCUUCUCAGUUUCUUUUUGUUUUGUUUGGUUACACAAAUGUAUAUAUAAUGCGUUUCCUUGUAUUUGUUUUGAAAAUUGGAAUAUAUAAUAUAUGUAGACCGAGCUGUUGGAAGGCUAAAAUCAAGCCAAAGUUGAUUCAAUUAAAUUUUAAGAAUAGCUUUCAUUUUACUGCGGAGUACUUGUUUCUUUUAAUCCAAGUGAUAUAGAGUUUUAAUAGGACCAUCAGCAGAUUUGAUGGAAGGAUUGUUGAACCUUUUAACUAAUGAAGGACCCAUGAGGAAGUUAACCAGCUUGCUAGCUAGCUACAACUGCAUCUUUUGAUUCAAGUCAAGUAAGAGGCAUCGAGAUAGAACGCACAUAACAGUACUAUAUCAAUAUCAAUUAAUACUCAAAAAAGGCCACUGAAGGGCUAGGAUUACAAGAUUGCAUAAGCAAACUAUCUUAUUUAAUUAAUAACGUUCGCUAGAUUUAGAUUAUAAUUUGUGUGGAGCUUAGAGAAAAUUCAUAUUGGCCACCUUAAAUCCACGCAUAUUAGUGCCCUUCCUUGGCCUUCUGUUAUGAAUAAUCUGAUCAUUAAUUGUUGUUGUACCAGAACUGUUUCUGAAGAUACUCAACCUCCUUGUCGUCGAUCUGGAAUGCCUUGGCUAGAACAUCAGGGUUGAUAGGAGGGUUUGACCCGAACACUGCAUUGGCUAUGGUGAUAACUCCUGGGUUCUGGCUGCUCAGACCUGCAACGGCUAAAGCGUUGACGUGUCCCACGUUGAGCUGGAAGUGAAUGAGACCAACUGGGAACACAAACACAUCUCCCUUGUUCAACACCUUGGUGAACAGCCGAUUGUUGUCGCCAUUGGAUGUGACGAAGCCAACAUAGAGUGUGCCUUCCAAGACUAUGAGAAAUUCUGUGCCGCGUGGGUGGGUGUGAGGAGGGUUGAGGCCGUUUGGUGCAAAGUCAAUGCGAGCCAAGGAUAUGCCAAGAGUGUUAAGUCCAGCUAUUUGCUCCACAUUCGCCGGUGUCACGAAUGAACCAACUGGAUUUGAUGUGUUUCCAGGAAUUCUGAGCCCGGAGAAGAAAAAAUCAUUUGCUGUCACAAACUUCGGGUCCUUGCAGAAUUUCCCAUUCACAAACACUGUUUGUAUAAACAAAAUUAAACAAAACACCAACAAACAAAAGUUAACCAAUCUUUAAAUUUCACUAAAACCCUAUAUAUGCAUAUAUACUAUUGAGGGAUUGUACAUAUGUGGAUGAUGAGCCAUGCAAAAACAUAUAAUUAACAGAAAAACAAUAUAUGUUACUACUAAUUAAUUUAUACGAAUUACAAUAUGAAAAUAAUGUAGUGCAUGCAUAUGCAUAUGCAUGUACAUACCAGCAGAUUCGGUGUUAUUAAUUGCUACGCAGAAGUCCUGCAGAGGACUGGGGUCUGAGGCAGAUACAAGGAAGGUGGCCAAUGCCAAUGUGGCAACAAUAGAUAGUUGGAAAUGAACACCUUUCAUCAUCGUUCGUACUCGUACUUAACUAGGUUGCCCCUCUCCUCUAUAUCUCUCUUUCAAUCUUAGAAUAUAUGUUUUGUGUAGAAGAAGAGUUGCUUUGAAAAUCCUGCAUGGGACACUUGCUAUUUAUAGAUUACAGAAACUCAUGAACUGGUCUUGGAUUUUCCCUGUGGAUCGAAGCAGGUAUAGACUUUAUAUUAUAUUUUGAAGCAGGUAAAGACUUGGUUCAUUACCAUGCAUACGUGUAUAUAUGUAAUAUGGAUGAGUCUCUCUCUCUUUAGAUUUUUCAUAGAAAAUUAAUUAUUAAUGUAGUAAUUUGUUUGCACUUUUGCAUGCAUAUAAGAUCAAGGAAAUCAAUUGUAUUGAAACUUUUUAUUCGUAGGUGUACUUUUCAGUAACUAAAUCGAUCUCAAUUAAUUAAAGGUACGUGGCUGGAAAAGAAAAACUAAUUAUCAAUUAAGGCCGAUCAACCAUUGACGGUGACCAAGCAAAUUUUGUGCUAUUUGAAUUAUUUAGCAGUUGAAAUUAGAAGCUACCUGUGAUUGAAUUUUCAGGAGCCUAAUUUGACUCAGUCCCACUUUGUUAGUUUCAAUAUCUUGCUUGAAAAGAAAUAAAAGUGUAGAAUAUAUAUAUAUACACAUAAAUUCUCCUAUGCAAAUGUCCAAACGAUAUCACCUUCUGGAUGCAAUGUAUUUUCUAUACUUUCAAUAUUAACGGGCGAACAUCCAAAUGAGAAAAUAAUUAUAUAUAUAAUCAGAAAGUUGAAGAGGAAGAAGGAGGUGUACCAAAAAGAAAGAGAGUUGUUAAAGGAGGCUAAUGAGAUAGCGAUUAUUAAAAUAUCUCAUUGAAGUAUUCCAAGAGAAGAGAUUAUAUAUCUCAUCAUUCUCUUAUUAACAUUAAUGUUGACAAUCUGCGUCGGUAAGUAGAAAGUAUAAACAGCCCGCAAAAAUCUCCUGUUCCACCUGCACCAUAGAAUAUUAGAAAGUAGGGGCCAAGACUUUUCUUUUUCUUUCUUCUUCUUCAUUUUUUCCUAAUUAACAUUUAAUCUUGUAAUUAAGUCAGAGGUAGUCUGGUGGUGGGGUGGUAAUUAAUAAUAAUAUGGAUCAAGGACAGAAGAAAGGCUAGUGAUGUUUGAUAAAUUGGGUUAAAGGAACAAACUUUGGCCCAAAUCAAGAUGGGUUUAAUAAGUGUCCAAUGCAGCCCACCAAGUGUCUCUGCUGGACACCCACCCACCAACGAUAUGCUUAAAUUUGGAUUCCAUUUAAGCAUUGAUUAGUAGUAAUGAUUUCCAUUUUCAGUUUCAAGUUUCAAUGUACUGAGUCAUAAUUUGCGAAUCAAGUGUUAAUCUUUGAAACAAUUCAUACCAUUAAUUUACCAUAGGCUUAACUUAAGUUAAAAAAUAAUUAAGUGUUUGAGUUGGAAUUUGAUUUCAUAGUUUGGCAAUUGGCAAUUGGCAAGCUUGCUCUGUUUUAGUGCCUUCCGAUUCGCUCAGCGUAUUCUUCAAAGAAUCAAAGCCAUUAGCUAGCCAUGGAGUUUGAGGUCAGUCAGCUCCUACCUAGGUCAAAAACCUACAAGAGACACAGACCACAGAGCAAAACAAAGAAAAGUAAACAAGGAGGAAGGAGGGAUAGCAUACUAUUAAUAGAGUAAUUACUUGCAUACGUUUGAUUUGAAAGGUUUGUUUGUCUUCUUAUCUGGUACCACCUCCCCAAGCAAAGCCUACGUUGCCUUUCCAAUUUUUUUAUUUUCAUCGAAGCUUCCUUUAUUUUACCAGUCUAGUAACUUAUUCUUCCAUUCCAUCCACAACUAGUUUCCUCUCUCUCUCUCUCUCUCUCUCUCUCUACCUUCUUAAUCCUUGUGCUCAGUCAACGCUUUUAGUCUUCGCCGACCUCUCUCUUCUCUCGCUCCCCCGUGAUGAGAAAGAAAGAAUGUGUCUUUUUAAGUUUGUUAAUUCGUACGUAAGAUCCUCCAGUUUCAGGUUCAACCACUUAUUAAACUUUGCUUCUCCUUGGGGUUCAGGUAAUUUAACGGCUACCUCUCUCUCUUUUCUUUUCUUCCCAUUACAUUCAGCUCCAAUAAUGCAUGCUGCUUUUUUUUAUUUUUUUAUUUUUUCUUUUGUUUCUAGUUAUAGUCAGCAUGAAUGAUCCUUUUAAACAUGUGUAUGUUUUCGCUUAAAUUUUUCUUUUAUAUAUGCGUGCCUGAGACUGUGCCUAGCUCAAACUCAAAGUUUGCAGUACUGCAAAUUUAUGCCUUGAAACUAGCAGCAAAAAGGAAAAAUAGUAAUUUAAUUUGCAAGUGAUAUAGUGUUAUGUUCUUCGCCACACAUUUAAGCUUUGUUCCCUGCUGCAAGCGUUGUUUUUUUUCUUUUCUUGGAGCUGAUUUAAUGAAGUUUCAACCUUUUGAACUAAAAUUAAACUAGCAUCAAUGCUCGUGUAUUGCAAUUCAUAUUAUCUUCGCCUUUUUUAGGUCCAAUCUGUGAGAAAUGGCUGGUUAUGAAAGAGAUGAGGUACCCAUGCUAUCGGACACUCACCCACAAUUAUCAGAUGAAAAUGUGCACUUACAAUUUGAGACAUUUAUGUCACGAACCAGAAGUGCAUCAGUUUCCAUUCCUAUGGACUCUAUGGACUCGUCAUUUGAAAGGGAGGCUAGCCUUGUAAGCCAUACUGGUCCCUUGAGGAGUCGAACAAAAACUCCAUUCCUCCCUAUGAGUGGUCCAUUAUAUAACCGCAGGCCUGAUAACAUUUUCCGGCUAACUCAAGCUGUACCAGGGCAAGAAGAAGCAGUCAAACCUGCAGGAGAAAAGUUUCCUUCUACUAAUGUGACAAACCAGAAUGAAGGGACAGAUGACAACUAUGCUGGAAAAAAUGAACACUUACUGAGAUCUGGGCAAUUGGGGAUGUGCAAUGAUCCUUACUGCACAACUUGCCCAACAUACAAUCUCAAGGCUGCUCAACCACAACACUCAAAGGCUUCGGGUAUAUUUGAUCCCAAGGUGUUUUUCUUUCUUUACUCAGAGGGCUUUUUAUUUUAUAUUUUUACAUUGUUGCUGCCUUUUAUGAUAUGCUCUGCAUGAUGACCACUUAAAAUAACUGCUCUACCAAAAAUAUUUAUAGUUUUGCAUCUAAUCCCGUCAAAUGAUUAGGAGCUUGCCUGUCUCAGGCUUCUCAUUUGUUAGAUGCCACUAAAUCCCAUCACCUUUACUUAUUCUUUGGUAUGUUACUGUAAAAUUUUGAGGAAGUAAUGUUAGCAACAAAUUAGAAUUUUGCAUUUCUUCCCCUUUGCUUCAUGGUAAAAGCGUAUUAGUAGAUUGGACUACUUGAUAAAUUGACGAAGGGCAAGUGAACAUGGUGAAUCAAUAGUGGCCAAGAGAAUGGAUACAAUGUCUGUACCCCUAGUGGUUUCCCUCUCUUGGAGAAUGGUUCGUUCAGAUUCCUACAGAGCUGGGAUGAUAUUGUUUAUAGACAAAUGACAGUGAUCCUAGAGGAGUAUUUGUGUAUGAUUGCAGCGUUAUGGUAACGGUGGUGGCAUACGUUGUUAAACCCAUGGGGAAAAAUCAUCCCUGAACGCUAACAAGGAAAGUGUCCACCAAAGGUAUCCAGGCAUUGUGGGACAACGCUAAGGGUCCCUAUCGGCUCCAGGAUUGGAAACACUUGGCUCCUAAUACAAACUCAACUCAUCCCUGUAUGCAAAAGCAAUAUUUUCCCUCAAGCUGCAUUAUAUAUCCCGUUUCUUCUCCCCAUAAUCACUUAAAGUUAAAAUCACUAAAAGUGAUUUUCUAGAGAAGCAUGUGGGAGGUGCUUCUUACCAGAAGUGAUUCUGGCCUAUCCAGAAUCACUCCCAAACGAGCCAUAUUGCUUGAGAUAUAACAACAAAAUUUACAUGUCCAUUUUCUUAUCUAUUUUAUUUUCUGGAAUGAUGGUAUACAAGCACUCCAAGAAUCUUAUGCACGUUUCUUUUAUUGUCAACUGUUUGCAGUUCCAUAAUGCUCUCUAUGGGGAUGCCAAAGGCUGGGCGAGGAGAUUUUUCUCUUUUCUGCGUCUAUAUAUUCCUGGAGUUAUGAACCCUCAUGCUAAAGUGGUGCAACAGUGGAACAAGUUUUUUGUCAUUUCAUGCUUAGUAGCAAUUUUUGUAGAUCCAUUGUUUUUCUUCGUGCUGUCUGUUCGAAAGGUAUUGUUUGUUUCUGCCCUGUCAUUUCAUGAAUUCUAAAUUCAAUUUAUUCACUGUUUUCUUGGCGGCAUUUUGGGAUUGUUUUCCAUAUCCUACUAAGUUCAGUAUGCAUGUACCAUAUGACUUCUUUGAUGUUAAGGAAUUGGCGAUAUGUUUUUAUUCUGAAGGGUUUCUAUCAGUUUUUGAAAGUAUCUUUCCUUUUAUCUUUAUCCUGUACAAGAUGAAAGAAAGGAUUUCCCUGAAAGGAACAUAAGCUUAACAUGUAAUUGUUAGACAACCGCUAUACUUUAACAACUUAAGCUGUUAGGUCAACAAUGUAUGUGAAGCUAACACCCCACCACAGGCCCAGCAUCUUCCUACCCAUGGAGAGGAAAAAACAGUAACUGAGAAACAAGUGUUUUUGGUCUCUAAAUUUUACAAAUUUUCUUUAUCUAUUUGUAAUGAUGCCUUUCUGAGGAGAAGACAGUAACUGAGAAACAAGUUUCUUUGGUUCAUUUCUUUUCAACUUGAUUUCCCUGUCUUUGGAUGCAGGAUAAUAAAUGCAUAGUUCUUGAUUGGCCCAUGACGACAACACUUGUGGUUUUUAGAAGCAUGACUGAUUUUAUAUACUUGAUGCACAUACUCCUUCAGGUAAAGAUUUCCUUUCCUCUCAUCCAUUUGAAACUCAUUUUGGUUCACUAUCCUUGGUUUUCUUCUUUAGUUCUGAGUUCUGUGAAUAAUUUUCAUAUACGAUGCAUUUCCUUACCAUCCUUUGAUGAUGUCUUAAAGCUCCUUUUUUAUUUUUUUAUUCUAAGAUGGUGAACAGCUUUUGAUGCAUCAGUUGUCCAGUAAUAACUCUGUGCUCAGUAGAUCAGGGAUAAUCUGGGCACUAGUCAUAGGGUAGUCUCACUGGCUGUUUGGAGCCAUAACCAAGAUCUCCCACCAAUGUCCUUAACGAAAGAAGUACACAAAUGCCGUGAGAAUAAAUUCUGUUUCAAAAACUAGAUUAUUGAUUUGUUACGUUCUUCAGAUUUCUUAAUGUACUUUUCAUUAUUUCUAUAAUUGAAAUUCGUCCUAUAUUGAAUGUCAUAAAAGUACCAUGUUUUAUUUAAUUUGAUGGCAUGCUAUUUGACAAGGAAUAUAAAUACAAGAAACUAAAUGUUAUGUGAUGAGAUAACUUGAUCAGUUUAGAGUCUUGACAGAUAAAUUAAUUAUUUGUUCUCUCUCUCUCUCUCUCUCUCUCUCUCUCUCUCUCUGCAGUUUAGAUUGGCUUAUGUGGCUCCUGAGUCUAGGGUGGUUGGUGCUGGCGAGUUGGUUGACCAUCCAAAGAAAAUUGCUCGGAAUUACCUUCAAGGAUAUUUUCUAAUUGACUUCUUUGUUGUAUUACCGCUUCCUCAGGUAAACAUCUCUCUCUCUCUCUCUCUCUCUCUAUAAGAUCAGUACAUUUGUGGUUUUCCUUCGCUUUAUUGAUAAUCUUCAUCCAUUUUGUACUAUUAACUACUUCAAGCAACUUGUUCAUGUUAUAAUUUUACAUGAUAGGUAGAAUAUCAACAAGUGUGUCUCUAAUUUUAGACACCUUAUAAAAAUUAGUGUUUAGCACGGAAUUUCCAAAAGCCAAAUAAGAUAUUUUGCAAAAGAAGAUAGAAAAAUGUAGUUAAGAGAUGCAUUUUGCAAUUCUGAUAUGCUAACGAGUGCUUGAAAGCUAUUGCUUUUUGCCAUGGAAGAAUACUGCUUUUCAGUGGUUAUGCUGUAUAAUCAGAUGACUUCAUCCGCUUUAGCAAUAUAACAAAUAAAAAAAUUAGCAGAACAUACACGAAGGCACAAUUGACGCUCUCCCUCUACCCUAAAUUACUUGUAUCUGUCAAUUUCUCUAUUUAUGCUCUCAUGACAUUGUAACUUGUUCUAUCUGAUGUUAGCACUUCUUUUUUCCCUUCUGAUUAGUUUAUCUUUAAAUUGUUUGCAGAUCAUAAUUUUGUUAGUUCUACGAAAAAACUUGGGAUUAUCUGGAGCAAACUAUGCAAAAAAUUUGUUACGUGCUGCAGUUCUUCUUCAGUGCAUUCCCAGGUUGUGUAGGUGUCUACCCCUGCUUGCUGGUCAGUCUCCAAGUGGCUUCAUAUUUGAGUCCGCAUGGGCAAACUUCAUAAUAAAUCUUCUCACAUUUGUGUUGUCUGGCCAUGUUGUUGGGUCGUGCUGGUACCUCUUCGGGUUACAGGUGGGUGGGGCAAUUUUAUUCUUAAACAUACUCCUCGAAGUUUCUAAUGAUAGACAUUUUUAUGCUCUUUGUGUCUAAAAGUUCCCUAAAACUUUACACUUACAUCUUGUAUGUCCACACAUGAUUUUUUUCUUAAACUAACAUACAAUCUCUUCUCACCUUUUGUUGAACAAGGAAUGCAGGCAUAGUGAAAUAUCUGCUAUAUUGUUUCCCCAUGCAUUAUUAUGCCCAAGAAAAUGGAAAAAAUUCCAUCAUUCUCUAUUUGCUUAAAGUUGUAAUUAUGAUUCAAUUUUAACAUGAUAGUUCAUUUCUAAAAUGAAAUCAUAACCAUAUUUAAUAGAGAAUUAUCAGUCCGAUCUUGGAAUUCGCUAUGUUUGUGGUGGUGGUUCAAGUAUAUGAAAGGAUUUAGGAUGUGUCUUUUCAUGGUAUUUUGGUUCUGUCUUGGUUUGAUUCGGAAACAAAUGAAAAUUUAUUGGAUAUGGGAGUGAAAGGAUGCUUUUCAACCAUUCACUUACUUCCCCUCUUUCUUGUCCCAGAGGGUUAAUCAAUGUUUUCGAGAUGUCUGUCAUGACUCUGGAAUUCGUGGGUGCAUGAGCUUCAUAGAUUGUGGGCAUGGAAAUGAGAUUGAAGGUUCUAAAGUGGAAGAUCCAGUACGUGAUAGCUGGAAAAACUAUACGAAUGCUAAUGCUUGUUUAGAUAAAGAUGGUUUUGAUUACGGAAUCUACAGCCAAGCUGUCAAUCUUACAACAGAAAAUAGCAUAAUCACGAGAUAUGUAUACGCACUGUUUUGGGGAUUCCAGGUAUUGCUUUUACUUAUACCUUCUUUGGCCAGUAUCAUCUCAAAUAACGAUAUUAUUUCUUAUUGUAUACUCAUUUAAGUUAGCGAUUGACUAUCAUUGCCCCCCUAAAAGCUUAACGAGUAGGAUGUUCAAUACUCGUUUAAGUUGACCGUCCAUCAGAAGUUGGUGUUAGACUGCCAAUGUACCUGAAGCAAGGCUUUAAAUCAUGUAAUGAAUAGCAGAUUGCUGUGACCAAAAGGUUAACAUGUGCAAGCAAUUAUCAAACUGAAUAUUGAUGAAGCUUGAAAUUUCCGAACUUGUUAAGAGUCAAAAUUGAAAAACGAACCCAAAUAAAACCCUUCUCUGUAUUGCCCUUCUCUGUAUUGUCCCACCUAGUUGAAAGCCAAAUUCAGUUAGUUUUGAAUCUUUUUAUUCUGGAAUGAAAUCUCAAAUUGACGGCAUCAGUGUCUUCUAGUUCUUCUUUCCCUUUGAGAAGUUAUUGUUUAACUAAAUGAUAUUUUCAAGAAAAAAACUUACAUUCCAUUAUUUCCUGGCCUAAGAGUUGUUUUGGUAUUGUCUCAUUACGAAAAUUAUUUUAAGUGAAUGUAAUUGUCUAGUCAAUUCUGUAGUGCAUAUUAUAAUAUGAUCAUAAUCUUUUACUGACAAAAAAAACCUUGUGACAUUAUGAAGCAAAUCAGUACUCUGGCUGGAAAUCAAACUCCAAGUUAUUUUGUUUGGGAAGUCCUUUUUACAAUGGCUAUUAUUGGCCUAGGUCUCUUGCUUUUUGCUCUUCUCAUUGGAAAUAUGCAGAACUUUCUGCAGGCUCUUGGUCGGAGGUACAACUUUUAUCCCAGGAUUUAUUCUUCUCAGAUAUUCCUACUUUCAAAGUCACUUGGUUGGAACAUAUUAUAUUGUACGUAUAGAACAUAGGUUAGUGGAAUUAUGAUUAUAAUUUAAUCACCUUUCAACAUGGUAUAGUCUAUAUACAUAAAAACUGUACAUUAUUGGUUUUUCAUUCUUUUCUUAUAAAUUCUUCCUGGGUUCAGAAUUUUCCAAUGGGAUGAUAUGUUAGAGUAAUACUCUCUCCUGUUUUUUUUUUCUGAAAUUCUAAGUUGAAAGUUUUGUGUACUAAUUGAACUAUUGAAUACCGUGAGUGUUCACUUGUCAACUGCAACCAUGAUGUAUUUCAUUCUUGUGAAUAAGUCUCAAAGAAAUAGAGUAAUAGAAAUUGCCAGUUAGCUUUCUUUCUGAAAUAUGAUGUGUGCCAUGUAAAAGACAGACAGUUUCUUCUUUCCUAGUUAAAUUCUGCUUUGCUUUAAGAAAAGGAAAUCUCUGUUUCUCUUUACAGAAGGUUAGAAAUGUCUCUGAGACGUCGUGACGUUGAGCAGUGGAUGAGACAUAGACGCUUGCCAGGGGAACUUAGAAGGUAUAUAUGGUGUUAUUAUCCAUUGUGUGAGAAAUAAAUUAACGCCCUAUAAAAUAAAUUAUCCACUCUUAAAUCGAAUAUCCUGUGAUGUUAAUAUUGAUUAUUAAAGCCUCAUGAAUGGAGUUCUGUAGGCGAGUACGACAAGCUGAAAGGUACAAUUGGGCCGCAACCAGAGGGGUAAAUGAAGAAAUCCUUUUGGAAAACUUGCCUGAAGACCUUCAGACAGAUAUAAGACGCCAUCUCUUCAAGUUUAUUAAGAAAGUGAGCAUCUUAGUAUCUCAGAACAAUAAUAUAUCUAGAUUUUUGGGAACUAUGUUAAUAGAUCCAGAAACUUAUAAUGAUUCAAAAUGUCGGUUUUGCUGUUUUCUUUUUCAAGUUGCACUCUGAAGUGAAGCAUUUUUGGCCUGAAUGAUGGUUUUUUCUUUCUACUACAAUGAUUAUUCGAUAUAAGGUUCACAGUUAUCAACUUGGCAUUAACUCAUAAUGUCCAAUUACUCUCUAGGUACGAAUUUUUUCCCUGAUGGAUGAACCCAUCUUGGAUUCCAUUUGUGGAAGACUAAGACAAAAGAUAUACAUCAAAGGAAGCAAAGUUUUGUACCAUGGUGGUCUAAUUGAGAAAAUGGUUUUUAUCGUGCGUGGAAAAAUGGAGAGCAUUGGAGAAGAUGGGAUUACAGUUUCCUUAUCUGAAGGGGAUGUUUGUGGUGAGGAACUUCUCACAUGGUGCCUUGAGCAUUCUUCAGCGAACAGAGGUAUUAGUGUGAUUUCUAAUGGCCUGUUUAUAAUCAAGGUCCAGUGACAGUGCCUGUUGACUCAGUCAGGCUACGUGUUUAAAAAAAAUAAUAAGUCCCAGUUCCCUUCUGGAAAAGAUCUUACUAGGUCUCAGUGCAUGAUGUCAAAAGACAACAUCAAUUUAUCAAUGUGGUUUCUGUUGCAGACGGUAAGAUCAGGAUUCCUGGACAGCGAUUGCUUAGCAACAGGAUGGUGAGAUGCUUAACAAACGUCGAAGCAUUUUCACUCCGAGCUGCAGACAUUGAAGAAGUCACCAGUCUUUUCUCCAGAUUUUUGCGAAAACCACGUGUUCAAGGAGCCAUAAGGUAUGCGUGAUUGAAGAUGGUAUUUAAUAGCACUGCUACGUGACUUUCUUAUAUUUACAGUUUAUUGCAGCAGGUAUAGCUUUCUGUUUUUCCUGUUUGGACAAGUAAAAUCCUCGCUUGGUUAGAUAACCAAGAGUUUGUCAGUUUCAACUUUUUGCAUGUGCCACAUAAUAAUGUAUUAUCUCUAGGCUAGUUUUGCCUUAUUUUGGAGUAUGAGGAUUUGCUAUUGCUAGGCUAGUUGUGAAAAGAUUGGGUUAUAUUUGGAGUGCAGAUUUAUUAUUAAAAUUGGUGGAAGGUAGGAAACUAUGAAUUUCGUUUAUGCAUUAAUAUUGGAGGAGAUAACAUAAUUGUUGGUUUUAUUGUUUAUGUUAGAUAUGAAUCACCUUACUGGAGAGGGCUUGCAGCAAGACGCAUUCAAGUAGCAUGGAGAUACAGGAGAAAACGCCUAAGUCGAGCAGACACCUCUCAAUCCCAAUCCAAUCAUAUUCAUAACCAUGCAUUAUAAUUAUAUAAGUCAGUUAAGUCAGUCACCUUAAUUUUGUUUCUGUAAAGAUGAAGGAAGUCCAUGUAUGUAUAAUGUAUGUAUAUGUGUGGUGUGGUGUGGUGUAGGAUCAAUCAAUACAGCUUUCAGCUCAUUGAAUCAAAUCCCAUUUAAUUGAAGGAUAUUCAGUUUCUUGAAUUGAAACCCCACCAAAUACCAAAUAGCAAAUAGCAAAUACCAAUCAUGCAGAUGCAGGCAAAGUCAAUAUUGUCCCUGAUGAUACUUUUGUAAUCUAAAUCUAGUAGGGCACUAUCUAUCUUACACUGUUCUUUCUUGGAUUGGUUUUGAGGUAUGUUGUCGUAUGUGAAUAUAUUUGCCAUUUGGUUGGUUGGGGCCCGAAGCGAAGCAUGUUGCAGCUCAGGAGGAGGACGAUGAUAUUUUGGUUUUGCUGCCACGCACGUAGCCACGGUCUAUUUCUUCCAUUUUGGGCCCUUUCCAGAAUGAAUGAAUUAAAGGCAGGGAGGGAGGGAGGGAAAUGAAGCGAAGUUUGUAGGUUCACCUGGUCUGGUCAGGUCAGGUCUGAUAAAUCAAGUGUCAUUGCAUUGGAUCUAAUAAAUUAAGUGAACAGUGCCAGUGACUACUAGUGAUAUAUGAAUAUAUUUACUGCAUGUGUAUAGUGUAUAGUGUAUCGACUGUAGAGAAGAGAAGAGAAGAGAAGAGAGACUACUUAGCUUAGCUAUGGGCUAUGGCCAUCUGCCAAAAUAAAUGUAGAAACAAUUACGUCGUCGACAGCAGUGGUAAAGGUCGCAACUUACGGCUUUAAAUUCAAUAAAGCAACAAGUCAUAUUCAUAUUGUCUUGUCUGGACCAUAUAAUUAAAAACACACGGUCUCUACGACCUGCCUGCCUAAUUCUCAGCCUUGGCAAUGGCAUCGGCAUGCAUGCAUUCUAGUUAGGUUUACAUGGACACGAACGGGUUUAAAGUUCACCAAGUUUCAGAUUUUGUAAUAAAUAGUCUCAUCAUAUUGAUACUUUUAUUUGCGAAGUUACAGUUGGUCGACUUUGUUUAUACAAUUUCGAAUUUAUUUAUUUAUAUAUAUAUAUAUGUUUUCUUAGUUGCGUAAGUAUGGUGUUAACAUUUAAUAAUGAAUUAGCUAGAUGGUCCAUCCAUUGUCAUGAUAUUGCACAAGGACGUACGACUUAUUGUGCAUUAAUGCAUGGUUGCCUUUACAAGCAAGGAAAAUGGGUGAUGAUGAGAUGAUGAGAUUAGUCUAAGUCAGUGAUUAGUGUUGUGGAAACCUCCAUUGCACUUUGAAUUUGUCUCUCGGUUGGGUGGUUCUAGUCUUCUUCUACACAAGACAUGCCAGAGCCACUCAGCCACUCAGCCAUUCUUCUUCGUCCAACUCGAUCUAAUAUGCAUAUUGAAUAAUCUCCUUAAAUAGCUCUUGAAAAAACUGAUGCAGCUACACUAACCUUCCCUACCACACUAACCUUCCACAAUUUAAUAGCAAUGACUUGCUGCAACAGAUCCUUUAUUACUUGUAAUAAAAUCUUCAUUAACCAUACUCGCUUUGGUUGGUCCAUGUCAUUCCAAGUGGCCUGUUUGUUAAAACGACGUGAUCAUAAUCACCACAAAUUAACAAUCACACUUUCCUUUAAGAAACUAAACGAUUAGUUAUUUGGAUAUAUAUAUCUUUGUUUAAAACACUGGACUUAAUUAAUAACAAAGUUGAGCUUAUUACUAUUAGGCCUAACUCAAUCUUGAUUAGUUAGUCCAUCGACAGUUUUUCGGGUGUGUGUGUGUGUGUCUCAAACAUAAGUAGCUAGCUAGGGUUUCAUUGACUUCUGUGGUUUCUAUAUACAGAUGAAUAUAUAGUGAUCAACGUACAGCAAUGGUAUUAUUAGUAUUGAGGAGCUUUUGUUUUCCAAAAGUAAUAAUUUAGAAUGGUGUAUGACCGUUAUAAAUAUAAAUAGCUUUGGAUUGGAAUUAAAUAAAUACUUUAGUUGUAGUAGCAUUUGCUCCAGAAGAUUUGGGAACUAUUUGGUUGAGAGUGGGAAGACACAGGCAGAACUUAGCUACUGUAUUAAUUGGUAUUGUUCGCGAGAAGGAAGACAAGACAGUCAUCAUCAUCAUCAAUCUGCUAGCUGCUUAAUAUAUGUAUUGUACACGCAGAGACAGAGUCAGUAUGUAAUAAAGUUGGAGAGAUAAUUGCAAUACACAGAUUAAUGAUUCGAGGGCACAGGCACAAAUGAUCGAUAUAAUAUAUGGGUGGAGGAGUGGACACAGUAAUUAUUAUUUUUUGGUUCAAAGGCUCAAAGCUAGCUAACUGCUGGGCUGCACUUCAAAUUCAAUGCAUGCUUUGCUACAUUAUUACCUACCAAUUAUCUCAGUAUAUGUACUCGUACCGCAAUCACCCAUUCAAUCUCUUAUUCUUUAAUUCCUUUGCUCCUUGUUCUUUUUUAACUUUCUUCAUUUUGAGAAGAAGUUGGCCGCUUAUUCUUCAAUCUCUCGAUCACACCGUCUAUCCCCAACUCUCUGGCACAGAAAGAGAAAGGGAGAGAGUGAGUUUUGAUUGAUUUUCAAAUUCGCUGCUUUGAUCUCUAUAAUUAUUUACAAUCCUCUCAUUGAAGCCUGUGAAAAUCUGGAACACAUGACUAUUUAUGUUAAGAAUCAGUAAAUAAAAUGUAUGUAACGGCAAUAUUUGGCACUGAACCUGAUCAAUAUCAUAGGCAAAUUAAUCCUGAUCCAAGUUAUUACACAAGAUUUCAAUAUACUCUAAUUCAAAUAUUUAUUAAAUUUUACAAUAUCUUUGUAUUUUCAAGAAAAUUAGUCUUACAUAAGCCAACGGUGUUGCCCACAUGCUUGCUAAGUUUGGUUUAGAAAAUGAGAUGACCUAUUUUGUUUGGUUUGAGGUGCCUCUUGAAUUUAUUCAGGACAUUAUAUUAAAUAAUGUUAUGAGUCGGAGUCAGGUUAUUUUUCUCCGGUGUAAUUUUUCAAGAUUUCAAUAAAACUUUCCUCCUAUUGUCAAGGUUCUCUCAGAAACAGGAAUGAAUAUCCCGUCAAUGCCUUUUACUAAUCAUUAGUUGAUCAGAAUCAAUCCACUUUAAAAUUUUAAAAAAAAAUUAUACAUAUUUCCACACUGGGAAAUACCGGGGUUAUAUGGUUAAAUUUUGGGAGAAAUAGCAAGGAUUGAACUUUAAUUUGUUCUGCUUUAUAAUUUUGAUGAAUAUGUUUGGAUUGGACUUUAGUCAAGGGGUUGCAUUGUAAAUGCGAAAAUGACAAAUUAUGUUUAUGGACUUUUAUCAGUUUCAUUAUUUUAUUUAUCUCCUCUUCUACUUGUUAGCGGUGUAAGAGGAUUUUUUUUAAAAUAAAUAAAUAAAUCUUUUCCAGCAAAUUAUGUUUUGUCUCAAGCAAACUUACCCAACAAAGGUUCUGUCGUCAAAGAGAUUAACCUCUGGCGGCAAAAACAAUCGCCAGAGUGGGUUUUCUAUGUGACGAAUGUUUUGCCAUGUAAGCUUCAAUCUGUCCCGGCGAAGUACCAGUUGUCGAGAAAGUAAUUUUCCGGCGCGAAUUAGCCAACUAAAUUUUCGUUAAGAUAGACCUAUCCUGACGAAAAUGCGAUAAAAAUAUUUAAACGGGAAAAGUAUUCUUACAACCAAAAAAUAAUAAUGCGUGUUAGAAAAGCUCAAAAUGAAUAUCCAUAAACACCUUUUAAUAUACCUUUAAGAUAUAAAGGGUUUAAUACCUAGAGAAUUGUCAUGUGCCUAAUGGAAUAUCAUUCAAUAAGCUAAAGAGUUAGAAUAAAUAUAAGCUUAAUUUGUUUGGGUUGAGCAUGCAUUCUGUUCGUUAUUUAAUUAUAUUUUUUAUAUGAUAGAUGUGAUCAAUUAAGCUAAUUAAAUUGACCAACUGAAUUAAAUCUCCAUAGGUGUAAUUGAUCGACUAAAUCCCCUUCUUUAAUCAGUGAAGCAUAUUCCAUUGUUGUGAGUCGUGACCUUAUAAUUAAAACAACCAACUAGGCUUUUAGUUUUAUAAGAUUAGUGUUACUUGAUGUCAAUUGGUUGCUACUAGCUCUAGCUAUCUAGCUUUACCUUAUAGCUCAGUACUUAAUCCAUGAUAUCAUGAUAUGCUUAUUCCUAGUAAGGACACCUAAAAUUCCAUGGAACUAUAUUUAUUAUUUAGCGUGCUACAUAUAGGCAUAGGUACAGAUCAGUACCUUUUUCUUUCAAGAAACCUCGGUUAGACAAGAGAAAAUGUUAUUAACCACUUGUAGCUAAUGGACGUAUAUACGCAUCGUCUUGCCGCCUAUUUUGCACCAGAAUAUUAUUGAGUUGUAAUAUUGUUUCAUUUUGACAUUUUCUAGGUAAAAGUUGAAAACUUAUUAAGAAGCUAAUUUGCAAAUUGAAUCAAUCAAAAGUUUGCAUUUAUGUAGCUGAUACUUUGAGUAAUAUUGUAGCUGCGGGAUGGUGGAGUUUAACAAAGAAACAAACAAUGAAAUAGGAACAAUCAAGUCAGAUGCUACAGGCUUUUAUUUAAUAAUAAUGAAGUCAGUAAGGCCUUAGUUGGUGCCAUCAAAAUUAGAAUAGAAUGAAGACAAAUCUAGGAGUUUAUCAAAAGAAAAUAGCAAAAUCAGAGGCUUAUAAUUAGACCUGGAGAUCAGAAUGGUACAUCAAAGUCAAAAAUAAGUCCUUCCCUUUUAAACUUUUCCAAUAUUUGUUGAUUUUAAAUAACGUUACAAAAACAAAGCUUUGACUUGACUAAACUUUGAGCAGGCGAGAUGAACUUGGAAGGAAACAAGUCAAAAUGAUCUAAUUGCACAAGCUCUCAACUAGCAAAAACAAACAGCUGCUAGUUGGAAUUCAUUCACGGGAUCCAUUAUAUUUCCUAGUACCAACCUACUACUUAAUUGUAUGUAUGUGUAACAAUGAACAAGUUAGCAGUAGCGAUAGUAUUUUAUUAAAGAAAGGAUAAGUAACUAGUACAAAAAUUAAGGCUAUGUUGUCGGAAUUAGGCGAAUAUCUCUACACUAAUUGCCUUGGUUGUUAGUCUAACUAGGUAACCUUACCCUUUGAAACUCCAAUAAUUGUUAUUACAGAUUUUUGCAUGAUUUUUUAUUCGUCUUUAAUGUAAAAUCAUGAAAAAUAUCCUUAAGUUUAGCUGAAGAAUAAUGCGCUGUAAUAUAAAUGAAUUAAUCUGACAUCGUUUUUGUAAUUGCAAUGAGGGGAGAAAUGCAACAUAGAGAAAUUCUCAUAUGCCACUUUGAAUAGAAGUAUUUUUUGAAAAAGGAGGGAGGGAGGGAGGGGUUAGUUUGACUUAAGAACGUUAAAAGUGGCAUCACACACGAUUGCAGCCCGAAAGUGGAGAGGUAUCAUGUUUGACUUUUAGACAUAGGUGGUAGCUAGUCAGUUUAUACGUUUUUUUCUUUCUAUUAUUAUAUAUCAGAACUCUUAUACGUUAUCACCAAUAAUAGAAUGAAAGAGAGAGUAAUAAUUUGUAUGGAAAAGGUUAAAGUUAUUGACAGCCAGAAACUACAAAGUCAGCCCAGGCAGCGCAGUUCGGCCACAAGAAUCCUAAGAAGAAGGAAAAAGGUUAAAUUUGUAAAUACAGGCACGUAGCCGGGAAAUGACCCUAAGCCGUUUGUAGGGGGGAGGGGAGGGGAGGGGAGCUGGUAAUAAAAGCUGAAUGGGUGGGUGCACACCUGGCUGUGACUGUACCAUUCUAUAUUAGUAUAUUUAGUAUACUGUAUAGCAGGAGAGAGAGAGAAAAAAAACUAGGGUUAAUUGUAUUGUUAAUCCUUAAAUUUAAAUUUGAUUUGCAUUUAAGUCUUUCAAUUUUCAAAAUCGUUCAUGUGGUUCUUCAACUUCAGUUUUCGUUAGGAUAAAUGGUACUGCCGUCAAUUUUGUUAAUUUUUCUGUUAAAUGCAAUGGCAAAAUAGUAUUUUUGUAUUAAAUUGAUUAAAAUAUGAUUAAAAAAUUAAAUUAAACUAUCUCUCUCCCCCUCUAUCCCGAUUUCUACUCCUCCAAAACUUGAUUUUUCUUUUUUAUAUUUGUUGAUUUUUUAUUUAAUUUUCUUUUAUUGUUAUUUUAAAGAUAUAAUUUUGUUUUCAUUUUUUUGGUUUUAAUAUAAAAAUAUCAUUUUGCCCAUGCAUUUAACAAAAUUGACGGCAUGACCAUUUGUCCUAACGAAAGUGAAGUUAAAGGACAAAGGGAAAGAUUUUGAAAAUUAAAGGACUCAAAUACAAAUCAAGUCAAAAUUCAAAGACUAAUAAAAAGAUUAAUCCAAAAAAACUAAUAAUAUUAUUAUUAAGCCCUCCCUCCCUCCCUCUCUCUCUCUCCCCGCCCUCGAAUGGGGUGAGUGAGUGAGAAUUUAAUUUCUUCUGACGAACUUGGCUCUCUUUCUCUCUCUUAUUUUCUUCCUUGGCUUUGGUUUUGGGUUGGUGGUGUUGUUAGAUAGAAGCAUUGCUUUUAAAACUCAUCAUCAGUUACAUUUUAGUAGAGGCAGUAGACAUACAAAUUAUAAAUCACAAAUCACACAAACAGUGAAGAAAGUGGCAUAGUCAUCCUCUCUCUCUCUCUCUCUCUCUCUCUCUCUCUCUCUCUAUUUCUUUCUUUCUUUCUUUCUGGGUUCUCUCUCUCUCUCUCUCUCUCUUUGUUAUUUGUUAUGGUAACAGUUAAUUACGCCUCCAAGAUUUCAUCCAAGUGCCAUAACUCACUCUCCAAAAUCAAGCCGAUAUCUUUGACAUCUUGGCAGCCGUUUAAGCUACCAAAUGAAAUAUGAAAUCAAAUCAAAUGAUAUAUAUGAAAUCUUGGUUUGGUGCUGAGUUGAUGAUGCCUGUCCUGGGCUUCCAUAACUAAUGCUCUUCCCUCUCAAAACACCCCAUUUCCUUCUCAUUUCCUUAAACCCCCACAAACCCAGUUUUCCAUAACCCCAUUAUAUUAUACCCCAAACAACACAAAGUCAACACACCAUAUAAAUAUACACUCUUGUUUGCUUGCUGUCUCUCUCUCUCUCUCUCUCUCUCUCUCUCUCUCUCUCUCUCUCUUUUACUCUUGGUUUAUAUCAAUCAAAUAUUGCUUUGCCAUGGGACUACUAACUUGCUAGAUGCUCCGCUCAUCAUCAUUAAACCAAACCAUUUAGUCUAGCGCUUAGCUUCCUUGGUACCUGCUACUUCUCCAGUAGCCUUAAGGACACAAAAGAUUAAGGAGAAAAUGGAGUUCGGCAGUGGAGGAGGCGCUGGCUCUGGUGGAGACCACGAUGCCUCUGACUCUCAAAGAAGGAAGAAGCGCUACCAUCGUCACACUGCUAACCAGAUUCAGAAGCUUGAAGGGUAAGUCUAGUACUUGUACUUGUUCGUUUCACUGCUUGCUUAAGACUUUUUGUCUGUGACACUGUCUGGUUUAUGGGGUUGCUUGUGCGAGUGAUCGGAACGAUGUUAAUCUGAUUGCAUGUGUUUGAUAUGAAGAAUGUUCAAGGAGUGCCCUCACCCAGAUGAAAAGCAAAGGUUGCAGUUGAGCAGAGAGUUGGGGUUGGCUCCUCGCCAGAUCAAAUUUUGGUUUCAAAACCGGAGGACCCAGAUGAAGGUGCUCACUCACUCUCUUCUGUUCUAACACACACUGGUACUAAAAAACCAGUCCUUUCUUUUUUUUCUUCUUAAUUUGUUUGUGCUGAUUAAUUCUUAUACUAAUGAAAACACGCAGGCCCAACAUGAAAGAGCUGAUAACUGUGUGCUUCGAGCAGAGAACGACAAGAUCCGAUGUGAGAACAUUGCAAUCAGAGAGGCCCUCAAAAAUGUCAUUUGCCCAGCUUGCGGUGUCCCUCCCCUCAAUGAAGAUUCCUAUUUUGAUGAACAUAAAUUGCGAAUGGAGAAUGCCCAAUUGAAAGAAGAGGUGUUCUUUCUUUAAUUUCCCAUUUCAAUUUUGUCAUAAAGUUUCAAGCUUGAUGCAAUUUUCUCUUAAACCAGUCUAUUUAAUUAUCUUUCAUUAAUUUGGUUGCUGUCUCUCUUGUCCUGCUUUCCCCGUUUUGCCCGCUUUGCAGCUAGAUAGAGUAUCUAGCAUUGCUGCCAAAUGCAUUGGGAGGCCAAUUUCCCAGCUCCCUCCUGUUCAGCCUAUUCAUGUUUCGUCUUUGGAGUUAUCAAUGGCAAGUUUUGGGGGCCAUGGGGUGGGUGGCCCUUCCCUUGAUCUUGAUCUUCUUCCAGGGACUACUUCAUCUGCCAUGCCCAGUUUGCCUUACCACCCUACCGGUUUAUCGGACAUGGACAAGUCCCUCAUGACUGACAUUGCAGCAAAUGCCAUGGAAGAGUUGCUUAGGCUUUUGCAGACCAAUGAGCCUUUGUGGAUUAAGUCCGCUACUGAUGGGAGGGAUGUUCUUAAUCUUGAAAGCUAUGAGAGGAUUUUUCCGAGGGCUAAUAGUCAUUUGAAAAAUCCCGAUCUUAGAAUUGAAGCAUCAAGAGACUCUGGUGUGGUUAUCAUGAAUGGUUUAGCAUUAGUCGAAAUGUUUAUGGACCCGGUAAUUUCUCUCCUCCUCAUCCUCCUCUACCCAACUGUAUAUUUGCAAGUGUCAGGCCGUGUUUAUCUUAAUUACCUAUAUCCAAGUGUUUAACAAUUUUAUGUUUGCAGAACAAGUUUGGGGAGCUAUUUCCAACAAUUGUCUCAAUGGCAAAGACAAUCGAAGUAAUAUCAUCUGGAAUGCUGGGUAGUCAGAGUGGGUCUUUGCAGUUGGUAAGUGGCUAGUAAGAAAAUCUUUUGAUUGUCUUUUGCAUUGUCUAGUUUUAUGGUAGAAUUAUGUUCGGAUAAGUUCUCACUCGAAGGAUUUUUUUGUAGAUGUAUAAAGAGUUGCAGGUGCUUUCACCGUUGGUACAAACUCGGGAGUUCUACUUCCUUCGUUAUUGCCAGCAAAUUGAGCAAGGCCUGUGGGCAAUUGUCGAUGUUUCUUACGAUUUUCCACGAGAUAACCAGUUUACAAAUCAAUGUCGAUCUCAUAGGCUUCCUUCCGGGUGCUUGAUUCAAGACAUGCCUAACGGAUAUUCCAAGGUUUGUUUUGUUUAACAAGCAAAAAGUAUUUGAAACACAAUAUUUAAGUAAUGUUAUAACUUCACUUCACUUCACUUAACUUGCUCAUAUGCAUAUCAAAUGCUAAAAAAUAGGUUUCAUGGGUGGAACAUGUGGAAAUAGAAGACAAAGCCCCAACUCAUCGGCUUUAUAGAGAUCUUAUUCACAGUGGAUUAGCAUUUGGAGCUGAACGAUGGCUUGCUGCUCUUCAGAGAAUGUGUGAAAGAUUUGCAUGCCUAAUGGUUUCAGGAACUUCUACUAGAGAUCUUGAAGGAGGUAGCUUAAAUGUUUCAACACCAUAUAUAGUAAUUCUAUGAUUAUUAACUUUCUAUCCUAGCUGCUUGAUCUCAACAUUCUUAUUUUUAUUUUUUGAAUAAUCAGUGAUUCCAUCGCCUGAAGGCAAGAGAAGCAUGAUGAAACUUGCCCAAAGGAUGGUCAACAACUUCUGUGCAAGCAUUAGCACAUCCAACGGCCAUCGAUGGACCACCCUUUCUGGGAUGAACGAGGUUGGAGUGCGAGUCACCAUCCAUAAGAGCACGGAUCCUGGUCAGCCCAACGGUGUGGUUCUUAGUGCAGCCACGACCAUUUGGCUACCAGUAUCUCCACAAAAUGUGUUCAAUUUUUUCAAGGAUGAAAGAACUCGACCUCAGGUACUUUUAUGCUUGUUAGACAAACUCAUACAUACUGCCUAUUUCAAUUGGUAACUGUUAUAUCAAUCGGAUUAAUUUGUUUUCCUCCAGUGGGAUGUCCUUUCCAAUAACAAUGCAGUGCAAGAGGUUGCCCAUAUAGCAAAUGGUUCACAUCCAGGCAACUGCAUAUCUGUUCUAAGAGUAAGAAAUAAUAAGUUAUUUAUUUGCUAUUUCCAUUGUUACAAUGCAACUCCUUUUUUUGUUUUGUUUAUUUUUUUGAAGGACUAGUUAAUGUGUAAUAAUAACUUGCUUGUACUAUGAAAUCAUUUCUUGUAUAGGCUUUCAACACUAGCCAGAACAACAUGCUGAUGCUGCAGGAGAGCUGCAUAGACUCAUCAGGGUCACUUGUUGUGUACAGCCCUGUUGAUCUACCAUCCAUCAACAUUGCAAUGAGCGGUGAGGAUCCUUCUUACAUCCCUCUGCUGCCAUCAGGAUUCACCAUUUCACCGGACGGAAGGCCGGAGCAGGGAGAUGGUGCCUCAACAAGUUCUUGUAACGUACAUGGAAGUGGUGGAUCACUAGUUACAGUGGCAUUUCAAAUCCUAGUGAGCAGCUUGCCAUCCGCUAAGCUGAACUUGGAGUCGGUGAAUACUGUGAAUACUCUUAUUGGCACCACUGUCCAGCAAAUUAAGGCAGCCUUGAAUUGUAAUAGUUCCUGAUGAUCAUGGCACAACUGUUUUCUCUCCUCUCUCCUCUCUACCCUCUACCAUCCUUAAAUAGGGUGAUCAGAAAAGUGUUCAUUCAGACAGUAGUGCUUGGGCAGCCUGCUGGUGCUGGUGCUGGUGGUAUUCAAUGUGGGACAAGUAUCUGGGUUAGUUGGGACUUUGAAUGCCCUCUCAUCAAGAGCUGAAGCUCUUCAUUUACUGCUCCUGCUGCUUCUUCUGCUCCUUCUGCUGCUAGUAGAGCUGUUUUUGCUUCCAAGGUUCAUUACUUCAGUACAAUUUUCACCAACUACAAACUUUUUUCUUUUUUGUUUUUUUCUUCUUUUUUGGUGGGGCAGGUUUUAUUUUCCUUGUUUUUGUUAUUUUAGCAAUGUUAGCUUUGGAAAAGCAGUAUUUAAAAGAGGAAGUCAAGAACGCACCAUACGUGUCUUUCCUGCUGAGUUUCUCUCCAGUCCGUACUGCCAUUCCACUCUCUCCUCCUCCAAUCCAGCAAGAAAAAUCGUAUGGUUCGGGCAUUGACUUCCUAAGCAAGGACUUUUAGAUUUAUUAUAUAUGAAAAACCAUAUUUCAAUUGUCUGUCUGUCUGUCUCUCAUAUUCUAUUUAUAUUGUUGUAGCAAACUUUAUCUCUCUCUCUCCCACAAAAACAAAACAAAACAAAACAAAAGAAAUCCGUAAUGACAGAUCUAAAGGGCCUUUAAUUAAUUUGUGUUGUUUGUUUAUGUGUCUGUGUGAGGGAUGAUGACCAGGAGUGACAGUCAUGAGAGUGUAGGGCCAAGACGUUGACCGUAGUAGGCUUGACUUCAACUCUGUGGGCCUCCUCCAUCCCUGAGACGUACUGAAAGCAUAAAUAUAUAAUAUAUAAAACUCUUAAUAUAUAUGUGUUCGCACGCGCGCUUUGACAUAUUCCUGGGAAAAAAAGCAUUUCCUUGAUUGAUUGAUAUGACCCCAAGUCACUAAUCAAAGUCUCUCUCCUUCUCCUUUCCUUUUAGUUUGUUUUUCAAAUUUUAAUUUCUUUGAGGUUGAAUCCCAUUUAUUACUACCAUCAAUCUACCGGUUGGGUUUUGGAUGCCUUGAUUAAUUGGGAAGCAAGAUUAGUGCUGCCCUUGAUAUCCGGAACAAACUAAAAACCAGAGUUUGCAAAGUCAAAAGGAUUAGAAUUGUGUUGUUAGGAAACAAUUAUGUAUACAUGUUUGAUUUGAUUUGUUUGAAUUAAGGUUUGAUUAAGAGGAGUGAUAAAGAUGUUAAGGAGCUAUGGUGGUGGUGGUGGUGUAUGUGUAAAUGUAAAUGUAAUGGCACAUUGGCACCAGUGAAGUGAGUGAUAGUACACUCUCAUAAAGAUGGGUUUCAUUCAUUUCAUCAAAGUUAGCACAAGCAAGCUUUAUAGUAACAAGUUGUCAAGUCUGUUAGAAAACUAGUAUAGCCAUAAAGGCAUGUCUUAAAACACCAUCAAUGCAUCUCUAUCAUUUCUGAUGAUCCUUCCCUCCCUUCCCUUCCCUUCCCUUCCAUUCCAUUCCAUCAACAUUAUUAAAGUUUUUACCAUUGGUAACUUGUGACAAUUUAAGAAAAGAAACCGAACGUGGAUGUGGUCUGCAGCAGACUUCAUUUUCAUAUAUAUGUCUUGUGUUUUUUAAUCCCAUCAUCUCCUUUCCUUUAUCCUGUACCCUGUACUGAACUCUCUAGGAUUCAUUAAUGAUGUUUUAUCUUAUGCAGUAAACUUGUGUUGUAGAACAAGGAAGAUUUUUGUUAUAAGAAAAGACCCCAUCAAUCAACUUAAUCUUAAUGUUAAUAAUCUUGGUUUGCAAGACUGGUCUGAUAAGAGAAGUCGGAAGAAGAAUGUUGUUGAUUGGAGGGCUGGGCUGGGGCUGUCGUGUUUAAUUUCUGAUGGGUCUUUAUUUCAGUCUUUGAUCCUUUUAAAGCAAACUAAACCCAACCCAUAGAUAAUAAUAAAGCGGCUUAUGGGCAUUUUAGCCCAACGCUGAACAUGAGAGAAGAAUGGCCCAAGUUCCAUUGCAUAUGUUUGAUUUUUACAAGAGAAAAAAAACAACUUGUUGGAACAUUCAUAUUCUGAUUGUUUGAUUGUUUGAUUGUUUGAUUGUUUGAUUGUUUGAUUGUUUGUUUGUAGACAAAAAACAAUCUGAAUAUAUAAAGAUAAUGACAUUAGGAAUAAUGUGUGUCUUCUCUUCUCUUAUUAAUCCUAAAAGAUCAAAGAAGAUAUUAGUAUCAUCAAUUUGCGUUUGCGUUUCAAGUUUGGCAUUGGCACAAACAAACUGAGCCUAAUCACAUGGGCCGAAUUAUUUACCCAGAAAGUAGGAAGGGAGGGUUAGGCAGGCAGGCACCUACAUACCAUGUGAAUGUCAGCAAAGAAGAAAGAAAGAAAUCCAAACCUAAAACUAAAACUAAAACUGAAGCAUGCAAUGAUGCAAUUGCAAUUGGUCCUGUCCUGUCCUGUCCUGUCCUGGCCCCUGGAUCAACUUUCAUGGCUUCAUCCAUCAGGCCUAAAAUUAAGAGGCUUGGGAUCUGUGGAAAUAUCAGACAAACAAACAAGAGCAGCCUCACAAACUUCAAACUUGUUGGUAUUAUUAUCAAAAUCCAUGUGAGCAGCCUUUACACCUUUGUUUUGUGUUCCACUUCCUUUCCAUGCCUACUUUGAUUGAUUGCCAGUGGGGCCUGCACAGGGUAGGCAUUGCCAAACAAGCAUGCAUAUGUAUGAUGAUCAUAUAUAAUGAUACGAUCUGAAUGAAUCUUUAUCCUCCUCCUCCUCCUCCUCCUCCUAUCCUAGCCAUAAAAAAAUCAAACAAAGAGAGAUAUUAGUUAGCCUAUUAAAGAAGCUGGUGGUGAUCCCACUCCACACCAGAGCCAGCCUCAAAAAUUCAAUUCCAAGGUAGCAUUUGUAUUUUAUUUAUAAGAAAUGGGGCCUUCCGAAUGAAAUAUGAGAUUUCAUUUUCAUGUUGUAAACACUUUUGAGAACGUGUUAUCUUUGACACGAAACUAAAAUAAGAGGGAAUAUAAAAAUCACAAACCUCUUUGAAUUUGUCAUUUUCAUAUCCUAACAAUGCAUUUAUUAUUCAUGAUUUUUUUAAAUUUAAAUGUAAAUACAUAUUUUUUCUUUUCUUCAUAAGUAGCAUUGCCAGCAUUUCAUCCAUUGUCUUCAAAUAACACCUUCCACAAAUAAUCACGGUCCAAAAGGGCGUUUUAGAGAGACAAAUAUCCACCACUGGAUUUUUAUUAUUUGUUUAUUUUUCUAUGAAAGAUCCACCUCUCCAUUGGGUGAUCGUUAUUUCCUUUUGUUUUUGGCUGUGUGUGUGGAUCACUGAAUGGGUCUGCGGGGCACGUGUCAAUGACCUUUUGGUGUUCAGCUUCAACCCAACCCAACCCAACCCAACCCAACUAACCAAAGCAUAGAAAUUUAAGACUCAAAUCUUUCCCCCGACCAAGUUAGAUUACUAGAAACUUGUGGCUGCAAAUAUUUCAAGGUUUUUUAUAAAAAAAAAAAAAAAAAACUUUUGAGUUUUGGCCUAAUAAUACUACCAGGUGGGCUCCACUUUUGCUUUCACCCUGCACCUACUCGUUUAGGCGUCUAUUCUAAAUUCUAAUCUUAUCAUUACUAAAGUCAAGGUUCAUCUGGACCGUUCAUCUUACUUUAAUGUGGUUUUCUCUUUGGAAUUUAUUUUAAUCCCAAUGCUAAUACUAUGUUAGAAGAUCCCGGAAUUAAUUGAAUUAUUAAAGUAUCUUCUACUCUGCAAUAAUUGUUACUGAUAUUUUAUUUUAUUUUAUUUUUUCUAUGAACAUAUGAAUAUAGAAAGAAGUUCGAACUAAAAACUCCUUUUAAUAAUAAAAAAAAGAAUUAAAUGCCAACGAGUCUAGCUCAGUAAAAAAGAACAUUAACUUGCAAAUUAGAGAUCUCAAGUUCAAACUUCCAUGACAUCACAAUUAUGUGUAUGUGAGAAACCCUCUUUCAUUGUAAUUUAGACUAUCACUUAAUCUAUAUUUAAAAAAAAAAAAGAAUUAAAUACUCUUAUCUGAAUCUAUAACAAUAUAAUUAUUAUCUUAUAAUUAAAAAAAACAGUAUAAUUAAUUUUUGUGAUGAAUAAUAACUCCUGUUGUUUUGAAGAUUGAAAUUGAGUGGGGGUGGAGGCGGUGGGGCCCGAGAGCGUGGCGUUUAAAAACGGAAGCCACGAAAUAAAGCGCAGCUGAGGUGUCAAAAAGCGCAAGAUAAUAGAGAGGUGGGAACCACCUUAGUUCGUCACACUCUCACCUCCCUACGUCUCUAUUUUCAGUAAAAUCCACAUCCACAUUUUUUCCAGAUAUAAUCUUUUUUCAAUAAUAUAAAAGAUAUUAUUGAUCAAGAUUGAAAGCUGAGGGGACACCACUUGCACUUUUUCCACUUUUUCUACUUUUUCCACUUUGCACUUUCCACUUGAGAUAUAAGAUGAGAUUUAGAGAGGGACUUGGCCCUUGGCCACCCCUCUUUGUCUCUCCCUGUGUUCUUGUGGCUCAGAUAUUUUCUUCCUUUUCUUUUUUUCAUUUCCACCUAUUUUUUCAUUUUCUCAACGCAUAUUAAAUUAUAAAUUAAGCAAAUUAAAUAAUACUAUAGUGAAGAAGGCCUUGAUUUGCAAGUUAAAGUUCUUAAGUUCGAAUCUCUACAACGUUAUAGUUGUGUGUGUGUGUGUGAAAUCCCUCUUUCCUGUAAUUUAAACUAAUACAUGUACUCAAAAAACAAAAAAAAUUCUAUCGCUUUUGAGUUUUCUGUGUUUAUUUUUCCUCAUAAUUCAAGGAAUUUAGUUGAGUUUUGUUAGCUAUUUUUAGUCUCCCUUUACAAUAUGUGAAUUUCGUACUCUUUAUUGAUAUUGAUAUAAUAAAAUUCUAUUGCUUUUUAUCUAAAUAUAUAUAUUAUAGUCCAUGAGAUUGGAAAAUCUAAAUUUAAAAUGAAAACAGAAAUAUCUAAUUAGUGAAAAAGGAAAGCCUCCUCUCCUCAGUCAGUGUUUGUAUUAUCUGAUCUGGAUUGGACUUAAUAUCUUCCACAAGAAUAUCAUAUCAGAGAAUGAAUAAAAAUUAGGAAUUUUCGAAUUUUCUUAAUUUGGGAGAAAAGCCGAAAAGGUGGGAGACAGAGUACCAGAAAGUGCCGAGUGUCCCUGCGUUCUCAGCCACAAGAUUCCCAGGCCCUUCUCGAUUUUUCAUUGCCAAAUUUGUCAACAAAAUUUUCAAAAAUUAAAAAUACUCACUCUGACGUGGCAUCCCCUGCUUUUACUUUCUUCCUCCAUAUAACUCUGAAUUUCUUUGUGCGCUUCUUCUCUACUAUCCUCCUAAUCUCUCUCAUUUCUCUCUCUAUAUCUCUCUCUCUCUCUCUCUCUCUCUCUCUCUCUCUCUCUGUAUUCAUCUUCAUCUCCUGCUUCUCUGGAUUUGGAUUUUGCUUCUUCUUUCUUUUUAAUCUUAUCUUUCUCUUUCGGUUUCGCCUUUUCGUUUUCUUUUAUUUCCCGAGAAUCCGACGGCGGAAUCUGUUUUUUGUUUCUCGGGAAAAGCCGAGGAGCCUUCUGUUUUCUCAGUUAGAAAAAGAAAACUCUCAAGACAAGUUUGUUUUCAGUCUUUCAGAUACCAUUGAGGUAAGCUUCUGAUUGAUCUGGUCUACAUAAGCAAAGAACUUUUCUUUUUUUCUAAUUUCCCAAAAAAUAAACACUUUUCUUCUUUUGUGUUUUUAUUAUUUAUUUAUAGGAAAAGUCUGCUUGGUUCUUAUUUAUUAUCCUUAUUUUUAUUUAAAUGCAGCCGAAUAUCCAAUUAAUGAAAGCUUGUUUGUGUUUCUUUUAUUUGUGGGCAAUCAAUUUCCAGGUGUAGUGCGUUAACCUUUUGCAGUAAGUAACGUGCUGGACGUGUUCUGUUUCUUUUGAGCAGCCAUGGCUGUUGAGGUAUGCAAAUGCAAUUUGGCUUGCUGUGUUUCAAUUUUCUGCCUUUUUAAUGAAUGAUUUUGAUUGGGGUUUGAUUUUAGUUUCCCAAUGAGCACUCUCUCUGUUAAGCAAUUUUAGAUUUAAAUAUUUCUUAGUACAACUUGUUCCAGUCCAAGAUGUGAGAAAUUUGACCCUUAACUCAAUACCAGAUCAUGCAUAGUUCAAUAGAUAUAUACCACUUUGGGUGAACCUCGUAUGGGUGGUGCAUAAUCUUGAUUUGAGGUUGGGAUUAUAUGUGUGAUUCGGUAAUCUCAUGUAAAACUGGUGCAGAAUUUUUUGUGUGUGUUCCUCCCAACUGAAUUGUGUACUAAUGUUCGACGCUUGUUCACUUGUUUUGACUAUGUUGGAUGAAAAAGUAUCAACCCGACUUUGUGUUUGGCCAUAGGAUUACAGUGAAGCCACAGGGUCAAACGCCUCUGUUGCAGCUGCUGAUUGCAGUCUAAAAGGCGAUGCACAAUCUAAACCAGUGAUUGAACUCAAGGAGUUAUCUUCCUUUGGCAAUGACCAUACGCCUAAGGUUCCCUUCUUCUCUUAGCUUUCAUUUUCGGAGCAUUUCUUUUGGCCAAAAAUCUAUGUACCCUGCUCAAGUUUUGGCUAAAUUAAUUCUUUUUUUUUCUCCCCCUUUCUUCAGAUCAGGAAACCUUACACAAUUACAAAACAAAGAGAAAAAUGGACAGAGGAAGAGCAUCACAAGUUCCUUGAAGCCUUGAAAUUGUAUGGCCGAGGUUGGCGUCAAAUAGAAGGUAUGUUCAGGGCUGCAUAACUCUGUCUAAGAGAAAUUUUCUUUUACACAAUCCGAUGAUGAAGUUAUUCUUUAUCUUCAUUCAGAACAUGUAGGCACCAAAACUGCAGUUCAGAUUCGAAGUCAUGCUCAAAAGUUCUUCUCUAAGGUAUUAACUUUAGUGAAUGCUCUUGACUUGAGUUCAUAUUUCCUAUUAUAGUAUGCACACGAUCCAAAAAUUUCUUGAGUUAAACGUUUAAGGUCCCAUGCCAUUAAAACGGUCUUGCUUUCAGGUAUCUAAGGAGUCGAGCGGACCUAGCGAAGGCUCCAUCACACCAAUUGAGAUACCACCUCCACGGCCUAAGCGGAAGCCUGUGCAUCCUUAUCCACGUAAAUCAGUCGAUUCUCUCAUCGGAUCACCAGAAAGGUCACCGUCCCCGCAUUUUUCAGUUUCUGGGAAAGGCCAAGAAUCGCCUACUUCAGUAUUAUCUGCACUUGGUUCAGAUGUACUGGGGUCUGCAGCUUUGGACCAGCCUAGCAGAUCUGCAACCCCAACUUCAUGUACCACUGACAUGCGCUCAACCAUCUUAUCCCAUGUUGAAAAAGAGAAUGAUUACAUGACAUCCAACUCAUCCACUGAAGAAGUGAAAGAGUCCGUGCCAUCAGUUCAAUUAUCUGCUGACUCGACUCCGGAAAAAUUUGCGUGCAUGGUAAGUGAACUGUAACUGUUAUUGUUAAUUUAAAUAUUGAUUCCUCUAUUCGGUUUUGGGUUCUGAGUUCUGACUCUGGUUGCCCUUGUGUUGAUGUGGAUGUCCAGAAACAUGGAUCAGGUUCCAAUCACAUUGUGAGUACAGAAGGAGAUGCUGGCAGUCCAAGAGCUUCCUCAAGUAUUAAGCUGUUUGGAAGGACAGUUUUGGUAUCAGACUCGGAGAGACAAUCUCCACCUGGUAGUGUUACCAAGGAUUCAAAGGCUAAACAAGAGAAUUGUCAGAGGGAAAAUGAUAAGCUUGCUCAAACAUUAAGAUUGGAUGAGUUAGACACGCGUUUGUCACUCGGUGGAAUUGGGGAACACCAAAAACAGAGCCCUAAUUCUCAGAAAGUUAACCCUGAUGCUCCUCCGCCAUGGUGGUUUAUGCAUAAUGGUUUAAUACCAUUUUUUCAAGUCAGAUCAUGUAACCAAAACUCAGUUCAAAUACACGCCAAUUCAUGUGCGGAUGAAACAAUGAAAGAGAUGGAAACGUCUUUAUCACACGAUGGUUCAGUUAGUGCAGUGGAAAUUUUAGCAGAGAAGCAUUUAGAGGCUGCUGAUGCGUUACGCGAAGAGACUCGAUCUCUCCCUUGCAGUUCAAGAAAGGGGUUUGCACCAUACAAAAGAUGCUUAGCAGAUAGAAAUAUGAACUCAUCAGGAGAGAUGAGGGACAGACAGCGGGCUCGUGUCUGCUCAUAGUUCCCACGGCAGAUGCUUUGUUUUCUAGCUUAUCGCAAUACCCGCAUAAUUAAAAAUCCAUGCUUCAGUUUAAAUUGUUGGCGUCUGAUGUUUGCAUUUUUUGCAAUUUGAAAUAACUGUAACGUCCUUUAUGGAUUUAUUCUUUUUACCCUAUUCUUUCAAUGAAAUGAUUAGGCUUCAAUUCGAUACAUAUUCGUGUCCUAACUGGAACUGGGAUUAGACGAGUGGAAAUAUUUGAUACGAACAAUACAUUAGAUUUCUUUUUUCUUCUUUUUAAACUUGUAAUGCGAUGCGCAAUACCACAUUCUUACAACCCCAUGAAUUUAGUAACUUGAAUUGAAAGCACAUAUUAGUAGACAGCAGUAUACAAGAAGGAGAACUGAGAAUUCUAACAAAGUGGACGUUAGAGCCGACUUUUCAAUACUGUCUUGGGUUUUGUUUGGGAGUUUGACGGAGCUCUGAUCUAGGCUUUGCAACUUCAACAAAUAUUACUCUGCCAUCCAGAAACUGAAAAAACAAAACAAAGAAGAAAAAUUCAAAAUAGUUUCUUCUGCCAGAGCUGCAGUGUCUCAAUUCAUAUUCAAAUUCAGUAGGCUUGACAUGCCAAGAACCCAAGGGCUUUGUUUGUCUAUUUAUGAGGCUGUGCUGUCAUGCCUUCCAUUCCAGAUUAAAAUUCAGAAGCCAGUUUGGUUUUUGCCAAGUGCUUACACUCUAUGAAACUCGUGGAGGACUUAUCGGAACCCAACUUAACAACGCAAAAUUCAAAGAGACUACCAAUAGUCCACAGAACAGAAGGCACUUUAUUUAUACUAGACUCUGCUGAUGGACUCACUCUGUAAAUAAAUCACGUCCGCUCAAUCAAUGACCAAAGCACACAAUCAAGAGAACCUGAAUGCAAAAUUAACACCAAACAGUUUGAAACACAUGAGUUCUUUGAUUGCGAUUACUUCCUAGUGGAAUUGGAGUGAUGGAAUGUAUCGACGUUGGUUUUGUAUUUUUGGUCAGAGACUCUUGGUUGCAAAGCAUGAAAACAUGGAUAUAAGAGACACUAGUUCUAACCUCAACAACAUUAACAGUAAUUAAUGUCUUGGUAAUGUUCUAUAAAUGAUGAUAUGUCAUUGUGCAUGAGCUGGUUAUAAGCUAUGCUACCAAAGACUGAUAUUGUUGCUUCAUUUGUUUGGAGCCCGAUAGUCCGAGAGAGUACCUCAGCCUUGAAAACAGUUGAAGAGUGCUGCUUUUGUGCAUGUUUGUAGAAAUAAUAGAAGAAAUAGAUCAACAGACUGAAUCAGACUAAUAAACCCGAGCAAUACCAGGACAAAGUUGGGUCAUCUAAGACACUAACGGAUACAAAGACACACGCAUAAAGCAAGCAGUAUGAGACUAUCAAUCAAGGAAGGCAAAGUUCUCGACCAGGUGUGCAUUAGGAAUUGUUAGUUCUACUGAAAAUCCUCAACUAGAAGGAUCUUUGGCUUCACAUGCAUCAAUAGUCUUAUAUACACAAAUAGUUGUUUCAUACACUGGCCAGGACUCGCUCACAUCUCUCCCUCGAGCACUGAUGGUAAUGGUAUAUUGUAUGAAUCUGAUAUAUCAUCAGUAAGUGGUGCAGUGUCAUUUGUUUCCUAGUUUUUCAUCUUGUUUUCAAAAGAAAGAAAGGAAAGAGAAGCCUCUUGGCCAGCACAUACCUUUCCGUGCAUUCCCUCGAUAGCCUUUUGAGAUUCCUCUUCAGUUGCAUAGCGGAGAAAUGCAAAGCCUCUUGGCCUAUUUGCUAUUCUAUCCAUCACCAGAUUGACUAUAAAUGAAAAGCAGAUUCUUAAGAGAGUGAAAAGAAAUAACCAAUAGCUGACCCAUAAAAACACUGACAGAUGCUAUAGGCAGCUCAACUAAGAAAAGGAACAUGUUAACAACUUUGCUCUCACCUUCUACAAGUUGUCCAAAAUUCUGGAAAGCAUUUCGCAAACUCUCCUCAGUGGUACGAAAUGAAAGCCCUGCAUGACAAAGCAUAUUAAUUGUGAUGUUUUGUUCCCCUCUGAACUCUGAAGAGUCGUAGACAGAGCAAUAAACUUCAAUUUUGAGAAAAUAUUGAGAACCAUAUGAGAAAUUGAACAAUGCCCCGUCAUUGAUACGAAAUAUGCAUUCUAUUAACGUAGAGUUUGAACUGUGGGGAUCCUUGUUUUCAUUUCUUAGACACGACUCCACGAGUGUUGGUUAGCCAAGAGGACCCAAGUGCAUAAAUUGUCCAUCAAGCCUACAGACCUCCUAAAGUAUGGUGCUUUACAAUGUAAAUUGGACAGAGUUUUCAGAGGCUAAUCCUAGUCCAAAUCAAGUUUUUUCUUCUUCUUCUUCUUCUUUUCUUUUACAGAGCAGCAGGAGUAGAAUUGUAAUUCAGGUAAACAGAAUAAAGAUUAGAGAAUGUCGCUAUUGUAUGUAUCGUCAACAAUAAAAACCCAAUAGCAUUUGUGCAUCAUUAUACUGCAAAAUAUGUUAAAGGAAAUUAGAUUAGGAAAGAGAGAACUGACUGACCACUGACGUAAAGCUUGGUAGAGGUGUUGGGAGAAUAGGAAGGAGAAGAAGACGAAAGAGACGCCAAAGGUAAGAAGGUGCGGCGUUUGUGCCUGGGAGAGGAGGAAAGGCAAGGGAGUAACUGCUUCCGCCAACCACAAGAAGUUAAUGAGCAACUGGAAUUGCCCGUAAUACUGAUACAGCAGCCCACCUGAGACUCAGAUGUUUUCUGUUGCUUGUGCCUGCUACUGGUAUCGGCCGAAGCCCAUAGAUUUGGAGCGCUCCUGAGGACGACGCUCGUUGUCAUUUUGGGAAGAAUCAACUAUCAGUCAGUAGGAACUAUGAAGGGGAAUUACAGACUUGUACUUGGCGAGCGAGAGACUUAUCUUCUUCUACCACGUUGUAGUUUACCGGCUAAAUUACUAUUUUCCCCCUCAUUUUACUCUUGCCUAAUUUAUUUAAUCUUUUACAAACAAAAAUAAAAUAAAAAGGAAAAAAAAGAAAAAACCUGUAAAAAUUAGAGGCAGCAGAGAGGCGGACAUGAGCUGUGCAGCAGCUGCGUGCAGGAGCGCGAGAACCAUGAAAGCGGCGGUGCUGUAUCACUAUCCUUGUCCAGACGGUGCGUUUGCUGCUUUGGCCGCCCACCUCUACUUCUCAGCCAUGUCUAUGGAAGAACUCCUCUUCUUCCCCAACACCGUCUACAGCCCCAUCACCCCCCAACACCUCCCUCUCCACCAGAUCGACCGCCUCUACCUCCUUGACUUUGUGGGUCCCCCUGGUUUUGUCCAGGAGAUCUCUUCCAGGGUCCCCAGCGUCGUCGUUCUGGAUCACCACAAGACUGCCCUCGAAACGACGCGCAUUGGUGAAAACGUCACCGGCGUCCUAGACAUGAACAGGAGCGGGGCCACCAUUGCUUUUGAUUACUUCAAAAGCAAAAUUGACGGUGACAGUGGCAACAAGAACGAGGCGGUGGUUGCUCAGUUUGACAGAGUGAGGAGGCUGUUCGAAUAUGUGGAGGAUGGGGAUCUCUGGAGGUGGAGCCUCCCCAAUAGUAAAGCUUUCAGUAGUGGGCUCAAAGAUUUAAACUUUCAAUACGACGUCGGCCUCAACCCGUCUUUGUUCCAACAAGUAAUUUGCUUGUUUCUCUCUUAAUAAUAUAGUUGAAUUCGUUUUUAAAAAUUUAUGAUCUUUUUUUUUUUGGUUCCCCUGAGCAGCUGCUUUCUUUGGAUUUGGAGUCCUUAAUUAGUCAAGGAAUGGCGAGCUUAUCCAAAAAGCAGAAAUUAAUAGAUGAAGCUCUCAAUCAGUCUUAUGAAAUUGCACUUUGGGGUGGAGCCUUUGGACAUUGCCUGGUAUGUACUUCUUCUGAUUCUAUGCAUGUAAAAGAUGGAAAAUUGAUUGUAAAUGCAUAAUCUUUUUGUAGGCUGUCAACGCAGAUUCUAUCUCAGAGUUGAGGAGUGAACUCGGACAUCAAUUAGCUACUAAAAGCCGUAGUCUAAACUUAAGGUUUGUGGCAUUCUACUUAUUCACUCAUGUUAUCUUGAAGUAUAUGCAUUUCUCGGAUUUGUGUUCUGUUCAUUCUGUGUUGUUGAAAUUUAACUUGGUCACUUUAUGAAAUGGAUGGUAUCUGUGGGAUUCUGUUCCUUGUUUGUGAAAAUUCUUUCCAAGUUUCUUGGCUUGGUUCUGCUUUCUUUAGCUGUGCUGCUGAUUGCCAGUGUAUUUUACUUAUCACAUUCCGAUUUUUGUCUUUAAAUGUUUCAUCCACAAACAGUGUUGAAUGCAGAAAACUAUAAGUGGACUUAAACAAUUGCAUGAUGAAUUUAGCAUUUUUUCCUCCUUAGCCAUAGAUGAUUAUAGCAUUGGAGUGACAUCUCAUAUAGGAGAAACUGGUUAGUUUCCCCGAUUAUUAUGGUUUUUCAUACAAUUGCGGUCAAAUUUCUUUUUUUUUUCUUCUCAAUAUUUAUUCAAUGGAGAAAUACCCUUAGUUGAAAGGGCAACUAAUAAUAGAUGUUCAGUUGUGGUCCUCGUAAAGGGGAAACUACUCAAUUCUGGAAUCCAAUCCUCCAGAAACUGAUCUUUCUUAGAUUCUUAGUCCCUUUCUAUCCCUUCUCUCUUAAGGGGUCACAGAAUACGUCUUAUGAGCUCCUCCAUUUGGGAAAGCAGUUCCUCAACUAUCAACCACAGUAAUCUUUUCAAGAGCUGCAUUCGCAAGUUUGAUAUUGUCAAUCAAGGAAUUUAUUUGAGGAGCCAGUUCCUCCGUUUGGAAAUGGCUUCACAAAUAAAAUCUUUUAUGAAGAUUUUUUACUGGGUAAAAAGUCUGGUGGAUUGUAUAUUCGUUCAUAUAACCUAUGUUAGAAUCCUUUUUCACACUGUUCGAGUAAAAUUCAUGAUUCAUCAUGCCUUUCUGUUUGAGAUCGAUGUGGAACGGAUGGGCACAUCCUGCCAUCUGCAUUUUUCAGAACUUUUUCCAUUAUAUUUUGUUAGUAAGAUGGGAAAUUGGCUUUUAUCUCUGUUUAUUGAAGUUGUUCUCUACAAUAGCAUGUUGAUAUACUUAGACAUUGGUUUCCCAAGUGGAAGAUACUCCCCUUUUUCAUCACCUCCUGUGAUUUUACCCUUAUGGAUUUUGAAUGCGCAUUCAGUAACUUGUUUGAUGUGUCACUAAGAUGUCUGUUUCUUCAUCCUUCCGAUUUCAUAUGUCCUUUUUUUCCCUUUCAAAUUCUCUUUAGGGGUAUCGGGGCUGUUGUAUACAGAGUCCCAGAGCUUGAAAAUGACCAAAUGCUUAAAAUAAGCCUUAGGAGUGUGGACACCGAAGACACAACGCCCAUCUCACAGGUUGUUCCCUCAUCACAGAUGAUUCCUGCCUGUUACAUGACAUGGCAUAUAUAGUACAUGACAUGGCUAAAAUCGAAUUUGCAUUUUCUUGUCAGGAGUUUGGAGGCGGUGGGCAUCAAAGCGCUAGUUCCUUCAUGUUAGGCUCUGCAGAAUUCGAGCAGUGGAAGAUUGGCUUCGUUGCUUUGUAACAUGAAGCAAUUACUGCUGGCUGUCCAAAAUGUACAGGACAACAUGGUGGUCGAAAUGUUUCUCUCUGCAUAAUUUUGGAACAAGAAUAUCUUGCAGUACUAUUGUUCUUCAAAUUUUAUUACAUCAAAAGAGACGCGGGAUGAAACCAGCAGAGGAAAUUGUAAAGACCUCGAAGAAAUUAAACAUUGAGUGGCACACACAACAUUACAAACUAGAAACUGUAAACAUUAAUAUGCCAUUAGUUCAAGAGGCCAACAUCGAAAUCCAAUUGCUAAAAAUGUUGCAUACAAUUUUAUUCCACAAGUAACACCCCACCCAAAGCACCUCCGGAAAGAGGUUGAGUCGACAUCAAAAUCUCUAGACUAGAGUCAUCUGAUAAUCUGACUCUAGAGAAGCCACCAACCAAACCAUCCUAGAAUGGCUAAAGACAGCCAAAGAUAAUUAAUCAAUCUACAAAUUGAUGAAGGAUAUAUAAUGAAAAACCCUUACAAACUUGGUCUGGUUUUCUUUUAUGAAAUCGUGUAUGUAUGUUUUAUUUUAUUGUAAGAAAAUUGCAUCCGUGUGCAUGCAUUUUUUCAAGUUAUUUACCACCAAUCCAGCCAUCAAAUCCAAAAACUCGGGGAAAUAUUUAGUUAAUUAGUUUGUGAAGGGGACAUGAGAGAGGUGCUCUUCAGCAGGCAUAGCAGGGUUAGUAGAACACUGGUGCAUCCAUGGAUCAUCUGUGAUGAACUGCAUCCAUGAAUCGUCUUUGUCAUCUUCCUCCAGGCAUGACGAUGCUGUCAUCGGAAUAUCCGGCGACAUGGUUUCACAAUCAUUAAAAUUUGUAGUACUACCAGUGGUACCUUGUGAUGAUCUUUCCUGAAUUAAGGAUGCACUAUAUUGCCCUUGCUGCUCUUCCAUCUCCGAGCAGAUACCAUUUUUCUUGAACACGCGACAUAAUGCAAAAGAAUCCUGCAUGGGCGUUGGGGUUACGUUCGUGGUCAUGCUCACUAUUAGUUACCCUUAAAUUCAUCAUGCAACUUAAGUGAGGAGGAUGUAAAAUUCAAAACUAGUUAAAUCAAAAUUGUGCAACAAAAAAAAUACACGAAUGAGGAUCGUGAUGAAGUUAAUAAUUUUAAUUUUAAAUUCUUAUGGUAAAAGCGUAAAGGGGAUGCGGAUAAUAUAUACUUGAUCUUGUUUUGGGGACUUUGGAAUAAAGUAAAAAGUCCCCGACACCUUCUUACAGAAUGAAAGUGAUGCGGACUGCAGAGGGUGGCUGCUUUUUUGUGGUUUGGAAUAACCCAAAUAACUUAAUUAGGUUUAGAAUCGUCAAGUCCAGAUAUCAUAGAAUGAUUAAGCCUAAAUACAAUUCCUAAGCUUGAGUUAAAGGGAUAUCUUCUGAAUCAUGCGGAGGAUUGUACUUUUGUCUCAUUACAAAAAGACAAAGCGAAGCUCAUCAGCUUUUUGUCACUAACAAGAGAUCUCGAAGUGAUCCAGUGCAAGCAACGAAUAUGUCUGUGCGUCAGGGAUUUGAAGGGUCGAUCUAUUUCAAAGGGUAGGGAUAUUGGAAUAGUAGACAAAACACUCAAGUAUAUGAGAUCUAUGAAUAAGCUUCCAAUUCCAUUUCCAUGCAACUCAUGCAAGUUUUACGUUCCUAGAUUUUUCAUUCCAAAGCCUUCUGGUCGAUUGCUGCUAGUAUAUACUAUAGUAGUAGCUAGUGUUGAUUAUUAGAUUGUUAAUGAAGCUAGCCUGCUUUUGCAUCCCACGCUGUAAAAGAGGUGGAAAUUAUAAUAAAAGCAAGAUAAAAGAAAUGCUUUUCUUACUGACUCAAGCAUGCUUGAUGCUUUUCGAGUCAAAUAGAUCGAUCGUCACUUGUGUCAAAGAGUCAUUCAGAAUAUAUAAACAAGUGAUAUAUAAUAUUUACUAAUUAGCAAAAUGAUAUAUACAUUUUGUAGUGAUUAAAUUAAUUGAAGUGAGGAAAAUUAUUUCAUGUACCGCACUGCACUCUCUUUUUUUUUUAUUUUUUUGGUAAGAUGAUGAGUAACAUGAUCAGUUCCAUUCCAUGCAUGCAUGCAACCAUAUACUAUAAUAUUAAGUAAUUAAUUAAUAAUAUGCGUGGAUUAAAAUGUAUAUAGAUAUGCAUGAUGUUACCUACCUGAAUGGCGGCACAAGGGGAUGAGGAAGAGGAAGAGGAAGAGGUGUCGUCGGAGCAUGAGUCCUUGUCAUCAAGGCGAUAUUCGUGCAUGACCCAAUCGGUGCGAAUUCCCUGAGGGGCUCGCCCUCUGUAGUAAACUAGUGUCUUCUUCAUUCCUAUGGCUCGAUUCUGGCAUGUCACUCUCCUAUCUUUCCCAGUCGACUUCCAGUAUCCUGCUCUCGUCGCUCUGUUUGUUCUAAAUCCAUUUGGGUAUUUUCGAUCCCGGGGACCAAAGAAGUACCAUUCCGGGUCUCUGCUUGGCAAAAAUGAUUUUUCUGCGUACAACAUAUACGUAUAUCAAUGUCAUUACCAUAUAUAUAGCACAAGUAUAUUUGUAUAUAUAUAUAGAUCGAACUGGAAUGAUCAUGUCGAGGGUAAUUAAUUAAGAUUAAGAAGGUAGUAAUUAAAUUUAAGAUGGAUGAUCGAUCAUCACCUGCUAAUUCCCAAGGCUCGCAUUUGUAGAGAUCAACUUCAGGAAUGAUAUCAAGCUCAAUCUCUUGGCCAUUAAUUUUCCUCUUGAGAUAAUAAUUGACAAGCUCUUCGUCUGUUGGAUGGAACCUGAAACCAGGAGGUAAUCCCACUGGCGCCAUUAAUUAUAUGAUGAUCAGAGCUUCCUGUGUACGCACUCACGCAACGCACGCUUGCUUUUCAGUUUGAUUAAUUGUGUUCCUUCCUUGGUCGUCGUCCUUGAUUCUCCUUGUUGCUAGCUCUUGCUACCUCUGAUCGAUGAUUUAUAGCACCAUUCAUGCAUCAUGGUCAGUUUAUAUAUAAAGGAAAAGACUCAAAGUCCCUUAUUUUCCUCGCUCCUCUUCAGGACCUCACACUUUUCCUUUUCCAGAUUCUCAGACAAAACCUUCUUCUUAUUGACGCUUCUCUUCCUGCAUAUUUUUUAAUCUUUUUAUUUGUUUUUCAUUUGUUAUAUAAUAUAUAUAUGUAUAUAUGUGUAUUCAAUUCAUGUUUUCAAAUAAAGAUACUUAUCUUGCUAGAUUGGGUCUCUAAACCACACAUAUACUGACUUAAUUAAGUUAAUCAUCAGAAACAUUUUCCUAUAUAUAUAUGAAUUAACAUAUGCAUAUAACUUUUGAGUUUCUUAUUCAUUCUUACAGGGACAGGACAGGACAGCACUCAUAUAAUGCAAGUGUUAUGCGUAGAUACAAUACAAGCAGCAACCUCGAUUCAUUUGCUGGGAAAUUUUAAAGGACUCUUUAAACUUUUAUCUUUAUUAAUUUAGAGCAUAUACAUUCCGACCAACAACAACAACAAAAGCUGCAUAUACAACUCACCACAGUGGCAAAUGUGUUUCUCGUUGUUGCAAAAUUAAUUUGGGGUUAACACGCAUGCCGUAUAUCUACUACUCUACUGGUAAGUUGGGGAAGUAUAUACAUACAUAUAUAUACAUAUAUAUGGUGACAUCACCACGAUGACAAAGACCACGAUGAUGAUGACAACGAUAUAUAUAUAUAUAUAUGUGUGUGUUUGUGUGUGGAUUAGUAUAAUAAUUUAAUUUGUAGUCUUCUUUUUGCUUGUUUCUUGUACUUUCAUCUACCAGCUAUUACCAAGUCUUAAUUAUGCUUUAGUCAAUGUCACGAGACAAUUUAAUUACUGGGUUGUUCUAUUAGAAAAGUGCCAGACAAUUCAUAAGUUAUUAGAAAAGUGCCCUACGUUUUAAAUAAAUAAGAUAAGGGGAAGAAUUCUUUAAAAAUUACUGGCUUGCCUUUAAUUUUCUUCCGGGAGUUAAUAAAGAAUCAAAUCUGGUUCAGUUCAGAUGAUAACUUGAUCGAUUUGGUCAACCUUCAUAAAACGCACCCCCAACCAACCCGCCAUUGUUUGUGAGGGAGUCGUUAAUUUGGUCCCAAAGACAAAGACAAAGCCAAAUUAACGAACAAGGAAAUGUUAUGGUUGGCCACCGCAAGACGACUCACUCGACGCCAAUUUGUUGACCAAUUUACAACCCAACCACUUGCCUUAGUGAUACUAGUAACAACAACACACUGCUUUUCCACAAAUACCCUCACUUCUCUCGACUCUUAUUAUGCAAACCUUGUUCAAGCCUGCAUUCGAUCUAAAUCUCUCCCUCAAGCCAAGAAAAUCCAUCAACAUCUCUUGAAAAACACUACCCGCCUCAAGGACACCUCCUUUUUACUUGAAAAAGUAGCCCAUUUGUAUAUAACCUGCAAUCAAGUUGACCUCGCAUCCCGCGUGUUCGAUGAAAUUCCCCAACCAAGUGUUAUUCUUUGGAACCUUCUCAUAAGAGCAUACGCAUGGAAUGGACCCUUUGAACGAGCCAUCCACUUGUACUAUGACUUGCUCCAAUCGGGUGUUAAGCCCACUAAGUACACUUACCCGUUUGUUCUCAAGGCCUGCUCGGGUUUACAAGCACUGGAAGCUGGUAGAGAGAUACAUCAGCAUGCCAAAGCACUUGGGCUUGCCUCUGAUGUCUAUGUUUGCACUGCUUUGAUUGACCUCUAUGCCAAGUGCGGGGGCUUGGCAGAGGCACAGACCGUCUUCCGUGGUAUGCUGUAUAAAGAUGUCGUGGCAUGGAAUGCUAUGAUUGCCGGGUUUUCGCUUCACGGUCUUUAUGAUGACACUAUACAAAUGCUUGUUCAAAUGCAAAAAGCGGGAACAAGUCCAAACGCUUCCACCAUUGUUGCAGUUCUUCCAACAGUAGCACAAGCUAAUGCAUUGAGCCAAGGGAAGGCAAUGCACGGUUUCUCCCUGAGAAGGAGCCUUAGUGGGGAAGUGGUGCUUGGAACUGGGCUUUUGGAUAUGUAUUCUAAAUGUCAGUGCAUAGCUUAUGCGAGGAGAAUAUUUGAUGCAAUUGAUGUCAAGAACGAGGUUUGUUGGAGCGCAAUGAUAGGUGCGUACGUGAUCUGUGACUCUAUGAGAGAGGCGAUGGCGUUAUUUGAUGAAAUGGUGCUAAGAAAGGAAAUAAAUCCAACACCGGUAACUCUUGGGAGUAUACUCCGAGCUUGCACAAAGCUAACUGAUCUGAGUAGAGGGAGACGGGUACAUUGUUAUGCAAUUAAAUCUGGGUUUGAUUUAAAUACAAUGGUGGGAAACACAAUCCUGUCUAUGUAUGCAAAGUGUGGGAUCAUAGACGACGCAGUCAGAUUCUUUGAUAAAAUGAAUUCAAAAGAUACAGUUUCUUAUAGUGCUAUCAUCUCAGGCUGCGUGCAGAACGGUUAUGCAAAGGAAGCUUUACUUAUAUUUCAUCAUAUGCAAUUGUCCGGGUUUGAUCCAGAUUUGGCAACCAUGGUGGGUGUUUUGCCAGCUUGUUCACAUUUGGCUGCUCUUCAACAUGGGGCCUGUGGUCACGCUUAUUCAAUUGUUCAUGGCUUUGGUACUGACACCUCAAUUUGUAAUGUCUUAAUAGACAUGUACUCAAAGUGUGGGAAGAUUAAUAGAGGUAGACAAGUUUUUGACAGAAUGGUUACGCGGGAUAUUAUCUCAUGGAACGCAAUGAUAGUUGGUUAUGGGAUUCAUGGCCUUGGGAUGGCAGCUAUUUCACAGUUCCAUCAUAUGCUGGCAGCUGGCAUUAAGCCAGACGACGUGACUUUCAUUGGUCUCUUAUCUGCUUGCAGCCAUUCGGGGCUUGUCACCGAAGGCAAACACUGGUUUAAUGCUAUGAGUGAGGAUUUCAACAUAACCCCGAGGAUGGAACAUUACAUAUGCAUGGUGGAUCUUCUCGGCCGGGCUGGAUUUUUGGCGGAGGCGCACGUUUUCAUCCAAAAAAUGCCAUUUGAGGCUGAUGUUCGUGUGUGGAGUGCGUUGCUUGCUGCAUGUAGGGUCCACAAUAAUAUUGAACUUGGGGAAGAAGUAUCCAAGAAAAUUCAGGGGAAAGGACUCGAAGGUACUGGAAAUUUGGUCCUUUUAUCUAACAUAUACAGCGCUGUUGGGAGAUGGGAUGAUGCAGCCUAUGUCAGAAUCAAGCAGAAGGGCCAAGGCCUUAAGAAGAGUCCAGGAUGCAGUUGGGUUGAGAUAAACGGGAUUAUUCAUGGAUUUGUUGGUGGAGAUCAGUCCCAUCCUCAAUCAGCUCAGAUACAUGAAAAACUAGAGGAACUACUAGUAGAUAUGAAAAGGCUGGGAUAUUGUGCAGAAAAUAGUUUUGUUCUUCAAGAUGUUGAGGAAGAGGAGAAAGAAAGAAUCCUCCUUUAUCAUAGUGAGAAGCUAGCCAUUGCUUACGCAAUUCUUAGUCUGAGGCCAGGCAAACCCAUCUUAGUUACCAAGAAUUUGCGGGUUUGUGGUGAUUGCCAUGCUGCCAUAAAGGUCAUCACUCUUAUUACAAAGAGAGAAAUAAUUGUAAGAGAUUUGACUCGGUUUCAUCAUUUCAAAGAUGGAAUUUGCAAUUGUGCUGACUUCUGGUGAAGAAGAAGAUUCAUGGGUGCAUUCAACCUUCCCCCUUGUCCCUUUGGCUUUAUGAUUAUUGCCUUAGCAGGUUAGUUUCAUUUGCGGUUGAUUGAGCAAUUGCAUUACAUUGACAAGUUUUACUUGCUGCAGAUAUUAUUGAAUAAUUGGUUUCCUUUUUAUUUUGAACAUAGGAUAAGAAAUUUACUUGCCUUUGAGAGCAGUGCAUUGGGAUGUGGCAGGCACUUGGAUUCAUUCCCUUUUAAAAAUGGUGGCCAAACAUUUUGGAAGAUUCAAUAAAAGAGGAACUGAAUGAUAGCUCAGAGCUUUUGGAAUGUGAGUCUGGAUUUAUACUAUGGAAUGGAUGAAUUUUCUUUUCUUUUGCUUUUUAUUUUAUUUAUUCUUCUGAUGAACUCCUUUGCAAACAGUGCAAACGCCCUCUGAGUCCACUGGAUUGAUAGAGGAUUUUGGUGUAGGUCAGAUAUUCUAUCUUUAUCAGUUGUUUACCCAAAUCAGAGAAGAAGAAAAGAAGAAAGGACAGAGUAUAAGCAUAUAAUAUCAUGUGUAUAGUGUAUAGAGACUUGACAGGAAAACAUAUGAGUUGAGUUGGCAUAAUAAUUUGUUUAAUGACCAUGAAUUUGUAAAAAGAAUGAAACUCCAAUGAGCUUCCAAUUAGGUGAGUGAUGUUGGGCUCUCUGUCUGUAGGUGUAGGAAGAUUAUAAAAGUCUCCUAUCUUCUUCUCCAUUUGGUGCGCAUUGCUGAUCUGCACUUCAAAUGAGAGAGGCUUCUAUUUGCUGGGACAUUAGUAGAAAAAUCCAUCAUGCUAAUAUAAUAUUAAGUUUUUUACCUUGAUAUGAUUGGUUGCUUGCUUCAUGUCUGUGCUGCUACUACUUUGUUUGGUAUCAUCAUCUUACAAUAUCAUUCACAAAACUAAUAAACUAAACGUGCAACUUCAUGGGGUAAGAGUGGCAUUAAUCACUUGUUUUAGUCUUAAACACUUUUUCUUGUUUUUCUUUCUCUUACGCUCAUUUAUUGGGAUUUAGUGACUUGUUUCGUGAAGACAACCUUGUCUUUCGAAAUAUAGAUUACUCACCUUCUCUCAUAAUUCUCAUAAUAAAUUUGUAUUUUUAUCAAUAGCAUUGUCUUACAUUAUUUGCAGUGCGCUAUGACUCUCAGUAAUUGGUAGGAAAGGAUUAGCAUUAUAAUAAAGGAAUUAUGCCCCACUACCCCACCAAACCCACUAGUUUAUUCAAAUGACCUCACGAGUCACGAACCAGGCAUGCACCUCUCCUCUCAUCGAUACAAAAGAAUCCCUCCAUUUAUUUAUUGUUUUUUUUUUCUUUAUUUUAUUUGAAUUGCAUUGGAAAAUAAUGAGCAUGAAAGUAAGUAUUAGCUCACAAGGGACUCAGCAAUUUACAAACUUACAAGAUAUUGACAAGGCGACAUGUCGAUAAUUGCUAAUCGAUUUGGUGUAAAUUCAAUCCAAAUGACAAAGUCACAUGUCGGUGAUUACUAAUCAAAUUGGAGGGCUGCCUGCCUGCCUAUUACUAAUCAAAACCAUGCCAAAUGCAAAUAUAGUGGUCACCUACCUCUUUACCUUUAUCUUUUAUAUAGAUAUAUAUAAAAGUUCAUCUAACCACAUUAAAUACAUGUACUACAGGCGACGUACAUUCAUGAUACAUACGACACACACACACACAUAUAUAUAUAUAUAUAUACAAUAUAUUUGCAUUUAUAGAAAAAGUUAACCAUCUAACCUAAACAUUAUUAUUAUUUUAGAAACAACUCAUGACAUGACAUGGUUUUUACAAAAAUAAAAACAAAAAUAUGACAUUAGCUAGCUUUAAUUGGAAUAUCGAUUGCUGGUGUAAUUGUUUUCUUAGAGUAAAAGGUGAGUAUUCUACUUGCCACGUCAUCAAUUGAAUAGAAAAUCAAACGGUGAAGUUGACAUAGGGCGUAAUUUGGUCAGAUUUAAAAAAAUAUUGAGUUUCAUAUUGAUGAAAUUGAAACCUCAAUACCCAUUUCAAUAAUGACCUUAAACCUGAAGAUACGCUUUUUUCAUUCUCUAUAUACCCGAGUUAUACUUGUUGUGUUGCAUAUCCAAGCUCCUGCAACCCUAACCCACAACCACAAGAAUGCAUUAUUUAUAACCCAAAAAAAAGAAGAAGAAAAAAGAGUAGCAUCCACCACGCCCCAAUGAUGGUGGAAUUAUAUGAAAAUAUAGGUGGAAAUAACAGUGCAUUCCAUUUAUUGGUGGAUGGUGGUACUACAUCUUUUUGUAUUAUGGUGUAUGAUCUAUGGGACUGAUAGAAUAUUCUAUGUAUGACGACGUAUGACAAUUAUGUAUCUUUUUUUUUUGUUGAGAAAUUCUAUAAUUGCAUUCAUAAUUCAGUCAAAAAAGGCACUAGCUACAAAGGGCUAAUAUAAACUAGCCACAAAAUGACCACUACAAUAAUGGAGCUGACAAUUAUAUCUCUUAACAUUAUAAGAAAAGAAUUAUCAUAGAUGUUAAUAUAUAUAAUUCUAUUUAUGAACAAGUUUGAAGUUGAGGUGAGGUGAAUUGACACGCACCAAAUGAGCUGUUAUCAUAUUUGAAUCACAUUAUUAUAUAAGAAAUCAAGUGGAGUCAACUUCAUCAUGUUAACAAAUAAAUACUGUAUUUGUUUUAAUUUAUAUUUGUCUAAGAAUAUAAUUUAAAAUUAGUUUAUUCACUCACCCCCAAUUAAUGCCACCCAAACCAAGACAUAAACGCUUUGUUGGUUUCCAAUUAUUUUAUUUGUUUAUUAUUUGCUUGGCGGUGGUGGUGGUGUGCACAAGUGAGCACCAAAGGAGAGGACGAGACUCCAGAGGUGGUUUCUUGCCGCCUUUCACUGGCGGAGGAGGAGAUGUCAUUUUCAAAGACCUACCAGCGGUCAUUGUUAAUUGCGGGUUUCACUAAGUUUUAAAAUUAAAGAUACCGUUACAUAAUAUAUAUAUAUAUAUAUUUAUUUUAUUAAAGUAAUACUAAUUCUACGUCUACCUCUUCCCUCAAAAAAAAUAAAUAAAAAAAAAAAAUCAUAUUGUACUACAAUAAUAUAUUUUGUAUCGUACCACAUCAUAUUCAUUGGAAAAUUUCAUUUCUCACUCCUCACUCUCUCACAGAGAAAGAGAGAAUACAAGAGAAGAGAAAGAAGAGAGAGAACCCAGAACCAGAAGAAGCAAAGCAAUUGCUCCUCUGACGAACUGCCGUUUCAUUUCAAUUUUCUAAGGUCAGUUAUACAACCUCUCCCUCUCUCUCUCUCUCUCUCUCUCUCUCUCUCUCUCUCUCUCUCUCUCUCUCUCUCUCCCCCUGCAUAGGGGUUUCUGUUUUUGCUUUUCUUAAUUAUUUUAUUUUAUUUUAUUCUUAUUUUAAAGGCUUAUAUAAAGUAUUUGCUUUGCUUAUUCGACGAUAUGUAUGGGUCUGCUCGAUUUGGCCAUGAAUUUCAGUCUCAAGUGUCUUUGAAUGUUGAUUUUCUUGCUUAUUUAGUCUCAAAUAGUUUUUGAGCUUCUUCUUAGAGUGGGUAAGUUCCAAAUCAACUAUGGUUUGAUCUGUGUACUGUGCACACGCUCUGCAGUCAGCCAUCAAUAAUUGGAAACCAUCAUGGGGAGGAAGAAGCGAACUCAAAAUCCUAGUGGAGGUGAAAGCUCCGAGCCUCAGGAAGGUAGUGGGGGCAGUGAUCAAGCCUUCCAAAGGACUUCCCCUUCACCUUCACCUUCACCUUCACCCCAACAACACAAUGAAGGACCAAGAGGAGGAAGUUACCAAGGUGGAAGAGCCUGGGCCCCACAAGGACCACAAGGGCCACAAGGACCACAAGGACCACAAGGAGGCCAGAGAGGCUAUGGUGGUGGUGGUGGCGGCCGUGGCCGUGGGAUGCCACAACAGCAGCAAUAUAGUUAUGUUGGGACCUCGGCUCAGGCGCAUGAAUAUCGAGGUAGGGGCAGGGGUGGUCAGGGAGGAGGAGGCCCAACUCAGGCAGGAGGAGGUCGUGGCGGUCAUGGCGGCGGCGGUCGUGGCCGUGGGGGAGGAGGACCUUCUUAUGUUGGUGGCCCAGCCAGACCAUCAGUUCCCGACCUGCACCAAGCGACCCCUGCUCCAUAUGUUGCCGGGGUCACCCCUCAGCCCACAGGCCCCACAGCCUAUGCACCCUAUACGCCCUAUGAGCCUCAGUCUUCAGAAUUGGUACAGCCUUUUCAACAGAUUUCUACCCAGCAAGAAGGUGCUCCUGCUCCUGCUCCUGCUCCUAUCCAUGCAAUUCAACCCAUUCCAGCCUCAAGUAAGUCUGUGAGGUUCCCUCUUCGCCCUGGCAGAGGCACCACUGGCAUAAAAUGUAUAGUCAAGGCAAACCACUUCUUCGCUGAAUUGCCAGACAAAGAUUUGCACCAGUAUGAUGUGAGUUCUUUUACACUCCAUCUAUGUCUCUAUCCCUCUGAUAUUAUUCUAAAACCUAUGUUGAUCAUUGUUGCUUUCAAAUGCAUAUAUUACUUAUUGACAGGUUACAAUUACACCUGACAUUGCCUCACGGAGGUUGAAUCGGGCUGUGAUGAAGCGGCUGGUGGAUUUAUACAGGGAAUCCCAUCUUGGAAAUCGGCUCCCUGCCUAUGACGGGCGCAAGAGUCUGUAUACUGCUGGGCCACUUCCUUUCUCAUCAAAAGAAUUUAAGAUCGCACUUAUGGAUGACGAUGAUGGAUCAGGCGGGCAAAGGUGGGAUACUCAGUGCUCACUGAUCAGUUUGUAUUUGUACAUGGGUUUUGUAUACAGUCUCCUUACUCAUCUUCUUGAUGCAGGAGGGAGAGAGAAUUUAAAGUGGUGAUCAAAUUUGCUGCACGUGCUGACCUGCACCAUCUAGAACUCUUUCUGCAGGGGAGGCAAGCUGAGGCUCCUCAGGAAGCCCUUCAGGUUCUUGACAUUGUUCUGCGUGAAUUGCCUACUGCUAGGUAUACAAUAUCUAUCUUCUAGUUGUGCCCAAUACAUGCCAAUAAUUGCACAUUACUUUGACAUUGUUCUAGAGCUAACUCUGUGUUGUCUUGAUUGAUUGUAGUUACUAUCCUGUGGGGCGUUCAUUUUAUUCCCCUGAUCUGGGGAGAAGGCAGUCACUCGGUGAGGGUUUGGAAAGUUGGCGUGGAUUCUAUCAAAGUAUUCGUCCAACGCAGAUGGGGCUGUCUCUGAAUAUUGGUACCUGAUAUUUGAAGUUUUUUAAUUGAAAUUUUACGCAAUCAUCAUGAGUUUUUUCCUUCUCCAGUUCACCACCUAUUAUCAAUUUGACUGUCCUACAAGUGAUGCAUACCGUGUACAUUUUCUUCCACUGCCAUGUUUUAUGUUACAUUGACAAAAUUAUCAAUGGUCCAGAUAUGUCCUCUACGGCUUUCAUUGAGCCACUGCCGGUCAUUGAAUUUGUCAAUGAGCUGCUCAAUCGAGAUAUUUCAUCUAGACCAUUGUCUGAUGCUGAUCGGGUGAAGGUUAGAUUUUUCUCACUGUCUUGGUCUUGAUACUUCUGUCUGCAGUGCUUGUGAUGAUUUGUGUCGAUAAUUUUGGUUUAUAUUUUUUUAUUUCUCCUAGAGCUUCCACGGUGGCAUUGUGCUUGUGUUGGAUCAUGUUUUAUGCCACACCUUUUGAAUGGUGAACGUCCAUUUAUUUUCCCGCAGGCGUAGGAUCCCGCAGGAGAAGCUCCCUCUUAUUUUCCCUUUCUACUUAUGUUGUGUCAAAAUCAACUUUCAUGUUAUCCUUCUAAAAAAAAAAUAAAUAAAUAAAGGCUAAUAUAUUCAUUGUGACAAAGUGAUCUUGUUUGUUUUGUGCAACUUUUUGGAUGGGAUGUCUACAGAGUCUAUGGAGAAUUUGAAUUUUGCCUUAAUUUAUAGCAGAUAUCAGAAUCACAGCCUUCUAUUUGUGCAUGAACAGAUAAAGAAGGCUCUACGAGGAAUCAAGGUUGAGGUCACUCACCGUGGAAAUAUGCGCAGAAAAUACCGCAUAUCUGGUUUGACAUCGCAGGCAACAAGAGAACUGACGUGAGUAUUGACAUCUUAUGUCUUCAUUGGUUACGUGUGUCCAUGUAGAAACAUGAGGAUUAAUGUUUGCAUAAGAUUAUAUAUUUUAAGAAAAUAUCAUAAACCCCCAUACUUUGGGGCCGAUUCUAGUGCCCCCACCCUAAAUGCCUAAUUUCAUCAAUGUUGAUCCUAAAUUAUGGAUGUGCUUUUUAUAGGCUUGGCCUUGCCUGUCAAAAGUGGAAGGAUAGAGAAGAAAAAAUAAGAGGAAAGUGAAAGAACAAAAAUAAUACACUUGAAAGUGAGCGAGAAGAGAGAUGAUAGAGAUGCGUGUGAUAGGAGAAAAAAUACAUAUAAAUUAUAAUGGUGUAUAAGUUAAAAACUAAAAUCAAUUUAAGUAGUUUUUAGUUUUACAUUUCUCAUGCCUCUCUUCACCUUUAUGAUCUUUUCAUCUCUCUCAUUUGUCUCUCAAAUAAGAAAAAGAAAACUGAAAAUUAGAAUCUUUAUCAAACAGGCCCUUAGUUUUUCACCUGAGGGAUGUACUAUGAAAUCUGUAGCUGAUUCUUAAAAUUAAACCAAUUCAUAUCAGAUGCAUCCAAAACUUUUUUUAAAAUUUAUUCUGAUGUUGUUCCUUGAUUGUUUAGUUUUCCACUUGAUGAAAGAGGUACUAUGAAAUCAGUUGUUGAGUACUUUCAUGAAACCUAUGGUUUCAUUAUUAAGCACACCCAACUGCCUUGUCUACAAGUGGGAAAUCAACAAAGAUCAAAUUAUUUGCCCAUGGAGGUAAAUAACUGUAACUAUUUUUGGUCAUUAUAAACUGGGAAAGCAUGCUAAUAGGCCGUUAUUGUGUUCAGGUCUGUAAAAUUGUUGAGGGUCAAAGGUACUCAAGGAGGUUGAAUGAGAGGCAGAUUACUGCUUUGCUGAAGGUGACCUGUCAGCGUCCUCACGAAAGGGAACUUGAUAUCAUGCAGGUUUGAUAUUGUGGAAAUUUUCUUUAUUUUAGUGAAAUUAAAGGUUGUCACCUGAUGUUUGACACUCCAUAGGACUGAUAUGUAAAAUAUACUCACUUGGUAUGUGUUGGUUGAAAUUUUCACUCCUCAGACAGUUCGUCAAAAUGCUUACCACGCAGAUCCUUAUGCUCAAGAGUUUGGAAUUAAAAUAAGUGAGAAUCUCACUUUAGUUGAAGCUCGCAUCCUUCCUGCACCAAGGGUAAGAGAUAUUUAAUUUUCUGCUGUCUAAUAGUUUUUUCUAACUGGUGCCAUCCUUUGUUCCUUCACUAUUUGGAUGUUAAUUAAGUUUUGAAUCUUGUGUCACAGCUUAAAUAUCAUGAUACAGGUAGAGAAAAAGAUUGCCUGCCUCGCGUUGGACAGUGGAACAUGAUGAAUAAGGUAUCUUUUGCAUAGAUUUAUGGUUUCCUUAUUUAGAAUACCUCUUUAAUUUAAGAACAGAUGAAGCUGGAUAUCUAUAUGUAUCUGUUUGCAUGCGUACCCAAUUAAUUUGGCCGCGUCCUAUGAAAUCUGUUAUCAACUUUGUGCUACAUUAGCAUGUUUGUUUCCCUGUGAUGGAGAUGUUAGGGGUUCCUGUUAAUCCUGUAGCACUGGCUUAGAAAUUAAUUGGUAAAACUAAAAUAAGUAGGUGGUGGUGGGUUCAAGAAACAUUGUGUUUGCAUUGUGAAGGAAAGCAAGUAUUUCAAUUUUUUCCCAGUUCUUUUUCUUCUUUUGGCGGUUGGGUGGAGAUAAAGGGAAAGUGCAAGACAAGCCACAGAUAUUAUGAGUCAGGUGAUCAUUAGAAAUUUAGCAAAGUUAUGGCUUGUUUUGAAAUUGCUUGUGGAACAAUAAUGGUCUUGGGUACUGGUCGGCUGCUGGGUUUCAACUAUCAUUAGUCAAGAUUCUGUUUAAGAGUUAUCACCUCUGCAAUAUGAAGUGGAUUGCACAUCUGGAGUGGCAUGUGGUCUGAAAUUUUGGUUCUUCUGGACUAAGUUGCUAACUACAUCAGUUGCUGAUUUGGUUGGCCUUGCACAUGCUAUCCUGCCCUAUCAUAUGCUGGCAAUUAAAACGCAUAUAUUUUUUGUGUUGAGUUCCAGUGGGUUUUCAAAUAACAAGUGUUACAACCCAUGGUUGUAAUUUGUCGGGGGCUGUUGAUUCAGCCAUGCACUAAAUAUAGCUUUUCUGAUGGGUGACAUUUGCCUGUUGAGCAAUGUAGCUAUUUUAGCCACUAAUUGGUCACUUUCAUGUUGAGUAGGUUUAAUUGAUACUGCUCGUGCAUGAUUUUGCUUUUCUAUAACCUAAUACAUUUCUUGUGUGUUAGUGUGUGCGUGUGUUUUUUUUCAUUCCCCAGGAGGGAGGAAGAUGAUUUUGCCUUUUGUUGAAGUCAUUAGUAAACUUCCGUAAGAGUCAAAAUAGAGAGAUUAUGUUAUUCUCUUUGGACUUUUUUUAUUUACUAUAUAUUGUUACAGAAAAUGGUUAAUGGGGGCACAGUCAACAAUUGGAUGUGCAUAAAUUUCUCAUGGAACGUGCAAGAUGCUGCUGCCCGUCGGUUCUGUCAUGAACUUGCUCAAAUGUGUAACAUUUCUGGCAUGGUAUGAGGCCUGUGAUGCUCUUAUAUUUUUCCCUUCUCUUCUAAAUCUGAGAUGCCUCAUGUUAGUGUUUGAUUUCCCUCUAGGCAUUUAAUCCAGAACCAGUUCUUCCACCUAUUAGUGCUCGUCCAGAUCAGGUAGAGAGGGCCCUAAAAACUCGCUACCACGAAGCGAUGAACAAACUCCAGCCACAGGGCCAGGAGCUUGAGCUGCUUAUUGCUAUUUUGCCUGAUAAUAAUGGCUCUCUUUACGGUUUGCAACUUGAACUAAAUUCACCACAUUAUGCCUAUUCAAAAGUUGUCAUUAUUUAAUUUUAGCAUUAAAAAACUUGGACUUAAAUAUGUCAUGAUUUGUUAUCCAGGUGAUUUGAAACGAAUUUGUGAAACAGAUCUUGGCCUUGUUUCCCAGUGCUGUUUAACGAAGCACGUAUUUAAGACAAAUAAGCAACAGUAUUUGGCAAAUGUAACAUUGAAGAUUAAUGUGAAGGUUGGGGGAAGGAAUACAGUGCUAGUUGAUGCUCUGUCAAGGCGAAUUCCUUUAGUCAGCGACCGGCCUACCAUCAUUUUCGGUGCUGAUGUCACCCAUCCUCACCCUGGAGAGGAUUCAAGUCCAUCAAUUGCGGCUGUGAGUUACUGACCAUACAUAUGUGCUUUAGCUUGCAUAUGAAUUUAUUCUCUGUUCCACCUUGAGUAGCUUUUGACUGUUUCAAGAUUUUAAUUUAAAAAUCAGGUUGUGGCUUCUCAAGAUUGGCCUGAAGUUACAAAGUAUGCUGGUUUGGUUUCUGCUCAAGCCCAUCGACAGGAACUCAUCCAAGAUUUGUUCAAAACAUGGCAGGAUCCAGCAAGAGGGACAAUGUCUGGUGGCAUGAUCAAGUAUGACUCUCUCAUUCGUUUAGGUUCUUGUAGUAUGUAGCUGUCUUCAUUAUGAUUAUUUAAUUUAAUUUUUUUUAAUAAACGUGUUUUGGGUAGUAGGAUUGAGUUAUAUUUAUUCUUUUGAAUACAGGGAACUGCUCAUAUCUUUCCGUAGAUCAACUGGGCAGAAACCUCAACGCAUCAUAUUUUACAGGCACGUCUUAUAUUAUGCUGCCACUGCAUUUCAUCCGUUCUUUUUCUUAUCUAAUGGUCUAUUUAUUGCUUUACAGGGAUGGUGUCAGUGAAGGCCAGUUUUAUCAAGUUUUGCUGUAUGAACUUGACGCCAUUCGUAAAGUAAAUCUACUUUGCUAAGUUAUCAAUUUCUCAAGUUUUCAUUUAUAUAUUGUAAAUUUCUUUUAAGUUUUGCAGCUGUCUGGAAAUUGAUAAAUGUCAGUCAAUCACUUCCUCAUCUUAAUGUAUAUAUUUCUGUUCUCUGUAAACUCAGGCGUGUGCCUCUUUGGAGCCUGACUAUCAGCCUCCCGUGACUUUUGUUGUGGUUCAGAAGCGACAUCAUACCAGGUUGUUUGCCAACAACCAUUCUGACCCCAAAGCUGUUGACAGAAGUGGGAAUAUAUUACCUGGUAUUCAUUCUGCUUGAUUUGAAAUUUUUUUCCAUGAUUUUCAGAACAUACGUAUGUGAUAUAAAACAGUAUGAUAUUAAUUUACAGGUACCGUUGUCGACUCCAAAAUCUGUCAUCCAACUGAAUUUGACUUCUACUUGUGCAGCCAUGCUGGAAUCCAGGUAGUGAUUGGUUAAUUCUAUGUUUAUAUAUACUCUAAAAAGUUUUGGGAGUGUUAUUAAAAUUGGUAGUCAUCAUGUCAAACAGGGCACUAGCCGUCCAGCUCAUUACCAUGUGCUAUGGGAUGAAAACAAGUUUUCAGCUGAUGGAUUGCAGACCCUUACAAAUAACCUUUGCUAUACGUAAGUUUUUGAUAUAUCUCUUAAUUUCGUGUUCAAUGUAUUGGUUAUGUUCUUUUUUGGGGGGUUAAUGAUUGUGUUCAACUCAUGCAGAUAUGCAAGGUGCACACGUUCUGUUUCCGUGGGUGAGCUCUCUCUCUUUCUCUCUCUCUCAAAUAAACACACAAGUGACAAAACACACAUCCUCAGUCUUAUGCAUUUGUGUUUGAUGCUUGUUAUUUUGUGACAAUUAUUAGUCAAUGGUAAAAUUGAUGAGUUAUGUAAUUUGGCAGUGCCCCCUGCAUACUAUGCACAUCUUGCUGCAUUCCGAGCGCGGUUCUAUCUGGAACCACAGACGUCAGAAGGGGGGUCAGUGACAAGUGGUGCGAAUGCUGGACGUGGGUACACGGCUGGACGGGGCACGCGAGCACCGAAUGCGAAUGCUGCUGUGAGGCCUUUACCUGCUCUGAAGGAGAAUGUGAAAAGGGUUAUGUUCUACUGUUAGGGAUAGAUUGUCUGGCCUGGGCCCUAAACCCUGGUGCAGUAAUCAUAAUAAUAAUGGGCACUCACUUCACUUGAUGGUUGUAAUUAAGUUAAGAUAAUAUAGUUGUAGUAAGUAAUGAUGAUGUAUGUGUUUGCUUGCUAGUUGCUGCGCAUCAUCCUGGCUGGUGAUGUGUUCAAGUAUGUGAUACAUGAGUUGAGAUGCUGAAUAAUCUGUCCCUCCACAGGGACAGGGGGACCUUUCCUUUGCUUGUCUAUGACAAUGUAUAUUUGUUUUGAGUGACUUAUCCUGGGCUGGGCCUUGUGAAUUGUGAACUGAUAAUGUUUUUUGUUGAACCGGGUGCUGGUGACUCCUCUGAUGGAACUGGAAAAGCUUGAAGCUGUCUGAGAUGGUAUCUGGACUGUGCCUGCCUGCCUGCCUGCACUGAUUAAAUUAGAUUAUUAUUAUUAUUGGGUUUAAGUGUACAAAUACUGACGAGUAGUUUUGUUUGGUUUGGACACUGUUUGUUUAGCAAUAUAUAUAAUUAAUAGUUGUGUUCGAUUGAGGCUCAAUUGGAGCGAGGGGCCCAAUGGGCAAAUGGGUAUAUUGGUCAUUUUGAGAAAGCAUCAGUCCGUUAGUAUCGUACAAAUGUCAGGGAAAAGAAGAGGGAGGGGGUUCGAAGUGGGCGAAGUGGCGGUUUGUGUCGCAAAUCGAGUAGAAAUGAAAACAAAGCCGUCUGUGGCGUGGUGUGGCUCUGUUCUUUGGACAUUGGGCGGGCGUUGGGUUGUGCAGUGCAGUGCCCUGUCUGUCUGUGUCUGUCUCUGUGGUGUACUAUCGAGACGGGUCGCGGGUCGUGGCCAAUCUUGUGAUUUGGAAUUGGAGUUGUUGAGUGGACUGAACGACUCCCCGUUGACCAUCUCCUUCUCAUAAAUUAAUUAAUAAUCUCAUUUAUAUAUAUAUAUAUAUAUAUCUCUUCCCCCGUUGCUUGCUUAUGCCACGUCACUAUCUAUGUAGACAUUUUAUCUUCUAAUCAUUAUAGCGAUCAGGUUCAGCAGCACCUCUUCUUUCUCUUCACCGUUUUAAAAUUUAAUUUAUAUCCUCCGACGACCAACCAUCUGUAGCGUAGGAGGAUCCAUGAAUAAUAAUUAUAUCAUCCAAUAAAUAAUUAAGCCCUAAAUAAAAUCCACCCAACCAAUGAACUUAACUUAUGCAUGCGCCGCCACCCACGUACCAUGUUUAUAUUUGCAGCAUGCAUGCGGUUGGGGGGUCGUCGAAGCAAGCAAGCUAGAGAUUGAAGUUUCAGUCUUAACAUUUUUCUUUUUCCGUGCAUAAUAUUAAUAUACGUCAUUUAGGUCUUCUUAACUUCCAUAACAAAUCACUUUGAUCCUUUUUUACUUUUGACUGUGUGGUUACCAAGGCCAAAUAAUAUUCUAACUUGUGUUGUGAUGAUCCUUGUCACAAAGUUGGUCAAUAAUCUAAACUAUAUGGACAUUUUCAUCUUUCCAUGUCACUAUCAAUGCUACACAUGCCAGUAGUAACCCCCUCACCUCCCAACUCUCCCUCUAAUUUUCCCUUAUGGAUCAGUUACCAAUCCAGCGCAAGAUUCGUUUUGGGUUGGCAAGUUAUGGAUAUGAUUUCAUUUUUGUACUAGUUAUAUAGACUUAGCUCAAUUGGUUUACUUCUUUCAACUCCGCUCACAUGAGUAGAGGUUCAAAAUCCACAAGUAUCUCGCCCCCCAAACUCGCACCCAAUCGCAUUUACUAAAAAAGAAUCAUAUGUGAAUUAGGGCGGUCAAUUGAAAUACGUUUUACUGUGUUUUUUUUUUUUUUUACCAUUCAUGAUUUCAUCUCAUUACUAAAAGUUACGUAGAGAUAAAUGUACCAUUAAACUUCUACUAAAUGCAGAGUUUCAUGCCUUUUUUAAAUCUAUUUAUUGGAGAACGUCUCAUAUACACUUAACAAAAUUGUACCCAACUCAUUAACACGGUUUAUGUAUGAAAAAUUGUGGAUUCAUAUGCAACUUAUUAGAUAAUAUUGAUAAAAGGAUGGACCCGUUAGUUACCCACUAAAAUAACAGAUUGUUUCAUGUGAACACGUUAUGUAUAAUACCUAAUAUUUUUUACUUUUAAUUAUAAAUUAUAUUAAAAAAAUUAUUUAGUAGUUUAGUGAAUUUCAUUUUUUUUUAUUACGGGUGAAAUGGGUGUUAACAUUUGUUUGAUGGGUCGUGUCAAACUAAUAUUUGUUUUGUUGUCUUAAUGGAUGAAAUGACUCAUUUUAGAUGACACAUUAAUUUUGCAAGUAGUGUUUAUGUUUAGACUUUUUCACCCGUUAACUUAAUGGACUGUUUUAUGUCAACCCGUUAAUAAAAUGAAUCGGGUCAUAUAUACGAUGGGUUUGUUUAGUUUGGAAUUAAAUCCUUUAAGAAAAUACUCUAUUGAAAAAGAAAAAUAAAAGAAUCCAGGAUUGACUAUAACACAAAUUUUUAAAUAUAAAAGCAUCGCAAUUGAAUAAUUAAAUAGAUAGAAGAGAGUAUAAAAAAAGAAAAAGAUAGAAGAGGAGUAUUUGGUUAAUAGAAAGGACGCAGUGGUCAUUUCGAAAGACCUACCCCUCGGUGGGGUUAUAUAAAAGCACAUUGCGAAACGCGUUGCUGCUUUGGGUUGGGUUUGGGUUUUUUAACACACAGGCACGGCAUAACUAUAUAGAAUAUUCAAGUGAGUGAGAGAGAGACAGAGAGAGAGAGAGUUAGUAUCGAGUGGGCAGGGAGCCCCUUUUCUUUUUCCAUUUUCAUCCUUCUCUCUCGCCCUCUGAAGUACCAAAAGCAACCACUGCUGUGGUCUUGUACGACGUUCAUCGGUAUUCCGCUUUUACGGUAAACACCCCAACCGAGUCCUUUUAGGGUUUCUUACUGCCCUUUUUUUCGUUGAUGUUUUCAUUUUCGUUCUCACUUUUCACUUUCUUUGCAAAUUUGUGGUAUGGAUCUGCACUUCUUUCGCCAUAAAUUGGUGUUGGCUCCAGUCUCUGGCGCAAAGAUCUGUUUUCAUUGUUCGUUUUUGUUUUGUAUUUUGUUUUUCCGUAAGGCCUUGUCGUCGCUCUCUUUUUAUUUGGGUUUGUUUUGUUAGAUCGUUAGAUCUCGUGCAUUUUGGCAAUGCUGGGAAGCAUAGGUGUCUGUUUGGCCUCAUAAUAAGUUGAUUUUUUAGGGUUUAUAGUGAGUAUUUCGAUUUCUUCUUUCUAUUCUUUUUUCUUUCUUUCUGGGUUUGCUAUUGAACUUUGAGUUUUGGUGUUAGAGUUCGUGGGUUUGUAUCAAAGUAGCCAUUUUCUGUUCUGUUUUUAUUUUCAUAUUUUGUUGUAUUCAUUUCAGAAACAUAAUUUUACAUGAAAUUCCUACUACAUUAUGGAUUUUCGAAAUGAUCACUCCACUUGUUGUGAAGUAAAUAGCAAACACCCACCCAUUUGUUUGUAGUGGUGUAGAAGAGAACCAAGUGGAUAUACACACUCUAGUCAUUUCGGAAUUCCAAGACCCUUUCAAAAACGGCCCGUCAGGAAAAAUAUAUUCCUUACUUUUCAGUCCGAUUGAAGAUUUUUAUUUCAAUUUUUUGAAGAAAAACUCAAAUAAAAGAGCAUAUAUGGAUAUAGUUUUUGUUUGUUUGCUAUUAUUUCUGGCUAAUAAUUAUAUUUUGGUUUAGAUAUGUAACUUCCAGCCUUUUGAAAGCCCUUGUAUAUACGUCUGUAAAUGAUUUUAUGGAAAACCCUAACCUGCUUUGCGGCUCUACUUUAUGCAUUAAUUUCUUUUAGAGUAUUUAUUCUUUUGCUCUGUCAUUAUAUUGUUUUGGGUUUGUAGCUUAUUCUUUGCUAGUGUUGCUUUUGAUGCAUUCUUGCUUUCUCUUUGUGUAGAAAUCAUUAUGGUGAGGAAGAGGAGAACUGAACUUCCUAGUGGAGGUGAAAGCUCUGAGUCGCAUGAACCCUCUGGGGGUAGUGGUCGUGGUUCUCAGCGGGCUGCUGAAAGGACUCCACCACAACAACAGGGUGGAGGAAGCUACCAAGGUGGAAGGGGAUUGGGUCCCCAGGGAGGACGUGGAGGCUAUGAGGGAGGACGUGGAGGCAGCUAUGGUGGGGGUCGUGGAGGCCGUGGAGUGCCACAACAGCAGCAGUAUGGUGGGCCCCAAGAAUAUCAAGGCAGGGGAAGGGGAGGGCCCACUCAGCAAGGAGGUCGUGGAGGAUAUGGAGGUGGUCGUGGCAGUGGUGGUCGUGGAGGACCACCUUCUCCGGGUGGCCCAGCCAGACCACAAUUCCCCGAGCUGCACCAAGCAACCCCAGUUCCUUAUCAAGCUGGGGUCACCCCUCAGCCUGCGUAUGAGGCGAGUUCGUCGUCAUCGUCCCAGCCACCCGAGCCUUCAGAAGUGGUGGUGCAGUUUGAGGACCUUUCCAUCGAGCAAGAGACUGCACCUUCACAGGCUAUUCAACCUGCGGCGCCAGCGCCCUCAAGUAAGUCAGUCAGGUUCCCUCUUCGCCCUGGUAAGGGUAGCACCGGCAUAAGGUGUACAGUCAAGGCAAACCAUUUCUUUGCUGAACUGCCAGACAAAGAUCUCCACCAAUAUGAUGUGAGCUAUUUCGUCCUAUGUGUCUGUCUUCUUAUAUUGUACUUGUUUGACAGUUGAUAAUAUAUUCUUUUUCUUACACAUAUUAGGUUACUAUUACUCCAGAGGUCACAUCGAGGGGUGUAAACCGUGCUGUGAUGGAGCAGCUAGUGAAACUGUAUAGGGAAUCCCAUCUUGGAAAGCGUCUUCCAGCUUAUGAUGGACGAAAGAGCCUGUAUACUGCUGGACCACUUCCUUUUCUUUCAAAGGAGUUCAAAAUCAUUCUCAUUGAUGAAGACGAUGGACCAGGUGGACAGAGGUACUGCUGCUCAUAAUUUUAGUUGCAUAUUUAUUAUGCGUGCACUCUUCUUUACCAUUUAUUUUAUCUUGGUUUUCUUCUUGAUGCAGGAGAGAGAGGGAGUUCAGAGUGGUCAUCAAGUUUGCUGCACGCGCUGACCUGCACCAUUUAGGUCUCUUUUUGCAAGGGAGGCAAGCUGAUGCACCUCAGGAGGCGCUUCAGGUUCUGGACAUUGUUCUACGUGAAUUACCUACUUCUAGGUAAGCGAUGUUUCUUCUAUUUGUGUUCAUGACAUGAUGACACAUUCUUGUUUGAUUUGUUUGAGAGCUAAUUUGUCCUGUUCGGUUUUAGGUACUGUCCUGUGGGCCGUUCAUUUUAUGCCCCUGAUUUGGGCAGAAGACAGUCACUUGGAGAGGGUUUGGAAAGUUGGCGCGGUUUCUAUCAGAGUAUUCGUCCAACUCAGAUGGGGCUGUCACUGAAUAUUGGUACCUAGUCUUAUGCUAUCUUUACAUGUAUUAUUAUUUAUGCACUACUUUCAUGAAUUUGAUUGUUGUAAUAGUGAUGUGUUUCUCUGCAUAGUUAUUCCACACUCCUUGCUCUGACGUGUAUACUAUUUUGCUCACAAAUUAUCUGUUCUCCAGAUAUGUCAUCUACUGCCUUUAUUGAGCCAUUACCAGUUAUUGAAUUUGUAACUCAGCUACUGAAUCGGGAUGUUACACAUAGGCCACUUUCCGAUUCUGAUCGCGUAAAGGUUAGGUUUUGCUCAUUGUCUUCGUCUUGGUAAUUUGAUUGUUUCUCUUCUGAGUGUUUGCUCCAAAGUAUGAUAAUGAUUGUGUUGGUAUGUUUAAUUGGUUCCAUUUUUCGUUGUCUUUUUGUUUGUUAAAUUAACUUUCAUGUGUGUCAAACUUUUUGGCUGGGGUUUCUCAUGUAGUUUUGUAAGAGGUUUAUGUUCUUAAAACUAUAUUGUUUUUAAAAUCUUAUUCUGUUGAAGGUGCAUGUAUCAUGAUGAAUGUACAAUUUAAUUUCCCAUUAAUUUUAUAUAUUAUAUGUCAUCAACAUUACAUUUUACUUGUGUAAACAGAUAAAAAAGGCUCUUCGUGGAGUCAAGGUUGAAGUAACACACCGAGGAAAUAUGCGCAGAAAAUACCGUAUAUCUGGUUUAACGUCGCAGGCAACUAGAGAAUUGACGUGAGUAUUAGUAUCUUAGGCUAUCAUAUGCUUGUAUAUUUCUUAAUGUCAUGUUGUUUUUGAGGUCACAUUGAGAUGCAUGUAUCUUAGGCUAUACCACAUAGAUGAAUGCAUCCUUUGCGCAGAAAAUGCGUAUUAUAUUUCUUAAUGACGAUAGUGUAUCUUAGGCUAUCAUAUGCUUGUAUUGUUCUCAAUGUCAUUGUUUUUAAGAUCACAUUGAGCUGCAUGAAACUUGUUUCCCUGACAUAGUGUUUUUGUCUUGUCAGUUUUCCUGUUGAUGAAAGAGGAACUAUGAAAUCUGUUGUCGAGUACUUCUAUGAAACCUAUGGUUUUGUCAUUCAACAUACACAAUGGCCUUGCCUUCAAGUUGGAAAUCAGCAGCGACCGAACUAUUUACCCAUGGAGGUGAGUCGUUGCUAUAAUUACUAGCCUGUAAUACUCUGGGGAUAUGCAUGCUAAUAGAUAGUCAUUGCUUUCAGGUUUGUAAAAUUGUCGAAGGGCAGAGGUACUCUAAGAGAUUGAAUGAGAGGCAGAUUACUGCUUUGCUUAAGGUGACCUGUCAGCGCCCUCACGACAGAGAACAAGAUAUCAUGCGGGUGCGUUAUCUUUUGCUUCUUCUAUUUUCUUUCCUCCUCCCCCCUUUCCCUGUCUCCUUCUUUCCCUCUAUAUCUCGACAUACAAGAAUUAAUUUUAAGUAAAUUUAGGUUUUAGCCACAAAAAAACUUUCACUUUUGGAAAAAGCCAAAGCUUUUUCAAAAAAGACAGAAAAACCUCUCAACUUUCAAAUCAAAGACAUGCAAAUAUAAAGGAUUCCUUAGGAAAUCCAAAAAUAAAUAAGGGCAAUUUUGUCCAUUUUGGCUUCUUUUAAAAAUUUUCUCUCCUUUGGCUUUUUCCAAAGUCUCCCUUAAUUUUAUUGCUAUCGAGUUUCUUUUGAGCUUGGCUUAUUCUGGUGUUGCAUAUGUCACUAGUAAUACUUUAGGCUUACUCUUUCAAGAAGUUGUGAUUUAUGAGCCCUAUACUUAUUGCUUUGGUAUUCGAUAAUUUCCCGGAAUUCACCUACAAAAUGUUGAUUCUGAUGCUCUCACCUUGUGAUCCUUAACUUUGUAUCUUGUGUCAGAAUUUAAGUGCUGGUGUUACUUGAUAUUUUAUUGGCAUGUUAUGCUCUAUCUUGAAAUUCUGUUGAUGGUGAUAUUUUAAGUUCUCACGUUUAUGUCUAUGCAAAUAUCACAGACUGUCCGUCAUAAUGCUUACCAUGAAGAUCCUUAUGCAAAGGAAUUUGGAAUCAAAAUUAGUGAGAAUCUGGCUCAGGUUGAAGCUCGCAUUCUUCCUCCACCCUGGGUAAGAUCUGUUAUUGUUUUUUUGUCCAAAAAUGUAUUGUGGAUGGUACAUCUGUAUUGACCUUUGUCUUGCAGCUUAAAUAUCAUGAUACUGGAAGGGAAAAGGAUUGCUUGCCCCAAGUUGGACAAUGGAACAUGAUGAAUAAGGUAAUAUUCUGCAUCAAUGUUAUAUUAUUGUAUGCAGUAUACGUUUCACCUGUACAGUGCUGAUGGCACCCCUCUAGACCAUUGAUUACAUUGGCUUAAUUUUGUGGUCAAUGCCUUGUGGUUGUGCCCUAUUUUUCGACCAAAGAACAAAGAGGCCUGUUUACUUAUCUAUGCAUCGAGUUUUUUAAUUCCUUUAAUUCCCAUGUCUUGUUGAAUUAUUACAGACCAUUUCUUAUUGUUGCAGAAAAUGGUUAAUGGGGGAAAAGUAAACAAUUGGAUUUGCAUUAAUUUCUCAAGGAAUGUCCAAGACAGUGUGGCCCGUGGAUUCUGUUCUGAACUUGCCCAAAUGUGUUACAUUUCUGGCAUGGUACGAUGCGUUUCUGCUGGCUUUAAUUAUACUUUACAGUUUCUAUAUUUGUAAAUUCCUGAUUGCUGAAAUGUUGCUUGUAUUUAGGCUUUUAAUCCAGAACCAGUUCUUCCACCAAUCAGUGCUCGACCUGAUCAGGUGGAGAAGGUCUUGAAAACUCGGUACCAUGAUGCGAUGACUAAGCUUCGGGUCCAGGGCAAGGAGCUUGACUUGCUUGUUGUUAUUUUGCCAGAUAAUAAUGGUUCUCUUUAUGGUAUGUGUUUGAAAUCAAUUGACUCCAUUCCCUCAUUAUUUUUCCUCAGAAUAAUCUGUAGACUUUUAUUGGCCUAAAGUUUUUGACUCAUGUAUGUUAUGAUAUCUGAUCCAGGUGACUUGAAACGAAUCUGUGAGACGGAUCUUGGCCUGGUAUCCCAGUGCUGUUUGACGAAACAUGUAUUUAGAAUGAGUAAACAAUAUUUGGCAAAUGUUGCAUUGAAGAUAAAUGUAAAGGUUGGGGGAAGGAACACAGUGCUUGUUGAUGCACUGUCAAGACGUAUUCCCUUAGUCAGCGACCGGCCUACGAUAAUUUUUGGUGCUGAUGUUACCCAUCCUCAUCCAGGGGAGGAUUCAAGCCCAUCUAUUGCAGCUGUAUGUUAUCAAACAUAUCUACGAGCUUGUAGAUAUAUUUGUUUUGAAUUCAUUUAGAGUUGGGCCUUAAUUGUUCAAAUGUAUUUCUUUAUAACACAGGUUGUGGCUUCUCAAGACUGGCCUGAGAUUACUAAGUAUGCUGGUUUGGUUUGUGCUCAAGCCCAUCGCCAGGAGCUCAUCCAAGAUCUUUUUAAAACCUGGCAGGAUCCUGCGAGGGGGACAGUAUCUGGUGGAAUGAUAAAGUCAAUCUCUCUCUUUCUCUCCCUGUGUAAACUUUUGUUAUUUUUUUACUAUGGAUUCUUAGGAAUUGAAGAACUGAAUUAAAUUUUUUUUUAUUAUUAAUGCAGGGAACUGCUUAUUUCAUUUCGUAGAGCAACAGGGCAGAAGCCACAGCGCAUCAUAUUUUACAGGCAUUUUGAAAACUCCUUUUGCCAUUGUUUGCAUCUUAUGUACUUCUCCUAUGUCUAAUGAUGGUAUGCAUACACCUUUGUUUUUUCAGGGAUGGUGUCAGUGAGGGGCAGUUCUACCAAGUUCUACUAUAUGAACUUGAUGCAAUUCGUAAGGUAAAGCUAAUAUUGUUGAGAUUAAUCUUCGAUUAUCUAUUGUCGUGUAUUAAUCUGUCUUUCCUCUUGUCAAUUUUUUUUUUCUUCAGGCUUGUGCUUCAUUGGAGCCAAACUAUCAGCCUCCUGUGACUUUUGUUGUGGUUCAGAAACGUCAUCAUACAAGAUUGUUUGCCAACAACCAUCAUGACCGCAAUACAGUUGACAGGAGUGGGAAUAUCUUACCUGGUAAUUAAUCGUUUUAAAUAUGAAAUGUUCUAACCAUGUAGCUCAGUUUUCAUGCUUGUGUUAUGGAACUCUCACCCUAUUGUUUCUUCAGGUACGGUUGUGGACUCCAAAAUCUGUCAUCCAACGGAGUUUGACUUCUACCUGUGCAGUCAUGCAGGAAUUCAGGCAACGUGCCUUCCUUGUGUUUUCUCUUGAGUGUGUGUGUGUGUGUGUUUUUUAAGGAGAAUGUUUGUAAAUGUGUUGCCAAUGUGUUAUGACAGGGUACAAGCCGUCCAGCUCAUUACCAUGUGUUGUGGGAUGAAAACAAGUUUACAGCUGAUGCACUGCAGUCACUCACAAAUAAUCUUUGCUAUACGUAAGCGUGCUGAUUUUUCCCCAUGCCAUAUGCCCUAAACAACCAUUUUAAUUAUUGGCAAGUAGUUUUGUAUUUUUUAUGCCUUAAAUCUAGUACUGAAUAGUUGACCUUCUGAACUCCUGCAGAUAUGCAAGAUGCACUCGUUCGGUUUCCAUUGGUAAGCUCUCACUGCUGAUUCACACAAUUGUAUACAUGUUUGAGCCAAUAUGCAUCCACUGCUUUUAUUUAUUUUGUUGUUCAUGUUUAUGUGAAUACUGUGCUGAUUAGUCUUUAAUUGGCAGUUCCUCCCGCGUACUAUGCCCAUCUUGCUGCGUUUCGAGCUCGGUUCUACAUGGAACCAGAGACAUCAGACAGUGGAUCGAUGACAAGUGGUGCUCCUGGACGUGGGGGCAUGGGUGCACGUAGCACACGGGCACCAGGUGCAAAUGCUGCUGUGAGGCCUUUGCCAGCCCUCAAGGAAAAUGUCAAAAGGGUUAUGUUCUACUGUUAGAGGGGCCUUCCUUGGUAGAAGUUAAGUUGGUAAUGCCCCAUAAGAAUGUAGUAGAUGCACGCAUUGUAAUGUCGUUUUGGAAUUUGCGGAGGAGGGUGUUAUAGGCUUGGUGCUCUCUUUAGGUGUCGUGGUCAAGAAUCUGAAAUUUCCCAUUGCAACUGGUUUUUGGGAUGCUUAGUUUAGUUAUAUGUUUCAUGAGAUGGAAUUGGACAACUAGUGGCUUUCAGUUAUAUUGAAAGGGAGGAAAAACAAUUGGUAGACUUGAAAUUGAAUCUGAUGUAGGAAGUAACCUUUGGAAAUGAAUGCAUUGCUCUGCUCUUGUUUUUUCAGAUGAUUAAACAUUUGAUUGAAGUGGAUUCUUGUUCUUGGUGUCAUGAUUCGAGCAUUUAAAAUUAGAGAUUAGCAUUGCAAAGAUGACAUUCAAAAGAAAAAUUCUAAAGGGAAAAACAAUUGACUCUAAAAACACCAUCCUGCACUUGUACGUGAAAUAUAAGAACAUCGGUGAACAUAGAGGAAAGAAGUAGGAUAAUAGAUACUUUUAUUUUCUUCUUAAAAAAGGAAUGGCUCAAUCAAAUGAUAUUAGGUUGAUGUGGUGUUGCUCGCUCGUUCGCUCGUACAAGUAGAAUGAAGGAGUGCGCAUAGAUUAGACAAUUUGAGACAACGUGUAUGUAACCUUGGAGAUUGAAACAACAAACAAGUAAAGAAUCAAAAUACACACGUUACGGAAAAGCCCAACAACGAAUUACUUGAGAUUCUUUCCCUCCACUUUAAAGAUUAGAUACAGGCAGAGACACACAAAAAGGCCAAAAUCCGAUUUGCUAGCUUCUAACCAAUCUUAAAAAUUCCUUUCUUUCCUACAAAUGACAUUAAAGAAUAAAGUCUGGGUGUUCUUUCUUUCCCCUCCCGUGGCAACUUCCAGCCAGCCAGCCAGCCAGCCAUGCAUAUAAUAUAUAUACAUUAAGUUCCCUAUAACUUCAUAACAUCAAACCAACUUGAAUAUUGGUUGUAUAUCUAUCUUUGUUUUAGUUUACUGAAUAUUCGUCUCUCUUUUCUUUUUUCGUAAUACUGUUACUGCCUUGCCUUAAGCCUUGUUGAUUUCAUAAAUGGCUUCUACCCCGGCCUUGAAGCGAUCUGAUACGAUUGCAGAAACCAUGCCAGAUGCACUGAGACAGAGCCGCUACCACAUGAAGAAAUGUUUUGCCAGGUUCUUUAUUUUAAUUUGAUCGAGAAUGUAUAAUAUGUAUUAUACAUAAAUAAUAUUACAUAUGUGUGUGUGUGUUAGCGAAAUUUGAUGCUGAUCUUCUUGUUCAAUUUAUGUAUAUGGGAACAAAAAGGUUUGUUGCAAUGGGGAAAAGGUUAAUGAAGAUGCAGCAUGUAAUGGAGGAGUUGGAAAAAUCAAUAGAAGACAAGCAUGAAAGAAGCAAGGUCUUGGAGGGAUUACUUGGUUACAUCAUCAGCUCCACUCAGGUAUACAUAUUAUCAUACAAUGAUGCAUAUAUAGGCUAUAUAUAGCAAUCCGGGCAUGCAAUUUUGAAUUUGAAUUAAUUACAAUAAACAUGAACUGGCGCAGGAGGCGGCUGUUGUUCCACCGUAUGUUGCUUUUGCGGUAAGACCGAAUCCUGGUUUCUGGGAAUUUGUUAAGGUGAAUGCUGAUGAUCUAGCAGUGGAUGGCAUCACUGCUUCCGAAUACUUGAAGUUCAAAGAAAUGAUAUUCGACGAUAACUGGUACGUAUAGUAUUUGUAUUUGUAUUUGUAUGUGCAAUAUAUUUUGCAAGCUGCAGCUAUAUUGAGUUAAGCUUACUUGCAUGCAUUGCUUUGCACUGCACUCCACAGGGCCAAUGAUGAAAAUGCUCUGGAAAUAGAUUUUGGAGGCAUUGACUUCGCCACUCCUCGCAUGAAGCUUCCUUCUUCAAUCGGGAAUGGUCUCAACUUUAUCUUAAAGUUAAUCUCCUCAAGGCUGGCUACUGCCAACUCAUCCGAUUAUGCCAAACCCUUGCUUGACUACUUGUCACAACUUCAUUAUCAUGGAGAGGUACUUGAUCUCAUUACAUUGUUUCAUGUUAAUUAUUUUUAAUAUUAAUUACUCCAUCUUCAAUUUGUGGCCUGUAUUUUCUUCUCAUAUUAUAAUUAUCUAUGUAUACAUGCCAGAAUCUUAUGAUCAACGAAACUCUGAAUACGGUUGCAAAACUUCAAACAGCCUUGAUCCAAGCAGAAGUAGUUGUGUCUACACUCCCAAAAGACACACCAUUUCCGAAUUUUGAGCACAGGUCUCUCUCGCUCUUACCUUAAUUAUUUAAUAAAUUUUAGGAUUUAGGACUCACUUGUACGUAUAUAUAUAUAUAUAUAUAUUAAUAGUUUUGAUGAUGAUCAGGUUAAAGGAGUUGGGUUUUGAGAAAGGAUGGGGGGAUACAGCAGAAAGAGUUGGAGAGACAAUGAAGAUGCUCUCAGAAGUGCUCCAAGCACCAGACUCAGCCAAGUUGGAGUGUUUCUUUAGCAGACUUCCUAACACAUUCAACAUCGUCAUCUUCUCUCCUCACGGCUACUUCGGUCAGUCUGACGUUCUUGGAUUGCCCGACACUGGCGGCCAGGUGGUUUAUAUUCUUGAUCAAGUCAGAGCCUUAGAGGAAGAGUUGCUCCUCAGAAUAAAGCAGCAAGGCCUUGCUGUCAAGCCACAGAUUCUUGUGGUGAGCUAGACUACUGUUAUAAACAAACAACUGAUGAUCCUUGUUGUCUUGCAACUUGCAAUUCUAAUUCAUUUUUACUUAUACCUACAUGAUCAUAUACUUACGUACGCUGUACACAGGUGACACGACUCAUACCAGAUGCUCGAGGAACAAAAUGCAACCAGGAGUUGGAAGCUAUCAUCAACACUAAGCACUCCCACAUCCUUAGGGUCCCAUUCAGGACACACAGAGGCAUUCUCCGCCAAUGGCUUUCUCGUUUUGAUAUCUACCCUUAUCUUGAGACAUUUGCACAGGUAUCAUUUCUUCUUCACAAUCUUCUGUCCUAUAAAUACAUACAUUAAACAUACAUACAUGUAUCAUUUAUUUUUGGACCAACUUGUACAACUUUAUUUAAAUUUUUUAUUUUUUUUCCUUUUGUUCUCAUUGUUAAUUAGGAUGCAACUGCAAAGAUCUUAGAACGCAUGGAAUGCAAACCAGACCUCAUAAUUGGGAACUACAGUGAUGGAAACUUGGUGGCCUCUUUGACGGCUGGCAAACUUGGAAUUACUCAGGUAUCUGAGUUCAACCACCUCUCCCGCCUUCAAUAAUUGUUUCAAAAACAGAUUAAUUUUACUUUGAAUCAGAAAUUAACAUGUUCUGAACAUCUGUCCUGCAGGGAACAAUCGCUCAUGCUCUAGAAAAGACCAAGUACGAAGAUUCAGAUGCCAAAUGGAAGGAGUUUGAUCCAAAGUACCACUUCUCUUGUCAGUUCACAGCUGACAUAAUCUCUAUGAAUUCAGCUGAUUUUGUCAUAACGAGCACCUUUCAAGAAAUAGCCGGAGGGUUAGUAGCACUAGUCUUUCUUGCCAAAUGCUCUACUUCCAUGAUACCAUUCAUAAUCAUAAUCAGUGUGUUUAUUUCUUCAUGUAUGCAGCAAGGACCGGCCUGGACAGUAUGAAAGCCAUACAGCAUUUACAAUGCCAGGACUUUAUCGAGUAGUUUCAGGCAUUGAUGUAUUUGAUCCAAAGUUCAACAUUGCGGCCCCUGGGGCUGACCAAUCUGUCUACUUUCCCUGCUCCGAGAAACAGAGACGCUUUACCAAAUUUCAUCCUGCCAUUGAAGAACUGCUCUACAAUAAGGCGGAAAACGAUGAGCACAUGUAAUUAAACUCUCUCCCUCUCUCUCUCUCUCUCUCUCUCUCUCUCUCUCUCUCACUGUCUACAAGUGAGAAAAUUUACUGAAGAGUCUGUCAACACACACACACAGUUGUUGUACUACACCACCACAUUACUCUUUUCAAUUGGCUAACAACAAACUCUUACAAAAUUAUAAAUUAAAAAAAAAUGCUUGGAACAGAGGAUAUUUGGCAGACAAGAAGAAACCCAUCAUCUUCUCAAUGGCAAGACUGGAUACAGUGAAGAACCUCUCAGGACUAGUUGAAUGGUUCGGGAAGAACAAGAGGCUGAGGAGUUUGGUCAAUCUUGUUAUAGUAGGAGGAUUCUUUGACCCAUCCAAAUCCAAAGACAGAGAAGAAAUUGCAGAAAUUAAGAAGGUACAUGCCUUGGUACAAGAAUACAGACUGACUGGUCAGUUCAGAUGGAUAGCAGCUCAGACUGAUCGAUAUCGCAACGGAGAGCUGUACCGCUGCAUUGCAGAUACAAGGGGAGCAUUUGUGCAGCCAGCACUGUACGAAGCUUUUGGUUUAACAGUGAUUGAGGCCAUGAACUGUGGCUUGCCCACAUUUGCAACCAACCAAGGAGGCCCUGCAGAAAUUAUUGUUGAUGGAGUAUCAGGCUUCCACAUCGAUCCAAACAAUGGUGAUGAAUCCAGCAACAAAAUUGCCGACUUUUUUGAGAAAUGCAAGACGGAUGGGGAAUAUUGGAACAAGAUGUCAGCAGCCGGUUUGCAGCGUAUAUACGAAUGGUAAUUAGUUACUUAGAAUAAUGCAUAAAGUUUUAUGAAUGAAUGUCAUAUAUUUUUGUUUUUGGUUGCAGCUAUACAUGGAAGAUAUAUGCAAACAAAGUGUUGAACAUGGGAUCCACUUAUGGAUUCUGGAGGCAGUUGAGAAAGGAGCAAAAGCUUGCCAAUCAAACAUACAUUCAUAUGUUUUACAGUCUCCUCUUUAGGAAUUUGGUAAGUCCACUACUCUAACUCUGCUUGGAUUUGGACUUUGCAGUAUUCUAUAUUUAUGCAUACAUACAUAAUACAUUAUACAUAUACUUACUAUGAGGCAGUAAAAAGUUGUGUGUGCUUCGUACUGCAGGCAAGGAAUGUAGGUGUCCCAAGUGAUGGUUUCGAACAACCGACGGCCAAGGCAAUAACUGCGGCUGGCCAACCAACCCCAGUUGCACCACCAACCUCACCAAUCCCUCAGCUGAUCACUCCAACACCAAGGUUUCAUAAUUAUUUAGAUUAGUAGCUUAAUUACACUGCAUGCAUGCAUAAUAUUGUGUUAUGCUACUUUGAUUUCCUGUUUAAUAAUAUGACAUUGAGAAUUUUGGUUAGUUUUGAAGUGAGAAUAGAUAUUUUAAUGGCAGGGAGAGGGAUGAAGGUUUGGAGGAGAAGCAGAAACAGCAGCAGCUGGGCGAACCUCGAAGCCCCACGGCUCGCUGCAUCUUGAAUUGCUGUUGCGUGAUCAUUGGUUUUCUCAUCCUUGUUUACUACAAGAUCAGGAAUAUGUACAACUACAACUAAUGGAGCUUGUUUUGUUGUGUGUAUUGGUGUAAGAUCAUCAUCAACUCACAAACAAAACAAGGAAUGAAUGGUCAUGUAAAUUCUCCAAUUUCCAAUAAAUUCAAUAAACAUAUCAUUAAUUGUCACACUGUAUCAAUCAAUCAAUCAAUCAAUCAAUCAAUCAACUGGACAAGAAUACAGAGGGAAGGGAAAGAAAGACAUAAUCACAGCUCACCGUAUCUGGCAGUCUGGCAGUGGCAGCCAUGAAUCAUUUAAUUUUAAGAGUUUUAAGGCAAACUCUACUGGAUCCAGCCAGCAGAGCACCAAAAAGACCUAAAGCCGUAAUAUAAGAUUCAUAUAAAUCCAACAUCUUAUGAAAUAAAAUAAAAAAAACUAAACUGAAUCCUAAACUAGAAACUAAACUGAAUCCUCGUUUGUUUGUUUGUUUGUUUGUGUUUUAAUUUUUUAACAAGUUAGAAAGUUAUGUAGUUAUAAAUAUAUUAAUGAAUUGAAUUUGAUAAAUUUGCACAUAUUUAGUGCAAACCCUCGGUGGACCACUUUGGUUUUGAAUUAUUUUUUGGACGUAAAAAUGAAGUAAACGACGACCAUGCCAUUGCCAAUACUGCACAUGCAUUUGCCCACUUGCUCUUUAAAUACAAGCCAUUCCAUUUGUACAAAGUACUUAACAUAAAGAAACAUAACAUUUUAAUAUGAAAGGUAUCCCACAGUUUAUCAAUCAAUCAACUAGGAAUUUGGCUAGCCAUAAUUUUCUCAAGAAAGUAAAUGGUUGAGUGUUUUGUUGUAUUCCAAACGUCAAAUAAUACAGUACAUAUAUACAGGUAUAGCCUUCUAUCACUCUUACUAUUUAGGCUUUGAAGCCGUGAUCCAAUAUUAGUGGGAUUUGACCUACACUAAUUUAGGCAAGUAAAGAUUUACAAAUAUUUACAAAGAUAUUUCUUAAUACUCCCCUUCAAGUUGGAGAGUGAAUAUCAUGAAGUCCCAACUUAUUGCCCAAUGUCACAAACUGAUCCUUCCCCAAGGCCUUUGUAAAAACAUUUGCCAAUUGGAAGCGUGUAGGUACAUAAGAAGGACUAAUUAUUCCAGCUUGUAGUUUUUCUCGAAUUAUAUGACAAUCAAUUUCGAUGUACUUUGUAUGCUUAUGGAAAACAAGAUUAGCUGCAAUAUACAAAGCUGCCUGAUUAUCACAAAACAAUGCUGCAGGAGUUGUCUGUGGGACUUUUAAAUCCUGUAGUAUAAAGCAUAACCAAGUCAGCUCCAAACAUGUGUUGGCCAUAGCUCGAUAUUCAGCUUUUGCUGAUGAUCAUGAAACAUUGGUUUGUUUCUUGGAUUUCCAUGAGAUGAGUGAAUUUCCAAGAAAAACAUUGUAUCUUGUAACUGAUCUCCAUAUAAUUUGGGGUUUUUUGUUUAAUUUGGGUUUAAUCGGGCCCAGUUAAUCGGCUAGCUCUAAUACCAUCUCAAGAAAGUAAAUGGUUGAAUGUUUUGUUGUGUUCCAAACAUCAAAUAGUACAAUACAUACAUACAUGUAUAGCCUUUUAUCAAUCCUACUAUUAAGGCUUUGAAUGGGUGAUUCAAUAUUAGUGGGAUUUGACCUUCACUAAUUUGUACAAGUAAAGAUAUUACAAAUAUUUACAAAGAUAUUUGUUAAUAAAUUUGGACAAAUUAUCUUUGUAGAUAUGGGAUGAUUUGUUAGAGGAAAAAAAAAGAAGGAAAUUUGAUUUGGGAAUAAAGCUUGAAUUUAUGAGACGGUAUUAUUAUUAAUUUUCGUCUGGCGACUCUUUGACUCUUAUAAAAGUUUAAUUGAUGUAUGUGAUUAAUUAGUUAAUGGUCCCUUUGGUAUCGUAAUAAUGUAGGAAAUGAAUGAGAGCCACCCACGACUCCACGAGAUAAGACAAUAAGCUUGUGGAUGGAAUAUAUUUGGGAAUCUUUGAAUUAUAAUAAUACACUCGACUGGAGUAUAUUUGGCAAAUACAAUACAAUGAUUGAUUCAUAUUCAGAUCAAAAUCAAAAUCAAAUACGCAAAUUCCCUAAACCUAGACUUUUGCCUUCCUGCCUCCUUCCUCAUCCUCAUCCUCCUCAUCAUCAUGGAUUCAUAGAUAGAGGUCGAGUUAGUCGGUGAGUGAGUGAGUGAGUCGUUAGUUCUUGUAGCUGAAUUUCAUUGACACAAAAGAAAACAGUUUGAAAAGUCCUCUCCCUCCGUCGAAAUAUCUUUGUAAAUUGUCAACAUCUUCUCUCCUCUUCUCAAUCGUAUUAAUAUAAUAUAAUAGAGGUAGCCUAGGUAAGGGUUAAAUAAAAGGGCCCAUACUAAUGCUAUUACUACUAAAAAGUAAAUUUACGGCUUCUUUUAAAAAAUUUCUCUCUUUUUCAGAAUUUUCCAAAGUCUUACAAAAAUGCCAAACGCGAAGGCGGGGUCUUUGGUUUAUCUAUUAGACUUUCAGGCAGCCAUGACUGUUGACUUCGCCAUAACUCUCAAAUCAAUUCAGGAAAAUUCUUCCUCUAGAAACUUUUACAACUCCAAAUUCUUUUUCUUUUUUUAAAUGUUGAAUAAAGCUUUUUGAUUGGUGUGUGUGAAAGAUUUUACAUUUAGUUAGUGGACAGAACAGAAGAGGACAUGACAUGUAUUAAUUCCUAGAGACUUGUUAGAAGGGGCGGGAGGCCCCCUGCUGCCUUGUUUUUGUCUGUCCGCUAUGUGCAAUGAUUAAGUGGUUAUGUUUAUAUUUCAAUUCAAGUUAAAAUAUUAUAAUUAUAUAUGGGAUUUCGAUUAUCUAUAUUUAUAGAUUACGCAUUUACUCGCAUUUCAUUAAAUUUAGACUAUUAUAAUAAUUUAACCUUUUAAAAUAUGACACAUCAUCAAAUUUUUUUUUUUCUCUAAACAGAUGUUAACUAUUUCUGUUAGUUUGGAAUUUUUUUUGCUUCCACAUUGGCGUCUGGUCCACUUAGAGCGUUUCGUUUUUUCUUUUUCGUGUUAAGGUCAUCUUCUUCUUUCUUCCUGCUUGAUUGAUGACCUCUCCAUAUAUGGGUGGAAAACUGUGGUUGUAUUAAUCUUCAAACCCAACCAAGUAAAAAAUAGAUUUUUUCUUUUUUUUCAUCAUGCAUAAACUCACAAAUAAAACUUAACGUCUGUUUAGAAAAGGAAAAAAAUACUUGAUGAUGUGUCACGUUUUAAAGGUUCGGAUUAUUAUAAUGGUAUAAAUUUUAAGAAAUAUUGGUAAAUGCACUACCCGAGUUAGUAGUUACCUUACCUAGUACCCUCCCUCUACGGUUGCUCGCUUCGUUUUUCCAUUUAUAUAUUUUUUUAAAAAAGGAGGGUCGGGGGUAUUUUAUAUGUAGAUUGUUUUUUAUUUUAUUUUAUGAGAGAGGUUUUUAGGUUUAAAAAAAUGAAGUAAUAUUAUAGCGCAAGGCAGGCAGCCCGGCAGAGAAGGCGAGCGAUUCUAGCCAGGCAACGAGUAGUUGACUUAAACACAUAAAGGAUGCAUAAUUAGCAAAAAAAAGGAGGGAGGAAGGCUAGCCAAUCCAGAAUCCAGAUUCCAGUUCAUAAAUCAUAAUCCUAGACGAGACAUCGACCACAAGUAAGUAAGAAUGAAUAAGUCACCGGUAGGCGGCGAAGGAGGAGGAGGAGUCUUCCAUGACCCUGAAGUUGACGGCAACGGCAAGGCCAAUACUAUUAUCAAUAAUACAACUAGCAGUAUUGAUCAGAAUAUGAAACCAAUAAUAUCCAGCGGCGGGAUUGGGAGUGGGAGUGGAUUGGUGACGAUGAAGAAGAUGAAUAUUGUACGGAUGACACUGCUGUUUGUGGGGAUGACUGUGGCUUGCUUUAUUUUCUACAAUUCUGUCUUUCCUUCAAGAUUUCUCUCCAUAUCCUUAUAUGACUACACCGGAACCACAUAUUCUCAGGCAAGUCAACUUCUUUUCUGCCAUCAAUCAAAUUCCAAUAUUCAAACUCCUCUGGAUCAUGUCUUGAUUCCAAUUCUUUUUUAUUUUUCUUUUGGGGGAGUCAUAAUCCCAAUCCCAACACCGGCAUGCUCUGCUCUGCUCUACUUUUACUUUUACUUGUACUUUUACUUGUUGUGUUGUGUGAUGAAGAUUCAUAAUAUUAUUAUUAUACACAGAUGAGCAUGACAAAUUGACAAUCAAAUACUAGUCGCACACUGGUGGAUUCUUUUUCCGGUCAAAGCUGCUGUAAUUUCAUUCCAAACUAAGCCAGCCUUUGUAAAUUCUAAUAUCUUCAUUGGAUCCAUCCAUGGAUUCCAUGCCAUCCCACCUUUCUCAUUCAAUCAAUGCUUGCUUCAUUUGGAUUCUUUACUUUUCUGUUUUCUCUUCUUAGUUUACAUGAUUAUAUCGUUGUUUGUAUCCUCUGUCUUUUUUUGUGUGUGUGUGGAUGCUAGCUCUUUCAAUUCAACUUCAACCAAUGAAUUUCACUCAAAAAGACAUAAUGCUUUUCCACAUGUAUGCCCGGCUGUCCACUGCGGUGGCCUUUACUCCCCUUGGGCGUGGGGCCUGCCCAGCCUGGGCCCAUCUUAUCUUAUGCAAUUCCUUCCACUACCAACACUACAAGGUGGUUGGUUGGUUAAAUGAUUAAAUCCAAUCCUUUUCCACUGCGGGUUUGAUCUUGACUCGAUGAUGCAAAUUGCAAUUGCAGGGCAACGACCAUCUAUUGGAUGCGGUUCUGAAAAAUGCAUCCAUGAAGGACAGAACCAUUCUGGUAACUACAUUAAACGAUGCUUGGGCUGAACCCAAUUCCAUAUUUGAUCUGUUUCUGGAGAGCUUUCACAUCGGAAGCAACACCAAAUGGCUGCUCAACCAUCUGGUAGUGAUCUGCUUGGACCAGAAAGCAUAUGCUCGUUGCUUAGCCUUACACCCUCACUGUUACGAGCUCUACACUCAAGGUGCCAACUUCACCAGCGAGGCAUCUUUUAUGUCUUCCGACUACUUGCAAAUGAUGUGGAGACGGAUCCAAUUUAUGUCCAAAAUUCUCGAGAGAGGCUACAACUUUGUCUUUACGGUGAGAACCUUUUUUUUGUUCUAAUAUCCUUUGAGGAAUGGUAGCUAUGUCCCCAUUUUGUGUUUUUCUGAUUCAAGUUGAAUUUUGUCCCUACUUUUGCAAUCAUCCAAUGCACAGGACACUGAUAUAAUGUGGCUCCGGAAUCCCUUCCCACGAUUCUAUCCGGAUGCGGAUUUUCAAAUCGCAUGUGAUUUCUUCCUGGGUGAUUCUUAUAGCAUAAGGAAUUUGCCCAACGGAGGAUUCACCUAUGUCAAGUCCAGUAAGCGCACAAUUUGGUUCUAUAAGUUUUGGUACUUCUCCAGAAAGGCCUAUCCAAAGAUGCAUGACCAGGACGUACUAAACAAGAUCAAAUCCGAUCGCUUGAUUUCCGAUUCUGGAUUGAAAAUGAGGUUCUUGGACACCCAAUACUUCGGUGGCUUCUGUCAGCCCAGUAAGGAUUUUAACAAAGUUUGUACGAUGCAUGCGAAUUGCUGUGUUGGUCUCGAUAACAAAGUCAAUGAUCUUAGAAUUUUGCUUCAAGUUUGGAGAAAGUUCAUGGCAUUGCCUCCCAACGCCGCCACCACGGCACGGACUUCAUGGACCGUUCCACGAAAUUGCAGGUAUUCCUAAUUAAUUUUUGUUUUCAUAUAUUUUUGAGACUUUUACAUUUGAGUCAGUCCUCAUGUAGUGGGUGGGCCCCACAAUCUCAUGGGCCCCACGCCAUGUGAUGAAAUUGAAAGCAAAAUAAUUCAUUUUUUAAGCAUUUUAUUCUAGAACCAUGCGGUUUGUCUUUCCUUUCUUUUUAUUUACUUUUUGGCAUUUUGUUCUGGAAUCUAGAACUAGACGGUUUGAUCCCUUUUACUGUUUGGCUUUUUAUUUGAUUUCCAAGUACUUCCUUCCAACGCCUUGGAAAGCACUCGUGACAAGAGAAGGGAAUAUUGACAAAAUUCUUACGACGUGUCGUGUAGGGCUUUGUAACAUAUAAUUUACAGGUAAGUCUUGUGUAUAUAUAUAACUGAAUUGCCUCGAAUACAUCUAAUUUGUAUACAAGAAAGAAUCAUGUGAUGUCUCCGAAAACACUUUUACAAUGUUGCAUUAUUUAUAACGUUCCAACUAAAACAAUAAUUUGAUAUUCUUUGGUAACCAAAUGGAUCAACUUACGUUUUGUAAUUCAUAUUGUCAUAUUUCAGGUAGAAGAAAAGGAUUGUCAUAUGCCAUAUUGCCACCUUGCUCAUCAAUCAAUUACGUCAUUUUACAACUUUUUUGUUUGUAUGUUUGUUUUAUUUUGUUUCGCGGAAAACAAUGAAAACAAACGAAUAUAUAAGGAUUUAUUCCAGUUGUUUUAAACAAUAUUAGUUUUUAUAUAUUUAAGGAAGACAAUAUUAGUAUUUUAAAUCACAAUAUGAGCAUGCAUGAAGACAGAUAUCCACACCACACGCACAUGAACUAAAGGAAAUAUAAUCCUAUGUACGAAAUGACUCGCGCUUUUUUUAGCUAUAGAUAUAGAAAAAUACUAGGCAUAUCACAUUUAUAUAUCAAAUUGUGUACCACUUUUUUAUAAUAAAGAUUAGUUCUAUUGUAUUGGUGAACUCUACCUCUAUUAAAAAAGUAGUACACAAUAACAAUGCGGACAUGACUCAAGAGAAAAAAUAUCAUAUUAAUGUACAUAUGUAUCUAAAAUUAAUUCAAAAGAAAUUAGGUCCAGGUCCAUCCAUCCAUCCGGGCUUUUUUCCCUAAAUUAAACUAAAGAAUUAGUCCAUGCGGUGGUUGGGUUGUAUUUAUUUGGGCCUUAAAUAAUCAGCAUGUGACAUGCACGUGGUAGAACCCUUGACUUGAAGGGAUUUGGGAUUUAGGGAUUUUGGGCAUCAAACCAGCCAAGAAACUUGAGAGAGAGAGGAAAAGGAAAAUUGGAAACAGGGAGUGAGCGAGGGAGGAUAGUGACUCAUAAAUAACUCAGAAGAAGAAGAGGGCAAAUCAAAGAUUACAAAGGAAGGGAUGUCAGAUCCGUUCGAGAGAGUGAAAGCAGGCAGGCUGACCUUCAAAGAUGGAAGUGUGGCCACUCGCAGCAAAGCCAUCGACAAGAAGAAGAACAAGAAGAAGAAGAAGAAGCAGCAGCAGCUUAAUCCUAACGACGAUGGCCCUAACCCUACUGGGCCCACCGACCUUGAGGUAGUGCCUGAGGACGCAGGCGCAGAAGCAGCAGCCGGAGGACCUGAGACUUACACCAUUGACGCGGCGAAGCGCAUGAAGUACGAUCAACUCUUCCCCGUCGAGGCCAAGAAGUUCGGUUACGAUCCCAAAUCUGUCGCACACAAGUCCAUCGAGGACGCUCUUGACGACCGUGUCAAGAAGAAAGCCGACCGCUACUGUAAAUAGAUAUCAAUUUCACACAUAUCGGUUUCCUGUUCUUCUUCUGCUUCCCCAAUUCCCAGGUCCGCCCCCUUCUUCUUCUUUUUCUCGUUCAAUAGUAUUUCCUCUUUAUAUUUAUAAUUAUUUAUUAUUAGGGUAGGGAUGUGCUUUCAGUAUUUCUUAAUGUUUUAUUGAAAUUAUGAUUCAUUGUGUGUUAUACUUGUUUGAAAUUUGUUUCUUUUUGUUGUCAUUUAUUCUAAGCUGCUACUGGUUUCUUUGAAUUUGAAUUGAAUGAUCAAUGCUUCUUUUGUUUGGAACUCUGUCCCCUUUGUAUACUACCGCUUUUUGUUUAUUACCAUAACAAAUGAUCCAUAUUUCCUUAUGAAGAUUCUAUAGCCCUCCUUCUCACCUAUGUAAGUUGGUCACUUCUUCAAAUAACCAUUUUUCUCUUUAAUGUUCCUGAAUUGUUACAUGUUUCUUAUCUUUUUUGUACCGAUAGAAUAAUCAUGAUAUGCAUAGCUUAUGAUAUUUGCUCAUGUGCUCUGCCGCCUAUCUUCAGCUUAGAGGUCUCAACAACUGACCCUUAAUUUCUUAUGAGGGCUAUUAUCACUAUCAAUCAUGCACCUCAUCCUGCUUUACACCCAUUCCCACCACAACUUUUUUCUAAUUUGUACAAGUUCGUAGAAAUUAGCAGCAUCUAGUUAGUAUCAGCUGAACCUAGUUAAAAGUUAAAACUUGUUUUGGUAGGGUUGUUGAAAAGAUCUUAAUGUUACCUGACAUGUUCCUACAUCAAUAUCAUGUUGCCUCUUGUUCCUUAUUGUUUUUGUUGCAAGUUACUAAAUUGUCUCAUACCCUCCUCUUUGUUGCCUUCAACAAGUAUGUGCUCAUGCAUGAGUACAGUAAGCUGCUCAUUUGUCUCCUAACAUGGUUUUGAUUUAAUUGAUGGCAGGAACGGCAUGGUGGAGUUGCUGAGUUUGCAGGAAUUCUUAUUUAGAGACUGCCAUUGCAUAAUUGACCAAACGUACUCAGUUCUGUACUUUUAAUUCAGAGAUUGCUCCAUGCUUACUGUACCCUUGAAUAUGUUCUAUUAGUGGGCGUCGCUGCAUCGUGUGGUUGCUCUGAAUCUUGUUGUUUGUUUUUACCAUACCUUGUCAUAUUAGUUAGGCAUGAAUGGAUUCAUUUAUAAUUUUGUACUCGCACUGCCACUUAGUCUAACAAGCUGUUAAAUUUUGGCUCUUGAUCUAGUCAAAGCAUGAAUGCGAAGUCUGCAGCCAUUAGUUUAGUUGGUUGAUGAUCGAAAGCAUAUGAAUUCAGAAUCGAUCGUUCUCCAUAGAGAUUUGUUUUCGUUUUUUCUUUUUGUUUAUAAAAUGAAAAUCGCUGUAGAGACUAGAGAGUAGGCAUUGUAUGCACCUACUCCUCUUAAUAUUACUAUAUUCAACUUUUAAAAAUACACUUGACAAAGGAGCCAAAGAAAAAUAUCGCAAAUGAUGCAAGUCCUGGCAUGAAAACAGUUGGACAUUAGCAUCGAGCUGGCACAUCGUGGGUACCUGGACAGAAUUUUGUGUGUGUCAGUUAUGAGAUAAUGUCACACUUUACUGUUGGCAUUACAGUAUUUGAAUAUGCCAGUUCCCUUCAAGAUUUAGAGAACAUAAUUCCAUAAAAAAGAACACAAAUGGUAUACAACACAAGCAAGCACCAGGAGCUUUGAAUUUUUCUUCUGCCUAGAUAAUUCAGGUCCUGGUCUCGUUUCGUUUGGCAUCUGCUUGUCUUUUCCUAUAAUAGGCUGAUGUAGAUUGCGGAGAUUGAGAGAGAAGGCUGCAAGCUGAAUAUUGCAAUUUGCUAGCCUAGAAAAGAAAAUAGAGGGAAAUUCAAGGAACAGCUCCACCUUGCAUUGCAAUUUGCAGCAAGUCAACGGAAGCACAAACAAGAUGCAUUGGUUUGGAUAAGUGAUGAUGAUGAAUAUGUAGUUUCCGCCUCAAGGGAUUUGAGAGUGAUCAAGUUGUCAACUUGCUUUGCGAGAUUGUAUCUCGAUAUGUGUGCCACUUCUUAUAUCUCUGGAACCCAGGAAGAACAGGUCUAAGUCGAGGAGCACCUGUGCACUCCAAACAGCAGCAUCCUCUUAAAUCCUUCACACAGUUCAUACAGCAUCUGAAACAGAAACGUGCUUAUGUAAGUAAGCAUUCAGUCUUCAACUAGUAGUAGUAGACAGACAGACUCCAACACCCAAGCCCAAACGGCUUCUCUGGACAGAAAUUGGCUUUCCAAAUUUUGGGAGAAAGAAUAGCUGGCAAAAGGAACUUACAGAUAGAGCAGGUUGCAGUCAAGAUUUGCACAGUUUCUAUGUCUUAACUCACAGACUUGUAAACUGCAUAUAUAGCAUUGAGCAAAUGUAUUGUUCUUGGAAACUUCAUGCCUGUUUGGUUUAGUUAUGGCUUCAGGCUUGUAGGCAGGCGGUGGGAGAGAGAGACGAGAGUCAAAUACAAACAAAUUCCCAACCCAUUGGACCGGACCUUCGUUCUCCAGAUAAUGAGAAACACCUCCCUUUAAGGUGUAUAAGUUUUGAAAGCCCUGUUGUCUGCCACAUGAAAUUAAAUUAGACCUAUAAAUGGCCAAAAUAAGAAAAAUUAAAAAGAGCUACUUCCAACAUUGCAACAUUAUCUUUCCCUCACAAAUUUUUUCAUUAAUCAUGCAGUGCAGUUGAAUGGGUGACUCUUUAACAAAGCAAAUCUGUGGUGAGUGCUUGUAUCGGAAAAGUACCAGAUGGGAAAGGUAGCAACCAUGACUAAACCAAUACGCAGGCCUUCAAAUUGAUCACACUAAUACAAAGAUUGAAUGAUAUUCACUAGCUGUUGUAGUGCAGGCGAUAUUCACUGGCAGUAAGAAAUGAAAACACACACACACACACAACUUUUUCAAUUGUGCAUCGGAAACAAGUACAAUUUAACCUGGUUGGUCCACGUAAAGGAAAACAGGUGGUAGAAAAAAUGUUGUGUUACCUUAAAAUUGUAGAAUAUACAUCACAACGGAUACCUCCAGUGCAAUACAUCAAUAUAUCCGUUUUUUCUUUAUCAACAUUUUCUAACGGAUCUGCAGCAAUGACCUGAAACAGAGACAGAAAGUAGUAUGUUCACAUCCAUCAACAGAAAUUGAAGUUUCUUGUGUCUUUCAUAACAAAAUAAUGCCUAAAUGUUCGUAUUCCUGUGGACUGAUAAAUAAAUAUAAAAAAGUGGAAGCUGCAACAUUCAUGUUGACGUAUUUAUGUACAGCAGAGGAAGUAAGAAAAUGACAAGAUGGCUACAAAUUUUAUACCUGUAAUUCUGCCUGAUCUUAGAAUCCCCAUAACAAGGAAAAGACCUUCAUCAAAUGAUGGGAGAAAGACAUACUAAGACUAAGAUGGAGGCGCAUCGGAACUUUAUGUCAAACCAUUUACACCUUUUGGCUGUCAAUUCAGCCAGCAAUAAGUCCUUGAUCUUUCUCUAUUAGUUAUGCUUCUACACAGUUUUUUGGCUAAAACAACACUACUCCAACCAUCACAAUUUGGCUACAAACAGAAUGUCUCCGCAUGUAGCAUGUUAUUGAACUAAAAGUCACAUAGCAAAAGUUACAGUUCCAAAUACACCAAUUGGUAAUAUAGUGUAUAAGGCCAAACCUCUGGUUGGAAUAACCCAAAAGAAGUGCUCCUAAAGCAGUCCACAUCGGGUCGUCGAGCCCCAUUAAAAUGACCAAUAUCCCACUCAUAACCUGAUAACAAACAGCGACAAAAUCUUCAAACUUCCUAUGGCUGAAAUUAUGAAUAUGAUUGCUGUGAAUUAUAUAGAGGCUACGGAAAUAACAGGAAUUGCACGCACAGUUAAACAUACAUCAGAAACAUGAUCAAGGGCAACAUGUCAAACAACAUAAGAAGUGCUAUAUAAACUACCAAUGUUAAACAAAGUUAGCUAUCAAGAACCAUUCAAAUGUACAGUUAAGCAGAAAUGUAUACGAUUCACAGCAUUGUUCCAUCCAUCAUGAAUACAAAAUUGAAAAGAAUUUCCAGAUUAAAGAAUAUGAGGAAAAAUCAUUUAAAUGAAAAGGCUGGGAAGUAAAUACCGUUUCUCACAUCCAAUAAAAUUUGGUUCGUUUUAAGAUCCUUAUUUGAUGCUUCAGUAGUUGUAUUGACUGCUUCCAAUCUUUUCCGCCAUUCGGAUGGCGUAAGAGGUGUUGCUCGCAUUGAAGGGUCCAGCAAAGGAAGAUGCGAAAUACCUCCUUCUAACUGGACGUGGGGGUGAAAAGAAAAUAGAUGUAGACAUUAGCUCACUCACAUAAAUUGUAAUUAAUUCAAAAGUCAAGAAGGAAAAAAAGAAAAAGUUUAAAAGCGAACGGAAAGGAUUUAAAAGCACAAGGUGUAGAAGAAAAAGAAGAAGAAGAAGAGAAAGCGAUUGGAGCUUGCCUGAACCAGUGAAGGCUUAUAGCGCAACUUGAGUUUUGGAAAGGCAUGUCCAUUCAGUGCUGCAGAAAUCUGUACGAGAAUGUCGGAAAAUCUCUCAUCCCCUCUUAACCAUUCAACAUAUGCAAGCGCAUCUCUUAACGGUCCACUGUACUGCACAUAAGAAUUCAUACAAACGAUACGAUUGACUACAAAAGGAAACCAAAGCAAUAUCAUUAUAGUUUAUUUAUACCAAGACCAAAAUACAUACCUGUGCAUUUAUCCCUUGUUGAUUCACAUAAAUCCGCCCACGUAUGUCACGACCCUCUAAGAAAGAGAGAUGCUUGGCCACCUCUGCCUCUGCGUCUUUGAUGAACACAAAAUGGUAAAAAUUGACGACCACCCACUCCUUGUCCUCUCUGCUUUCGUAGGUGCAUUGUUGCUGUUGUACUUGUAAAGCAACUCCCACACUACGUCCACCUUUCCAUUUUCUUCUUUCUGAAAGCCAAACGCAUUCUCUUCGUCUUUGUCUUUGUCUUUGAAUUUGGCUUUGCUGGUUAUGCUCCUUAUGGAUUAACAAGGCAAAGCAAGUUGAGGUUGAGGAGCAGACUGGCAAUUCAAAAGGAUCUUUCUUUCUUCUGCCCCCUAAAACAAUUUGAGUCAUUGUAGAGCUCCCUGCACCGGAGAUAACCGCCGGCGCAGGAAAACACCCUCUCAUCUUCUCUCUCUCUCUCUCUCUCUCUCUAAUAGCCUCUUAUCUGUUAGAGGAGCUACCUUCAGUUUCAGCAAACCGUCAGUCUGAAAUUACCGACUGUGACGAGAGUAAGCAUUCCACUACUUAUACGGUGUCGUUUUUUUCCCGGUUUUCCUUCGUUGCCCAGCCCAAAAUUAGAGGCCCGAUUCAGAUGAGGCAAAGAGCCGUACCUGGACAAGUCAGGCUCAGGCCCAAACAAAAAUGGCAUAAAUAAAUAAGUACAGUUUUUAUUAUUUUUAUUUUUUAAAUACGGUUCUUUUGGUUGGAAAAUACGGUUUAACUUUACGCUGCAAGUAAAAAUGACUCAAUUCAACAACAACAAAAAGUAAAAAUGACUCGAUAUGCUUUGUGACCGAAGAAAAAGAAAAGAAAGAAAAUAGAUAGAUUGAUUCUGCUGUUCUUGUUUGAGCGCAGCGAGCACGCAAGCAAUCAAAACCCUAACCCUACGGUAUUGCAAUUAAAUUUGUUCGAUUUGAUUCGAUUCGAUUCUAUUGGGGAAUUAAAGGAUGGGGGCGAGUCGGAAACUUCAGGGCGAGAUCGACCGCGUUCUCAAGAAGGUCCAAGAAGGCGUGGAUGUCUUCGAUAGCAUAUGGAACAAGGUUUGUGCCUCGUUUUUUUGCUUAGACAACGCAAACCAGAGCUGAUAAAUGACUAAUGGGUUCUGUGCAAUGUGAUUAGGUUUAUGAUACGGACAAUGCGAACCAGAAGGAAAAGUUUGAGGCGGACCUAAAGAAGGAGAUUAAGAAGCUCCAGAGGUACAGGGACCAAAUCAAGACUUGGAUUCAAUCCAGUGAAAUCAAGGAUAAGAAGGUCUUUCUCUUUCUAGUUGUGUGAACUAUGUUCAAUAUGCAAUUAUGAAUUCUUUUCUACCUUGUACUUGAUCAUUUUGGGCAUGACAAUUAAUUCAUUUUGAUACAUGUUGACGUAGGUCAGUGCCUCUUAUGAGCAGGCUCUGGUGGAUGCUCGCAAGCUUAUCGAGCGUGAAAUGGAAAGGUUUAAGAUUUGUGAAAAGGAGACCAAAACAAAAGCAUUUUCUAAAGAAGGCUUGGGCCAACAACCUAAAACCGUAAUUGCCACUCCCUUGCAUUUCCUUCUCUUCCCACCUCAUUUUUAAUCGAUUCCUUUUUUUUUUUUUUUGGUUGAUCAUGUCAUUGUGGCAAUGCUUAUUUCCUCAUUGCAUUUGUUGAUCUUGUUUUCUAGAAUUAAUUUUAGUUAUUCUUCAUGCUUCUUGUUUAUAAUGAGCGGUGCAUACUCUGAUUUCUUGUAAUUUUAGUGUAAUACUAAUAAUCAUCAUAAUAGAUAUAACGAUGAUAGGAAUAGUAAUAAUAAUAAUAAUCAUCAUCAUUAUUGUACUUGUUAUAGCUUAUACAGUGUAGCCCUUUUAUCCUUAUGAGAAUUUAUUUAGUAGUUGUUAUCUAAUCGUCAUUCUUCUUAAUGAUAGGAUCCGAGGGAGAAGGCCAAGUCUGAGACAAGGGAUUGGAUAAACAAUGUGGUAUGUGAAACGUUUUUGCUUAAGGUCUAUUUUUACCGAUUUAUGUACCUUAGAAAGCGCAUGAGUAGAGAAAGCAAUAUGUUUUAAGACGUGUCUGCUGCAUUUAUAGUUUAAUCAUCCAUGCUUCAUGUUUGGCUUGUGUCUGUUAUAUGUUUAAUUAUGUCGUAAUACUGUUGAAUGGUUGUGUUUCUUCCAUGUGUUGUCGUGUUUUAAAAGUAGAGUUCUUUAAUAGGCCUAUGGUUGAAAUUGGUGCCUGGUGCCACUAAUUGAGCUUAUUGUAAUGUUGUUCUAUUUUGGUUCAAUUAUUGUUUAACUCCCAAUUGUAUGUUGUUUCAUUAUAACUUGUAAAUAAUGGUCUUGCAAUCACAUUUUAUGCAGUCAAAUUUAAAAGUUGAAAUUGUAAAUUAUCAUUCAGUUAAUACUUUUGUGUUCAAUUGUGUUGAGAAGGUUGGGGAGUUGGAAUCUCAGAUUGACAGCUUUGAAGCUGAGAUUGAAGGCCUAUCUUUCAGGAAAGGGAAGGGCAGACCACCCAGACUGGUAGGAGAAAAAAAAAAACACACCAAUAGAAAAUGUUGGGGUUUUCAGCAUACUUUGACAUUGUUUCUUUGUUCUGGCAGACCCAUCUAGAGACAUCUAUUACUCGGCAUAAGGCUCACAUAAUGAAGUUAGAACUGAUCCUGAGGCUAUUGGAUAAUGAUGAACUGAGUCCUGAGCAGGUCAAUGAUGUCAAAGACUUCUUGGAAGACUAUGUUGAACGCAAUCAGGUUUGUGGUGCUUUACAUUUUACCUUUGUUUCUUCAGCAUCUCUUAAAAAACCCAUAUAUGGCAUUCUCGACCAUGCUUAUGUAUGUACUUCGCAUUACCUUUAUCAGACUUUUUUUUAAAUGAUAUUUUUAGGAGGAUUUUGAUGAAUUUAGUGAAGUUGAUGAGCUUUACAACACCUUACCAUUGGACAAAGUGGAGUCCCUUGAAGAUCUGGUUACUAUUGUCCCUCCUGGUCUUGUCAAGGUAAUUUUUCUUUAUGCAGUUUUUAUUUAAGGUUCUUAUGUUCAGUUGGAGUUUGUAGUUUUUUUUAUUAUAAGUUUUUUCAGAAAGGUCUUUUGUCAGUUGAAAUGGAUAUGUGGAAACAGGAAAUUGUUGACCAACUGCCUUUUUUUAUGGGCAUCAUGUAUAAGAGUUUGCUCAUGUUGUUUUAUUAAGUACAGAGCAAAGUUAAAUUACUCGAAUUUGAUAGCAAAACUCUGCAAUGCCAGCAGAGAUUUCUGUUUGGUGGUUUGUGGAAAGUUAAUUUUGGAUCUUGUGCUCCACUCAGAUAACCAUAGUUUCUACACUUCAGUGUUGUCAUUCAUUUUAUACAAGUUUUCCUGACGUGUAAGAAAACUGGAAACUAGAUGGCUUCUAUAUUCCACGCUAAUAGAGGUUCUCAUUAGUAGUUAAGUUCAGAUGCCAAGUUGACUCAUCCUCUGUUAACUGAGUUCUUAGUUGCGACUUGUGGUUGACUAAUUUAAGCCUAUUCCCAGUUGUUUCUUUAACUUUACAAAUCAAUUGUUUGCUUAUGAAUUUUGUUGCUUUUGUGAUCUGGAUUGCAUGAUUUUUUUCCUGGCAUCAGGUGUCAUUGAUUUCUUAAUAUACUAAGAUCGAAGGAUUAAUGAGCACGUAAAAACCCAGUUUAAUUUUUCUUUUUUUUGGGGGGCAGGGUGCACCGGUGCUUGGCUUGAAGACUUCUUUGGCAGUAUCCGCAUCUCCAAUGCCUGUACGUCCUCAGAAUCUUGAGUCAAUGUUAUUGUAAUGAGUAGGGUGUUGAGGAGUUGAAGCUGUAUGGGUUCUAUUGAAGAAGCUGAAAUUCACAUAUUUAAUUUUGUAUUUAAAAAAAAAAAAUUGCAUUCUUAAAUUGUGUAAUGGUGCAGAAUGCUGUUGAGAUGUGUUUGUGGUAGACAUUUUGCUACCUUUAUCACAUGGUGUCAUCCUUAUCUCAGAGGAUGGGGUAAAUAGUUGGUGGAGCACGGUCAUCUGUUGUUGAUCAAAGAUGGACUUGUGUUUGCCUAUAAAAGUUACUGUGCAGUUGAUUGACUAGCAUGUACUUAAGGUGAUCGUUAAUGGAAUUAGGUUCACUUCUAAUAUAAAGUGUCAUUUUGCUUGCUGAUAUAACACUAAACAUGAAAGAUUUAUCUAAUUGUUAAUUUAUUUAUUUUCAUUCGUUUUUAGUAGAUUUUAUAUCAAAUUUGGUAAUCAAUUUAAGUUAUCUUUGGUUUGUAGGAAGUUUAAAUUGAACCCUAAACCCUAGUCCUUUGCCUUCUGGUUUCCUCAGUAGAAUCUUUUAGAACUUGCAGAUAUGUAGAUGACCUCUGCUUUCUUUCUGUAAGAUGCUUUAUCUCAAUUGAUGUUACUGUACUAAGGGUUAAUUUUUUAUUUUUUUUCCAGGCCGCAGCUACUUCCACUACUCAGCAGAGUACUUCUGUACAAGAGCCAGUUGAAGAUACAGUUUCCCAGGACAGUAAUGUUGAUAAUAUUCCUAGGACUCCACCUCCUAAAAGUAGUGCACUUGCUUCUUCUCCUGCAUCAACACCAGUUGGGGGUCUUGCAAGUCCUCUCUCUGUGAGUGUUUCAUCUCACAAUUUGCCUGGUCCGCCAAGUGUUUCAGCCGUUCCAGGUUCAAUUGCUGUUCGUGGUGUCACAGAGAAUGCAGGAGCUUCUAAUUCUUCAUCUCCUGUAAGUCUGUCCGCUUCUGUGAAGGAAGAAGAAUUAGCAAGCUUCCCGGGCCGUAGACCAUCGCCAUCUCUUUCUGAUGGUGGGCUUGUGAGGGGCGUUGGUAGAGGUGGCCUCUCUGCACAGAGUCCAUCUAGUAUCCCUCUUAGUUCUAGCAAUGUAGCUCCUAGUAAUAGUACCCUUAGUGCAGCUCCUUCGGUUUCUGAUGUGACAAAGAGAAAUAUAUUGGGAGCUGAUGAGAGAAUUGGGAGUAGUAGCGUAGUGCAGCCUCUUGUUUCCCCUAUAAGUAACAGAUUGAUCUUGCCUCAAGCUGCCAAGGCUAGUGAUGGAAGUAUUCCAGUUGAUUCUGGUAAUGCUGGUGAGGCUGCUGCUAUUCCUGGCAGAGCAUUUUCUCCUUCUAUGGUCUCCAGCAUGCAAUGGAGGCCUGGAAGUUCCUUCCAAAACCAGAACGAAGCGGUAUGUUACUUUCCACUAAUAAGCUUUUCCCCUCUCUCUGCCCCUUUUAUGCUCAUAUGGAUGCAAUGUCUAAUGCUAGAUUAAUUAGCUCCUUGCAUGUCUACCAUUUGUAGAAUUCAAUAUAUGUUUGUGUAUUGCUGCUUUGCCAUUAUAUAUCUUCUUUAUUUGACUGAAUCAUAGGAUAGAAAUUUUGUUGACCAGAUCAAUGUGGUGCUAUUUUAAUUGAACUUUCCAAUUAUCAGGGGUUGUUUCGUGGAAGAACUGAAAUAGCACCUGAUCAGAGGGAGAAAUUUUUGCAGCGGCUCCAACAAGUGCAGCAAGGUCACAGUACCAUUCUCGGCAUGCCUCCUCUUGCUGGUGGAAAUCAUAAGCAAUUUUCUGGACAGCAGCAAAAUCCACUCUUACAACAGGUAUUUUUUUAUUUUUUUGGUACAUUUAACUUUUAGCUUCUGUUUUCUUCUGAUUCCGCGAACUUCUUGUGGACAAAUUCAAUAUUUGAAAAAGAGCAAUUGCUGUAGUUUAUUGAUCCUAAUUUAUAUAAUAUUUUCAUGGAAACAGGCUUGUGUUUUUUUUUCUUCCAGAAACAUCCCUUUGGUCGCACUUUGUUUGUUGAUCCAGUUAGCAACAUCUAUUUUCUAUUACUGAAUAAGAUACGUUUAUUUGGUGCAAAAGACCAACCUGGGGUUAGUUUCAGGCCCAUGGUUUGCUCCCAUGUGGACUGAGGUUCGAAACCCCAAAAGGUGCCUGUCUAGCUAUUUGUUAGUGUUUCCUGCCUCCCAAAGAUUGUAGGGCCGGCCCCAGUUUAAAAGCUAUGUCCGCUAAGCGGAUUGGUGGAUUUCUGGGUAUCAAAAGCAAAAAACAAAAACAAUAGUUGCAAAAUAAUUAUUUUACAUGAGAUUUGAUCAUAUGUGCAGUUUAAUUCUCAGAACUCAUCUGUAUCUUCUCAAGCUGGCCUCGGAGUAGGGGUACAAGCCCCAGGUCUUGGUACUGUUGCACCUACCACCUUACAGCAGCAGCUAAAUUCUAUCCAUCAACAGUCUAACCAACAGGCAUUGAUGUCGAGUGGACCAAAAGAAGCUGGUAAUCUCCAUCUUUAUUCAGUUCACGCUAUUGUAUUUUCAUUUUAUUUACUGGCGCUAUUUCAUCAUGAGGACACUUUGAUUUCUUCCACCAAGAAUUGAAGCUCUGAAUUGAAUGCAGAAAGUGCAAAGUACGUCUUCUGAAAUAAUAAGAAUUCCAUAACCAACAAAGAGUGAGAGUUUAUUGUCCAAACUCCCACUACUCAAACACUUGGGGUCUGAUUUAACAAGUAGUGGACUGUAUUGAGCAGCCCUGUGUACGUGGGUGCAAUAUGAUCGAAACUUAAUAAUCUCCUGUUUUAUGCGAUGCAGAUGUUGGUCAUCCAAAAGUUGAGGACCAGCAGCAACAACAAAGUACACCUGAUGAUUCAACUGCGGACUCUACUCCGGUUUCUGGGCUUGUAAAGAAUCUAAUUAAUGAGGAUGAUUUGAAAGCCUCAUAUGCAAUUGAUUCUCUGGUAUGCGGAAUAGUUUUCUUGAUUACUAUAUUAUGAGUCCUUGCUGACUAUAUAAUUUUUUACUAGUUAUGCAUUAUUCUUGCAUAGGUCAGGUAGUUAAUUGUUAUCAAAAUUCAUUAUAUGAUUCUGUUAAACAAUGGAUAGACAGGGUAAGAUGAACAUGGUGGCUACUCUAUAAGUACUGCCUGCCUAAGUAGAAUCUAUAGAACGAAGUGCCUUAAAUAUAAUAAAUUACCAAUAAUAACGAUGAUAAUUCGAUAUAUUUAUACAAGUCUUUGGGCUAAUUUAGUUGAGUUACAGAUGUUAUGUUCUCCAUAACUCUCUGCAUUUAUCUACGUACUAUUCCAUGCUUUUCAUUGUGGUCAAUCAAUAUCAAUACUUGUAUUCAAAUAUAAUCCUCAUAAUGUGUUUAAAUAUAAUUGUUUACUUGAUAUGUCUAAUCUUAGGCCCAUAUUAUUUAUUUAAUACAUUUGGGAAUAUAUAUUAUAUCAGAGUCUCUGGUGGUGUCUUUUUUCUUUUAUCGGGCCAUUGUUUUGCUCCUGAUUUGUGUAAAUCAUUUUUUUUUUCUGUAAGAUGAUUGCAGUGUGCAUCAUGGACAUGCUGAUUUAUUUGGAGAAGAAUGGAUGGUGAAUGUGACUUACUUGUAAAAUCUUUGUGUUUGUAGGCUGGAGUUUCUGGCUCUUCGACAGAGCCUGCUCAAGUACCACGAGAUAUCGAUCUCUCUCCUGGGCAACCUUUACAGCCCAAUCAACCUUCUGGUAGUCUUGGUGUUAUUGGCCGAAGAAGUGUUUCUGACCUUGGUGCAAUUGGUGAUAACCUUUCUGGAUCAACUCCUAAUUCUGGGGGAACGCACGAUCAGUUGUAUAAUUUGCAGAUGCUUGAGGCUGCUUAUUACAAACUUCCACAACCCAAAGACUCGGAACGUGCAAGGAGCUACACUCCAGUAUGGACCCAAUUAUCUUUACUAUUUUAUCUCCUUUUUAUUGCCCAUAAAUCUUAAUUUUUUUCUUCAAUGCUUAUCUUCCUUCCUUCCUUUUGCCAUCUACAGAGGCACCCUGCAAUAACUCCUCCUAGCUACCCCCAAGCACAAGCGCCUAUUGUUAACAAUCCUGCCUUCUGGGAACGUUUGGGUCUUGAACCGUACGGCACUGAUACCCUGUUCUUUGCAUUUUACUAUCAGCAGGUACUUCUUAUAAGUUCGUUUAAAUUCGAUGCUGUCCUUUGCUACAUUCACUAUGAAGUAUGAACUUGUUCUCAAGUGUAUUACUGUAUGCAGAACACUUAUCAGCAAUAUUUGGCAGCCAAAGAGUUGAAGAAGCAAUCUUGGAGAUACCACAGGAAAUAUAACACUUGGUUUCAACGACACGAGGAGCCAAAAGUUGCCACUGAUGAAUAUGAACAGGGGACAUAUGUGUACUUUGACUUCCAUAUCGCAAAUGAUGAUCUACAACAUGGAUGGUAUGAUUUUAUUGAUCCUUAAGUUUCAAGUUCAAGUUUCUGUGUUUCUUCGUACUUCUUGUUCUUAUGUGGAGUCUAAGGUGCAAGUUUUCAUUUGGAUGCUCUUAUGUAUAUUUCAACUUGUGGAGAUACUCUACCUCCCUUUGCCUCAAGAUAUUUGAGUAAGAGGAGCAAGAUUUUAUUAUUGGAGAGAUCAUUUAUGAGGCAUGUGGUUGCUGUUAUUUUCUCUGCAUCUGGUGUAGGGGAGAGUCUCUUUGAUGUAAAAUUUGCUUCAAUUUUCUCCCUGUUUGGCUCUUUGAUGCUUUGAUGAUUGACAGUCAUUAUCUUUAAUCUAUUGACAUUUUUGUGGCUUUGGGGCUUGGUUUGCAUGAGGGAGUGGUGCUCAUCCUCCCAGCAUGUAUGCGGGCAUCUGCAUGCACAACACAUAUGUACACACAUCCUCCCAAACAACACACAUGUGAAUAGUGAAACAAUCACUUAAUUUGGGAGGCACGCUUAUGCUUGACAUUUUUGUUUGCUUUGAUGAUAUAAUAUCUCUUUUCCAAUUACAUAAUGAUUUAACGAUUGUUAUAUGUGAUGUUUUGAUAUGGUACAGGUGUCAAAGGAUCAAAACCGAGUUUACUUUUGAAUAUAACUAUCUUGAAGAUGAACUUAUCGUUUAGAAAAUGUUCAGAGGAUGCUAUGCUACCACAUUGAGCAUGUCAUGGUCAACUUCCUGGUUUGUAAUUUUUCCUUUCCUUUUUUGUCAUGUCAUGUGCCUCUCGUCUCGUUCAUAGUAUAUAUUUUAGGCUCCUGGUUGGUACCUUAUGGUAACAUAGAGAGUUGAACUGGGAACACGUGAGGCUUUAUUAAAUGGUUUGGGGUCUUUGUUGUUUGCAGGUAAUAAUACGGUCAGAAUAUUGGUGGUGGGAGCUUGUUGAUGGUUACAGGUUUACUAGGCUUAAUGUUGUUGAUGGUAUCUACUAUCUAGUGUUUGAUUUAUUUUUAACUGUAAAAGGGAGACUAUUUUUGUCUUUUCCGUCUAUAAGGAAAUACAAAUGUAUUGUUAUUUCUCCACUUUUGUUUUAUUUAGCACAUUAUGUAUAUUGACGAAAGCAAAAGGCAAAGUUGAAAGCUCAAAGCUCAAUUGCUUGCUAGUAUUAGUAGUCUAGUAGGGUGCUAUGCUAUGGGCCACUAAUUUCUUCUAGGUUAUUAAACUUUGGUAGUAGCUCUUUUUAAUUUAAGGUGGUAAAGCAAAUGCUGCUGACUGAGUUACUUGGACUUGUUUUCCGGAGCCUAUCUUUUACUUUGAUUUUCCACUGGCAAGAGCAACUAUUUGUUGAACCCGAUUUACUUCACUCGAAUUAUUGACUGACAUCAAUCAAACCAGAGUUUGAAUGCUUGAAACUGUUCAUAUCGUAUCGUAUGUGUGUUAAACUGUUCAUAACUCCGUCGAUACAAAAUUAAAAUUACAAUAUUGAUUUUUCUUUCAUGCAUAACGACUCGAGAACGUAAACACGAGUUAAAAGAGUAAUUGUUCUUCUUAUUAAUAUUACAACCAAAUUAACGACCUUAAUUGACGAUCACAAUCGCUAAUAAAGUCAUGGAAUGAUUGUUUGAACUGGUUCAGCAUAGCAGAGUGCACACAGUAAGUCAAAGUCGUAAGUUGGUAAAAUAAUAAAAAAUGGUAAGUUAAUAAAAGUCGUAAGUUGGUAAAAGUGGUAGUUAUAAUAAGCUGCGAAUGAGGGACGUGGCAAGGUUCAAGCAAGGGAGCAAACCAAGCGAAGCGAGAAAUGGAGGUGGUGGUGUUACCUCUACCUGGUUCCGGAUCCAAUAACAAGUCCCUCUGCGGCCUCUCCUCCUCCACCGCCGCCGCCACAUCAUAUUUUAGACGACGCCGUAUUGUCGCCAUCACCAAUUCCACCAUCAACGGUUCUCACUCUUCUUCAUCAGCGGAGGCAGAGGAGGACAUCCAGAUUAAGGAGAUCAGGGUGUGCACCAACCGGACUUGCCGUAGACAAGGUUCCUUUCAAACCCUUGACACUCUCACCGCUCUCGCGCCCUCCAACGUCGCAGUCAAGUCCUCCGGCUGCUUGGGCCGCUGCGGCGCCGGCCCCAACCUCGUCGCGCUGCCUGCCGCCACUUUGGUCGCUCACUGCGGGACCACAGCUCGAGCCGUGGAGGUCCUCGUGGCACUAGUACUACUCAGCCGCCGACGAGGAGGAGGUGUUUCGAAUUCGGACGGUGCUAAUGCUAAUAAGAACAUUGAAACAAUUGCAAACAAGAGUUUGGAAGCGCUUGCGUUGAGAAACAAGGCUCGGAAUGAGCUUCUACACAACAACAAUUUCUCCCAGGCUGAAUUCUUCCUCUCUCAGGUUACUAUUAACACUAAUAUUAAUUGAUCAUUUCAUUUCAUGAUUAAUUAAUUAAUUAAUUAUGCAUGUUGGUUGUUCCUUCCUUCCUUGCUUGCGUGCUCGAAAUUUGAUUUAGUGAGCCUUGAAUUAAUUGGUGGAUGGCUUGCUUUCUUGCUUCCUUGCUUCCUUGCUUCCUUGCAGGCUAUAGAAUUAAAACCAAUUGGUGGUAUCCAUAUUAUGUAUAAAGACAGGUCCCUUGCAAGACUGGCAUUGGGCAAUUAUUCCGGGGCUCUUGAAGAUGCUGCACAAGCUUUGGCUUUAAAUCCUCUCUAUCCUGAGGUGCCCUCAAUAUUUAAUUCAUUCAUUCAUUAAUUUCUCAUUCCACUAAGUUUAUUACUCACUUUCAAAGUCCUAUAAAAGUUCAUCAUAAUGUGCAUCUUGCAGGCUUACAUUUGCCAAGGUGAUGCAUUCUUGGCUCUGAACCAAUUUCAAUCUGCUCAUAACUCAUAUAUGGCGUCUUUAGAGAUAGAUCCUUCUCUUCGACGUUCCAAAUCUUUCAAGGUAUAAUUGUAUUAGCUAUUAGUCAAUUUCGAUGACCGACCUCAGAUUCUAUAUAUCUCUAUUUUGACCUUUUGGUUUUUAAUCUUGGGAAAGUUGGUUGCUCCUCUAAAAUAGUUCUUUGUGGAGUGUUUUGGAAGUUGCAUGUAAUAGUUUCUUCUUUCCUUAUUUUACGAUCUCUGCAUAGCUCAGCUGCACAGUCAAAUAAUCCGUGAUGUCAUCAGCAUUGCAUUGUUUCACAUUUUAUUGCUAUCAUAUUUUCUCACCAUUUAUGCAGGCUCGGAUUGCAAACCUUGAGAAACUCACCACUGGAAAUAUGCCUUAAGAUCUGCAAUGUGCUUGGAGCUGUUUAUAAAUCAAUUACAGAGCUUUGAUGAUAAAAGGCAGAGUGUUUAUUCAUCUUCUAUCCAGGUUGGUCUCUGUCUUUCAAAAUUUUACCCAUACAUCAUCAUUUUUUCUUGCUAUAACUGUUUGCAGGUUUCAGACUUUUCACUGUAAACAUAUAUACUAAUAGCAAUACUAAUAAUAAAUCAUUUUAAGAAUGUUAAACUAAUGAUAAUUUUUCAUAACAAUAAUAAAUCACAAGAAGCAAAAAAUAAAAAACUCUGUUCCUUUCACUGCACUGUACUUACCAAGACAUCACAGACAUGAAUUCUAUUUCCCAAUCUCAGUUCCUGGAAUUUGAGAGAAGUGUCCAGCCAUUUUUGGCCUUGAUGGUGUGGGUUGUACCACUAUAUUAAAGGAAGGUGGUAAGGAGAAGGAGGAAGAUGAUUGUACUGAUGAAUGGGUCUGCUAUAGGAGGAGCAUUUUUAUCUUUUUCCCUUUGAAUCAAUUGCAACUGCUAUGAUAGUAUGUAUAUAUUCAAAGUUGUAAAAUUUGUAAGGUUUUUUUCGGUUCAUGAGCCUAGCACUAUGUCAUAGGAUUGGUGGGGGGAGCUCACAUUAUGCUGAUGUUACCUGAUUUGGUUGUCGUGUAAUCUACCUUGGACUUUUGUUAUACUAAGGAUCAGUAUCCAUUGUUUAUUUCUACUGAUCUUCUAAUCUACACGACACGUUUUUAGACUCGAGUGUGUGGUGGAAUCGAAUAUGUUUAAAGAAGGGGUUCCGUGGAGUCCUACUGCUUACUGUACAGUUGCCAAAACACAACUCAAACUCCGCAAAUUCAUUUCAAGGCUUAGAAGUUUUGUCAGGGAUUAAAUAUUUAAUACAUUCAUGAUUUGGGGCCUUUGGUGUUCAAUUUGCUACCCCUACAAACUUAAUGUAGACAUUGCAAGAGAUCAUCUCAUAAGAGUCUUUUGGAUUUGGAUGAUGAACUUAAUUAACAUAUAGACAUAUAUAUAUAUAUAUAUAUAUUAGGGUACCAAGUGUCGCCAUAAGAUUGUAGUAUCUGAGUUUUGAGCUGCUAGUACUACUAGAAUGACCAUAGAGUGAAGUCCAUAGGUUACAACCAUUAAGUUACGUAGAGUUUUGAUUACCUCCACAUAGAAACAAAUCCAUGUUCUUGACCCUUUCCCACAAACUGGAAGAAGAACCCUUCUUCUCCUUUCCGACGCCAAUCUCCUUCCCACUACCAUUACUAUUACCUCUCUUUAUCAGCCUCCGAUUAAUCUUCCGUAUCUGAAAGCAAACCUCCAAAUUCACCUGAUUACCAUUUAUCUUGCUCUUGUUGAUGUUGCAACUCUCUUCUUCUUCUUGUACAAGUUGAAAGGAUCGUUGGUCUCUCUUCACAAGUUGCUCAUAGUAGUCCUUGUUCCUCUUCUCCAAGCCAUAAAUCUGUCCCUGAAGGUCCUCGAUUUUACGGCUAAGCAUGCACACCCUCUGGUCUUCCCUCGUCUUGAGCAAACAGCGAGCUAGCUCGCCAGCCUUCCUCCUGAUGAAGAGAGACUCGGACGCAAGGGCUUUGUUCUCUUCCACCAAGGCACCCACUUUAUACCCCAACUUGGCAUUCUCAUUGAGCAAGAUGAGCCUCUCAGACUCCAACACCUCUAGCAAGCUCUUCUGCAGCUCUAUCUUCCUGGAUGCAUCCUUGUAUCGCCUCUCCGUCAUGUUGGCCUCAUCAAGUAAGAUAUCAUAUUCGACAUUCUUCACCACAAUCUCCGUAACGAUGGAAUCUAAAUCAAACAACAUGGUCUCAUCAUGUUGAGUAGCAACAGAAGCAGCGAGUAGUAAUGUUGGAGGCAAUUGCUGAUAGGAGAGGGAACUCUCUACGUCCGAAUCAAUGUGGCUUGUGUAAGCAUCAUCUUCUUCUUCUUCUUGGUCGUCAUAGUCAUAGUAGUCAUUAUCUAUUACUGAGAUUUGGGAAGAGGGUGGACGGUGAUGCUGAGUCUUGGCGACAGUUUGAAUGUAACGGUCAGAUAAGGUGAGGUAGGAAUUGUACAAGUCUCGAAGCAGGGAGAGGAGCUGAGGACGUCUUUUGUAGUAAGCUUCAGCUCGUUCAGCGAAGGUGUCCCCAAUCUCUUGUUGAGCUGUGGCUCUGCUACAUCCCAACAUCUUCAUCUUCUCUUCCACAUCUGACAUUAAUAUUGUAUUCUUGUUUGAAUAUCACAAUUAAAUUUAAAUGACAUCCAUUAUUCAUGUACCAUAUUUUCAAAUUGCAUUCCAAUUCCAACGUGCACAUCUAUUAUUGAGGUAAGCACUAUUAUAAUUCAUGACCAAUUGAAGUUUGAAGUUUUGAAGUUGUUUGAAUUUCACAAUGAUAGAAGAAAGCAGAAGGGCCGACGCGUAUUUAAUGUAGGGUCAGAGGGAGUGAUGUUCCUAUCCUAGUAGUAGUGUGCCUAUUUAUUUGUAGCAGAAAACACCAAACCAAACGAAAAAAGGAAGGACAUGUCACUCUCCAUCUUUCCAUUCCCUGAAGAUUCCCUCUUGUAAUUAUUCAAGGCUUCAAGUUUAAAUCGAAUUUGAAAAGAAACAGAUCAUUGGCAGCAAAGCAAAUGAGAUUGCAUAUUGUAAUAAUAAAUUGAAAAAAGGGCAUGGAGGAAUGCGCAUUGAAAGCGACGUUAGGAAAGAAAGGUCGCUGCCUCGAAUAUCAACAAAAUCAAUUAUAUAGUGCGACAAGGCAAAAGCCUAUCGUAGCUUAGCUUUCGUCAAAUCAGAGUUUCAAAUUCAAAUUCCACAGCACAGCACAGCGUCAUAUCACAUCGUCAGAUUCAGAUGCAGGAACAGGAAGAGAGAGAGAGAGAGAGAGAGAGAGAGAGAGGUGGUACCAGCAAGGAUGGACAAAAGCCAUUUGGGUUUCAUGGUGGAGGGGUCGGUGGAGGUGGUGGUGCAACUUUUAUUGCUGCUGCUGCUACUGCUUAAGCUCCUCCGUCUUGGAGUUGGAGUUGGAGCUGAGUGAAUGGAAGCCGACAUUAUUAUUGGUUUCUCCGGUGUCCUCAUAUCUCUCCGUACUUAUGACCAAACACGUCACCUUACCAGCAGAGACAGAGAGAGUCGGUCAAUAAACUUGAAAUGAAAAGCACACAACUCAAAUGAACAGAAGGAAUACAUUUAUUAUUAUUAUACACAGUAUACUUGUUAAUAUUAUUACUACCAUUGAUCAGGCAAGUAUUAUUAGGGAUAGAGAGAGGAGUGGAGAAUAGAAAUAGAAGAGUGGUUUGUCAAACGCAUUAAAUACGAGGCCCUACAAUUGUCUUCUUCUAUCCAAUUCUUCUGACUUGUCUUGUGAGAAUACAACAGCUAUGUCGCCUGUCUAGUACUACAGAAGAAGAAGAGAAGAGAAGAGAAGACAUUUCAAAAAGCGCAGAUCUCGAGAAAAGCAAGAAAGCUAAUGAUAAUAAUAAAAGAGAAACAUCAAAUCAAAACUAUUCAUAGAUAUUAAUGAACAUCACCGCGUUGCAACUUGCAACAGCAGUUACUUUCUGCUCAUGAAGACUCCACUCAAUUCCCCAUGCACAUUAUUAUUUUUUCUUUUCUUUUCUUUUCUCUUAAGCUCCAUGAUUUUUGUUCCUACUUAGUUCUUAAUUGUUUGUUAGUUUUGACUGAAAGAAACUAAAUUAAAGGUUAAAGCUAUGAUGAUGAGUUUGAAAUUGUACGACACGAGAGUGCAUGGUAUAAUAGCCUAAUACAUGAUUAAUAAUAAUAUGAAGCAGCUAACUAGCCAAGCAAAAUAACAUGAAAAUGGCUUUAAUUAAUAACAAGUUCCUGAGGAGGAAGAGGAAGAGGAAAAGGAAGAGAUCGUAUACAUGAAUGAUAAUACUACAUAUGCUUAUAUUUUGAUGGUAGAAGGAGAAUGAUCCAAGCAGCAAGCACAACAGACAAGACAAGACAAGACGAGAAGAGUUACCUUUGUACCAAUUUAGAAAACCCAGCAGCAGCAGCCUCUUACUCAAUAAACAGAAAGAGUAACGUUUGAUGAUGUUAUAAAUAAAUAAUGAGACGGAGGAGGAGGAGGAGGAAGACAAGAGGAGGAGCGAAUGGCUGUUGGGUGUUGUGUUUAGACGACAACACUUGUGGUGUGAGUCUAUUAUAUGUACUCUUAUAAAUGUACUAGUACAAUUAUUUCCUUCCUUUCUUCACUUUCUCCACUCGGAGACCGACACGUGUUUUCUCUCACCCCCUCUCCUCCUCCCUCAUUUCAAUUCAAAUUCUCUUUGGCUUUCCUGCUUUGCAUUUGGGUUUCUCAAAUUUUCUAUAUGCAAAUCGAGCAGCAAAAGCUGGUAUUAGAUUCUGAUACUAACAAGAUUUGAAUAAACUGGAAAAUAUUUGUAAUUAGUUAGUCAUAGACACUGCUUGCUCCACAGCAUCCUCGAGUCAAGUCAUUCAUUCACAGCUCUACCAGACAUUAAUUAGUUACUCAUUCUUUUAACUUAAGACUCGUAGUAUUAUUGUCUUUAUAGAAUUCUCUAAAUUGAAACAUUAGUUUACAGAAAUAGUUCCACCAGUCACAACUGACAAGGGCGCGCGUGAAGCAAAUAGGAACACCAAAUCUUCAUAAUAGUUUCUUUAUGUGUCCACACUCCACACCCAUGAAAACAUAUCUAACAAUAAAAAUGGUGUACAAAGCAGAACCAUCUCUUCAAAUGCCUAUCAGAUGUUAGUGGUACUCCAGUCAGUCUUCCCUCCUUUUCAAAAUUCAAUCGCAAUUGCUCUGCCAUUCAACAACCAAAACAACCUAGAGAUAAGCUCGCUUCUCGGACUCACUUUUCGUAUCAUCAAAUAAGCCUACCCCUUAUGACCACCAUAUCUGCACGCAACUUCUUCCCCUUCUAUAAGCCUCUCCACUGCAUCCGAAGGAAGGCCAAUCAUCUCAAAUGUCUUCUCCCACACUUCGUGAGAAGUUUCAACAUUAUGAGCUUCUUCAGAAGGAUUCGUUGGACGGCAAUCUUGAGAAAUGAAUGCACAAACCGGCCAGUCAUCCGCUUUCAACAAUUCACAGUACUCAGGAACCUGAGGAUCAGUGGCUGCAAAGAGAGCACUCCUGGAACCUGCAUUGAAUAAACCAUUACAAGGCUCGGUUUUCACAUUUCCUCACCUCCCCUCUUUUGUACUUCUCUCUUUUGAUUUGGGCUCAUUAUUGCCACUAUUGGAAAACAUCAAAGAAAAGCAGCUUUUGUUCUUUUUUAUUAAAAAAAAAAAAGACUAAUAAGCUCAUGACAUGAUCUCUUGUCACAUUUUGCAAUGACCUAUAUGGUGAUCAGUGGCUCAGUUUUCUAAUGUGUACAGAGAGGUACUACCUUAAAGAUUUCUAAUGUGCUAGCAGUUAAAUUAGGCUACUACAGUAAGUGAGAUCAGAUCUGCUAAGUAGAUCACUUUUGGAGAUCCUUCAAGUAGAAGAGUCGAAAAGUAGAGAGGUACUACAUUAAAUAUUUCAAAUUUUUGGCCUCUAUUCAAGUUACAUGUUCCAUAUGUUAUCAAUAAAAGUCUCCUAUGCCUUACGUGGUUAUAAAAGUUGGAUAGAAUCUUGACUACCUUGGAGCUAGCUAGCAGCACCUCCUGAUAGGUUAAUUCUUCUUAAGAUUAACAAGCUACAGGCUUAUAUGACUAAAAUUAUGGCCAAACUCUAAUUGUACUGACGUAAUGACAUUAAUUCAUCAACGAUUACAGUUAUCAACCUCACUUCUGGUUGGUUUCAUCAACUUAUAUAUAAGAAGGUGGAAUGGUAAAUCAAAUGUAAUAGCAAGAAGACACACCUUCUUGAGCACUAAAGAUAAAAUAGGGUAUUAGAUGAUAAGCAGCUUGAACAAUUUUGGGAAGAUCCCUUGCCUGCAAUUAAUUGAAACCCAAUGUGAUGCACCAAUGCACUACAGUUCAUAUAUAAAGAAGAAUUUAAUAUAAAAUCUAGAAGGUAAAUAAAACCUAUAACAUGAUACACUGUCAAUUAGAACUAUUAUAUAAAAAAAUAGAAGGUACAUCCUUUUUCUUGAUAAAAAUGAAGAGGAGGGUGAAGGAAUGCGUCACGAUACUUACAACAUUAGUCUGCACAAUUCCAGGUGAAACACAUGCUACAGUAAUGCCAGAUUCGGCAGGGAGCCGCUUAUGUAGAACACUACUAAACAUAAUCUGCAAUUCAAAUACAACUACGUUAUAGUUUCCCUGUCACAGCUUCAGAAAUUAUAUAGAUAACCACAAUAGUUAAUUCAUGUUUCAUUAUGUGCAAGUGUGCAGCCUUGGGUGGUAGAUAUUCCGCUUUCACAAACUAGUAGAGAAAAGAUAUCAGAGCUGAAACAGCCAAAAAAAAGCCAAUGUACAGCACCAAUUAAUUAAAAAUAUCUAACUGAUGGUAGACACAUCUGUUUUUCAAAUAUAUAAAUAUUAUAUCUAUGUACGGGACAUUCUCCCAUAAGUAUUUAAGUUAAGGAUUGAUUACAUACUUCUAAUCUCAGCCGUUGGAUUGCAUCUAAGAGAGUACCAACACAUUUAAUGAAUGCAAUCCAACAACCAAUAUUAGAAGUAUGUAACCAAUCCUUUAACAUAAAAUAGUUGUUGGAGAAUCUCCCAUCUAUGUGUGUAUAUAUAUAUAUAUAUAUAUAUAUAUAAAUGUAUAUUGACUAGCUAAACAAUUUGCAGAUCCAAAGGACCUGAAUUCAGUUUGACAAGCCUAGAUAGGAACACAAGCUUGUAAGAGCUUUUGCCAGCUAAAAUAUGGAAACCAUCAAUCAAUAAAGAUUUCCUAGAGCACCUGUGCCAGCUUGCUGCUUGAGUAACCCACUAAGCUUGUAUAUUUUCUUUUCCCAGAAACGACGUUCAUGUCUUCUGUGUCAACAAAGCCAACAUAAUGCAUCUACAUAAAGGACAGAAGUUUCUCAGAUUUAAAUAACAUGACAAUAAAAUAAGAGGAUCAAAAUGUGAAACUAAAUUUAAAAGAGCCUAUGAAUAGAUCUAAUUCUAGUUAGCAUGUACACCGACUAGCUUUUCUUUCCAUGUGCGCUUAUAUAUGGGUGUGUGAAUGCACAUGUAUCAUAUAUACCUACAACGGAAUGAUGAUGGUGAUGGAACUUACAACGGAAUUCAAAUUAAUAAUUCGACUUGGAGAGCCUCUGAUAAGGGAUGGCAAUAGCAAAACUGAGAGCAGUGCUGGAGCAAGAUGAUUGACUUGCAAGUGUUCUUCGUACCCAUCUUUUGAAAGUUUUUGUGGCUCUGAACAUACCAAAGCCAAAGGUAUAUCAGUAAAUGAGAAAUCAAAUUCUGAAGUGGUGUAGCUUUGAAAUUAAGUAAACUAUGUCAAUACAAAGACCAACCUCCAAUUGAAAAUAUCCCAGCAUUGUUGAUAAGAACAUGGAGAGGUCCUAAGCGUGCAUUCCACGCUUCAGCAAAUCUCACAACAGAAUCCAAGGAGAGCAAAUCAAGUUCCAUUACCUAAAAAAGUCACAAUCUUAUUCUACGUUAAUAAAUGUUAUAAAUUUGAUUUAGUGGGUUUGUUUUUCUGGGGUUUUACCACCCCGCAGUUCAUCAAAAAAAAAAAAUUAUUGAUUUGGUGGUGUUGCAACACGGAGUUGAGGCAGACCUCAAUAUUGGGAGGAAGGCCCAUUCCAGUCCAUUCAUUCUGCCACUUCUGGAUCAACUCAUUAGCUGCCUUCGUGUUCCUCACUGCCAUCACAACAUGCGCCCCAGCUUCCGCCAACUGCCUGUUCAGUACAUAAUAACCACCACCAGACCACACAUCCUUUUCAGUUUUCAUGUUCAGGCACUCGGUCUAAUUCAAAAUUCAAAACUGAAAUUUGGACCAAAUUUCUUUUGUAUCAUUUUCUCAGCAACCAAACAGAAGGACACCCAUCCCUUUCUUUGCAUAGUGAGUUAAGUUAUUACUAAAACAAACAAGGAAACUACAAAAAAAUAUGAAAUGAACUCAUCAAUCUUUGUAGAUUUGAAGAAAGGAGACGCUGACCUGGCAAUUUCGCGGCCGAUACCGCUGGUGGAUCCAGUGACAAUGCAAGUGAGAUCGUUGACAGGAGGCAAAGGCAUGGGGUUUUGCAAGUGGCUGGCCGUGAUUCUCUGGAACAGCAUCUCGUACACCAGAUACAACCAACCCCUUGCCCACUCUAUCCAUCCCAAUCCCUCCUUCUUCUUCUUCUUCUUCACUUCCUCUUUCGGAUGAGACGACGUCGUUGCCAUCCCAGCCUCCUCCCUCUUCUCUCUCUGAAUCUCUGAUGCGGUAUUGGGUUUAAUUUGGGGAACUCAGGACAAAACAGUAGCUUGGGCCUGUGACUUUACUGUCAAGUGACUAGUGAGUGAGGUUGGACAAUUUGGCCGGCGACCAUAUAUUGGUGUGUGUAAUUUGGGGUGACUUAAAAAUCUAAAAUAAUCUUCAUUAAUCUGGAAUCUGGAGUUGCUUGUAAUUUUCAACCAAAAUAAUAAGUAUCUUGUAAUUUGGUCAUUGCUUGGGUGCAACUCGGAAUAUAAUUGGAGGAGACAAUGGAAUAUAAAUUUUUUGGUGUUAAAUACUACAAAUCAGUUGAGUUACAAAUGUAACUUGCAUUCAAGUUUGAAUUUGAGACUCUAACUUCAAAUAGUAUACUCAAACUUAAUUAGUGCCAAUUUAUUAAGAGUGUUAGAUUUUGGAUAAAGAAUUUCUUGGAUAUUUCAAAUUUGAGACCUCAACUUCGACCAAGUAGAACAUAGACAUUGCAAUUCAAACCUAAUUAGUGAAUAACUUUCUAAAAUCGUGUUAGAUUCAAAUCCCCCGGUUUAACACAUGUGAUGUAUUAUAUCAACUCAAUGUACAAAAAUACAUGAAAUUAGUAUUAAUUAUGAAUUCGGGUUAAAACAAUAAUUAUUAUAUAUACAUGUUGAUUGUCUAUCAAAAUAGCAUAAAAUACUGUAUUAGGACCAACUGUAGGAUCAAAAUACAAUGAUUAACCAUUUAAACAGAAAAAUAUUAUAUCAUGAUUUGAACGGAGUUUAAAUGUUAAUUAUUUAACAACAAGUACAAUUUAUAGUGGGUUUAUAUGUUGUGAACUUUGAAGGCGAUGAUUGGUAAAUGAUGUGGGCUUGUUAUGCACGCGCGCAACAAUGGCACCAAUGGCACCGUGAAUAAUAUAAUAGAAAUAGGAGGGACACGUGGCAUUUCCUAUAACAGAAUUCUCACCAGAAGAGAAACAACGACAGUGUGCCACCUCUCUCUCUCUCUCUAUAACUAAAAGUUUGCAAGGAAGGAAGGAGCCAAUAAAAUGCUAGCUACGCUGUCCAAUCGAUUGAGCAAUUCGUCGCUUCGCUUCUCCAGCAUUUAUUAAUAUUCUAGAGCUUUCUUCGACUCAUUCACUACACACUCUCGCUCGUCGUCAUCUUCGUUCCAGUGACAGGCGCUGUGAGAAAAGUUGGACGAUUUUCUUUCAUCACUUCAACGAAUCAAGAACCGCAAAAGUACGUACGCAUUAUUUGAGAAAGGAAAUUAAGUCUGCUGCCUUUCUUUGACUUCCAUUGACGUUUCAAUUUCAGUUUCUUUCUUGUUAAGAUUUUCUUCAUCUAAUUUAUUAUAUAUAUGUAACUAAAGUGUAAUGCGCUUAUCUUCAAAUCAGUGUGUAAUUUGGUUGGUUAUUUUCUUGAUCGAGAAAGUCACAGCAAAUUGUUCUUGUUUUCUUUAAUUAAUGUGAUAUUAUGUAUAAAUAUAUAAUAUUAAUAGCACUGCAUCUGCAUGCAUGUUUGGUUUGGUUGCUGAUGAUUUCGGUGACCAGGAUUGUGAAAGAAUACUAUAUAAUAUCGAUCCAGAUUGAAAAGAUGAAGGGAGGAGUGAGAGCAGGAUUGGCAGUGAAGGCGAUCGUUGUGGUGAUAUUCACAUCCAUGUGGUUCCGUUGCGUCUCUGCUUUUGCUGCUGCGAUCAACACCAACCACUCUGUUGGCGGAGCUUCGGGUUGGGAUCUCUCCUCCAACCUCCAAGCAUGGGCUACUCACGCCACUUUCCAUGUCGGCGACUGUCUUGGUACGUAUCUAAUUUAAUUUAAUUAUCCUUUUGCUCUGUUUUUCUACCUUCAUCCAUCCAUCUCUGUCUUUCUUUAUUAGCUUCAUCUUUAAUUCACUGUAUAUGUUUGGUUCGUCAGAAAAUGACGAGGGAAAGAAAGAUUAUGAUUUUCUUGAUUUUAGUAAUUUGGUAAUUUGAAGAUUAUAUGAGUUUUUCACUUUAUUUUCUUUGAUUUUCUUGAUAACCAAACAAACGCUCCCUAAAUUGUACUGUGUAGUAAAAUGAUAUAUAGGAAACUGUGUGAUGGUAGGCUCCUGUGAGUGAGGAAUUGAGGCGGUGAAGAGAAACAAAACAGGGCAUAGGGUAUAGGCUAUAUAGGAUAUAGGCAUUCGAUAGAGAGAAGGGGAGUAGGUGGAUAUGGGCAUAGGAUCUGCUGUUGGUUGAAUUUGUUAGAAGAAGGGAACCAACUUUGUGUUUAAUUUGGGUGACACAGACACUGCAUAUUAGAAUUAGAGAAAAAGGUUGAAACUUAUUAAUUGCUUAAUCAUUUUGAAAUGAAUCCUUGUAUGCAUAUGAUUGAUGGUGGUGGAUGGGUGAGUGGGCAGUGUUCAGGUACACACCGGUGCACGAUGUGCUGGAAGUGAAGAAUACAGACUACGAUAGGUGUCACACAGUGGACCCAAUGGAGACGCACGACGAAGGGGAGACAGUGAUCCAGCUGAGGGAAGUAGGAAACAGGUACUUCAUAUGUGGGCGGCUGGGACAUUGUGCUAUGGGCCUCAAGCUCCAUGUCCAAGUUUUCCCUGCACAGCUUAUGACUAAUAAUGCAACCUCGCCCGCUGCUCCUCCUCCUACUACUUCUGAUCAUCAUCAUGAUCAUCCAAACGACAACAACAACAACAACAGCAGCCAUGGGAUGAUGCUGCCUUCUCCGCCGCCUGCAGAUUCUAAUUACUCCAAUAAUAAUGAUGCGGUAGCAGCCAAGACUUCUUCUACUAGUACUACUGCUGGUACUGCUGCUGCUGCUGCUUUUUUAGUAGUUGUCUUCGUCACUUUGCAUGCAGUUGCAGAGCACUCUGCAUCAUAGGAUAAGAUAGCAAGCAAAUAGCUAUACUCUAAUCUUCAAAUACCAAAUAUCAUCCAUCACCUACCUGCCUGCCUGCCUGCCUGCCUGCCUGCCUGCCUGCCUGCCUCCCCUCAGCAUGCAGCAAAUAUUAUUACAAGGUUGAUGAUAUGUUUGGCACAGCCAACCCAUUUGAUAUAUUUGAUCCCUCUUGUCUACUUCUAGUAUGAACAAUCACCAAUUGCCUAGUUAUAUGAAUUCAACUCACACAAUAUUAUUUUCUCAAAUUCACCAUUUUCAUUUCAAUUUACAAUCUUUUACACACACACCACACUCAUAUUCACUUAUGUUACAUAGCCUUAAUAUUUCUACUUUUUCUCUUUUUUGGGUACAAAUAAUUUCUACUUAUCUUCACUUAAUUGUUAUCCUUUCCAUUCCUUCGGGUUUAUGAGCUACAAAUAUAUGAGGCCCAGUCAGGUGAACUUUUAAACCUUCAUUUUCUCUGCCGAGCAUAACGAAUGCCACUACCAAAACGCAUAUUGAUGACAAAAAACAAAAAGAAGACAAUUUAUUGAAGGCGUCAUAUCAUAUAGAAGCAGCUAGUGGCUGGUGGCGCUUUCAACCGACCAGCUCUGAAUUUGAGUUGGCACCCAUUAGUUACUUCACCAGCAAAAUCCAUGAUGCUCACUCCCUUCCCUUUUUUUGUGGAGGGGAGUGAGUCGAUGGACCCAAUAUUAAUAGUUGGGUCAAUUUCAAUGUCCGUAUUCCAUACCCAUCAAGAGCCCAAAAAGUCUUUAUUAGGCUCAAGCACAAGCAUGGGAGAAAGUUCCAUUGUGUGAUUCUUCUUCUUCCAAUCCUGAUUCCUACUCCUACCUUACCUUGGUCAAGGAAAUUAAGGGGACCUCUGUUUCUUCUAUGUCCCUUUAUAAAUUCAAAAGGUACUCACUCUGACUGACUAAAGCAAAUGCAAACUCUGCACACAUGGGAGCUCUGACUGAUAAAACUUACAUGAAAAGAAGAAGAGAAUUUCACAGCUGAGAGCUCUGACUCUGAGCUCUACUGAUAAAACUUAUACGAAAAUAACUGCAUGAAACCAGUGAUAGGAGUGUGAAUGUGAUGUACCUUCAAAGUUGAUUCUGAGAAUCUCUCAUAGUCCUUGUUUGUUCUACUUCUACAUCUAUUUAGUUUACUACUUGCAAGCAAACUAUACUAUAGUCUAUAGUCUAUAGGUUACAGCAUACAACAACACACAAAAUUUGCAUUUACAAGAAGAUGAACAAAGUACAAACACACCAAAAUUAAUAAGCAUAUAUAUAUAUAUAUAUAUAUCAUUAAGAGAAGCUAAGCUAGAGGCCACCGUUCACAAUCUCCCUGAAACGGCGUUGAUCAGAUUCUAGCCUCUGAAGCCUCAUGUCAUUGUUGAACUUCUUGAUGAACGCCUCUGCUCGCUGGUUCAACUCUUCCUGAGUCAUGGACUUUUCCCUUCUCAACGACACCCUGUCGCUAAAAGUGUCUGAUUUCUUCAGCUCCCGACGAGCCCAUGUCACUGCAUCAUCCUCUCCAUGAACAUCAUCAUCAUUAUCACCAUCAUCACCAUCUAAGUUAGAGUGAUGUAAUUGUAAUUGAUGGUCAGCACCCCCUUUGAAUUUAGUCCUUGUCAGGGCCAAUUGGGUUAAGCGAGGAGGGGUGUCCCAAGUGUCACUCUUUUUUAGGUGCUUACCAAUUGCCUUGCCUUGCCCCUCCAUGAUGGCCUUCCAUGUGGUGUCCAGUGUGUUAAUAUCCUCUCCCACCUCCACCUCCACCUCCAGCCUCGGCAUCUCCACAGAUUUCGUCAACAAGUCGCCGGAGGGCAUUUCCGGUGAAGGGUCAAAUCCCUGAUCAUCAUCAUCAUCAUCUUCUGCUGCUGCUUCUUGUUUGCCAUCAUCAGCUUGUACUAUGUGUACGUCAUGCCAGCUCAUCAUUUCAUUAUUCGGGUGGCCAUGAGAGGACGGAGAAAAUAAUAGAGCAGUUACAUCCUCCUUGGAAAGACUUUGGAUUGUGUCUUUGGAAUGACUUUGGAUUUUGGGCUGCUGCUGUUGCUGCUGGGACAGAGACUCGGAUUGGAUGCUGCUGUUGUUGUUGUCUGGACUAUUGAUAUAAUUGCUACCACUGUCAAUAUUGUCGGCGGUUUUGGCUGCAUUGUCACUAAUGAAGGAGCUGAAGCCUACAGAAGAAGAAGAAGAAGAAGAGGAGGAGGAGGGCUGCUGGUGUUGCUUUUGGUUUUGGAAUGUGGAGGAGGCAGCAAUGGUGAUGAUGAUGAAGUUGAGGAUGAUGUAGAUGUAAAGUGGAGAUAAGAAGCAGCUUUUGAAAGAGGUCCAUAGCUGGGGAACGAUGGAAACAGUGAGAUUCAGAAGGUAAGGAAUGAUUGCCGCUUUGAAGAAUACCAAAGUGGAGACUGUCCCUACACAAAGCAGUAACAGCUUUGCAGCCCAGAUUGCUGUUUCCAAUCUUGCUCUUUUCAACACAUCCCCCGUCAUGUUUCCUGAUCCGAUUGCUUUCUCUCCCAAAUUCAAAACAAACCGGUCUUGAGAUAAUUUGAGAAAUUCAAAUUCAAUCAAGUCUAAUAAACUUGUGGAAGAUUAAUGCUAUGAAGAAGAAAGAAAGAAAGAAAGAAAGAAAGAAACAAGCAUGAAUGUGUCAAAAACCACAUGCUCUGCUCCUGCUCAACAAAAGAGACCCGAAAUAGCAUCUAAAACCGCCAUUUUAAAACAGGGACUUGGAAUUUGGAUACGCUAUACUAUACAAAGAAGAGGUGGAUGAGAGAGACAACAAAAGGGAGGGUUCCUAAAUCAGCAUUAAAAAAAUAUAAUUGCUGGUUUGUAUACCUCAAGGUUCAAGACUCAAGACUCAAGACUCAAGACUCAAGACUCAAGAGAAGAAGAAAUGUCUGCCUGCCACUUGAUGAAAAAUGUUUCAGCUGAGGUUAAGGAAGGAGAACGUAGCUUAGCUAGGAAUUACAGGAUCACAUAAAAAGUUGGAUCACUCCUUUCCUCCUAUAUAUUUAUAUGCAAAAGUUUUGAACUGAAAUUGAAGUGAGAGUGAGCAGCUGUUAGCCUGGUAGCCUGGUAGCCUGGUAGAGAAAGAGAGAGUGAAAGGAAGCAUAUGAAAUUAAGGUUGACCUUCAUAAACAGCUAAGAAUGGACAGAAAGUAAAGCAAAGAUUGGAUGCAGUUUGCAGGGGGACUUUGCAUCUCUACUCUACUUCCCAAUGGUUAUGGUACGCUACUAACAUAUACCAGACACCAGCUGCUGCUGCUGCUGCUGCUGCCUAUAUAUGAAAUAUGAAAUAUGAAAUAUGAAAUGUGAAAUGAAAGGAAAGACCACUACUAGGUAGUAGCUAGCCAGGGAGGAGGAGGAGGAGGAGGAGGAGAGUCUCAGACAGAGUAGAAGAACCACAAGGCAAGGCAAGGCAUGGCUUAAAUGCACGAAAUGGCAUUUGCCUUUAUGUAUGUGUGUGUGUGUGAGGCAGGGCUUAAACUCCUAACAACUAUUCUUCCUUGAUCAAAUCUCUGCCGUCCAAUGUUCAAAUCCUCUGCUGAAUUAUUUGACGUUUAAGAUUUCAUUAUUACUUGUCUGUUUGUAUGUUUACUUACUUUUAUUAUGGUCAUGGCCCAACAAGUUCAUCUUAGAAAAAAAGUUAAGGAUAUUUAAACCAAAAUCUAAUCCCUUUAAACGCGCCGCUUUCAUCCGCGGCCAUGUCGUAUACCAUCAUGUUGAGUGGCGCCAACUCAUUACCGCAGAGCCAUGUCGUAUAUAUAAAUGUCAAACCUAUGCUAUGCCUUUCUUUCUUUCUUUUACUUAAACAGAUAUCUACUUUAAUUAAUUUGCGUUAAGCCCGCUCAACUCAAAUCUCAAAAGCACGAACUUAAUUGUUUAGCUGACUCAAUUAUUACAAAUUGAAAUAAUGAAUGAAGGAAAUAUCAUUAAUUAGUAUUUAGGUUUAGGGUCAGAUUGUGUGGGUAUGGACCCUUAGGCAGGGGCCAUUGGGGUCUCUUGUCUGUGCCCAGGGAACACUCACAGCCAUGCACUCAGUACCCACCCCACCCACCGUUAGGCUGCCUGCUCUUGAGCUUUCGGAAUUCAUUCAUUCCUUCCUUCCUUCCUUCCUUCCUUCAAGUUACAACUAACAACAACCCUUUUUCCUUUUCUUUUUAUAUAUCUUUAUUAUUUUUAAAUAUUUAUAUAAAUAUUUCUCGUCAAACUAAUAGUGAUAGCUCACUAGCUACUUACCAAAAGCCACUCUGUGCUGUGCUGUGCUGUGCAUGCCAAGCCCCAACAAAUUUAUUUAACCUCUCCUCUCCCUCAAUCAGUAAGUAUUAUAUAUCUCAUUAUAUUGCCAAGAGUAAGAGAUGAGGAAUGACAUGGAGGAGGAGGGGACGGAUGAAGAAAAUUCAAGAUUAUGUGGGACAGACAGACAGACAACAAAGGCCUUGGUGUAAGUUUGGGAACCGUCAAUUCAGUUCAGAAGAGCAUGCAUUGAUUUGAUUGAAGUACCCACCCAUGACCCAUGACCCAUAUAUAUAUAUAUAUAUAUAUAUAUAUAUAUAUUAAAAAGUGUGUUAAAACAAAACAACGUCACUUGCUGCUAUGAGAGAGCUAGCUACACUACAAUUUACAGAGACAUUGAAUUCACAACAUCAACUUUAAGAGAGAGAUGAAAAUUCAGUAAGUGGUAUAUUUUGCUGUCGUUGAAAAAACAUAUAUGUAAAUGAAAUAUCUUCUUCACACAAGGACGGAUGGAUCACUCACUAGUACUAGCUAGGUGCUUGCUGGCUGGCUCCAUCAGCCAUCAUCAGUGAUCAUGGCCAACAGUAAUCUAUCUGCUAUCAUGCUCUUGGAGUUUUUCCUUUUUCAUUUGAUACUGCGCAAAUAUGCAUACAUCUUUUUUAACUGUAGCCCUAGUUAAAAAAGAGUAUUAAUUCACUUUCCCAAUAGAAUUCAAGAUGUUGUAAUAUUAAUUCUUUAUAUUUAUGAAUCAGACUAACUAACAAGUCUCAAGUUUGAAUUCCUCUAAUCCUCCUUUUAAUUCAAAAAUUAGAGAGUAUAAUGGACCCUCUAGGCAAAAGUAUAAUGAAAAAAACUUUAUCAUAUGCAAAAAGAGUCAAAAGGAAAGAAUUGAAAAACCUUAUCUCUAUCUUUAUUGAGAUUAUUUUUUCCAUAUAUAUAUAUAUAUUAUAUAAAAAAUACAGGCAGGCAGGUGUAACAAUUAUAUUUGCAGUAGAGAAUAAUAGAUAGGUGAAAUUUGUCCAAAGACUGAUUUUAUAAGUUACCACUUACCAGGAGAGCAGCAUACCAUUGUCCUCUCUCUACCAUUUUAAAAUGGUUUGAGAAGGUUCCACUUUGACUUUGACUGCCACUUCAAUUUUCUUUGGAUCGGCAGCAAGAUUAAACAAUUCCAUAUUAUUAUGGAAUGGAAUGUUCCAUAUGUUAUGCAGGUGAGCUGAUCAUCUUGAGUUCUUGAGUUCUUGAGUUGAUCAGGUUGAAGUUCAAUUAAUGCCUAAUCAGAAACUUGUAAUAAUAAUUAGAAUUGAACCCAGAACUUGCUCUUUAAUAUAUAUAUAUAUACACCUGCACACACUGCACUGCACAGUCUGUCUGUGUGCUGCAUUGCAACCUACAAAUCGUAAGCCAAGGGAUAAGCCAACCAGUGCUAAUAGCAAUGGAAUGCACUAUUCUUGGAUCUUUUAGCAAGAUGGAGACACAUUGGUAGUAGCUAGGGGGCUCUAUGCCUAUAUAUAUAAAAGCCUCCUUCCUAUUCCUAAUUAGUAAUUUCCUAUAUGUUGAGUUGUGUUGAGGCAUCCAUCCACUAGAAACCAAACCACAUUAGCCAGAGAGAAGCGCUAGUGGUGAGUCUCCACCAAGCGGCGCCCUAUCCCUUUAACCCUUUCCAUUACCCAAUUGCCAAGUGGCCAAUGGCCCUGGCUCUCCUUUUAACUUCUCUCUCUCACUGUCACUAGUACUAUUAUACACAAGGAAAGCUCAUUAUGAUUAGGCUGAUGGGCAUAAAAACUACUGAAUUGUCAAAACAUAUCUAACCUACAAGAUUCGGUUUGGUUUGGUUUAGCUCGAUUACACUAGUGAUUUUUCGUAAUACCGUAUUUAAUUUGAAUUGAGACAUGAAUGACAAUUCUAUGGCUGAUUAAAGUGGUAUAGUACGGAUCAAAUCGACAUGUGCUCAUCUCUAAUUUUAAUAUAUUAACAAUCUACCAUGGAUUUGGAAGUUUCAUGAUCUUUCAGUCUUUAUUGAAUCAUUUGAAUUGUGAAUAAUGGCUGGCUGAAUGGGUCCCCUCCCCUGAAGUCUAAAAUUGGAGUGGUCUUGUACUGAGCAUGCGUCUAUAAAUUGCUUGCUUGGGCUGGAAGGCUAGGCCCCCAAUUUGCUGGGCGGCACCUGCUUUGCUCCCAAGCUAAGCUAAGCACUAAUAUUGCGCUUUUGCGUAUUUUUACCAAAUAUUAUUCUUAUAUAAUUAUUAUAUGUGGUUGUGUGGGUGUGUGGGUGGCCCUCUUUUCAUGAUUCCUUUUCUCCAUCACCCUAAAUAUCAUCAGUUUUCUUCUUCUAGUGCCAUCACCUUGUCCUCUUUCUUUAUCCAAUAUAAUUAUUUCCGCAGCACCAUAUAAUAUAACACGAGCAUUUCAAAGCACAGCGCGCUCUCUCUCUCUCUCUCUCUCUCUCUCUCUCUCUCUCUCUCUCUCACCAAGUGUUGUUGCAUUGCACCUUUUAAAUAGUUCCAUCAAAGAAAAGAAACCUAUAUAUCUUUUAUAUUUGAGGAGAAUUAAUGCAAAUUAAUCACUAAAUCAUGUAUAGAGUUGAUUAAUUAACGAGUAUUUAACCCAAUACAAUAUUAUAUUUAUAUAUGUGAUGGUAAAGAUAUAUUAAUUCCUGCUAUAUAUGCUAUACCAAAACCACCAAUAAGUUUAAAUUAUGAUACAGUAGUAGUUGCUUCAGUCCAACAACGGAGUGAUGACUUGGUUGGUGCCGUGCCAAGGACAAGAAUCUAUGGUUCUAUGAUUGGGAGAACCCUAUCAAGUACCAAGUAUCAAGUACCAAGUACCAAGUACCAAAUACCAAAUACCAAAUACCAGGAGAGGAGGUCCUGGUCCUCCUCCACAAGAUUAAAAAAAAAGCAAGGACAAAACAAAACUCUUUUCUUUGGAUGGGUUGGUCCCUUGUACUUUCUUGUACAUAUACAUGUGUACUUAUGAAAUAACAAAUGUCGUGUUGUAGGUCAUACUAAUUUUACUUUGCCCCUCUGCUAAGUCAAAUUAAUAGUUUCUUUCUUGGUGCUCACUCACUUCCACACAGUUGGUUCCAAAGACCAACUAUAUGUAUUAUGUACCGUGUACGAGGGAAGGGCCACUGGCCAGGCCCUGAAUGAAUGAAUGAAUGAAUGAAUUAGUGUGUCUUGGAAUAUUGGAGAGAGAAAAGAAAAGAAAAGAAAAGGAAAGAUUAUCUCGGUUGUUAGUUGUUAAUUAGUUUCAAGUUUGAAUGGAUUAUAUGUAUCAUGUAUGUAUGUAUGGAUGAUGAGCUAAAGCAUCGUCAAGCAUCAUCAUCAAGCAUCGUCAAUCAUCUCCAUCACAAUGAAACAUGAGACAGUAUUAUAAUGACUCACUCAACCCAUUACCCAUGUGCACAUGAUUUUGUUGGCUUGGCUUGACCACGAUUCAUUUCUGUCAUUCAAAAAGAUAAUUAAUCUAUUCUAUGGCACAAGAAGAAUAAGAAAAUGUAACCUUGCCCUACUUCCCCUUUCUUUAAAAUACAAUCUUUAUUCAUUUGCUAUGUCCUUGUCCUUCAUUAUAUAUAUGACUACAGAAUCGUCGACUUAGCGCAUAUACAAUUCUUCAAUAAAAAAGAACUAUAUAUAUAUAUAUAUAUAUUAAAAUAGCUGAUAAUUUCAUUGUAGAUAGAGUAUGCCAUGCAUUGAGCACAGAGAGCAUGCAUGCAUCAGUCCUAUUAGUUCGGUUCUUUUCUUUGUGCAAGUCAUAUGUAUCAGAAGAAUGAAGAUGUGAUCAGGAAGGAAGGAGGGAGGAGGGGAGAGAACAGUUGAGAUGUCAUUUCACUGUUAUUGCUUGGAAUAAUAAUAAUGUGGGGAAAGUUAUUGCUUUGCCUCCAUCUUUGGAGGCAAAUGGGUCAAGCCUGCCAAACCCGUUCGAAUUAGACAUUUGUUUUAAUUUAACAACAGUUGAGUUGAGUUGUUUAUAAUUAUAAAUAAAUAGCAUACAAUUAUUGUUUUUCUGACAUUCUCUAGUAUAAAAAUGAACCCAAUCCAUAAGCGAUGAGGCCAAGACAACAAACACUACUUGUUUUAAAUAUUGUUUAGAUGGUUGAUUGGUUGGCCAAGCAUCUAAUUCAAGUAUGCGUGUGCGUGUGUGCGUUCUAAUUAAGAAUUAAUAAUUAAUUAGAUGCUUGGCCAAGACAACACACACACACAUACUUGGAUCUGCAAUGAAAUGAAAGGUGAUUCAUUCAGAUUUUUUCCCCCAACCUCAUUGGAUCUGCAAGACAGACGCCUCCUCAUUCAGGAUCAGGAACAUGUGUCGGCAAAUUUGACCCUAUGAUAAUUCAUACACAAUCUAAUAAUGAGGGCUACCAUAUUAUAUGAUCCAUAAACUAAUGAAAGCUACUUCGUACUUCUUCCUUCUCGAGAUGAUGAAGUUGCUGCAAGUGUUAGGAGAAUUCUGUCAUGAUAAACAACCAAAACAAUGCCCAAAUUGGUGCUACAUUCGUUUACUGCCCAAAAAUUUUAAAAAAAUCAUUCAUACUGUUUGCUCUCUAUUGAUCAGCAAGAAAGGAAAAACAUAACAUCUCAACUUCUUAAAAACCAAAAAGAAACAUGACAGGGAGAAAAAUGUAGGAACAACAUCAUAUCUUAGCCACCCGCUCUCCUGUCUUCUUAGUAAGACCUACGAAAUCUUGUAAAAUCAAAUGCUCACUUUUUUUCUUCCUCCUGAAUUCUAAUAUUAAUAUUACAUUCUUUCUCAGGUACUGUACUGAUCUGAUACUACAGAUUCCCUCUGUAAUAUGCAAACUAUGUUUUUUUUUUCAGAGAUGAUGCCAGGCUUUCAAAAUUACCAUAUCUCAGCACCACAAAGGAGAAGGCUGUGUGGUGUAACACUGUAUAUCUUGAUUGAGAUCCAAUCCUGUGUUGCCGUGUAGAAAGAAGGAAAUAUUAAUCAUUCAUACAGGAUAGUACUUUUGAAGGUGACAUGAGAACAACUAAAUUAAGAGGGGUAUCGAACUGCACAAUAUAAAUAAAAGCAAAGGCUGUCCUACACAAGCACGAGGGAAGAAGAAGAGACAGGUUCACAGACCCUGCUCUUGUUCCAUUGAAGGAUUGCCAAACUGGAAGGUAUACUAUAGGCAUCUACAAUUAUCUCAAAUAGAAAGUUUUGACACACAACAUUUGCGACAUUAAGGUCUAGAGGAAGAUGCAGGACAUACUUCUCUUUCUCCCAUCAAGGUAUUGCAAUAAACAAUGUUUACGGGGAUCUUAUGAAACAAUUUACAUGGAAUUAAUUCCAGUAUAUAAUGCAAAACAAAACCAUUGCUCUCAGAUGCUACGAACAUUAGAUGCAAAUUUGACAUGUGGUGCAAAAGUGCCAGGUAGUUUGGUUGGUAAGUCUUUUGGUAUCGGGGAAAGAUUUAAAAUUAAAUCCCUCCUUCUCAACAGGGUUAUCUCCUCUGUGGUGUUAGUCCAUAGGCCCAAACGGGCCUCCACUGAUUAGAAAAGGUUGACUUAUAGUACUUAAAAUAGCAAACCUUGGUGAAGAGGUAUAUAUCCUGUCAAAACUGUUCGAUAGGAAUACACACUGCCCACUCCAGUAAUUCCAUGGGCUUCACUCAAAAAUAUCUUCUCCUGCAAAAAUUGAUUUGGAUUUGAGAGUUCAGAAUGUAGCAAAUCUUGAAUGAUCACAAGGUCAGAGCUGUGUCCAAUGCCAUGAUAAGCUUAUGUUUAUCCGGCUUUUUUUUUUUUUUUUUUGGGUUGAAAAAGGAAGAAGAAGAGGAACAAGAAAAAGGAAAGAUUGCUUCCGCGUCUUUUUCUACUGACCCAGAGUUCAAUUUCAGUAGUUUCUUGAGAAACCCAACUAAAAAUAUUAAAUAAAUAAUAAUAUUUCUUUUUAAAAAAAGUAGCACCAGUUCUCUUACAAUCAAAAGUUUGCCAGCGUGGAGGAGUGGGAUAGUCCUGUUUUGCAUCAGGGACAUAAAGCAAGCUGAACAGAUCUGUUGUACCGUUGCUCUUGUUUGAGGCUGUAUCACAUUCCAUCAUAGAUGGUGGCCCAUUUGGCGGAGGUGAAGUAGUAAACUUAUGAUUCAAAUCUAAAGAAAUCUGCAACGAACAAAACAAAUAUUAACCAGUGAACUCCUUAAACUCGGUCAAAUGUACCACAAAAAAUGACUUAUAGCAAAAGGAGCAUUACAAACACAUUUGAAAAAGCACGUAGAGAAACAAGAAAGAUUAGAAGGCAUACAUCAAAUCGCAGAAGCAGAUAGGCCCGGGAAAGUAGUGACCUUUCUCUUUUGUUUUAUCUUUUUGACACUCAAAAUCAGUCAUAUUAUAUGUUAAUUGCUACGGAUAAAGAAAUUUUGUGGAAGACAAUUUUAAGAGAGGCCUAAGUAUGGUAUGUUAGGUAUAUUAAAAAAGGGUAGAGGAAAAUCAAUAUUGUAAAACUUCUUUGUGCUUCACCAUCAGACCUAAUUUCUCAAUCUCAUAAACUCCAAAGAAAGCAACCCGCCCAGAAAGAAUCUGGACUUUCUUACUCUCAGCUUUAAACCGCCAAGUUCUAAAGCUCCCUCAUUGAUCCACGAAUGAGCAUGACCCAACUCAAUUAAGGAUCAGAAAUAAGCAUAAAGAAGUCUAAUUAUAGUGGAAUAUUCUACAAACACACCAAGUGGUAGAAGCACCGUAAUCAAUGACAUCUACAUAACAGGUUUGUUACAAAUGCAAAGUACGAAGAAGGAGCAAUAAACAUUUUUAUGUACAAAUGCAAAGUACGAAGAAGGAGCAAUAAACAUUUUUAUGUACCUAAUAACUACAAACAAAUUAAUGGUUUUAAGCAAUAAAAAAUAAAAAACUUAAUAAGAUACAAAAUUUACCCCACGGGAUCUUGCCAUUGAAGGAGCACUUUGUCCCAGGUGCUUAGAAAGUACUGCUUCUUCAAGAGAAUGUCUCCUUGUUUUCUUCGGAACUUCGCUUGUAGCUCCACCUUCUACCAACUUGUUGGAACUGAUGCUCAUUUCAACUAGUUUAGGAGCCGGUUGUUUUGCAUUCUUUGCAACCCACAUUUUUCCUUCAUACCUAAAAGUUGCUAAGAAAGUUAAGAACAAAAGGAAAUAAUAAACAACAAAUUCUUCAAGUUGCACAUGAAAGCUCAUAAUUAGCUUCAUCAAACAACUUACUUGGCACGAAUAAACUUUUUGAUCUCGCUUCUUUCAAAAUGUGCCGGCAAUUCUUUUUCCCAAUAACUGUUUGCCUUUUCAUUACCCACAGCUACGCAAAGAUACACAGAAAGUUGAUUAGUAUGAUAAUGAAUCAGAACAUAUUAGUCAGUUAGACAAGAGAUAAAAACCAUCCUGAGCAAAAGCGAAUACGGAAGUGAUGUUCUCCAACAGCUACUUCAGUCCAAUUAUUUAGGGGGAAAAAAAGGAAAUAGAGGAAAAAUAUAUAUUCACUAAGAUGAGAGCAAUGCAUAUGCACCAGUUACCGUAGGAAUGCCCAUGUUUCUGAACCAUAUAAACAAUGAUGACAGAAGCUGCCUGCUUGUAUGGUUUACCAAAUUUGUGUAGUCCUGUCUUACUAAAUUGAGAGUGUUUAUGCUUGUAUAACAUGACCAUGCAUGUAUGUGGGGUAGAUAGAUAGAUAGAUCAUCUAUUAUAGAUGAUAAUAUAUAUAUAUAUAUAUAUAUAGAGAGAGAGAGAGAGAGAGAGAGAGAGAGAGAGAGAGAGAGAAGACGAGAGAAGCUGAAUGGUGUUCUUACAUUCCAUAAAAGCAACCUGUUCUGGCAGCCAUGUAUCCAAAGUAGUAGACCGUACCUAUUUCAAAAACAAACCAGGCUACGCUAUCAUUAGAACAUAGAGCUGCAAUUAUAUGAGACAUAAUCUAUUCAAACAGAUUAAUGAUCAAAUAAAGAAAAUUACUGAAUUUUGGUAAACCAACAGGUCAGUAGCCAGAACAUAUAAAUAGCUUAUAGUACAUUCAGGCUAUGCCAGUAACCAAACAUAAUUUUACAUUCACAUGACUAUAAUAAUGAAGAGUGAAGCCAUUCCCAGAUAACUUCUCAUUAGUACCAAUCCAAUUGAAUUUUAAAAGCCAGAGAAGGAAAGAAUAAAAACAAGAAAAUUUUACUGACUAAAAAAGGAUAUGAAAUAGAGGAAAUAGAAAAAUGAUAGGUAGGCAAAUAAACCUUUGAAAUAUGCACUCCAAGACUACGAUGAAUUCCUGAACAUUGCAUGCAAAUAAAUAUUCCCAGGUUCACACUUGCCCAUCGUGGGGCUCUGAAAGAAAAAUAUUGCAGCACAAAAAUUUCAUUAAUAUCCAUAUCAGAUUGCCACCAGGCUUGGGAAAACAAAUCUAAAACUGAAAUUGAAGAGUUUUAGCAGUUAGUUUAAAAAGCUUUAACACUUAAAAGAACCUUCCCAAACCUAAGGAAACAGAUUUUGGGAUAAAUAAUUGAGGGUCCAAGAUGAGUAACUCUAACUCAAAGGAUUCUGAAUUUCAAGAUUGUGUGUUAUACAAAAUUAUUCUACUUGUGCACGCAUACUUGUUUUCCUAAAUGAGACCUCAGUCAAAGAGAUGAUGACUACCUACAAACUAAAUGAACAGGAACAUGAACAUGGUUGUGUACACAACAAGAAAGAGAGAGAAAUUCGAAGAUAUGAGUCUGAAGCAUCAUCAAGAAAUGGCCAUCAAAUAAUCGGAUUUUAACCAAAGACUAUGAAAUGUAGCAAAUUAAAGUACUUUAAGACAGAAGAAAAAAACACAUUAAAGAAGGAAAUGAAUUGCGAAAUGUGUACUUGCUCCGACAAUCAGCACAUUCCCUGUUUUGCGGCAGCUUAAGAAGACCUUCUAAAAUCUGGACGCACAUGUAACAACACAGCAGACAGAAUAAUUGCAAUUGUAAUAGAUGAAUGUCAAAUAAUAAAAAAAGUUGAAACAGAAAAAGAAAGGAGACCUUGGAGUGUUUGGCGUUGAGCUCCUUGGAAACGGAGGCUUUGUCAUUCAUUGUUGAUUGCGGGCGUGCCUCCCUUCGUUACUGUGUUGGUUUGGUUGAUAUGGAACCUGAAACAACAACAACACAAUAACACAUAGACAACAGAAGCAACGCGGAGAGAGAGAGAGAGAGAGAGAGAGAGAGAGGCAAGCAGACAGACAGACAGACAGACAGACAUACAGACAGAUUGAGUCUUGAAUGAAGGUAGAGGCUCAACAAAUUCCAAGGGGAAACGGUUGGCAUUCCUUAAAACACGCCACAGUCAGUGUUACUUCAAUUUUCCAUUUUCCUUCCAACUAUACUAUAUAUAUACUCAUUCUAUUCUAUAAAUCUAUUUGAGUUUUGAAUUUUGACUGACCAUCUCUCACCUCAAAAAGCAAGCAUUAUGCCCUGCUACACAUUCAACAACAGAAUCCAGAUGACAAAUUUAUAGUUGUAAAAUUAUAACGCAUAUUUCUGAAAGAGAUUGGUAUUUCAAUUUCAAAGUUGGACUCAGUAAAAAUGCAUACAUCAUCUGAUAAAUCGAUUCAUAAAAGAUAGAACGAGAAACCCUCAUAAAAAGUGACAAGGAAGGAAAUAGCAGGUGGAAAUUGGAAUGGCUUAUUUGGGGCCAAUCUCUUGGGGAGUCUUGGCCACAAUAGACAGCGCAUGGAGACCAGACUGGAGCUCGUCGGCUAAGGCGUCGUACACCAUGCGGUGUCGUUUCACCAGGCUCUGCCCCUCGAAUUUUGGGGACACGACCUUGAGGUUGAAGUGCGUUUCGCCAUCCUUGUUGUUAGCGUUGGCCCUCAUGGCGGCGUGGCCUGCGUGCUGAUGCGACACGUCUUCUAUCUCCAAAACGCUCGCUUCCAACGCCGUCUGCAAUUUCGUCCUCAUUCUGCUCGCUCGAGACAGCUGCAAAACCUUCGCUCCUCCUCUUGAACCCAUUUUUCUUUUUCUUUUUUCCUUUCUUCCUUUCUUCCCUAUACUCCCUCACUCCAGCUGCAGCACAAACACAAUACUCACACACUGUGCAUUCACUUAAUAAUUCUUUUAGAGAUAUAUAAAAUAUGGAAGAAAAUAAAAACAAAGAAUAAAAAAUGGAAGGGAAAAAACAAAAGUAUGCGGUGAGCGUGGAUCGAACACGCGACCUUCAGAUCUUCAGUCUGACGCUCUCCCAACUGAGCUAUCCCCGCAAUUGUUGACACUUAUUGAAUGAUAUAAUUAUUUAUCUCUAACAUUACAGCAUGUACAAGUCAAUAUAUUCAUAUAUACGAAUCAUACACCCGUAAUUUCAAAUUCAAAGGGGCAUGUUUAUUAGUUAAUUAAAAGCUGGACGGAGCUAGGUACCGUAAUUAAAUGACAUAUAUAAUAUACAUAAGUGUAAGUGUUACAUGAUGAUCAUGAGUUUGAAUCUAGUUUUGGAAACAAAUUACUAAUAGGAAUAGGAAUAUGGGUGUCCGUGUUUGUAAUAUUUGACAACAUAUGCCCCGAAACCAAAAGCGACCACCACCACCGCCACCGCCACCGCCACCCCAAGCUUGAGCGCAACAUCUUUUCCCACUAAUUUGGAUCUUGAAAGUAAAGCAGUACUGGUACCACAAGAAGAAGUCCUUUGGCCUUUACAUCCAUUGUUAUUAUUAUUAUUGUAAUCACUUAUUUGGUCUUUAAUUGUGGUUUUGUCUUGUUGAAGAUGAUCGGCUGGUACCACUUGUUUUUCCUUUUGAGUACUAGGAGUAGUGUUCUUGGGAGGAGGAUUGGAAAUGUGGACGUUGGAAACUUUCUGAGGCAUCGUAACUGUAAGAACUCCUCCCGCAAGCUUGGCACGAACUUCAUUUGGAUCGCAAUUCUUGUCUGCAAGUUUGAUUUCUUUGUGGAAGCGGCUCCAUGUGUUCAUGAGAUUCAGGGGACGUUCUCCAUGGAUUGUAAGAAUCCCCACAUUAUUGGUUUGGACCUUGAGGUGUUCCUUUCUGAAACCUGAUAUGACAGACACACACACACAUCAUCAUCCAUUAUCACUACAUUAAUUCAUUAUAUAUAAACCCAAUACAAAAUCUAAUUUACUAGCUAGUACAAAUUACAAAUACAUACCAGCUGGAAGAUGGAUCUCAACCGUGUCGGGCUUAUUCCAUUUGCAGUAGGGUUCAAAGUCUUCAUAAAUACGUUGGGGUUCAGCUCCGGCGUUGUUUUCCAUGGUAAUAUCUGGACUUUAAAACACAAGAAUUGAUGUCUAGAUAGAGAAAUAUUAAUUCUUGAUACUAAGGAAGAUCUAUUCUAAGGCAUGUCUCUAUGUCUCUAUUUAUACUCCCUAUCUUUUUUUAGGGAAUGAAUGAAUACAAAGGCACCAAGCUAACCAUAUAGCUAGCUGAUAUUAGAGGUUUCUUAUGGUUGUCCUUUUAAGGGAGAAAGAGAAUCAUUCUUUUUUUAUUUCCUAAGGUUUCUGGAUUGCUUCUUCAUUUCAAGAAUAUUAUUCAGGGAAGGGAACUCUUUCUUCAGAGUCCAUGUUCAUCUCCUCGCUUGCAAGGGUACUGCUACUUACUGUCUUCUUUCAUAUGCAAUACAUUUUUACCUUCAUCUUUUGGCAACAUGCACAUGUAGUUGCGUGUCGGAAAUGUUAUGUAGCUAUAAAGAACAAUUAAAAGUAAAAAUACUCGUCUAUCCUAAUGGAAAAGGGAAUUCCCACUGCUAUGGCAUCAUAGUUGUGUGUGUGUGAGAAAUCAUCAUCCUCUCUAAUUUAGACUAUAACUUGUACUCUACUUUAAAAAAAUGUAAAAAUACCCUUGUGUUGGAUGUGAAGUGGAUUAUGAGUUGUACGAUUAUUGAUCAAGCCAAUGUGACCGCUUCAUUGCAACCGAGUUCAAACGCCCCCUAUAAAUUUAGACAAUAAAUAUUAAUCUUAUAAUAUUUUUAUGUAACAAAGUAACAAGUUUUCUUUUGUUGCUAAAAUCCGGUGUCAAAGGUUGGACUAGGGCUAGAAGCAGUAGAAAUGAUAGACCAUGUCUGUAAAUCAUCACGUUAGACAAAAAAUUUAAAUUAAGUAGGUAGAUGCUCCGCCCGCGCCCAGGUAGUCGUGCUCUUUUUGGAGACACAUUUACGCUUGCGGCAUCAAAAUCCACUCACAUCUUGCCCACAGAGGAAGAGACUUACUCCCAAUUGUUGCGUACAUGUGGCCAAACCUCUAACUUACCCCAUGGCAAAGCAAUUCAUGCAAAACUCGUCAAGGGCUCUCUGCCCUUUUCGCCUUUUCUUCAAAAUCAUUUACUCAACAUGUAUGCUAAAUGCGGCGAUCUUAGCAAUGGUCUCCAACUGUUUGAUGAAAUGCCUCACAAGAAUGUUGUGUCGUGGUCUGCGGUUAUUACUGGCUUUGUCCAACAUGGCUGUCCUAAAGAAGCCCUAUCUUUGUUUGGUCGUAUGCACCAGGAUGGCACGACCAAGCCCAAUGAGUUUACCUUGGUUAGCGCGCUCCACGCAUGUUCCUUGUAUGGCAAUCUGACUCAAGCUUACCAAGUUUACGCAUUCAUAGUUCGCCUAGGAUUCCAGUGGAAUGCUUUCCUGAUGAAUGCAUUCUUGACUGUUUUAGUAAGACAGGGGGAAUUAACAGAGGCUUUGGAAGUGUUUGAGAAUUGCCCCAAUAAAGAUAUUGUGUCUUGGAAUGCUAUCAUGGCUGGCUACUUGCAGUGUUCUUAUUUGGAAAUACCAAACUUCUGGUGUCGUAUGAAUCGCGAGGGAGUGAAACCCGACGGCUACACAUUUUCGAGUGUUCUCACUGGGUUGGCUGCUCUCACUGAUAUUAAAAUGGGUGUCCAGGUUCAUGCACAGCUUGUCAGGUGUGGUCAUGGGGCUGAGAUGUGUGUGGGGAACUCUUUGGCUGAUAUGUACAUUAAAAAUCACAAGUUAGUGGAUGGCUUCAAAGCCUUUGAUGAGAUGCCUUCAAAAGAUGUGUGUUCAUGGACCCAAAUGGCUGCCGGGUGCCUACAAUGUGGGGAACCAAGCAAAACGCUUGAGGUUAUUGCUCAAAUGAAGAAAGUGGGUAUAAAGCCAAACAAGUUCACGCUUGCAACUGCCCUGAAUGCCUGUGCCAAUUUGGCUUCCUUGGAUGACGGGAAGAAAUUCCAUGGCUUGAGAAUUAAACUCGAAACUAGUACUGAUGUUGAUGUGUGUGUGGAUAACGCUCUGCUAGACAUGUAUGCAAAAUGUGGAUGCAUGGAGGGUGCAUGGUGUGUUUUUCAGUCAAUGAAGGAUCGUUCUGUGGUGUCAUGGACCACAAUGAUCAUGGGGUGCGCACAAAAUGGGCAAGCUAGAGAAGCUCUUGACAUUUUUGAUAAGAUGAGGCUGGAGGAAGGUGUUGAGCCAAAUUACAUCACCUUCAUAUGCCUGCUUUAUGCAUGUAGCCAAGGAGGGUUUAUUCAUGAAGGAUGGAAGUAUUUUGCCUCCAUGACUCAUAACCAUGGAAUCGCCCCCGGAGAAGACCAUUAUGCAUGCAUGGUGAAUCUUCUAGGCCGAGCUGGACUUAUAAAGGAAGCUGAGCGAUUAAUCUUGAACAUGCCCUUUAAACCAGGUGUUCUGGUUUGGCAAACUUUGCUUGGUGCUUGUCAGGUUCAUGGCGAUACAGAAACUGGAAAGCGUGCAGCAGAGCAUGCAUUAGAUAUAAACAGAACAGACCCAUCAACGUAUGUAUUACUGUCAAACAUGUUUGCUGGUUUGAGCAACUGGGACAGUGCUGGGAUGCUGAGGAAACUAAUGGAGUCUAGGGAUGUAAAGAAAUUGCCUGGAUCCAGUUGGAUUGAAAUUGAAAAAGGCCACUGACCAACUCUAGCCCUCAAAAGAUUUGCUUGAAAUGCAAUGGAGUGACGGGGGACCAACUUUUUUCUCAAUCUACUGUGAGAUCGAGUAAUGAACCAACUCUAGCCCUCAAAAGAUUUGCUUGAAAUGAAAUGGAGUGACUACUGUGAGAUCGAGUAAUGAACUAUAUUGUCUUUAAAGACUCUUCUUUCUUUGUAUUUGAUUUCUUUCUUGGCGGUAAGCCACGUAGUCAUAUGAUCUGUGAUCGCGAUUCUGGCAAAAUUUGAUUUCAUUCCUUAUUCAAACUCAAGCACUCGUCUUCACGGAUCAGAGCCUCUUUGAGCCUUUCCUUGCAACUUAAUCGGUCCCCAUAUUCAUCAGUUUUCAAGCCCAGUAAGGCAAAGAAAUAGUAAAAACUAUAAAAAGUAGACCCUCCAUACGUUCAACACUAUAUGGAAUUCAUCCACGGCCAUUAAGGAUUUCCUCAUUAUAAUUUUGAGUAUCCAAUUAAAGGAAGAUUGCAGUUCCAACAUAUUUUUUUGUUCUUGAGAGAUGUUAACUGAAAUCUAUUUCAGGAUUUUUGUGAAAACUUUGGUAGAGUUUCAUAAUUAUGAGUGGGCAUCAAACCAACCAAACUGUUCAAAUCGACUCCAAUAUGACAAGUUUGGUUCGGUUUCAACACCAAAUAAGUAUAAUUUUACACUGAACUGAAUUGAUCGUGAUGAGUUUGGUUUUAUUUGAUUUAGCCUAUAUGAAAUUCAUCUAUGCCAAAUCAAACCACUUAUGCUAAUUUUAUUAAUUUUUUGCACUAGACAUUUUCUUAUUGGUUAUUACCACUAGCCUUUCCACACUUACGAGAGGCUUUUUAAAAAAUUUUAAAUUUAUUUUAGCUAUACUAUUAUGUUUCAUUAUAGACAUUGAUAUAUCAACCUUUAAAGUAAUGAGAGAUUUAGAAAUUAUAAUGAUGGAUGCAAUGUUCGCUUUAUAUGUGUUCCAAAAAUUAUCCAGAUUGUCAGGUUGAUGAUUUUGGCUCCAUAAGAUUAUACGUAAGAAAAUUUUGAUGUGUUUGUUUCAAUUUUCAAGUGUAGAAUUGUUGUGUUUCAUUUUGCAUGACUAUUAAAUUUGAAAAGUGUGUAAAUACAAGUUCUAAAAAAUGAAACAAUAAAAGUAAUUAUAGCUUUAUAUUGUCAUUAAGCUAAAUCACUAUAGAAAAAAAAAAAAAAAGGGUUGAGCUUAGGCUUAAAUCCCCUAAACCCUUAAUAAUUAAUUAGUUUUAUCAUAAUUAUAGAUGAAACUAGCCCAAACAUGAUCAUGCCCUCUUUUUUUAGAACAAAUGAUAAUUCAUUAAUCAAGCAUCAGAACAUAAGAGUGGGCAUGUAAGAGCACUUCCGGUGGUAGUGCUAGCCUGGGCAAAAGGCCCCUUAGGUUCCCAAAAUCCAUUCCAACAAUGAAAUCUAGUCCCGGAAAAUGGGGGCUCCACUAAGACUGGACAGGCCCCAAGACAAAAACAAUUCGAGUUGUUGCAUGAGGAUUGUGACCUUAGUGAAAAAAUAAUUUAAAAAAGUUAUCAAAAAAUACAUAAUAUUUUUUAAUACGUACCUAGCAAUUUUUUAAUUAUUAAUUUCAUACAUAUAAAUAAAAUUAAUCCCAUGUAAAUAGUAAUUAUCCUUGAGUUACCAUGGCAAUGAGUGGAAAAGCAACAAAAACAUUGCAAAGGUAUAUACUAUUCAUGUGGACAGUAACCGUCUUUACUUGCCGUUGCCCUUUAACAUGACAAAUGGGUAAAAGUACUCUAAAACUAAAAAGAAAUAAAUUACAUGCAAUAUUCAAAAAGAAAGAAGAAAAAAGAAAAAGGAAAAUUGCCGUUGUUUGUGGAUAGAUAGGGAAAAGUGGGAAAAAAGAAUUUGUAACUUAAAAACCAUAUAGGACGUGAAUAAAUUUGUGUCAUAUUAGGACUGUGAGUCCGCUCCUAGUCACCCUCAUCCGUCGUAUACUCGUAUAUCGGCGUGCACUCGCGAACAACGCCUAAACACUCACCAUUCAUCCAUUUAUUAUUUAUUUCAACUUUCCACAAUCUCUCUCUCUCUCUCUCUAAAAUCCCUCCCUCCCUCCUUCAGUUUCAGGUCUUCCUCGUUUCGUCCUCCGUAUAAACCGCUCGCUUAUCCUCUCUGUCGAAACUCUCUUUCUUUCUCAAUCAAAGCGACAUGUCGUCCUCGGGCGGCAACUCCGGCAGUGUUGGUGGCCCGAUCGCUCCUCCUCAGCUUUACUUUUGCCACCAGUGCGAUCGUACGGUUUCCCUCAACCCUCCACCUACCUCCGAUCUCGUUUGCCCUAUUUGCAGCGGUGGUUUCGUCGAAGAGAUGGAAGCCUCUAACCCUAACCCUUUCCCCCCCAAUCCCUUCUUCUCCGUCCCCUCCUCCGACGCUCCUCCCUUCGCCUCCAGCGGCUUUCCCCUCCUCUUCUCCGCCCCCGGCCCUGGAAAUUUCUCCGACGAUCUCUCUGCCCUCUUCGGCGGCGCACCCGCACGCUCCUCGCCGUUUCAGGACCCCGACGCCUUCAACCCCUUUGUGUUCCUUCAAAACUAUUUGCAAACCCUAAGAGCAAAUGGUGCCAAUGUCCAGUUCGUGAUCGAUAACAACCCCGGCGCCGGGGGGGACCCUGCAGGUUUUCGCGUCCCCCCCAAUCUUAAUCUCGGCGACUACUUCUUCGGCCCGGGCCUCGAGCAAUUAAUCCAGCAGCUCGCGGAGAACGACCCAAACCGGUACGGCACGCCGCCCGCUUCGAAAUCCGCGGUGGAGGGCUUGCCGGUUGUGAAAAUCUCAAAGGAGUUGUUGGAUUCCGAUUCGUCCCAGUGCGCUGUGUGUAAGGACUUGUUCGAGCUCGGCGAGGAGGCCAAGCAGAUGCCCUGUAAGCACAUAUACCAUUCGGAUUGCAUUCUGCCUUGGCUGGAAUUGCACAACUCAUGUCCUGUUUGUCGCUACGAGUUGCCCACCGAUGAUACUGAUUACGAGCAGAGGCUUAGCGGGGCCUCCGCCAAUGCCAAUCGAGCUAAUCAAUCUGCGGCGGCUGGCGGGGUCAAUAUUUUUGCCGGAGUUGGUGGUGGUGGAAGUGGGAGUGGGAUUGGGAUUGGGAUUGGUGCGCCAUCUCUAGACAAUCAGAGUCCAACUCCCCGAACGGUGGAGCGGAGAUUUACCAUCUCCUUGCCACGCCUUUUCAGGGUAUUUGGUGGUUCUGCUGAGACUAGUAAUAGUGGGAGUGGAAACAAUGAUGAGUCGAACUCGGGGAAUAGGGGAGGUCAUAACUCUGGAUCGGAGGAGCCUAGGCAUGAAGAUCUCGAUUAAACACAAUUGGUAUUGCACUUGUUACCAUACACAUUCAUUUUUGUCUUCCAUUGUGUUUCUGUUGUAUGUCAUUCAAAGAGGAUCAUCAUUUACUCUUUUCAUGCUUGCAUCAGUAGUUUAACUGAUACAUACUGGGAAUUUUUCUUAAAUUGCGCUUCAUGUGAAAUGCUUGACUAAUAUUGACAAAUAUACUUGUAUCUGUACUUGAAUUUUUAUGUUGACUACUUAAGAGUUAGGCCUUUCAUGUGGCAAAUUUGCAACUCUAUUUUACCUUAGUGACAUUGUUUUGCUUGAGUUAUCUGUAGAUGUUCCUUCAAAAAAAGUUAAAUGUAGCUGAUUAAUGGGGGAAGAAUGACAUAUGAUGGUCUUUAAAGGUUUGGUGAAAGGAAAAGCUAUUAUACGGAGUGGGGGCAUAUUUGUUCCAAAAGCAGGAAGUUAUUGCAACAACAUGCAACCAACCAAUGAUAUGACAUAAAAUACAUGUACCUAAAAAUUGUUUCUGAAUUACCAUGAGAUAAAAGUUGUAUGUACUGUGUAGUAAAAAGACAAAGAAGUACAGUAGAGCUCCUUUCAUGUUAAACUCCCAACAAACACCCACAAUAAUAUAUUAGCCCUCUUUGAACUAGUAAACGUCAAUUAAAUAAUGCAUACAGAAGAAUUCUAGAAAUCAUACCAUAGUCUAUCAGUGGUAACACACAGAAAUGCCACUGCACCGACUGUUACACGGAAUUAUUGAUAUUCUCGAUAUGUAUCAUAUCUGCCAUCUUGCAAUGUGGGUAUGAAUCAUCCGUAUCUUAUGAGACAGUUGUAGGAGGUGACUUUCAUGACAUUUGUAGGAUAUUGUAUGAUAUCCUAGACAGUAAGAUACUUAUUUUUAGGAGAGAGAUCUACAAGGUGCAUAGAUUACUAGUUCCAUGACAGACUAGGUUUUAUUAUGUCCCAAGGCAUUAUUGAUCAUCCUCUGCUACAGGAGGUUUAUGUGGUCUAAACUCUUCGAAUAAUCCUUAAUCUUUGUAGGAUUGAUCGUGCCCCGUAUCUAGUGACUGGGAUGUUCUUUUGUUGUGUUGCUCAGGUGUCCCCUGCCCAGGGCAGUCGUAAAUCACAUCCUGAUAAUGUUUGACUAGGGGAUCAGCAGUUAUCAUAGUCCCUUCAGAAUUGAGAAUAUGUGGCUUAUCGUUCCUGAUUUCUAUGACAAAAUCAAGUUGGGUGUCAGGGUUAUGUGGUAGAGGUUGUUCCUAGUUUUUGCUUUUAUUGGAAGUCCAGUUUGAAGCUAAAUCUCAAAAAGUCGAGAGGGAUGAGGUUGGACGUAUAGUUAUGACUUAUGAUAAUUAGAUACAUUGACUAUUGGAAUCAUUUGAUGCAUCAGAUUCUUGAUAGGAGCAUACUUGUUGCUGUCAAAAUCAGCUGAACUUGUGUGCUGAUGAGAUUUUGUAAGGUGUUCCAUUUUAAAGAGUUGGACCACGGAAUGUUUGUUUUUUGUUUCAUCCGAAUCAAGGAUCAUUAAUGACUGCAUUAUGUGAGUCCAGCAUAGAAAGCAUAUUUUGGUUCUCUUUCGCUUUUUAACCGUCUUGUUUGUGUGUGCGGUCUUGUGUACUAUGAGUAUGUCUGAAUGACUUAAGGUUUUUUAGCGCAAGCCAUACAUAACAAAGUUCUUUUGUUCUACUUUAUUAAAACUUGAGGAAUCAAUAUGGAGCCCUGGUUGGAUCAUUUCGACUGAAUAUUUUACUAUAUUUGCAGCAAUUUAUGCAUAUAAUUCGUUUAAUUUAUCAUGUAUAAGUGUUUUACAUGCAGUAGGUGAUUUAGUUACUCUAAGUUGUAAGACAUUUUGUGUGUGUUUUUUUUCCUUCUGGCUUGAUAUGUGUUGAGUGCAGUUUUGCCUGGCUUUUUACCUCUCUCUCUCUCUCUCUCUCUCUCUCAUGUUAUAGUUUUAUGAAGAUUUCAAUUAAAAGGUAAUAUUCUGUCUUUUUGGUAGGUGCAAUGAGCAGCAUGGAUCUGCAACCAUUGUUGAACAAAGAAAGAUCUUAUACAUUAACAGUUAGUGACAGUUGCUUUUUAAAUAUUUUGCCCUGAUAAUCAUAGGUAAAAUGCUAUUGUUAAUGUUGUUGUUGCGAAUUCUUUUAUAGGUUCAUCAUCAUUUUGUGCGAAUUUGAUGUGCAUUAUCAGCGUUGUGUUGUGUCCUGUAAAAAAUUUCCAUUUGGGUACCAUGGUAAUUUUUGGAUGUCGUCUGUAAUACAUGGUCUUGUUUCUUCUUCUACUACAAGGGGGCUUAUUUGAGUUGAGAGGUGUCGUCAAGUGCUGUAUCUAUUUUCUUUCUUUUCAUUCUCCAUUUUGCGGACAUGACAUGCACAUGCCGACCCUUUUAAAAAGAGGCAUUGCUUGCUGCAAACAUCCUUCUUGUGGUGGUGAUGAUGCAUUAUGCAUAAACAUAAUAAUACGCAUAAAUAAAUAAAUACUGCUCUGCUCGCUGGGGCCUUUUCUUUUCCAUCUUUUAUCUAGGUUUCCUUGUUCCUUGCACCCUCUCCCUCUCCUUCCUUAAAAAAGCAUUACCAAAGGAAACAAUGAGCCAUUCGACAAAAAACAAGAAAAGGGAAACAGAGCCAAAGAGGAUUUGACUGACGGUCACCGCAUUCUUGUUUUUUUCUCCUCGGCCACUCGAAUUAGAGGAGGAGAGGAUUGCAAUUUGUUGCCAUACGUUUCGUUUAGAGCAGCUCCAGCGAGGGAGCCCAGCCCGAGGCGAGGGCAGGAAAAAAAAAAAAAGUCGCUCCAGCGUACAGCCCAGGCCCGGGGGUGGUGUGGGACCCACCAACUCGGGCCAGCCCGAAGGCGAGACCAGCCCGAGGUCCAACUCGCGUGUUGCUGACGUCAGCCUCGCGUCACGCUGACGUCAGCGCGCCAGGUCCAAGGUACGCUGCCACGUGUCGCCUCCCCAGCCUUCCGAUCUGCUUCUCCAAAUUAAUCCAACGGCUGAGGCUUUUUUGGGCAAUAAAAAUAUGAAAAAAAAUCGUAAAUGUUUUUUAAAAAUUCUAAAAAAUUCUGAUAUUUUUUUUCUAUAAAUACCUAUCAAUACCCUUCACUUUCAACACCAAUCCUCAUACAUUUCAUUAUACUUCUACUAUUAUUCACUCUUUACUCAACAUUUUCCUCUAUACCUUAUUUCCAUUUUCAACAUUUAAGUAAAUGUCUUUGUCCUUUUACUUUAAUUUAUUUUUAUAUUACUCCAUUUACUUAAGUUUACAAUGUAAAUAAGGAAGUACCCCCCAUUUGGAUUCAAAUAAAAAUACUAGAAAAUCAAAUUCCCACCAAAUCAAAAUAUGAAAAAUCGGUUUUAGUGCAAAAUACGAUUUAGGCUAAAAAUGAUGGCUCAUUAAGUCAAUAUAUACUUCAUAUUAAAAUCCCAUAAAAUCAAGUUUUCUUAUUUGAUGUGUAAGGAAUAAAAGCCGCCAAAAAUUAUCUUGAGAAAAUAAUUAUUCCGAAAAACCAUUUUUCAUACUUAGCCAAUAUUGCACCUCCGCUAAAAAAAUUAUGGGUCCGCCCGUGUCUAUAAAUACCAACCAAUACUCUUCACUUUUAACACCAAAUCCUAAUUUUUUUUUAAAUGAAUACCAACCAAUACAACUAAUAAAAUAAAAUCUUAUCCGAUAUGAAUAGUAUUGACACGUAGGAACCCAAAAAUCUUAUCCGAAAAUAUUAUCCAAAUUAAUUAUUUAAGUAAAAAAAAGUUGUGAAAAAAUAAAAAAAUGAAUAGUAAUUGCCCUUAGCCAUGGCAAUGGGUGGAAACUCAAAAUACUAUUUGCAAGGGCAACUACUAUUCACGUGAAUAGUGGCUGCCCUAGCUCCCCCCUUGCCAUGGCUAAGGGCAAAUGGGUGGAGUUGCUCUUAUGUAAAAGAUAAAACUUUGGUGGUGGGAUAUAUUAUUCCUCGCCAAAAUAAAAAAAAGGCAAGAAGGAAAAGUUCGGUAGUUUAUUAUUGCGCUGCAGGAAGCAGGACGGAAAACUAGAAAAACGAAGAGCUGGGACACCUGGCGGCUAGAGACAAUUUUACUAGUAUGAUAUGAUAUGUACACAGUACAUAUCAGUCAGACGAUUUUACACAUAAUUUAAAAUUAUAUAGUAGCCAAUCAGUGUUCACUCUAAUAACGCUCAUAGUCGACUUUCUUAGAAGAAAUCGCUUCAAAUUUCACUGACGAUAAUAAUUAUUUAGGGUUUAUUUAGUAUCAUAUUCAAAAAAAUAAUUCAAAAAAAUGUUUUAAUUUUUAAAAUAUGAGUUUUUAAAUAUUGAUUUUAAAAUUUUAAAACUUGUUUGGUAUCAAACUUUAAACUAUUUUUAAGAUCUAAAAAAAAAUUGAAUUAAAAUUAGAAACCUUAGAUUCCCUAAUUGAAAUUAACAAAAAAAAGAGAAGAGGAGAGAGAGGAUUGAAGGAUGUGUGCUACUUGAGUUUACCAGGAAAAAAAAUGACAGAGAGAGAGAGAGAGAGAGAGAGAGAGAGAGAGAGAGGAGAGUGCAAAUAGAGAUAAAAAAAUUUGUAAAACCUCAUUUUUUUUGGUUUUUAAUAAUAAGGGUGUUUUUGAGGUUUUUUUAUUUGUUUGUUUGGAUUUUUAAAAAUGGAUCUACUAAAUGGGUUUUUAUGACUUUGGACUAAAUAUCUGUUUUUAAGUUUAUAAAAUUAAAUCUAAAUAGGAUACCAAACGAGCCCUUAAUUAUAGACAUCCAUAUUAUGUGCUAGUAAAUUUUGAUUUAGUAAAUGGUAAUACCAUAAAUAUUAAAUUUCAAAUAGCAUUAUUCCAUCUACUUCCACUACAUGUAUGCAUAAAUGAUUUAAAGUCAUUUUGUUCCCAAAAAUUGAAAACUUGCGUGAUAUAUCAUAUCAUGAAAUAAGUGCAAUAAAUAAAAUAAAUCUACAAAUAAAAGAAAAAUAAAGAAAACAAGGACGGAAACGGAAUAUACAUUACAAUUUUACAUACGAGAUGAGGUGGAGGUGGAGGUGGGGGCCGCAAAGAGGCAGAGUCGUUCGUUUGCGUGACUGUAUUGAGGGAGAGUCUUCUUUUUAAUAUAUGGAAUAAAAUAUCAUAAAAAUGAAUGAGUGCUGCUGCUGAGCUGAGCUGAGAUGUGUCGGUAGUCGGUAUCUCUCUCUUGCCCGCUGUCUUCCUCCUCCUCUCUCCUCUCUCCUCUCUCCUCUCUCCUCAUCCUUCAAGUCCUCAACUCAACUGUAUCAUUCCGCGUCAGGGGAAAUACAUACAAAAUUAAUAUAAUACUUUACCAUUUCUAUCUUUUUAUAUUCCCAAAUUCCCAAAUUCACAAAUUCACAGCUCUCGUCUCUUCUCUUCUUUUGGGGAGACUUGGCUAGUUUGCUUUCUGCGUUUGAGAAAAAAAAAAAAAAAAUCAAAUUUUAAUAGAAAUGCUGAUGCUGCUUCUCCCGGACAGGAGAAGCAUUUGACUUUUAUGUAGACUCCAUUUUUUGUAGUUUAAUAUUUUAGUUUUGUAUGUAUGGAUCUGCUUUUGUGUCUCUUUCUUUUCUAAAACUCUUCUCAAGAAAGAAACCAAAGAUUGGAUUUGAGGGCAGCAGCAGCGGCUAAUUAAGCUAUAAUAUAUACAUAUACAUACAACAAAGGGAAGAGAUCGGGGAAGAAUGUCUCCUUCGAAUACAAGGUCGGUGGAGAAUGGCAAUAAUGGAGGAGGAGGAGGAGGAGGAGGCAAGAAUUUCAUAGAGCACCAAGUCUCCAAGAUGGACACACUUGCCGGCGUUGCCAUCAAAUACGGCGUCGAGGUUUCUAAUUUUUCUCUGAAAUCCCCCUGCUAUAUUUAUAUAUGCUCUACUCAAAUCCCGUCGUUAAAUUAAUUUGUCUCAGUUUUCAAAUCCUGUCUUUAAUUAGUUCGUUCCCUGGCUCUGAUUAUUUCCCGCUCAGUUCUAGUCUAUUGCUUCCUAUUAUUGCUAUCAUCAGCUGUAGCUUCAUGCCCUCUUCUUCUUGGUCUUGUUCUAAGUUUCUCACUUUUCUGUAAUGGUGUCGUGCUAUUGCUAAAGAGUAAAUGCCGAUGAUGCUUUGUAAAUUUGUAAUGAAACAAACAGGUGGCUGACAUUAAAAGGAUGAAUGGGUUUGCUACAGAUCUUCAAAUGUUUGCUUUGAAGACUUUGAAAAUACCUUUGCCAGGAAGACAUCCGCCAUCUUCCCCUCUUUCUCUACGGUAAUCAACAUCUUCUCAAUUCUUUCCUUUCCAUAGUCUUUCAUUUUAUCCCGCCUCCUCUUCUGUUCUACCCGCUUUCUUCUUAACUCCAAUUCCAAACAAUCUAUAAGCAUGAAAUACGAACAACAAAAAGAUAAUAUCAAAUGUUACUAUUACUUACAUUUUCACAUGCUACCUUUUCCAUUGCAACUAUAAUACAUCCACCGAAGCAUCACCCUAAACAUGCUAUAGUUCUGCACCGGUCCUGCCUCUAUAUAUGUAAUCCAUAUCUAAUGUACAUCUGUUAUUGCUGAAAAAAAAAAACUGAGGUUACGGCUUCUGCCUUAAGAAUUUGUAAUCUGCAAUUCUAAAUUCCCACUGUUUCUGGUAGCUGGAUGUUCAAGUGCAUCAAUCGAUCUUAGUCUGUAUUUAUAAACAUCAGUUAGCUUAUAGUUUCUAUGUCUUGCUGCAGCGAAAACAACACUGAAAAAUCCACCCCAUGUCUUGGUCGAGCUAUUCUGCUAGAACCAUUCCGCUCUGUCGGUUCAAAAGCUCCCAAAGAGAAAGUCACUACAGCAAUGAGCACUUUACAAAAAUACUAUGGUCUAAGAUCCCCAAAUUUGGGGGAUACAGCUGAAGGCAUGGAGAUGGCAGUCUACAGAAGUCGAAGUUCAGAAUGCUUUAAUGAUGAGGUGCUGUCACCAUUGUCUGAAAGUCACCCUAACAAGUCUAGGCAUUCUUCAAUUGAUCUUUUAGCUGAGAAUGGUGCAAUGGCUGAUUACACGCACCUUGCAGAACCUGGAAAUGGGGAGGGUGAGAAAUCUGAUGAGAAAUCGGUCCGAAGGCGUCAGAAAGCUGAAGUUGAUAAUGGUACUGGUACACCAGAAAGGCUGUUAAAAGGGGAAAACAGUGGUGGGAGCAGUGGUUUCUCUUCUUCAACAGGAAAUGGUUUAGCCAUGAGGCAGAAAUCAGCAAGCCGAGCAGUACUGCAAUCUGAUUCGGAGUCAGGAUGGUUGAACUCCAUUCCAGUGGGAUUAGGCGAUUCUAUCAUAACUGACGAAAUGGCUGUUGUUCGUAAAUCAUCAAGCACAUCAAGCUUAAAAGACCAGGAGAGUAAUAACACAGCAUCAGUUUGGCCAACGUCAAGGUGGAGCUUGAAACAAGACUUGCAAGCUCUCUCAACUGCAACGAUGGCUAGACCAAUCUUUGAUGGCUUACCGAAGCCAAUAACUGGCCGCUGGAAAGCUGCCCUUGAUUAGAGAAAUUCAUUUGCACUUUGAUAUAGAUGAUUUGUUUCCUUGCAUUAGAUCCAGUGGGCUGAAAUAUCUCAGCUACAAAAUUCGCCAAAGUUAUACAUGAUAUAGCUGCAGUAAAAUCAGAGGGGGAGAAGUAUAGAAGGAGAAUACGGUAAAUAAAGAUUUCUUUUCAACUAUUGGAUGAUAAUGAUAUGCAGCAAUAUGCUAAAUAGCAUUUCAAGUCUGAAGCAGUAGCUGCAGCAGCUUGAGAAAAGCUGUAAUGGAGAUGGUAUGUGACCAAAUUAUUUAUUAUUUCGUUAUUCUUGUGAUGUGUUACUUUGUAUCAAAAAAUAGCAAUCCCACUUGGACUGGGAAUUUAAGUUAAGAUCGGUCAUGUUAUCUUAAUAAAGGUAGUAAUGUCAAGCUGUGCAUUACAGUACAAUUGUAUCAUCGCUUGCUUAUUGGCAAUGGAGAUUGAAUUUUUUUUGGCACAACACUCUUGACUUACACUAAUGCCUUUUCCCUUAACCUUUUAACUUGUGAAAAUCACUAGUGCUUUUUUCCAUGAAAGGCGUAUGGAUUAGCAAUGGUAACGGGUUGGUUGUUGAUUACAAUACAGAUGUGUUCCUUGCGAUUGAUGUUGUGUGGGCUGUAGAUACUGAAUUAAUCCAUCAAUGGUUGGCUAUUGCCUUGUAUUGUAAUUUACAGGUUCCUUCAAGUAAGGUUUCAUUUCAUGUGAAGCCCAAUCCGAGCUUGCUUUGUGGCACAGGCAUGUAAGGUUUUAGGUCGUUUCUUUCGGUGAAAUAACCAGAACCAGCCAAUUGUUCAUUAUAAGAAAUCAACUUUCAAGUUUUAAUUGACAUUCAGCAAUCAGCAUUCAGCAGCAUCAAAUCAUUAUCAAAUCAACUCAUCAACAUUAACAUAUCACAACCGACCUCUGCUUUGUUUUGCAGAAUGUAGAUCAGAAUAAAACAAGCAAGCAACCACCCAUGGGUUUGUUUAUCACAGAUCCUAAUUCCUCCUCCCAAUUCCUAAAGAAUUAUGAAAUCACAUAUCCAGAUUUGUGAAACCAAUCACUCUUCACUGGAUUGAACAACUAGAAAGAAAGUAUGAUUCUACGAUUCAUCAGAACAGACGUUGUUUUGAUGGCCCGAAGGUGAGGGGUGAUGCUGAUGGUGGUGAUCCUCAUCAUCGCUGUCGUCUUCGUCGAAGGGCUUCUGCUUGUGGAAGAUGCAACACUUUUUGGAGCUCUUCUUUUGCAUGAACUCGUUGUCCACCGUCCCCUCCUUCCAUGUCACUUGCUUCUUCUUCUUCCGAUUCAGCCGCAAAACCAAAGCUUCCGAUUGCGAUGAUGAAGAUGCCGAUGCCGAUGCCGAUGCCGAUGCGUCGGGAUUCUCAAGGGUGAUGGUGGUCGUCACGCUCCCUCUCGUUAUCGGUUGUGCUCUGCCGCCGCCGCUCAUGCUUCGAUGAUUUCUUCGCAAUCGCAAAUCGCAAAUCGCAAAUCGCAAAUCGCCCAAUCGCUCAAUCGCUCAAUCGCUUGGCGUUUGUCCCGUUUACCUCGCUACCAGGUCUUAAACAUCCGUCCGUGGACCGGCGCACCUUUGACCCUUUAUUUUAUUUUUUAUAAUAAAUGUUUUUAGGGACUACUACUAAUGAUAAUUGCUUUUAAAUUUAUGGAUCUAUACCUAUUGGUACUUUUCUUUUUUACGGAAAUAAAUUCUUAUUCCUGGGGCUCUGCCCCUUUGUUAAAUUUUUUUUUUAAAUAUAAAAAAAUUAAAAUAAAUCUUAAAACCCUCAACACAAUGCCGACAAGUACAUUUUCUACAUGUUGUGGGGAGCUCCAAGGGCUAUGGCACUGGUGGAUUUACCAAUUUUGUAACUUUCAUAACUUCUUGUUGGUGAGGCUUUACAACCGUGAUCACAGAAAUUACCAACGCAUUUCACCCAGCACAAUAUUUCCCAAAGUAAAAAGGAUUACAAGUUCAUGAACAGUUUAUUUGAAAGAAAUACAACCUUUUAAAGAAAAUUCAUCGGAGAACUACUAAAUGUAAAUGCAUGCACUGAAAAUAAAAGAAAAGAGAGAAACAAGAGAGUACCCACAUGGACUAGCGGAGUGUAGAGUUUAGGGAAGUACAAGCAUUCUGGUGUUCUUUGCAUUUUACUUUUUUUUUUUCCCUUCCCAAAAUGUAUUCCUUCUGUUGCAGUAAUGAUGGUAAGGCACUAAAUUUAUCAUGAGAUUCAAAGUUAAAAUUAAAAUUGCUCAAAUGUUACAUUGUGAAUCUUAUCUAUGUCUCAACGAUACAAUGAACAAAACCGUUGUAAUUAACCGAGGCAAAAAAGACCGCAAAUCCAUUUAGGGGUUCCCGAUCAUAUCAGUAAAGAGCCUUGAGUGCCACAAACCAACUCUAAAGGAAAUCCAUACGCCUUACUUACUAUCACUAAAAACUAUAUUUCAAGACUCCAAGCUCUCAGGCUUUCAUAUAUCAUGUUCAAUUACUGUCUUUUCUGUAGCAGCAGCAAGAGAGAUAGAUCUACCACCUAUUAUUAGGUGGUUUGACUUUGUAAAUACGAACAAUCCAAUUAGAUGUCGUGAAUGCCUCUUCCAGAUGUUCAAGUUUGAUAUCCUUAUUUCCAAUUUCAACCCCCCGUGCACGAUCAUACCUGUCAAAAGCCCGCAACAAAAAACCAAAAAAUAAAAAUAAAAAAUCAGCAAUUUGACAUGAAAAUUCCAGACUUGAUACACCUAAUGCACUGGAAACAAAUAACCUAUUCAAGACAGAUGAAACUUACCCGGGUGGUUUGCCAUACUCUGUCGUCAGCUCUCCAAAUCGAUAGUAAGACAGCUUGUACCUAAUCGCCAACAAAAUUGAAAGACAAAUCAUUUUUGUACAGAACUUGACAUCAUACAAAGAAUGGAACAUCAAUAGUAUAAUAAUUUCCCAAAUAAAUAAUUCACUGAAGGAUCUAAGAUUAAUUUUAAGUGAGAAAGCACCCAGUAAAUCCCACAUUAGAACCAGUGGUCCAGCAGAAUGAAACUCCGUUUACUUUCCGUUAUAGCUCGCUUACAUCAAUCAGUAGGCAUUAGUGUUUGCACCCAAAACAUUGUCAACACAAUCAUCUCUUCGACAAAUUUCAAGCAAAUGUAAUAUGUUAAUUUAGUUUAAAGAAGAGUAUGUUACGUUAUUACUAAAAGUUUGAAAGAAUUCAUUCAUAAAAGAACAACCAUAAUAAUCAUAUGCUCCAGCAUAAAAUGCUCAUUUUACAAUAAUUUUCUUUUCUUUCUCCCCCACAAAUAUGCACAAAUUGUUCUGGAUUACGGAACUCCUUUGGACACCUGUGCCUUUUGUUUUACUAUGUUGAUAAAUGAAGUACGGUGUCGAAGGGAAAAAUAUGAAAUUAUUAGCUGUGUUAAGAAUUCUUAAAUGCACCUACACAUGACAUAGGUUUACACAUCUUAGCUGUGUUAUGAAACUUACAUGAGGCAGUUCAACAUCUUGGGUGCUGCACCUUUGUCAACCCGAUAUUCACCAUUAACGAGGUAGUCGGGCUCCUUAAUCACAGGAAACACUCCACCCCCAAUUCUCACCAUCCACAGAAAUCUACAAUGGACAAAUUGUAUUACUAUAUGAUGAAAGCAGAAUGACAACACCCAAAAUAUUACUUUCAAUUAAGUUGAACAAAAGGGUUCUGAAAAUGAAUCAGAAAUAUUGAUAGAGUAAAGAGAAACACACAAGCAUAACUGCACUGCGCCACCAACACAAUCAUCAAAUGCUUCUACAAGUAUUAUCAAAUAACAAGAGAUAUUUCAAAAUUUUCAUGAAAUUCAUAUGAACUUACUUGUUGAUAUCAUCAGAAGAAUAACCAGUAACACCACCAAAUACAACUAAGACAUAAUCCACAUCAAGCGAUCUCAUUAUCUCAUAUGCCUCAUCUUCAUAAGAUGACAUUGCACGCCCAACCGUAGCAAUGUGUGUAUUGUUCCAGGUGUUAUUGUCAACUAUGACAGUUCUGUUUCCCAUUGCAGUGAUUUGGUACCCAUAAUCCCACCAUGACAUCACUUUAGCAUCUGGAGGAGUAUUCUGACGAAGCCAAAAGUAUGCCUCACGAUAGUCAUCAAAAAUGACCCUGUUCCCAUGGGCACCUCUUGCAGCCAAAACAAUUGAGGGAGAUGAGUAUGCCUCUGAAGUGACCCAGGUACAGUGGGUUGCAUACUUACUAAGCAAGUAAAAUGCACCAAAAAGUAAGACGGUAGCACCAUUUCUUUGAAAAGGCUGAGAUUGAUCAACAGAGCCCUGUUUGUAAGACAAAUGUGAGCAAUGAUACUUGUUAUGUACUAUAAUUUUAAAACAAAAACAAAAACAAAAACUAGUGUUUGAUAUAAACCCAAAACAAAGAAAAAUCAAAACGGACCAGAAUUCCAGUACUAACUAACUAUGGAUCAAAAUUUGACAGCAAAUAUUUAUUCAGAAAAUAAUUUUCUUUUCGAGAUUUGAAUAUCAGCCAUUGGAUUUGGUUCAAAAAGUUGGUGAGUAUGGAUUCUCUACUCAGCAAUAAGCAAGAAAUCAAAAUUGUAUAAUGUAUAUGUAUGUUUGUUUGUUUGUAUGCGUGCAUGUAUGUAUAUAAAGGAGGAAAGAUCUCACCUUCGAAGAGCCUUUUGUGCUGCUGCCUCCUUUGGUGGAACCCGUCUGGGGAACUUUGUUCUUUGCCCUUACCAACUGUGUCAAAUUCUUUAUAGUAGCAGAGACAGCAAUGGCACUAAUAAGACAAACUGCAGGUGUGGCAACAAGAAUUAACCGAACCAUGACACCAGCGAAAUACAUGCUUGUAAGACCAUACAUAACUAUAAAUAUAGUGGCAUCUGACAACCGCUUGAAGCAGAAGUAGAGACCAGCAGGGAAAAGGAAGAGUAAGAUAUGGAAAUCAAACAUAAAAGAUGACCAAGCCGUUGGCUGAUGCUCAGAGACAGAUGCAAUAAUGGGAAUGUGAUCCUUGGCAUAUGUUGGGUCUAGCAAGGAAUAAAACCGUCCGGUCCAUGGAGAGAUAUACCCAGAUGCAGUGCCGACUCCCAAAGCAACGGCACCAAUGCCUACUGCACAGGUGACAGUGAUCCUUAGAAAGGCUUGAAACAUCUUUGUGUCACUCAGUAGGUGCCUGACCCAAUCUAAGAAGUAAAAUACCUGCCAACACCAUCCCCACGCACCACCAAAGAAAAAUGAAUAAAGAAGUAAAUGAAUCGGGUAAGUUAAUUUAUACUUUAACAAUCUGUAAAAUGACCAACGUGGUUACAAGGCUAUCUUAUAAUAGAGAUUUAUUGGACUAUAUGUCAUACCAUAUACACUGAACGGAAGCGGAAACAUGCAAAACACUUUAUAUAAUUGAUAAGAGUAAAUUGAAUGUGCAUGGAAAAGCAAACCUGCAUCAAGAAGAAGACGCCCAUGGCAGCCAUAUGCUCGCCAGACUGCACGUGCUGAAAGCCGACAAAGCGAAUUUGCAUAGCGAGCAACAUUCCGAUAAUAUAAGUGCAAUUGUAGGCGACAUACAACCUCAUGGAAUAGCGGCCGGUGAUCAAAAGCACCAAAACGUAAAGCGGAAUCAAGUUGAUAAUAAAGACAUAACCUCCCCAAGCAGAGACCAUGUAGAAAUAGCCGAACGCCGAGGCCAAGGCCCAAGCGAGCGAGCCGGUGUUGACGGCCUUCACAAACAAGUAAAAGGUCAAGAGCAGGGCGAAAAUGGCGACACCCUCAUUGUCAUAGGAGCCGGCAACCGAUCUGGAGAUGUAACCGGGGCAAAUGGCGAUCAAAGCGGCGGCAACAAGGCCGGCGCCGGUGUCCCAAAUCUCUUUGCCGAAGAAAUAGGCGACGAGGGUGGUGUUGGAGGCGAAAAACGGCGCCGUUAAAACGCAGACCUCGCGAAUGUGAACGGCGAAGCUGAGGAAUCGGAGAGUCCAGUAGAUGAGGGCGGCGGUGACCAUGAGGCCGGGGUAGAGGGUGCCGCCAAUGAUCCGGCCGAGGGGGUACCAGCUCUCGGAGUCGAACCAGUUCCAGAAAUCGUAGAAGCCCUUCUCGGUCAAGUAGAGGGUAGUGCGAUAAUUGAAAUAGGGAUCGAACUCGUGGAUCAUGGACUCGUAGCGAAGGACGCUGAAGAGGCGCGUAAUGAAGGCGAGGAUGUAGACUAAGCAGAGGAUGGAGACUCGGAUCAGGAGCUCCUGCUGCUUGGUUUUGAGUUUUAGGGUUUUGAAUGAGAGGUUGUUGAGGAGAUCGGGUUUCAGCCCUGACAUGGAGGUGGCCGGGGACGGAGAUGGGCCGGUCUUCGCAGUGGCUGUGCCGUUGACCGGCUCAGGUUUUCCGACCAUGUCUCCUUUGAGAAUUGAGGAAGAAGAGGAAAAUGAGUUAUGGAUUUGGGGGGUUUGCUUUCAGAGUUUGGGAUUUGGCAUUUGGAUUGGGUCUAUGAGAGUAUGAUAAGACUGAGACUGAGACACCACUCCAGUGAGCAGACACUAGACAGGGAAAUGUAGACACUGAUCUGCAAACUGUAUAGAUAGAUUCAUAGAUUCAUAGAAUGAAUGACUUGGAGGGCUCUCAUUGUUUAGGGAGAGAGAGGGAGACUAGACAUUUGGACUUUUUUAUGGGCCAUCUCUUGCCUCAAACUGGUCUUUCUUUGUUUCUCUUUUCCUUUUGUUGGGCCGGCCUCUCACCCCAUAUGCUGCUUUUCAAUUUCAUGCCUUGCCAUUAGUGUAUGAAGUAUUUACUACUUCAGGCAAAGUUCUAGGUUCGAGUCUUAGUAUUCGUGUUAUGUGUGUGAGUUUAAUAUACUAUCGCUUAUUUUUAUAGGAAAUGUCCUAAAAAAUAAAAUAAAAUAAAAUAAAAUAAAAUAAGCUAGAAGAAGGGAUUGUUCCUGAUUUUUGCUGUGUUUACUAAAAUCAAGAGGCUUGAAACUAUUUUCAAGUAUAAAAUUCAUAAUCAAAUACUUUGGAAACCAUACACGUUCAUUAUCUCAGCAUUGUAAAAAAUUACGGUUGUGCCCAAUGUGAAACUAGGAAAAUAGAAAAAACCUGCGCCCGCGGGUUUUGGUCCAAAAAAGCCCACCCUCCCUCUCGAUCUGUCCUGCAACCGGUCUCUCUCUCUCUCUCAUUCUAUCUCUCUUAGCUGAGCAACAGUCGGUGAUUGCCACUGCCUCCCUGAAGCUGUCAAAGAAGAUGUUCUUCCAUAUAGUGUUGGAAAGAAACAUGCAGCUUCAUCCUCGUCACUUUGGCCGCAAUCUCCGUGAAAAUCUCGUGGCCAAGCUCAUGAAAGAUGUUGAAGGCACUUGCAGGUUCCCCCUCCUCCUCCUCCUCCUCCUCCUCCUCCUCUUCUUCUUCUUCUUCUUCUUCUUAUUAAAUACAAUAUAACGCGUGCGAUUUUCUUUUGCUUUUUUUUUUGGUUGCCUUGUAGCCCUGCGAAAUUUAAAUCCGAGGAAAACUUAAACCUUUCGAUUCUCUUUCUUCUUUUCACUUUAUUUGCUACAUGCUUAUUUAGGAACCGAAACCCUUAUCUGUUCGAUUAUGUUCUAAACUUGGGUAAACAAAAACAAACCAAAAACUGAAUCUUGUUGUCAGUCCCUUUGUAGACGCAGUAAUGUUAAAUACAUUGAAGUUUGACCCGAUAUUAAUUUAUAGAUAAAUCCCAGAUCACGUUGAGUUUGUUGAGGGGGGACACUCAGCACUGGUACUUGUUCAGUUUUGUCUUUGUGAAAGCCCAGACCUUGGCCAAUAUAAGCUCCAAUACGGCAUGUUUUUGUAUUAACAUAGCUCCUUCUGUAUAAUUAAUAUGAGUUCAACUCCAUUUUUAGUCACUUUAUAAUUGAAUUUCACUAAGUUCUCCUGCUCAAGUUUAACUUUCAAUUGCUAUAUCUUUGAAAAACCAAGUAUUUGGUAAAUGUUCUUCACUGUUUUGGCUACGCGGUGGGAUGGAUCAAGGAGUUGGUAUAUUUUCAUCUUUUGUGCAGUGGUCAACAUGGGUUUGUGGUUGCAAUUACGGGCAUAGAAAACAUUGGGAAGGGACUGAUUCGCGAUGGGACAGGGUUUGUCACAUUCCCUGUGAAGUACCAGUGUGUUGUUUUCAGACCAUUCAAAGGAGAGAUCUUAGAAGCUGUUGUUACUAUGGUGAACAAGGUAUGCUUUCCUCUUUUACCUAUCAAGGUGAUGGCAUUAAUAUUCUUAAUUUGUUUUUUCAAGCACUUGUAUUCUUUAUACUAACUGCAGAAAAUAUGUAAUGGCAUCUUAAUUCUUAUAGAUGGGAUUUUUUGCUGAGGCUGGUCCUGUUCAAAUAUUUGUUUCAAACCAUGUAAGUAUCCGCCCUUCUUUAUUCUGAGCAGUGAUAAGCUUUUAUCCAUAUCUUGGUAGAAAAUUUUGUUUUCUUUAAAUUUUGUCUUGUAUGAAGUUACAAGCUUUUGCAAGGACUAAGGCGGGUUGCAUUGGUGCUAUUGUGUGUGUUUCUCUUUGCCUUCUAUUUUCCCCCCUUCCUUCAAAAUAACCAUUUCUACUCAACUUUUUUAAUAAAGUGCCACCUCUAAAGAAUCAUAUACUUUUGGCCUUUAGGUUAGUAAAUGUUGCAUCUUUCUUUAUAACAUAGUCAAUAUUUUGUCUUUUGCUAACAUAGUCAAUAUUUUGUCUUUUGCUAACGUAGUCAAUGUUGUAUCCUAAUUGUAUAUAAGCAGUAGUCUACUAGCCAUAUAUAUGAGAAAAUUUCUGUAUAAGUUGAAGUUCAAUGAGAGUUAUACUUUUUCAACUUCUUUAACUUAUACUAUAGGUUACUGGUUUUUGGAGUUUGAAGUGCUCCUCUCUUGUACCUUCUGAGUCAUAGAGUAUAUGUUAACGUCCUCAUCUUGUGUUGUAGUUGAUACCGGAUGAUAUGGAGUUCCAAUCUGGGGAUAUGCCAUAUUAUACAACAUCAGAUGGAUCAGUAUGCUUCAGUUUCACCUGAUUCUCUAAAGAGUAGUUGUUUCUUUUCUAGCUUAGUUUAUACGGUUCAAUUGAUCUUUUGUUAUUUUGUAGGUUAAGAUUCAGAAAGAUAGCGAAGUUCGGUUAAAGAUAAUUGGAACCCGAGUAGAUGCUACAGAAAUUGUAAGCGCUCACUCUGUUUUCUCUUCACUUAGUGAUUGUUUAAUUUGUUUUUGUUGUUUUCAUUUUCCUUGUGCUGUCCAUGUGAUUCGGAAAAGGGAGUAAAGUCAUCCGAGGAAUGGUCCUUUUAAUUGUUCCUUGAUUAAUCAGUGUGCCAUGUUUUGAAUUUUCAACACUAAAUCAAACUGAAUGGUGGAGUGCUGGGAUGAUCAUAUCCUGCAUUUCCAUGAAUCUCUUACUUGUUUGAUCCUGGUUAGCUGCCAUAGUCAGUUUUUGACACACUUGGUCUCUUAGAACCGCCUGACAAAAGGCUCUUUUGUACAGCUGGGCUAGCAUAGUGCAAUUUAGAUUCAUUUUGUUUGCUUCUGAUACUAGUUCUCCCCCUGCUUUGCAGUUCUGCAUUGGUACAAUAAAGGAUGAUUUCUUGGGUGUGAUAAACGAUCCUGCGACUGCUUAGUGAAGUUGGGAGUUCUGCAUGCAUGAUGGGCUUUUGCGUGUUUGCCUUGUGGUUCUAUUGAAUAGCUCAGUAGCGUGGAAUUUUUGUUUAUAACUGGGGAAGCUUUUAGACAUGCUUGUAAUCCUAUCCUGCAUUUACACGAGUGUAAUAUAAUAAUACUGUCCUUAUAUUUUAAUCUUAUUUCUCCUCACAACAUUCUUAUCUCAUUUGUGCGUUUCUUUUUUUUGUUGGUCUGAUUUGUGUUGUAAAGGAUGAACUAUGACAGAAGAUACAAGAGCAACUCCAGCGGCAUGACCAAGCCUCCGGCUGGGGGGAAAAAAAUGAGAAAAUCUGUUUUCAGCGAGGAGCUCAAGUCCGGGCGCAAGAUAGGACCCAGCAACUUGGGCUGGUUCGAGCUCCAGCCCUUGUUUUGGUGCUGACGUCAGCACUACAGUGCCGCUACAGUACUCACGUGCUACAAUGCCGCUAUAGUGCUACGCGCUACAGUGCCGCUAAAGUCCACGUGUUGCGCUCUGGGCUCUCCGAUCAGAUUUUUUUCUCCAAUCCAACGGCAAUCAAUUUUUGUGUAAUAAAAAAAAUGAAAAAAAAUCGAUUUUUUUUUUUAAAUACCAAAAAAUUAUUGAUUUUUUUUUUCGUUCUAUAAAUACCAAAAUUUUAUCCGAUUGAGAUAUGAAUUUUAUAAUAAAUAUUGACACGUACGAACCCAAAAAUCUUAUCCGAAAAUAUUAUUCAAAUUAAUUGUUUAGAUAAACAAAUUUAUGAAAAAAACAAAAAAAUGAAUAGUAAUUGCCCUUUGUCAUGGCAACGGGUGAAAACACACAAUACUAUUUGCAAGGACAAUCAUUAUUCAUGUGAAUAGUAGCUGUCAUAGCUCCUCCUUGCCAUGACAAAGUACAAAUAGGUGGAGUUGCUCUAAGUUCUGAAAUGGCAACCAAGGAGUUGUUUGACCUUCAAGUGAAGUGGGGGCAAAAGACAUAAAACAAGCCAAAUAAUUAAAAACUCUGACAAAAAAUAAAUAAAUAAAAAACAACCAGAUUGUAAGAAAAAUAAAUUCACAGCAACAAAUACAAGCGGAUACCUACCUGAGCGAAAUAUAAAAUACAAGCAGAUACCUACCUGAGCGAAAUAUAAAAAAAUAAUAAUAUACAAGCAGAUAAUUGGGAAAAAAAAAAAAGUAAAUUUAGGUUUUACCCAUAAAAAAACUUUCACUUUUGGAAAAAGCCAAAGCUUUUUGAAAAAAGACAGAAUAACCUCUCAACUUUCAAACCAAAGACAUGCAAAUGUAAAGGAUUUCUUAGGAAAUCAAAAAAUAAAUAAGGGCAAUUUUGUCCAUUUUUGCUUGUUUUAAAAAUUUUCUCUUUCCUUUGGACUUUUCCAAAGUCUCCAAAAAAAAAAAAGGAACUGCACAAAUAUGAAAAAUGCCAUCUCUACCCUUUCUGUUUUGUUAUGGAGGAAUUAGCCUUUCUGCUUGGCACCAAAAUUUGGAGAAGCAAAGGAAAAGGAAAAUGGUUGCAUAAGAAAUCCAAAGAUUCAUUUUGAUGUCUCAGUCCAAAAACAAUGAUUGUAUCUCUGCUUUCACCUUUAAGAAAAGCAAAUUGUUUCUUGUUCAACGCAAAAACCCUUACCAUUUCAUUUCCAAAGCUUCUACUUCAUCAGUAAGAUAGUUACAAAGGGAAAAAAGAGUCAUGGCUGUUUUGUCUCACGCCUUUCCAAGCAUUCCGUCUUCCUGUUGUAAUUGCCGAAUAAGUAAUCUCAAGGAAGAUCACAAAGUCUGCGUUUGGGGUUUCUCCAGAGAAAUAUGUGACAAUGAAAUCGGUGUUUCUAGGGUUAACAGGAAGAAGGAUAAUAAUAAUCUCACCGGUCGCUGGACUGUGAAUGCAGUUGACACCCACAUUGUGGAGACCGCUCCACCUCGCACCACCGUUGAAAUUCCCAUUACUUGUUACCAGGUCACUACUUCAUUUUUCUCUUUUUUUAAAAUCCUUAUUAUUUUUAAUCUCUCUCACUCUCUCUUGCUACUUGUAAUGUGUAAUGUCGGUGGGCUUUGUAUUUGUUAAAUCCUGAUUAUGUGUUAAAUGUGUAUUCAUUCUGGUUUGGAGCUGAGAAAAUCGAAAGGGGAUAAAAUUGCUUUCCCUCCGCCUCCUUUUGCAUUUUGUUCUGGCUCCGGAUCCUGCAAGUCACUUGAGUCGCUCUUUAGUCUGCUGGCUAGUAGCAUCAUCUGCAAUAGUGCCAUAUUUAACGUUGUCCUCAAGAGCUUCAGUUGUUGAACAUACUCUGCCAUCCUUACACUUGAAGUGGCAUAAUCAAGUUAUCAGAGUGUGUUUAGUGUGUACAAUUUGUGUGAUGUUUAUGUGAAUCUUGCGCUAACAUAUCCGUAUUUUCUGAACUUUAUUAUUAGUCUGACUCUGCAUUUAGUAACUUAAUGCUAACGUAAUGAAUUUACAGCUUAUUGGCGUUCCAGAUCAAGCUGAAAAAGAUGAGGUUGUUAAAUCAGUGAUGGAUUUGAAGAGUGCUGAAAUUGAAGAAGGUUACACCAUGGAUGCUGUUGCAUCUCGCCAGGUUGAGACUUUAAAGUUCUUUAUUAUAUGUAGUAGAUAUACUAGGUGGAAAGAGCUUUCUGCUAGGUUGUUUAAUUUCAUCUUUAAAUUAUUUCUCUUGUGGACUGCUUUGCAGGGUCUUUUAAUGGAUGUGAGAGAUAAGCUUCUUUUUGAACCAGAAUAUGCUGGUAAUAUUAAGGAAAAGAUCCCACCUAAAUCUUCCCUACGAAUCCCUUGGGCUUGGUUGCCAGGUGCUCUUUGCCUCCUUCAAGAGGUACAGAUUUGUCUUUGUACAAUCUGCUUAGUCUAACAUAGAUUUUUGUGUCUUAGUGUUUAGCCUUCAGCCUUUCAGGCUCUUUUUUUCUUCUUUAAGAAAAAUAAAUAUUGUUAAACACUAAUUUAAGAGGGAUUUAAUUCUUUUCAGAAUUUGAUUGCUACAGUUUGUCGCAAAACUCAUUUUUUCACCCCUACUUUUCAUUGUGGAUUCCUCUUGUAGAUACACGUUGCCUAAUUGCAUUUAUUAAGUGUGUAACAUUGUCUUCUUCGUAAUAUUAUAGAAUAGUUUUUUCUUGUUUAAUUUAAAAAAAGAAGAAGAAAGGAUUUUGUUUUGGAAGGUGGGUAUAAUGAUAUUGGAUUUCUUCAUUCUAGGUUGGAGAAGUUAAGCUUGUGCAAGAUAUUGGUCGCGUAGCUGUUCAGCAUCCAGAUGCUAAGCCGUAUGUUCAUGAUCUUCUUCUUUCUAUGGCACUAGCAGAGGUAAGGCAUAUCAGCAAAGAGGUCAGGAUAUUGUACCGUCCGUUUUGUUUCAGCAUUGUUAUGCCUCCUUUUCUUAUCCUAGGUGCUUUCUUGAAGUGUGCAACUGCAAAGAUUGGUUUUGAGAAGAACAAGGUGUCCCAAGGAUUUGAAGCUCUUGCUCGUGCACAGAGUCUUCUAAGGAGUAAAAAGUCUCUUGGGAAAAUAGCAUUGUUAUCUCAGGUAAUCUCUCAUCUUCUAUGUGCUUUUGUGUCAAUUUUUUUUAGCUGAUAUUUUUUUUAUGGCAUUUACUGGUUCAAUCCACUAAUUGGCAUCUGGUCUGUCACUAUGAAAUGGAACUAUUAGAAUUCAAAUCAUCUGACUGUAUCUUAGUGUUUGUUUUGCAAAGUUGAGAACAUAUAUCUACAUAACAAAUCAAAGUAUGGUGGACCAAAUGUUGAGAAGUUAAGUUGUUCUUAGUCAGAUUGACCUGGUGGUUGAAAAUUCUAAAAUGUGACAAAUUUCUGUUAGACAGCAUUUAACUUUAUUCCAUGCCUGUACUUGCCCUAAAGUAAACAUAUGUUGGUCAUGUUUUAUAGAUAGAAGAAUCUUUGGAGGAGCUUGCACCUGCUUGCACAUUGGAAUUGCUAGGCAUGCCUCACUCACCUGAGAAUGCUGAAAGAAGAAGAGGAGCAAUUGCAGCCUUGCGUGAAUUGGUCAGACAGGGGCUUGGUGUGGAAACGUCGUGUCGAGUCCAAGACUGGCCAUGCUUCUUGAGCCAAGCAUUUAAUAGACUAAUGGCUUCGGAGAUAGUUGAUCUUCUUCCAUGGGAUGACUUAGCUAUUACAAGGAAGAAUAAGAAAUCACUUGAAUCACAGAAUCAAAGGGUUAUUAUUGAUUUUAAUUGUUUGUACAUGGUGUUGAUAGCUCAUAUUGCCCUGGGGUUUUCAAGCAAACAAAAGGAAUUGGUAAAUUCAUUCUGCUCCUAGGUCCAAAUUAUUAUUUUUGAAUAUGAAGCCUGCUGAAAUAGUAACUCUCUCUCUCUCUCUCUUACUUGGGGCAGAGGGCGUUGCUGCAUGUUCCAUUUUGUUAAUUUCAGCCCUUAUAAUAUGGUUGUGCAGAUUGACAAAGCAAAGACUAUAUGCGAGUGUCUGACUGCAUCAGAGGGUACUGAUCUGAAACUUGAGGAAAAUUUUUGCUUGUUCCUUCUUGGUCAGGUAAAAUUUUCAGUUUCCUCCUAAUUUUAUUUCUUGUGCUGUUUCAUUAGAAUAGUUUUGGAUAUCUUGCAGAAACUAUGAAUUUGUUUUUCCUUUUUUCUUAUUCAAUCCUUCUCUUUUUUUUUCCAAUGGAAUACUUGGUGAUAUCUCGGUUUCCAGGGUAAUGAGGCUAUGGUUGUUGAAAAGCUUCAGAAGCUUGAAUUAAAUUCAAAUUCUGCUGCACGAAAUCCAAUCUCAGGGAAGGAAGUUAAGCAUACUUGUGGAGCAAAUCAAACUUUGGUAAAUCUCUUAUUGUGUGCUGGAAUUCUCAUCUUAGCUGUCAUUAGGACCAUGCUUAUCUUUACUUUGAAACAUCGGGUAAUGGGAAGGUCCUGAAAACUCAAUGUGUUCUAUAUUGUGCCACUUCACACGCUACUUAUUUCACUACAAACUUUAUGUUUGUUUUAAAGGUCAAUACUUUCUCAUGUCGGACUGCCUGCUGAACUUGAUCAGGAAAUGUGGCUGAAGGAGGCUGUCCUUGCUGUGUUUCCAGACUCACGAGAUUGCCCUCCAUCGUUGGUGAGAUUCACGAGAAGGGACUGUUAAAGGAUAAUAGCUUUGACUUUAGCAGAGGAUUAAUGUAUGUAUGUAUGUCCUUGCAGGCCAACUUUUUUGGUGGUGAAAGGAGGACUCCUUUGAGCAAGAAAAGCAAAGUAGCUCCACAGAAUUUGCCUAUUUUAAGUCACAGACCAAUUUCCACUACUCUUGUGUCAGAGCGGAGAGAUUUUGAUGAGUCUCUUUCCCAUAUGAACUCUUCUCAACAUCUUGGAACAGCUGUUAAGCAGCUGGCUCCAACUGAUCUUCAGAGUCCCUUGAUAUUGGGCAAGACUGGCAGUGGAAACAGUGCUAGUGCAUCAUCUGUUCAAUUGAAAAGGAAUCUUGGCAUGCACCAUGACAAAGUUUGGAAUGGUUGGGUUGCUAAAGGAGUUUUGGUGGGAAGGAUCACUUUCGUGGCAGUACUGGGGUGCAUUGUUUUUGCUUCCUUAAGGUUAACAGGCAUGAAGGGAAACAAGAUGAGAAAUGGUUAUAAAUGGGGCCCUAGUAAGCCAAAUAUGCACACAAGUUCCAUUUCUUGGACAACAGAUUCAUCUGUGGAUUCUAGUCUAGUACCUGCUUAUAUCAAGGGAAAUGGACUAGCUGGCAGACUUAAGAAGUUUUUGGUGACUUUUAUGAAGCAGGUCAGGACCUGCUCAGAUGCUGAAAAUCCACAAAUUUCAUAUCUGUCUUCUUCGACAUCUGUGUUCCGGAGGCUUAUGUCUAUUGAAGAAGCUGAAGACCUUGUGAAGCAAUGGCAAGCAAUUAAAGCUGAAGCUCUGGGGCCUAGCCAUGAAAUUGAUAGCCUUUGUGAAAUCCUUGAUCAGUCAAUGCUUGUUCAGGUAUAAUUUGUGGAGGUUUUUGAAUAUUUGAUAUUGUUAUUUAAAUAGUAUUAUCUUAACAAAGUUCAGUCUAUGAAUACUUAUGACAUGGAAUAAGUUGGAUAUGUCACAAACAUUUUAUUGUAAUAAUAAGCUCUGUAAUUUACUUUCACAUGUUUUCUUUUCGUUGAUGCUUCGUUUAAGUUUACUGCUUUACUCUACGUAUUUGUUUGGUUACUUUCGCGUGCAUGGUUCACAGUGGCAGGCUUUGGCUGAUGCUGCAAAAGCGAGGUCUUGUUAUUGGAGAUUUGUUUUGCUACAAUUGUCUGUCCUGCGAGCUGAAAUUUUAUCAGAUGAAGUUGGAGGAGAGAUAGCAGAAAUCGAGGCUGUCCUGGAGGAAGCAGCUGAACUUGUUAAUGAAUCUGAACAAAAGAACCCAAGUUAUUACAGGUGAGUUGAAUUUAUGAUGUGUAUUUAAUGGAGAAUCUGUAUUUGAGUAUUAGAUUUUGGUUUGCAUGUUUUUAAUGUUAAAUUUGAUAUUUGACUAAUUUUUUCUUGGAUUGAUUGCAGCACGUAUAAAAUUUGGUAUGUUCUAAGAAGGCAAGCAGAUGGUUCAUGGAGGUUCUGUGAAGGGAAAGUGCAAACACCAUCAUAACAUUGGCCUAGUUACUGGAAUGCAUGAACCAGCAGCUGCCACACCGAAUAAUGCUUGGCUAACUUGGUUCCUCGCAUCUUUAAUUCUUCUUGUGGAGGUCCCAACUAAUUAGAAAUGUGGAUCUAAAUUUAGGAGGCAGAAUUCCAAAAUUGCAAUUGGGUUGUUUAGUUUAGUUGAUGUUGAUAACUUUUACUUGUAGCUGAAAUAGAAUGAGCGGAAAAUAGUUAUUGGUUUCCUUUCGUCUGUGUCGUUGUCUCCUAUUACUUGAGGCAUUUAAGGCUAAUUGAAAUUGAGUUGUUUGACAUGAACUUCGGACUACUGUACAGAUUAUCUAAGUUUCAAAAUUUACUAUGUCAUCUGAGUGUGCUUAUUUUAGUUUAUUAUUAUUUUUGGGUCUGAGUGCUUAUUAGUUUAUUUGGGCCUGAACUGAAGCCAUUGUUUUUUUAUUAUUAAUUUUUCGAUGAAAUGAUGUAAAUUUGAGCUUGUGAUGUAACAUUUUUGACGUUACUAAUUGCACUUCACUACUUAAUCAUGUGUGACUUUAUGAUCUUUUAAUUCUUUUCCUGUUUUGUCAGAUUUAGUAAUCAGUCAGUAUAUAUAUAUUAAUAUAGGGUAAAUUACUCAAAUGGUUUUUAAAUUUAUACUCAAUUUAUCUUUUGGUCUCUCAAUUAAAUUAUUCAUUCAAAUGGUCCAUCAACUCUAUAUUAUUCGUUUCAUUGGUCCUACUGUUACAUUAUGUCAAUAUUUCUAUUACAUAUGAGGGCAAAUUGGUCAUUAUUUUUUCAAAAAUUAGGUUAAAUCUAACAUAAAAUUAGACGGUUGGACCAUUGAAACGAGUAAUAUAGAAGUAGAUGGACUAUUUGAACGAAUAAUUUAUUUGAGUGAUCAAAAUAUAAAUCAUGUAUAAAUUUAAGAACCAUUUGAGUAAUUAUAUAUAUAUAUAUAUAUAUAUAUAAACAAGACAAAUGCUUGCGAAUAAUCCCUUUGCUAAUUUCAACCUUAAUUAAACCGGAAAAAAAGGGACCAAUAGGAAAUAUAUUAUUAUUUUUUUGUCAGAACAAUAAGAAAUAAUUUAGGGCAUCAUUUUAUCAAAGAACGCAGCCCAACUAGAAAACUCUCUCAAGAAGAAGCCCAUAUUAAAGCAGAGCAGAAUCUGAAGCUCCUUCAAAAGACUAGACUAGAGAGAGAAGCAGUUUGUUGAUCGAAUCCUUGAAUUGAAGCACAGCAUCAAAAGAGGUGAUGGGUCGCCAAGCCGUAGCCAAGCUGAUCGGUUCGAUCGCAUCACGCAAACCAUCUCCGUCUCCGUCAACUUCUAUUCUUCAGCGUCGACAUUACUCCCCGGCUCCGUCACCGCCUCCGGCGGUGUUUGUCGACAAAAACACUCGCGUCAUAUGCCAAGGCAUCACCGGCAAGAAUGGCACUUUCCACACUGAACAAGCCAUCGAAUAUGGCACCAAAAUGGUAUCACUAACAAACAUGCCUCUUUCUCUCUUCUUCUCGUCUAUUUUAUUUGCUUUAUUGAGUUUUUGGGGUUCUUCUUCUUUCUUCUAUUUUUGUUUUUCCUAACCCAAGCUCCGAAAUCAAUUACGGAAUUAAGAAAAUUAUGCUUUUAUUCUAGUGCCGCCUGAGAUUAUUUUGCUGUAUUACAGUUUUGGGAUUUUCACUGAUACUGGUACUGCAUUAUUUGUGCUUAGAUUCAUUUUCUCAUUUGCUUAAACAUCUAUGUCUCUUUACUAUCAAAAGGGGAGUUUGAAUUGGUGAAAAUUAUUGGAAAAUGAGUUAUUGUUGACAUGUGAAACUGAGAAUAUGGGUUUCUUAUGCUAAUGCAUUAAAAUUAAAUGGACUCCUAGAUUAGAAUGGUCACGACUUUUCACAAUUAAUUGACUAAGUUUGAAGGUUUGAAUUUCCCAUACUAAGUUUUCCUCUGAAAUGCUACAUAACGUUAUAAAUUAUAAUCACCUUCUUUGUUCCAAACUGUUAUGUAAUUUUCCCUUCUUUCUUUCAUUUCUUUAUACUAUUGUGCUGAAACAGGUGGGUGGUGUAACACCAAAGAAGGGUGGGACCGAGCAUUUGGGACUCCCUGUUUUCAACUCAGUUGCAGAAGCAAAAGCUGAAACAAAGGCUAAUGCCUCAGUCAUUUAUGUUCCCCCACCAUUUGCUGCUGCUGCAAUUAUGGAGGCAAUGGAAGCAGAGCUGGAUCUUGUUGUGUGCAUCACUGAGGGGAUCCCGCAACAUGAUAUGGUAGUAUAUUUUUAUCAUUUUAAAUACGAAAGAUAAGUUUACAUGUUCAUACAUGACAAUUUGGAUCUUGGGUAUAACAUUUUGUUUUGUCGAUAUAAUUCAAUUUGUAUCACAAUCCUAUUAGCUGAUAUGUCAGUUAUCAUAUCUUUUGGGACUUCCAAAUGCUUGGUUAUUGAGUUUUGUCCUUCCUGGACUGUCAUAUGAUUUGGAAUGUGAACUUUAUUGAACUUGGUCAUAGCUCUGAUUAUUAAUUUCAGUUGACUGCAAGCCCAGUUGUUAAGCUUGAGUUUAGUGUUCUGUAAUUCACGUGAAACUGUCCUUGAACCUAAUAAUUAUGAAUUUCAGGUACGUGUGAAGGCUGCUCUUAACAGGCAAUCUAAAACUCGGCUCAUUGGACCAAACUGCCCUGGAAUUAUCAAGCCUGGUGAAUGCAAAAUUGGAAUUAUGCCUGGUUACAUUCAUAAACCUGGUCGUGUAGGAAUUGUUUCUCGAUCUGGUACCUUGACCUAUGAAGCGGUGAGUACUAAUUGUGAUCCAGUUAGGAUGUACGAAGGGAGAAAGAAAUCUUUUACCUUUCCAACAGAAAAUUUUGAUACUAAUUUGGUUUUUCAGAAGAUUGGGUACUAUUAUUAUGGUCAUAUCUUCAUCCUCUUCUUGUUCGAUGUUUGGAUUUUGUGGGUACCACCUUCAAUUUACAUAUUAUGAAGUUUUCUUAUACUUCUAACUAAUUUUGUCCCUUUACCUUGCAGGUUUUCCAAACAACUGCUGUUGGCCUUGGACAGUCCACCUGUGUUGGUAUUGGAGGUGAUCCUUUUAACGGUACAAACUUUGUUGAUUGCAUUGACAGAUUCCUAGAAGAUCCUCAGACAGAAGGUUAGUAGUUUGUAUUUUUUGGUGGCAUGAUCCUCAGACGGAGCUUGCUUCUAUGAAUUUGCUCUGGAGAUAUAUCUGUGCACUCUAUUUGUUUAUGGUUGCAUGUAUAGGUCCAUGGUUUGCCAUUUACUCAACAGAUCUGUUCGUGCUUUAAUGCGUGACUGUGCUUCAUGUAAGCUAUUACUGGUGCUCAUUUACGAAGAAUGUUGUGUAUCACAUAAAAUAUCAGGAUACUCUGGGCCUUAAGAGCAAGUGUAUAGAAUUCUCUCUCUCUCUCUCUCUCUCUCUCUGCCAUUUGCUUGAAAUAUUUAUAUCCAUCAACUAUAAUGUUGGUGGUUGCCCAUUUGUAAAGUAAUGAACCUAGGCUUGAUCUUUUGUGAUUCAGAUUUGUGUGGUGUGCCUCUGCGUGAGUUCUUGAAUACUUACCAUUCAAGUUCAACCUUUAGGACUUUUGUCUUUUCUAAUUGUGGAUGCUCGCCUGACUGUUUUUUAUUGCUUAAAAAUUCCAUUGAGCACAUUUUAUUGAUAUAGUAUUGUAUGUUAGCUAAACUUCAUUGAUUGGAAAAGAAUUAUUUGGAUAUAAGAAAAACAUAUGAAGUAACUCUUGUGUGAUGAAUUUUUUUUUAUGUGCCCCUUUUAACUUGAUGUAAGGUUUCUUACCCUCUAAUUUGUGCGGAUGUUUUGGGUAAGAUGUACAGAAGAAAAAAAAGUGUUGAAGUAGGGGACAUGUGAUUUGAACGUAAUUCUAGGAUGUAUGUGUUUCAGGUAUCAUUCUUAUUGGAGAGAUAGGUGGGACUGCAGAAGAGGAUGCUGCUGCAUUGAUAAAGGUAACAAUCCCACUAUCUUUCAGCCCCUCCCUCUGAGCAGAGUAGAAAGUUUGAUAAACCCUUUUAGCAUUUCUAUUUAUAACAUAGUACUCGUAAAACGAGUUAAGAAUUGAGUUUUGCUAGGGGGAUAACCAGAUAGAAUUAUCUUUUUGUUGACCCUUACCUUUUGAAGAAUCAAUUGAUCCACAUAUUUAAUUUUAGAUGAACAUUUUAAGAUAAAUGCUUGAUUUAUUUUCAGUUAGUUGUAAAAGAAAUGGUCUCUUCCCUUUCCAUUUAAGGAAAGAGUCCCAAAACAACACACACCAACCACCCCCCCCCAAAAAAAAAACACAUGCGCACUCGACUCUCAGCAUCCUAAAUUCUCACAGUUAGCUUCACUGCUACCAUCUUUAUCUGUUGUCUAUAUAUGGGUGGCAACUGAUUAUCUGACCAAUCAAACAGGAAAGUGGAACUGAGAAGCCAAUUGUUGCUUUUAUUGCUGGACUAACUGCUCCUCCUGGCCGUCGUAUGGGUCAUGCUGGAGGUAUAUGAUUCAUUACUCUCUCUCUCUCUCUCUCUCUCUCUCUCUCUCUCUCUCUCUCUCUCUCUCUCUCUCUCUCAUUGUCUAUGGUUGAGUGUGGUUUCAUAUCAUUCUCAUAACAUGAUAAUCACACAUGUCAUUGGUGGCAUCUGCUUGUGCAGCUAUUGUGUCAGGGGGGAAGGGUACAGCACAAGACAAAAUCAAGACCCUUAGGGAAGCUGGGGUGACAGUGGUGGAGUCUCCAGCAAAAAUAGGGGUUGCAAUGCUUGACGUCUUCAAACAGAGGGGCCUUGUGAAUUAGCUUGGACAAUAGUAGUUCAUUUGCAGUCGCCUAUAAUGUUUUAUGGCAAGAUGCCCAAAACAACAUGAUUAUCUCCAAUUCUUCACUGAUUAUAACUGUGGUAGAGCAUUUGAGUGCUCAGAGUUUUCCCUGCCAUUUGCCACAUUGGGUGGUUUUUGGGGAUCCAUUAAUUUGUUUAUGAGAUCGUUUUUCAUACAUCAUGAAGUGAUUUUGAAGGGUGUCCAGAAUACAAAUAUAAGCUCUUGCAAUAGAGAAGCUAAGGGCAUGGUUGACAGAUUAUGCACUUUUUUUACUUAUAAGUUUAAAGCAGAAUACGGAGCCAACAGCAAUUUUGUAACAAUCUGAUAAGAGACCUAAAAAAAGGGGAGUGCGGCGAUGGAUGCGCUGCCUGCACUUAAAAAAACCAUACCGCACACUAUGGCUUCUUUUUCUGUUGAUUUAUCAAAUGAUUCCUUCCCUCCCUCCCGUUAAAAUUUAUAUUAUCUAUAUUAUCAAAUGAUUGCUACCGUUAAACGUUAAAUUAUCAAACAAAAUAAAAAGAUAAUAAGAAUAAAGUUGGGGUUUUUCUGAAGUCAACAAAAACCCUGCAAAUCAAUAUCAAAUAAUAGUCGGGAGGAACAGACACAGAGAAAAAGAGAAAAGUCCAGUGGAAUCAAAAUGGCGCGAACCUCGUCAUCGAAGAAGAAGCGCAAAGACGAAGAGGAUCCAAACCCAGAGGUGACGCAGCGCAAGAGGCUCAAAGCCCUCGCCUUCUGCAACAACCUACUCUCAGAGGUCCCUGCUAAGACCCACGAGCCUCUCACCCCCUCAAACACUGUUGUUAAGCACCAUGGCAAAGACAUUCUCAAGAAAUCUCAGCGAAAGAACAGGUUCCUCUUCUCCUUCCCUGGCCUCCUUGCCCCCAUUGGAGGCGGUAAGAUCGGUGAGCUCAAGGAUUUGGGCACCAAGAACCCCGUGUUAUACCUCGAUUUCCCUCAGGUCUACUACUUUCAUCCUUCAUCGUUUUCUAAUUUUAUUUUGCUUGUUUGGUUUCUGAGAAAAAUUUUAAUUUUGGGGUUUUCAGGGUCGGAUGAAAUUGUUUGGGACUAUUGUGUUCCCCAAGAACAGGUAUCUGACUAUGCAGUUCCCUAGGGGUGGGAAGAGUGUCAUGUGCGAGGACUACUUCGAUAAUAUGGUCAGCUACUUUCUACAGUCUGUUUUCCGCAUUGAUUGUUAAGUUUCUAUUUCAAAUAUAUUUGUGGUCGUAGAAAGAUGCAUAUCUUAUACCAUUUUGUUCAUAGGCUUGGUUGAUGAUCAGUGCAGAACUGUAAAUUAUGAUAUAAAUUUGAAGACAAGUUGACCUUUUAUCAUAUCAUUUGAAUUCUUUUAUAUUUUCUAAUGAUUUUCUUUUGAGGGUUAUUAGAAGUCAAUAAUUGCAUGUCUGAAUAAGUUAGAAUUGCCACUUGUUUUUAACUGGUAACGGAUUCAGUUAAGACUCAUAGAACUAAGUAUUAGGUGGUUCAGAAUGAGGCAAAAGAACUGCAAAGCUGAUAUUUUGUGGAAACUUGUACUCUGAAAGUUGCAUCUCAUAACGCAAAAGAACUACAUAAAUUUUAUUCUUGUAUCUUUUGGGUUGAUUGAAAUAGCAUGUCUUCAUUGUAUUCAUACUAAUUACCCUAUGCUUGCAACUCCUCUCUUUGUGUGCUUUUAUACUUUGUGUACAUAAUGUUUCAGAGCUAUUGUUUCAUACAACUUCCACCAAGAAUCUUCUUCAUGUUCUUCUUACAGAGUGUGGUAACGUCAUUUUGCAGCCCCUUUCCAAAAAAUCCACAUCUUUUGUUUUGUUUGUCUAUGGCCAUGUGCUUGUUAUAUGAAUCUGAGUUUCUCAAAGCAUUUUUUACACAUAUAUAUCUCAGCAUUAGCUUUUCAUGUCCCAGAUCAUAUUUUCCAAUGCUUGGUGGAUUGGGACACAAGCUGAGAACCCCGAAGAAGCCCAACUUGAUUUCCCUAAGGAACUUACUGAGGUUAGUUUCUGUUCAUAUAAGUCCGUCGUGUUGAUAUGUACAUUUCAUUUUUUGAUGAUCCACUCUCAGGAAUUUGUUGGUUUCAGGGACAACACGCAGAAUAUGACUUUAAAGGUGGUGCAGGUUCAACAUCUGCAAACAAGCAAAGUGAUUGUAAAAAUGAAACUACAUCUGUAGAACAUUCCCCAAAUGUUAAGGUUGAAGAUAAUGUAUCAGAUUAUGGAAACAAGGAUUUGAUGAAAGCAACACCUGUUCGACAUUCAGCAAGAACUGCUGGAAAACGAUUCAAGUACUGGCCUAAACAUUUUAUUACACUCACUAGAUACUGUCAUAAGAUAUCAGAAGCUGGGGGAAUUAAGUACACACAUACUAAAUAUGCAAAGUAGAUACAUAUAUACGUACACAUAUUUGUACAGGAACAUACAAACACACACACCCACACAAUGUACCUUAUAGGUGCUGAGGCCAUCUCUAAAUGAUAAAAUUGGAAACAAAAUAUUAUUUUUCAUUUGUGCUGCAUUACCAUAUUUGCCUUUUCAGACCUAUCUGAUAUACCUAUGAGUAAGUAGUUCUUAUCAUCCAAAAGAAAAAGGGAAAAAAAUAGAUGAAACAUAUUGCAAAUAGUUACAAAGGGCACUGAUCCCCAUUGUCCAUUCUGAUGUCACUUAUUGAAGGCCUGAAUGCACUCAUUGCUUUUCAGCAGAUGAGUUGUUAUGUGGAAAUGUCGUGUAGCCUCUACGGAUAUUAAAUAUGUAAACUAUUAGUUGAUUAUCUACAUGAUAUGUUGAUUAUCAUAGAUAAUUAACCAUUUUGAUAUAUUUUCUUUUUACUGGAGAAUAAUAAAAGAAACGAGAGUGCUUGUUGAUCGUCCAGAAGGCACACAUUUUCCUGUGAUGUGUCCACACAUGCUUCAGUGAACUCUUGUUUUGUCACCAAUUAAUUGUAGAUGUUGUAUCAUGCUUACCUUUCCAUUUAUCUCUAACAUUUUUGUUGGUACAGUUUUGGAAAUGCUUCUUCUGGAGAUGAUUCUUUUGAAAGCGAUACUUACUUAAGUGAAGGAGAAGAUGGAAAAAUUGGGGGACUUGAUUCAUCAUCCGGGAAGCAUGCUAGUGGGAAUAUCCUUAUAUUUGUCUUAAUUUGGUGAAUUCCGACAUUAAAAUUUUACUUUUGUAUGUACCCACCAGCUAUUUUGUAAAUUGAAUUUGGGUUUACCAUACAUUCAUUACAUCAACCUUCCAUCUCAGUUAGCUAUACCUUGAUUGAUUCCCUUAACUGGUAGAUACAGACUGAAAAUCUCAGCUUUGGAGACGUUGACAUUGAUAAUGAGGAUUCUGUGAAAGGAGCUCAAAUUCCCAAACAAAAUCAGGAGUCCUCUGUGUCAGAAGCUAAAUCAAAGAAACAAUCGCAUUCUACCUUUGCAGUGACUACAUCUGUGGAGGACUCUCAUAGAAAUCAUAGUUCGCUUAUUCAGGCUACUAUAUCUACAUUGUUUAAGAAAGUGGAGAAAAAGGUAAAGUUUUAUGGCUUUUAUUGUUAGUUUUAUUACUUGUGGGAGCUUUUUGUUAUGUAGCUAUGGUAUGUUUCAGGACUAUUAAGAAGCCUGCAACUGAAAACCAAAAUGAAACACCCGGUCAGGGUGGGAUCUCUGAGUUUCUUGGGCAUAUGAAAAUAAAAUAGCGAACCAUGCAUUGCCAUUUUGCCCUUCAACUCCUGCUUAAUGCUUACCAUGCUCCGAAAUUUCUGAAUUUUAUACAGAAAGUGGACUCCAUUAUGCAAAGUCAAGUACAGCUUCCUUCUUCAAAGGUUCAUGAAACACCAAAAAAUCCAAAGAAACCUGCAUCCCCAAAAGGUUGCUAUUUUCCUAACUAGUUUUCUUAUUAUGAAUACAUUAGUAUCUGAAUACUCAGAACAGUGAAAACUGUUGAUGUUUUCCAGUUUCUGGCCAGAAGUCACGCCAAACUGAUUCAAAGAAGAAGGUUAAUCAGGUUAUUGUCAGUUCUUAAUGGUCCUUUCCACUUCUCCCUGCCCUUUCAAACAACAAUUAUGGCUAAUUUUUCCUUUUCUUAGCAAUGGCUGCUUUGCAUCGGAAUGUUACCCCAGCUGAGGUAGUUUUUUGUCCUUGCAGGAUGGACGACCUAAGGAAAAGGCAAAAACUAUCGAGGAAAAGGAUUCAGGUCUCUCUCUCUCAACAAAAUCCAUAUUCAAAUGUUAUGGGAUUGAUUACCUUUUUAUUAUCAUACUUCUUCCGGAUAGUUAUUUUUUCCCUCUUGUGUUAUUUGUUUAUUCUGAAAGUUCUUCAUAACAGUUCCUCUUAAGUAUGCAUCUACAUGUGGGCAAGUUAGCUUAUAAUUGACCUCUGUGUUUGUGUAGGAGGCAAAAGCUUGGCAAAGAAGAAACAAGAUGAGGUAUGUUUGUGUCUGGCAUCAUUUGUGUUUUUCUUUGUACUAUGGUCAUUAGUGUUUCAGUUUCCCAGUUUUUUUCUUCCCUUCUUUUUUUUAAAUUUUAAUUUCAUUAGAACUUAUAUUUUGUGAUUGUUAUCAAAGCUCUGCUCUAAUUGAUCCUCCAAAAGAAGCUCUACUCUAAUCAAAAUGUAUUUCUCAAUGUAAACAUAAGAUUGUUGAUUCUUGAUUCUUGUGAUUCCCUUAGAUUUGGAGGAUGGAGGUGGAAAGAAGAGGGAAUUAGUUUAUUAGAGUGGAUUUCUGGCCCCACUCUUGUUUGAAUAUGAUCAGGUGGUUAGUUAUCCUUGAAUGAAAACUAACAAACCACCAAGAAAGAAGUCUUUUAGAGCAUUAUCUCACAGAGAAAUAUGCUUCAUAGUGAUGAAAUAUAUUCUAUUGGCCAUAAAUUAGGUUGUUGCGACUUCAUAAAUGAUUUUUCCUCAACAGGAAAUUCUCGCAACACCCAAUUGUGAGAUCUUUCAAUUGUUCACUAGCAUGAAUCUUUUUGUAUUAGUGCAAAUUUGGAGGUGAUUUAUAUUGCAGCUUGAGUUUUACUUUCAAGCACGACCUCUUAAAUGGUAAUUCAAAUUGUACAUAAACAUGUAGGUUGAAGAGGAUGAUAUUGAAGAAUUCUCAAGUAGCUCACGGGUAAUUUCUAGUUUAUUUAAAUCUCUCUUCUACUGUUUUGGAGAUGGAUAUAUAUAAUUUGUAAGUCCUUGAAGAUGGCACAGAGGUGAUUGGUAAUUCAAUGGUGAUGGUAUAUAUCAGAUCAGAUGGGUUGGUGCGUUGGGUGCUGAUCACUGGAAAUUGGCAUGUAAAGCCAGAUGAUAAUGAUUUGUUUCAAAAUGUCAUUUCCUAGUUGAAACUGUGAUAGAUAUUUGCUAGAGUAACGCAUGUAUGAUCCUCCCAUGCAUGAAAUGCAACAAUCAUAUGCAUAAUGCAUGCAGUGCUCUAGCAAAAUACCAUUUCCUUUACUAUUGUUAUUUUUACUGGAAGUAAACCUUAAUUGUUGCUCUUGGUAGCCAUUGAUGGUGAUGGCACAACAUUUGUAUGGAAAAGGCUGAGUUUUUGAGCUUAUGCGUUGUGCAGGACACUGAUCUUAGUGAUGAGGAUUGGGCUGCUUGAGAUGGUAACGACACAGGGUGUAUAGAGAACUAGAGAUGCACCCGUGUCAAGCAAAGUGAUGUGAUAUUACUCCCCUGUGCAAGGCCCAAGGGAUGAUGAUGAUGAUGAUGAGAGUGUUGAAGAGCUCUCUCGCUCGUCUGGUGUUAUAAGAAGAGCUCCUCAAAAAUUGACACAUUGCCUGCCUGCCUGCCUGCCACAUACUGUAAUCUUCACUUUCUUAUUAUUGGCAGGCAUAGAUUGUUUUCAUAAAUGUUUUUAGAUGACAUAUCCGCCCUCUUGUUCCACUUUCGUCUUUAUAUCUGAUUUUAUCCGAAACUAAAAAAUAAAGCAUUUGACAUCUUAAAUUUUAAUGUGGACAAGGUAUAGCCAUGGUGUUAACUCUUGAGUUGGGAUACUACAAAGCCCUUGAGGCUUGAAUCUGGAUGCGAUUCAAUUAGUUUCUGAGUAUAUUUCUUAGCUAAUUAUCUUUGUUUUUGUUGAUUUUUGAGUUUUUGGCGAAUGGGUAUUGAUUGUUUUCUGGUUUCACUAAUGAAUUCUCAUUUGGGGUUUUGCUAAUUAAUUUUUCUCACUUCGGGGUUUCACAAAUAAAUUUUCGCAUUCCAGGGUUUCACAAAUAAAUAAUCGCAUUUUGGUGUUUCAUGAAUGAAUUGUCUCAUUUUGGGGGUUUCGUUGAUGAAUUUUCGCAUUUUGGGUUUUCACAAAUGAAUUUUCGCAUUUUCGGGUUUCGUUAACGAAUUUUUGCAUUUUGGAGUUUCAAAAAUUAAUUUUCGCCUUUGGGUUUUAGCGAAAACCCAAAAUGCAACAAUUCAUUAGCAAAACUCAAAAAUGCAAAAACUUAAUCGUGAAACCCAAACAUGUGAAAAUUCAUUAACGAAACCCCAAAGUGAGACAAUUCAUUAAUGAAACUCUAAAAUGCGAAAAUUCAUUAGCGACACGUCAAAAUACGAAAAUUCAUUUAUGAAACUCCGAAAUUUGAUUAUUCAUUAUCAAAAACCCUAAAAUAGGAAAAUACAUUCGUAAACAAAUAAUGUGAAAACUCAUUUGCGAAACCCAAAAAUGUGAAAACUCAUUUAUGAAAUUCUAAAAUGCGACAUUCAUUAAUAUAACCCCAACGAAACAAAAAAUGCGAAAAUUCAUUAACGAAACCCUAAAAUGUGACAAUCCACUAAUGAAACAAAAAAAAAAGAGUAAAUUUAUUUACGAAACCCAAAAAUACGAAAAUUCAUUAGCAAAACCCCAAAAUGUGAGCACUUACUAGCAAAAUCCUAAAGUGCAAAAAUUCAUAGCAAAACCCAAAAAUGUGAAAACUCAAUAACAAAACCCCAUAAUGUGAUAAUUCACUAGCGAAACACCAAAAUGCGAAAAUUCAUUAACGAAACAUACAAAUGCGACAAUUUAUUAGCGAAACCCAAAAAUGCAACAAUUCAUUCGUGAAACUCCAAGUUGCGAAAAUUUAUUUUUGAAACCCUAAAUGAAAAAAUUUAUUCAUCAUUGAAAGUUCAAUAACGAAACCGCAAAAUGCAACAAUUCAUUAGCUAAACCCUUCAUUUUUUAAACCCCGACCUGCCAAAAUUUAUUUGCGAAACACCAAAAUACGACAAUUCAUUAGCGAACCCCUAAAAUGUGAAAAGACAUUCAUGAAAACCUAAAUGCAAAUAUUCAUUCAUGAAACCCCAAAAUAAGACAUCAUUUUGAUAUCCAAAAUGCAAAAUCCAUUUGCAAAGCCCCAAAAUUUGAAAUUUCAUUAACGAAACCCCAUGAUGCGACAACUUAUUAGUGAAACCUCAAAAUGCCAAAAUUCAUUAACGAAACCCUAAAGUGCGACAAUUCAUUAGUGAAACCCUAAAAUGUAAAAAAUUAUUUCCAAAAAAUUCAUUAGCGAAACCCUAAAAUACAAUUUCAUUUGUGAUACCCCAAAAUCCGAAUAUUCAUUGAUGAAACUCCAAAAUGCAACAAUUCAUUAGCGAAAAUUCAUUGAUGAAAUCACGAAAUGCGAAAAUUGUCUUGCCGAUGCUUGUGGAUACAUAAGAUCUUCUUAGUUGGAAGAUGCUUGUGGGCAUGGAAAGCCCAGUUGAGUUAAAUUGUCUUACCGAUAGUCUUGUGAGCCUUUGGCUUUGUGGUCGGUCAUUUAGGCUUUAUCGUUUUCUAUUGACGACCAACAAACUAAUUGAAGGGGAUAAAUUUGUAUAAUGAGAAUGGAUUCAAUGAGGAAAACACACAACUGAUCCUGUAGAUGCAUAUCAUUUCAAAGUUGAUGGCGACAUGUAUAAUUAAAGAUGUAAUAUUAUUAAAGCUAGGACACAUCAUGUAAUUAAAAGUAUGAAAUCCUUCACUAGUUGGCAUGCACAUGAGUUAGCACUUAGCAGGUGCAUGUAGCAGCUAGCGAGGAUUGAGGUUGUUGAGGCAGGUGAGAGCAGGGCGGAGAUCAUUGCAGAGGUGUUGAAAGGAAGCAUGCAAUUGUUUGAGUCCUUUCAAGUCGAGCUCCUCAAUAGGAGCCUCCCACCAGCCCUGUAACUGGCUCUUGCUGCUGCUACUUCUGCUUCGAAUGCUUCCAGCUGCUUCUGCUGAUGAUGAUAUUUCUUUUGCUUUUGCUUUCAUCCUCUGUUGAAGCGCUUUCCCUCGCUCCCUCUCAACUUCUAGCUCGCUCACCAACUCAUUGUGUUUCUUAUUCAUCUCAUCGAUUCUUACCUGCCUGUAGGCCUCCACAAUAGUAUGGCGGCUCCGAUCAAUAGCAUCAAGAUUCAUUAUAUUAUCAUCAAUAUUAUCAUGAUUUUGAUCAUGAUCAUAAUCAUGGUGCUGAUGAUGGUGGCGGUGGCCAUUUAGAAAUCGGUUCGCUAUUGAGUCAAUGGAAGAGUUAGCGUAGGAAAAUGGCUUUCCGGAGGGUGAAAAUACCACCACACCAACCUCAGCGCCGCAUAGGGUUGCUAACUCACUUGCCUUCUUAUACACGCCAGAUCGCCUUUUCGAGAAAGUAACAAGGCGAUCAUCUUGGUCUUCAAUCCUCUUCAUUUCAAUCUUUUGCCUGCCCUUGGUUUUCCUGCCUUCCAUGGCUUGAACAACCUCCCAAUGAUAAUAUUUAAUUACCUUGUAAGGAGGUUUUACAAAAUAUAAAUAAAAUUAACUCACUGAAAGGAGGUUUUUUCUUUCUCGGUUACUUUGGCUAGUGAUGAUGAUGAUAAGAGUUUAGCCUUUCUUUGCCUUGGUUUGGAGUGUGGAGAUGCUUAUAUUAUAUGUAAAUAUAUAGAGAAGCGAAACCCCUGAAAUUAUAUGGUAUUAGAUCAUUUGUAAUUCCCAUAAAUCGUUACUUCCAUUUUACGCACUUCAAAUCUAAAGAGGACCAAAUUUUUUUGGGGUGGCACUUCCAAUUUUGUUUUUACCAUUUUCGAUUGUUUAUUGUCUUUCCUUGCGUUUGAAGAGCCUUUUUUCCUAUACACUAUAGUCCGUCUUGCUAUCGAAUGGGCGCACCUCCUCCUCUCAAAAAUCAUACAUAUACAGUAUACUUACUUCCUCCACGCGAUAUUUGGCAUCAUAGUUAGGCAAUGGAAUGUUUUUAGACCUUAUGAUUCUGAUUAUCCAUAAUGUUAGUUGAUCGCUCGUCAAACUUUAACACUUGAUGAGCCUGGUCACACCAACACUCAGAUGGGAUCGAUCGCACUAUAUAUACAUGUUCAUCAACCAUGAUUAAUUUGUAUUAGAUAACUUAGGGGAGAUUUUAAUUGCUUAUUUGGAAGAAAUGAAAUCAAGAUUGAAAUGGAAUAGAAUCGUGAAUGAUACACUCAGGGGAUAUUGUCCUAAAAAUGAAUGGCGCUAUCUACGAGAGAUUAAUUAUCAAUUUAAGCAAGCAAAACACUUAAUGUAAUUUUAUGUAAUCACAUAGUUUGGUAAGCCUAUUUGGCAGUGCCUUUGUCUGCUCCAAAGCAGCAUUUGAUAUUUUACAGAGAUAUGCAACCUUCCAAUUCCAAGACUUUGCACUUAUUCAUAUACCUAGGCUAUCAAUCAUGCUGAUCAGCCUUAGGCUUUACCAGUUAAGAAUGUAGUAACUCUAUCGUUUUCUGCCCUUGACAAAAACCUCAUGCAAAUUGGUGGCUUAACCCCGGCAAGAGCAAGUAUUGAAGCAGGCAAAGUCCAAACCCCAUCCCCACAGAUCAAACCAGAAGCUACUGCAGGCACAAAAGCAUCUGCCUUGGCCUUGUUCACCCUUUCCCACAGAAACACUAUCAAGCUCCCAAUGCACAUGUCAAUGGCAAAAUACGAUCCCAAAUAGAAGGGUACUGCCAUUGCCACUGGUAGUGGAACGAAGCGUGCCCUCUUCUUACCAAUGCAAUCCUUGAUCACGUUUGUGAGAAUGGCCGCUCCAAAGAAGACGGUGCAAAGUAAGAGGCAGUGCUUGGGGAGAGAUUUGAAGCCUUCCACCCCGAGAAUAGCCAUGUUACGAUACACAACAGCAAAGGGAGCAGGAUAGGCACUUCUUGGUGUGCCGAGGUCAUUGAAGGCUUUGUAGAAGAGCCAAAACACACAGGGAGAAAUUACACAACCCAUUGCUGUACCGAUGACUUGGCUCACAAACAUUGAGCGGGGGGAAGCCAAGGUUAGAUAGCCGGUCUUGAAAUCUUGGGUUAGAUCGGAGGCUGUUGAGACAAUGUUCAUCAUAACUCCGCAUGCUGCGAGUCCAGCAAGAACACCACCAUGUGCAGAGCCGGCCCAUGCCCCGAUCAUGAAGAUGGCCACCUUUCCGUAAGUGGAGGCCAGAGACCAAUCAGUGAGGCCACAGCCAUAUGCAUUACAGAAAGCCAAGCUGGGCGCAAAGAGGUAGAUGACCAAUAUAUAGUACCAUUUGAGUUGGGGAAAUAUGUGGGGGACAGUGGCAAUUGAGACUGCAGCAAUGGAAACAUAGCCUCCAACAGCAAACCAUGCUGGAAUUUGGUCUUUGAGAAAGAGUUGGGUGCGGCGCUGGUCAUCAUAUGAGAGAGCAGAGGUCACAGCUGGAGAGACCUGAUCUUCAAUCGGGAGAAUGUUGUUCACAUCUUUGCCUCGGAGUUGGGAUUGCAAGGCGAUGAGGGUUCGACUUAGCACCUUCAAGAAGUUGUAUAGCCCGUCACCGAGGAUCAUGGCAAUGGCAAUGAAGAUCUAAUGAAUUGAUUAAAUACAGUACAGGGGUAGGUAAGUUUGAAGAUAACAAGUAUAACUUGUUCAAAACAAAAGUAGUAGUAGAAAAGAAAACAGAUCACACACCUUGUAACCUUGAAGGCCAUUCAUGCUUUUUGGGCUGAGUUCAUUGCUGUACCAAUCGCCACUCCUGUUUUCUAUGAGAGGCCACAUUAAACCCCAAGACAGAAUACCUCCAAGAAGAACAGAUAUGUUCACAAUGUAGGGGCAAAUCAUCCCUACUCCAACAUAUGUGGCCGAGAAAUCAAAGAAGAACCUGCAAAUAGAAAUUCAUGAAUCAUGAUCGAUCGAGCUACGUACCACAUUACAUUACAUAUAUAUAUAUAUAUAUAUAAUCGGACAGAUUCAAAUAAAAAUAAUGUAUAAGUAGUACUUGUUCUGAUAUGCUUUGAGGCCGAGCGUAGGGAAGCUUGCAAAUCCACAAUCACUUCCAGCAGUAUAGAACCACUGAAAGAAACCCCACAAGAAACUGAAGGAGAAGAACUUUCCCAACUCCUUUACUUGUUUCCUAAUUGAAUAAUAAUAAUCCAAAUAUUAAAAAAAAGGAGUUUAGAUUAGAACCAUAAAAUAAAUAAAAAAUAAUUUUGAAAUGAUUAAUUUUGAAGAAGGAGUUACUUGGCUAGCUUGGCUCCUUGAGGAGUGUGGAAACUGUUGAUAAGAUGAGCAGUUGCAGUGCCACUUGGAUAUGUCAAUUUGAAGUCUAUGAUCAUGAUCUGAAACCAAUCUCAUGUUAUCUUGACUAGUGAGUGAGUGUUGAAAGAGUUGAUUCACUAAAGUUCUCAUAAGUUUAUUAAGUACCUUUCGAAGAGGCACGACAGAGAAGAGGCCGAGAAAGCUGACAACAAAGAGAAAGCCAAUGAACCAAAGCAAGCCUGGAUCUUUGAUAUCGCUCGUACUGUUGUCUGUGGAUUGUUGGGCAAUGCGUGCACUCAUGCCAAACAGAUAGUUCCCAAAACCUCCUGUCAGUUUGUACAUUUACUUGACACAUUACGUACUUAUAAAUAAAUAUAUAAGCUUGGCAUAUCAUUAUAUCAUACAUACAUGAAUCAUGAUAGAUGAUAGAUGAUAGAUGAUAGAUGAUACAAUACACCAUCAAUUUCAAUUCAAUCAUCUUUCCCCUCACUAUUUAUCUUCAUAUGAUAUUGGGACCACCACCACGCCACUUGCCUAAACUCAAUCUCUUUUUUCAUUUUUCAUUUUUUUUCUCCACCUAGAAAGAGCAUUUUCAGCUGGAGGGACUAGCCCCAGGCAAGGGACCCCCUAGGCCCCCAAUCUUGUUUCCAACAGCCAAGGAUUGCUAGGACAAGCGUCCAAAGGCAAGACUUGCUUGGGCAAGCUGACUUUACGCUGACAUCAUUGUAACGUCAGCAGCCAAUUUAAAUAUUAAAAAAUUUGAAGAAAAAAAAAACUAAAAAAUUUAGAAUUUUUUGUCUAUAAAUACCUAACCAUAUUCUUCAAUUCCCACACAAAAACUCCAUAUAAAUUCCUUUUCUCACAUCUCAUGUGAAUAGUGGGCCCUUCAGUUACCAUGGUAAUGGGUGCGAAUGCAUAAAAAAAAUUGCUAAGGUAGUCACUAUUCAUAUGAACAGUAACAGGGUCAGUCCUGAGUUUUCAAAGGCCCAGGGCGAAAAUCUAAAGUGUGCCCUAUACACAUUAAUCACUAAUACUAGUAUACUUCUUGUUUUAUCAACUAAGCAUUGGGUUUUUUGAGAAAAUAUUUAUUCGAAAAUAUUUUUAGACUUUGAGCAAUGUCUUUCAUAUUCCUAAAUAAUGAAAACAAAUGUCCAACUAUAAAUAGUAUAUCAGUGAGUUAAAGAAUUUCUUUUAAAACUCUCGUAAUAGAUCCUUUGUUCCAAAAUUUCAGAUUCAUCCCAAUAUCCUAUUCCUAAAAAUUAUGGAAAAAUAUUAAAUCAAUUUAUAAUAAUAUAAUAUAAUACUUAUUAUAAUAUAAAAAUUUGGAGCCCUCUUGAAUGAUGGGCCCAGGGCAGUCGCACAGACUGUCUCUGGGUAGGGUCGGGACUGAACAGUAACUGCCCUUGCCUCCCUUUACCUUUUGUCAUGGCAAAUGGGUGGAAUUCCUGUAAGUAUGCAAAGCCAAUCUUUUCCUGCUCUAAAAGUCUCUAAAACACCCUCGGGAAUGAGGACAGGCGGCCUAUCAGCAUUCAGCAACAUGUAAUCCCAAACUCUGACCAUGCACAAUCCGCAACAUAACGACUCUCACUAUUUAUUUAAUUACAUCAAAUACUAAUAAUGUAAAAUCAUGCCGGCCUAAGCGCAGCAAAAUUCUUUUUAAAUUUAACAACAACAAAACUAAUUUUCAUACUCCAUGGAUGAAUAGUAUAUGCGAAAAACAUGGUUGGUUGGUUUUAAUAAUUUCCUUGUUUCAUAAAAAUAAAAGAAGAUGUUGUCAUUUUACCGAGCUAAGCCAGCAUGACAGAAAGAAACUAAUAAUUAACGACGUCAACAAAAUCCAAAUGAAGGAAGCUAGCUGGAUCUAAUCUUCACCUUCAUCUUCAUCUUCAUCUUCAUGGAUGGCAGAUAGCAGAAGAUCGAUAUGUUAAAUGUUAAUUAAUGUCAUCAGCUUAUUAAUUAGCAAAGCAUAAUGAAUGAAUGAAUGAAUGAAUGAAUAUAAUGAAGGUAGUAGAUAGACUGACAGAUAAUAAAAAAUCAGAAGAGAUAGAGUCUAGAGAUGAUAUAUAGAUAGAUAGAUAGAUACCGCUAAAGGCGAUGCUGGAGGAAGCAACGACGCAGGUCUGGAUAACAGUGUUCUCUUGCCUGGUGAAGGGUUGUUUGAGGAGGCCACACCUGUCGAGGAACUUGGUCCAAGUCCUGACAAAGAAGAAGCCCAAGAGUCCAGCAGAGACGUUGAGAGAAGGAAUAAUACCGGUGGUGAGGUUGAGCUUCAUCACUAUCACACUGAAGAGCACGCUCAGCACAAAGCUUAUGAAAAACGCUCUCACUGUCAGCUGCUCCUUCCAUGACGGCACUAUUUGCUGCUCAAAUAUCCUUUCCACUGACAACUCCUCCUCCACCCCCAGAUUCUCCUUCUCUUCCUCUUCCUCGUACGUGGUCGUCUUCUUCGGAUCCAGCGCCUCAAGCUCUAAAUCAUCUUUUCUCAAUCCUUGUACAAGUCCUGCUUCUGACGCAUGAUGAUCCCUUUGGUACUCUAACUGAUCAUCUUGUUCAAGUUGAUGUUGCUGCUGAGUACCCAUAAUUAAUAUUAUUUAUGAUAGCCUAAUGUAUUUAUGGGUACUCGUGAAUGUAUUGAUCAAUCUUGUUGAUUUGAGUUUCAGUUUGAGUAUGAGGCCGGGCCACAUGUAAUGUAGUGCUUUAGCCUUUAUAUAUAAAAGGGAAUACUAGCAACCUUCUCUCUAACAUUCUCUUUUGUACUUUCUCUCUUCUUGUUAUGACAUGUGUCAUUUUAUUUACACUUAAAAUAAUAUUAUUAAUAAUCAAAUAAGCUAGUUUUUGUUUCCAAAUUUAUCCUUAUUAAAUGAAAUAUUUAAUUUAAAUAAAUUGACUUCUCUAAUUUCUUCAAUUUAAAAAAUAUUUUCUCUCUCCAUCUCACUCUCUCAAUCCUCUCUCUAUCCUUUGUAGCGCCCCACAACCCUUCUUCUACCUCGCCACUUCUCCCCAAAACAAACACUAAUACCCAGCAAUGACCCAUGAUCAGUACCCAGAUAAGCAUAUGAAAGAAAUCCACUUCUUCUCCCCCCUCAUUACCACCAAACAUCUCCCUCAUCCCUACCCAACAGCCCCCCACCGUCCAAAGAUUCCCCCCCCCCCCACCUGCCCACCUCCUUCGCUUUCUCUGUUGUUUGUAAUUGGACAAUUUUUUAUUUUAUUUCUCAAAUCUCACCACCAAAGCACUAUUUUCUAUUUUUAUUUGGUUUCGUUUAUUAAAAAAAGUGUUUGAACUUUCAUGAUUCGGAAAGCAAAGGGUAUGUAGACGUUAGAGAGAGAUGAAAAAUCUUGGAUUUUUUUUUCUCAUUGCACAAAAGAGUAAUAGUAAUGCUGCUGCUGCUGAGAACGAAAGAAACCAACUUUUUUAUUAACACCAAAAUCAAGCAUUUGUUGUUUUCUCUCUCUAGGCUCAUGUUGGGAGAUUCACUAUAAUACCCAAUAUAUGAGCUUAAAUUAUAAAUAAAAAGCCCUAUAUGAAAUAGACUUUAGAAUUAGAAACACACUCAAAGCCUAUUUACAACAUAACAAAAAGGCUUUUAAGUUAUUUUAAAUUACAAAACUGUCAUUGAUUUCUUAAAACAAACCCAACCCAAAAACCUCAUGAAAAAACCCAAAACGCUCAAUGAGGCAUCAAAAUAAUUUAAUAAUUAAAAUUAAAGGAGAUUCACUAUUAUACCCAAUAUAGAAGCUCAAAUUAUAAAAAUACCCUAUAUGAAAUGGACUUUAGAAACACAUCCAAAAUCCAUUUACAACAUAAUAAAAAGGCUCUUAACUUCUUUUAAAUUAUAAAAAUGCCAUUAAUUUCUUAAAACAAGCCCAAUCCAAAAAUUUAUAAAAAAGCCCAAAACACUCAAUAGGGUAUUAAAGUAAUUUAAUAAUCAAAAUUAAAUUAAAUAGGGCCAGUUGUCGCUUUUUGGGGUUUUUUUGGGUAUGUUUAUAAAAAUUAAAUAGUGUAAGGUUUAUUUAUAGUUUUAGUGCUAAAAAUGGGUAUAUGACUAAAUAUCUCUAAAAUUAAAUUCAAUAGGAUCAGCUAGAGUGUUGUUAUUUCCACCCCGUGUCCUAUUUUCCCACCCACCUUAUCUUCAAAUUUGUAAAGACAAAUUUAUCCCAUUAUAAAAUGACUUCUAAGUACUUCUAUCUAUAACAACAUUAAACUUUUGAUAUAUAAAAAAAAACUAAAACUAAUUAUUUUAAAAAUAAAAACAAAAACCCAACAGCCACCAAAACUCCCUCACCCACCAACUUGUUAGCCAUCGCACCCCGCCGGCAGCGACCCCCUCCCCCCUUGACAUCGACAAAUCCUCAUUUAUCUCUCUAUCUCUCUGUCUCUUUGUCUCUCUCUAUCUCUCUCUCUAUAUGUUAUGUGCCGAUCCAAACAACUCCCACUUGGUGGCACUGAUUCAGAUGCUGAGGAAGAAAAGAUGCAUCUUCUCUCACAAACCUGGGUAAGACCAUAAAAGGAAGAGAGGAAAAAGAAUCUGAAUUGUUUGUUGUACUGAUGCAGACCCUACCUUCCUACACAGUCAAAAUUCUAAGCACAAUUUGUUUUGACAGGUUUUCCUUUUUUGAUAUUUCUAGAGAUUCUAGACUUUGAAGAGGAUUUGUAGCCGUAAUUUUUAUCUAGUCUGUCUUGUGGGAGUGGGAAAAGAAAGAGAGAGAAAAGGAGCGAGUAGGGUGGUUGACUAGGUUGGGUGGGUGGGUGGGUGGGGGAGCUUUAGUUGAAUUAAUUUAAUACUAAUUUCAUAAACAUAACAAUUUGCUAGAAUUAAUAAUUAAAGAAUAUUUUAGGAAUAAUGAUGGGUGGAAAGAUAGGAUUGUGUUUUUUUAAAAUUUACAUGGUGGGUGGAAAGAUAAGGUUAGUGGGAAAAUAGGAUAGAUGGGUGGAAAUAUCAGCACUCGUCAGCUAUUAUUUUUUGGGUUUUUUUUAGUUUUGUUUAUAUAAAUUAAAUAGUAUAUAGUUUAUUUAUAAUUUUAGUGCUAAAAAUAAGUAUAUGACUAAAUAUUUUUUUUUUUUGGGUCUGAUUUUCUCUCUCUAGGCUAGGCCCAUUCAUUCUUGACUUUAUUUAUUAUUUGCAAGAAAUACAUCGAAUUAUAUUGAAUGGCUGAGUUUGCCUUUGAAUAUAUAAUAACAAGAAGAUACACACUACACUUCGUACUAUAAUACAAAUUAUGAUAAAGAGUGACGGUUUGGUUCGUUGGUUUUUCCAAGGAGUGAGAAAGAGAAAAGAGAGAGAGAGCUGGAAAUUUAGAAUUAAUAAGAUAUACGAUGAGUUUUAAGGUAGCUUUUCCACAUUGCUUGCAUUUCGAUUGCAUGAUAUAUGGAUUUAAUAGACAGCGAGAGGAGGCUGGCUGAUGACUGGAUGAGAUCAUGAGAUCAACUAAAUUUGUUGUAUAUCUCUAAUAAUUACUAUUAUAUUAUACUAAUAACCUCUACUGAUAAUUGUAUACUAUCUGACUCUAAGACUGUAAAUUGUACAUAAUAAAUACCAUACCAUGGUAUAUGGCUCUCAGCCCAGACAGCCUCUCUCUAUUGAGAAAGACCGCAUUUGGUUCAUGGAAAAGAAGGUUUGGGAAUGGAAAAUUAAUUAUUUUCCCAAGUUUGGUAAGUCCAAGCAUGGAAAAUAGUUUUUUGGUACAUGGGAAAAAUAGUAGGGCAAAAUGUAACCCUCUUCCUUCCUUGAGUUUCAUUUUCCCUUCCCAUGGGAAAACUUUGGGAAAAUGAGCCAGUAUUAAACGAAUAUUUAAAUGCAUUAUUUUUUAUUUAUUUGAUUUCAUAUAUUGAUAUAAUUGAAAAAUUAAACAAACUUUGUUUUACAUUCCUACGAAAACCAAACAUUGUAAAGAAAAUAAAUUAGUAUUUCCUAGUUAUUUUUUCAGCAUUACCAAACAUGAAAAUGAAUAUUUCAUUUUCUAUUCCUUAAGAAAAUACAUAGGAAAGUAUUUCCCACCAAAUUUUUUCCCCGAACUAAACAUGGAUAUCAAUGUCCAUAUGUCGCGGGGAUAUCACUAUCCACUGUCUGUCACUUGCAAGUCGUAAGCUCUCUCUCUCUCUCUCUCUCUCUCUCUCAUUGAAAUUGAGUUGAAUUGCGCUCUUUUACUUUUCAUUAUUUGCAUUGGUCCACCAGUGCCCACGCACCUUGGAAUCUACAGCAUAAUAUUAUAUAUCCCCCACGCACCAAAGCCCUUUUCACACCACAUCUUGGAAUCUACAGCGUAAUAUCAUAUAUCCUCCACGCACCAAAGCCCUUUUCACACCACACAUUGGAAUAAUAUCAUAUAUCCCUAAACCCUUGGAAUAAUAUCAUAUAUGCCUAAACCCUUUGAAUAAUAUCAUAUAUCUCUAAGAGCAUCCACAGUGGGAGGGUGUAUAAUGAGGUGUAUGUUAAAUAUACAUCAUUUAUGAUCUAAAUCACCCGCAAUGGCGAGGUGUAAACGAGUAUAAAUUUGCAUAACCACCAUGAGAUGUAAAUUUAGAUGCAAAUGUACAUCUUUUUUUACAUCUCUUGCAGGUGGGACCUACAUGAGAAAAGAUAAGAAAAAGUGGACAAAAGUGGGACCUACAGGAAAAAAGGUGAAAGAAAUCAAUUAUACCUCUUUAGAUUUACAUCUUCCCCACUGGAACAAAAAUCACAUUUACAACCUCCGAAGAUGUAAAGAAGAUAUAAAAAUAGCUUUACACCCCCGAAAAUACACCCUCCCAUUAUGAAUACUCUAAACCCUUGGAAUACACCACACCUUGGAAUCUACAGCAUAAUAUUAUAUAUCCUGUCCUUUUCACAAGUUUCAAACUUCCAAUAUGUUAAAUAUCCCAUCCCAUCCCACCAAAAAAUAAGAAAAUAACUUCCAUAAAAGCAGAAUGGAAAAUCAGCUCCUUAAAUAAAAUGAUUGUGAAUUAAGAUGUUGCUAAUUGAAGGACUUAGAUUAAUUCAUGUUGGCUUGGACCAAACUACAACUGAUCCAUCCAUCAUCUAAUAUAUUAUUGAAAUUGAAUUAAUUAAGGCAAGCAUGAGGAAAGUUGAUAUUUUCAGUUUUUUUUUUUUUUUUUUGGGGGUUCGAAAUCUGAUGUCAUUGAACAACCCAAACGGGAAGGAGCAAUACAGAGAUAAAAGCAGAGCAAUACAAACAGAGUUGGAUCAAGAAACAACUAGAACACAACUUCUAACCCUGAACAAAAUUGAACUAAUUAAUAGGGGGGCAUGGGAGCCCAUCAGAGACGAGGACACGCAUCAAAGACGGAGGUGGUCGAUUGACCCAACUUUCCAGUUCCACCGCUCUUGCACCUAUCAAUGUUGCGACGUGAGCAGCUCGAUUCCUUUUGCGGGGGAUCCAGUUCCAUUCGAUAUGGGGGAAGGCAUACGAGACCUUCCUAAUCUCUUGAAUGAGGGGAUAAAUUAUCCAGAUUCUAUUGCCAACAGCCCCUUUGAUCCCAUUGUGGUUGUGGAUGCAUCGUUCGUCCAUCCAAUUCCAACAUCAACAUCAACAUCCAUGUGAUGUUCCCCGGGUUGAAAGAAACUUGUACGCCUACAACUUUGAAAUGCAAUAUGAAUCAGAAGAUCAGACAGCAGCUAGCAAGCAACCAAGCAUAACAAGAAUAUAUAUAGACCAAGACGGCCAUCAAUAAAAUCGGCUCACUUUAGCAAACUAGUCGAACCCGCGGCUUUGACUCAAUGAAAAUUCGACUUCUUAAAUGUUAGUUGUACAUAGAGAGAAUAGAAAGAAUUUUUGUAAGUGUGAUUGUGAUACCGCUGCAUAGAGUACGCUACAUGAUUUUAGCAAUUGAGGUACCCUUUUCUUUUCUUAUGAAGGGCGCAAAUUUCUCCCUCCUCUAAAUGAUAACCUUUUGAUUCGGAGAGAGAGAGAAAUUAUAGAAUUGGUAAUAAGGGGUGGAUUGUCAUUGUCAAAGAUACAUAAUAUCUUCUUAGCUGGAACUUGGAAGAUGCCAAAAAAGAAUAUUCCGCUGGUUUUAUAUUAAUAUGCGUCAACUCUUAAACGAAUAAUAUUGUAUUUUGGGUUAUAUCGAGACAGUUUUCUAUUGUUUGAUGAAUUUUCCAAGAAAAGGACGUGCAAAACAAAACGUUAGCUAUGGAAGUGAGAAAUUGAAAAUGUUCUAUCUUUCCACUUCGUUUUGAUUCUAAGAUUGUUUUUUCACCCCCCACAAUUAAAGCUGUCUUAGGUAGAUUCUGAAUUUCGGGAUAUUAUUAUUUUGCAAGGAACUCUUCAUUUGAUUUUUGUUGUUCUUGUCAUUCUCAACUGCAUUACCUUCAUUGUUACGAAGAAGCACUGCUUGAUAUAUUUAGCGGUUGCUUUCACCAUUUCACUAGGAACAUAUUUGGGGUACUUCCGUACACAGAUGAAAAAGAAAUUUAACAUCAAAGUAAGCUUUCUUUCUUUGUCCAUCAUCGUGUGUGGUUCCUUACUAACUGAUAAUUUUUGGUUUUACCGUGAAUGAGUAGUUUUCUUUUCUUCGUCUAAUAUUAGUAUUUGCCUCAUAUUGUCUAUUCAUAUUUUUAAUCCUGUACUCUUCUGCAUUAAGGUUGCUCUCUCUUUUUAAUUCAAGGGUGCAAAAGCCACAUGCUAUAGAAAAAUAGAGAAAAUUUGGGUGUGGUUGGGUAGAUGGAUUGCAUUUUCUAUUAUUGUAAAGAGGGUGCGAUUGCUAUAUGAUUGACCAUUGGCAAGUGUAAUGUUAUGAAUCCAUGCAUUCUUAGGAAAGAAGAUAGUUCCAUGUGAAUAUACUAAUUACGUACCUUCCAGGUAUUUAUGAUCUGAUUGCGAUAAAGUUUUCACAAUCUUUUAACUUAUGCCUUCUGUUGGUUAUGUUUCAUGGUUAUACUUGAAUUACACUACAUUGUUGUGGGAAAUGUUUUUAUUUUCAGGGUAGUGAUAGUUCCUUGGAUGAUUGCAUCUACCAUCUUAUCUGCCCAUGCUGUGCAUUAUGUCAGGUGAUUAUCGUUGCGGAACCUAUGCUUGCAAGAUAGUUGUCAAAAUGGCUGAUUGUAGUUAUCACAAGUGUUUGUGGUACCCAGUGAAGAAGUAAGAUGUUUAGCCCCAUGCAUGUUCUUUCUUUUUCAAUUGAUGCUUUGCCCCGCCUUUCCUCUUACUGGUAGUCAUUUGUGAGUGUGAUUCAGAUGAAUUAAAACCUCAGUGUGCUUGGAAUAUUAUGCCUUUCAUGGUUGCAGGAUUCUUUAUGUGGUUUUUAUAACUGAUUGAUGUCAACCUCUUUUGUCAUGACUUUCAUGCAUAUUACUAGAAUAAGCAUUAGAAUUUUCUAAUCUCUAUUGUGACUGACGUUAACAUUUCUCUUCCAAAUUACUUCUACUAAGACAUUAACACUGAUGAGUUCCUUAAUAUGAGGUUUUUCCUCUCUGUUAUCAUAUCAUAUAAUGAUAAGGAGGCAUCAUAUAUAUAAAUUUCAUUCUUGUUGUGAAGCUUUCUCAAGUAAAGUAUAUAAUUACCUUCACCAGAUUAGACACUUGAUCGUUGCAGCACAACUUAAGAAAUCCAACUGAAGGACGUAAAGUCAUAUAAACCUUAAACCAUUCCAUGUUUGCAAUUUGACAAGUGGUCAUCUUUUGACACAAAUCCACUUUAUACAGGUUUUGCAUUGUAGUUUUGCACAAACUACAUUGCAGUUUUCAUUUAAUUACAAUUGGAUUUUUGCUCUUUCCUUGGCCUUCAACCUCACCAAUUUGAAGAGUAGAGGAUACCCAUAUGAGGAAUUGAGUGGGCAAGAGAAGAGUAGAACUACCCAAGAGCAAGGGAACUCAAAAUUGGACUUUUGGAAACUGCAUUGCAGUUUUCAUUUAAUUACAAUCUUUGCUCGUCUUUGGCCUUCAACCUCACCAAUUGGAAGAGUAGAGGCUACCUAAAUGAGGAAUUGGGUGGGCAAGAGAAGAGUAGAACUACCCAAUAGCAAGAGAACUCAAAAUUGGACUUUUGGAAACUCCAUUGCAGUUUUCAUUUAAUUACAAUUGGAUUUUGAUCUUUCAUUGGCCUUUAACCUCACCAAUUUGAAGAGUAGAGGCUACCCAUAUGAGGAAUUGGGAGGGCAAGAGAAGAGUAGAACUACCCAAGAGCAAGGGAACUCAAAAUUGGACUUUUGGAAACUGCAUUACCAGGAACAGAGUAUUUUACCAACAUGUAUUGAAUAUAAAAAAAAAGGCUUAUUAUGCUCUGCACCAUUUACAACUACCGAAAAGCUCAAAUGCACUCGUCACCAAUUAUUGGGCUGGAGCAAGUGCAAUUUUGGCCACCUGCCAAACCAAAUUAAAAUUACACAGGAGAAAUUGGGUGAGUUAUUAGAUGCACCGCCACACAUCAUACAGUGGAGCUACGAAAUGCGCUUACGAAGCAGCUUGAUUCUCUAAUGGCAAAAAAUGAGGUGUAUUGGCGGCAACGCUCAAGAGCUACUUGGUUGAAAGCGGGAGAUCGCAAUUCAAAAUUCUUCCAUUACAAAGCCUCUAGCCGCCGGAGAAGAAACACUAUCUCAGCGCUUGAAGAUGAGCAUGGACAUUGGCAGACAACAGAGCAAGGUUUAACACAAACUGUGGUUAAUUAUUUCCAGCACUUGUUUUCUUCCACAGGGUCUUCCGAUUAUACAGAAGUAGUGGACGGUGUAAGGGGGCGUGUCACAGAGGAGAUGAACCAGGCUCUUUUGGCGGAGUUUACUCCAGAAGAAAUUAAAAUUGCACUUUUUCAAAUGCACCCAUCUAAGGCACCAGGCCCAGAUGGCUUCUCUCCUUUUUUCUAUCAGAAAUAUUGACAGAUUGUAGGUGAGGAUGUGGUGGCGGCAAUCUUGCACUUCUUCAAAACGGGCAAAUUACUUAAGAAGAUAAACUUCAAGCAUGUGGCCCUCAUCCCUAAAGUCCAUGAACCAAAGAACAUGAUGCAAUUACGUCCCAUCAGUCUAUGUAAUGUCCUUUAUAAGAUUGGGGCGAAAGUGCUCGCCACCCACCUAAAAGCAAUCCUUCCUACUCUGAUUAGUGAUACUCAAAGUGCUUUUGUUUCAGGCCGUGCAAUCUCAGACAAUUCAAUCGUGGCUUUUGAAUUGCUACACAUGAUGCAUAAGAAAAAUCAUGGACGACAAGGGUAUCUGGCUCUCAAGAUUGACAUGAGUAAAGCAUAUGAUCGGGCAGAGUGGAGUUUUCUGGAGGCCCUAAUGAAAGGAAUGGGUUUUGCCCCACGAUGAAUCCAAUUAAUCAUGGAGUGCGUGACGACGGUUUCGUAUUCUUUCAUGUUGAAUGGAAAUUCAGUUGGUUAUGUCAUUCCACAGAGAGGACUUAGACAGGGUGACCCCCUUUCACCAUAUUUAUUCUUACUAUGCGCUGAGGCUCUCUCAAGUCUUAUUUUGCAGGCGGAACGACGUAAUUUACUUCAUGGAGUGAAUCUAUGUCGGGGGGCUACGUCUGUUAGCCACCUUUUUUUCGCUGACGACAGCUUCUUGUUCUUGCGGGCAAACCAACAGGACUGUGAACAAAUGAGCAUUAUUUUCCAAAAAUAUGAAAUGGUGUCAGGUCAGAAAAUACACUUGGAGAAAAGUUGUGUCUCCUUCAGUAAUAAUAUGGACCGUACUGAUCAAGAUAACCUAGCUGCAGUUCUGGGAGUUAGGAGGGUUGACCAGCAUGAUGUUUACUUGGGGUUGCCUACUCAUGUGGGAAGAUCAAGAAGGCAAUGCUUCAACUCUCUUAAGGAGCGCAUUUGGAAGAAAAUACAAGGUUGGAAGGCAAAAUUGUUAAGUUUUGCAGGGAAAGAAAUUCUCCUAAAAGUGGUGGCACAAGCUGUGCCUAUUUAUAUGAUGAAUUGCUUCCUCAUCCCUAAAUGUCUAUGUGACGAAAUUCAACAAGUGAUGGCUCACUACUGGUGGGGUGAGCAAGAUGGCCAACGAAAAAUACACUGGCUCAGCUGGAACAAAUUAUGCUUGCCUAAACAGGAGGGUGGGCUUGGUUUCCGUAAUUUAUAUGCCUUCAAUAUGGCGCUCUUGGCCAAACAAUUAUGGCGCUUGAUUCAAACCCCAAACUCUUUAGUGGCACGCAUCCUGAAAGCCCGUUACUUCAAGAAUUGCUCUAUAUUAGAGGCACAAAUCGGACAUUCCCCCUCCUAUAUUUGGCAAAGCUUAUGUAAAGCACGUGUCCUUAUUGAAAAGGGAUCUCGGUGGCGAAUCGGGAAUGGCCACAGUGUGCGUAUAUGGGGAGACCGAUGGCUCCCUAACUCUGAAUCUUUCCAAGUUUCCUCACCACAAGCAGAGGGGUUUGAUGAGGCAAAAGUGAACUCUCUUAUUAAUCCAGUCACUGUGCAGUGGAAGGAGAACCUUUUGCAAGCUUGGUUCUCGGCCGAGGAAGUGAAUUGCAUUCGAAACAUCCCUUUAAGCUUCAGACACCCACCAGACAUCUUGAUUUGGCACUUUGAGAGAGAUGGUCAAUACACAGUGCGGAGCGGCCAUGAAGUUGCUCGUCGGGUUUUGCUCCGGCAAGACGGGGACGACACCAACAUGAAUGGAGGACCCAUUGUAGCUUGUGAACAGGUCUGGAAGAAGAUUUGGAAAGCCCGAGUACCACCAAAGGUUCUUAUAUUCAUCUGGCGCGCUCUCUUGAAUAUUUUACCCACUAAGGAUAAUUUGAUUCAUCGUAGUAUCUCUGAAUUGGGAGGCUGUGUUUUUUGUGGGGCUGAAGAAACUGUGGCCCAUGUGCUUCUCCGAUGCCCCAUGGCUAUUGCUUCUUGGUCUUUAUUUCCGGCCUGGGCACACUUUAAUACUGAUGCCACAGAGGAGUUCAAGAUGUGGUUCCAAGGAUUUGUUGCAGACCACCCACUUCAUGUGCUAGAGAAAGUCAUGGUGUGCCUAUGGAUGCUAUGGUAUGAGCGCAAUCAAAUGGCCUGGGCAGGACGUCAACGGAGUGCAACAGAAAUUGUUAGUGGAGCAAUGCACUGUUUGCAAGAGUUUCAGGAAGUACACCCCCUCCAAAGACCCAUACCUCACGUGCCAUUGCUAAAUGGGUGCGGCCACCGCCUGGAGCUAUUAAAAUAAAUGUGAAUGGAGUGUUUCAUGGUGAAUCCAGUUUUGGUGGGGUUGGUUUGGUGGUUCGUAAUUCUACAGGUGCCUUUCUUGCAUGCAAGUUGGUUGUGCUAAAUGGGAUAUCAAAUCUCAUGCAUGCCAAACUGGUUGCAUUAAGAGAAGGCUUAAUCUAUGCUGCCAAGUGGUCCAAUCUGGAAUGUCAUAUAGAAGGGGAUUCCCAAGGCGCUUUACACUCAAUACAACGGGGCCAAAUUGAUCUGUCCCAUCUUGGUUGCCUAACUGAGGAUUGUCAAACACUUUUGGCCAGCCAAGAGCGUGUUUAUUUGAGGGUUACAAAGAGGAGUGCAAAUGGGGUUGCAACAUGGUUGGCUCGAUAUGCUCUACACUCUCAGGGAAUAGCAGAAUGGGUUACUGAUCCCCCAGAAUUCCUACAAGAUGUUUUGUUCAUUGAUGUAAUGUAAUUUUCUUGUUGUGUACGUUAUCGGCAUAUGUGGUACUCUUUCCUACUCCGGAGUUUUUCCCUUGUGGUUUUCUCUGGGAAGGUUUUAACGAGGCCACGCAUGACAUGCCUUUUCUUCCUCCCUUCUAGUAGAAUGAAUUCAACCUUUUCAAAAAAAAAAAAAAAAAGGCUUAUUAUCACAAAACGUUCCUAACGUUUGCGAAACUAUCAUAUUACAUUUUUAAAUUUUUUUUUAUCACUCAUUAUCCCUAACGUUAAUAUAAAUACUCUUAAAUAGUCUUUUCAUUAAAAAAAUAGUUAAAUCCCGAAUUUUAUGAGGGAUAUAAUCCUCAACUCCCUUUUACCUCUCACGCUUCAAAUAUAUUUCCUCGUGGUCAUCGUCAACAUCAUCAGACCAUUUCUACGCUUUUUCUGAGAAAUAGGGUUUUUCAAUCGUGGGAAAUUGGGCGAUAAAGCUUCUGCAAAAAUGUCUGAGAGAAGAUGGAUGAGGCAAAUGAGCGUUGGGAGACCAAGACCAAACCUACAUUUGUGCACCCAAGGGUCUUGACCAGGUGUAGAAUCUCCAUAUCCAAGCAAUUGGAGAUGGCAGCGAGGCCUACGUUACUGACUAAAAGCUUUUCUAGAUGGAUCUCAACCAUGGAGGUGACUUGCUCUGCUAUCACCUGGAGAACCUUGUCCCAAUCGCCAGAGCACCUGAAAAGUUUCAGAGUCCUCAAAUUCUUCUUUUUUUCUCUGUUUUUUGCUUUUGGGCUUUAUUCGUCGAGUGUAAUAAAAUAACACAGGGAUUUUUGUGGCACUAGUAGUUCUGGGAAUUGGGUUUUACUGCCAACGUCUGAUGCAUUAAUUCUUAGUUAAUUUUUGUUUCUUUUUUGUUGUUUUUUGGUGUUGCAGAGUACAAAUCAGAGUAGCAGAGAAGCUUCAAAGCUCAGACUGAAACGACAAGUCGUCGGCAAGUGUGAUCGCAGUAUGCUUCUAGCCACGACGACGACAUGCCGGCAGAUCGCAAAAGAUUCGUCGUCGGCCUCCAUCGGCAGAUCGCAGCCGUUGAUUUGGGCUUGGAGCGAUGGCUGUUGCGGCAAAGCUUCUCGGCAAAAGUGUCCGGAAGUGAUUUUUUUAUGGAAGUCAUGUAGGGGUUAAUGUGAUGGAACUGAAUGUGGUUGAUGAUAUAAUUGAAUGUAUUAGUUUAUUCAAUUUGUUCAAGGUAUGUUGUUUACAGUUCAAUUUGUUUAUGUUAAUCCCUUUCAUUUUCACCCCUUACCUUUAGCAAUUCCAACAAGAAAUGGAGGGAAAUGGUUCCAAAUUGGUGACGGGUCUGAGUCAUUGAAGAGGUCAAAAGGAUUGAUUUGAAUAUUAUACUCCUCAAUUUAACAGUUUUUUUAACGGAUAGAUUAUUUAAAAGCACCCAUAUUAACGUUAGGGACCAUAAGUGAUACAAAAAAACUUUAAGGAUGCAAUCUGAUAGUUUCGCAAACGUCAUGGACGUUUUGUGAUAAUAAGCCUAAAAAAAAUAUUGUUUUGUUUUUUUUAACUUUAGAGCUGAGCAUUUUUUUUCCCAAACUCAACAUUGCCGUUUCCAUUUUUGUAUUGCAGUUUCUAUUUAUACAUUGUAGUUUCCAUUUUUGUAUUGCAGUUUAUGUUUAUUCAUUGCAGUUUCUAUUUCUGCAUCGCAGUUUCCAUUUUAGUACUUUCAUCUUGGUUCCUCCAUUUUGCUUCAAUAAAAUUAUUUUUUGUUUAUGUAGCUGUUUUUUUUUUUAAUUUUAAACAUAAUUGAUAUCUACAUUGUAUUUUUGUUGCAAUUUCUGUUUUUAUUUGCGAUUUUUGUGUGAAUAUGUGUUGAAAUGAUUUUUUUUUUUAAACCGUUGAUUGUUUAUAUAAAUAUUGUAUAACUGAAUAAAUAUUACAAAAUAAAGUUUGGUGUAGUGGUUUGUGAGUGAGCCUUCCUCCUUUGAGGAUCAAGGUUUGAGUCCCUUCAAAGACACAAAAUCUUUUUUUUUAAAAGGUGAAUAAAGGGCAAUGGAGUUGGUCCCCUAACAGUGGUCGACAGCAGGAGUCCAACAGUGGAGUCCGGCGGCGGGAGGCUAACGGUGGUGGCCGGUUGGCUAGAUAUGGACAUAUGACAUAGUAUGCUUGCCUUAGAAGGAGUGGCAUUGUGUGUAAUUUUGAUAUUUUUUAAUGAUAUUUUUGUAAAAUUAGGUACUACAUUUUGGUCUUUGGCCUUAUACUAACUAGAUGAAAUUGUAUUCUUAUCUUUCAAAUUAAUAAAUUGUAUUGUGUUUUAAAACUAAAGCUCUCUUUAUUUAAUAUGCGUCAACUCUUGAACCAAUAAUAUUGUAUUUUGGGUUAUAUCGAGACAGUUUUCUAUUGUUUGAUGAAUUUUCCAAGAAAAGGAUGUGAACACAUGAAUUAGCACUGCCGAGUCAAGAUUACAAAGAAAGAUGACUCUCUCUGUAAAUUUUUAAAAACAUGUCACUUUCAAGACUCCAUAUAUAAUCUAUUCACAACUCCAUGGGCUCAAUGCUGCCGAGUGCUUGCUUUAGCUGGAGCCUGGAAGAAGAACCACUCAGACUCAGCAUUCACAUCCUGUUCGGUGACAGACACACCAAAAUGCCAAUUAUUUUGUGAAUCUCAAUAAUUAUACAACCAUGCUUGAUAUAUUUAGUGGUUGCUUUCACCAUUUCACUAGGAACAUAUUUGGGGUACUUCCGUACACAGAUGAAAAAUAAAUCAUACAUAUCAGUAUACUUACUUCCUCCACGUGAUAUUCCGCAUCAUAGUUAGGCAAUGGAAUGUUUUAAGACCUUCUGAUUCUGAUCAUCCAUAAUGUUGUUGAUCGCUCGUCAAACUUUAACACUUGAUGAGCCUGGUCACACCAACACUCAGAUGGGAUCGAUCGCACUAUAUAUACAUGUUCAUCAACCAUGAUUAAUUUGUAUUAGAUACACUUAGGGGAGAUUUUAAUUGCUUAUUUGGAAGAAAUGAAAUCAAGAUUGAAAUGGUGAAUGAUACACUAAGGCGAUAUUGUCCUAAAAAUGAAUGGCGCUAUGUAAACUAAGUCGACUACGAGAGAUUAAUUAUCAAUUUAAGCAAGCAAAACACUUAAUGUAAUUUUAUGUAAUCACAUAGUUUGGUACGGAUAUUUGGCAGUGCCUUUGUCUUCUCCGAAGCAGCAUUUGAUAUUUUACAGAGAUAUGCAACCUUCCAAUUCCAAGACUUUGCACUUAUUCAUAUACCUAGGCUAUCAAUCAUGCUGAUCAGCCUUAGGCUUUACCAGUUAAGAAUGUAGUAACUCUAUCGUUUUCUGCCCUUGACAAAAACCUCAUGCAAAUUGGUGGCUUAACCCCGGCAAGAGAAAGUAUUGAAGCAGGCAAAGUCCAAACCCCAUCGCCACAGAUCAAACCAGAAGCUACUGCAGGCACAAAAGCAUCUGCCUUGGCCUUGUUCACCCUUUCCCACAGAAACACUAUCAAGCUCCCAAUGCACAUGUCAAUGGCAAAAUACGAUCCCAAAUAGAAAGGUAUUGCCAUUGCCAUUGGUAGUGGAACGAAGCGUGCCCUCUUCUUACCAAUGCAAUCCUUGAUCACGUUUGUGAGAAUGGCCGCGCCAAAGAAGACGGUGCAAAGUAAGAGGCAGUGCUUGGGGAGAGAUUUGAAGCCUUCCACCCCGAGAAUAGCCAUGUUACGAUACACAACAGCAAGGGGAGCAGGAUAGGCACUUUUUGGGGUGCCGAGGUCAGUGAAGGCUUUGUAGAAGAGCCAAAACACACAGGGAGAAAUUACACAACCCAUUGCUGUACCGAUGACUUGGCUCACAAACAUUGAGCGGGGGGAAGCCAAGGUUAGAUAGCCGGUCUUGAAAUCUUGGGUUAGAUCAGAGGCUGUCGAGACAAUGUUCAUCAUAACUCCGCAUGCUGCGAGUCCAGCAAGAACACCACCAUGUGCAGAGCCGGCCCAUGCCCCGAUCAUGAAGAUGGCCACCUUUCCGUAAGUGGAGGCCAGAGACCAAUCAGUGAGGCCACAGCCAUAUGCAUUACAGAAAGCCAAGCUGGGCGCAAAGAGGUAGAUGACCAAUAUAUAGUACCACUUGAGUUGGGGAAAUAUGUGGGGGACAGUGGCAAUUGAGACUGCAGCAAUGGCAACAUAGCCUCCAACAGCAAACCAUGCUGGAAUUUGGUCUUUGAGAAAGAGUUGGGUGCGGCGCUGGUCAUCAUAUGAGAGAGCAGAGGUCACAGCUGGAGAGACCUGAUCUUCAAUCGGGAGAAUGUUGUUCACAUCUUUGGCUCGGAGUUGGGAUUGCAAGGCGAUGAGGGUUCGACUUAGCACCUUCAAGAAGUUGUAUAGCCCGUCACCGAGGAUCAUGGCAAUGGCAAUGAAGACCUAAUGAAUUGAUUAAAUACAGUACAGGGUAGGUAAGUUUGAAGAUAACAAGUAUAACUUGUUCAAAACAAAAGCAGUAGUAGAAAAGAAAACAGAUCACACACCUUGUAACCUUGAAGGCCAUUCAUGCUUUUUGGGCUGAGUUCUUUGCUGUACCAAUCGCCACUCCUGUUUUCUAUGAGAGGCCACAUUAAACCCCAAGACAGAAUACCUCCAAGAAGAACAGAUAUGUUCACAAUGUAGGGGCAAAUCAUCCCUACUCCAACAUAUGUGGCCGAGAAAUCAAAGAAGAACCUGCAAAUAGAAAUUCAUGAAUCAUGAUCGAUCGAGCUACGUACCACAUUACAUUACAUAUAUAUAUAAUCGGACAGAUUCAAAUAAGAAUAAUGUAUAAGUAGUACUGGUUCUGAUAUGCUUUGAGGCCGAGCGUAGGGAAGCUUGCAAACCCACAAUCACUUCCAGCAGUAUAGAACCACUGAAAGAAACCCCACAAGAAACUGAAGGAGAAGAACUUUCCCAACUCCUUUACUUGUUUCCUAAUUGAAUAAUAAUAAUCCAAAGAAAAAAAAGGAGUUUAGAUUAGAACCAUAAAAUAAAUAAAAAAUAAUUUUGAAAUGAUUAAUUUUGAAGGAGGAGUUACUUGGCUAGCUUGGCUCCUUGAGGAGUGUGGAAACUGUUGAUAAGAUGAGCAGUUGCAGUGCCACUUGGAUAUGUCAAUUUGAAGUCUAUGAUCAUGAUCUGAAACCAAUCUCAUGUUAUCUUGACUAGUGAGUGAGUGUUGAAAGAGUUGAUUCAUUAAAGUUCUUAUAAGUUUAUUAAGUACCUUUCGAAGAGGCACGACAGAGAAGAGGCCGAGAAAGCUGACAACAAAGAGAAAGCCAAUGAACCAAAGCAAGCCUGGUUCUUUGAUAUCACUAGUACUGCUGUCUGCGGAUUGCUGGGCAAUGCGUGCACUCAUGCCAAACAGAUAGCUCCCAAACCCUCCUGUCAGUUUGUACAUUUACUUUACACAUUACGUACUUGAGUAAAUAAAUAUAUAAGCUUGGCAUAUCAUUAUAUCAUACAUACAUGAAUCAUGAUAGAUGAUACAAUACACCAUCAAUUUCAAUUCAAUCAUCUUUCCACUCACUAUUUAUCUUCAUAUAAUAUUGGGACCACCACCACACCACUUGCCUAAACUCAAUCUCUUCUUUUUUUUUUUUUUUUCUUUUUUUUCUUUUUUUUCUCGACCUAGUAGGAGCAUUGCCAGCUGGAGGGGCCAACCCGGACAAGAGACACCCUAGGCCUCCAAUCUUGUUUCUAUGGCCGCAAGCGCUGGGCUUCACCAACUUAGGCAAACUGAUCUCACGCUAACGUCAUUAGCCAAUUUAAAUAUAUAAAAAAUUGAAAAAAAAACAUGGUUGGUUGGUUUUAAUAAUUUCCUUGUUUCCUAAAAAAAAAAUUAAAAUAAAAGCAGAUUUUGUCAUUUUACCAAGCUAAGCCAGCAUGACAGAAAGAAACUAAUAAUUAACGACGUCAACAAAAUCAAAAUGAAUGAAGCUAGCUGGAUCCCAUCUUCAUCUUCAUCUUCAAGGAUGGCAGAUGGCGGAUGGCAGAAGAUCGAUAUGUUAAAUGUUAAUUAAUGUAAUCAGCUUAUUAAUUAGCAAAGCAUAAUGAAUGAAUGAAUAUAAUGAAGGUAGUAGAUAGACUGAUAGAUUUAAAAAAAACAAAAACAAAAAUCAGAAGAGAUAGAGUCUAGAGAUGAUAGAUAGAUAGAUAGAUACCGCUAAAGGCGAUGCCGGAGGAAGCAACGACGCAGGUCUGGAUAACAGUGUUCUCUUGCCUGGUGAAGGGCUGUUUGAGGAGGCCACACCUGUCGAGGAACUUGGUCCAAGUCCUGACAAAGAAAAAGCCCAAGAGUCCAGCAGAGACGUUGAGAGAAGGAAUAAUACCGGUGGUGAGGUUGAGCUUCAUCACUAUCAAACUGAAGAGCACGCUCAGCACAAGGCUUAUGAAAAACGCUCUCACAGUCAGCUGCUCCUUCCAUGACGGCACUGUUUGCUGCUCAAAUAUCCUUUCCACUGACAACUCCUCCUCCAACCCCAGAUUCUC